GGGAUGUGCUUUUGGGCUUGGGUGGCCUUUAUGGCGCCUCAAACCUCAUCAUCAACCCUUUUGCCAUGGCAGCUCCUAUAGCCGCCCCAGAAAUCUCCAAAUGCGGUCCACCGGCGGACUUACCUCCAGGAGCAGUUGUCACUGACAAUUGCUGUCCGCCGGUGCCCGGCAAAGUCAUUGACUACAAACUCCCUCCACCACCUAAGGUGAACCGUUUUAGGCCAGCUGCUCAUUUGGUCAAGAAAGACUAUAUUGAAAAACUUAACAAGGCGGUCGAGCUCAUGAAAGCUCUGCCAGCUGAUGAUCCCCGUAAUUUUACCCAACAAGCAAAUGUUCAUUGCGCUUAUUGCAAUGGUGCCUACGUCCAACCAGGCUCUGAUCAAGAAAUUUCAGUCCAUUACUCGUGGUUAUUCUUCCCUUUUCAUAGAUGGUAUUUGUACUUCUAUGAAAGAAUCUUGGGAAAGCUAAUAGGCGAUCCCAGUUUUGGACUGCCCUUUUGGAACUGGGACAACAUUGGUGGCAUGACCAUACCGUCCAUAUUUAUGGACCAAUCGUCAGCAUUGUAUAACGAAAAUCGUAACCAAAGUCAUCUGCCACCAACGGUCGUGGACUUGGGGUAUAAUGGUACGGAUAGAGAUGCAACAUGCACAGAAAGGAUAGAAAACAAUUUGGCGAUCAUGUACCGUCAAAUGGUCUCUAAUGCCACCACUGGCAGAGAUUUCUUUGGAAAGGAAUACCGGGCCGGCGAUGAGCCCAAUGCCUUUGCUGGCGCAGGGUCCAUCGAGGCCAGUCCCCAUAUUCCACUCCACAGGUGGGUCGGCGAUCCAAGGCAGCCAAAUGGUGAAGAUUUGGGUAAUUUCUACUCAGCUGGAAGAGAUGUUCUGUUCUAUAGCCAUCAUGCAAAUGUGGACCGGAUGUGGACAAUUUGGCAACAAUUGGGAGGUAAAAGGAAGGAGGUCCCCGAUCCAGAUUGGCUGAAUUCUUCCUUCAUUUUCUACGAUGAAAAUGCUCAGCCUGUCCGCGUGAAAGUUCGUGAUUCUUUUAGUAAUGAUAGAAUGGGAUAUAUUUACGAAAAGGUGGAUAUUCCCUGGCUUAAGAAUAAGCCUGUGCCCCGCGUGAGAAAAUCUAGAGUGGCUUUCACUUCCGGGGCACCACCAGCCGAUAAGGUCUUCCCUGGACCCCUUAACAAGAUCGUGAAAGUGUUGGUCAAGAGGCCCAAAUUAUCAAGAAGCAAGAGGCAAAAGGAGGAAGAGGAAGAGAGAUUGGUGGUGUACGGGAUCGAGUUUUCCAUGGACAAGUAUGUUAAGUUUGAUGUUUUCAUUAAUGAUGAAGAUGAUAAUCCAAACGAUUUUGCUAAGUCCGAGUACGUUGGGAGCUUUGCAAAUUUGCCACACAAGGUUAAAAGUGGCAUGAAAGCUAAGACUACUCAAACCUUUGAGUUGACUGAGAUUUUGGAGGACUUGGAUGUCGAAGACGACGAUGCCCUGUUGGUGACUUUGGUGCCAAAUACCGCUCUUACCAUUGAUGGCAUCAAGAUUGAGGUUGCUACUUGAUUCGCCUGCUAGUACUUUUUUUUUUUUUCUCUCCUCCCUGGGAAAAAAUCUGGCAUUGGAUUUCAUUGAAUGCUUUGAUUUUGACCUAUGCAUGCAUGUUUCAGCGUGAUGAAUAAAAUGCUUCUGGUGUGCUUGUUACUACUUAAUAAAAAUAUAUUUCAGGUUCUUGUUUUCUUGAUACCUUUCUGACAACACCCCUUUGGUUUUUCUUUUUGAAAAGUUUAAUUUACAUUAAAGUUUAAGAUCUUGUGACGCUAUCUAUCUAACUUUCUCCACUCAAAAAAAAAAAGGAAAAGAAGAAGACAAUUCUUCCUCAAUCAAAAUUAAAUUUUUCUGUGCGUAUCCAAAAGGAAAACAAAAGUAAUCCUCAACUCCCACGUUUGGCAAGGCUUACAAGUGUUAGCUUCCGAUUCGCCAUUUCAAGUAGUCAGAUAGACUAUACAUUAAUUUACCAAAAUAUAGGAGAGUAUUUUUUAUUUUUUUUUUGAAAAAGAAUAUAGGAGAGGUUACAAAAAGUAAGGGAAUUCUACAAUAAUGAUCCUUGCUUUUUGUGUGUUGAGGAAAGAGGUGAUUUCUUAAAUUUGUGCGAUCCCACCUUUCAUUUCGUAUGCAACUUUUUCGUAUACCACUUUUGAUUUCAUGUGCAACUUUAUUAAUUUGUGAAGACAGAACUUUAUAUUCUCCCACUUUCACAAUCAAUACAUAAUAAUAUCUGCAGCACAUGUGAAAGCUUGAUCAACAACAAAGGAAUUGAUUAGUUUCUAGCUCAAGUUGCCUAAUGAUUCAUAGGAAUGAAAGUUAAAAGGGCUUGACCCCGGCUCCUAUUUUUUAAUGUACAUUUACUUUAUAGGAAUAGGGUAAUAAUAUGCCAACCUACCCAAAGUUUCACGACCACGACAUGGAUCUCCCCUUGAAUUCUUGGAAGUGUAAUUUAGUGUUAAGUGUAUAAUAUGAGCUGUUAUACAUUUUUUAAUUUGACUAUCUAUAUUUUUUUCUUAAAAUUCUAAGGGCGUUCUUGUUCUAGUGAGUGAGCAUCCACUUCUUAAAUACUAACAUCUUCCUUGUGUGCAACUGCUUCUUGUAAAACGAUCUAAGUGCCUUUGAAAUUUUUGGUCCGACUCUUAAAUUCUUGUUUUUUUCGCUUUUCCCUUAUAAUGCUUGAAAUUUUCUUUGAACAAUUAAAAGAAAAGUUGAAUAAGGACAGAUACAGAUUAAUAUAACUUUAUAUAAGUGAAUUCUCUAUUCCUUUCCCCCUCCCUACUUUUGAAGUUCUUGUAGAUUUAUUACCAUUCGAAAUAUUUGACAAACUUGGCUCUCUCACUCUGCAUUAAAUAGCUAUCGGUCAAAUUUACCAGGUUCGGAUAUAUUGCAGUCUUGUGGGACCAAGACCGACCAAUAAUUUGAUAUCGUCAGAAAUGCCUGUCGAGAAUUUAAUAUGAGUAGGAGGGAAUCACCGCGCAUCGCGCAGUGUUAAUUUCAUGUUGCCCAAAUAAUACCCAAAUUCAUAAGUGGAGAUAUCAUGAUUUGGAUGCAUUGCAUUUAAGUUAUUUCGUUAUAAAAUGAUUAAACUUUUAAAUAAGCGAAAGCGUGAGCAAAUAAAUGGGUAACUUUUCUCGAUUUCCAAUUGCUAUGCAUGUUUAGCUAAUCCUUAUCCCUUCUCACCAUUUCAAAUUUANNNNNNNNNNNNNNNNNNNNNNNNNNNNNNNNNNNNNNNNNNNNNNNNNNNNNNNNNNNNNNNNNNNNNNNNNNNNNNNNNNNNNNNNNNNNNNNNNNNNNNNNNNNNNNNNNNNNNNNNNNNNNNNNNNNNNNNNNNNNNNNNNNNNNNNNNNNNNNNNNNNNNNNNNNNNNNNNNNNNNNNNNNNNNNNNNNNNNNNNNNNNNNNNNNNNNNNNNNNNNNNNNNNNNNNNNNNNNNNNNNNNNNNNNNNNNNNNNNNNNNNNNNNNNNNNNNNNNNNNNNNNNNNNNNNNNNNNNNNNNNNNNNNNNNNNNNNNNNNNNNNNNNNNNNNNNNNNNNNNNNNNNNNNNNNNNNNNNNNNNNNNNNNNNNNNNNNNNNNNNNNNNNNNNNNNNNNNNNNNNNNNNNNNNNNNNNNNNNNNNNNNNNNNNNNNNNNNNNNNNNNNNNNNNNNNNNNNNNNNNNNNNNNNNNNNNNNNNNNNNNNNNNNNNNNNNNNNNNNNNNNNNNNNNNNNNNNNNNNNNNNNNNNNNNNNNNNNNNNNNNNNNNNNNNNNNNNNNNNNNNNNNNNNNNNNNNNNNNNNNNNNNNNNNNNNNNNNNNNNNNNNNNNNNNNNNNNNNNNNNNNNNNNNNNNNNNNNNNNNNNNNNNNNNNNNNNNNNNNNNNNNNNNNNNNNNNNNNNNNNNNNNNNNNNNNNNNNNNNNNNNNNNNNNNNNNNNNNNNNNNNNNNNNNNNNNNNNNNNNNNNNNNNNNNNNNNNNNNNNNNNNNNNNNNNNNNNNNNNNNNNNNNNNNNNNNNNNNNNNNNNNNNNNNNNNNNNNNNNNNNNNNNNNNNNNNNNNNNNNNNNNNNNNNNNNNNNNNNNNNNNNNNNNNNNNNNNNNNNNNNNNNNNNNNNNNNNNNNNNNNNNNNNNNNNNNNNNNNNNNNNNNNNNNNNNNNNNNNNNNNNNNNNNNNNNNNNNNNNNNNNNNNNNNNNNNNNNNNNNNNNNNNNNNNNNNNNNNNNNGUAACGUUUCAUGCAAUCAUUAAAGAAUAGUAGUAGGAAGCAGGCCAGUAAUGACAGAUACCAUCAUCUGCAGCCAUGUCAAGAAAUGCCUGCAACUUUAGGGCUUUCUGAUAGUACAUCAUCCCCCGAACUGCAACGUGUAUAUGAGAAAACUUAGAAGUAAACUGUAAUAGUUUUUAAUUUUUAUUAUUCAGAAAACAGACACCAGUUUCCUAAGAAUAAAAUGGCACCACAAACCUGUUCGGCAUAGAGUUUGCCCUCGAAAAGAAGCCCAAUUUCUAAGAUCCUCCUCAUUUAUUUCAUCAUUUGAUGCAUUAAGGUUUUCAGUUCCAACACGUUCCAAAAAGUUUUCCCACUCAUCUGAGAGACAAUGAUAAAAGGAGAGUUGAGUAAUCUGGACAUGCUUUAAAAUAUUAACUUUCCAAUACUGCUGAAAAGGAAAAGAAGAAUAUAUAAAUCACAGCCUUAAGAGGUCCUGCAUGCAGUAACCUGGGAAUAUCUUCUGCAUAUAAAAGAGGAUUGAAACGCCUUCUUUGUUAGAAUGAAGCUCUUCUGAUGAAUAUUUCACAUCCUCCAUGUAGUGAGGAGUCAGAACACUGUUUAAACAAAAGCCUCCAGGUCAGGACAAACUAUAGGUAUCACAAUAUCUUCAGAUAAUAAUUAGCAAUAAUAGUAUGUCAUGGAAUUCAAUAACUAUAAUGCUGUCUCUUUUGUUGUCAAGUGGUUUAGUAAUUAGAAACUCUACUAUUAAAUCAGAAGAGUGCCUGGCAAUAAUACUUCCAGAAAACCACCCUUAUGUUUGACCUGAAAGAUAACAUGUUGCGCACUUUUGGUGCUCUCGGCAUAUCCAUAAACAAAGAAGUUGCAAAAAAUGAAAUCCGUCUUUGAGCUUCCAAGUUUGAUGGUAUGUCCAUGGCUUUAUCUCUUGUGGUAAGCAGCAAAAGAAAACGCUUGAUCUGACCCCAAAAACAAAAAAAAAUCAGCUCUGCAAUAUUUAUAAGUUUAAUAAUGUAAAGGAACCAUGUAUUUGCUGUUCAUGAAACAUGUAUCAUCGAAAGUUAAGAUAUGCACCUUGUCCACUAUAAGGCCACUAUCUGGCAGUGGAAAAUGGAUAGAACGAGCCGAAGCAAAUAAUUGUGGUUCUAUGUGCGUGAAAAGUUCAGAAUCAUCUCCAUCACGAUGAGCAUAAAGAGAAUCCAAUGUUCUGGAACAUUUAGGCUGAUAUCAACAUAAUUGAUUUCAAUGCAUGUUAGGUAACCAAAGAAAUCCUUCUUCCAGCUUACCUACAUCCCUUCAGCAUCAGAUCACUGGUAACAAUUUCAAAUAUAUCUUGCAGUGCUUUCACAACAUUACAGUACUGUUCUUCAUUUCCUUCAACCUUAAUGAAGAAAAGGUAUCAACUAGAAGGAGUUGGAUAGGUGUCAUGCUGAAAAAUGAAGAGAAACCAUUCGAGAUUUGUGUGCAACAUUUUACCAGUAGUUCGAGUAAUUCAACACAUUUAGUAUGUAGAGCUGGUAAUUCACUCAUGUUCAAGUCCUCAAGAAGUGUUGAGCACCCUAUACUUCCCUCGAUUUCAUCCAAUAUUCCAGAUAUAAUCCUGAAUGACCAACCGUACAAGAUAAAUGAGUAUUCAAAUUUUGUUAUUAAAACAUGCAGGGAAACUAUAGGGCAUAUAAUGAAAAAUAGAUACUGCGAUGGAUCAUUAGAUUUGUUUAUGGCAUCAAUUCAUUCUACUUACUCUACCUUUGUUCAAAAUCCCCAACUACAAGGAUUUCAAGAACGUACUUCAGCGAGUCGUAACAUUCAGUUACUACCAAGUACAUGUAGUCAUCUCUUUUAAUCUUUCUCAAAAGAUCAGCAUCCUUUCCUGAAAAAUCUCUUGCAAUACUCAAUGCAGUUGAGAACUGCAUAGAAAGACCACAACUGAGAGAUUUUUGAAAACAGCACUCGGGAUCAUCAAGAAAUGCAGGAAACAAUACCUUAUUUGCCAGAAGGAAAACAGGCCAACGAAUCUGGCCUGAGAACAGUUCUGAUGACAAAGGCAUUUUCAUCAAAUGCAUUUCCCUGAGUUUUGAAUAUACCAGCAUUAGUUUUCUACUAUACCUUCAUGGUCAAAGAAGAAUCUGAUAUGCUUACACACCUGUUACUUAUGAGGUCCUCUUCACGAAAGCUACUAAUAAUUUGGUUCCAUACGACAACGAAUUUCACAAUACUGUUCUUUUCGAAAGCCUGAAAGUUCAUAAAUUAUCUAGAAUGGAAGCAAGGAAGUCUUAGAAUUAAUAAUAACUAUAUCAUGAAAUAGAUUAGUCCAUACCUUUUCUCUCAGGCAGAGGAACCACUUACUGAUUCCUUCCUUGUUAUCUUUCUCCUUGUGUGGUAUAAGAUAUGCACUGAAUGCAUCUGGCAAAGAGUGAAAUCUAAUUCUCAGCAUUCCCAGUGUCCUAAUCUGCAGAACAUGAUGAGUGAGAACAUCUUCAUACUAACUCUCAGCGAGCAAGAGACAUAUCCUACCUCACCAAGAUGGUGAAGAAUUCCAUAAACUCCACCAAAUAUGGAACAAUAGACAGAGUACCAUAUUUGUGCAUCCAUGAAAUAGACCUGAAAACAUUAGAUAACUAAUUAUUCAUAUAAUGACAAACAAAAUUCUACAUUAGCAAACAAUACUUAUUGCGGAAAAUCAUUUAUUAACCCACAUCAGGGACUAAGAGAUUCAUAAAUACUAAAUAGGGAAGCAUUAAAACAUUUUUCCUAUGCUAGACAUGUUGUCAUACAGAGGAUACUCAAUGCUUUAAGUGUAAGGGAUCAUGUACAAUAGAAUUUAAUCUUACAAGUAUAAUAGGAGCCCAAAUAGCAGCAAUUGCACCAGCAUUACUCUUGACUGAAUCAAUAAACACAAUGUCAGAUUUUUCCAGUUCCUUAUAUAACCACCUAAUAUUGAAGGGAUAUAUCAAUAGACAAUUACCUUUGGGAAAGAGCUCAUGCCAAUCAUAGUUCUUUAUGCCAAUCCUCAUGAUCUGUCUAGUGGGUGAUAUAAGAGGUUUAAUCUGGACAGUCGGGAAGAAAUUAAUACUCCCACCAUUGCACUUGCAAGGAUUUAUAGUUUGACUCUUUUCGUUAAACUGACUCUUUCACCAAUUAACAAUUUGUAAUCAUUCACUUACAGAAAUUUUUAAUUGUUUCAGCACAAGAAAAUUUCAAUUGCGAAAAUGGAGGAAAAACAUUCAAAUGCUUACAAGAAUUCUAGCUGGAAGACUUUAAAAAGAAUCAUACCAACUUUAUGAGUGCAAAAAAAUGAAAGUAGGUGGUAACACUAAGUGGCCAAAAAUUUCCAAAAGACAUGGAAAGACAUUAAGACAACAUAAUCCCUUGCAAUCAUUAACAUAUUGCAAUAAUUAAACUUAGUGUUACUACAUCCUGAUUGUUCCACUUGAAAAAUGAGAUGGCUGAAGAAAGAACUCUUGAAUUAUAAUGAAACAAGUAUUGAGAAAAUGCAGAAAGUAAAAGACUGACCUCAAAUUGGUAACUGAAUAUGAACUUGCUUAGCAUUAGAAGCACCCAAAACAUAGUAUACCUAAAUGCAACACAAGGGAUGCACACCUCAGAAAUCCAUCAUAGGGAACGUCAAUAGAUAAUGGAAAAGUUCUGAGUAAGGGAAAAUAGAUACUUGAACUGGGAAAGUUGGGUCUCUUGCAUUCCACGUCCAACGUACAACCUAGGCUGAGUGAUGCAAAAAUUCAGAGGAUAAAAAAUCAGCCUAACAAACAAACAUUCCAAAGGAUGAAGACAAGUUGUACAGGAUGAUCAAGCAAACAUGGGAUAUAGGAAUUUAUUUCAAUGAAACUGAAUGGAUAAAGGCUUAACUUCAUGGGAACUCCCAAUAACAAUGUCAAUCUUAAUAACCCUACAACUCAAGAAAUAUCAGAUGAUUUAUGCCCAUCUUGCGCCCAGUCAAGUACUGAUUUCCUGGCUGUCUCCUGUUACAAUACAAAAUCUUAUGCUCCCCUCUGUCCCACUAAGGUUGUUAUUCUAGUGAAUGGCAUGGUACAUGAGAAACUGAUUUUUUCUUUUCCAUCAUUUCCACAUAUUACAACUGAUAUAUGAAGUCAUACCUGUCUCCACCAUGACAACAUUGUGCAUAUUCGAGAGUUUGAGGUCUCAAUAUACUUCCCAACCACAGGCACAAGGAAUAGGACCAUAUCAAAUGCAUUAGUCAUCAAAUAGAAUGCAACUGCGACCAUAUAGGAGGAAUAGCACCACUCUCCAAGCCAGCUCUGGCUCUGUGUAGAAUAACAAGUAUAUUUCCCUCUAUGAUUGAUAUAAUAUAUAGGUAGUGUGAUAGUCCAUAUCAUUGGGACCAACACCUUCAGCACAUUUCUUCUGAUUUUAUAGGAAUCGAUUGUGUUCCUUGCUUUCCAUGUGAAGACAAUGUCAAGAAUAGCUGCAAGACAAAUUAUUUCAGUUUAUGACAACUCAAAAUUUGUAUCCUGGAAUUUUGAGAAUUCACUCUGAAUAUCUUCAUCAGGUUCAAUUGAAACAAUGAACAUAAGAUACAUGCUGAUGAAACAGAAAAGAAAAAAAGGACACACAACAAUCGCGAAAUAUCAUGUUGUUCAUGUGUCAAGCAAGAAGCUGUGGUACUUUAGUGGUAAGAAUUUUUUCCUGCCCUGAUUUUUCUAUAGCUUUCUGAGUUUCUGUCCGUUGUAAAUGCAUUUUGAGUCUUGCGACAUUAACUAACAAAAUUUCACCAUAUCUUCCAAAAGUAAUGAACCUCGUAUAAGUUUGAGAGCUGCUGAUGUGAUGAAGAUGCUCAUUACGUCCUCAAGAACUGUUGCGUCAAACACUUCAAGUGGAGAUUCUAAAUCAUGCGAUGCCAUGAUUAUCAUUGCCUAUACCAAAGGAAAAAUGACUCAAUGAUCCUGAUAGGCAAAACACAGAUAAUUACUACUCAUCUCUCUCCUCAACGCACACCUGAAGGCAUAAAAUUAAGAAACUCCACAUUCUAUCAAAACUUCUGAAGAUUUGCCAAAAUGAGCGAAUCUCCACAAAAUUUGUCUUUCCUAGCCAUUUUCCUUCCCGCACUUUGUGUCCUUCAUCGGGGAUGUCCUGAAAACCACCAUAAGCAUGUUUAAUGAUCCUAGGAAGCAAUUGAUGACUUGGAUCUUGAUAACAAAAAACAUGGAUGACUUGAUAUCAAAUGUUAAUGGCCUAUAUGAAGCUGGUGUCUAGGCAGAAGUCUGAGCAAUAUCAGUGGAGGUGGUCUGCACGGGAACUAAUGCCUAUUUUCAUAGAAAUUUUGUCAUGCAAUACUAAACUUUUAUACAUGCACCAUUUUCCAUAAUUGAUAAUUAUGGUUUGAUGUUAGACAUUUAAAGUGAAAGGCAAAGUUUACCUCCAUUUCUUCAUCUUCAUUAGGACUCUUCUUGUCUUCAUCAGUCCUGACUGAUUGCCGAGGCUUUUUUGUUUUGCUAUCACUGGAAGGGUCUAUACAGAAAAAAUCAUGUUCCAGACGCAUAGGCCAACCUAUUUGAAAACAAUCCUCAGACCUGUGCAUUUUAAGGAACAAGCAACUCAGGGGUAAUUUCAACAACCAAUGGUUCAACAGAUGUAAAAGAUUUCAAUUAAGCAAGGAAUUAGAGUCUGACCAGAAAAACUCAUUCAAGUCAUCAUAGUUCCUCCAUGAUGAAUGGUCAGUUGUUCCAUUUCUGUUUUUCAUAGCUUCCUUCAUUGAUUUGAAUGAAAUUAGUGUUACAAUAUUGAAGUACUUAGGGGUUCAGCAAAUGUCUCCUUAAGUGCUCUAACAUUUUGUACCUCAUGUAUGACUUUAUAUAGAUGAAAGACUACAUUGUUAAGAAAAGACUCAGAUCCUCCUCCAUACACUGGCAUAAUCCGUUCUCCAGUUUCCAUGUUUACAGCACCAACUAGCAAGCUAUGUAGCUCAUAUGCCAUCUGAAAGAACACGUGAAAAAAAAAAAUUCUUUCAAAUUAGAGAAAGUUUUACUGGUCAACCAAAAAAAGUUCAAAAAUAUCUGUCAGGGAAAAAAAAAUUGAAAUCCAUGCAGAGCUCUAAUCAGCAAAAAUCAGUUGAAUAUAAUUGAGAACACCUUUAACAUAGGUUUCAGGAAUCUAAAUGGAUAAUUGUGCAAUCCAACGGGUGUAUAACUAUUCAUUGCACAAAUUAUAAGAUCAAGAUUGUUACUUCCAAACCAUAACUCAAUCAUAUAUGCAGUUUCAGAACUGAACAUUUACAUGUAUGUUUAUGCAUAUCUGAGAAAAACAAACUAAGGUAAAAGAUAAAGUUUCCUAGAAACAAAGGGAGCCAAGUAAAGAAUAUUGCUUAUCAGUAAGAAGCCAGAGAAGAAAACAAACAGAGGAAGUGAGCCGAGAAGUCAAGUGAGGCUAAGAUUGGAGACACAACAAAGAAAAACAACUUAAAGAAAAAUCCAGUCUGAAGCUUGGAUAGGAAAGCUCAAUAUCAAAGUUGCCAUUUUACCAUAAAAUGGUUCUUCCACAGAAAGUAAAACAAGAGUUGCCAUAUUGUUAAUCACAAAGAGAAACCAUAAGUAGUGCUGACUUAUAGAAAAGAGUUUUCUUUUCUCUCCAAUUAUGGACAUGAUAGUAUUACCUUUACUUAGGUUUUGUGGUUUAUGAUGUAAGAAAAAUCUUACUAAAUCAUGAUUUGUCUUAUGGUCAGAAUAAUGUAGACUGAAUCAAGCAAGAAACAUGAGGAUGAAAUACUGAACAAUCUUGCUAAAACGAUGGCUAAGAUGCUUUGCACAUUUUGUAUGAGGACGAAAUAUUGAAAGACAAUGAACGAACAGGUAAAGCAGCCAAAAGAAAUGGCACAACAUACAUGGUGAAAUAUAUAGCAGAGGCAUUCUGGCAUAAAUCUUAUGUUUGCAGCCUCUCCCCAUAUUAGAAGAUAAAGUCCAAUAUAAAGAAGUUUAUAUUGUUGGGCUUCCUCCUUCAGAUAUGGCAACCUGCAUUUAAAGCAGAAUAUCAGAAAAAAAAUCCCUGGACUUUACUGAUAAUUAUCUACGAUAAUUUGAAUGAGAAUGUCAAACAAUUACAUUGCAAGCUGAAGAAGAGAUACAAACUAUUGCCCUAGGGAAAUUCACUGAAGCCAUUUACACCACUAAAUGCACUAGAGAAACUUCAAGGGCAUAGGUGACAGAAAUCCUAUCCUGGGACAAGAAUGUAAGUAAGCACUAUGAGAGUACGAAUCUUACUGUAUAUUGCUUUUUCUCCCCAGAAAUUUGCACCAAUCUGUAUAAUUUUUGAAAAACUUCUUCAUCAGUUCGUCCAAAGCUCCAUCACCUAACUAGUAUCAUGAAAUGAGUAAAAACCCAAACUAAGUAAACAAUCAGUUAUAGUAGAGAGAGUUCAUGCUAUAAUUGUUAUAGCACCUUGGAGACUGAUGUCUCCUUAUGACUUUUCCGUAUGUGAGUGUUAGCAAGGAGCAGGAUCAAAUGCUCCCUUUGGUUUGCAACAUUUCCUUUCUGAAAGAAGAUGAACAAUGUUCGUAUUAAAACAUUCUCUUCCAUCAGAAACUGUGGAGCUCAAUGUAGAGAGGAUGAUAUCAAUGAAGAAUAUAAUUUGUCUUGUAUUGCAAAUUGAAAGAAGAAAGGAGAUCACCUGAAAUCCAAAGCAAAACUGGAGCCAAUCGAACAAAUCCAGGCAAACUACCCUUCUCCUAAAAUCUUCAACAAAUGGCAAACCGCGAACCUUACGAAAAGCAGCAACUGCAGCCUUGAUCUGAUUAUUUAAUGUAAAAUUUUUGGUCAAAAAUCAAGCUGUUAUGAUACAAUUUACAUAUAACGCAUGCAAGAUGAUAAGAUUACUUGGCAUAAAGGGCACAGUAAGUUGUGCUCAUUCAAAGCAUGCAGCAAUCAGGAGCUUGAUAACAUGCAGAAAAAAUAAAUUUACUGGAACAAGUAUCCAUGAAUGGAACUUAAUUAAUGCACAUAUUAAGACCUCAGGCAGCUGCAUGAUUGCUUGACUGGCACCUCCUUCAUCCAGAGGGAGAAUAUUAUAAGGGACAUACAGUUCAGGUUUUGCAUGAAUGCUCUCGCUCUCGGCAAGGACCUGCAAUGUACAGCAAACUUAAAACCUACAUAUUCUAUGGAAGUAGCAUAACCUGGGAGGAAAACAAGUGAAACUAUUUAAGCAAAACAAAAAAAAAUAAAACAGAAACUAAGGUAACCUGUGGACCGGCUGCAGUAGUAACUGUAUUUAACACUUUGGAUAAAGCUGAAGCAAUAGCUCGGGCUUUUAUCAUUUUUUCGCUGUAAGAGAGAGAUAAAUAAUGCGCUUACUCAACAACACAACCAAGCACAUUGUUAGCAUUUCACUUGAAAAGAGAAUGAUCACCUGUUUUGCAAAUUACUGUCUCCACUGUGCUUGAUGAUGAAGUCCUUGUACUCACGGUAAACACGUCUAAGUUCACGUAUGUCACUCUUUUCCUUCCUCUUCCUGAUUGUAAUUUCUUCAUCCUGUCGGUUACAUAAAUAGUCAGGGCACAGAAUUUUAUUACUAAAGGAUAAGAAAGUUCCGAGAAAAUAGAGGAAAAUUAGUUAAUGAAUGACAGAUGGUGACAGUUUAGGUGGCAGCCAUUUUCAGCUUGAUAGUAUUUUACUUGUAAGAAUUUACAAAUUUGCCAAUAACCAGAAGAUACAGACCCAUAGUAAGAUCUGGAAAGUUCCUUCACAGAUAUCUUUUGUAACAAGACUAUUGAGGGUUACUUACACUAUGCUGAAUCAUUUUCUGCAGCCCAAUCAAAGAGAAAAGGCACCAGAAUAACAGCUUUGAUGUAUUUGUCAUGGAUGUAAAAGAAUCAUAUCAGAGACAUAGUGGUUUUAUUUUUUUAGGCCAGAGACAUAAUGAUUAAUAACUGCAGAGUUUGGGAUUAAAAAUGUUGAGCCCAUCUCUUAGUUGUAGAGCAGUCUGGUUGAAAUUGUAGUCUUACAAAACAAUAAUCAUCAAAUUUCUUAGGAUGAACGAACUUUGUCCGCUGAAAAAAGAAAGAGAAGAUUGCUUGGUAUUUUAAGAACAUUUCCAUUGAUGGUGGCUUUCAUUCAAUUUUUUACCUGCUCAAGACGCUGAAGCAGAGAAGUCUUGAAUUGCCGUACUCCUCGACCACUGGAAUUUCUGUCCAAGUUAUGUGCCACUUCAAAUGCAUGAAAACGGCCUACACAAAAGAAUCAAUCCAUAAGUGCUUUAUCGUUAGCAUAAAAGAUACAGACCAAACUCUCUUGAGUGCUAUAAUCAUUUAUGCGAUCCCAUUACAACCAAACCUUCUUUUCUUGAAUGUGCUUAUAAAAGCAAGGAAAAGAGCAACAAAAUCACUCCUUGAAGUGCAUUUUCUUUCUUUUCAGAUACACUUCUCUGAUGUCUUCUGCAACAUUUUUUCGACUGAAUAAAAUAUCACCUUUUUCGUUCGCUUAUCAUUAACAAAUAAGAACAGAUAUGCCAGUGAAUCAGUAUAGGAACUUUAGAUUAAUAGCCAAAAGGGUGAACAAAAUCAAGACAAGAAACUCGGUUUUCUUACUGUCUAAACUAAUUUAGCGUACAAUUAUCACAAUACAAACCAACCAACCCAUAGAGGAUUUUCAAUUCAAUUACAAGAAAUUCCAUGUUGCAACACAUUAUAAUUAACUAACACAAUAUCAAGAAUCCAACACCUAAAACACCGAAUUUUUUAAUGACUAGCACAAGUUUCAAUCUUUGUUUCUAAACCAUUUAGGUGCUUACAAAGAUAAGCCACGCGAGGCUCUUCAAGUUCUAUCUGAUUAGCAACACGAAGAAAUUUUUGGAUCUCUGAAACCAAAGUGACCGGCAAUUUCUCACUGUCAAAGGGCUCAACCACAUGAUCACGCCCAGAAGUGAUUAAUCUUGUAAAGGGUCUUGUAUUAGUUGUCGUAUAUACUCUUCUGCUGCUAGUACUUGCAGAAUUACUAGUGCUCGGAUCUGCAGGAACAAUCUCUGCCAUUGUUCUUGGGAAAGCCAAGCAGAGCAAGAACUGAGAUGCAUGAGCAUGGAAGUAUAAAAAUGGGAUCUUUGGUGUAUAUACAUGCUGCUAUUAAAUUGUUGUUGACAAUCUGAUUUUGCUUUUUGGGAUGCUUUUUUUUUUUAGCUUGGUGGGGUGGACUGAUCUUUUUCACUUUUGCUUUUGAUGAAAAUUUGGGAAUGUGUCUUAUGGGGUCUGGAAUGAAAGGGGAAGUUGGCGUUGAGCUUCUCUUUUUGAAGCUGUGUGCGAUAGGCGGGGUUUUUUAAAAGUUGGAAAAAGAAAGUGGAGGCCUAACGUGAGGGGAAAAGGUUUGGUAGUAAAAGGAGACGAGACAGAGCCAUUGUUCACCUCGCUAAGGAAUGACAUUUGACGAAUUAUGAAAUGGGGUUAUGACAACCUCAUAGAGAGUUCAAGAAUUUGCAAAUACACAGGGUUUGUUUGUAUAGAGAUUUAUUAGCCAAAAUUUAUUUGCUUACAUCAUCAUUACAAUUUUCAACGCACCUUUUUAUCUUCUCAAUUACCUUUUUAUCUCACAGACAUCACAUCACAAAAAGUGCUACAGUAAAAAUAUCUCAAAUAAUUUACAAUCCAAACAGAGCCACAGUUUCAGAAAAGAGUUGAUCAUUAAAGUCACAAGCUAGACAGCAUUAAAGAAAUUCGUUCGAUGCAACUUCAUUGGUCUUCCUCCAGAGAAGUGAUUGCAGACUUGAUUGCACCUGUAUGUUUUGUUAAAAUCCCCCUAUUAUUAGUACUCACAAUAGUUGAUUGCAUUGAUCUGCUACAAAUAAAGAACAUAAAGCUAGCUUUUGUGCUGGCUGUAAAGAGAAGAGCCCACUUUCUUCUGUUUUGUUCUCUAACUUCAACAUAGGGUGCUAACGUAAAUGUGGCAUGCAAGCUACAUUGUAAAAGAUCAAAAGGGUCAAGAAAAGAUAGAAAAGCAACCUAAUGGAUCAAUUUCAGAAGUGGAGGGCUUACCAAAUCACCUUUUGCUUUUCUGUAACAAAGAAAAAUUUAUUGCUGUUGAACUCGUAUUCAUGUGGUCAUCAAAGUUUCUUUGAUUGAAAAGUUGGUCAAUUUAUCAUGUUAGAUGAUGAAGUGUUACUAUCUGAAGAUAAAACUGGAGGAGUAAGACGACGCUGAGAAGAGUAAACAAAUUUGCCCUUUCCAGCAGUUUUCUUCCGAAUUAAGUAUGCCAAAGAUGCAUCCCGUAUGAGCAGGAGAAACAAUAGUGCUGGUUGCUUUAUUUUGACCUUGAUGCCUCGUCCUUCCUAGGCUGGAAGAUCUGUAAAAGAGAAUGAAUGUUACUCUAGCGUUUGAACAAUUAAGAGUUGUUUUUUUUUUUUUGCUAUUAUUUUAAAGAUGAACAAAAAAUUUCAUAAAGUAAAAUUUGCCAGUGGUUAAAACCCCAAAGUAGUCUUCCCCCUUCCCAAAAAAGAAAAAAAAAAACCCCAAAACUGCAUGCACUUUUAGCAACGUCCCUGUGCACCUCAAAUGUCAUAAAUUUACAUACCGCCCUUUUAGUGAAGUUCGUGUAUUCUUACAGGUCGUCCUUUUAGCAGUGCACCUCAAAUGUUGUAUUAAAUGGCAGAUCACCGUUUUUAUGCACCUCCAAUGUCGUAUAUUUAUAUUUUUAUAGAUCGCUCACCAACAUAAUUCUCAUAUCGCAUUGACAUUAAUAGCGAGAUUAAAAUACAUAAUCUUUUAUGAAAAAGUGUUCCAUCCUUAGACGUGGAGUUAAGAUUAUAUUUUCCUAUUGAAAGAAAGAUAUGAUAUUGUGUAGCUAGUUUUAUCACUGUGCAAUCUGGCAAGUUUUACAACAGGAAAGGACUUCAUGGGUUGGGCAUUUCUGAGACCAGAGAUAUGUAAUAUGAGAAACCCAACGUGAGGCCCAAAUGCUAUGCAGGGCUUAAUGGAUUGUACAUUGGCUUCAAUUCCAAUGGGCUGCUGGAGUUUGCCGUAGUAAUUUUGCCUUCUUCCAAAAGUUACAUCUGAAAAUGUUACUGCUUACUAAACCCGAUUAAUUCAUUUGCUAUAACUCAAGAUUCUAUGAACAUUUUCCACAUGAUUUUGGUGGAAGUCGCUACUAUAAGUAGCAAAAUCUCUAUUUUUAGGAGCAUUUAAAAAGUUGGACUAUCUUUGUAAUUUGGAAUAAAAAUAGGAUUAUAUAUGUAAAAACCCCAUCUUAUAUGAACCAAAGUGUUUGUACUGUGAUCAAUUUGUUAGAAAUUAUUUUCACAUUUCUUUACUCUACCACUGGAGAAUUGAAGCGACCUGUUCCUGCGAGCUAAUCGAAUGGGCUUGCCAUUUCUUGGAAAACAACCUUCCGUCGUCCAUUAGCAAGAAAACCCAAAGGAUUUUCUUCCAAAAGUUUUUUUUUUCCUUCCCCCCACGCGAUCAACACUUAAGGUUACGAGGGCAGCUAAGGAGAAGGAAGGGGUCCUUCACUCCUUCUUGAUGAGAGAUGUCCAGAGAGAAAUGCUCUUUGACUUUCACAAAAAGCUGAAAGAAUUUAAGUAAAAUUCCAAAACUUUUAAUCCUACAAUUAUAGCUUGCAAAAGAAGAGAGAAAUGCUCAUGGCUUCUCAAUCACAUGAAGAUCAUUAAUUAGUAGAGUUCGUGCAUGGCUGUAGCAGAAGAUGAGCAUAUAAUAUUUGACAGGAAAAAUUCCAAUAUUUGUAAAAGGGAUUCAAACUUUCAUUGUAUUGAGCAUUUCACUAAUGCGUUUUUGUUUUUUGUAAUGCAAGGCUUUCUUUUCUAUUGUUUGGUAUAUAGUAUCUAAUUAGUUGAUUUGUUAUACGACAAGAUUACUAAAAUCGUUUUUAAAUUUUAUCUAGCAAGUCAAUUAUUAGUGUGUUCAUGGAUGGAUAGAGUGAACUGGACCACAAAUGAAGUAUAUUCAAAUGGAUCAUUAUCUUGCUUAAUUCCAAAACAAAUAGCUUUCUGAUCAUAACAUGUUGUUUGUCAGGAUUUACAUUUUCAUAAUCAAAGAAAACGCAAUAAUUGCAUAAAACAAAGUUUUAUAAACGAUAAGUUUCUUGCCAGAUAGAACUACAGGUAGGUUCCUCCAAAAGAAUCUCUGAAUAAUCUAUGACUCCUCCGUAUUGAGCCGCGUUAUGCUCUACAUCUUCUUCUCCAACUUGUUCAUACCAGCAAGAGAGACCGUGAUCACCAGGUGAAGAAGAUGAAGAAGAUGAUGAUGAUAUCUCCAGAUCCAUCCAACUGAAAUCAAGAUCUUGUGAUGCUGAAUUAUCCUGAUCACCAUACGUAUAUUCCUCAUCAAUUGACAUUAGUUGAUCAAAAAGGCAAUCCUGCAGCUGGUAACCAUCGUCAACGUUUGAGCCAUGAUCAUUCAUCAAACCGGGGUUGAUAGCUGCCUCUAGAGAUUGGAUCACACUGUUUAAUCUGUCAUCAUCACAACAUUCAAGUUGCACUGAAUCCUCAAGAAAGGACAUAAGAAUUGUGUCAUCCCUUUGUGGGAUUUCAGGGAUUAGGCGCUCUUCAUUGUUGGUGCAGGACAUGUUUUCUGGUACAAUUGAUGCCAUAUGGAACUAGAAAUGAUCUGAUAUGAAAGAAUUGGAAAUGAACACUGGAAAAAAGAAGUAAACAGUUUAAAAUUAACUUCAGUUGUCAAAGUUUUUGAGAACAUUUAGGCCCUAUAAAUAGGUGGAUGGAUCCCUUAAAGGCAUAUAUCAUGCGCAUGUGCUACUAAAAUCCUUGAGGGGCCAAUAGGGAUGCAUUAUUAUGACAUUAAGUAGCAUCCUGCACCAGAAACAAUGUGCCUUAAUUUAAUCUUUCUAGCUAGCCUAGUUGAGUAUUAUUGGAACAUUGUUGCAGUUGCAGGUGGCCUAAUAGACAAAGAAAAUUAAAAUAUGAACCUGGUCCUUUUUGACACCGACAAGAAAUAUUUCUGCAUUUCUUUAUCGAAAGAUGAAAAAAAAAAUCCUAGUCCGUGUUUAUUUAAAAAAAAAGAAGAAGAAGAAGACUUUGGACAUUAAGUUCAGCACUAAUUUGAGGUGAUAGCACAAGUAUCCGAAAGAAAUCAUAUGAUUUGAUAGCUAAAACAAAACCGACCUCUUGUAACAUAAGUAAGUGAUGUGUGAGCACUACAGAUUACUGAAGAAGCAGUUGAUUAUUAAUGGGUUUCCAAGUAAGCAAGAUUGGUAACAAGGCAUGCAAUAAGAUAGACAGAAUCUGCAAAGGUGGAAUCAUAUGUUUAAACCAGCAUUGAAGUUUCACCAAUUCGACCACUUGGGGAAGGUGUUAUGCAACUAUACCACUUUUACGUUAAUUAUAUUGGAUCUAAAAUUUAAGAUUUUCUAAAGGAAGUACGGUUCAAUAAAGUUCAAACUAAGUUAUUAGCCCACUAGUAUGUGUUGUUAAUACCAUAAUUUAACAUCAAGUGUGUAAAAGCCGAUUAACAGGAUUGAGUGCUGUGCCAAAGAAAAAAAAAAAAAAAAAAAAGAUCUCAUAAUGGAUCGAGUAGGUUCUUGGAAAGUGCAAGACUUUGGUCCACAUUGAACGAUGGAGGAUCGCCACUCAUUUUUGCAGACCCUUGACCCAUACCAUGCAUUUUGGUGGGCAAACAUGGUGAUAGUGCCCACACGGGACAGAAAACACAUUACCAGAAAAAAGGACCUCCGAGAUAAUCCUACGUAUAAUAUCACGUUUUGGUUGGGCUUCAUGAGAUCUCAUUAUCUUGCUUUCUGGUUUCUGCUACAAGUGUCUUGAUAUUUAAACAACAAAGGGAAGUGAAUCAUGAAUUUUGUUGAAAGGCAAACAAAGUUUCAUAUUAUUGCAGUUUUGCUUCCAAUGUACCGAGAAUAUUCAUGCAUGCAUGUACUAUUGCGUUGGCAUGGAUUGUUUGUUUUAGGUCAAUAUACAGAUAUAUCAGCAAUCCCGACCGAUCCGAUCUAAUAUAUACGAUGGAGGUUGGAGUGGCAACAGGCUGUAGCCAUGAAGCAAGGCUGGACGUUUCUUGUUGUGACAAUUGGUGUCUUUUUCAAUAUUCAAUGGUACUCAUCCUUGCGACCAAUACCAACCAUUCUCGAUGUUAAUUAUUGGAGAGUGUGGAUUAAAGGUGGAGAGUUGGAAUUCAGCCUAAUCCAGUAAGCUAGAGUUUUUUUUUUUUUUUACCUAGGUAUGCGAGUGCUAACAUCCUCCCCUUUAUUGUUUCAAAGAUGAAAGAAAAACUGUUUAUUUCCAAAGUUUGAAGUUCGUUUUGCUAGAUAGAGAAAAUCAGAGAUGCUGAAUUAAUUCUUAAAUUGACCAAAAGCCCAUUUUGUAGUUAUUUUACUAUUUAAUUUUAAUUCAAAAGUUUAAGUUGUUAUAUAUCCUUCUUAGACAUGUUUGCUUUUUUUUUUUUUUCUUUUCUUGUGGUGGGGGGCCAAACCAAAGGCAGGUUUUCCAUUUUGGAUAAAAAUAAUAAUAAUUUCAUUGAAAUAUAUAUAUAUAUAUAUCUAACUUGACAUAGAUGUAUACAGAUAAUCAAUCGAAACAAAGAUCUAAAAGUCAAUGAAUAUAAAAGUUAUGUUGACUCAAAAAAUAUCUUGCAUCAAGAUGAAUCAUUGCAACCUAUAAAAUCGGUGCAUGUUUUCUAACAGUCAUACGUAAUAUAAUACUACUUUAACCCUAAAAAGAAAUUUAGAUAUGACACAACAAACGUAAAAAAUCCCAGAUCUUACAUAACAGAUGCAAUAAGUGCAGGGUUUUAGUUUUGUAAGUUUUGUUAAUAUAAGAGGAUUAGUCGUACGUGCUACUACUAAUCCUUUUUUAUGAAUUAGCCAGUGUAUUUUGUCGUACGUCUUCUUUUCUUAUUCUCUGGUUUAGUCAAACAAUAAUCUGCUUGUCAAACUAGUUCAUUUGUAAUCUCUGGAGGCAGCUUUGGAUUAGUGGACGCGGUUGAAGAAUCCAUCAAGAAAUUAAUAAUCUGCUCAGCUUGGCCUGUAAUAUUGUUCACUAACUUCAUUUCUGAUUGCAUAAGCCAUUUGACUCCCCAACAAUACUCGCAAUUAAUUCUACCCACUUUGUUAAGCACGAAUUAGUUACUUAUUUACUUUUAAACAGUUAAAAAGAAAAAACCUAAUUUGCUCUGCCUUCAAUUGCAGCAUAUGUGAAAUACUUUGAUAAAACUAGGAAGAAAUAUGUAUACCAUUGGUCGAUGCUAGCUGAUGAUAGGAAAUUCUCUGCUUUUUUUUUUUUUUUUGUUGUACGAUGACAUUAAUUACAUAUUAAUUAGUUAACUCAGCAAGAACAUUGCAAAUCAGUGCAAAUGCACCAAAGAGGCAUUUGUUUCUUGCCACAAAUUACCAGAAGAGUAACAUUCAUGGUCCUCAAAGGAAAUUCCAUUGAGAUGCUGGAAAUAAUAGAAAUCUUUCCGGGUUGCAGCAUCCAUCUCAUCUCCACAGGGAUCCAUGUACCAGCUGGCCAUAACAUCACUUGGUGAGGAAGGCACCAUAUCCAUCCAAUUGAAAUCUAAACCAUGAUCAGGUCUCAGAUUAUCAUGGCCUUCAAAAUGUGCAUGAUCAUGAUCAUGAUCAGAUAAAACACUUGUCCAAUUAUUAUUAUCUUCAGAUGAUGACUUUUGAUCAUCAUCGAUCGUUUGCUGAUCAAUUUCAGCUUCCAGAGAUCUCAUCACACUGUAUAACUUUUCACAGUCGCAAUCAUCAACUUGUGUAUCAUCUAGCAACGACAUGAGAAGGGCUUCAUCAUCUUGUGGGAGCUCGAAGUGGUCAAACUCAUCAUGGCUGUUGUUGCAUGCCAUUGUGAGAUUUGAUCAAGAAAAAUAUGACCCUCUUCCUACAACUGAAAUAAUAUCAACUUGUCAAAGAAAAAGGUUGAAGGCAAUGCAAAAUCAGAAGAAGAUAUCGCUUGGAAAAUUGCAAUGACUUCUCAACAAAAGCAUGGCUUUAUAUAGAUAGGUGAACCCUCAAGCCCCAGCUAGCCAAAUAAUAAAGGGAGACCUGGAAAGCUAGUGUCAUAUUCCACAGCCCAGAAAAAUUAGAUUAAGAACAUGGGAGGCAGGUCGUGUGUCACAUCCCCACGUGGUCACCCUCUGAUCAUCAACUCGCCAAUAAAGUAAGAAAAUUUCCAGAAGCAAUAAUUAAUUCUACAAAGCCCCAGUCAAAAGGUAGGCUAAGUGGUUGAAAUUUGACAAUUAUGUAUGCAAGCACAAUGCUGAAAGUCUCUUGAUUAUGAUUUAUCAGGAUAAAAAGGAAAUUACCUAGUAAAAUGAACUAAACCAACUUUAUAGUAUAUCUUUCACGAUAAUUGGUGGACCGACUAAACAAUUUAAGAUGGUCCCCCAUUGUCACGAAUGCAUACUAAUCAGAAAAUGCAAUGAACCAACCAAUCAUGUGACCUUGGACACAUAAUCAAAGGGAUGGACUACCACCACGGAUGGUUUAGAAGUGUAGAUAAAUGUCUCUGUCUACCAACAAAAGGCUUUUCAGGUGCCAAAGAUGCCGCUGUAUUUGUCUAUGGUCAUUACAGAAUAAUGUGUUUAUCAGAGAGUACAGCAAAGCAGACAAUAUCUAGGAGAUUAUGGUGGAUCAGAUACCAGCAAAGUUACGUGGGAGAAGAACUUAUCCCCAUAUAUAUAUAUAUAUAUCUUCAACUCCUAAAUUAUUAGUGCCGGCAAAUAAAUAAGAAUUGAACCCUGUCUUAUUGAUUCUGAUUGCUCGAUCUGAUAGCUUAUUGGGGUUUCCACGCUUGUAGGCACUUGUGAACUGUGAUGUUUUACAUUUAGCAUGUUGUAGCCUUGGAGGAUCGAGUACUACACAAUCAUCAAAGAAUAUUCAGAAUUAGAAAUUAUUGUGAGUGAAAGUAAUGAUAGGUGCGCAGCUUAGUUAGUAAGAACAUUAAUUAGGCCGGUGAUUAUAAGAUUCUCGAUUUAAGUCUUAACCUCAUUCUUUCUCAUCUUUCAAUUGUAAGGUUUACAGUAUCCCUUGAAAUUUGAAGAAAAAAAAGGAGAGAGACAGAAACAUGGCAAUUCACAUCAGAUAUGAGGAUGCAAAUACAAAGCAUUAGAUAUGAGGAUGCAGAAUGGGAGUUACUACUGUGGAGCAAACAUCAUGAAGUAAAAAAAAAAAAAAAAAGGGUAAGAGAUUGAUUUUGAUGUCAUGAAAUUAAUUGGUUACACGUAAGUGAUAAGUUCAGGUGGGGCUUGCUACAACUGAGUGCUACACGAGAAUCUUGAUUCGGGCAAUUCACUGUCUGGAAUGCAACUUCGAGCGUGAAAUUUUUUUUGGCCAAGUGCCAAAAAAGAUGCUUAAAAUUUGGUUUAAGAAAAACGAAAGCUGGUCCCUCGUGAGAUAAUGCAUGGAGAACUUCAUCACAGGUCUUGUCAUCUCCAUUGUUGACCGCCCCAACACAGGAAUUGGUGCACAUGUUGCCACCAAAAUGCGUUGGGUGGAGUCUGAUCACAAUCACAUCCUCCUGGCUAUAUAUAUUAAUUAGGUAGCUUCGCAACACAUUGGAUGGUGAAUGCACCUAAGCUCCAUGUGAGCUGAUCCGUCAUUGCAUAAAUCCUCGUGGCACCACCCACCUAAAAGUUGCUGAUUUAUAUCGGGUUAUUGUCAGCCUGCUAUUCCAAGAAGGAAAGAUCAAGUUAUUUGUGGCGAUCGAUCUCGAAUUUAACAUUUAGAAAACAGCAUUAAUUUAUCAUCUUGAACUCUAGAUACAAAAUAAACUUUUUUGGAAUACAAAAUUUUGCAAUUAAAACCUUUUAACUAACGAUUUAAAUCUUGGAAAUAUCAUAUAGAACUUAAUACUUGUUCAGUGAAAUUCAUAAUUGACUCGCACAAUUUACUACAACAUGCAUUAGUUCAACACUAAAAACUUAAAAGAGUACUUUUUUUUUUUCUUUCUUUUUGCUAUGAAACUUACCGCUAGAUUGGUGUCACAUUCUACGACUCACAAUAUUGGCAAAAAAGAAAAAAAAAUGUUAUCACAAAAUUUUUUUUUCUAAAGCUUGAUAUAUAUUUGGUGUGAAAUCUUGCCAUUUAUCAGAAUUAUGAUCAAGUGACGAGGACAAGUUUUAGGUAGGGACAAAAAGGUUUGUGAAGCACAUGCACCGUCUCCUGUUUAAUUAGAUGAACAAACAUAGUUAAGAAUCAUGAAUGUUACUAAUAGAAAAUAAAGGUCUUUUAUUCCCAAAAAAAAAAAAAAAUUGGAUUUAGCUCUACAUAUCACAAAUCAAAUAAAACUAAAUAAAGAAAACUCCUCAAGUUUUUGCCUUUAGAUUUAUAUCCACGCGGUGUAAGCCUGACAUCUUUGUGCAAGAAAAAAAAGAUAAUAAAAUAGGGGAAUUGGUAAAGAAAAACAUUAAAGGGAAUUUGACUGAAAUAAUAUGCUUAAACAUGUGGGAAACCAAAUUAAUCAAUUUAAAGAUGAGGGAAUACAAACGGUUUUUCAAAAAUAUGAGGGACUAUUUCAGCAAUUAGCUCCCAUAAUUUUUUCAGACAGCUUUGAGAAAAUUUCAGCAAAAGAGGCUCAAAAGUUUUACUUCCACAUUCUUCGGCUUUCAGGGCUGCCGCCAAAAAAGCUUCGAGUUUUAAACUCCAACGGUCCCCAAGGCUAUGGAGUUUCCUCAAUUCUUUGAGUCAUGCUAGCAAACCGCACCUCCACCCAGUUGUACAUAGCCCUCAAGAAACCUUCACUACAAAUCUUUAGCACUUUAGUUUUUGCUACUCAAACCAACUUGUCAAAAACCAAAACUGAAACCAAUAAGUUCCUCGUUUACUGCAACUCCCAGAUAACAAAACAUGGCCGAGACGGCAAUAUCAAAGAGGCCGAAUCAGUUUUCAACCGAAUGCCCACAAGAAAUGUUGUUUCGUACACUGCAAUGCUCACAGCUUAUGCUCAAAAUGGUCAGCUCAAGAGAGCUCGCGAACUAUUCGAUGAAAUGCCUGAACGAACUAUCGUAUCGUGGAAUGCGAUGAUCACAGCUUAUACGAGAAGCAAAGGUGGUAUCUUUGAAGGGUUUCGAUUGUUUGUGAAAAUGCCCGAGCGGAAUGAGGUAUCUUGUGCUGCUAUGAUCACGGGGUUUGUGAAUUCAGGGAGGUUUGAUGAGGCUGAAAAAUUGUAUAAUGAGACACCAUUAGAACUGCGAGACCCGUCUUGUUCGAAUGUGUUGAUAAAUGGGUACUUGAAAAUGGGGAGAUUGGAUGAGGCAACUCAGAUUUUUGAUAGGAUGACGAAGAAGGAUGUUGUAUCCUGGAGCUCAAUGGUGGAUGGGUACUGUAAGAAUGACAGAGUUGAUGAGGCUAGAGAGUUUUUUGAUGCAAUAAGGGAGAGGAACGAGGUUACCUGGAGUUCCAUGAUUAAUGGCUAUAUGAAACUGGGACGUUUCAGAGACGGACUUGGAUUGUUUUCUGAAAUGCGAAGGGAAGAUGCUGUGAGAAUCGAACCUAUAUUAGUCACUACAAUUUUUGAAGCUUGUGGGAGAUUUGACAGAUAUACCGAAGGGUGUCAAGUUCACGGUCUAGUUUCACAUUUAGGAUUUGAGUUUGAUGUUUUUCUGGGAAACUCAUUAAUUACCAUGUAUUCUAGAUUUCGUUGUAUGGAUGUGGCUCGAAGUGUGUUUGACAUGAUGUUAGAAAAAGAUAUAGUCUCUUGGAAUUCUCUCAUUUCUGGUUAUAUUCAAAAUAAAGACCUUGAGGAGGCAUAUGGACUAUUUGAGAAGGCACCUGAGAAAGACGUAGUUUCCUGGACAACCAUGAUUACUGGAUAUUCUGAGGAAGGAUUGACUGAAAAAUGCAUUGGGCUGUUCACAAUGAUGCCAGAGAAAGAUGCUAUUGCCUGGACUGCUCUUAUUUCAGGGUUUGUUAUUAAUGGACAAUAUGAGGAAGCUAUCUGUUCGUUCUUUCAGAUGCUUCAGACUGCAGUGAGACCAAAUCCUCUGACCUUAAGUAGUGCUCUUAGUGCUUCAGCUGGUUUGGCAACAUUAAAUCAGGGUACACAAAUACAUGCUCAGGUUAUUAAGAGGAACAUGGAGUCUGAUUUAUCCAUUCAAAAUACCCUUGUCUCAUUUUAUUCAAAAUGUGGAAAUGUAGAUGAUGCCUACCGGAUCUUCAAUUCCAUUAUGGCACCUAACAUUGUUUCUUUCAAUUCUAUGAUUUCUGGAUUUGCCCAAAAUGGUUUUGGAAAGGAAGCACUUGAGUUGUUUGAGAAGUCACAGAGCAGAGGCUACGAACCUACUGAAAUUACCUUUCUCGGUGUUCUUUCAGCCUGUACGCAUGUAGGACUCGUAGAAGAAGGAAGGAACUACUUUAGGUUGAUGAAAUCUCUAUAUAAGAUUGAACCUGGACCUGAUCAUUGUGCCUGCAUGGUUGAUCUCCUUGGAAGGUCAGGUUUGCUUGAUGAUGCUGUAACCUUCAUCAAUUCAAUGCCAUUUGUGCCCGACUCUGGGGUAUGGGGUGCUCUUCUUGCUGCAAGCAGGACUCGCUUCCGCGUUGAUCUCGCGAUGCUUGCAGCCGAAAAUAUUUCUAAGCUGGAACCAAACAAUGCAGCGCCGUAUGUGGUCUUAUCAGACAUGUAUUCUUUUGCAGGGAAGAAAAAAGAGGAAGAAAGAGUUAGAACGGCCAAGAAAUUGCAAGGAAUAAAAAAAAGUCCUGGGUGUAGCUGGAUUACUGUUAAGAACAAGGUUAAUACAUUCCUUUCGGGAGAUCAGUCCCAUGCCAGUUUUAAAGGAAUCAAAUGUGUGUUAUGUUUAAUCCUGGAUGAGAUGAAAGAAUUACACUGGCUUGAUCAUGAUUGGUUACCACCUUAGCAAAGUAUAACAAUUAACAAAAUUGACAAUCUUGAACGUUUUAUGGAAGUCCUUUGGUUGGUUUUCCAUGCUUCUAUAUUUAGACAACCAGGUUUUGAGUUUGAUUCAAACAACAACUCUGGUGACUGAACUUCAAAUUUUACGUUCUGAAUGGUUGAGGAAAACCAGAGAAGUACGUCUACUUCAAUGAAAAAAGAAAUGAAUAUUGUGUGACAAAAAUAAGAAACAAAAAAGUGAUGAUGGGACUCUUGUAUUUCAAUGAAGGGAAAAGAGCACUUGUGUUAGAGGCAAAGCAUCUAUGAUUAUUCUACUAAAAUUAGAGCAAAAACACCAGAAAGAGGUCACUUGUUAUAGAAUUCUUGGUUCUAUAAUGAUAACACCUUGAAGAAGAUAGGAAAAAAAUAUUUAAGCUAAAAAUGUGUCUACUUGAAUUAGAUACUUGGUAGCAAGUUUUAUUCAACUUUUCACUUGAACUGUUGAACACAUCGCGUGGCAACAGAGAAGCACUAAAAUUCCCCUAGGAUAGAAUUACUUUAUAAGAUUUGGGGGAAGGGAAUAGAUGGAUAAGGGUGAUAUGGUAGGAGAGAGUGUAAGUGAGAAGUUCCGAGUUCGAGAUCUUCUAUUUACAUUAGUAAACCUAAAAAAACAUUGGAAAAAAACUCGAUUAAGACUUGAUAAGAUUGACCUUGAAAUUCUACUAAAAGUUUACACUCCUGCUCAAAAAAUAAAAAUAAAAUAGAAAUCAAGAGACUUCUAGGGGACAACUCCUGCCUCUUUCCUUCAAAGAAUCAACAUUGCACAAAGUUGAAAGGUAGAGAUCUUAGAGAAGCUCAUCACAGAUGUCAAUCUGGUGACUAUCAGUAUUGCCUGUCUCCUCGUUCUUGAAUUGACAGAUUAUGUCUGUAUCUUAGUAUUUCGUGUAUAAAAUUGUACGUUGAUCAUAUGGCGACGGGCAUAUAAUGGCGUGGAACUCUGUUAAUUACACUAGACAGGAAGAGAUGGAGAUGCUAUAUAUCGCUCGAGCAACUACACUUAUAUUUUUGGUACAUACAUGGCAACUUAAAAGCCUGGUGAAUGUUUUGUUUCGAUAUUGCUCGGGCUCAUCUGCAAUCAACUUAAAUCACAAAUAUGAAAUAACCACACACCGAUGAAACUUACCAACUGGACAAAUUUGAGGAAAUCAGAAACAAACAGCACUGCAGCCUCUUAUAUGAUCCUCUCAUGUGUAUGUAGAGCUAGAAAGAUAACAGCGCCAGGCUUUGAUUGAUUGAUUAAUCACCACCACCCCCACAUCCACCACAACCACCUCCACAUCCACUACAACCACCACCACCACAACCGCCACCAUCACUACCACCGCCAUCUCCGCCUCCUGUCUCGCUAUCACCACCAUCUCCGACCACGGCUUCUGCUGCACUAGUGGCAGCUGCAACUGCUGCUGUUGCUCCCAGAACAACCAUUCCCCCAUCUCUUAUUGCACUACAUUGACCCUUCUCAACAUCGUCAUACGAAGGCCGCCGAGGAGCACUCGUCCCAGCAUGUGAUGUAGCCGGAAGCCGCUUCCUUUUCCGUCCAAUUUCCCAUGAACAAAGCAAUAUCAGAAUUCCAGCGAUCCAAGAGCCCCAGACAAUGAGAAUUAUGGCAUUAGAAUUCAUUUUCCUUCAUAAUAUAACUUCGGCUACGAGUCUGACGAUCUUUCCAUCCACUUUUUAUAGCAUUUUCGUGAGCUGAGUUUUCAAUAUAAUACUCACCCUGUAUAAUGCAAGGAUAAUUUUCGUCUAGGUAAUGACACUGACAGAUGCUCGAAGUUGUUUAAUAUUAGACUUUUGUUGUACGUCGUUGACUUUCAUUAAUUUCUCUUCAUUCUUGUCCUAUUUACUCAAUUUAAUAUAGUACAAAACUUUUUAUUGGUUGAGGACUAGUUCAAAGAUUAGCGCAAAAGAAGAAAAGAUUGGCAGUUUUCAUAUUAAUCUAGGAUUCCUUGCCUGUUGGGUUUAAUAAUUUCUAUUUGGAAGAUAUCAUUCGGCAUUGUAAAUAUAUUUUUUCUGCCAACAAAAAUGCCUAAAUCACGUUUAUCCCACAUCAAUCUGAUAAUUAUCGUUAAUUUGUGAGUUUGUGAGAAGAUUAUUUUGGCUGGCCUAGCCAUUGGUAUGAGGUAGACUUGAUUAUAACUAUAUAUUUAAGUAAUUAAAUUGCCAUUUCACAUGCAGUCAUAUGAAAAGUGGAAUUAUGCGGUUUUAUAUAAUAAGUCGUAUGCAUUGUUGAUUUUCUGUUUUCUGUUUGACAUUAGAUGACCAUUUCAACUAGUGGAAAAGUUUCAUUGAACAAAUUUUGUUACAACUAAAAAAUGAUUUAGACAUAUGGUAGAAAAAUUAUCAACUAUCUUCCACUAGCAUAAAUGCAGUAGGAAAUUUCUGGAUCCAAAUGUUCACAAAGAUGAUCAACACAAUUCAUAGAAGAGUACAGUUCAAGACAAGGGUCUUUUACAAGUGAAGCUACAGAUAGACUUUGCAAUUUGCAUGCGUGGGUUGUGUACAUUUCGACCUCAGCCACCACAGCCUCCCCCACAACCACCACCACCACCACAACCACCCCCACCGCCAUCUCCGCCUCCUGUGCCACUAUCACCUCCACCUCCACAACCACCUCCGACCGUGGCUUCUGCUGCAAUAGUGGCAGCUGCAACUGCUGCUGUUGCUCCCAAAAUAGCCAUUCCCCCAUCUCUCAUGGCACCAGUUUUUGCAGUUUGACCCUUCUCAACAUCAUAAUCCGAAGGUGGCCGUGGAGCACUCGGCCUAGCCUGUGAUGUUGCAGGCAGCUGCUUCUUUUUACGUCCAAUACUCCAUAAACAACAUAAGGUUAGAAUUCCAGCAGCUACAGAGCCCAAAACAAUAAGAACUAUGGCAUAAGUUUUCAUCUUGCUUCAAAAUAUGACUUCAGGCACGAGCCUUGCAAUCCUUUGAUCCACUUUUUAUAGCAAUUUGGUGAGGUGAACUAAUGGUUGAAUUUUCAAUAUAAUACUCAUAAUGUAUAAUGCAAGGAAGUUUACAAUUUUUGUUUAGGAAUGACCUUGAAAUAUGCUGGAAGUUCUGUUAGUAUCAGACUUUUGUUAUACGUCGUGGACUUCAUUAAUUUCUCCUUCAUUCUUGAGCUAUUAAAACACUAGACAAUAUUUUUGUUGGUUGAGGACUUUUUGAAAAGCUAGCGUAGAAGAAGAAAAUAUUGGGCGAUUUUCAUAUUGAGUCCGAAUGGAAAUUAAUAACGAUUUAAAAUGUAUGUGGCUAGGAUACCUUGCUUGUCGGGUUAAACAAUUAAUUACCAUUUAGAAGAUAUCAUUUGCCAAUGUAAUAUAUUUUUCCGCCGCGAACUUAAAUACCUAAAUCAUGUUUAUUCGGCGUCAAACCUGCUAAUUAAUCCAACACUAAAAUUAAUGUCAGGCCUUGUCAACGUUGAGUAUCUUAGGCUUCCAACCAAUUUGUUAAAAUUAGUGGCAUUAACAAAUUUACCACCACCAUCUUUAACUAACUUCAACUUCUCUUCAAUUGGGUCAACAUAGGUUUGGCAUAUUUCUUCUGUGUAAUAAAUAUGCCGUCAUUUGUUUGAGAAACCUCAAUGCCAAGAAAAUAUGACAUUAAUCCCAAGUCAUCAUUUUAAAAUGACUAAUCAUGAAAUCUCCCUGAAUUCAGAAAUCACUCUAUUGUCGGUAAAAAUCAGAUCAUCCACAUAUGAGCAUACAAUAAGAAUAUCACCACCAGGAUCGAAUUUGAUAUACAAAGUAUGCUCAUAUGGACAUCUGUCAAAACUGUUUCCAAUAAAGUAAGAGUCGAUACGAGUAUAUCAAGUUCGAGAAGUUGGCUUCAAACCAUAUAAAACCUUCUUUAACCUGUAGAGUUUAUUGUCUUGACCUUUCUUCAUAUAACCUACAGGUUGCUCAACAUAUGCUUUCUCUUCAAGAAUUUCAUUCAAGAAAAUAGAUUUCACAUCCAUGUGAUAAAUCUUUCAAAAAUUAUUGGCAGCAAUAGAUAUAAUCAUACGAACAGCAUCAAGUCUGACAAUUGAAGCAAAAAUUUCAAAAUAAUCAAUACCUGUCUUUUGCUUGUAUCCUUUAACCACUAAUCUUACUUUGUAAUGAUGUACCUCUCUAGUUUGCUUGUACUUGAUCUUGUAGACCCAUUUGACACCAAUUAAUUUCUUUCCAUAUGGAAGUGUAGUCAGCUCCCAUGCCUUAUUUUUUUUUUUUUUCAAUUGUAUGCAUUUCCUCAUUCAUUGUUUGAUUCUAAUGAUCAUUGUUUAUGACCUCCUCAAAGGUAAUAGGAUCACAAUUUACAAAUAAAAUAAAGUUUACAAUAUUUUCAUCAGAUAAUUCAUUAUCGUUAACAAAAGAUCUAAAAGACUCAUUCAAAUCAACAAACAUAUUUUUGUUACCACACAUAUGGUUACCGCAGUCAAAAUCCAAAAAUCAAUUUUUUUUUUAAUUUUCUUCCACUCUUGAGUUAGUGAAUAAAAUAGUUUCAUUCUUUUCAUCAUUAUUCUCUGCCAUAUUAGCAUGCCUGUCUUUAUUGUCAGAAUUUUAUCAACACUCGCUUUUAUAAUGACCAAUUUUUUUACAAUUAUAGCACUGAAUAUUACAUUUGCAAGAAUUAUUAUUUUCUAACUCACCAUUGGGAUAAUUAUUGUUACCUCUCUGUUGAUAAAAAUUACCUCUACCAUGACCUCUAAAAUUGUUUCUAUUGCGGCCUCGUCAUCUUUCUCUGAAAUUUUGGUUUCUUUGACUGGAGCCAUCACCCUUCUUCUUGGGUCUAUCUGUCUGCACCUGCAAUGUCUUUUCUACCGUUUCUCUUUCUACACCAUUUUCCUAUUUUCCAUUAAUUCUCUAUUCAUAAAAAGUUAACGGACUCUACAAUUCUUCAAUGGUCAUAGUUGAGAGAUCUUUUGCCUCUUGAAUCACAGCAACUACAUGAUCAAAUUUCAUAGGUAAAGUAUUGAGAGCUUUUUCUACUAGUACCUCAUCUAUGAGAUCAUGACCAUUAUGCUCCAUCUCAUUUUUUAUGUCAAUCAGUUUGAAAAAAUGUGAUUCUAUGGUCUCUGAUUUUUUCAUGGUGAUCAACUCAAAUUUCCUUUUUAACAUCAGCAAAUUAUUUUUCUGAACUCUAUCAACUCCUUUGUAUGUUUUCGCCAAAAUGUUUUAUGCCUGUUUUGCAGUCUUGGCAUUAGCAAUUUUUUCAAAAAUCAAAGCAUCAAUUGCCUGGCGAAUUUAAGAUACUUGCCUCUUGACACUUGCUUCUUCAUCUGCAGCAAUUUUUUGCCGAACAAAUUUAAUCAAAUUAUACUCAGCAAGAUGAGUUUUCAUCUGCGUUCUCCAAGAACUGUAAUAUUUUCUCCCUAUGAGUUUGGUACUGCAUAGGUAAUAUUACUUGGCAUCGUUGAUGUAGUUGAUGCAAACAUGUCUUACAAUAAACCUAACUCUAAUAUCACUAUGUAGGCCCACAAAAAUAAUUAAUAUAAGCCACACAAAUUUCAUGAUUGAAUGAAAACACAAGAAGACAAAAUAAAUCUCAAGGCCAGAAAACCAAAUAGAAGAAAGAGAACUUGAGACUUUUAUUAUCUUUCUGACUCUUUUCUUUCUCUCUUUUCUUUCGUACACCGAAAGACCAAGAACUAUAUGGUCUUUAUAUAGACUACCAACUACCAAAAUUUUAUUGGAAUUUAAACUAUCAAAUCAUACUAGUAAUAGAAGAUUACAACUAAACAACAAACUAAAUCCCAAAAAAACUUGGUUUAAAAAUCCUACAAAGAAGAGUACAGUUUAAGACAAGGGUCUCUGACAAGUAAAGCUAGAGAUAGACUUUGAUGCGUGCGUUGUGUACAAUUCAACCUCAGCAACCACCACAGCCCCCUCCUCCGCAGCCUCCUCCUCCUCCACAACCACCCCCACCACCACAACCACCCCCACUGCCAUGUCCGCCACCUGUACCACUAUCAUCGCAACCUCCGCCACCACCUCCAAACACUGCUUCUGCUGCAAUAGUGGCAGCUGCAACUGCUGCUGCUGCUCCCAAAAUAGCCAUUCCCCCAUCUCUAAUGGCACUAGUUUUAGCAGUUUGACCCUUCUCAACAUCAUAAUACGAUGGUGGCCGUGGAGCACUCUGCCUAGCCUGUGAUGCUCCAGGCAGCUGCUUCUUUUUGCGUCCAAUAUUGCAUAAGCAACACAAGAUUAGAAUUCCAGCAGCUACAGAGACCGCAACAAUAAGAAAUGUGGCAUUAGUAUUCAUCUUGCUUCAAAAUAUGAAUUCAGUUGCGAGUCCUGAAAUCUUUUGAUCCACUUUUUAUAGCAAUUUGGUGAGGUGAACUACCAGUUGAUUUUUCAAUAUAACACAUCAUGUAUAAUGCAAGAAAGUUCACAAUUUUUGUUCAGGAAAUGGCCGUGAAAUUUGCUGGAAGUUCUGUCAGUAUCGGACUUUUGUUACGCGCCGUGGACUUCAUUAAUGAUUUAACAUGUACUUGGCUAGGAUACCUUGUUCGUUAAUUGGGUUAAAUAAUUACCAUUUAGAAGAUAUCAUUUGGCAACGUAAUAUAUUUUCCGCCAACUUAAAUUUUCUAAAUCAUGUUUAUUGCACGUCAUUAAGUCUUCGGUUUACAAAAAAAAAAAAAAAAAAAAAUUAUAUCUUCAGUUCAGAAAUUAGAAGUCUUGUAUAUGCAAUUACCAUAAAUUCGAUCAGAAUUACCAAAUUGAAAUUGGGACUUUUGUGAUGUUAUGAACUGUGCUUGAGAAUUCAGUAUUUUGUGGAUGGUUCUAUACAAGCGAAAUGGUUGUGAAUAGAAUCUGUGUUAAGUAACUUAAUGAAAAUAUGCUGGCAACUUAUUGGUGGAAGUGUCAAUUUCAUUUUUUCUUUCCCUUUGUAUGACUUGGGGUCAAAGUCAAGAGUCGCUAAGUCUAUUAUAUUGUUUGUCGAUAAGAACUUCUUCGAAGCGCAAGGCAAAAAAGGACAAGCAAUUCUCUCAUUCAGGAAAAGGACGAAGCAGUGGAUUUUCGUUUGCCCAACGCAUUAGGCCAUUGCAAUACAUUCUCUUUUCUUCAGCAAAGAAAAGGGUGGAAAAAAUUUCAGUGGGGUUCUAAGUUCUAACUGAGGCGAGUCGAUCUAUUGCCGUUUGAAAAACUAUUUCCAAACUCCCUCUUCAAGAAUUUUUGGAAGGGCACCCUCCAGGAUGGCUAAACCUACCCCACAAGCUCUUUGAUGGAAGCCUACAUUAUGAUUAUGUUGAGAGUGGGCAAUUGUCCCCCCUCAACUUUACAAAAUUUAAAAUAUAGCUUUAAAACUAUUACUACAAUUUUUUUUUAUCAUUAUUGCACCUCCUCAAUUGUGAAAAAUAACCUUUUUCUCUUUAUAUUGCCUCCUUAUAUUAAAAGGAAACCUCAUUCCCCUCACAUGAUUUCCCUAAGCAAUCAAUUUCUUCUAGAAAUAAUUUCAAUACUUUCAAAACACAAAAUAAAAAAAUAACUCAAAAUAAAACAUAAUUUUAAGUCAAAAUUUUCUUGGCACAAUAAUUAACAACAUCAUUUUAGCUGUAUAAUACUGGUUCCAUUAGCUAUAGGUCCUAGCUCCGCCAUUAGAUCGAUGGAAGUCCUUUAAUUUGGGUGGCUUUUCCUUGGAUGAAAUAUUUGACAUCCAGUUUUUGAGCUUCAUUCGAACAACAAUGCUGGUCCUUGGACUUCAAAUUUUACAAUCUUCAAUUAAGAGGGAAAAAAGGAAAUGAAUAUUGUGUGAGAAAAAAGUAAGAAACAAAAAAAAAAAAAAAAGGAGGAUUGUGUUGCAAAUGUACAGAAAGGCCUAUUAGGGAGAAAAGGUACGGUAGGCCUCUUGUAUUUCUACGAAGAAGGGAAUUGAAAGUGUUAAGAGGCAGGCAAAGCUUCUACAGUUAUUCCGUACAACCUAGAGCAAAAACACCAGAAUGAGGUCACUUAAUACAGAACUGUUCGUCUUGUAACGACAACACCUUGAGGAAGACCAGAAGAAAUAUUAAAGGUAAUAAUAUCAUAUGUUGUAUUUGAUUCAAAUAAUUGCUCGCAAGUUUAAUCCAACAUUUUACUUGAAUUGCGGAUCACAUCCCGUGGGAAGUGGGAAGCACUAAAUCUCCCCCUACGAUGGAAUUACUUGAUAAGAUUGACCUUGAGAUUCUAUUAAAAAUUUACGCUACCGCACCACUGAAACAAUAAAUAAAUAAAAAGGGAAUUAGUCGAGGCCUUCUUCAAAAGCUAGCGUUAAAGAAGAAAAGAUUGGGAAGUUUUCAUAUCAAGUCCAAAUGGGAAUUAUGAUUCAAGAUAUAUGUAGCUAGGAUAUAUACCUUGCUUGUUGGGUUAAAUAAUUACCAUUUAGAAGAUAUCGUUUGGCAAUGUAACAUGUUUUUUCUAACAACUUAAAUGGCUAAAUCGUGUUUAUCAAUUUUGUGAUUUAAAACCGACUUAUUGCUACAUCCACCAAUUUCAUGUCAUAAAGAGUAAGGUUUUUCGUGACUUGCAUUAAUCGGACACGUUACGAAAUUGCAAAUUUCUAAAGAAAAAUUGCUACUUUUUCGUGAGUACAUUUUUCAACCACCUUUUUAUCUUACAUAUAUCAAAUCAAAUCGUUACGGUGUAAUUUUCUACAAAAAAAAGUCCAGGAAAAUGCAAUCCAAACACAAUCUUUUUUAACCACCGUCAUUCUUUGAAAUCGACCUUCUGUGCGGUAGUUAUUUCCAUCACGAUGACAGGUACUUCUCCUCACCACAGGAUUUGGGAAAACUUCAUAUGCAUUGACCAUUAAAGAUUUGGGAAUGUGCAAUUUGCUCUUGUCAGAGUACACAUUUCAAAUUCAACCGAGGUACUAAUUAAAAUGUGAAACAAAUUAUUGACAAGCCUCCAAAUGUUACACAGGAGAAUGUAAUUGAUCGAUUUAAUUAUGUGCUUUAAUAUUAAGUCUUAUUUUCUCACUAGAAGCAUAUAUACAAAUCCUAUCCAAAACCCUUCACUACGGAAGAAAACAUAUCCAAAAUACUUUUUGGAAAAAAAAAAAACACGAAGAAAGAAAUGUAUCCGUAUAAAUAAUUAACACUAUGACGAAAACGGAAAAGCUAAAGCAAAACAUUUCUUCAACGAGGAUAAUAAUUAUUUGGACCUUAGCCACCGCCGCCACAUCCGCCCCCACCGCAUCCGCCGCCUCCGCAUCCGCCCCCGCCGCAUCCGCAGCCGCCACAGCCACUGCCGCCGCCACCACCACAGCAGCAACCUUGGCUAGCAGCACCACCAUCAGUUGCUACACCGCCACAGGCGCCACCGCCACUCGUUUUAUUAUCACGGGCACGUUGUUCUUCUUCAACGUUGCUUACUGCGGCAGCUGUAGCAACCGUAGCAGCAGCUACGGCAGCACCAGCACCCGCACCGGCCAAGAUGGCCAUAUUUCCAUCCCUCUUGCCGCUGCGAGCAGCCCUUUGAUCAACAGCAUAGGCCGGCCGUGGAAGGGAAAUAUCGGGUUUGGUUGGUGUUUCAGUUGUCUUACUUCUUCGCCGGCUUCCUAUAAACGGACACAGACAGCAGCCCGUCAUGUUCUUAAUUUUCUCGACCUCAGCUAACUAUGUAAUAAUGGCUAACAUUAGCAUGUUGAUAGAUCAUAUUGCAGAGGAAUCCUUAAUCCUAGUACAUGAUGGCUUCGGACAUUUUCUAGGGGUUAAAUGGUCCCAAAAAAAAAAUGAAGAAGAUGAAGAAUUCCUGAUGCAAAGCUCUGCUCUCCAAGACUUCAAGAGAUAUUUGUCUAUUAUCUAAAUUCAGCAACUAAUACCUUCCAAUUUCGCACAUAUGAUCGGUGCAAGCAGCUCAAUUUUAUUUUAUUUUUUUUUAAUAAGACGACUUCGUCGAAGGUCAAACAAUAGUUUCCUAUGAAUUGAAGGCAAUGAAGGGGCCACCAGUUGGGAUAUUUCCAAUUUUCCAUUCAGCAAUAAUUGCUCAUUGCUAUCCUGUCCUAUUCAUCGUCAGCUUCUUGGUUGAAAAUUUUCGGUUGAAAACCAAAAAUAAAAUUCACGAUUUUGAAAAACACACUAACAAACUAUUUCACAACUCAUUGUUGGUACAAACCGUGUAACAAUUGUCAAUCAUAGACAAUAAAUCAAGCAUCCAGAGUUAUUUUCUGCUUGGAGCACUUCAGACUUGUCAGUCCUGAAGGAACGAAAGAAAGCCCAUAAUCUUAUAACGUUCGUUUUCGUUUGGUUUCAAAAUAAAAUUUUCAAAAUAAAAUUUUCAAAUAUAAUGUUAUACUAAUACAUAAAUAAAAAUAACAUAAAAAAUAUUUCAUCCAUACAGUAUAUUAAAUAUUUAAAAAAAAAUUUAUAGUAAAAUUUUUGUUUAUAUAUGUUAUUAUAAUAAAAUAUUUCAAAAAAUAGCUAAUUUUUUUUUUCGACUCAAAGCAAUUGACUUUUGCCGAAUGAAAUAACCUAAUCCCAGAGAUAAUACCAAAAACCGGCAACUCUUGGUACAACCCCAGGGACUUAUCUACCCAACUAACCCAACCCCCCGACCCGAUAUGGGAUAAACUACUCUAGGUGUUCCCAACCUAAGCUAAGAACCCCGGCACAUGAACUAAACAUGCUAAUACUAACGAGCAGUUUGUCUUUUUUCGACUCAAAGCAAUUGACUUUUGUCGAAAAAAUAGCUAAUUCAAACAGGGCGAUUUUUGACUUUUUUUUUUUUUCUUUUCUGGAUAGUACCAAAGAACGUUAAAAGGGUUUCUGAUGCAAUACAUAUAUUACUAAGUAUAACAAUUAUACUUUAGCAAAGUUGAGCUACCAUCCUUUCUGCUUACGAAAAUCUAUCCUAUUCUUUUUUUUCUUUUGAACCUAUGAUCCAGAUUGAGCAUUAACACGGUCCACGGGUCAAAGACUCGGCGUCGAUCCCCUAGCCUGCGGCGGGGCAUCAGAUUGCUUCCCAUUGAAGCCAAUUCAAUCGUAUUUGGGUGCAGUUCUAACUAAGUAAAAAAAACAUAUAUAUAUAUUUAAGAUUUUUACAUCAAGGCUGAAUAAGUAGUUUUUUUUUUUCUUUUUUUCCUCCUGUCUCUUUGCAAAAGGCAAUACAUUCACUUUUGUUGGAAUGAAAAAAAAAAAUUUUUUGUUUUUUAAAAAAAAAAUGAAGAAAAGAACAGGAUGCAUGCAACACCAAGCUGGAGGUAAUGGAAAUUAAUUUACUUCACUUCAAUUUGUAUCCUUUUCUUUCUAAAGAGAAAAGCUGUCCAUCCCCAGUAGUUUUAAAGGAAAAUGUCACAGAUCUAGAAAGGUUAUGAAACUAAAAAGAAAACCUACACCGUAAAUCUCAGAAAUCAGAAUUCUUAAGAACAGAUAAUUCGAUACAAUACGAAUGUGAAGCUUUAAUUUUCUGCUAACAAAUAACCAAUCAUCGACAAAUUAAUUCAAUCAGUAGUUAACAAAUACAUUACAUAUCAUAAACUGGAUCCAGAAAGGGGAAGAAAAAAGACCCGAGGAUAAGACUGACAAAUUCCAGAGUCCAAACUCUAAACUCAACCUCCACCACCAUCAUUUCCUCCUCCGCCGCCGCCGCCAUCUGCACUUAUGCCAUCCAAAGCAGCCACCGCCGCAAGCGCAGCAGCACCAGCCAUAAUGACGGUUCCACCAUCUCCCGCGCCAUUACCACCACCACCACCAGUGGUCACAGUUGCACCAUUUCCGCCAUCUUGAUAAGCUCGAAAAGAGGAAUUGGAAGCUCUUUUUCUGGGAUCAAUGGUGGGAAUCGCGUUUCCUCUCUUCUUAUUGCUCUCUUUGCAAUACCGGUUGACAAGCAUCACCAAACCGAUGAAAAUAAUGCAAAUUGGUAUUACAGUAACAUAUGCUGGCAUUUUUGAGAGUUAGCCACUAAAGUUUUUGAAGUAAAAAUUCCUCAAUAUAUCGACAAGCCACUGAAUUUAUAUUAAUUAAUUUAGGUACAUGGAUAAAGUUUUCCAUGGCCAUUACACAAUGACCCCGGUUGAGAUCGUUGACUUUUUUUUUUUGUGGUUUAGAAGGUGCAUUUUUAAUAUUUUUCUUAAAAUAUCAAAGCAACUUGGCAGAAAGUAGUGGUACGUAACAAGUAUCUGAUGAUUGAUUAAUAAUGGCCAUGUGCCACCUUAGUCAUUCCAACCAAAAGGGGCCGUGGCAGUAUUUCCAAAAUGAAUUCCAGGUGUUCAUAUUUUGAAAAAAUAAUAUUAAUUAAGAAAAGUAUGUAAAUGCAAAAUGUGAUAAUAAUUAUGGAUAAUGUGUGAAGUUAUGUGUGAUAAUAAUGUUAAAAAAAUCUAAAUAAGAAAGGAAAAUAAUUAAAAGAUAAAAAAUUUUCUAAUGAGUGUCCAAUAGGCGAGCGUGAGUGAGAGUUUUACUGAAGAAAUUCAAGCUCUCGUUCAUACUAAUUUCUGCAGGAAGAAUUUGACCUGAAAAAUUGUUGUUACCUGCCCUUAAGAUCUUAAGCCUUCUCAAUCUGCCAAUGGAUGAUGGAAUUAUUCCAGUAAGAUUGUUACUGUAAACCACAAGCCCCUCAAUUGAAGUAAUAUUUCCAAUUCCCUCUUGGACUUCUCCAAAAUUAUCUUUCUGAAAUGGAUAAAUUAAGCUUGCUGAAGGGGGUUAUUUUGUAAAUUAAGCUUGUGUGGAAUGUCAUGAUUCGACCACUUUAGAUGGGAGGCUGUCACUAGGUGAGUCCUUAGUGGAAGACCUGGAAUAUUUAGCACCUUAAUCUUAUUUUCACGUCCUGUAUUAGGUAACAGCAUCAUAUUCUAGUGGUCUCGAAUACAUCUUCAACAUGGAACUAUGAAAACACAGUCCCGCAGCGGCCAGAGCUAAAGGAGCAUGUAUUGCAACUAGCAGUGACAAUCAAAUUACUGCCAUGCAGUGAACGGUACUUAGUGAAUAAACCAAUCAAGAAGUUUCUUCCAUCUGUCAAACUUUAUCUUACCCCGGCUUGGAAACUAGGCCACAAGCCCACAUUCAAACUCAUGAAUCAGUAACUUCGAUUCGUUUAUGCAGCAAAUAUGCAGGAGUACUCUUAUUUGGUCUAUGCCCAAUCAGUUACCCAAUUGAAUCAUAGUCUGUAUUCAUCAAUGGAGCUGACGUUGGCAGGAGGCUUGCUGGAAGUCCACUUCAACGGAUCUCAUUUGGCCCAAUCCCAAAUCACUAUGAUGAAUUAUGGUGGAACUUCUUCUUAUUAUCCCCUCUCGCGCAGCAAUUUGGGGGUGCAGAGAUUCAAGCUACACGAGCUCAUAUGUCGAGUUUGAACUCCAAAUUCUUGUACUCAAAAACCUGACGAGAAAUUAAUUGAGUUGAUAUAUACACACAUAUAUAUAUAUAUAUAUUAUUGUGAAAUAUCAAUUAUAUAUAUUUUUUUAAAUUAUAUCUAAAAUAUUAAUUUUUAUUAAAUGAGUUCAAUUAGAUUCGAAUAGGUUCAAUUGAACUUGAUUAGAUUUCAUUAGGCCUAAUUAAACUCAGGCUCGACUUUCUAAAACCUGGAGCUCAGUUACUUUAGCUUGAAUGGAGCUCGAGUAGUCCACUUGAGUCAAAUGUAUCCCUACACUCACGUUUCAAGCCAAUAUCGAUUGGGCACCAUUAAUUUUCUAUCGCGUUUCAAGCCAAUAUCAGUUCUGCACCAUUAAGUUUCUAUCAGGAACGGGGCCUGCAGCUUUCUCAAUUCAUCAUCGUCUUCUUCCUCAUUAUUCCACUACGAACUAAAAUCUUAAACAUGACUUACGUUUCUUAUCCUUAUCAAUCUUUUGUCUAUUUCGCCAAUGGCACAUACAGAACAAUAUUCUUCACAGAUUCUGAUAAUGCUUCAGCCACGUGUCAGCACUUGCACCUCUUAAUCAAACACACGACCAAUGCAAAAUCCCAGAAUCAGCUUCUGUAACUUCGUCUGUUCUCACUGAAAAUCUAGUACUACCCCUUUAUUAAUUUGUUCGCUACCCCAUUAUUUGCUUAAACCAAGACAACCUAUCACACUGGAGUAGUAGGCAUGGCUAGUUUUCUUGAUCUAUUCAAGGUCUCAUUUCUAUGGAGUCUCCUCUCAAUUGGAUCAAAUUUGGGCACCUUGAAAGGAAGUUCAAGUGGGCAUGUUGGUGUGUUUCCUCCUACAUGCAAUCGGAUAGAGUGUCCGAGUUUUGAUGUGAUUCAUUCGGGAAAUGGGUUCGAAAUUCGACGGUACAAUUCGCCUGUGUGGAUGUCAACCUCUCCCAUUGAUGAUAUUUCGUUUGUGGGUGCGACUAGAACUGGUUUCUUGCAGUAAGUUUGCUGUAUUCUGGUAUCAUUUUCCUAUCUUGGAUGUUUCCAUUUCCAUUUCAUCAAAUCGCUAGAGUUUCUCACUUAUUUGCGAAAUUUUGCUUAUGUCUCCUUAAUGAUAGCAAUACUAUAAUUUUUUCCCUUGUCACAGUUUAGAUUUCGUCGUCUGUUCCCCAUUUUUGUCACUCUGGUUAAGUAGAACGACCAUUUCGCAACUUCACAGAGUCUUUCUUAUUCUUCUUAUAAAAAUUAAGCCUUUGUCUGGCUGAUAUUUGUUUAGUUUAUAUCAGGAUACUAUCACAUUUAGUAUUCUCUAGCUCAAAUUAUGAUUAGUAUCAUUUCAUAGCUCUCCAUCUUUUGUCCUAAAAAAUUGUAAUGAUCCUAAGUAAGAACGUUGACACGGUUUGAUUGAAAAGGUAUUUGGGAAUUCUUCUCUAUUGACAAAUGAUAGUCUCCUCAAGUCUGUACUCCUUAUGCCCUUCAAUGAAUCAAAAGAAUGGAGAUAUAUUGCAACAACCAUAUUCUCUUUGGUGUUUUUUUUUUUCGCCUUUGGAGUACUAAAUCAGUUUAGAGUUUUCUGUUUAAGAACCUAAAUGUUAAAGGGGGAAAAAUAAUCUGUUUAAGUUAGCCAAAGGGAAAUUUUUGGCCACAAGUUCAUAGUAAAGCAAAGAUUGAACUAAAAUUAAUGAUUUAAGCAGUCUAAAAGCUACCCAGGGUUGUUACUUCUUAGAACUGACAGCAUUAGCUUAUCAGUUUGCAACUGCUACUCUAAUUGUAAACAAUAAGGUGAGUCUGCAUAAUUCACUGGGCAUAUCCAUCUUCCCCUGCCAAUUCAUGAUAUUUCAAAGCAAACAAGGGAUUAUGAUUCAUAAGUUUUAUUGCGAUCAUGUAGUAGUUAAACAUCUAGUUUAGUUCGAGGCAUGUUGAAGAACCUUUCGGGGGCUUGACAUACCACAAAUCCUCUUCAAAGAUAGGGGUUCCUUCAUGUGUGGCCCUUGGUUUUUGGACAUUGUUCAAACCUGUUGGAGGUAUAGUGCUUAUUCAGGUUAAGUAGGAAAGUCUUUGUGGUCACUGAGACAUUAAUUUUGUUUGCUGAUUCAUCCUAAAUCUGAAAUGUUACAGAUCUAUUGGUGUUUGAAUAUUUGUGAUCCUCCCCCAUGUUAUCACUAGAAAUUCCCUACCUAGAGUUGGUGAUUUUGUUAAAUACAGGUCCAUGGUAAACCUUCUUCCCUUCCAAACUUGCAGGCUAUUUGACUACAUUCAAGGCAAGAAUGAAUAUCAGCAGCAAAUAGAAAUGACAGGUCCAGUGAUUACAGAAGUCAAACCUAGUGAUGGACCAUUCUGUGCAUCAUCUUUUGUGGUGAGUUUCUUUGUUCCAAAGGAGAACCAAGCUAACACGCCGCCUGCUAAAGGGCUCCAUGUGCAAAGAUGGGGGCAAACCCAUGUAGCAGUAAGGCAGUUCAGCGGAUUUGUGGCUGAUGAAGAUGUUGGUAAGGAAGCUGCAUCCUUGUAUAACAGCAUUGCUGGAACCAUUUGGUCAGAUGCCAUUGACAAAAGCCAUGCAGGAGAGAACACAACUUUGUAUAUUGUCGCACAAUACAACUCUCCUUUCGAGUUUGAGAACCGAGUAAAUGAGAUUUGGCUGACAUUUGACAUGAAUGAAGAUGAGAUUUAAGAAAGUAAAGUUUCGUGACCUCUUGAACCUGGAGACGUAAUUCAAGAAUAGCUGGAUUGCAUCUAAUUUGGUGUUGAAUUAUUCAACAUCUAUUUAACUCUCUUUCUAGUAAUAGCUACCAUAUUCGUAAUAAUGCUGUAACUAGAUCCUACUGAACUUUAAGUGUGUGCUAUGUGCUAUCGGAAUAAGUUUGUCCUGUUUUCGCAAUGAAGUUGAGGUGCCUAUGAGAGUAUAUGAAAUGGACUCGGCAUAUUUACAUGAGACUUGACAGAGCAAAUACCUUCCCAAUCCUUCCAUACCAGCUAGUUUUGUCCCAACAACUAUAAAGCCAAAAACCCGCCAGCCUGCAUUCAUUAUUUUGCCACUCUACAUAAUUAGAGUUGGCUUUCGGUGGUCUGGGGCAUCUAAAUUGACUCAAGAGCAGGAAUAACUUUCCUUAGAGCACAAACAUCAGCAGACGAAAAUUCGGUAUAAGUUGCAUCAGGAAGAAGAAAGAGUAGCAUUCUCUGGCACAUCACCCAUCAUGGACAAGAAGAAAGAUUUGACUCGGUUACUUUUCAACCAAAGAUACAAAAUGGAAUUGGAAUCCUUACGUCGAAGUUGCAGAAAAACUACUCAGGCAGCUUAAAAGUCUCGCCCCUGGCAUCGGAACAUGAGAAGAGUUUUCAACCUGAAAUGAAACAUACGUUCAGAACUAAACGAAACGAUGAAGAGGUCCCUUCUCCUUAAAUUCUGACCAAUGUUGUGAACUGUUAAACAAGAAUAUUCAAUCAACCCAUACAAUAGAAGGCAUCAAAUUUUGCAAUCUUGUACCGCAGUAUAGGCAAUUUUAAUAACUCUUUCUAUAAUGAUUAGCUAGAAUUUCUUUUCCUAUGUUGUAGCUGGUGCCAAAUUGUUAUUUGACUGACGUUGUAAAUACUUCAGUAUUUUGUUUCAAUCCUACUCAAAAUCCUAUUAAGUACCGAACAGCAAGAAAGAAAUGAUAAAUUCAUUUACACUCUUGGAUGGAUAGUUAUAUGGAUUUCGACAUUAAUUGGAUCGAUAAUGGUGAAAAAUUCUAACCUAGUAUUAUGCUCCACCAAGUUUGGGAUAUCUUUAAUCUUAUUGACUCGGAUUCUAACAAAAUUUUCAAUAGAUGAAACCUUGUCUAGGAAACAAGAUUGAAGCCCCAAGAGACAGACAUUUUGGAUUAAAGUACCAGAAGUUGUGAAUUUAGUCUAAUUUUAUGUUUGUUAUUUCCCACCGAAUGUGGUUAUUUGUAAUUUAUGCUAGUAAUUAUCCCACAAAAUGUAAGUAAUUUAUAAUUGAUAAAUUGUUAUAUUAAUUCCAUACUUAUGAAUUACAUAUAAUCUUAUGAAAAAAACGAUUGCAAUACAAAGAAAUGAAGAGGCAUCAACGUUCCUUUGUCCUCCAUUAGAGUACUUUGCACUUUAAGAAAACGCGAGCUACUCGAUGAUCUAGUCCCACUCAGGAACAGGGCAUACUUUUCCCUUGUAUUUCAAAACAUUUGACAAACUGUUUAGAUUCCCAUUUUUCAUUUUUUUGAACAAGUUUUUCAUAUACAAUACUAUAGUAACAUGUGAUGGAGCCAAUCCACCACGGCCACGCGUUAGUUCGGGCAAGUUGACAUAUCAGCUCGGUCGGAUUAGCUUGGACAGGGUGGUAGUCAGUUCGCGUAGGGUCACUGCCACUCCUACCGGAUGGGCUUGAUGGGCCGCACCCCCCGAACUCUUCGGAGUCACCCAAUGGAGCCCUAAGAGGAAUCCCUCUCUAAUAAGACUCCGUUUCCUAUAAGAAAACUACUACCCUGAAACCUAUAAAUAUACCCCCAUAAAGCAAAGUAAGGUACGCCAGUAAAAGUACUAUAUACUAUUACUCUGAAAAAGCUCUCACUGACUUGAUCGUCGGAAUUGCACCGGAGAACCAGUCUCGCCGUUCACUUCUCUUUGCAGGGCAGUUCGCACACCUCGCUUACGCGCCAGUCUACUCCUCUGCAGUUCGCUCAACCCGCCGCAACUCAGUUCAGAUCACGUUCUCGGCAGUCGCAUCAAUUGGCGCCGUCUGUGAGAACCGUAAUUCUUCUCUUGUGAAAAUAUGUCGAAAAUUAUAUCUUAGAGGAACGUUGACGGAUUCAAGGGGAACGAGCGGAAUGACCCCUAAAAUCCCUGUCAAGACCCAACUCCGAAGGAUGAGGGCCCGGAGUUCUCGCGUAUCCCGUCCGAACAGCUGGUACAAACUGUGGCGGACAACAUGCCUACUUUCGAAGCCAUCAUGAACUAUCUCAAAGGGCAGACCGGAGACCAUUAGGACCAGGAGCCCAAGGCGUGAAAAACGGGUGGAAUUAAACAAUCAGAAUCUCGAACGGGAAACCCCAACCCCCGGCAAAAGCGGGCAAGGAAGGAGUUCAAGCAUGAACAGAUCGAAAUUCUGGAACCCUCUCACAGGAACUCCAGAACAGAACACCCUGAACGCUUCCGGGGGUUCCCAUGGAGGAAGUCCUCUCCAAAGAGAAACGACACGAGUACCAGAUACAGGACGAACUGGAUCUUUUGCUAGAUCUGGAGGCAGACAAAUAUACUGCCUCCCCCUUUGUGCCAAACAUUGAGGACUACCCGCUGCUCGCUAAACUCAAAAUGCUGACCAUGAAAUCCUAUGAUGCAACCACGGAUCCAGAGAAUCACCUGUUCGCAUUCUUGACAUAAAUCGCCUACAAACAACUAUCGAUGCGAUCAGAUGCAAGACCUUCCCGAUGUUCUUGGAACAAAGAGCGCGUCAGUGGUUCCAGAAACUACCUUCAAGGUCAAUUCGCUCUUUUGAUCAGCUCGGGCGCCUGUUCGCAACUCAGUUCGUUUCGUCGCGAGCUUUCUCCAAAGUACAAAAUCACUUUGGUCAAAAAUCAAUCAAAACAGUCAAAAUCGGCUGAACCAAUUAUCGGAUUCAACUGGUUGACCCAAUUCUCAAACUUUUAUUUCUUAUUUUUCUCGAAUAUAAUUUGAGUUAUUUAAAUUGUAAUAUUUUCAUUUAUUAAUGGCAGUAUGAAAACGCCACCCACUUAGUGUAAAUACCAAAAUCACUCACUUUUCUGAAUGAUCUCUAAUUCAAAAUAUUUCAUUCCUAUCAUCUUAUCAAUUUAGUAUUAGUGAUUCCAACUUACAUUAAUUUGUUUUAAUUUAAUUUUUCAAAUAAUUUUGAAAAAUGGACAUAUUUUAAUCAUGAAUUUACAUUUUUAUAUAUAAUUAUUAGGUGUAUAUUUGAUUACAAGUCUAUUAUUUUUGGAACAUUUUGUAUGAUUGGCCGAAUAUAACCAAGAAUUUAAUUUCAAUAUUUCUGAAACUUAUAAAAAUAUAAAAAAAUUAUGACAUCAUGCUAACGUCAAUGAAUUUUUGCGAAUGGUCUGAUCGAUCCGACCAAUUGACUCCUAAUCCAGUAAUUUAGUUGAGUCACUAUCCAAUCCAAGUUUAACAACAUUGCUCUCCCCUCCCCCUCCUUGAGCUGUCGUGGACACAUGUAAGGGAGUAUUUACUUUUUUGAAUUCACUUUAAUAAGGAAGUAUUUUAAAUUCAAAAGGUACACACGUAAAUUCAUCUAAUACCAAUUUAGAUGGACAUAAUGAUUAACUUGGACUUUCAAAAUUUUACUCUAAUAUUGGUCAAAUAUCAAUUACUAAGUUUACCAUAUAUUUAAUCUGGAUCGAGAUAUAAUUUCACCUAAUAUUGCGACAAAGGGAGUAAUACGAGUGUUUUGUCGCGUAAGAGUGCACCUGACGGGCUUUUUACAAAUACGUACAAGUUAAAAAAUCGAAUUUCGACCAAAUGAAAUUGGCUACUGUAAUUCGGCUUUUUGACCUGGAAAACCUUCAAACUGGAUUCAGAUGUCUUCACCAAAGUUGUAGAUCUAUCUCUUAUCUUCAAAUUGGUUUAAGAAUCAUCUCAAUCCGAUUAUUGUAACUCAAGUUAUAGCCAAAAUAUGAAAAUGUGUCAAAACUGUCAAAAUACACAAAAUCCAAGUAAAAAAUGAUAAAAACCUUAUUUAAUUACUUAAAAGCAUUUUUUACCAUUUAUAGCCAAAAUGAUUCAUUUUCUUCCAAUAAUAUACCCAAAGUGACUAAAAAUAAUAUAAAAAGUCAUAUAAUUAUUACAUAAAUUAGUCACUUAUCAGUACCAAUAAAGGCUGCAUCUACCACCCACAAACCACCCCGUUGAAUAUGCCUACCUCUUAGAUUGCUUGUUUAUCAGGCCGGUUUAUCUGUUAACUCUCGUGCUUAGUCUAAUUAAGUGUGUGUGUGUGUGUGUGUGUUUAUUUCUGUGUCCGGAAAAAAAGAAUAUGCCUGCCUCUUUAUUGUACAAAGGUUUCAGUUGCUUAUUUAUUAGCCUGCUUGUUAGUCAAGCACUUUUGACCAUUUUGCUGCAUAUACCACCCACGAACCACCCGGUUGAAUAUGCCUGCCUCUUUAUUGUACAAAAGUUUCAGUUGCUUAUUUAUUAGCCUGCUUGUUAGUUAAGCACUUUUUGACCAUUUUGCUGCUAUAAAUGUUUUUAGUGCUCCAAUUAGUGAUUAAACGAGAGCUGAAAGGAAAACGAUGGUUACGUACCUUCGCGUCAGAUAUUGAACCAAUGAAGAUCGAAAUUACCAACCCUUCUAGAAUUCAAUUGAAAUCUACACGGUUGCCAAAUUAACACGGAAAUUUAGGAUCUCAUUACUAACAAGAGAAUCCAACUUGUUCACGGCUCCUUCUUCUAGAACUGCUAUGUUCACAAUUUCUCAUGGACAGUGACCCCUGUUCGGAAAGGGAUUUCCCACCAAAAAAAUUUCUACGUAAAUAUAUUUUUUAAUUAUUUUUUUAUUUUACAUAUAUUAAAUCACUACAGCAUGAUUUUUACAAAAACUUCAUAAAAUUACAAUCCAAACACGAGUUUGUUAGAUCCAUUUCCAAAAUUGGCUGAUUUUCAUCCUGCAUGUCAUGAGGCGUAACACAUAUUGCAGGCAUCAAAAUUAGACUGGAAAGGCAAGAAUGUUUUCUUGCUUCAACUUUCCUUUCAGUGAAUGGUGUGGGGUGCUAUUCUGACCAUACGGGGGCCAUCAUCAUCUGCUGCUCAUUUUCAGAUAUAUGUUUCUGUGAUCAAAUAGCUGACAUAUUUUGGUAGAAAUCUACAGCUUAUUGCUCAAUUGAGGAUAAAAGUUUUCCAGAAACAAGUUCAAAAUUGACCAAUAUAAUCCAAGUCAAGGACAACAAACAAAAAUCGACCGAGAGACGCGUCCAAAAAACCAAAAAUGAAAAAAAAGAAAAAAAUGAAGAAACCUCCAAGAAGUCCGAUUGAUGUGACUAUUUAACGUUGUAAUCCCAACAACUCAAAAGCCUUAAACCACUAUAUAUGAAAGGACUGCGUGGCAUUGAGGAGUAACACACUCUUAGAUUUGAUUCAAGCAAUCUCAGAGAGAGCAGAGAAGAAAAAAGAGAGAGUGUAAUUUUAAGAGAAAUAUCCACAAGAUCAGAGAUGGAAACUAAAGGUGUCCCACUAAUUGACAUGCAAGACCCUCAUGGUCUACCGGAGAAACUAGUGAAAGCAUGUGAAGAAUGGGGUUGCUUUAGGGUAGUGAACCAUGGAAUUCCAUCGACAGUCUUGUCAGAAAUGAAAGUUGUUUGCCGCUCGCUCUUGGAUCUUCCAUUCAAAAUCAAGCAAGGAGACUCUCCUCCUGGGCCUGGCCAGAGAUACACGCCACCAAACAUGGCAAGUCCAUAUUUCGAGGGACUGAAUAUCUAUGACAUGGCCUCCCCGGGGGCUGUCGAUGAUUUUUGUACUCAAGUUCAUGCUUCUCCACAUCAAAGGUGAAUUUUCUCGUCCCAAAGUAGAAAUGCACAAAGGGUUCUCUUAACUAAGAUCAUGUGUAUACAACUGCUCAAAAAUUCGGCUUUCUUGCAGGGAGAUUAUAUUGAAGCACUCUCAAGCUCUGUUCGAGCUUGCGAAAGAUCUUGGUGGAAAGAUGACUGAAGGGUUGGGUUUGGGUGGACUAGAGGCAUUCAAGGAUUGGCCUUGCCAGUUCCAAAUGAAUAAGUACAAUUAUAACCCAGAAAGUGUUGGAUCAACCGGUGCUGUAAUGCAUUCAGACGCUGGAUUCAUCACCAUAUUACAGGAUGAUGAAUUGGUUAACGGUCUAGAGGUUGUGAACAAGUUUACUGGAGACUUAGUCUCCGUGGAUCCCAUACCAGGCACCCUUGUUAUCAACAUUGGAGAUGUUGGCAUGGUAAUUAUUAGCCUUACAAAUUUCUUUUCUCUCAAUAUUAUAUCCAUAUCAACUAAAAAUGCAAGUAACUUUUGCAGCCUUGAAUCCAUAUUUAGGCAGCAGUACUUCGUAACUUCUGUGUAUAUAAUUAUACAAUAAAAGUAACGGUUGAAGAAGUUUUAUACGUUCAUAACUUUCAAAGUUACAAACCUCUGCGAUUGCAUCUGGAAUCCUAUAAUUGUAUGUAACUUUGCUAUUAGCCAAUGAAGGGCUGAUCAAAAGGCAUGCAUGCAGGUAUGGAGCAAUGGAAGAUUUAACAACGUCAAGCAUAGAGUACAAUGCUAUAAAGCAACUGUUCGUAUCUCAAUUGCAUUGUUCGUGUUUGGACCGAGAGGUAAGAGGGUUGAAGCACCAUCAGAGCUGGUGGAUUCAGAGCAUCCUCGUCUUUACAAUCCAUUUGAUUUUGAGGCAUAUAGAAAGCUACGUCAUUCCACCGGUUCACCCACAGGUGAAGCUCUCGAGUUGUUCCGAGCCGCCUUGCCAAUUGAUUCUUGACUUUCAGAUGUGGGUUCAGAGAGAAGGGGCAGAUUAUGGGGGUUAAUUAUUCAUUCUUAGCUAUUGAUGUUGAUUGGCAGCCAUUAUAUAUCAUUUCUUGUAAUCGUUGUUCUCCUUUGCCCUUGGAGUCUAAUUGGAUCGCUUAUGCAUUAUUGGAUAUAUUAACGUAAAGUAAAUUAAAUGUGUGUCGUGUGAAUUAUGGUACUAUUUUAACUCUUACGAUUUUGCUGAAAAAAUUUACUAACCAGUGCUCCAAAAUUCGCCAACUAAUCUACCAGUGAUAUUAUUCGACUCUCUCGUGAUUGUGCUUGUUAAAUCAUUACAAGUAGGGAUUAAAAUAGCUUCUUAUCAAACUAAUUAAUUUCAGACGUCCGAACCAGGAUGGUGCCUUGAUCGAACAUUUAUCUGGAUGGUACCUUGAUCACGAAACUGCAGUUUGACAAUAAUCCCUGCUCACACUAAAAAAAUUGCUCCAACAAAUAUGUAAAUUCAAGAAUAUAGUUACAACUUGGAAGAAAAAUCGAACAAACAAACAUACCUCUCCAAGCAGCACCAGUCUGAUAGCAUGGAGCGCAACCACCGGUGUUUCGUAUUAACAGCCCCCAUUAUUAUAGCUACUAGCUCAAACAUCUGGUCAGCAAAUGCAACAGAAGAAGAAGAGUCCUGCGGUUACACACUUACACUUGGGGGAUGGUUUCCAACAGAUUCUUCAACUACAACAUAAUCACUGAUUUUAAUCAUCCCACUCCUUGAGGGGUUCAUCACUUGCUUGUGUGCGUGGAAGUUCAGAAGGGAGAAAAGUCUGCAUUUACACUUCCAACAUGGGUCCCUAUGAUUCUUGACUUCUCACGCAUUCAUAACCUCUUCUUGAUCGUGCUUCAAUUACUAAAUUAAUGGAAACUCCUGAAACUAAACACCAUAAAAGACAAUAAGUCACAAAAUAUUUUCCUAUUCAAUUUUACAAAUUCUGUUAGAUUUCCUCCUAAGGCGCGCACAGUCAUUUUUGCACUUUAUUCUCUAAUGUUAUUUUUUUUCUCAAUUUAUCCCCUAAACCGUUAUUGAAUUCUAAACUGGCUAGGGGAAUUACUACAUUUAAUUAUUAAGGGUAUAAAUAUCUUUUUGAUAUUACCAUUACACAACACGAGACUCAACUAACGAUUUAGGGCAUAAAAUAAAGAAAAAAAAUUUAUAUGUUAGGAGACAAAGUGCAAAAAUAGAUAUACCUUAGGCGGAGUUUUUGUAAUUAACCCUUUUCUUAAUUGAAGUGUUUGCAACGUUGAUCAUAACAAAUAAAAUUGAUGAAUGGAAUACUAAAUACGUACAGAUGUGAAGUUAUCAACUCAAUUUCCCUUUCCCUUGGGGAAUCGCACUUUUUUUUUUUUUAAAUCUAAAACUGCUUCAAUAGUCAAUUUUUCGAAUCGAGCCUAGUAAGAAAUUUAUUUGGCCUUGUGCUCUCCGUAGUAGUUGGCAGCGUAGACCAUUUGUUUCACAUUGAUGUGAAGAUUUCCUAAGUAGAAAAGCGAAGCCAUGAAUUUUUGGCCUUUCACUUUUUACGUCUCAAUUUAUGACCUUUUGGGCUUCAACAAUCGCGAUCAGAUUCAGAUCCUAAUUAAGGUGGUUUAACUAGAAAUUAAAUGCAAAACACGGUACAUAGAAGACAUUAUUAUUAGUUUCUUUUGCAAGAAACUAGAUGGAGAUAAAAAAGCUGAAUUAUCAAACCUUCUAGAUUUGCAGUUAAAUUGACUAUAAUGAACUUUUAUUAAUCGAAAAAAACAGGUAUAAAGAAGAUCAUAUGCAUAUUUAAUCAGCAUCCUUUUAUCUUCCAGAAGAUCAUAUGCUCCCAAAUGCCCCAUGCAAUUAACUAAUGAGGCAUUAAUUAUAAAUUGUACUCCCUCCCUUUUUUUUAUAACUGACGUUUAAGGUUUUGCACACCAAUUAAGAAAAGUUUUUCAUUGUUUAAAUCUGUACACUACUUUCCUUUUGUACCCUCAUUAAUUGUCCAAUUCACUCAUGUUUUCUCUCACUAAAUGGUGCUGUUUUACUAGGCCAAAAGCAAUGCAAACUAGAGUAGUAAUUAAGAACCCUGUAUUGGAAAAGAGAGAUAAAAGGGUAAAAUUGUGAAAAAAAUAAUUAAUACUGUAUAGGGAUAAUAAGAUGACAGAUAAAAGUACACUAGAGCAAAUUUCUUAAACGUCAGUUAUAAAAAAAAAAGGAAAGGAGUAGUAAGGUGCAGUCAUUUUUGCACCUUUUCCCUCAUUCCUAAAUUAUUAAUGGGGUGCCAAUUUUCUUUUCCAAUAUGGAGCACACCACUAUUAUUUUGAUUGCCAGGAAAGUUGAACCAAGAAAGCUUCAGUGCUUUCCAGAUUUCCAUAAUACGUUUGGGAAAUGCUUAAAUGUACACAUCCGUCCCUAAUCUCACGUCCUUGUAUAAGUUUCUUUUUCUGAAGGAUUCCUUGUAGUAUAAGUUUCAAUUCAAUAGUGAUUGAUUGUACAAUUUAUAAUUAAUGCAUCAAAAGGGUAAUAAUUAUAGAAGAUGUACUGCCUCCUUCCACACACACACACAAAACUCACAUGCUAAUUUUUAUUUUAAAAACAAAAAAAAAAAAAAAAAAAAAGAAGGACGCUGAUCGGUCCUGCAUGCACAUUCUGCCUCUUUGGUCAACUACUCAUUGACAAGCGAAUGGGAACACAAUUUGUAACUUUCUUUGUAAAAUAUUACUGUAGAUUCCCGAUAAUUUCCUUUCCAGUCUGGUAGUCAAAGUAGCUUUCCCCUAAGUAGCUUAAUUUACUAAUCCCCUGGAUCCGCCGCAACAGUCAACAGUCCAUCCCUUUCUUGAAAGGUCAAAAAGCGCGUCUUAAUUUUCUUCUGCUUAACCAGAACAUGUGCCGCCUCUGUCCUUCAUUUUUUGGAAGAUAAAAAAUAUUGCGACUUUAAGCAGUCUACCUCGAAGCUAAGCAAGACAAGUUGCGUACUUUUAUCCUGCAUCUGUUAACUUGUACUUGAUGAUCGAUCAUUCUGUUGUUGCCUUGAGGAAUUGAUAAUCUUCGGACCCAGAUGGAUUUUCCAGUGACGAAAUUGAAAUUUGCUUUCUUGAGAACCAUGCAUGAAUUCUUCUUGUCACCGUCCACAGUUGAGGCUGCCGGCUGCUACCAGCACCUAACCUUUUUAUCUGCCAUGAUUGUCGUUAAUAAACUACAAAAUCCAACAAAGUAUUUUCUUCGAGACUCGGCAAGAAACCUUCGUGGCUAGUCUUUUGCAGUGGGCUUCUGGAUUGUCAUGCGCAGUAGCCAUGCAACUUCUCAAGAAAAUGCUUCCAACGGUCAUUCUUUGUCUUCAUGUCAGCAUCUCACCGUGACUAAUUAACGAGGGCAGCAGAUUCCACGCCGCAGUAUUCCAGCUAGAAAUUUGCAGUAAAAUAGUGGAGUAAUAUCUAAUCCACAAAAAGCAUGAGAAAAAAAAAAAAGAAGAAGAUCACAAUGCAUAUGGUUGCACCAACAGUCUAAUCAAAGCCUGGCUUCUCCAUAUGAAGAAUUUUGACUCAAAAGGCUUCACCAGUUCAUUACAGUAAGCCAAGAGGAACAAAAUGGCCUUAAAAGCUUUAUAUAUGGAACAUUUGACUAUUCACUGCAGCUCAGCAGUAUGGACAGAUAAAGAUGAGAAAUCUUAUGCUUUUCAACUGUAAACUUAAAUACAACAGGAAUUCAUUCUCUUGACAUUUAACCUAUAAACUAAAUGUGCCCCAUCAAUUAAAAUACUAGAAGCCAAAAAUGUGAGGCACAGUUUGUACCUAGCUAGUUUGCCCUAAAAAUCGAGUCUGAAUUCCCAGAAUACUCUAUAUGUUACAAUUUACAGAAGUUUGGGAAAGUCCAUUGCUGGUAUCAUUCCCAUAUCCUACAUGUCCGCCAUCAUGAGUAUCAUUAUGGAAUGCUCCAGAAGGCCACACAACCUUUCUCGAACUCUUUCCACUCAAAGCUCUGGUCAGAGGUUGAGGUGGCAAAUAGUGUUCCGCAACAGAACCCUUCUGCUCUGAAAAGAAUCUAGUUUGGAUCAUGCUGGUUGGAAACAUAUUACAUGCUAGAGUCCUCUGAGGUGGAUACCCUGAUGGAUAUAUGUUGCUAAAUAUUGACGAGAAUGGAUCAAUAUUGCUUGCAUCAGCAUAGUCCACGGUACUGAAAGAGUCCCUUGUACUCUCAGUUGUAAAAGAUGCUUCAUCUGAGCUUGUGAAAAGGGACCAAUCACUUGAUGUAGCAUCUGAGAACUCCCUGCUCAGUGGCUGAGCAUAAGUCUCAGCAGGAUGUCUAUUCCCACUCUCACUCCUGAGACCAGUUCCGUAACUUGAAAAGUUCAUGCACCAAUUAUGAUCUGAAGGAGGGCAAGGGUCAGCAACACGGUGACUCACUCUGCUUUGUUCUAGUCUGGAGGACUUCUGAGCUCUUGAUGGCCAGUGCCUUGGGAUCCCAGCAGCUUGCUGGCGGGUAAUUUUUCUCGUACAGCCCCUAUAUGGCCGCGGGGAUGACCUAACAAAACAGUAUUAGGACUUUGCAACACUUGAUUGAAGAAAGUCAAAAUACGGUUAUACUAGUUGAGCAGAACCUACUGGAAAACAAAAAACUAAGUUCGCAUCAUUGCGAUAAGGACAUUGCAACAUCGCAAGGAAAUCUAGUUUCACCAAGUCAUACACAGUAGGCAUUCAUGCACAAAUGUUAUUAAAUUACUGAAAAAGAAAAUUGACAUUGGCCAUUAACAGGGCAAUCUACAUCAUUUCAGAUAAAUAUUACUUGUUCUUUUGAUGGUAUAAAAUCUGUGCUUCCUAUGAUAGGAAACAAAAUCCAAAGGAUUAUUUGGUCUCCCAAAAAUAUGGUUCAAAAAGACAGCAUUUCGAGAUCUUUUAUAUCAUCUUAACACGGUGGUUAAGAUAACUUGGAGACGCUAAAUAAAAAAAUUUAAUGAUCACCUCAUGUAAAAUAAGAUAUAUGCUCCUUCUGACAUCACCUGAGUCAUUUCUACAGGCUGUACCUGCCAUUUUAGCAUGACAUGGAGGACAGAACACAUAUAAGAUCAGUAGAAGAUCAUGACAAAGUGCAGAAACUAUUUAAGAUGAUAAAAUGAAGAAUACAUGAGACAAUGAGAAGACUGCGACAAAAUAAUGAAGACAUUUAAGAUGGAAGUCAAAAAGUUUGAGAUAAUAAUUUAAAAAAUAAAAAUAUGAAAGAAAGACAGAUACUUCAGAGUGGAGACCUCUAAAUGAUCCAAAAGAUCUAAAGUUGUCCAGUAAAAGCAGAAGUAUAGCACAAAAGAAGAAAAACAGCAUUUAUUCUCUUUAACACAGAUUCGAGGUCAGGAAGUAACAAUUCAGCAUUUGAAUGGUAUAGCUACACAGUAACCUAGGAUUUUGGAGCACCUAAAGCAAUUAUUAGCAAGCAUUCUGAAGAAGGAAUCUUUUUUCUACAACUACUCAAGAAAGGAAGGGAGAGGAGUAUAAAAUUCAAACUUGUCAUUUUCCAAUCAGACGGCAGAACAAAAUCGCAGCUACUUCAGCUCCAUAAUGCAUCAUCCAAUCAUCAUAUCAGUCAAUUGUAUCCGAUACUGCUGAUAAUAAUUACACUAAGAUGAUAGGGAUUUACCUCAGUGUCGUCAAUCCUGAACCAAUUUCCUUGCAGAUCUUUGAUAUAUGCGAUAUAGUGCCCAGAAAAGGAUGCAUUUAGUGUAUCCAGGUGCACAACAACAGCAUAAAGCAUGUAAAGUGGAGGUAUGUCAUCUGUCCCAGUCAUAAAAGGGACCAUAUCUAGCAUAUCCGGGAAAGUGAUACAUUUAUUUAUCUUCCCAUAACGUCCUUCCUGAAUAUUAUCAUAAAAAUUAGACCAAUAAAACUUAAGAAACAAAGCAAUUUAGAUGGAAAGGGACAUAUGUAACCAUAUCCCAGGAUAAGGAAACAAAAACCAAGAUAUCUGAAUGCGAACAGUUCCUUAAUGUUAAGCAUCUUAUGAGCCCACAAUGUUACUAGCUUGCCAGACUCGACCCUUGCACUGGUUUCAUUCCAAGUGUAAUUUCAUUCCUUCUAAUGCUUCAGAUUUAAAAUCAUCAAAGCCAUGAGCUAAACGGCCCUGGAAGUCCAUCAAAGUUGGUGACCAAUUAAAGGGAGGUCACCAGCUCAAGUCAUACCCAUGAUUACCUUCUAUAAAUGAACAAGUCAAGACUACCGCCAGUUUAAUGUGCAAAAAGUCCAGAUCUAAUCUAUUCAGGUACAAUAUCCAUUUCUGUGAGCCAUUUCCACCAGAUGACAGUGCAUUGACUUGAUAAAAAAAAAAAAGCGUACCUGAAAUCUCUUCAACACAAUAGUUAGUAUAUUUGGAGCCUCCUGUAUGCUCAAUUGCUUUCGAGCUCGAACAUAGGCAGCGCACCUGUUUUGGUGAAAAAUUUUAACCACCAGUGAACCACAAGUCAACCACUUCAAUUUUUAACAGUAGAAUCACCAUCAGAAGCAUUACAACCAGGUUGUGAAUCAGAAAUACAAAUUCAACAGACCUGCCACAUCUAUACAUAUUUUCUCCAUCAAGUUCUUCUGGACUUGUAAAUUGUGUUAAUGCAUCUUCCAAAGACUGCACCCAACCAAAUAUCUCCAGUGUCAGAUCCAUUAUGUUCUCUGACCUCUCAGACUCAUGAUGACAUCUUAAACAUUUCACCUGACAGUAAGAAGGUUAAACUUAGCAACUAUUGCAAAUAAUAAAAACAACAGGAAGUAACAAAGAUGCAUGGCAUCCAAAAGUGAGAAAGAUUCUAAUGGAAAAUAGAAGUAAAUAAGGACCUUUGAUCUCAGGCGCCCACCGAAUGUAUGUUGUACAAAAGUUGUUUCCUGCAAUCUGGGAUCAACCACAUUCUCACCGCCUAAUCCUUCCAAGCAUAUCGAUUGCAUUGAUGCAAUAAGAAGCCUGCAUUAAAGAGACAUACCAUGAAGAAGGAUGUAAGGUUAGUACACAUUUUGAACGAUUGUUUGUAUUUUCCUUCAAACAUGAGUUCAUCCUGAGACAAGCCAAGCUAAACAAGCAUCAAUCACUGACCGCAAAAAUUCAUGAGCAUCUUCUUGACUUCCAUCACCAAUCUGGCAAUUGAUACCACGUAUGUGUGAUAGGAUCCUGCUUGGAGAAAUUGGAUCUCCACUUUCUCUUAACUUCAUUACAUGUUGCUCAAGUUCACACAUGAGGCACCAAUCUCUGAUACAAGCUGGUAAUUAGUUAACGGUUAGUGAGAUCGUUAUUCAAAAUCCAAAGAAAAAUACACACACUUACAUACAUCUAGACACAUAUCCAAGUAAAUAUACAAAUGAAGCAGACUCACGCAUGUAUACAUGUGUACAAGACGUAGGCAAAGGUUUCAAAUGGCAAUGAAGAGAAAGAAAUAAAAGUACAAUCACUUACAAGCUCUAGAAUGCAAUCUCUGAAGCAGAAACACAAGGAGAGGCUUUGUGCAGGUCAGACACUGCAAUACAGCAUUGGCAUAACAACUGCACAGUAAAAUGAAAGAAAUCUUGAAAAUACUUGACAAAUAAUAAAAAAUCCUAUGAGAUUUGUUUCAGUACAUUAUUGCAUUAAAAGUCUGUACAUUUCCUAUAUCUAUAAAAUUUUUCUAGAGCUAUUGAUAUGUAAAAGCACAAGAAAAGCAGGAAAAAUUUUGAAGAAAUACCUGUUUCCACAAUUUAUAAGACCUCUUGGAGACAUGUUGAAAACUUCAUACUGAAAGAACUUCACAAAAUCUUCAUACGGAAAUAGCAUCUGUGAAAUAAAAGAAAAAAAUUUAUCCAUAAACUUUCAUGAAUGACUAGGCCCAGAAUACACCAUUUAGAUUCAUCAGUCAAGCAGCUUAAGAACUGGCAAACAAAAUCUUUGCUGAAAUGUUUCAAACAGAUGCAUUACUCCUAUUUAAUAUUUUUGCUCUAUCUGUUUAAAUGAUAAUAGAACUGAUCCUAUAAUUCAGACCUUAACUUUCUUAUGCUGGUCAGAAUUUACUUCUGAAGUCUCUAGUCUCUCAAGUUUUGAAGGCUUCAUGAAGCCAAUCAUCUUCAUAAUUCCCAUGCCAGUAACACCAUUACUUCCUUGUGAAGGGCCAGCAUCCUUUGUUCGAUUAAUUUCUGUUUCAUAACCAAUUGUUAAGUAAACAUCACAGAUCAGCAGGGACAAAUCAGAAAAUGAUGCUUCUUUCAGACUUACUAGACUUAUACGCUGUUACACCCUUAAGAUCCAGAUCUGAACAUGUUUGUUCUCUGGACGCUUUAAUCACUGAUUUUGGUGAUUUAUGGAGCUUUGGAGAUUGAGAUGCACUUCUAGCCUUAUUGCUUCUCUUAUUUGUAGCCCUUUGAGUUGAACAACAUGCCUCUGCUACUUCAUCAUGAGAUGUAGUUUCCUUCUUCUGCAAGUUUUCUCCAUUCAUUGAAUAGGGAGUAUUACAUAAACUCGUUUCAUUAUUUGACGAGUUUGAGGUGGCAUAAUUAUUUCUCAUGUCAGAAAUAUGCUUGCUCUGUCGUCGAAUCAUAUGAUGUUCUUCCUGUGUGCUUCUUGCAUUUGCAUUUGCAUUUCCAUAGCUCACUCCCAUAGGAAUGCUGACAUCAUGGUCUAGCAAAGAAUCACUUUCUCUUGACUGCAACCAAAAGUAAGACCAGUUUUCAGGAUAUAACAAAUAUCUACAUAAAAACUUUAUAAUGUCACAGUUGGCAAGGCUAAGAACCUUGUGUCCCAUAGAAGCUUGCUUCACCGGCAUAUUACAAGACAAGGGUGAACAAGAAACCCCAUUAGGAUUUGCUCUAUCAGAGCAAUCUGGUAGGUGCUCAAGACCAUUAUUUAACGUUUCUCUGUUGCUUUUACAAGAAGGUCGCUUGUCCACAGAUCUUCUCUCUGUCAAAGGGGUCCCAGAUGUAUCCACUUCCGCACAAGCUGUAACAGCUACGGGCAGCAAGGGAGAACAACUAGUAUUCUCUGAAGGAGUUUCUUCAAGCAUAGGUUGGUUGUUAUUGUACUCAAAGGAUUGGAAAUCUACACUGCCAUCAAGUGAUACUCCACCAGGAAACUCAUUGGCUAGGGUGAGUUUAGGAGAUGAAAUGCUGCAAUUGCUAUCCAAUUCCUGGCACUCAUGCUUGUGCACUUCCCUCCAAUGAAUAAUCUGACACUUUCCGGAACUGCAAACACAGUAGCUCAAAAGUUUAGACUAACAAAUAUCAAGUUGACAAAUAACAAUUACUCUUAAGCCUCAGAAGAGAACAGCUAGAUACAUUUUUUAGGAAUAAAACUAAGAACAAUUAGAUAUAUCUUUCCAAAUCCUUUAUUUUAAAUCAAUGUAAUUUUGUCAUGCAUUCUAGCAAAACUUGUUCAGUAAGAAUUAUAGAAUACCGCAGUUAACCACAGUUCACAUACCGAAGAUAAGUUUUAUAUUCCUACAGUAUAUGCAGAUACAAAUUACAUGCAAAUGUGUUCAAAACCAACACUAAGAUCAUACCAGUACCAAACAGACUUGCACCGUUUACAGCGAGUUGUACUUUGACCAAAGCAUCUUGCACACUGAUGAGUUGAAUUGUUUGGCAAGCAUAACACAGGGGCAACAGUAGUAGCAGUCAUUGCUUCAACUCUAAGAGAUUCUUCAGCUGCCUGUUGAGUAAGCAAACUAACCCUCUCUUUUUUUUUCGUUGACUCGCUCCAUUUUCCUAGCAAGAUAUAUGUAACCAGGGGAAGCACAACAAAGACCAGAAACAAAGCUGGUAUAUCAGUUUCCCUUGGCUCAAGCAUGUCCUCACCAAAACAAUCAUGUCCCGUUUUCCUCUAAAACCUCUUUGGCAUGGCAGAUCGCACUUAACUACAUGUAAGAAUUAUAGAAACAACACAGACAUCAGCUAAGUAGACAACAUCAUCAACUUCAUCAUUCAACUCAAUUGACUAAUCUGCUGCACAUCAUUAUAUAAGUGAUUAUCAACCAACCAUCACAGUUAAAGGCUAUGCUAAAUUAUUAGUUCUUUAGACAGAGUAUACAUCUCAUCAACAACAAAAAACAUAGAGGUCCAGUUAUCUCGAAAGCUUCAUGGGCAUGACUCAUCCUUUCUGUGACUAAAUUCUAUGUAACCAAAGUGAACAUCCAGAUAUAUCAAAUUUCUGAAGGUCUUGUUUCAUGUGGGCACAUAACUAACCCUAUUGUCUAUGGAAGACAUGAUCCACGUUCUGAAGUGCCUAAGCAAAUUUGUUACUAGUUCAAUAAAGAAUGCCAGAAUAAAUGAGAGUUUCCAAAUUACGUUUUUGCUUCCAAUUUGGCAGAUGUAAAUUGAUAAGUAGCUCAAUUAGUAUACAGAUCCAACAGGACGACCCUGGCAUUAAUUUUGAUAACACGUUACCAGUCCAAUAACCUGGAACGAAAAGCCAUUAAGAGAAUAUAAUCAGCACGAGGAAGAGUACAUUCUAUUAACUGCUUCAACACUUAUAGCAACUGCAAGACAUCAAACAAACUGUUUGUUUCGACAUUUCUUUGCUUAACUUUAAAAGAACCUUGUAGCUCUCAUUUCUCUCAUGCCGAUGACACAUCCAAUGCAAUUUUAAAUGAAACUACCGCCCUGAAAUAACUAACCAUUGGAUACUAAUGAUUCAAUUCAUUCCACCUUAGUAACUUUCAUGCAUCAACGUAUAGAACUGCAUGAAGAAAAUUUCAAGAAUUGAACUUUAUUAAAUGAAAUUAAAAGAAGAGAUAAUAUGAUCAAUAACGCAAAUCCACAAAUGAUCAGCUGAUGAUUCGCUACAUUUGCUAAUGAAAGAAGCAACACACAAUGAGUGCAAAAUUACUCCAUCAUAACCCUACCAAGAACAAAUUUUUGUCGAAAAAACAAAGAGAAAGGAUGAAAAGAUUCAAAAAGGGAAAAACAAAAGACUCGCCCUAAUAUUACCAAUUAAAAACAUGUAUGACAAUGAGAACACUGGAGGGACAAAAUCCUUUCUUUUUCCACAUUCUCACAUCUAAUUCAAUUAAACCCCCACCUAAAACUCAUCACAUUCUACCAAUUCCUAGUACAAUUUAAAAACAGGAAAGAAAAAUCAAGUACAACAUUGCGUUCCCCAUUGCCCGCCCGGCCCCAGCCACCCCCCGCCCCAAAAAAAACAAAGAACAGCUGAAAUACUCUGCACAGAUAUAAUAAAAAUCAAAUCAUUUCUACCAAAAGCUACAUAAAUUCACCAAACCCAGAUGGAAUCAAAGAUUAAAUUAAAGAAUUGACAAAAAAAAAAAAAGGCUGAACAUAUAUCCGUACGUAAUACACACAAGUGAAUACGAUGGAAUAUAGAAAAGUUGUUGGGUUGGGACUCCUGAGCAUAUACCUUAGUUUUCCCACAACACCAAGAAAAACCCAACAACAUUUCCACCUCCUCUCCUCUUCCUUUUAAUCUUAAACCCACCAAGAAAAAAACAAAAGAUUCCCUCGGUUCCUCAGAUGGUAAGAAACAAAACGGUUACACUUCUCUCAGCUUCUUCUGCUUCUCUUCUUCCUUUCUCUCUGUAAAAGGUUGGCCUUAUUCACAUCACUCUCUCUUGUUCCCUCUAAGACAUGGUAAUAUUCCCCUCUACACACUCGCACAAAACCCACCAGAAUCCCAUCAUACGUGGCACAACCCCAUUAGUUGGAAAGAACCCAGUCGGAGAUUUCAUCAUCUGGAGCGUUAGAUUUGACCGUGUGCAUCCGGGGAAUUAGAAAACGUGAUGCAGAGAAGUACUAGUGCCAGUACACUACUCUCCCUCUUACUACUGCUGCUGCUGCUACUUACUGAUGCAAGAAAAAUUUGUGGAUUAUCUAUGGUGGGGGGCCUUCGCGGUGGGGUCCAUCGGUCAUCAGGUGUUCGGGAUUUCCAAUAAUUUAAGCGGGUGCCACGUGUACGGCCAUGAUUAUGUAAUGACAUUGCAUGAUUUUGGUGUUAAAUGCACAUUGAUUUCGAAAGGAAGUGAAUAAAGUGGGUAAUGAGCGUGAUCCCUCAUGGACUCUGUUUGACCAGUGACGUCUCCCCCCCCCUCCCUCCCGUCUGUGAGAUACUGUCUGAGUGAUGGGUUUUUCACCUUCUUAGGAUUUUUCUUUUCCUUUUUUUUUUUUUGGGGGGUGGCUGUGGGUGAUGGAGGGAGCAUGUGACAAACAUGUAACAGUAGCACUAAAGAUUACAGAGUACGUUUUCUUGUGGAACUAUUCCCAAUAAAUAAGAUGCUCUAUCACUGUUCUAAUCUUCUAUAGUAGUACAUAAUUGCAUGAUGCCUAGCCCCAUUUGGUAAAAAGCAAUUUUAAGGUUUUCAUUUUUUGAUAAUUCUUGGGUCUGUUUGGAUUGUAAGUUAUUUGGGAUUAUUUAGGAUAUUUUUACUGUAGCACUUUUUGUGAUGUGAUGUAUGUGAGAUAAAAAGUUAUUGGGAAGAUAAAAAGGUGUAUUGGAAAUUGUAAAGAUGAUGUAAGCAAAUAAAAUUGGGGAAAUAUGAAACAAUCCAAACAAACCCCUUGAUUCAUUAAUAAGAACAUGAAUGGUUGCCUUAAUUGCUAGACGAGGAUCCAUCACAAAUACUACUCCCUCCGUCCCACUUUAAUAGUCUUGUUUUCCUUUUUGGUCUGUCCCAAAUUGUAGUCCACUUUCCCAUUAAGAAAUGUAGUGAUCUUUCAAAUUGUCUACAAUACCCUUAUUAAAUAUUUUGUUAUUAAUACAUUGUUAUUAAAUACUAACCCACUACAUUGAAUACAUUGAACUUUUUCAAUGCACUCUUCGUGAUUAGCAUAAGGGUAUUUUAGGAAAUUAUUACUCUAAAUUUAUGUUUCCAACCAAAUUAAUUACACUUUCUUAAUCUGUGUGAAAAAAAAACCAAGACUAAGAAAAUGGGACGGAGGGAGUAAUUCUUUUGCUUUUGUUGCUACAUUCAAAUGAAUUUAUGGGAAGAUUUAACGAGGAAUAGGACGGAUUAAUGCAGCAUUUAUGGCUCUUUCUUUUGGCUUUGAAGUAUUUUACAAGUCAGAAACGAGUAAUUGUUGAUUAAUUCAGUACUUUUCAAGGAUUUCUUGCCCCAAAAAAAAAAAAAAGAUGGCAUUUAUUUGACAACUCUUUUGUUGUUCUUUCUUGCACUUUUCUAUGUGAACUGAUCACAUGAUAAUGGUAGGAUUAGAGUGCUAUACAGCCAAAACUCGAGAGUUGUAACGUAUGAAGUGUGAGGUAAAAAGGGACCUCUCGCCCUUGCGGUUACAGACAUCAUCUUUUGUCCUGAUCAUGAGUUACGUUGAAUAGGUUCCAUUUUUCAUGUCACAAUCUUUGAGUUGAGCUUGGCUUUUUUGCUGGUUUUUAAACUUGUUGGCUUUAUCUUUUAGCAAAAACUUAUUUACAGGAAUCACUUUUCCAUCGUGUGAUGUAUACAAUAGUUAGGGGAACUUUCUUUUCGUGGUCAUGCACCAUUUUCGUUCUCAUUUUUCUUAUAUCAUUAUGUAUCAGCUAGUGUAUAUAUCGUACAGUCUAUAAGUAAUUUUAUAGAUCAAGCGAACGCAAUUUUUUUUUUUUUAUCACUUGCACGUGUUUUAAUGCCAGAAGGCAUGAGUUCGUGACUUUCAAAGUUAUGAGCUCCAUUUUUCAUAUGUUUUUAGAAUGUUGUAUUUAGGCUCCAUUUUGUGUCAUAGUUCUCGAUGUGAUCAAUGUUUUGAAAAUCGGAUCAAAUUGGAUGGUUCGAUCGGUCGAGCCGUGAACUGGUCUUGCUUUCGGCCCGAUUCAAUAAAUAAUCAAAAAAAAAUGAAUUAAACUCGUCAAAUUCAGUCAAAAAUCGAUUCAACCGAUAAAAAUCGAUAAAACAGGAGGUUCAACAGGUUUUUAUUAAAUUUGUAUUUCUAAAAUAAAUAUUUUAAUUUUAUUCAAAGUUUUUAAUACUAAAAUAAAUUUAAAAAAUUAUUAAACCUUUGAACCGAAAUUGAAUCGGUUGAACUGAUCAAACCCCGAACCAAAAGGUUUUCCAGUCACUCUCCGUCACAAGUUAAAAAGCAUUGGAUGUUAGAGAGUGGAGACUCAUCUUUUAGCUUAAUCUUUAGUCAUAAUUUUCCAGUUUAUGGUACCUAUAUUCCAUCUUUUUCAGCAACCAAUAUAUUAUUCCAACAAGGAGUAACAGACUGUGGGUAUGCGUUUCCUUUUCUUUCUUUCUUUUUUUUUUUUCAUUUUUGGUCACUGCAUGCAAAUUAAAACAAUAAAUAGGUAAGGAAAUAAUUAAAAAAAUACUUUGCAAUGAUCCAACUUUGAUAAUUUAUGAUGCACGGAGAAGUUAAAAAGUACGAGCAAGCCAUAUAUUAUCACCUUAGAUUGUGGCUUUAAGCUAACAAUUCUUUUGGAAGUCCUUAAAUGAACAACUGUUUUCUUUUUCUUUUUUUGUACCUUGAUUCACAUGGUCCGAUUUUAUGACUACAGCCCUUUUCUUUUGGACAGUAUCUUUUCAUUCCACUCUCCACCCAAAAUUACCAGCGUAUGUGUUCUUAUGCUUCACUAAACCAGUUCUCCACCAUGUAUUUCUAUUAAACAAUGGCCAAAUAAUAAAUUUCUAGUUGAGCUUAACAAUAAUGUCUUGAUCCUGCGUUAUGUUGAAUAGGUUCCAUUUUUUCUUGCCACAAUCUUUGAGUUGAGCUCGGUUUUUUUGUUCGUUUUUAAAACUUAUUGCACAUUGGCUUUAUCUUUUGGCAAAAACUAUUUUACGGAAUCACUUUAGAUCAUGUGGUAUAUAUAUAUAUAUAAUAGUGACGUAAAUUUUCUUUCAUCGCCAUACACACUCGUUUUCAUUUUUCUUGUUCCAUUAUGUAUCAACUAUUGCACAUAUCACAUAUCAUAUGAUCUAUAGAGAAAGCCAACACCAAAAAAAAAAAAAAAAAAAAAAAAUUUAUCGUUUGCAUUCUAAUGCCAGAAGGUAUGAUGAGUUCAUGACUUUCAAAGUUAUGAGCUCCAUUUUUCAUAUGUUUUUAGAAUGUUUUAUUCAGGCUUUAUUUUGUGUCAUGAUUCUCGAUGUUACAGACUCAUAUUUAGCCAUAAUUUUCGAGUUCAUAGUACCUAUAUUCCAUCUUUUUUAGUGACCAAUCUAAUUAUUCCAAGGAGGAGUAACAGAAUGUGGGUAUGCAUUUCCUUUUUUUUUUUUUUAUUUUUGGUCACUGCAUGCAAAUGAAAACAAUAAAUUGCUAAGAAAGUAUUGUUUUUCAAAAAAAAAAAAAAACUACUUUGCAAUGAUUCAACUCAUGAUGCACAGAGAAGCCUUAAAAGUGCGAGCAACCCAAACAUUAUUAUUACCUUAGAUUGUAACAGUGCGAAACCAACUUUGACAAAACAACUUUUUUUUCUUUUUCUUGUUCGUACCCUUGAUUCACAUGGUCCAAUUAUAUGACUGCAGCCCUUUUGGCUACCAUCCAUCUUUUCAUUCCACUCUCCAUUACGUCUCCACCCAAAAUUACUAAUGUAUAUCUUCUCAUGCUUCACUAACCUCUAGUUUUCCACCAUAUGCAUGUGUUUCUAUUAAACAAUGGCCAGAUAAGUCCAUUGAAAAGGACCAAGUUGAUUGCCACAUUAGGUGAUGGAGUCGUUGUACAAGCGACUGAAUCUUUCCUCUUUAAUCCAUUGCUAAUGAUGGGAAGGCAAGUCAUGGGACCAGAGAGUUGAUGCAGACCCUGGGUAUGUUCUAAAAUCUCACCUGAUCACAUUAGUUGACUUGUACUUUGGAUUAACUACUUAAUGCUACCUUAUUGGAGCAAGUAUCAAACAAAUGUUUUACCAAGUCCAAAAGAUUAUGAAAAGAUCGCGGGCUUCUGAUUGAUUAUAUUUACGCGGCUAAAUGUUUCCACCAGAAUCAUGCUUGUUUGGCAGGUAAGGAAAAAUGCGAUGAUUUCCUUUGGUAAAUAUUCGAGAAUUCAAGUCUCGAAAGUGGCCAAAACCAACCCUAUAUAUAUAUAUAUAUAUCAAUGGAGAUAGAAGUUUGGAAAUGAACUAUAUUUUAGGGUACGCAUUAAUGUAUAAUCAACUAUGAUUUGAAAGAGUUGACGAUUGAAGAAAAGAAAAAUUACUGUCAAGCAUGGCCCAAUGAAAAAAUUUUACAUUUUUAAUUCAUGCAAUCGAUUGUAGGAUUAUUAAUCCGUCUAGUUCCAGUUAUUUGCAUACAUGGCUUUCCAUGACAGAAACGGGAGUCUGCAUCAUUUAUUAGAUGGAUGAAAUGAGUUGAGACACAGGAAACUGAAACUUACCUCUAUGCUGUGUGAAUGAUUUCUUCUUCUUAAUAUCACAAAAGAACUAAUAAAUAAACAAUACUACGUUAUAGAAUGUAGUAUUGAAUUGCCAAACGACUGUAGACCUAAAAGAUAAGAUGCGAUUUGGUUGGUUAAUUCUGGGUUCUUGACAAGAUAAUAACCAAGUAAGUUCUCAAAGACAAACACAGAAAAUUGAAAAUAAAAUCAGUCAAAAUAGUAUUACUAGCUCAUUAAAAUUCUGAGACAUCUGGGGGAAAAAAAAGAGAUAGAGCAAGGGAGAGAGAAAAAUACACCAAAGAACACUAAAUUGCGAUGAUUUCAACAAUUUACAGCUGCCAUCACCAUUACUCGCUUUAUUAAGGAAGGCAUACUUUUUUUUUUUGUCGCAACGAUAGGAUUGCUAUAACCUAAUCUAGUCUAAUCUAGGAGAAAGGGGGGACUCCAUCGAAAAUGACCACUGAGAACUGUCACAUAUUGUGACAAUUUUUUUGUGUGAGCCAAGGGUCGAACCCUUGACCUUCCGCACUACUGGACCAAAGGCCCAGUGGCUUAAGGAAGGCAUACUAGCUGUGGGCCUUUCUGAGUAGAGGUUCUUAACAUCCUAAAUAGCCCAUAAGACCAGUGAGAUUCAGAGAAUAAUAACAAUUUCGUCCUUUAUUUCUUGAACUAAUUAAUCUAGUGCCUCAUGUUUACUCUGAACGUUGGUCAUUAAGUGUGGAAAUUUCCAACUCUAUCCCUAAUCUUUCUCCUAGUGAGCUCACUAAUGCCAUUAGAGAGUAUGAUAUUGAAACCAUCAGGAGUCCACUGUGUCAAAAUUAAGACAUAAAGGGGGUUGAAUUGAUUAAGUGGUUUUCAAAAUAUGGAGGAGGAACUGUUACAAUUGUAAGUAACUAAAACUGUCUUUGCCGCGGUAGACUUAGUUACAAUUUCUUCUCAUAUUUUGAUGGGAUCAAUACUUUGUAUGACAAGGCGUGAGGACAAUUUUCAUAGGCAUUUUUAGUUAGGCUUGUUUGAUAACCCAAUUCCGCACUUAAAUUUAACGAAAUCAAAUCUUAACAUAUUCAGACCGUUUGAUAAUAAAAAAUUGAACAUAUGAAUUAAUUAAGUGACACUGAAUUCUUAGGCAAAACUUGUAUCCAAAAUUAAGUGAUAAGUAUUCACUUAUCAUUGAAUAUGAUAUGUACUUAAAUGUAUUAGAUUUAAUACUUAACAAUUUAAUAACUUAAUAGAUUCAGAUUUUAGAUUUCAAAUUUCAAAUUUUAGUUUCAUUAAACGUACCUUUAGUUAUUACUAUAAGAUAGCAAAUUUUUAUUUUGUUUUCCUCUUGGAACCCCAAAACCUCAACAAAAAAAAAAAAAAAAACAAUGCCAUUAGCUGCUUCUAAUCCAGAAGAUCAAUUGAAUAAUUUGAAGUUACUUUCAAAAUUAAAAAGAAAAUAAAAGUCUUUAGUUCCUAUAAUCUUCAUAAGCCCCUAGUCAUGUCGACUUAGUGCAUUAGAUUACUAUUGAACUUUGAUUUGCUUAACGAGCUUAAAGAUUAUAUGCUCAAAUCAACAUUAACUAGCAAUAACACUCACUUGUCAUACAGAAUUGGAGCCAUUUUUUAUAGGGUCUGUCUAAUGAGUGUUCUAUAGACACUCACUAAAAUAUAUUUUAAAUGUCAUAUAUUUUUAAAUUGAAAAUUAAUUAAAAAAAUAAAAACGAAUGAGGAUAGGUAAAAUUAAAUUAAAAAAUUAUAUAAAUGCCCUGUGGGGCCAUUAGAUUAACUCUUUUUUAUAUGUGACUAAAAUGUUUUAAUUUCAAGAAGUUGAAUCGGCACAUCAGUUCUGAACAAAUGCGCUGUUGGUAAAUAUGCAAGCAAUAGAUGAAACCUCGUCCCCAACAAGAAAAGCGUAAAUAAAUAAAUAAAUAAAAUCCACGUUAAACACAUGUUAAGGAUUUAUUGGCAGCAAUCAUAUUUCAACUACCCAAAAGACGAAUACAGCCGCAGCUUGUAAUAAGACUAUGAAUUUUACCCAAGUUAUCGGAAAAAUUCAUCAUCAGUCUCCGAAUUCCGGACUUAGGAAAGAAAUCCAAAGACUUUUACUGACACUUGCCGAGCUAGAAUCCCUGGAGUCGACUCCAUACUUCCGGAGCUAUGAAUAAUAAUAAUGCUUCUGCCUCUCAUCAAAAUUUCUCCCAAGAACAUCUCAAAAGCCCUUUAAUACUUCCCUUCGCCGCCGCCGCCAAGAUGGAGCAACCACCGGAGCCAACUGCCAAAAGAUCGUACUGGAGAUUCAGCAAAGAAGAUUUCUUCCCAGAACCCACAUUCGAGAAUUUCUCCACCUACCGCUCCGCCGUGGCCAAGACGCCUCAGAGGCUGAAAGAUCGCCUUUUGAGCCGCUCCUCAGACGAUACCGAGCUGGUGGUUCUCAAGAAACAGUCAGAGAAUUCAAUGCACCAAUGCCUCACCUGGUGGGAUCUGAUGUGGCUUGGUUUUGGCUCUGUUGUGGGCUCAGGUAUUUUUAGCCUCACUGGCCAAGAAAUUCAUGAUCAUGCUGGCCCCGCUAUUGUUUUGUCCUAUGCAAUUUCUGGGCUUUCUGCUUUGCUUUCAGUAUUUUGUUAUACUGAAUUUUCUGUGGAUAUCCCAACUGCUGGCGGGUCGUUUUCUUUUCUUAGGAUUGAGUUGGGUGAUUUUCUUGCUUAUAUUGCUGCUGGGAAUAUUCUGUUAGAAGCAAUUGUGGGUGCUGCUGGAUUAGGCCGUUCAUGGUCAUCAUAUUUUGCUAGCGUUAUUAGUAGUAAUCCUGAUCUUUUAAGGAUAAAGAUUGAUUCUUUUCCUGAAGGGUUUAAUUUGUUGGACCCUCUUGCUGUUGGGAUUUUGGCACUGUGUAAUGGGAUAGCCAUGUCUGGGUCUAGGAGGACUUCUAUUUUGACAUGGGUGAGUUCCUUAAUCAGCGCAGGCGUGAUUAUUUUUAUUAUCAUUGUUGGUUUUAUUCAUGCCGAUACUUCAAAUUUGGUGCCGUUUUUCCCAUAUGGACCUAAGGGGAUGUUCACUGCUGCUGCUGUUGUGUAUUGGUCUUAUACUGGUUUUGAUAUGGUAGCUACAAUGGCUGAGGAAACCAAGAAGCCCUCAAGGGAUAUACCUUUGGGGUUGGUUGGUUCAAUGUCUAUGAUUACUAUUAUUUAUUGUUUGAUGGCGUUGGCACUGGCAAUGAUGGUGAAAUAUACGGAGGUGGAUGUUAAUGCGGCGUAUUCGGUUGCAUUUGAGAAGAUUGGGAUGAAAUGGGCUAAGUAUUUGGUGGGAAUUUGUGCUCUUAAGGGAAUGACUACAAGUUUGCUUGUGGGAUCUAUGGGGCAGGCUAGGUAUACGACCCAGAUUGCGCGAUCACAUAUGAUUCCACCUUAUUUUGCUCUAGUUCAUCCAAAAACUAGGACACCAAUUUAUGCCACACUUUUGGUGACUACACUUAGUUGCAUUCUUUCUUUGUUCUCAAGUUUGGAUGUCUUGUCAAGCGUGUUUUCAUUCAGCACACUUUUCAUUUUCAUGCUUAUGGCUGUUGCAGUGCUCGUUAGGCGGUAUUAUGUUAAGGAUGUCACUCCAAGGAACGAUCAUGUCAAAUUCCUUGGUUGCCUGUUUGUCAUAUUUGGCUCAUCAAUCGGGGUCACAGUUUUUUGGUGUUUGAACAAGGGUGGAUGGAUUGGGUAUGUUGUGACUGGUGUGUUCUGGUUGAUAGGCACCUUAGGAAUGGCAUUUCUUCCAAGAAAGCGGUCUCCUAAAGUUUGGGGUGUUCCCCUUGUUCCAUGGUUGCCAUCUUUGUCAAUUUUCAUAAAUAUCUUUCUCAUAGGAUCUCUUGGUGUAGUGGCUAUCUGGCGGUUCGUCAUAGCAAGUGCAGUAAUGCUAGUUUACUAUGUUUUAGUUGGUGUACACACAACUUAUGAUGUGUCUCAUCCGGAGGAACCAGAAUUGAAAAUUGAAGAGGGUAAGGCAAAUGAGAAUCAAGGAACCUCGUAGUGGGUAUGAUGCUGUAGAAUUUUACGUGCAUUGUUCAUUGUAGUUCAUAGACUGAUGAUUUGUGUACUCAUCCAUUUGAUUAGAGGCACGUUCAUCCAUUUGAUAUGCAUAACGCAUAGUGCUACAUUUUAGUGCUUAGACUUUGAAGUGUAUAGCCAUGCUUGCUUAAAUUUGUGUACCCUAAAGAAGUCUGUUGUGUAUCCAUUUUCUUAGAAAAUUCUCAUUGUUAAUCACCGAACAAAUCCACUUGUUACAGAUAGCAUCUUGCUGUCUACACCAAAUAGGUGUUGACUGUUCUAUCUGUCAUUGUACUUGGGGAAAUGGAGUGAUAUUAAAACUGAAUUAUUUGAUUAUUCAGGGCGCACGUUGAAUUUCUCUAUGUGAUUAGAUUUUCAAUCCAUAACUCAGGCCAAUUUCAAUUUAAUGGCACCACUUUUGAAUUUCAUGAAUGCUUUAUUUCACUUUUUCAUGAGAGACUCGGACCUUUUAUUGGCCACAAUCAGUGGUGCAGUUAUCAUUUCUUUUCCCUGUGAAGAUGCUUUUCUUUAGUAUGUUUAUUGUGAGGCACUAUGUACUUUUUCUAUGAGAUGAUUUAGCACACAGCGGAAUGUGCUCCAGAAGUGUUGACCUAAUUCUGUGCUUCCAAUUUCCAAAUGUUUAUCAAGUUUCUGAAUUGAAGUAAGGAGCUGGGAUAGAUUAUCCUUCUCUCAGCAGUUGAAAUUAAUGGCGAUGUGCUGAUUUGGCUGUUCUUGCUUGAACUUUUCUUUUUUUGUGACUGUAAGUUCACCUUUUUGGCUUGCUGAAGCUUACCAUUAGAUUACUAACUUGAAAUUACUUGAUAGUAGCCAAUAUCAACUUAAUAGGAAUUAGCUAGAUUCAGUUGUCUCACUUUGCAUCUCUGAAACAAAUUUUGUCAAGCCUGUUCUGCUUAACAAAUUGUAGGAUCAGAAAGUUGUACAUAUCUUUAAAAUUUUGUCCACCCUCACUGAUGAAUUUUAUGCUUAAUGGUAGACAAUAUGCCAAAGCAUUUGGUGGCUUGGUAAUCCAGGAGUAGUGGAUCAACAAGCUCAGUUGUCUGAUGGUCUUGACUCUUGAACUCAUUUUUUAAGUCAGUACACUUACCCUUAGUAAUAUGUUGUCUGGCUCAAGAAACAGUCACAAACAGAGAUAAGGCCAAAUAAAAACACACAUGUAUACGAAGCAUUUUUAUGAUUUCAGAAGGACCUUUCUCCAUUUCACUUUCAAGUGAAAGAAACUUCCCAGUCCAAAUGUGGUCAUUGUGCUGCAAAUGCGGAAUAGGGAGUACAUUUAGUGUUAUUUAUCGAUGAACAAUGUGGUCUUAAUGAUUGUGAAAACCUCAGGCUGCCAUUUCCUUGCGCUGACUUCAUUUAUGCAAAUUGCAAUUGUUAUUAUAACGUUGAGGGUUGUGGUGAGAUGUUCAUUGUGGAACUUUUACAUCCAUGUGGUGAUCAAGGAUUAUAAUGGAUUUCCACCUGCUCUUAGAUGCAAUGCUACAUAUGGCUGAUUGAUGUGAAAUACAGUUGCUACAAACUUGAUAUGUAGUUGUUUGCAUGAUAGAGUAGAUGUUCUUAGUGCCACUUCAUUGACCACACAAGUCUCUUUUAAUAUGUUGCACUAUGACCAUAGUCAAAUUGCUUCAAUUAAUAAUGUCUUGUAUAUCAUGUAUUUCAUAGUAGUUUUUGCCUGUGGCAACACAGAAUGUUGUGUCAUUAGAUUUUACGAAACGUAGAUCCAUCUCGUCAAAGCCACCUGAUGUUAUUUUUUCUUUCCUUGUGAACGUAGUAUUUUCCGGUUUGUCAGGGGAACCUUUCUGCUCUUUUUUCUCUCGUUUGCUUGUGCAUAAAUGAAUCUGUGUAUGGACUUGGCCACUUCAACAUUGGCUCAGCUCUCGAAUUUUUGAGUUCCAACAUUUUCCAGCCCAUCAAUCCGGGUUGAAAGAUGUUUCUUCCCCGUAUCAUGGCUUGCCUCUGCCCCAAGCUGCAGUAUCCCUUAUCAAGCAAGUAGCAGCUAUCUCCUUGUUGGAUAGAGAGAAGACCAACUCCCCCUGCCCGAUUUUUGUCCUAGAUGUGGAAUUAUGGAUUCUGGAAUUGUUGGUGGCAAACUAGUUAUACGCAUGCUUGAUGAAUGAUAAAACGUAAGGAGCCAUCAUUUGUAUGCUGCAUACAGAUUCAAGUUCAAGGAAGGUUGAAAUUAUUGGAAUUGAUUACUAUAGCGUAUGACCAAUUAUUGUGCCAAUCUGCUGUGGAAGUAUGGAGCAUGCAAAGCAGAUAUAUGUACACGUUUAUCUUCUGAGAUGAAAAUUUGCAUUUUAUGCUAGUAGCUAGCAUAGAGAGCAAAUGUAUUGGCAUGUUGAGGGUCAUCAUCACGCGUAGGCUGCCCGCCUGCAGAUAUGUUGAAAAGUGAGUUGAGGGUUAUCCAACUACUCAUUUUUCACCUCAGGAAAAUGGUACUUUUUCUCUGGCCUUUGCCAUCAAAUCUAAUGUCAUUUUGGUGUAGUACUCGUCGGUUGGUAAUCAAGUGGAAAGUAUACGGACUUCUCCCUUUCUCUGAAUGAAACGGCAAAGACCUGCCGUUGCGUUCCAAUCGCUGAUAGGUCAGAGAAUUAUUACUUAUAGUGAAAGAAAGUCCUCCUGUGCUUUUGGUGACCAAAUCAGAGGAGAGAUUUGAGGAUGGGAUGGAGUUCUUAUCCUCAAUUCUUUUCAAACUCAAACAGAACGUGGAAAGAGUUCCAUAAGUACCAGAAAAAGCGGAUUCUUGGGAUUAUUGUCGUAAGACUCCCAUUAUCGUUGCCACCUUUUUCUGGGUUCACUUUGAAGAGCAGGCAAUCCCAAAAUUUCGAAUAAACGUGUUCAAUUGUAACUUCUCUUGGUAAUUUUUCUUGCAAUAGAAGCGAUCCUCCGAAUCGACCCGCAACACAUCCUUGCUCGACAUAUUUUAUUUCCAGUCCACUAUCGUCCCUUAGUGCUAUGCCACCGUUUUCGUCACUGGUUCUAUUUAUUUAUGACUAUAGCAUGAUUGAUUUGUGGAUGUAUCUCUCGAACCAUUCCUUCAAUUUGUACAGCAGCAGCACUGUAGAUAGAUUAAUCUCCCGUUGUUAGAUAGUCGCUGUCCAUCAUUAUCAAGCUAGCGGCUUGAAGCUAGCACCAACGAGAGACCCGUCAAUCCAUUCGCGUACUACAUAUUGGUGGAAUGUUCAUGAAUGUAAUCUCUGCAUGCGAAGCAAAAAAAGAAAAAUUAUUGCAGGUUCCCUCGACUCAUUAUGCGCACGCACGCCCUUUCAGUUUUCAAGCUAACUUGCCACCUCCCAAUCAAUCCCAUCCGAAUGUCUGGCGAGUUCUUUUUCCCUACUUCAGACUUCCUGAAGAGCUGCUAUUUUCAAUAAUAAUAUGUCUUUAUCAAAAGGGGAAUGCGUGCGUGGAUAAGGUUGCAGCAGACUCUAUCCCAACAAGAUGAAUAGUAAAUAAGAGCAUGUAAAAGAAGUCCGCAUGGCAGAAGUUGUCUCCAGUUUUUUGACCGACUCAUGUCGGCCAGGGACCCUAGCCAACAAGCUUCGGCCGUCUCAAAGCUUUUGUUUCUUGGCUCCUCAUUUUGUAGAAGAAUCUUCAGCCCCCUUUGCACCCUACCACGUAGAAUAGAGACUAAAAAUUAGUAAUAGAAGAUGGCAUGCGGUGCCGGCGGUAGCACUUUUUCGGACCCCCAAUUGAAUGCUAGUUUGAAUGGACAUGUUUUUCGUUUAUCUAGUCUUGUAGAGUAGUAUAAAUUAAUAGUAGCCCCAGAAGCCACCCACCCAUCCAUCCAUCCAUGACACUUUAUCAUUGAUCAGAUGAACAACAAUCCCAAUCAGGGUCAGCUGCAGUUGCAGCUUUUUGUUCUUCUGAUUUUAAUCAUGUCUUGCUUUCUCAAGGCACAAGAAAAGGAAUAAUUUGACUAAUUCUACACGGUAAGGGUGUAAACUAAUAAUAAUAAUGCGGCUACUACUACAGUACUGGCCACACGCGCGGCGGCUUUAGACUAUAGUACAGUCAGCUGAAUUUUACAUGGUCAAAAAAAUCGCAAUCUACAAAAUUAUUGGUCUCAAAAUUUUGCACAAUACCGCUGGUUCAGUUUUGGUUCCGGAUUACAAUAAUAAGAAUCAAUCAGACACAACUCAAGUGAUUGGAAGAAGAUUGAUGAUUUUCAUUCCUAUUUCUGACUAGGAAAAUCUUCUGAAAGUCAUUUCUGACAAUUAAAACUUUCUGACAAAACCACCCGUGACCAUGAAAAGAAUCUUUGCUAUUUUUAAUAAACCUUGGAUCGAUCAGUCAUCUUUCAAAUCAACUACUACUAUUAGAGAUCACAAAAAAAAAAAAAAAACUAUGGCUUAAAUCCACAUUCCAAGAAUUAGAGAUCACACAUGGGAAGACACAAAGUAGACAGGAGCCUUAAUACCCUCAAAAGUUUUUUUGUCGCCAGGAAACUUUCAUUGGAUAGAACUUGCACGAGAUGUGAAGGGCCUCGCUGUUCACUGGGACUAGCAUUAGUAUUCACAGAUUUGACUUCAUACCUAAGCAAAAUGAUGGAAUGGAUAAACGAAUCCAUCCAUGUAUAUGAAUUGCUCGUAAUAAUAAUGUGUAUCAAGCCCUGAAAGUAAAGGGUUAUGGAGAAAUGUAGAAAACUGACCAAAUGGAAAAAUGAGUGAUGGAUGAUGGCCAAUUUUGACGAAAUAGCAGACUGGGAAAGUGGUCCAUUCUUUCUUUCUUGUUUAAUUUUUUUUUUUUUUUAAAAAAAUGAUCUAUUCUUCUUUCUAUUAACAACCAAGAAGGAUCUUCGAAGACCUUUCUUUGUCGAAAGCACAGUUCAACUCCAUACAGCGCCACGUGCGGUUGUGAGCAGCUCAUGUAUAUUAAUUAUAUGUCCCAUUUUUGGUCCAAGAUUUUUCUAGACACUUUGAAUUCGCUUUGGUGGGGUGGAAAAUGGAAAAUACAACAACUUUGAUUAACUAUAAUUCAACCAUCAGCUUGACUCAAUCCAAUUUCACACACUCGCCAGCCUUUGAUAAUUGAGAGAUUGUUCUGUGGUCCUGAGUGGGAAUAAAUUCGAAAGUCUUAGGAUUCAUAUUUCAUUCUCAUUUCUGGAUGCCAACUCGAUCUCUUACUAGUGUAUAUUUUUUUCCCUAGUGUAUUGCAUCGUUAUCUGAUCAGGAAAAAAAAAAAAAUUAAUGGGGACGAUGGGUUGGUUGAUAUUUGUUCUAUUUCCGAUCAGCACCGAAAAUUCGAAAGGGAAAGUCCCACUUCUAGAAACGAAAAAGAAAAAGAAAUGCAGGUUGUCAUUUUCACGAUGAGUUGGUUGUGAUUAACUAAACAAUAAAGCAAGAAGGAGGAAAGUUUAUUUGACUGUCUCUCUUAUGAAUAUAUAAAGACGUCCAAUAAAUUAGUCGUAAGAUUUGUGUCAUUCGACGAGCUAUAUAGUCUUUCCAGUCAUCAUCAGAUUAAGAUUGUGAUGGUAUAUAUAGUCUCUUUCUUUUUCCAUUCCUUUUACUUUGAAUUUUUCUAACGGGUAUAUGAUGGAUUCACAAGCUUGAUUAACAUUUAAUUAAACGUGCGCUUUCACAUUAUUGUGGGUACGACUACGCGGUGGAUUCGCAACUUGAUUAACAUUUAAUUACCCGUACGCUUUCACAUUAUUGUGGGUACGUAGUUAUAGAUGGGUCAGUUUCAAACUCCAUUUGAUGCUGCGAUGACUUAUAAAGAACCACUUCUGACACAAGUACUUAUAACAAGCGUACGUGCUUUUAAUUACACAAACUUGGGCUGCUUAAAUUAUGAAAAAUUAAUUAUCAAAUACCAUAGAUGUACUUUUAGUGAUUAAAAAUACCUUUUUUUUUUUUUUUGUAAACUCAUUGCAACCUCAAACGGGCUGUAAUAGAACCGCUGCAUUUAAAUACCGUGCCAAUUUUUUUUUUUAAAAAAACAAAAUUAACGCCUGAAGGCACCAUUCAGACAAAUUUCUUUUUCCACUUGUGUGAAAGAUAUGCCUAACUAUUGACUUACCUGCGGAGAAUAAACGUACUUAUACUUUGCGUCGUGCACUAGCAAAAGAUUGCUUAGUGUCCGUCAAAUCAUGCUAUUACUCACAAGUGGCGUCUCAAAUCAGCUGUGUUUUCCAGUUUCCACUAUGUUUUCUUGCCCAAAAAAAAAAAAAAAGGGGGCUGCGUUUUCCACUGUAUGUUUCUCAAGCCACUUUUAGCAAUACUACUUUGUAAUGACUAGAACGCUUUCGACGAAGGAUACAGUUUGUACCCCAUACAUAUAUGCAAUUUUAAAAUAAUGCAUAUUCAACUUAUACAUCUCUAGAUAGCAAAAUGUGCAUUGAAUCUAAUUGAAAAUUUUGUGAUUCUAGCUACUCCCGUGAGAAGUGAGAAGGCAAACCCUAGUUGAGUUUCAAGGUGAAGCACACUUGUUUUAAGCUAAAAUUUCGAUAUCUUGAUCUUCACUCAUGCAAUUAAAAGAGUUCACUAGUCAAAUGCAACAUGGUCAAUCCACGAGUAUGGAUGUGCCCUAAAGUUGACACCCCAUUGCCUAAAGAUAUGUACGAUUGAUCAUUUCAUUCGCUUAGAAAUCCUUCAGUCCUUGCUUGAAGAUCUUCCCAAUAUAUAAUACUACACCCCAUCCCCCCUGCGGUAAAAUCAAGAAAUUUUUUGUCCUGUUUGAUAAAAAGUAAAUUUUCAAUUUGGUGACCUUGGACGUGAGCCCUCAACUCAGAAAUCACAUCAAAAGAACAAAAAUCUUGAUGCUAUUUGUACGAUCCAAAGUUGUAAUGUAAAAUUAUUGUUGAUGAUACCAUGCAUGAACGCAAAAGCAUAAGAGAUCUUGCGAUAGGCCCCUCUUUAGAGUACUUUAAUCCAAACCAUAAGGGGAUUAUGUAUAACUUUUGAGAUCAUAGGAGGAGGUUAUGUUAAAAAAAAUACUAAACUACAGGGGGUAAAGUGUAAUUUGACCAUUUAGAUAUCAAUCCUAGUCGGAUGUGAUUUUGGGUACCAGUUAUAUUUAUCUGUUUCUAUGAUUGCAUCCUUGUUCCCAACCAUCUUCGCCUGGCUUUUAUAACCGACAUUGAUGUAUUCAAUUUCUUCAUAAUGUGCUGUUGUGAAGAAAUAUUGAGGUCUUUGUAAAUAGAAGUUAUAACAGAAUCGAUCUAGACCACACAUUUUUUUUUUUAAUCUCAAAGUUUGAGAAUUGAGUCCUCAAAGUCUCCUUUUGAAAGCUUGGGCAAAAGUCAAUGCUGCCUUUGGGCUUCUGGCUGGGUUGAUGAUGAUGGAUAAGAAUUACGACGACUUUGUGCCUUCGUUUCCUCUAUUCUAGAUCAGCAUGAACAUUUUGACUCCCCAGCAGCUCUACGGGAGAUGGGGACUACUUGAUCAAGGGGAAAAAAUUGGAGAAAAUCCAGGCUGACAGAAAUGAGCUCUAUGAUUAGAAGUCUCAGUUGUUUUAUGUACAGCAGCAAUCCACGAAGAAAAACCUACUACACAUUUCUAUGGAUUUACACUUAACUAGUACUAGUUCUUUUGGCAAACUACGUGGAAUUUCAAGAAAGAAUGGAAAGAUCUGAAACAUAAAAGGCACAGACAAAUUUCCUUACGAUCUGUUCAUCAGAAAAUCAGAAUCGAUGGUAACUGGAUAUAAAUCUCCAGUAGAUGUUGAAGAUGCAGUAAACGGGACUUCCAUUGAUACAUGCUGGGCACAGCUCUCAUUUGAAUAUGGUACUUCUUGCUGAUCGGAAAUCUCCUGGCCGGGCUCAACCUUGGUGCUCGAGACUCUCAAUUCUGAAAGCAGCUCUUUAUUAACUACUCGUCCUUCCAGCAUGCUAACCACGGUUGACAUGCUAGGCCUAAUGGUCGGUGAGGCAUUGGUGCAAAGAAGGGCUACAUGAAUUGUCAGUAUAACCUCUUCCUUGUUGAAGUUUGAUCCGAGUCUUGGGUCCACUAGUUCCAUUAGUUUCCCUUCCUCCUUCAGCAGAUUAGCCUAAAGAAACAGGAAACAGGAAAAUGGCAUUAGUAUCCUAGCUUACCAAGUGAUGACAGACAAUACAUAAUCUUGUAAGGAUGACGUCGUAAGCUACUAGCACUGAAUGAGAUUUGGUUAUUUUCAUGCCUAACAUAAGUCAGCAUUCAAAAUUAAAGCAACGAUAAAACCCAGAAGAUUAAACGCAAGAGAACAAGAUAACGAAAUUACCCAGUCAAGAAGAUAGAAGCAAUCCUGCUUUGGUUUAAGAUUGGUGUUACUCCUUCCACUGACAAUCUCCAAAAGGACAACUCCGAAGCUAUAAACAUCUGCUUUGUCAGUUAAGUAGCCCCUCAUUGCAUAUUCAGGUGCCAUAUAUCCACUGAAAAGUCAUAAAUAUGGAUUCAGGAUAUGCAUGUAUUGAUAAGUCACAAUACGUACUUGAUAAACUAUUCAAGAAUGAAAGAUGGUUCAUAGCUAAAAUGCACCAUUUACCAAUAAAUGGACAUAUGUUGGCACAGACCCAAAAAGAAAAAAAAGGGAUAAUGAACUUCCUUUUGAAAGAGAAUUAUGCUACAGACUUCCACAAGGAAACAUUGUGCAGGCACUCACAAGGUUCCAGCAAUACGGGUACUUAUGUGGGUGUUUUCUUCUUCAUCGAGCUUGGCCAGACCAAAGUCAGAUAUUUUGGGGUUUAGAUACUUAUCAAGUAGCACGUUGGUGGCCUUGAUAUCUCUGUGGACAAUCUUCAACCUUGAUUCUUCAUGGAGAUAAGCCAAACCCCUUGCUAUACCCACAGAAAUCUUGUGUCUUGUUGGCCAAUCUAAUUCCAACUUGUGAUCUUCAGGACCUGUCGGUAUCCAUGUGCAUCCAAAGAAUGAAAAAUAUAUUAUCUUGAGUGCAGAUGAAAUUUUUACUUGCACAUGAUUUUUGUAGUUGGAUUACAAAUUAGUUUACCAAACAAUGCACGAGCAAGGCUGUUAUUCUCCAUGUACUCGUAUAUAAGUAAUAAUUGGUUUCCCUCAAUGCAGCAUCCAUAGAGCUUCACAAGGUUAGGAUGUUGCAGAGCUGAAAUCAUGCCUAUUUCAUUCACAAACUCACGGUUCCCCUGCUUGGAUUUGGAAGAAAGCUGCUUCACAGCAAUGAUAGUGCCGUCUGCCAGAUGACCCUUUUGUAAAGAUGAAAUCUCAGGUUAGAAUAAAAAAUAUAUACAUAUAUUUUGGAUGUGUCCAUUAUAGCAUAAUUUUGACAAAGUUAAUAUCUUGGGGAAAAUAACCAUGGGUAUGGGUCACCUUGUAGACAGAACCAAAGCCACCCUCUCCAAUUUUAUUAGCUGCAUCAAAAUUAUUUGUAGCAGCUUUAAUUUGUCUUAGAGUGAAUGAUCCAGUAUGUAGGUCUAGUCCCUUUAAAUCUGCCAAAGAAACUUAUCAGUGUGAGCAUCUCAUAGUUGAUGCAUAAAUUCUGAGAAUAUCCAGAAAGAUCAAUAUGCCUGAACUUGAAACCAGCACAUAGACCAGGCUACAGUUGAUCUUGUCUCCCUUAUGCAUAAAUAAAAUGUUUCAUGCUCAAGAGAAAACACAAAUUAUUGUACUUAGAAUAAAAAUGAUUGAUUUACCAUUUUCCAUGGAAUCCCUGCACUGCAGACAGCCUUUCCACCAAAGAAUAACUAGAACCAUUGUGAUCGAAAACAGAACUGCAAGUACAAUUCCAGCUACAGCACCAACAGGAAAGCUAUCUCCAUGUUCUGAUGGUGGAGUAAAAUCUGAAUAUGGAGGGAUAGAGAGAGUGUGUGACUUAUCCAUCUCUUGUGUAAAGGUAAAAGUAAAAUGUUGGCAAUGUUUAAUUUUUGCUCCAUGUUCUUCAAAGGUUUCUGAAGGCUAGCAAAUUUUUUCAGAAACAACGUAAAAGCACAUCAGAAUUGUUCUAGGUAUUUUGUUCUGUGAAGAAGAAUCACAUGAAAACUAAUGCUCAUGCCCAAAUGAAAUUGCCUCUGCAUAGUAAUGGUUAGUGAAAAGAAAACACAUCUAGUGGAAGUGCAUUAUUUAUUACUUUCCAAAGGAGCUCUUAUUGGGUGUCCAUAAAUAAACUAUAACAAGUUAACACCAACUUUAAAAAAUUUAUUACUCCUUGCACGAAAAAUGAAAGCUUUAGAUGAUUUGAAGCUUACCAGGAUCCACAGAAACUGCUGAAAUCAGAGGACCAUAAACUCCCUUAUAGGGAAUACCAGUUGUCCCUUUUCCAGCCCAGAAGAGGCGGAUCGCUAAUGUGUUGUCAGUUACUACUGCUGUAAAAUUUCUAAUAACAGGUCUAUUAACUCCACCAGCCUCGUCCUCAAUAUUGAAAUCUUUCAGCACUAACUUCUCCUGAAAUAAUUACAGAAGUCAUCAAUAAUUAUGCAAGCAAAAAUACAUAAUACCUAAGGUAGAAGUUACCCCAACCAAUUUGCAGAUUUAUACUUCUAGCGAAGCUGCCAGCUUCUCAUUUGUUCUUUUUUUCUCCGACUUCAGAGAUUCCUGAUUCUUUUGAAAAUAUGAAAACUUCUAUACGAAACAAGUAAAAUAGGGUGUAUAGAUACCUGAAUAUAAAUAUCAAAGAUGCGCCUUCCCAGACUACUAUAAGUUCUGUCAUCAGUAAACAUGAUUUCAGCAAAAUGGAGGUUUACUGUGUAGUUCCCAUUGAGCAUACAGAAACCAUAAUAUGUCAGUGAAAGGGGGGAAAGUCGUGCAUCCAUGUAUAAUCCCGAGUUAGUCCCAGAUAUGCUUGCAUUGUUUGUCCAAGUAUAAGAAUCUCUGGGCCGGUCAUCAUCCAAGAAGUUGCCAGUGCUGCUAAAUGCCCAGUUACUCCUACUCUGGAAGAAUUUUGAAGCACCACCUGAAUCUAUAUCGUCGUCGUAACUUGUAUUAUCAUCAACUUUCACUUCUCUUCCACCACAAUUUAUAUGGAGAGAGUACCAGCCUAGUGUAAGCAAUUCAGAAGCUUUUUGUCAUUUGGACAAAAGAAAAAAGAAGUGAAAAACAUACAACCAAAAUGAAUGAAAAGUAUGACUCCACCCAAAAAAAAAAAAAAAUUAGUACUAUCAUAUUUUGAAACUAGUAUCAAGAUAUAUAAAUGAAUGCAACGAUUAAGUAAAGGAACCAAGAACAAAAUAGAUACGGCAAGGAAUAUCAGGGUUACAACGCAACUUAGUAUGCAUGCUUAUUCCAUCAUCUUUCUACUUUGGCCUUACUGCAGUUGCUAGCUUGACUUGUUAAAUGCAUUAAAUCAGGCCAAGAAAAGGAAAAAGCAGUUUAUGCUCAAAAUGAAAAUGUAAUUAAGAAGUGGGGUAGGAACAAUAGCCUGAGCGAAUAAAUACGUAAUAAGAUAUCAGAUCAGAAUAAUAAAUCUAAUUUUGCUCAAGCUGAAGCUUUAACUAAGUCAGCUAAUUUUUUGGUCAAGUGUAAAUGCUAUUACCACUAGAUCCUGAAUUUAUUGAUACUCUUUCAAGGAGAUCAAAAUUCAGGAAUUCUAUAAACUUCAAGUUUUCCUAGAGCUAAGAUGCUCAGGUCUAUUCACACAUCAUUAACAGCCGUUGCAUGCAAUUAGUGUUUGUUUGACUGUCAAAAUGAUUGAAACAUAUCAUUCAGGAAUAAACUCAAAAAUCAAGUGAAUUGAGUCCAAGAAUUUCACCCUUACUUUGUCUAUUUCUUUAGGUCUACAUGUGAUAAUAUUUUUUCACAAUGGAAAAGGUUUAACAGUUAAAUUGUAUCAUAUAAUUUUGCAAUUGAGGCCAUUGUGCUAAUUUAAUUUUCAUAAUGGAUCAAGUCUAAAUUUAGUGGCCUUCUCUACAGAGUUUAAUACUCUAGGUGAUUCACAAUUGAAUAAUGCUUAAAAUCCAGAAGCAGUCAAUCAAUGAUAACUUACUUCGUGGACAGCUGAAGCUCCUUAAGCAUGAGACAAUGCCUCUGAAAAAACAAUGCAGCAAUCCAGUAUUGCGUCAGGUUGAGAUUGGAAUCGUUUAUUAAGAAGAAGAUCAUAUCAAUAUUGUAUUGUUUAUAGAAAUGGAAGUGUCAUUAUAGUUGGACUGAAAACUUACGAUGUAUUGCCUUUUGAAGAGCUUGCAAACAAGUUCCUGAUAAACAAUUAACUUCAAAUGUUAGCUAGUACACAAAAUCUUGAGAUUGGAAAUAUUGUUUUCAGAGUACUAAAUGUAAGCUCACAAGUUUCCUGGUUGAUAGUUGGAUGCUUUAGAACUUCCAGUAAAGUUGUUGUAUGAAAGGUCACUGAAUAAAACUUUGAGACAUGAUCAGUUAUAACCUCUAUGACAGACUGAGUAGAAGAACUAUGCAUACUCAUGGCAAAUAUAUGAUCAAGAAAGCAGUUAAAUAAUGCAUCUUACACAUUGUCUUCUGUUCCUUUUAAGUAAAGUUUGCAUAUCUGUCUUUGUCAUUUAGUUUUCAUUGAGUUGUGGUCUGGAAAGCAGUCUAGUUAUUUUUCAUCUAGUUAAAAUGUCACAAAGUAAAAGCAAAGAAUGACAUCAGAAAACCUUAGCAGUCCUAUUUUCAGUUAUUAAGCUUCUUCAACAUCAGAAGCCAUAUUAGGACACAAUGUCGGACGAGAAGGAAAACAAGAGGAAAUAAAGGUAGAAUUUCUAAGUCAGAAUGGUGAUUAUUGACUGAAACAGAAGUACAUAAUGGAAAAACACAAUUUAUUGAUGAAUGGUCAGAGAGAGGUGAUAAACAACAGAAAACUCAAGCUUUUAUUUUUCUUGGGUAAAAGGUGAGGUAACUAAAGUAGAAACUUAUGGUACACAUGCUUGUACCAGAGAUGGAACUGAAACCAUAAUGCAUUAAACAACGAUGACAUCUUGUACUGUGCAAAUAUAUGAAACUGAACUCACAUACUGUCACCAUCUUUCAGCAUCCAAUCAGGCACUGCUCCACUGAGGAUGUUGCCAGUCAGAUAACUAGUAAAAUCAGCAUUCAAAAAUUAGCAAAUCUUGUUUGUUUCCCACAUUGUACGAGCAUCUUUUCGGAUACACACUAGUUUCAGUAAUAAGAUUUAUCAAUAUAGGAUCAGUGAUCAACAUUCUUACAUAUUAUCCGUUUUUGAUAGACCAAAAAAGGUGCUUGGAAUAGGUCCACUUAGUUUAUUAAAACUGAGAUCCCUGCAAGAGAGAGAUAAAUGAGUAGGUUGUAUACGAGGUACGGAAAAAUAGCCUUUUAAUUUAGCGAUAAUAGUUCUUCUGUAAGGGGCAGCCUCAAACAGAUACCAACGUUUUUCCCCACAUAAUUUGUGGUUGGCCAGCAUUCUACAUCAUGAAUGGUAGUUAAUCAGUUAGGGCACAAGUGGGUCUAUCCUUUUACUUAGAGAUGCAUGUAUUGGUGUACGAUGUCUACGGCACGACAACUCAUUUGUCGCCCAUCGUUAACUAGUUCUUUAUGGAUAUAACCUUAACAUCCAGGGAAAACAGUAAUUUCUAAUUCUACUCAUUGCUAUUUUCAAUAGCUCUUAUUUUGCCUGUUAUCAUCUGAGGCUUACCAAUUUCGCUGGUAUCACAUUUCAAUUAGCCCAAAAGUCGCCCCAAAAAAGAUGGUUCAGACAGUAGAUAACUCGCAAAAUUGGCCAAUUAUAUGGUUUAGCACCUCCCAACUAUUACUUCUUAGCCAGGACAAACUCUUCCAUAGAUUAGGUUGAAAUUCGCAAUCUGUUUGCCUAGCUGUUCAAGAUGAAUGGUAUAGGCUAUAAUACAGCUCUUCUCCUUUAUGUAUCUAUAACUGAUGUUCUUUUUGACAUAACUUUCAACAAACAAAUGCAAGUCAAGAGUUUUCUACUCUUGGGUUCAAUGCAGAUCAAAUCUUUGCAAAUGUGAAAAAUUGCCUUCUAAUCAUGCUCAUCGUGUGGCAGAAAUACUAUAGCAACAGCAACAUAUUGAACUUAACAAGAGGAAAUAAUCUAAAUCUACUCACAAGAGUUUCAAUUUUGUAAAUGAGCCAAGAAACUCUGGUAGCUGCCCGGCAAUAUUGCAACUCCUUAAUAUCCUAUUAAAAACAACUCCACAUCAGGUCAGAGCAAAAUAGUGGGUGUUCUCCCUUGAGAGUGCAACAGAAUUCUGUAAGACUCACAGCGUCUUCAUGUUAGUUGCCCCAAUAAGUGGGGGAAAAGUUGUGUCAUUUCCAUUCAAAUCACUGAUUCUCCUGUUUGUAUUAAUUCAAAGAUGACAAACUAUUAACAGAUUGUAUUGUUUAAACACUAAUUGAACUCCAUAUGAACAAGUAAAAACUUGAACUCACAGGUCAGUUAAUUUUGUCAAGGAAGCAAUGCCAGAUGGUAUUGGCCCACUUAGACCACUAGCCUGAAUCACCCUGUCAUCACAAGAAUUUAGUCGCAGAAAAAUCAACAAAACAUGGUGGAAAAGAACUAGCAAGAAAAAUAUUGCAAUACCAAAGAGGGCUGAAGAUCUCACAAUUUCUCAAGGUUUAUCCAGUUCUGAAUGAAAUUUGGUAUACUUCCUACAAACUGGUUCUCACCAAUGCGACUGCAUUUUCCAAAUAAAUUUCUCAGAAUCAGUACACAGAAUUGUGAAUGGAAAUAUAUCAGAAAAUUCUAAAUCCACUUAUAAAAUGUUCAGAUAGAUGAACUCACAAGUCCUUCAAAGUGGUCAAAUUAGCUAGUGUUGCAGGCAACUCCCCAGUGAAAUUGUUUGAGGUUAAAAGUCUUCAACGACAAGGUUAAAAAUUUCAACCAAAAAAAGGGGAACAUUUAUCAGUUCGUGUAGUCCAUUCAAGUAAAAGAAAAAUAAAACAAUUUGAUUGUUGAACGCAAAGCAGAACAACAGUUGAUCUUUUUGAAGGGUCUUACAUUCUUUCUAUGUGACGCAGAUUCCCAAGAUCUGGAGGAAUAUUUCCAGACAACUGAUUGAAUUCGAGAGUUCUAUUCACAAUUCAUCCAGAAGUUGAAAUAAUCAACUUUGAUCACUCGGUACAGAAAAUAUGCAAUACAUGAUAAGGGAUGAGAAAGAUCAAUAACAAGUCCUUACAAAUUUGCCAAUGUGCUGAUAUUUCCAAGUUCUUUUGGCAAUGGCCCUGAUAUACGGUUUCCAAUCAGAGAACUGCAGUAAACACAUUCACCUACAUUUUAGCCUUCACAAAAGGGGGGUGGGGGUGAUGGAGAGGGGAACCGUUAUUCACAAGGAAAAAUGAAAGGAUAGGAAGUGAGGGGAAGCAUAACAUACAUGUUUACAAGUUGCAUGGAACCCCAUUCCAGUGGUAUUGUACCAUUAAGGUAGUUGCGGGUUAGAUCACUACAAAAUUCACAUCAGUGAAUACAUAAAAAUUUUACCUUUUGGAUAGUUUUGUUUUCUUUUUAAUAUUUUAAUUUAUAGGGAUAUAGGUGCUGUUACAUUUCUCGGAGAUAAGGGAGCUUGACGAAUUCUGGCGGCAAUGUUCCUGGAAGAUUUUGAGCUUUGAGUACUCUGCAUUAUGGAAAAGAUUGUCAUCAAUUGCACUCAAUCAAAUAACAGAACAUACAACAGAGAUGUUUAUACUAUUUUUCUGGGAAUUUGACACUUUCAAUGGGAAACUUCUACAAGUAUAUGAAGAACUGUCCAUAUUACUGCUAAUUAGUUGAGAAAACAUUUCAUUUGUUAGAAGAAUUUGCGGAUUCUAAAUGACUAUGACUGGAUGCAGGGGUUUAAGGAGGAAGGAAGCUUCUCUCUCUCUCUCUCUCUCUCUCUUUUUCAAUUGUUCAACUGAACUCGAUCUCCUGAACAUGGAGUUCAGGGUUUUUCAUUCUUUUUGGUUCAGUCUCUAAGCGGUGGAAUCAAGUACCUCACGGCAUGGUUCUACCCAUUGAGUUAGUUCUUGAGUUCGUAAUUUUUUCCUUUUCUGGGUGUGUUUUUAGAGCUUAAAUGAACUGGUUUAGAGACUUUAGCCUAGUUGCCAAAGUUGAGGCCUUGGAACUAGAGUUCUUGGAUUCAAAUCACCCUUCAUUGGUGUUUUUUUCUAGGUGGCGGUACAAAUUUUUCGACAAAAAUAUGAUUCAUCAAGCGUCAAAUGUUCAGUAUCGAGGUGGUGCAUAACAGUCUAUCAUCCCACUAAACUGUCACAUCACAUAUUUCUUCCAAAUUGAUUAGGCCAAGUCAACGGAGACAAAACCAUCUUCACAUCAGAACCAAUACAAACUAAUGUUCAAAUCUGAACUUAUUCUGUCAUUGUUGAGAGCUAGUCGACCGAAAGUAACACAGGCAAAUUUGUUGAGAAAUUUUUCACUAAUUACUGUCUGAUCAAGUCUAACGAAAUAAGUGCGAGUUUUCGAAGUAAUAAGCAACUCAACUAUUCUAUUUAAACAGAUAAUAAGGCCAAUAUGUAUCAUUACUCCGUUUUCUUAUCAGCAGAGCAGAGAAUUAAUGAUUUGGGUAUGAGAGAAUGAAUGAACUUUACAUGCUGACAACAUGGCACACUGUGUUGUUGACGAAGGAACAAUUACAAGUAACCGCGUUCUCCAAUCCUUUGACGGGAUUAGGAGUAGCCCAGUUCUGUCGUCCACUGCAUGGAUCCACACUGAAAUUCCAGUCCCUCUUUCCCAAUGUCCCCGCAAUUUGCCGCAAAGCUCUCACUACAGCAAACAAACAAAACAAAAACAGAAAAUGACCCUUAGUUCUGCUUAUCUUGUACUACGACAACUUACUGAAUGAAGUAUGUAUGUACCUUCAUCAGCAGGAAGAGUGGCUCCAGAAGGCAGACCUGCAAGGCAAGAGAAUGCAGCUGCUAAAGCAUGCAGAACUGCCCGAGCGAAGAACAUGUUUAUGGCAAGAGAUAGCGCAUGCCAAAGAAGAGAUAGCGCAUGAUCAAGAAAUAAAAUGGUGAUUCAAAAUCUUAUGUAGCUAGUCCCGAUAACUACCAUUUCUCUUGUUAGAAUAACAAUCAGUAGUACUAAUUUAGUAGCUUGUCAGUGCAAUUGGGACAUUAAAUUAAGCGUGGACUUUGUUAGCAUAUAGACUUCGGAAGUAGAUGGGGGUUUGGAGCUAGUACUCGUAGACCUCGAAAGUGCUGCAAUGCUGAAUUGUUUGCCCGUACCAAAUACAGUACAGCUAUGACCAUUCGGACUAAACUGAUUUAUUUCAUAUAAUAUUUGGCUCACAUGAUAAAUAUAUUUUUCAAUCCUUACAGAGUUAGUUCAUCAUCUGCUAUAGUAUAGUAUAGGCUCCAAUUCCCCUUAUAGAAGUUAUAGUUAAUCAUGAUUUAAAUUCAGACCUCAGAUUCAAUACUAUCGAUAAUUUCUUUUCAUACCUUUCCCUUCUGUGACUUUAUUGAGCCCCCCUUUUUCUUCUUUUGUCUAUUCUUGUCAAGUUUGCUCAGAGUUUUCUCUUGAUAAACUUUGGUCAAUAAGCCAGACUGGUCAAACUUCUGACCUUCACAAGCGAUCGCAAAGUAAGGAGCAUGCAUGUUCUGUUUGGUUAACAAGUCUCGUGGAAGAAGAGCAGCGGAAGGAACCAAAUAUAGAGACGUUUUGGACAAUAGAAUUUACCACGUUUUAUACAAAAUCGUCAGAAGUCAUGAAAAUGAUAGAUCAUACAACAACAAACCAACUCGAAACCCCUUUUCAUCUUUCCGUAUUUCGUCCGAAUAGGUGUGAGUUGCUUAUUCAAAUUGGUAAAUUACUCGAGAGAUAUAACUUAAAAGUCAAAACUCCAAAAGAGAAGUUCCUCUUAUUUGGCUUAUCCGUUUACUUGACCAUAGAAGAGGAUGGAAUUUAAGAAACGGGAAAAAGAUACGAAUAUUAAAUUCCAAAUUUUUAAUUUUGAAAAUCUCAACUUUAACUAUUGAAAUAAGAUUCUGUUUGAUGACUCAAUUCAGCACUUAAAUUUAAUAGAUUCAAAUCUUAAUAUGUUCAAAUUGUUUAAUAACCAAAAUUAAAUAUCUCAAUUAAUUAAAUAGCACUGAAUUUCCUAGUCAAAACUUGUUCCUAAAAUUAAGUGAUAAGCUAUUGACUUAUCACUGAACGUGAUAUGCACUCAAAUGUAUUAGAUUUAAUAUUUAAUAAUUUAAUAAUUUAAUGAAUUCAGAUUUCAAUUUUUAAAUUUUAAAUUUCAAUUUUAUCAAACGCACCUGAGACUUCCUCAAACUGAAUACAAUUAAGUACAACAAACAUUCAAAACAACGAGUCUAUGAAUCCUGGUCGAUUUAUUUUUUCCUUGCUUGUUUACUUUCUAUACGCGUAUACAUAUAUAUAUAUAUAUAUAUAUAUAUAUGCCGACACUAUGAGCUAGCUUGUCAGGUUGCUGCCAUGGAAACCAACCUCAUCGUUGACUGCCUGUUUCAUUAUAGUGACAGCUUUACGUACCCUUUCUCGGUCAGCCCUUUUUUUUUUGUUUGUUUGUUUUUUUUUGUUUUAAUGAAGGAAGAGUGCAUAUAUAUAUAUAUAUAUAUAUAUAUAUAUAAUUCGAAGCAGGAUUUGGUAAGACGGAUUUGCAAUGUGUGUGACAAAGGCCAAAAAAGGAGUAUGUUAUGCCAUGACGACGUGUUUGUUUGAUCAGCAAUUGCAAGCUGUUACCAAGCUUGUGAAGUUAAAUCAGUAUGAGCAAUGAAUCAGAAAUCAAAUGGUUUUUCAAAGUGACUUGGGAUGAAUCAUUUUGGUCAAUUGGACUUAAAAUGUGUUCUCAUGAUGAUUUUUUUACUGUGUUAAAUUUCCACGCAUGAGGGGCAUCAAUGUAUCAUGACAAACAUGAUACAAAAGGUCGGUACUGUUGUUUGCAAGAAAAGGUGUAGGACAGUAAAUUACUUUUUCGUUCAUGUAUGUUUGGUUAGCAAAAGGUUGAAAAUUUUGUCUUCACUUUCUCGUAUUUUAUAUCCUUCAAAGUUGCCAGCGAUUUUGAAGGUCUUAUACAACAAUUUUAAUAACUGUCACUAACUUCCCAUUCUCCCUCAAAUUUUUUUCUUCAAAACAGAAAAAAAAUUCAUUUUCAUUUAUCUCAUUUUUCCAUACAAUUUUCCCUCUAUUCAACCAUUUCUUUAGUUUUCCUGAAAUUAAGAAGAAAAUGAAAAAAGAAAAUUGCUGUCCAACAAUCGUACGUACUACUCUAUCAAUUGAACCCUUAAAACUAACCUCACGGGGUAAGCUAUUCCAAAAUAGACUCCAAGACCAAGAGUUAAUGGACAGAAUAACUUUAGGGAUCAAGGAGGCAACAUUCAAUUUGGCUUAAUUAAGGGGAAGUAUAGAAAUUAAUAUUAAUUUUAUAUUCCACAUACCUAAAUCCAACUAAUAGUUUUCAAAAUUGACCUAUCUUCGAAGGGUUAAGUCAUAGUUAACCUAGACUAUAGAGCACUUAUUUGUAAUGCAAAGAUCAAUUCCCUUAUUUACAACAAAUUAAGAAUCACCCUGUUCUCACUAGUGUCAACACACAUUGGUUGGAAAUGACUUUUUCUUUAUGAAUAUACAGAUUUUAUUAUCAGUAAUAUUUUCUUCAAUAAGAUAAAGUUAAUUUGAAAGUCACAAUAUUUAAGGUGAUCGAUUAUGUUGGCAAAUGUUGUUAAAUAAAUUAGCGUAAAAAUUAGUUUUUUUUUUCUAAAUGUAAAAUUGGAAGUUCAGAAAAUAAUAAAAAUUGAAAUGGCCUAUAAAAUGUUAAUUUUUUAUGGCUUUCAUCCAUUACAUGAGUAAAGUAUUGGAUCUUUAUGGAUAUUUUAUCCUGAAUCAUUUAAUUUAUGUUAAAUACAUAAAUAUUUAUAACUAAAAUUGAAAAAGUGUUAUCUUAAUAUUUCUACGGAAGAAAAACUGGUAGGUUUUAUGUUUAACAAAAAUUAAAUAUUUGAGAGUAAAUACAAAUCUGUGUUUGAGAAUAAAUAUUUGUGAUAAAGUAAAUGUUUGAAAAUAAAAUUCAUGUAAAGAGCUAGUACUUUAAAUAGGCAAUACGUAUUUGCCUAUAAACUACGCUCGUUAAAGUUUAUUAAUUGUUAAUUAAUUUGUAAUACUUUGUCAUUCAUUGGACAUGUGGCACAAAGGACAAAUCAGGUACAAAAUUCUAAUUUCACUCUCUAAAAUAAUAUUUAAUCAUUUGGACUGAAUUUCUAAAGGAUUAGUAACCUCAGGGGAGGUCAGUGUAAUUGUUCAAACUACGGGGGAGGUAAGUGUAAAUGUUAGAAACCUCAGGGGAGGUUUCUGAAAUUAUCCCUAAAACAAAUUAUUGGAUGCAUGGAUGCACCCAUGCACGUAGCUUUGGGGUCCAUCUCCACCGACCUGAGCCAAAUCUGGGGACCCUUUUGCUUUUCCAGUUUGGAAUUUUCUGUGGCGGCUUUCCUAUUUUUCCCGUGAGCAUUUUUGAGCUGACGUUUUUUGACCAUAGAAUUGCACUUUCUUUUCAUAAAGAAAAGAUAAAGAUUAAUUAAACUGGAUGCCGUGGAAAGUCAUUUAAUUUAGACUUUUUUUUUCAUAGAUGUAGCAUUUAUCAUCCCCGCUUCAAAUGAAGAAAAAUUGAAGUGAAGAUUAUUUGCCAAGUUUUGACGAUUGUAUUUGCUAUUUGCUAGCAUUUAUCAACCUUUUUCUCCAUGUUUUCGGGAAGAGAAUUACAGGUCUAAAACAUCUAAUUAAUAUGCCAAUUCAAAAAUUUUGCAACAAAUAUGUUUAUAAACAUGCCUGAUAAGGGGUUUAUGAGCCUCUAAAUUAAAUGUCCAUUUUCCUCAAAAGAAAAAAAGGAGAAAACAAAAGGUGCAUGACUUGGAAACCUAUCAAAAUCAACUGGAACUAAUUAUUCGCUUUAUGUUUUCUGAAUAAUCUACUGUUUUUGAAACAUUAAUGGUAAAGGGUGGCGAAAUUUCAAAAUCUUCUUGUGUUUGAAAUAUAAAAGCCCACGAGGCAGGCGUUUUCUUCUGCAUACAUGUGGAAACCAGGAUUCACAUACUGUUCUAGUUCAUAAUUUAGGUUAGGAUCUUAAAUAAAAUAGUUCCCAUAUCAAUAAAGAGAAGUCCAACUACUAAUACAUUUGAAAGAAAAGGAAAGAAAGAUCAAACUCAAAUUGUAGCUAGGAACAUGUCAAAAUUUUACAACUCUAGUUGGAAAAAAUAAAAGGGACCCUGAUUACGGUCAAAAGAAGGUUAAGCUUGAUUAGUACGUACUAUUUUGCUGCAAACAAAAACUUAAAAACAAUUAAACAUAGAAGGUUCUAAAUACUACGGAAAAAGUUGAACUCUUGCAAUAAUCUGAAGAGUAAAAGUUUGCUUUCGAGGUAUCUAGGUCGUACUCCUUUUUUUUUUUUUUUGGAUCAGACACGAUAGUUUCUAUUUUACACCUAUUUCUACUUUAUACUCGGUGAGUUAUAUAACAUCUACCUCCUUCAGUGGGGCACAAAUUAAAAAAAAAAAGAAAAUAUCAUUUGUAUAGCCAUUUUUUUAAUAAUAGCACUCUAACUAUCUUUUGUAUCAUAUAAUCUAAUAAAUAAAAAUUAUAUAAUACAAAUGAUAGUAAGAGUGCUUUUAUUAAGAAAAUGGAGUGCGCGCUAUUAUAAAAAUAAAUAGAAUGCUAUUAAUAUUUGUAAGAAAAAGUUCUUUUAGUAAUAGAAGCACACAAUAAUAGUAUUUACAUAGUAAGGUAUAAGUUAUGACAUACGUAUUUAACAAAUAACAUAAAAGGAUGCAACUGCAAGUGUGAAUUUUUGUGAUGGAAAAACUCACGAGUGGACUAAAUUUCUUGAAACAUUAGGCUUAUAUAUACUUGUUUCUUUGUCAGGGAUUGUAACUAAUCAAAUUACUUGUAAACACAUGUAUUUAUUGACUCUCUAUGAAUUACUAGGAAUAAAAAAGACAUUUUUCUAAAAUUGAACCUAAGAUGAAUAUUUUCUCUUGGUUAGUGAAAGCACAUUUAGUAAUUUGUAGGGAAAACUUUUUUUUUUCCUUAUAACUAUAUGGACACGCUUCUCUCUAAAUGAUUAAGUUUAUUAGUUAUAAGGAAUCAUUUCCAACAUCAUAAUUACCAAAAAAAAAAAAAAAGAAUUGAGACUCAGUAGAGAUUGAUGUAAGAGUUUUAAUUUUUUUUUUUUUUUUUUGGUCUAAGAGGAAUGACCGGUCUUUUCUUUACUAAUUAAUUUCCAACAUCCCAACCACCUCUUCUAUAAAGACUGCGUCCAUCUUAAUUGUUGCACACAUUUUGCAUUAAAAGAAUUCGAUUUUGAUUUGAUCUUCGGCUCUUCUGAUUUGAACUUUCCAAACCCAUAAUCCAUUUUUCUCAAAAAGGGACAAAAUACCUUUUUUUUUUGCCGGUGCUGCAGGCGAAGGGACAUAAACACUUGAUUAUUUUAACUAAGGGAUAAUUUCAGAAACUGUCCUUGGAGUUUGUCAUAAUAUCACCUAGUACCCCUCAAAAUUUUUAAAAUCUCACUUACGUUUACGUCUCUUAGAUUGACUUUUUUUUUUAACAUUUUAGCCCCUUUUGGAGAAAAGUAAGAGAGAUAAAUCUUUCCUUUCAAUACUAUCCUAUUUAUGAAACUUACAUGAACAAUAAAAAUUAAAAUAAGGGUAUAAGUAAACUUGAAAAUAUCCAAAAAUUGCCUAUUUCCUUUUUACAUGAAAAAUUUUUUGGUAAUGUUUUGAUAUUUGGUAAUGAAAAAUUUUUGGUAAAAAUUUUGAUUAAUCAUUUUUAUAAUUUUUUUCUAUAAGUAGGCUUUACAUGCAAAUUCCACAUAUAAAAUUUUUUUAAUAUAAAAUACAAUUUGAAUUACAUCAUGUAUUAAAACAUACUUGCUAAAAAACAUUGCUUGACUUCCUUAAAUCCAUCCUGCAAAAUUCUUCAAGAUGUAAAUUACUUACCAAAAUUCAUUGAAGUGAUUGCCGUUACUAAAUUUAACUUAACCACCAUUUGAAUACAGAGAAAUAUGGACUAAUAUUGAAUAGUCAUUUGGCUAUUUUUAUUAAUAUUUUUUGGGUUAAAAAUUCUCUUUUAUUUUGGAAUUUUUGGUUAAUUAAUUAUUAAGAAUGCAAUGGUAAUAUUAUCAAUUUGUGAUCAUUGAAAGGGAUAUCUAACCUUGUCAAGGUGACAGGAGAGAUAAGUGAGAUUUUAGAAAUCUCGGAAUGCUAAGUGAUAAAGAGAAACAUCGAGGAAGGUUUCCGAAAUUAUCCCUUAAGUUAAAGAAAUUUUCCAAUUCCGCGCCUUUAUUCUUAACCGCUGCCCCCCGCCCACAGGUCAAGGCCCGUUUUCUUUCUUUCUCAAAAAAUCUCACGCCCUCUUCUUGCUUGUGCCUGUGUGCUGUCCUAAAAUACUCUGUUUCUGUUUCUUACUGCUACUUUUCGUUUUAUUACAACGUCUGUUUUCUUCAGAAGUUAUACGUACGUUGUAAUAUUUAGUUUGCUUGUUUUCUUGACAUCUGCAAUUGUACUGGAGAAAGUGCUGCAUAGGUCAACGGAGCCUUCUGUUCUUAAGUACAACAAUGGCUACAUCAAGAAGGACACUUCCUGAGGAGAUACAUGUUAGCAUCGUCUAUUUUUUCCUGGUUCUGCACUUCUUCAGUUGUACUAAUGAUUUAAGAUCCUUCGCUCAAUUAUUGCCUGAAGAAGAAGGUAAGAUGGAACUCCACAAACUUAUAUCUUUGACAAUCAAACAUGCAGCAUCUGUAUGAUUGGACAUCAUUUAAUUUGCUUAAUCUUUCUCUUGUUUUUCACUUCUUAUUUGUUCUUCCGGGGUCAGUGAAGCAUGAUGUUUGUGGGUUUUUUUUUUUGAGAAUUUUAACAUUUAUAGAAUUUUAUUUGACAAAAGUUUUGUUGGUUUAGCAAACAAUUAUGGGUUUAAACGACCAGGAUCAUUCAUAGGUUGCAAGAGAUAGAAACUAGAAAGAAAGCAGUCUUUACGAGGGAUUUUUUUUUCCCACCCUUCUUUGUAGACUGUAGUAUCUUUUAUUUUGGAGGAGGAGUUUCCAGACAUGGCUAUCUUGAAAAGAAAAUGUUACAAGUGCACUACUUGCACAGCACAGGUCCACAUAGCAAGACGUGCCCUUUUAACUUUUCCUUAUUGGCAUACUGUUAUUGAAUUUUCCUUUUUCUGGGUUAGGCAAUGAUAAAAGAAUAAAAAUUCAGGAAAAAUCAACCCAACUAAAAGAUAGAUCGAUUUUGGAAAUCCCCAAAAUCACAUACUGUCCACUCUCAAUGAAUUAUUGAGAUGUCGGCCCAUUCUGGCACGCCAACCUAACUCAUUUGAGGGGCUUAAUCUUACGACUGGUAAUGAAAAUAUCAACAAAAGAUGCCAAGAGUUGAUACUGACCAGUAGCCAAUUGCAUUAUACCAAGGGGCACGCAUGGGCUGUACCCUUGUUAUGCUACUAUUUGUUUUACAGUAUAGCGUGCACUUGCAAUACUUUGUUGUAUGUGUGAAAUUUGCUUUUUGUUUCCUAAAAGUAUAGAUUUUAUUUGUGUGCACCUAAUAUUAUUAAACUGUACAACAGUUUAUAGCAAGGAAUAAACAACCAAACAUAACUGCAGCAAACCAUAAUUGUAUCAUUGUAUUAGUUCUGUAAAUGGUCAUGGGACACCAUUGGCUUGGUCUUAAUCUAGGUGAGCUGGAGUGGGAGCCUUAUGGUUGUUGCAUUGAAUAAGUCAUGUACCCAAAAUUGCAAUUGCACUACUAUAAGUGAAAAAACUGCAGUCCGUCACAUGCAGUAUUUAUUACAACAAGGUUGAAUUGGAAGGGAAGGAUUGGAUAUGGUUAAAUCGGUUCGCAGGAAUGGUCUCUUUGCUGAAUUUCUAUUUUUGGGUUGAUUUAAGUUUAUCUGCCACCAAGCUCUACCAAUCGUGUAUAUAUGCAACAUUUUUCCUCGUUUCAUGAGUUACACAGAUAAUCAAAUUUUCUGCACUGGAAUUGUCGGUCCAAUAUUUAAUUAGGUUCAAAGAUGAACUUAUGAGCAACCGGCCAAAACCUUUGGGAGGAGUUUGGUCAGGCCAUAGAUUGGGACUUUGCCAUGCCUCUUGACAUCUGAGUAUAGAGUGUGUGAAGACUGUUAUGCUGGCUUUGACGUGUCCAAGUCAAAAGUUAAUUUUAGCCGUGAAAGUUUUGGGAGGCGUUUUUAUUUGACAAUUCUAGGUUCACACAGUAGAUCAAGAUAACCACGAAGAUGUUUUUGACAAGCUAAUAGAGAAUUGUCACAAUUUUGAAAUGAAAAGGACAAGUUAACUAGGAAUUUUGCCUGAAAAGAACAAUUAUUUAUCUAAAAAAAGAAAAAAACAAUUCUUACAAAAACUUGCUUCAGUUUCUAUUCUUUUAUGUGUUUUACUGAAAAUGCCCCACAUACUAAAUUAUUCAGCUGGAGUUACUGUUGUUAUUUUACGGUGUUCAAUCGAAGCAAAGCUUUUCCCAAAAAAAAAAAAAAAAACUUGUUAUCGUGAAAUUGACUUCGGGAUGCUCCAAAAAAAGAGAGAAGAAAAGAAGAGUUGAAAUCAUUAUUUAAAUAUAAUUAUGCAUGUUAUUAAUUACACAUUGUGUUUUGAUCGCAAAUUCAUGUUGCAGUGCAAGUUCUUCAAACGAUAUCAUCAAAGCUGCAGAUCACAAACUGGGAUCUUAGCCGGAGCUCUUGUAGUGAGGGUAGCGGUCUCAACCGGACCUUUGGCGAUAGCAUUUAUAGCAAUGUGACCUGCAAUUGCUCUUUUAGUGCCAACACUGUAUGCCAUGUCACAAGCAUGUAUGCUCUUAAUCUUUUUGCUAUUAUCACUCUUGACUCUUGCGCGAAUGUCAGGUUUCUUGAGGUUUAGACGUUCUAUACUAAAUAUCUGCUGUUUAAAUGGAUGGAGGGUGAUUUUGCCCGGUUACGUCUCUCAUGAAUCAGUGACAUAGACAUAGUAAUGUUUUCCUUCUGAUGUCCACAUCUCAAGAUGUCAAAAGUUAAUUUUUUCUACUCCAUACUAAUGUUUCUGAGCUUAUUCCUACUUGGUAUGCAGACUUUUUUUGUUUGCUGUUGUAUUCUCAUACAUGUUUUUUUUUUUCUGCUUUGGGUGACUCAGAGAGCUGAAAGGCCUUAAUUUGACCGGGACUUUGCCUGCAGAAUUUGCAAAUCUCAGUCAUCUUCGGGAAAUGUAAGUUCUUUGUAGCUAGUAAGGAAUUCUGUUGAGAAUGUUAAGUUUGUUAGUUCAACAGAUGGAUGUUGUACAGCAAUGGUUCCUUUGAUUAUUAAUUUACACCUGCAUGGCAGCCCAGGGAAGCAUUCAAUAUGAUUGUUUUCCAUUGAAAAUAGGAGAUGUAAAGGGACUAAAUUUGUGGUCAUUUUAAUUCUCAUAUACCAAAAUCAUUCUCCCCUGAAUGGAGUUCUAAUUGACAGAAUGAUGCCCAAAUUUCUGCGAUUAUUAUCAGCUGGCGAAAAUCAUGUGGCACUUGUAUUGGAAGAUAAGUGAAAAUAAACAUAUGAAACUUGACCACGAGUAAGAUGGACAAAAUUAUUGCGGCCACAUUUUAAAGUAGAAUUAGUUCAUCUAAGAUUCAUAUGACAACUUAGACCAACUUCUCAGGAAACUACCCCGGCUGUCUUUUGUUUGAGUUUCUGUCCACAGACUUACUUUGCUUCUUGUUUUUUCAGAGACCUCUCACGUAACUAUAUCAGUGGAUCAAUUCCACCAAGUUUUGCUCGGCUUCCUCUCACUAAUCUGUAAGUCACUUGUUCCAAAUAAUCCAGGGUCGUUCUGCAUUUUGCUCUAGACUUCUUGGAUACACUAACAAGUCAGUCUACUACAGGUCACUAUUGGGAAACCGGAUUAACGGUACAAUUCCUAGCGAAAUAGGUGAUAUUUCUACUUUGGAAGAGCUGUAAGUGGAGACGAUGAGCAGUGUCUACGCCAUAUUCAAAUAGUUGGGAUACUCAACUGGGCUAUGUUUUUGCAGGGUUUUGGAAGAUAAUCAGCUUGGUGGACCUCUUCCCGCUAAUCUUGGAAGGCUAAGCGGAUUGAGGAGACUGUAAGACUAUCCGAUCAUUUUAGGCAAUCUUACCGUACAUGCAAAAUGAUUGCAAUCUCACGCACUUUUAAGUUAACAAGAAUCUCCCAUUAGAACAAGUUGAAGUUGUAUUUUGUAACUCCGUCCAUGAUAAAUUUAGCAUGAUGGUGUUGUUAAUUAUUACUGUAAAACACAUAAUGGUGGUUCUCAUGCAUCGUUUAUUUCUCAAUUUGUGGUUCUAUAGUCCUACUACUCCUGCUGAGGUUUCAGAAGUGAGACAGCUUCAGCAGUUGAUUAUAAAAGCUUGGAACAAUGCAAUUUUCCAAGAUUGGCAUUCUUUUCUCCUUUCUGCUUAUUUAGACACCAUUUCUUUGCUUUUACAUCAAUGGACUCUAUGUUGUAACAUUAAUUCUCUACCAAAUUCAACUUGAAUUAGUUCUGUUUUUCCCUUCGUCGUAAGCAUAUGUCUACCGAUGAUGAACAUUUCUCUUGCAGCGUGCUUUCUGCCAACAAUUUUACAGGAACAAUACCGGAGACAUUUGGGGAUCUGAAGAAUUUGACAGAUUUGUAAGUCAUUACAUUUAAGCAAUUAAAAAUGUUUCAGGUUUCAUUUGGAUCCUAAAUCUUGUGGGGAUGAUGGUAAAGUAUACUUGUGAUGUGAAGGAACAGUAUUGUUUUUACAUGUCCUCCCCUUCCUUUUUAGUAGAUAUAAAACUCAAUUAAGUGUGCCGAAUUGUAACAGGAAACAAACAAAAACAAAAUAAGAAUUCAUUUUCUUUCAGAGCCCAGCACAAGAAAAUGAUUUUCUGGGGACUCUCAAGUCUUCUUUUCCUCCUAAAUUGAAAAUGAAAUUCCUAAUGGGAUGACUCAAAAUAUUUGAGAGCUUUCUUUGCUGUUUGCAGUAGGAUAGAUGGAAAUGCAAUUUCUGGAAAGAUGCCCGACUUUAUUGGCAAUUGGACAAAACUUAUCAGACUGUGAGUGUUCUUCUUGGCAUCAUCGAUGCAACUUUUCUCCCUGUUCGGAAUAAAUUUAUUUGCUUUUUGGACUAUGGUGAUGCUGUCUUACAUCAAGCGGAACCAAUUGUUCGCAGAGAUAUGCAAGGCACGUUAAUGCAAGGACCAAUUACUCCUGCAAUUUCCCGGUUGACAAAUUUAUCUGAGAUGUGAGACAAUUUCCUGUUUAGACUUUACUAGAUUUUUUACUACAACAUGCUCAAAUGGAUUCUGACAUCUGCUUCUUGAUCACAUAAAUUGUGGUGCUUAGGAGGAUACUCGGCUUGAGUGGUUCAAGUAUUAGAUUUCCCAAUUUGCAAGACCUGGAAAAUAUAAAAACAGUGUGAGUUGGUGGCAGGAUCUAGCUGUGCCUUUGGAAUAGAUAUCUGCUAAUUUUUAUUUUUUUUAAAGGGAUAAUUUUAGAAACGUCCCGGGAGGUUUUUGACAAUUUCAGUGAGCUCUCCUAAAGUUUGGAAAAUUACACCUACCUCUCUUGAUUUGAUAGUUUUAGUAACAAAAUCUUAAAAUAAUAUUGAUUUGGUCAAAUUUUUAAAUGAAUACCCAACAAUGCCCUUGUGUAAUGAGUUUUAAUUUAUUUCCCUAUACAAUUAUAAGAUUAUCUAGUAUAAAAUAUAUUAAAUUUUCAUAUCCGUAUCUACUAUUUGAUAAACAACUAUAUAAUAAUAAUUUUAUCACUAUGAUAGGAUACUUUUGAUGGUACUUUAUUAUGGAUUUAGAUUUAUAAAAUAGAAAAAAAUGUUGAAAUAAUUCAUAUAGAGUUAUGAAUUUUUCGAGUAAUGGGAUUAUCAUAAUUUAGUAGUAGUUUUAGGGCAUUUCUUUUUAUUUAUUGUUAUUUUUAAUACCAAAAAUUAGAAAAACAAAGAUUAGUAAAAACAUUGGACUACAUAUAAGAAAAAUCAUUAAUUCGACAUUUGGUUACGAUAGAAACUAGAGGUAAUAGUGCAGUUAUACAGUGUUUAUUGGCAAAAAAAAAAUUAAAAAAAAAAAAGGAAUACGACGGUAAAAAAUGAAAAAUAAAUUUAACAGUAAUUCUAAGUAUAAGCAUCCCAAGCAAGGGAAUUUCAAUAAAAAUAUUUAAGGAACAAGGGAGGUAUGUGUAAUUUUUAAAACCUUGAGGGAGCUAAAUGACAUUGUUAAAAACCUCAAAGGAGGUUUCUGAAAUUAAACCUUUUUAAAAAUCUGCUAAUUAUUUUGUUCUCAUGAUGCAGAAUAUUAAGAAACUGCUCCAUUUUUGGCCCAAUCCCAGAAUAUAUGGGCAACAAGCGCAAACUAAAAACACUGUAAGUUUGUUUUGCAGGGAGGCAUUUGUGUAGUUUUAUUGAUCUCUGCCAUUGACAUUCUCUAAGUUGAUUAGAAAGUUAAUUGCAUUGCAAGUGCAAUCAUAAAUCUAAGUUAAGACAACAAAAAUAUAUAGCUUUGCAAGUGAUAUAGCUUCACUGUUCCAUUUGUUUGCAGUUAAUUAAAUACACGAAGACAGCAUUAUGAACAUGCUUAUUAGUGUAGGACUAGUUUAUUCUAGAUGAACUUAUUUCACUUCACCAAGACUUGAACCUUUUGUUAUUUAUCUAUUAACUAAAUGAAUGUAGUUUUGCUUUUUGUCCUGCAAUCAAUUUUAGUUCAACAUGAAAAGAAUUGAUAUUGAAUAUCUACUCAACCGUUCACUUGAUUUUAUAUUCUGAAGUUGAAAACAUCAGCCUAAGAACGUUAGUUAAUAUAACCUAUCAAAUUCCCGAUUGAGAAUUCAUUAUGUGGACAGAUUUAGCUUUUUCUCAUAAACAAGCAGUGCUUUCAUGCCUGAAAUUGGCAUUUAGACCUUCUGAUUGAGGUUAAAGCAUACCUUUCCUUUCAAGUAUGGUUUAAGACAAGUUUUGUUCUGUCCAAUUUACAUUCAGAAGAAGUGAUUUAACAUACACAACAGGCCAAGAUUUCUACUUAAAUGGUGGGAGAACCUUGUGACUGACUAGUGUUUCCAGUUGUAAUGACUGAUCUCAACUAUUAUGUCUUUUCUUUUGGGUUCAUUGGGCAAUGCUUUUGCAGGGACCUUAGCUUCAAUAACCUGACUGGUCCAAUCCCAAAUACAUUUCAGAGGUUGAAUUUUGAUAACCUGUAAGUCACUUUACCUAAAUUGCAUUUUGUGCCCAAUUAUCAAAACUUUGAUACUUUUCUUGGAUUUUCAGACAAAUGGGGUUUGCGUACAUCUAAAGCCCUUGCCACACCCAAAAAGCUAAUGCUAUACCAUUUUCUGCAGCCUUCUGGCUUCUAAUGCAUUAAGUGGAGAAAUACCCAGUUGGUUACUGGACAGCAGAGAGAACAUGUUGGUGCUUGUAUACUCGUGUCUUUUGAAAUUCUGAAUGGAUGCAGAAGUUGCAAUUCAAGUGCAUGUAUAUCAUACAUACGGAGAUAUAUAUAUAUAUAUAUCAUAGAUUUCUCACAUUUUGCAUGAUUGUAUUUGCUGGCAGUGACUUGUCUAACAACAAUUUUACUCCAUCGUCCACAACAAGCUGCCAGUCAUCCACUGUGUAAGUGUUUCUUUGCUUUCUUGGCAAGUGGAAUAUUUCACGGUUUUAAUCAAAAACCCCGUACUUCAACAGGAACUUAGCCUCCAGCUCUUCGACAUCAACAAGCAAUUCGUGAGUCCUGAAAUACUAAGUCUUCUUGUUAGAUUUCAUUUUAGUUUGUCAAUAAAAUCAUGUGGAUGACCUUAGCUUCAUACAACACAGAAUUGCGUGGUGUUCGAAGAAGGACCUUCCUUGCUCGGGAAAAUCCCAAUGUAUGUCUUCCAAAGUACCAUUCUGUUCCUUUUUUAUGGAAUCUUGUAUUAUUAAUUUGAAGCUACCUGUAAUCCGUGUGAUUUCAUGAAUGAUUCUUGCUCGCAUAUGCAGAUUAUUCAUUGUUCAUAAAUUGUGGAGGAAGCAGGAUUGGUUUUGAGGGAAAUGAAUAUGAAGAUGACCAAACUAACCGUGGUCCAGCUUAUUUCUUUUCCUCCUCAGAGAAAUGGGCUUAUACAAGCUCAGGAGUGUACAUGGGAAAAGAUGAUGCCAAUUAUGUUACUAGUUCUUCAUCAUCAAAUUUGACUGGUGAAGAGAUAUACAGAACUGCACGCCAGGCCCCCGCUUCACUUAAAUAUUAUGGCCUUUGUCUAAGAAAGGGUAGCUACAAAGUGCGCCUCCACUUUGCCGAAAUAAUGUUUUCAGAUGACAAGAAAUUUAGCAGUCUUGGGAGACGCAUAUUUGAUGUAUCAAUUCAAGUAAGAAAAUACCAGCAGCUAAUUUCUGGGUUUAGCAUAUCACGUAGCUUGAAAUCAGUUUCUUUAAGAACCUUAUUGGGAUAGAAGUUAUACAAACACUUCUGCCGUAUCUUAGUCGAACGUUUUUAAUGCAGGGAAAUGUAGUUCUCAAGGACUUUAAUAUCAUGGAGGAAGCUAAAGGUGUUGGGAUAGGAAUUACCAAGGACUUUAAGGAUGUAAUUGUAAAUGGAAGCACUCUGGAGAUCCACUUAUUCUGGACUGGAAAAGGGACAACAGCAAUUCCUGACAGAGGUGUUUAUGGACCUCUAAUAUCUGCAAUUACUGUGACACCAAGUUAGUUUAUCCUGACUCUUGUUUAUUCUAUAUUUCCUUCUUCAGAAACAUCUCUGAGUCAUCCCUUCUAUCUUCUUCUAGAUUUCGACACUCAUACAGGGCUAUCAGUUGGAGCUAUUAUUGGCAUCGUAGUUGCUUCAUGUGUGGUGGCAUGUUUAAUUUUAGUUUUGCUGCGACUGAAAGGAUAUUUAGGAGGAGACGACACUGAAGAUAAAGGUGAGAUGAUGUGUAAUGUGUUUUUUUCUUUUGACUAUAACAAAAAAUCGAUUGUCAGCUAUCUGGAAAGUGAUCAAACAAUUGAAGUACCAUAAGAUAAGAUGAGAUAAAGAAACGAGUAGGGCCUAAUAGUAAAGAAUCUUUUCUUGUGAGAGCAGGAUCAUUGAAGCGAUGCAUCUGUAUAGAAAAUAGAGCAUUUUUGUAGGAAGUUCAAGAAAACCAACCAAAAACAACUAGGUGUUCCAUUUUUUUUUUUAAAAAAAAAAAUGCCAGCUGACAUACAAUUGAAGUUAGUUUGUUUAUUUAUGUUGUGUUCUGGAGACGAUAGUGUUAGAAAGGGAUGUCCAUGUGUCUUGAAAGUUUGCCCCUGGACAAACAAACAUUGUGGAUAUUUGCCGGUGCUUAUGCUGUAGUUUUACAAUCUAGUUAGCAGCGAGAUAAAAGGUACUUAAAUAUAAGAUUUGAAGUCACAUUAUGGAUGUCGUGGGUUGACGAAAGGGAGAUGAUUAAAAACAUGUUUAAAAUUGCACUUUAAGUUUCUUUAUCUUUCAUUCUGGAAGAGUGAACCUUUAUCGUUUCAUUUCAGAACUUCGAGCUCUGGAUCUACAAACAGGAUAUUUCACUUUGAGACAGAUAAAAGCUGCCACAAAUAACUUUGACCCUGCCAAUAAGAUUGGUGAGGGUGGAUUUGGGCCAGUUUACAAGGUUGUUACUUACAAUUGAACUUCUGAUUGAUUUAGUUUCAUUUGAAUAUUGACAUUGCAAGAACUGGAAAAUUCAUCCUAGCCAUGCUUGUGUUGGACCAAGGACAUAAGGGAAACAAAUGUUGACCCAACUAAUUCCACUAUGAUGUUUUAUCAUGCUUAAAUGAUGCUACUAUUCCCAGGGUUUAUUAACAGAUGGUGCUGUAAUCGCUGUCAAGCAGCUCUCUUCAAAGUCAAGGCAAGGAAAUCGAGAAUUUGUUAAUGAAAUUGGCAUGAUAUCUGCGUUACAGCAUCCUAAUCUUGUGAGGCUUUAUGGCUGUUGCAUAGAAGGCAACCAAUUGUUGCUAAUAUAUGAAUACCUGGAAAACAACUGUCUUGGUCGAGCACUAUUUGGUAAGCAUUUUGGUAUCAUCUUUAUGAGAAAGCAUAGCUUGCAACAUGAUAUUCAAUUUUCAUGCUCUUCUCCCUGGUGCUUUACAUUUUUAGGUCGAACGGAACGGCUGCUAUAUCUUGACUGGCCAACAAGGAAGAAGAUAUGCUUAGGGAUAGCAAGAGGUUUGGCUUAUCUCCAUGAAGAAUCUCGGUUGAAAAUUGUCCACAGAGAUAUCAAGGCUACAAAUGUGCUUCUUGACAAGGAUCUCAAUGCUAAGAUAUCUGAUUUUGGUUUGGCCAAGCUUGACGAAGAGGAGAACACCCAUAUUAGCACACGAAUUGCGGGAACGAUGUGAGUUUUCAUGCCUUUUGCCUUCUCUAAUUUGUAAUUCUUUCUUCAUCUGAUUUUUGUUGGCAGCAAGAUUAUUGACUGGAAUUUUUGUGUGUGAGUGCAUGAUGUGGACAACAGUAAAUUAUUUGGAAAAGAAUACGACGGGAUUUAUUAUCGAAAACAUCUAUUGACUUGUUUUGUUAUCUAUUCUUGCAGAGGUUAUAUGGCUCCUGAAUAUGCUAUGAGGGGUUACUUAACGGACAAAGCAGAUGUUUACAGUUUUGGAAUAGUUGCACUGGAGAUCGUCAGUGGGAAAAGUAACACUAACUACAGGCCCAAAGAGGAGUUUGUGUAUCUACUUGACUGGGUAACCUCUUAUAUCAGCUCUAUCCUCCAGGGGAAAGAUUGCCUUCUUUAGCUCACACUCAAAGUGAUUUAGCAACUUUGAGUUGGUUACUCGAAAACGAUGAUUUGAAUGAACAUGUCUUUUACUAAAAUUAAAUUGGCUGAAAUGAUGGCUUUCUUACUGUUUUGAAUUCCUAAAAUUGAUCAAGAGUAUCAACUAUCAAGGGUACUUAACAACAAUGGUGGUAAUUUGGAGGGGAGGGUGGAAGCAGGAGUGACAAGGAGGAUUUUAUCAGAGUUCCCAGAAUUAGAUAGAGAGGAAACCAGAACUUUGGCUGAAGAUUUUGUUUGCUAGAUUUCAUAAAUUAAUGAUAAGGAUCAUAGCUACCACCUAUCAAUCCAUCAAUGAAUUUGUCAUCAACCCGUAGUCUCAUGAAAAAUAAUCUUGUAGGGUGAAUGAGCAGGAAAGCUAUUUUAGCUUAUGCAUCCAUCCUAUCAGCAAAUGUUGGUGUUAUAUCCUAAUAUUCUGCCUACAUUUCUUUGUUUUUCAAAUUGUUAAUGCCAAUGGCUGAGUUAAUAAUAUAACCUUUUCCUCAUUCUAUGUGGGAACAUGCAGGCUUACGUCCUGCAAGAACAGGGAAAUCUUUUAGACCUUGUGGAUCCAAGUCUUGGUUCAGACUGCCCUGCAGAUGAAGCACUGAGGAUGAUAAACUUGGCAUUACUAUGCACUAACCCAUCUCCUACUCUUCGGCCAACCAUGUCUUCUGCAGUGAGCAUGCUCGAAGGCAAAAUCGCAAUUCAGGCACCACUAAUCAAGCGCACCUCAUUGAAUGAUGACAUGAGGUUCAAAGCCUUUGAGAAAUUAUCACAAGACAGUCAAUCCCAUGUUUCUACAUUCUCCAUUGACAGCAGCCAGAUCCCUAGGACUACUUCAAUGGAUGAUGGACCAUGGAUUGACUCAUCAGCGUCUCUUCCUAGUAAGGAUGAACUGCGUGAUUCUUCUUCAUCUAGCAAGCUUCGACUCUGAUCUUCAAGAUGGUGUCAAACUGUUGAGUAUUUCACGAUGACAAGAUUUAGGAUUGCAAUCUUGCAAAUUUUUUGGUUAUUUGAUGUCAUGCAGAUUCUUCAUGACAUUUUUCAGGUACCUCUGGAGGUGCAGUGUUCUUCUGUAACAAAAUUCAUAUUCUCUUGCAACAAAACUAAUGCGGUUGUGUAAGCAUUGUAAAUAUUUUGGAAUUGGAAUUCUCUAAGAAUUUGUAGUUUGGAAUUGAGAAGUGGAGAAGUGAAGAUGACUAAAAAUUGCGAUUAGUGUGAAAUUAUGACUCUCCCUACGACCAAGAAAAAUGAAGGAUACAGCAAGGCCUUCCUUAAGGUCCUCCCGUUCCGACAAUAUAUCCCCGUGAAACAAAUUGAAUCAAUUAGUAAUGUUUCAUUCAUUUAAUUAGUAUCAUAACUGAAAUGAAAUACUUUUAUAAGAAGAUAGAUUCAUAUGGAUAUGUAUAUAUACACACAUAGGUAUAGAUUUACAGUUAUAUUUCAACAAGAAAGGAAGGAUGGAAAGACUGGAACACAAAAAGCACAGAAUUAUGCGCGUCACAAUCUCUUCAUCAGAUAAUCAGAAUCGAUAUUGAUCGGAUAUAAAUCUGCCGCCGAUGUUGAAGGUGCAGUAAACGGCACUUCCAUUGACACAUGUUGUGCGUAGCUCUCAUCUGAAUUUGGCACUUGUUGCUGAUUGGUGAUCUCCUUGCUGGGCUCAACCUUGUUACUCGAGAAACUCAAUUCUGAAAGGAGCUCUGCAUCAACUGCUCGCCCUUCCAACUUGCUAACCACCGUCGACAUGCCAGGUCUAACGGUUGGUGAGACAUCGGUGCAAAGAAGGGCUAUGUGAAUUGUAAGCAUGACCUCCUCCUCAUUGAAGUUUGAUCCGAGUCUCGGGUCUACCAGUUCCAUUAGUUUCCCUUCCUCCUUCAGCAGCUUAGCCUAAAGAAACCGCAAACUAGGAUUUCAGCAGAUAGAAAUUGUAUCCUUGUAAGCCUGUAUAAUUAUAAUUUUUCUUUCAUGUGAUACAUGAUAAAAAGAUAUUUGCAUCAACAGUUCUCAAAUAACAGCAAGAAAUACCUAAUCUUGUAAGAAUGAGGUCCAAAGCUACUAGCAAUGAAUGAAAACUUCUUAUUUCUCAUGCCUAACAUUACGCUGUAUUCAAAAUGAAGCAUCAAAAAUCCUAGAAGAUAAAUAAAAGCAAGAGAACAGAUAAUGAACCUACCCAGUCAAGAAGAUGGAAGCCAUCCUGCCUUGGUUUGAUACUGGCAUUACUCCUUCCGCUGACAAUCUCCAAAAGGACAACCCCAUAGCUAUAAACAUCUGCUUUGUCAGUUAAGUAGCCCCUCAUUGCAUAUUCAGGUGCCAUAUAUCCACUGAAACAUCAUAAUUAUGGAUUUAGGAUAUGUAUUGACAGGUCAUGACCAAAACGUCCUCCAUAAACUACUCAAGUAUGAAGUGUGGUUCAUAGCUAAUACAUUUCAUUUACCAAUAAAUGGACACAUAUUGGCACAGAACAAAAAUAAAAACAAAAAAAAAGAAUGCUGAACUUCCUUUUGAGAGAGUAUUAUGCUACAGCCUUUCACAAGAAAGUAUCGAGCAUGCACUCACUAGGUUCCAGCAAUACGGGUACUAAUGUGGGUGCUUUCUUCAUCAUCAAGCUUGGCCAGACCAAAGUCAGAUAUCUUGGGGUUUAGAUACUUAUCAAGUAGCACGUUGGUGGCCUUGAUAUCUCUGUGGACAAUCUUCAACCUUGAUUCUUCAUGGAGAUAAGCCAAACCUCUUGCUAUACCCACAGAAAUCUUGUGUCUUGUUGGCCAGUCUAAUUCCAACUUGUGUUCUUCAGGACCUGUCGGUAUCCAUGUGCAUCCAAAGAAUGAAAAAUAAAUUAUCUUGAGUGCAGAUGAAAUUUUUACUUGCACAUGAUUUUUGUAGUUGGAUUGCAAAUUAGUUUACCAAACAAUGCACGAGCAAGGCUGUUAUUCUCCAUGUACUCAUAUACGAGUAAUAAUUGGUUUCCCUCGACGCAGCACCCAUAGAGCUUCACAAGGUUAGGAUGUUGUAGAGCUGAAAUCAUGCCUAUUUCAUUCACAAACUCGCGGUUCCCUUGCUUUGAUUUGGAAGAAAGCUGCUUCACAGCAAUGAUAGUGCCAUCUGCCAGAUGACCCUUUAGUACAGAUGAAAUCUCAGGUUAGAACCCUUAAAAAGAAAAUGAAGAUGCGUCCGUUAUAGUACGGUUAUAAAAAAGUUAGAAUUUUGGGGAAAAUAACCAUGCGUAUAGGUCACCUUGUAGACAGAACCAAAGCCACCUUCUCCAAUUUUAUUGGCUGCAUCAAAAUUAUUUGUAGCAGCUUUAAUUUGUCUUAGAGUGAACGAUCCAGUUUGUAGGUCUAGACCCUUUAAAUCUGCCAAAGGAACUUAUCAGGGAGAGCAUCUCUUAGCUGAUUCAUAAAUUCUGAGAAAAUCCAAAGAAAUCAAUAUCCCCGAACUUGGAACCAGUAGAUAGACCAAGCUACUGCUCAUCAUCUCUCAUUUGGACAUUUCUAAUGGUUAAUAACCCUCAAGGAAAACACAAAUAUAUUGCACUGAGAAUAAAAUAGGAUGACUUACCAUUUUCCACGGUAUCUCUGCACCGCAGACAACCUUUCCACCAAAGAACACAAAUUGUGACAAGAAGCAGAAUUGCAAUUACAAUCGCAGCUACAGCACCAGCUGGUAAGCUUUUUCCAUGUGGUCUAAAGUCUGCAUAUUGGGAGAGAGAGAUUACCCAACCAUCUCUAAUGGGGGAAAAAAAAAAGAAGUAAAAUGCUAGCAAAUUUUCAUUUUUGCUCCAUGUUCUUCAAAGAUUUCUAUAGGCUAGAACUUAUUUUUGGAAACACUAUACGUACACAUCACAACAGGUCUAGGUUUCAUGUUCUGUGAUGAAGAAUCACAUGAAAACUAUAAUCAUCCCCAAAUAAAAUUCCCUCUGCAUAGUAAUGGCUGGUGAAAAGAAAACACAUCUGGUCAUUAGAGCAUUAUUAUUUUCCUUUCCACAGAAGCUCUUAUUGGGUGUGCAUAAAUAAACUAUAAAAUUAGGACCAACUCAAAAAGUUCUAUUUUUCCUCUUGCCAAAAAUAAUAGCUUUUGACGAUUUGAAGCUCACCAGGAUCCACAGAAAUUGCUGAGAUCAGAGGACCAUAAACUCCCCUGACAGGAAUACCAGUUGUCCCUUUUCCAGCCCAGAAGAGGCGGAUUGCCAAAGUGUUGUCAGUUACUACUGCAGUAAAUUUUCUAAUAACAGGUCUAUUAACUCCACCAGCCUCAUCCUCAAUAUUGAAAUCUUUCAGCAUCAAGUUUUCCUGAAUUAAUGACAGAAAUCAGCCAUGGUUAAGCAAGCAGAAAUGUGUAAUAUCUAAGGUAGAAGUAAACCAAUCAAUUUGCACAAGUUCAAACUCUAUACUUCUACCAAGGUCACUAGCCUUUUUUUUUGUCAAUCCAAAAAUUCCUGAUUCUUUUGAAUAAAUCUGCAAACAUAUAUAUAUGAAACAAGUAAAAUACAGUGUGAAGAUACCUGGAUAUAUAUAUCAAAGAUGCGCCUCCCCAGACUACUAUAUGUUCUGUCAUCAGUAAACAUAAUUUCAGCAAAAUGAAGGUUUACCGUGUAAUUCCCAUUUUGCAUACAGAAACCAUAAUAUGUCAGUGAAAGCGGGGAAAGUCGUGCUUCUGUAUAUAAUCCCGAGUUGGUCCCAGAUAUGCUUGUAUUGUUUCUCCAAAUAUAGGAAUCUCUGGGGCGGUCAUCAUCCAAGAAGUUACCGGUGCUGCUAAAUGCCCAGUUACUACGAGACCUAUGGACGAAAUUUGAAGGGCCACCUGGCUCUAUAUCGUCAUCGUAACUUAUAUCAUCAUCAUCUUUCAUUUCUCUUCCACCACAAUUUAUAUGGAGAGAGUACCAACCUAGUAUAAAGCAAUUUCAAAGUUUUUUAUCAUUUGGAACAAAAGAAAGCAAAAUUUGAAAAAGUGCAACUAAAAAGAAAAGUACGAUUCCACCUAAAUGAAACUUGUAUUAUUCAUACUAUGCACUUGUAUCAAUAUAGAAAAAUGAAUGCAAUUGUUAAGCAAAGGAACCAAGAAGAAAACAGAUAGGCAAGGAAUAUCAGCGUUAUAACACCAAGUUAGUACACAUGCAUAUUUCACCAUCUUUCUGAAUUGGUGGUACUCCAGUUGUUUGCUUGACAAGGAAAGGAAAAAGCGAUUUAUGCUGUAAAAUAGAAAUGUAAUAAGAUGUGAAAUGAAAACCAAUAGCCUGAGCAAGUAAAUGUACAAUUAGUUGUCAGAUCAGAAUAAUGAAUCUAAUUUGCUCAAGUUGAAGGCUUUAUAUAUAAGUCAGCUAGUUUUUUGGUGAACUAUAAAUGCUAUACCACCAGAUCCUCAAUGUCUAGACACUCAUUCAAGGAAUUCAAAAUUCAGGAAUCCUUUAAACUUCAAAGUUUCCCGGAGCUAAGAUGUUCCGGUCUAGAAUAUACAUGGUCAAUAGCUGUUGGAUGCAAUUAGUAGCUGUUUGAUUGUCAAAAUGAUUGUAACUUAUCACUCAGGAAUAAACUCAAAAACCAAGUGAAUUGAGUCCAAUAUUUUCACUCCACCUUUGUCAAUUUCUUUAGAUCUACAUCUGAUAAUAACUAUUAGCUCAAGUCUAAACUUAUUGGCCUUCUCUAGAGAGUUCAACACUCUUUCAAGUGAUUCAUAAACUAUUAAAAUCCAAGAUCAGUCAAUCAAGGAUGACUUACUCUCUGGACAGCUGAAGCUCCUUAAGCAUGAGACAAUGCCUCUGAAAAAACAAUGCAAUUAUCCACUAUUAGUUUGCAUCAUGUGGAGAUUCGAGUUGUAUAUUAAGAAGGAGAUUAUGUCCAUUACUUUAUCUACUGGAAUUGGUAGCAUUAUAAAAUAGUUACAUUGAAAACUUACGGUGUGUUGCCUUUUGAGGAGCUUGCAAACAAGUUUCUGAUAACAAUUAGCUUCAAAUGUUAGAUAGCUUACAGAAACUUGAGAUUAGAACUAUUACUUUCAAAGAAAUGAACGUAAGCUCACAAGUUUCCAGUCGGUAGACAAUCUGACGCUCCAGAACUUUUGGUAAAAUUGUUGUAUGAAAGAUCACUGAAUCAAAAUUCACGACAUGAUCAAUAAUCAGUUAAAGAAUGCAUAUACACCUUGUCUUCUGUUCCCUUUAAAGAAAAUUUUCAUUUCAGUCUUUACCAUUUGUAUUUUGCUGAGUAGUUAUAUAAUAAGCACUCUAGUUAUUUCCACCUAGUUAAAAUAUGAUGAUAAGUAAAACCAAACAAAAACAUAGGAAAUCCUUAGCAGUCCUUCAAUUCAGACUCAAAAAUGAUAAUUGUCAGUUAGCAAGCUGCUUCAACAUCAGAAGCCCUAUUAGGUUACAAUGUGGGACAUGAGCAUGAAAACGAAAGGAAAAAGAAGUAGCACUUCUAAACAGAAUAAUAAUCAUUGACUGAAAGAACUAGAUACUGGACAACACAAUUUAUUGAUGAAUGAUCAGAGUGAGAUAACAAACACAAGGGUCUUGCUUUUUGUUUUUCUGCAGUAAAAGGUGAGUUCACUGUAAAAGAAACUUAUGAUACGCAUACUUGAUUAACCACGUGAGAUGCUACCGAAACCAUGCUCCAUUAAACAACCAUGACAUUUUUUACUUCACUAAUCUUUGAAAACGAACUCACAUACGGACUUGGCCUUUUGUCAGCAUCCAGUCCGGCACUGCUCCAGUGAGGAAGUUCCCAGUCAGAUAACUAGAAAAAUCAGCAUUCAUAGAUUAGCAAAUCUUACCUGUUUCCUACAUUGUACAAGCAACUUUUCAGCUAUAGACUAGUUGCAGUAGUAAGACUUAUCAAUCCAGCAACAGUGAUCAACAUUCUUACAUAUUUUCGAUCUUUGGUAGACCAAACAACGUCCUUGGAAUAGGUCCACUUAAUUUAUUAAAACUGAGGUCCCUGCAAAAGAAAGAUAAAUAUGCAGGUUUUAAAAGAAGCAAGGAAAAAUGUUCUUUUAAUCUAGUCAAAGCAGUUCUUCUGUAAGGAGUAGCCUCAAAUACAUAUUUACGUUUUUUACCCAGAUAAUUUUGUGGUUGGCCAGCAUUCCACUUCAUUUAACGCUGUUUCAUCAGUUAAAGCACAAGUAGAUAUAUCCUUUUACUUAAAGGUGCAUGUAUUGGUGUACGAUGUUUAUGGCUCAGCAACUCAUCUGUACUUUUCAUUAGUUCUUUGUGGAUACUACCUUUAACAUUGAGGGAACAUAUUAACUUCUAUUCUUCUCACCAAAGUUCCCAAUAAGUCUAUACUGCCUGUUAUCAAUCUGUCUUGCCUCUUAUCAUCUGUCUUGCCUCUUAUCAUCUGCAAGCUCACCAAUUUCACUGGUAUCUCAUUGCAAUUUGCUCAACAGUCGCCCCAGGAAUGAUGGUUCAAAAGAUAAUAAUAGAUAAUUUGAAAAUUUUGUAAAUUAUUUGCUUUAGCACCUCCCAACUAUUACUUCUUAGCUAGGACAAACUCUACACGGAGCAGGUUGAAAUUCUGAAUCUAUUUGCCCUCCUGGGUGUCCAAUAUGCUGUACAAGAUGAUAUACACUACUGCAGUAGAGCUCUUCUCCUUUAUGUAGAGCUCUUCUUUUUGACAUAACUUGCAACAGACAAAUGCAGGUCAACAGUUUUCUACUAUCGGGUUCAAUGUGGGUCAUAUAUUUGCAAAUGCAAGCACAAUGUAUGCACGUUGUGUGGCAGAAGUUGUAUAGCAACAUCACAUAUUGAACUUGAGAAUAAGGAACUAAAUCUACUCACAAGAGUUUCAAUUUUUUAAAUGAGCCAAGAAACCCUGGUAGCUGCCCAACAAUAUUGCAACUCCUUAAUAUCCUAUAAAAAGACAAACUCCGCAUCAAGUCAGAGCAAAAUAAUGGGUGUUCUCCCUUGAGAGUGCAACAGAAUUUUGUGAGACUCACAGCGUCCUCAUAUUAGUUGCCGCACUAAGUGGGGGAAAAUUUGUGUCAUUUCCGUUCAAAUCACUGAUUCUCCUGUUUGUAUUAAUUCAAAGAGAACAAAACUUCAACAGAUUAUAUUGUUUAAACGCUUACUCAUAGUAAAAAGUACAAAAACAUGAACUCACAGGUCAGUUAAUUUUGUCAAGGAAGCGAUGCCAGAUGGCAUUGGCCCACUUAGACCACUAGCCUGUAUCACUCUGCCAUCACAAGAAAUUAGUUGCACAAUAAUCAACAAAACAUGGUGGAAAAGAAGUUGUAAAGAAAAUUAAAAUGUUGCAAUAUCAAAAAGGGCUCAAGGUCUCACAGUUUCUCAAGGUUUGUCCAGCUCUGAAUGAAAUUAGGUAUACUUCCUAGGAACUGGUUCUCCCCAAUGCGACUGUGUUUUCCAAACAAAUUCAUCAGGAAUCAGUAUCUAAAUUGAAGUCAGAAAUAUAUCAGAAAACUCUGAUCCACUUGUGAAAUGUGAAAGUCAGAAAGAGGAACUCACAAGUCCUUCAAAUUGGUCAACCUAGCUAGCGUUCCAGGCAACUCGCCAGUGAAAUUGUUUGAGGUUAAAUGUCUUACAAUGUCAGGGGUUUAGAACAAUAAAAAAUGAACAUUUGUUAGUUCUUGAUAUCCAUUCCAAUAAAAAAAAAGCAACAUGAUUGUCGAACAUAAAGCAUAACAACUCGAUAUAUUUGAAGGGUCUUACAUUUUUUCUAUGAGAGUGAGAUUCCCAAGCUCUGGAGGAAUAGUUUCAGACAACUGAUUGAAUUCAACAGUUCUAUUCACAAUUCAAACAAAAAAAAAAAAUCAACUUUGAUCACACAGUACAGGAAAAACAGAGUACAUGACGAGGAAUGAGAGAAAUCAAUGACAGAUUCUUACAGAUUGACUAAUGUGCUGAUAUUUCCAAGUUCUUUUGGCAAUGACCCUGAUAUACGGUUUCCAAGCAGGGAACUGCAGUGACCAAACCUAGCCACAUUUUAGCCCUUACAAACGGUGGGGUAAAAAAACCUUUUUCACAGGAAAAAAAAAAGGGGGGGACAGGAAAGAAGUGAAAGAUACAAAACAUACAUGUUUACAAGUUGCAUGGAACCCCAUUCCCGUGGUAUUGUACCAUUAAGGUAGUUGCGUGUUAGAUCACUACAAAAAUUUACAUAGUGACAAUUUGAGUUAGAUAAAGAUUUUAUCUUUUUUCAUGGGUUUGCAUUCUUUUCUUUAAGAUUUUAAUCCACAGUAAUAUAAGGGCAGCCAUAUUCACAUUUCUCGGAGAUACGGGAGCUUGAUCAAUUCUGGCGGCAACGUUCCCGGAAGAUUCUGAGCUUUGAGUAUUCUGCAUUUUGGAAAAGAUAGUCAUUAAUUGGAGUGAAUUACAUAACAGAACAUACAGCAGAGGAGUUUAUAGUUUAUAGUAUCUUCAUGGAAUUUGACACUUUGUUUGGGAAAUUUCUUCAUAUAUAGAGAACUGUCCGUACUAUUAGUGAUUAGUUUUCCUGCUAAAUGACUCCGUUUCGAUUUGGGGAGUUAUUUUUUAACUGGAUUUUUUAUUAAGUGUGUACGAAGGACAAUUUUUUUUUCUUAUUAUUAUUAUAGUAGCAUGCAGACGCUAACUUUGAAAGUAACGCAUACUACAACAAAGAUUUGUUUGGCAUUGUUGUGAUUUUGACAAUCCUUUUUUUUUUUUUUUAAGUUUAACAGAACUAGUUCUGCAGGACAUCACGAUCGUUUAGUUGGUUUCUUUUAUAUACAUAUACAUACAAACAUAUAUAUGUAUACAUACAAACAUAUAUAUAUGUGUGUGUGUGUGUGUGGUAUAGAACUAGGUGGUACGUAUAGAACUUUUUUUAAAAAAAAUUUUUGCCCGGAGCGGAACAUAUGGACUUUAGCUCCAAAAUGCUGUAAAAUCACAUAAUUCUGCAAAAUUUAUCAGGCCAGUCAGCGAAGACAAAAUCAUCUUCACAUCAGAAACCAAAACAAACCAGUGUUCAAAUCUGAAAUAAAAAUACAACCAAUGAAGACGUAUCAGCACUUCAACAGAGGAUUAAUGAUUUGAGUACGAGAGAAUAAACUUUACAUGCUGACAACAUGGCAAACUGUGUGAUUGAAGAAGGAACAAUCACAAGUAACCGCAUUCUGAGUUUCUAUGGGAUUAGGAGUACUCCAGUUUUGCAGUCCACUGCAUGGAUCCACACUGAAAUUCCAGUCCGUCUUCCUUAAUGUCCCAGCAAUUUGCUGCAAAGCUCUCACUACGAGAAACAAACAAACAGAAACAGAAAAUAACCAUUAAGGAUUCUGCUUUUAUCUUUUCCCCAUGCCCAGAGAAGAAAAAAAAUCUUUUGUCCUUAGACUGAAUAUGGUACUGUAUAAGCACCUUCAUCAGGAGGAAGAGUGGUUCCAGAAGCAAGGAGAACUGCCAAAGCAAGGAGAAAUGCUACCCGGGCGAAGAACAUGUUCAGAGCUGUUUAAGGGAAAGAGAAAAGACUAUUGAUUAUGUAAUACCAAAGAAGAGAUAACUGAUGAUCAAGAAAUAAGGACGGUGAUUGAGAAUUUCAUGGACACCAUGGAGACACCAAUUUAUCUUGGAGCUUGACAGUGAAAGCGUGGACUUGGGACUAGUAUACCUCGAAAAUGAUUCUUGAAAGCAGAAUUACAUGCAUGAUUCUUUGAAAUAGAAAAUUUUUUUUUUAAAAAAAAUGAAAGCACAUAUAUGACCUUUCUUUAUAAAUUGUGUUAAUUUCAGAAACCUCCCCGAGAUUCAUCCUAAUUUCACCUGGUACUUUCAAAAAUCUUAAUUACCUCUCCCAUCAAUUAAUAUGAUGUGAUUAGAUGUCCCAAUUAGAGACGUUGAAAUGAUAAGAAGGUUACCCCCCAUGUUUUCCUACUUUUUUAAGCAGCAAAAGGUUGGGAAAAGAUUUAAAAAAAAAUCUAUAAGCAAAAAUAUCUAAAAACAAAUAACAAGAAUGCUAUCUAAAACAUUUUUCUCCCUCUUUGUUGCAAAAAUCUUUACUUUUAAUGUUCGUCCUUGCCACAACCUAUUCAAAAAUCUUUGCUUCUAAUGUUAAUGUUUGUCAUUGUCACAACUGAUCACCUAAAAUUUUUAUUCUAAUUUCCCUUUUUGUGGCAAAAUUUUUGUGUUUCUUUACUACGAAAUCUUUACUCUUAAAUUUCCUCCUUGUUGCAACAAAUCUCUUGAAAUUUUUGUCUUUUUAUAAUGUUUAAUUUCCUCGUUGUUCCUCCUUAUUGCACUUGCACCUUCUCAUAUUCUAAAUUUAAUAUUCCAUGUUAUUUGUCUUUUUUGUCAUAUUUCAAAAUUCAUAAAUCAAUUUGCACAAGGAUAAAAGUGGAAGGAAAAUAUAAUCUCUCUCCUCCAAUGCAUUUUUUAAGAUUACUUUUAUACAUAAAGGGCGACAAUAAUGUUACACAAAUUAUCAUUCAAGGAGAGCCUUGUGAGAUUUCUAAAACUUUAAAGAUACUAGGUGAUAUUACGAUAAACUUCAGGGGAGGUUUCUGAAAUUAACUCCAUCAGUUAUUAUUAUUAUUAUUGGCUGAUAGUUCCCCAUAGUUUAACCCCAUUACAAUUAUGGCAAAUUCUCAAAGAUCUUCAUUUUUUUUCAUGGACAAAAUCUUCAUGAUAUGUUUUGAGAAAUCUUUGCUCAGUAUUUCAAAAGGUGUUUCAAGGAGAGCUCCAAAUGCUUGGAGCAAUCAAAUGGGGCAUAAGUUUUGUUGGGUAUUUACCCCACAGCACGGAGCAAAUGCUCAAGUGUUUUGGGUAUCGGGAGUUUGGCAUUUUCUUUUUUUAACUUUCAACUUUGAGUUUGCUAAUCUUUCAUCCUACCUUUGUUUUUCUGCCCUUCUUGUUAUUUUCUCAUUUUUUAAGAAGAAGUCCAUGAUUUUCUCUUUGGAAAUUGUUUGGGUCAAAUACAAAAUAAAAACAUCCAUGACUUUGUUUCCUUUCUUUUUCUCUUUUCGUUUAAUACCAAGAUAUGUUCAUUUUAUGCUAACGCGACUCUAGGUGAUUAAUAUACGGGUUCAAGCUAUACUUGUUAUAUUAUAAUUUUACUUGUUAGACAAUAAUAAUUUCUUGUACUUCUUCUUAAUUUUACCAAAAUUUUAUAUUUAGUAGUAACCUUUAUAUAUAUAUAUAUAUAUAUAUUGUAAUUUAUAUAAUAUUAUUGUAAUUUUUUUAUUUUUAAAUAUCAAUCAAAAUUUGUAAAGACUUAACCUCACGCCUCAAGGCUUUAAAUGACUUGUUUGGAUUGAUAUAAAAACACCAUACCCAACACUACUGUUGCCUUUUAAAAGCUCGAGCUUCCGCUUGAUCUACUGUGGCCGGCCUCUAACUCAAGUUAGACCUGUAUUUGGUUCUAGAAUUAACGAAAUACUCAAGGCAUAAAGGAGCAUGCUCUGCAUACUUCGUCCAGCAGAUUGGCAUUAAGUAAUAAAUCUCGAGAGGUUUUCCGACAAUGGAGUUUAUGGCAUGCGAAUCAGUCAAAAGUCACGACAACAGAGUAACUUGGCCGAUGGAUGAAUCUCUCCGUCAGUCGCAAUGCCACAGGUAAGCAUGCAUUUAGUAGCAACCUAAUUUCAAAGACUAAUAAAUUAGAUAGCAAUCUGGAAGCGGUUGGUGCCUCCAUUAAAUUGCUGAUUGAAACAGGCAGAGCUCCUGGUACGCCAGCACCAAUGAGGACUACAAAUUAUUACUGGCGAACAAAAUACACCAACUUGAUUGAUUGUAUAUAUGCUCAUCAGUUUGCAUGCAGCUUCCUCUCGUUUUAUUUUGUAUUUAGGGUAAAAUACACUUUAUUCCCUGUGAUUUUUCAUAUAAAUUUCUUGUGAUUUUAAAAACUAUACAUACAUAUAUAACCCCCAGAUAGUUUGAACUAAGGUGUUAAAAUGAUGGAAAUGGACCUCUGUAACGAAAUCCACAGAAAUAUCGAGAUGAUCCUUGUUUAAACACUAAAAUGGUUGAAGUGAUCAAAAUAUAUAAACAUAUAAUAUACAUGACACUUAAACCCCCUACGGUUGGUUUUGUGUUUUACCAUAUAUGUAACCUUCUUAUGAUUUAGUGUUUUACCAACUAAUCCCCUUCUGUAGUUAAUAAAUAAUUUCUAACUUUAUAUACGAGUACUUUUGAUAUUUUAGUUAAUCCCGUCAUGAAAUGCAUAUUCUAUUAUUUUAACACUUUACUCCAAAACAUGAGUAAUUUUGUGUAGCUUUUCAAAUCACAUGAAGUUUUUAUUUAUAUAUCUUCUUUUUUCCCCUCUUUCUUUACUUGAUCUUAGCUCUUGAGACGACUAACAAUUUUAAUUGCAACAUGAUGGUUUUACAAAGCAAUAGAAAAGAAUUUGACCGUGAGCAGUCGAACAAAUAGUCUUUGGUUUUGGUGACUUUGUAUUCCUUUUUUAUUUAUCUCAAAUUGUAGUCCACUUUCCAAUUGAACAAUGUAGUUAUAUUUUAAUUUUUCUAAGAUACCCUUAUUCAAUGUAAGUAAUUGUUACUAUAAACCUACCCCAUUUAAUGAGAGUUGAUUCUUUUUUUUACCAUCAAUUUAAGUUCUCAUAAAGUUGUACCAUAUUUAAUGCGAGGGUAUUUUAGAAAAAUAGCAAUCUAAAUUUACUUUUCCAAUAAAGUUAACUAUUUUUUCUUAAACUGUGUGGAAAAAGAAACAGGACUAUCAAAGUGGAACGGAGGGAGUAGCAUAAACUGAUCAUCAUCAAUCAGAUUUCUCUGAUCACAAGAAUAUCUAUCUAUCAUUCAAAGGUCGUCGUCUGGUUAACUGCAGGACUAGGAUUUGUGUGGAGCUGCAAUUAGUAAUAUUUUGAAAUGCCACUGAAAGAAUCAAAAUGCUUGUAUUGAUUGUAAGAAUAAAGACGAGGCAGAAUGCCGACACCAUGCAUGGCAUUGGCCCCGGCCAGCUUGCGAGCGUGGAAAGCGGGAACCCAAAAUAUCGUUGACUUGCUGUUUUUUUUUUUUCAACAGCCUGAAUCAGACUUUUGUUGUUUUAUAAACCUAAUCCCAGAAUUAACCUCAAAAGCCGGCAACUCUUGAGGCAAUCCCAGGGACUUAUAUCCCAACCCAAACCCAACCCCAACCCCGAUGUGGGACAAAUGUACCUAUAGGGGGGACCUGCUGCUAAGUGGGAUACUACCACCCAAUACCCUUUCAACCCUGAGGCAAUUUGUCUUUUUUCAACAGCCUGAAUCAGACUUUUGUUGUUUUAUAAACCUAAUCCCAGAAUUAACCUCAAAAGCUAAGUUGACUUGCUGUUUGAGGCCUGUAAAAGAGAAUUAUUUUGAGAUUUCAGGAUCCCGGAAUUUACUACUGUGACAGCUGAUGUAGGAUUCCACCUUUUUUUUUUUUUUUUCCCUUUACGUAUAAAUAGAUUUUAAACAAUUCCUCGUUAAUUUUUAAUGGAAUAAAAUUCCCUCCCCAAUAUAAAACCAUAAUAUUCAUCACUAAAAUAUGUUUACCAAUUUGUUUGUAAUAAAAACCUUACAACCAGACUAGAAUAUUUGUGUUUACUCAUCAUAGUUCGCAAGGAUUAGAUGUCCCUUUCUAUUCAUUUUCUUCUUCUUUUAAGAGCUAGAAUUAACGUAAUUGCAUUCCCUUUUUUUUUUUUUUUUUUCAACUUCCCACCUGUCCUCACAACCUUUUCCACCCUUAAUUGCUAGCUAGAUCUAAGAGUUCUAAACUUCAGGGUGGUAGACUAGAGAGAACUCUAAGAGUUCUAGCCAAUUCUAAAUCUCUUUUUUGCAUUUUCUUUUGCAAAAUUAACGCCAACAUAAUUUCGUUCAACAUCUCAUUUUAUUCCACAAUAAAAUUUGUAAUUUUAUUCCUAAAACAUGGCUUCAAUAUGGAUAUUACACAAGUACCACCAGUAAUGUCAAAAGAACAUCCUAAUUUUGAGCGGUAAUGUUGUUAUUAUUUAUAUUUAAUGGGCAAAAUGGCUCUCAACCUGCUCUUUCCAUCUCCCUUGAGCUUCUUCCAUCCUGAGAGAUUUGUACAACAUAAAACUCCAUAUCUUUUCUUAGGUUUAUAGAGAAAAGGAGGUUUUUUUUGUUUGUAAUGAAUAAAAACUACAACUCCACUAAUGAGGAGGUUGUGCAAAUUGGUAAACUGUUAAUGUAAAAUCUACAAUUAUUUUUUGUUCCCACAACAACAGGAAGCGAUUUAAAUAUGUACUAUCAAAAUAUUUCGGCAGUCGCAGAUGACAAUUUCCUCAUGACUCGUCGUCCAGAAAACCAGUCUCUAGACUGAUGGGGUAUAAAUCAGAAGCAGAUGUUGAAGACGCAGUAAAUGGCAGGUCGCUUGACGUGCUCUGCGGCUGGCUCUCAUCGAAAGUUGAUAGCAGGUAUUGCUCAUCACUGAUUUCCUUCACACUGGCACUCCAUGCACUCCCGUCUAGAAUCGACUUUUGAUCCUCUACUCUUCCUUCUAGCAUGCUCACCACUGUUGACAUACUAGGCCUAACGGCCGGAGAUAUACUGGUGCAAAGCAGGGCUAUUUCAAUUGUCAACAUGAUCUCAUUUUCGUUGACGUCUGGUCCCAAUCUGGAAUCAACUAGUUCCAUCAAUUUCAUUUCCUUCUUCAAGAGAUGAGCCUACAUCAAAGAAAGAACAUGCUGGAAUAUCAGCGCAAACUUAUUGAGCUUAUAAGAAAUGAGAGGGCUGUCCUGCAGAUGGCUUAAAUUCUUCUGAUGCAUCAAAAUAUCUAGCACACAAAAGCAUCAAACUAAAGCAUAUUCAUAUUAGAUGUCAGGAAGGAGGAGCCUCAGGUCUUACCGUUGCUGUACACCACAUACUUAAGCAAACCAAUUAAAAAAAAAAAAAAAAAAAGCACGAAGAUGAAGAAUUCUUAAAUCAGGAAAUUCUAACAGGUAACUCGAGAGGGAAAGAAAAUGCAGUUACCCAGUCGAGAAGAUUCAAGUACUCCUCCUCCUCCUUUGGUUUAAAACCAGCGUUGCUCUUUCCGCUGACAAUUUCCAGAAGAACAACUCCAAAGCUAUAGACAUCUGCUUUGUCAGUUAAGUAGCCUCUCAUUGCAUAUUCAGGUGCCAUAUAUCCACUGAAAAAUAACCCAUCUAACGUCAGCAAAUCAAAUCAAGACCAUGUUCUCCCAUAAAAGAAAAUGAAAAAAAAAAACUGUAAACAGAUUGAUAUGUAUCUGGGGCACCCAUAGGACUCCAAUCAUAAUAAGCCCUUCCCAAAAGAGAAUUGCAUGCUUGGACUCACAAGGUUCCAGCAACGCGGGUACUUAUAUGGGUGUCUUCGUCUUCAUGAAGCCUCGCCAGGCCAAAGUCUGAUAUCUUAGGAUUUAGCUCCUUAUCAAGUAGCACAUUGCUGGCUUUGAUGUCUCUAUGGACAAUCUUCAACCUCGAUUCUCCAUGGAGAUAGGCCAAACCUCUUGCUAUACCAACACAGAUCUUACGCCUUGUUGGCCAAUCUAAUUCCAACUGGUGCUCUUCAAGACCUGUAAGUUGAGAGGUGUGCCAUUGUUAUGGAAAAAACAGCAUUACCCACACUUACAUGCUAUAACAUAGAAGGAAAAGAUUUGGGAAAAUAUUUCUGUUUUUCUCAAGAAUUUACAAUGAUAUGCCAACUAUACUCACAUAGGAAUGCAAGUUACACAGAACCUAGACACUAUUUGAAUUUGAUAACUAAUCUAAUCUAAUUAAUUCUAUUCUUAUUGACCUUUAGUAUGAAAUUCAAAUGCAUAUCAAAUAAUAUCUACACACAACUCAUUCCAAUACAUGUGCAUAUUUUGAUUUUGAAGGUGCGAUUACCAAAGCGUAUACAAAAACAAAUGCAAUUUUAGCUUACCAAACAAUGCACGACCAAGGCUGUUAUUUUCCAUGUACUCGUAUACAAGCAACAAUUGGUCUCCCUCGACGCAGCAUCCAUAGAGCUUUACGAGAUUAGGGUGUUGUACAGCAGAAAUCACACCUAUUUCAUUCAGAAAUUCUCGGUUUCCUUGGGUCGAUUUGGAAGAAAGCUGCUUUACCGCAAUUAUGGUUCCGUCAGACAGAUUUCCCUUCAAUUAAGAUGUGAUGUCACAACAAAUGUAAUAUCAGAUGUCUAGAAUGCACUUGAGCACAAGUUUCUCUACAUGAAGAAUUUGGGAAGUAUGCCAUGGUUUGAGUUACCUUGUAGACAGAACCAAAACCACCUUUUCCAAUUAUAUUGGAAGAAUCAAAGUUGUUUGUUGCGUACUUGAUUUGUCUCAGGGUGAAUGAUCCUGUUUGUUGAUCUAGACCUCUUACAUCUGCCAAAUAAACUGAGAUGAGUUAGAGCAAAUUCACUACACAUUUGAAAUUUGACACACAAUUUUUGUUAUAAAAGCAGGAAAAUGAAUACAUCUCAACUUCCAAGAACUUAUUUCCCCUGAGAUCCCGUAUCCCAUGCAAGGAUACCUGUCUACCAUCGAAUAGAAUGAAUUACUAAAGAAGUGUGUGAAAUUUUAAAACCGUUAUCACUGUGAAUACAGUCAUUAGGAGAACAAAAGGCCCGGUAAUUUGGCAAAGUUUAUUAGAUAUGGCUAUUUGUCCUUGGCUGUAGUUAAAAGUUUAUAUUUAGGCUUGAACAGAGUGUGUUUACCUUCACUAAUAUUUGAAACUUUCUACACAUUGAUAGCACAAUUUGGAAGUCAUUGCAGUACUACUUUGGUAAUUUUUCUACCGUUCUACGUCCUCUGGUUAGUAACUCAAGAUUCCAUUUCCUUGGAAUGGUCACUACAAUCUUCUAGCAUUCGAAAGCUUGUGGCGUAUUUAGUAUAUGCAUGGAAGAUUUUAGAUAAAAGGACUAAUUUGACGAAAUUUGAAGUUCAAUUAAAACUUCCGGACAAAAUUCAAGGACUCAUAGAGUAACUUAUCUGCUAAUGCCGGAAAUUCUUAAGCUAGGGUUACAUUUCCAGUUUCGCGUCCGAUAUUAAUCUGCUUGAACAAAAGCUUAUUUUACCUUGCUGCGUUGUUUGACUGGGUUGCAUGCGGAAUUUCCACCCAAGUAUGGCUAGAACCAGAGAUACGGUAAACAGAACUGCAAGUACAAUCCCAACUAUGGCACCUACGGAUAAGCCAUGUUCUGAUGGUACUGGAAAAUUUGAAUGGGGAAAAGGAAAAUAAAUGAAGAUAAUAAGAAGUUGAAAUAAGAUAAAUAACAUGGUCCCAAGAUUUAGGGGAGUGAGAUUUUCAAAUCAGAUUUGUUCAGAUGAAAUGAAAAAACAUUCUAUUGUUCUCCACGAUUUCUUGAGAGUUCCGAAACAAAUAUUUGUGAAACACUCACAAAUCUAACAAAAGAAAUAAUGGCUCUGUUUCGAGUCUUGAAUUUUCAAUCUAGAAGCUUUAUAAGGUUUGAAGCUUACCGUGAUCCACAGAAAUGGCAGAUAUUAGAGGACCAUACACUCCCUUGUCGGGGAUAUCGGUCGUUCCUUUUCCAGCCCAGUAGAAGCGGAUCUCUAAUGUACUGUCACUAACUACAGCAGGAAUAUUUAGAACUACAGGCUCAUUGACGCCACCUAUUGUGUUGUUCUCAAUAUUGAAGUCUUUCCGGAUCAACUUUCCCUGGAAAAACAUCAACCAAUUCCCAAUGAAGGUGCAAACUUGAAUUUUCAUGAAAUACCUAAUUGUAGCUUAUAAGUUCAUCAUCUCUGCGUCGAUUACUUGCUUUGAAAAUCUAAAACUCAUUCCAGACAGUACAUGAAGCAAAAAAAAUACCUGAAUGUGUAUAUCAAAUAUGCGCCUUCCGAGGCUGCGGUAUGUUCCAUCAUUAGUAAUCUUGAUUUCAGCAAAGUGGAGCUUUACCAUGUAGUUUCCAUUUAGCAGACAGAACCCAUAAUACGUCAGUGAAAGAGGAGAAAGUCUUGCUUCCGAGUAUAAAUUAUUUGCGUCAUUCCCUGAAAAUCUUGAACCAUUACUCAGGACAUAGGUCAGAGACUCGUUAUCCAUGAAGUGACCAGUGCUGCUAAAUCCCCAAUUCGUUCCACUCUGGUAGAAUUUUGAAGGCCCUCCAGGCUGUGAAUCGUCUUCGUAGCUUGUAUCACCGGUUUUUACUUCUCCUCCACCACAAUUUAUAUGUAAAGAGGACCAGUCUGGAGAAACCAACGGAAAUAUUCGUUACCAACUACAAACUAGGAAAUUUUAAUGAAAAGAUAGCAGAGGCAUCAAAAAGAAUGAUUAGAUCCUGAAAGAAGCAACAUUUUUUGGUCAGUGAAUACACCUAUCGUUACUCUUACAUAUAGAUUCGAUAAACGGACAACCAUUUAAAUCACAAUGGUAGCUUGAGUCAUGGUCCAAGCUCAGUAUGCCUCAGUAGUCAUGAAGAGACUUGCCUCAGUUUUAAUUCUCAAGAACUAAAUAGGAUAGAUGGAAGCAAUUUAUUAUCAAGUAAAUAAAGUAUGUCACAGAGUACUAAACAGGAUAGAUGGACCGCGAAUGCAUGCCCAAACAAUCCAAAUGAUAUGAAAUUAAUUAAACCCACUUUGCUGACAUUGGAAACUCCGCAAGCAUGGGAACGUGAUCCUGAAAAUCAAUACAAUGUUAGAAAUAAUCAGCAUGACAUGGAGUAUGUGGUAUUUCAGAAUUUAAUUAAUCAGGAAACAAACCUCCGUCGCAUUUUAAGCAUUUAGCAAAUCUACAUAGUGCGGGACUUACGAUUUGUUGUUCUUCCAAGAGCUAGCGAAUAAAUUCCUGAUAAAGAUUUACUGCACUUGUCAAUUAAAUACAGAAAACUUGGUCGGACAAUUGUUACUUCAAUAAAGAAGUAAAUAUAAUCUCACAAGUUCGUGGCUUGGCAACUCGAGGAUUCUGAAUUUGAAGGAGUAAAAUUGUUGUAUGAAAGGUCUCUGGAUACAACAUCAAAACCCUAGAAAUUAUAACAUGCAACAUACAAUAAACAGAAGAACUAUUUUAUUCCCGUAAGAAGAUACAACCAGGUUUGCAAGUGAAGAAAUUUUAUUUAUUCUAUCAUAGCACUUGUCAUUUUUUUACUUUUCUUGGUGUCUUUGAAGUGAAAAUUCGAUUUCGGAAAGGCAUGGACUAUAUUAAUUUGCUAGAACAUUUCCGUUGUAAGACCAACUUACCUAUACACUCUGCUAUUGAGCAUCCCGUCAGGAAUAGAUCCUAUGAUGUUGUUUCCUGUGAGGUACCUAUCAAAACCAACAUUCAUGGAUUAGAAAGCUAGCAAUAAACAUUCUAAAACUUCAAAUGAACUUAUGGGCGCUAUCCACAUCUGGGUCAUAUCUUGCAGGACAAAAGACUGAGGAGCAAAUUUUAAUCUACCAUAAAGUUCUCUCCUCUAUCAUCUUUUGAACUCUUGCCACUACCUUCCCAAAACCCAAGGAAAGAAUUAACCAAAGGACAGGACUUCCAAGGCAUUUUCCACCACAAUUAAAGUAGUAUCCGUUAAAUGGAGUCCAGCGUUGUCUACUUAGGUCAGGCUCUCGUUUCGUUCUGUCUUUUGGUUCUUAACAUGGCUGAAUUAGCAGACUAACUAAAGAAAAAGUGAACACAUUUAUAAUCAAGGUUCAGCACUUAAUUUCCUUACAUGAAAACCGUGUUUGAAGUGUCUAAGUUUCUUGGAAUUUGUCCACUAAUUUUGUUAAAACUGACGUCCCUGCAAAAGAAACACAAGCAGUAAGUAGCAGAAUUGGUAUUGUUGAUGUUCUUUUGUUCAUCAGGGAUGCUCUCAAAUCAACACAAGUGACCUGACCUUCUACCCACCUGGUUGUAGUAACCUGUACAUUCUGUUUGCCUAGUUCUCCUUCUGUGUGUCUACUCUAAAUGUUUUGGGUAAAUCACAGUGGCCUACGUUCAGCUUUACCAUUAGCUCAUUACCCUUUAAAUAUUCGACAUGGAAAAUGACCCAGACAAAAAAAUUAAGCGGAAUGCCAUUGUAAUUUAGAAGUAGGAAGUAUUACAAAAUUAUUCCGUGUCAUCACCAAUAGGACAAAGGAGAGGUUAUUACAAUUCUCAAGAACCCCCUAGGGUAGGUUUCGGUCAUCAAGUUGGCUGCUUUUUUAACUAGACUCAAGCAUCAUUUGCAUCUCGUUUACUUUUUGUUUCCCGUACUGGGAUCAAGGUUGGAAAACGGUGAGGCAAACACUCCAAAUUUUAACUACGCAAAAACAGAUCAUCAAUCAUUUUCCAGAAAUUGAAGCAAUUUGCCAAGCGCAGAAAACCAGUACCCAGCAGAAGUUUUGGGGCUUACUGAGUAGUAGACCCAACAACUUUUCAAGAUGCAAGGAGGUAAAAUAAAUAGUGCAUUGGAUCUCUCUUGAGAUAUUGAUUAACAUUCUGUGCAGCUAUCCUAUCAUCCUUGAAUCGCUUACUGUCGCAUCAUCAAUUCCUGCCCCAAAUCUGGGCAGCAAAUUCAUAGAUCAUCAUGCUACCUUACACAAUGAAGUUAUUAUCCUUAACAAAUUGAUAAAAACAUCUUUUUGGACACUGUUACAAAGCUGUAAUCUUAACUUUGUGAUGCAUCAAUAUCUAAGGUUCAAAAACAAACACUAACCGUAUGCAACUAGCAUUUAGAGGUCCAACAAUAGUAUCAUAUCCUGACAGGGCAGUCAAUAGUAGCCAGUUCUGAGGAACGAUCAACUUUGUGCUAGCGAAAGACCAUAACAGGGCUUUGCAUGUUAUGAAGGAGAAGUCUCUGAGAUUGAUGCAAGCACAAGUUUUUGAAAAUUGAAGAAAUAAAUAUCUAAAUCUACUCACAAGACUUUCAAGUGUGCCAGGGAGCCAAGAUAGUCUGGUAACUGCCCUGCUAUAUUGCAACUCCUCAAUAUCCUACAUAGCCAAUUGUAAAACAAGUUAGAGCCACUGAAUAUUUGUUACCCUUGAGAGGGAAAUGCAAAGUCAGAUAACUCACAGCCUCGUCAUAUUAGUCGCAUUGCUAAAGAGAGGAAAAGCAGUCUCAUUUCCACUCAAAUCACUAAUUCUCCUGUUCGUGUUUUACAAAAAGAACAAUAGAGCCAAGAUAUCAACCAAUUGUAUCAUUGAUUCCUUUACUCUACUUCAUAAAAAUGCAAAUCAAGAAAUAAGAAAAACUUACAAAUCAGUUAAAUUUGUUAAAGAAGCAAUGCCAGGUGGGAUUGGCCCACUUAAACCACUACCCUGGAUCACUCUGCCAUGAUUAGGUAUUUUAGUUGAAGAACGAUAAAAUGAAACAUUUAGCGGGAUUUGCAGGGUGAAAAAAUGAAUUUAAAUAGUUACAGGUGGUCAAGGUCUUACAAAUUCUGUAUACUUUUCCAGUUUUCGAUGAAAUUAGGAAUACUUCCCGUCAAGUUGCAGUCACCAAUCCGACUACAAUUUUUUUUUUUAAGAAGUUAAAUGAAUCAGUUUUAAAACAGAAGUAGAACGUGCUGCACAUUCAGAAUCCUCUGGUUGGACUGAAAUUGAAAGUGAGGAACUCACAACAUGGUCAAGGCGGUCAACUUAGCCAAUGUCACAGGCAACUCCCCACUCCAAUUAUUCGAGGUAAGAGUUCUUGAAUGUCACACCCAAAUCAAUUAAAAAUAAAGGAAAAUAGAAAAGCAAAAGACUACAGAUUCUCUUCACCUGAUAACUAGAAUACACAAAAGAAAUCAAAAGCAGAUGAUACCCAAUAUAUGAUACAAAUUACGUGGGAAUGACUCAAAAGGGCUUACAGUUUUUUUAAGCGUGUAAGAUUCCCAAGCUCUGGAGGUAUAGGUCCAGACAACUGAUUGAAGUCCAAAGUUCUACAGAAAGUUUAAGAUACAAGAAACAGAUUAGUCAUAAGCUGAAUAAAGAAUUGGGAUAUGUUUGUAAAGAAAAUACAAGGGUCUAUGAGGUUCCUUACAGAUUCACAAGUGUGCUGAUGUUUCCAAGUUCUUUUGGUAUUAUUCCUGAUAUGCGGUUACCAUAGAGGGACCUAUAAUAAAACCAUAAACUUGCACGUCAGUACUGAAUACUGAGACAUACAUAAAUUUCCAACAACAAAUGCAGAAUAAUAGAACAGGAGAGCAAAUCUUACAUGUUCACAAGCUGCAUGGUACCCCAUAUUGGAGGGAUAUUACCAGAAAGGCAGUUCCGAGAAACGUCACUAGAUUGAAAUAGCAAAGAUUGAAGAUAAAUACACACUCUAGCGAGUUAAUUUGUUCCAUUUUUUGACUUGAGCCUUCCUCAAAUAUUUGGUAGUCAUUUCUCAUAGGAAAAGGUGAACACUUACAACUCACGGAGGUAAGGGAGUUUGACCAAUUCUGCUGGCAGUGUUCCCGGAAGACUCAGUGAUUUCAAUACUCUGUACCUCAGACGAAAGAGCAAGAAGAAAAAAUAAAAAUCGGAUUUUUUUUUAUUUUUUGGAUUUUUCAUGUAGAGAAUAACAUGGGCAAAGAAAAAUGUUCUUCUCAUGUAGACACUACAGAUUUUCUUGAUAUGCCUUGUUCUUUCUUUGGCACAAGACGCCAGGUAUACAUUCCAUGAUUUUUGUACAUGCCUAAGGAAGGGGUACUUACAUACUACUGACAUGACAGGUCGUGUUAUUUUCAAAGGAACAAUCACAAGUAACCGCAUUCGCAAAUUCAGGUAGGGCAGCAUCAUUUCUCCAGUUUGAUUGUCCACUACAGGGAUCUACGCUGAAAUCCCAAUCAGUCUUCCCUAAUGUUUUUGCAAUUUCCUUCAAAACUUCCACUAGAAGAAACCAACAUCCAAAAAACAGACAAUGAUCAGCUGGUAUGAUACGUUAAGUCAAAGUAGAGAUCAAGAAUUGAAGUCGUGUUUCUCGUCCACGCCCUAAACUUCAUACUCGUGUACUAUAUAUGUAUAUACCUUCAUCUGAUACCAAUGUGGCUCCAGAGGCAAGCAUUACCAGCAAGAAGAAGAAUAUUGCUGCAGCAGCAGAAGCAUCUGAGAAUCCAGGAUGGCACCGGAGAAACAUCUUGUUGUGUGCCAUCUAGAAGAAGUUCCGCGUCCUCAAGAAGUAGUUACUGUAGAGUAUUACAAUAUUUCAAGUAAGAAGACUGACAAAAUUGUACGGAAUUCAGCAGCGCGUCAAGUCAACUGGAACCAAAGGACAGCAACUGGAACCAUGAAAAUGAAGCAUAAAAUUAAGUGAUAAUUUCAGAAACCUCACCCGAGGUUUUUGAGCAUUUCACUAGCCUCCCCUAAAGUUUGUACUUGGUCUAACAAACAGUCUUUGGUUUAUGGUGACUUUGUUCAGAUGCUGUAUGAAUGGAUAGAGUUUUACUCUGGACUAAUAAAAGUCUUGGCAUUUAUAUUCGCCUGAACUCUCCAUUAUCAUGUGGGGCAUUUGAGAACAAGCUGCAUUUUUUUCCUGUUCUUGGUCCAUUUAUGAAUGCUCUUUUUCUCUUCUUGGUUAGUCUCUCUCUCUGCGUAUAUAUUAUAUGUGCGUUAAAUUUUACAAAAUCUACCUCUACCUCAUGCUGAAUUACCUUAGAGUCCGCAAACAAAUAAAUAGUUCAUGCUUGCAAAGUUUUAAUUCGAUUAAUAUAGCACUAUAUAUGUUUUCAUGACUUCUGCAGAAAGUGGCAUUUUGCGUCUGGCUACCUGAGUGGUACGUAUUAUUCUUCCUUUCAUGAACUUUGUUUCCAAUCAUCGUUACUAUGCAAAUACCCAAAUAAUUGCAUGGAAAGACUAAGCAUAAUAUACCCAUCUUUUUCACCAUAUACUCCGCACAUUUAUCAAGAAACCAAGAUUAGUUCACACACACAUCAAUUUUAAUUUACUUUUGAUGAAUUACAAUAGUAUAAACUGAUCAUCAUCAAUCAGAUUGCUCUGAUCACAAGAAUAUCUAUCAUUCAUAGGUCUGGAAAGUGGAAACACGGACGAAGACGGCAAAAGUAACCCAAAAUAUCGUUGACUUGCUGUUUCAGGUCUGUAAAAGAGAAUUAUUUUGAGAUUUCAGGAUCCCACAUUUUGCCGUGCGAGUUGAUGUAGUAUUCCACCUUUUUUUUUCCUUAACGUAUAAAUAGAUUUUAAACAAUUCCUCGUUAAUAUUUAAUGGAAUAAAACCUCAGCGAAGCAAGAAAAAAUUCUCAGUAGGAGUAAAAACAAUACUAAAAUUUUUGACCUGCUCUUUUUCUAGUUUUUUAAGCAAAAAAAUAUUGACCAAUAAGUUGAAAUGAAAAACUUUUUUUAAACUUACUUCAAAUGGGAUUUUGUGGCUCACGUAUCCUGUUAGAAUAUUAGUUCACGAACCAAUUUAGAGAACUACGUAAUUCUUUCACUUCUUUCAUAAGAAAACUCCGAAAGCACAUUUGAAAUUAUAUCAAAAUUUUAUGAGUACUAUAAGAAUUUAAGGGGGGCAGUGAGGUCCGUGUCCCUAGUGCCCCAACCUUAGAGCCUGUUUGGAACCUUGAUUUUUUACUAAAUUUGUAUAAAACUAGUUUUUUAACAACUUUUGCUACAGGAACUCCAAAAAAUUUAUCAAAGUUUUUAACCUACACACCCAUCUAAUACACAAAAAAUUUUCCUUCAAUUUUUCUUCUUUUCCCUCCCUCAUCCAACCCACCAUGUCCUCCGGCGCCAGCCACCGCCUCCAUCACCGCUCCCGGCGCCGGUCAACAAUUCCGGCACUGCCUUCCUCUUUUUUUUUUUCUCUCCCUCUCCUUCACCUCCUCUCCUUCUCUCGUCCUCCCAUCCCCUCUUCCCCUCUCCGUCCCCCGACCAGAUCCUAAAAAUGGAGGGGGAGGGGGGUUGCGAUCUAGUUGCGCGACCAGAUCGCAGCUAAGGAAGAGGUAAGGUGACAGGAGAAAAGGGAGGAGAAGGGGUGACGGGCAAAAGUUAAAAAAAAAAAAAUCCAUGGCUUCCAUUACUCUGGCGUAUGGCUGUUGAGAGCGACGGGGAUGAUGGAGAAAAGGGGGUGGCGGGCAGAGUGGGGUGGUGGGCAGAGGGGGUUGACAGGGCAGAGAGAGAAGAGGGGUGGCAGGGGAGAGGGGAGGAGAAGGGGUGACGGGCAAAAGGGUGACAGGAGAGGGAGAAGGAGGGGUGGUAGGCAGAGGGGGGUGACGUGGGAGGGAGAAGAGGAGUGGCAGGGAAGGAAGAGGAAGGGGCAGAGGAGCGACGGGAGAGGGAGGGGGGAGGGGUGGCGGGGGAGAGGGGAGGAAAAGGGGUGGCAGGGAGAGGGGGUGGCGGGGGAGGGAGAAGAGGAGUCGCAGGGGAAGGAAGGGGAAGGGGAAAGAAGGAAAAGAAAAAAGAAAAAAAGAAAAAAAGAAAAAAGAAAAGAAAGAAAAGAAAAAGGAAAAAAAGUUUUUCAUCUCACAAAAGUUUUUCUAUAACUUCCACAGUGAUCUACAAUAAAGUUUUAUACAAACACUCAAAAAACUCAUCUUCCAAACAGGCCCUUAAAUCCACCACUGGAAUAAAAUUCCCUCAUAAAACCAUAAUAUUCAUCACUCAAAACAUGUUUACCAAUUUGUUUGUAAUAAAAACCUUACAACCAGAAUAGAAUAUUUGUGUUUACUCAUCAUAGUUCGCAUGGAUUAGAUGUCUCUUUCUAUUCAUUUUCCUCUUCUUUUAAGCGUUAGAAUUAACGUAAUUGCAUUCCCUUUUUUUUUUUUUACUUCCCACCUGUCCUCACAACCUUUUCCACCCUUAAUUUUUUUUUUCCUAACGAUAAUAAUUGUCCACCCUUAAUUGCUAGAUCUAAGAGUUCUAAACUUCAGGGUAGUAGAUAGAACUCUAAGAGUUCUAGCUAAUUCUAAUUCUCUUCUCUGCAUUUUCUUUUGCAAAAUUAACACUAACAUAAUUUCAUUCAACAUCUCAUUUUAUUCCAUAAAUUUGUAAUUUUAUGCCUAAAACAAGGCCUCAAUAUGGAUAUUACACAAGUACCAUCAGUAAUGUCAAAAGAACAUCCUAAUUUUGAGCAAUAAUAUGUUGUUAUUCGUUAUUUAAUGGGCAAAAUGCCUCUCAACCUGCUCAUUCCAUCACCCUUGAGUAGUGCUGUUAUUCGAAUCGGACAGCUUGCGAGCCAGGCUCGACCCGGCUCGUGAAGGCUCGAACUCGGCUCGUUUAUUAGAAUAAACGAGUCGAGUUCGAGCCUAAAGACUGCUCGUUAAUUAAACGAGCCGAGCGCGGGCUACCCGAAAGGCUCGAAUUUGAGGGAUAAAAAUGCCAAUUCAUUAAUUAUGGCUAUUUCAGUAAAAUACUUCCAUCUAUUUCCAGAGUCAAACUCCUGAAUCCCUAAUCCUUCAUUCGCUCAUUCUUCUUCCGCCUUCACCUCUGGGCUUUUGCCUUCUCUUCGGCUCUGCUCUCUUCCGUCCAGACUUUGGCCCGUCAAGCGUCAACCCUAAAUCACCAAUUCAUCCUUCGGUAAUAGCUCUAGCAGGGAGCAUCAGCAAUCGCUCUUCAGAGGAGCUGACUUGUCGCACCAGCCCACCGCCUUGGUUGUGCAAACACCAGCCGCCACCUGGUGAACCCGUGUAUUUUUCUGUACUUGAUUUCUGAUUUUGGAGUUACGUACAUAUAGAGCUGAGAUCCAAAAAAAAAUUAAGGUGCAUUAUCUUCUUCUAUUUGGUAAUUAGGAUUUAGGGAUUUUGGUAUUUUGCUAAAAUAUUGUGCUUUUGAGGCGUUAUUGGGAUGUGGGUUUUGUCUGAUACUCUCUAUAUUCGUGUGGAAGCUGACAAAUGAUGCAAUGGGCUUCUGCGCGGACUUUUUAGAUUGUGGAGAGAGGUAGUAUUUUGAAGAUUUGACAAAACCUUUCCAUGGAGGGGUUGCUAAAGAAACCAAAAAGAAACUUUGAAAAUGACAUGAAAAAAAAUAUGCUGCCUAUAGAUAGUGGAUGUUGACUAGUUUAUGUUUGACUGGUUGAAUCUUUUAAAAACUUUUGUCCAUUACAAUACAUUAGUUUCUUUGUUAAUCAGUUUAUCCAAUUUUUCAUAAACUCUUAUUUCUACCACAUGACCAACCAGCUGCUGCUGUCCUUUGGUAUUCUACUUCAUUUUUUUAGCUCAGUAGCUCUUAUUUUUAGAAAAUAUCAUGACUUUUACAUUUUUAUUCUGUAGGAUCAAUCGGAUGUUGUCGAGACAUUUUACGUGUCAUGAAGUUGAGCUUCCUCAAAAUGAAGGCUAAAUUUUAGAAAUUGCUACUGCUGUUGCUCUGUAGCUCUUAUUGUUCGCUGUCUUUUAGACUUGAUUAUUGCUUUGAUGUUUGUUGUAAGUGAACAAAAUAUGAGUACUUGACUACUUGUGAAUUCUCAUCAGCAACCAUGGCUGAGGUACUAUGAAUGCCAAAGUGAAUUCUCAUCAAUUUAGAGGAGUAAUUUUCACAUUUCUAAGUUGCUGGACAUUCAUACCAAGUCAAACACGGCUCUUUUGACUGUUGGACUGAUAGAAAAUUACAUAUGUUUUCUUUUGGUGGGACUGCUUGAUCUUUUCUCUUUUGCUAAAUUGGAUUAAAUCCAUAAUCCCCACUCAGCAACAAAUAUGUAUGCCAAAUUUGCAUCUUCUGAAUGGUUACAGACUUGCAGUGAACAGAUGGCUGCUAUGGUAAAUAUUUCGAGCUCGACUCGAUUGUGUUAAACGAGUUGAGCUCGAGCCGAGCUCGAGCUAAAUAUAGAGCUAACGAGCUCGAACUCGAGCUAGUUAUUCGACUCGACAAUGUUAUCGAGCCAGCUCGAAAUUCGUACAAAUCGAGCUCGAACCACUACUACUCGGGCUCGGCUCGACUCGAAUAACAGCUCUACCCUUGAGCUUCUUCCAUCCUAUUUAACAUCCUGAGAGAUUUGUAUAACAUAAAACUUCAUGUCUUUUGUUAGGUUUGUGGAGAAUUAGAAUUAACCUAAACUACAAAGCACUUAGUUGUGAAGCAAUGAAGAAAUUCCGUGGAAAAAGACCGUAGUUUGGGCCACUGGUGACGACGCUGUCUUCGUGACUUUUCAAAAGCAAGUAGGACAACCAUCCGUACCUUUUCUGGUUAAAGGGAAAUAGUCUCGACUCUGAAGUCCAUUCCACUGGACGGUGUUUUGCCUCUUGGCCCGGUAGGUAAAGAUUCGGCCUUUGGAGUCAGGGACUUAGGCCAACCGGUAACUUGGGCUUGAAUGGAUCAAGAACUAGCUUUCCCAAUGUUGGAGGCCUGAAAAUUGCAAAUUACUGUGAGUAGCAUACUGCUGUGCCUUUGAAUAGAGAUCCGAUGAUUCUCUUUCAAUCUUAUUUAUGUCAUUCAAAUGAUGCAGAAUAUUAAGAAAUUGUUCAAUUUUUGGCCCAAUCCCAGAAUAUACAGGCAACGUGCUCAAGCUAAAGGCACUGUAAGUUUGUUUUGCAUGGUGGCAUUUGUGCAAUUUUGUUGAACUAUGUCACUGAUCAUCUCUGACCUGAUUAGAAAGCUGAUUACAUUGCAAGUGAUAUAGCUUUUUUUUUUAUACAAAAAAGUUUGACUGGAUUCGGCUCCGAUCAUCACAACGGAUCAACACAUUUGAGCACACGAUUUUCUGUGAGUAAGUGACCCAUUCUUACCGAUCAGAGCCUAACUUGUGCUGGCGCAAGUGAUACAGCAUCAUUGUUCAAUUUGUUUCCAACGAUUUAAAUAUAUUAUGUGCUAGCUUAUAGCAUAGGGCUAGUUUAUUCCAGCUGAAAUUAUUUUACUUCAUUAAGACUUGAGCCUUUUGCUACUUGUAUGUAUACCAAUUGAAUGUGGUUUUCAUUUUUUGCUCUAUGAUCAGUUCAAAUACAAAAAUGAAAAGCAUUGGAGUAGAAGAUCUGCUAUUGCUUCUGGUUUUGGGUUUGCUGGGCAAUGCUUUCACAGGGACCUUGGCUACAAUAGUCCAAUCCCAAAUACUUUUCAAAGUUCGAACUUCAAUAACCUGUAAGUCACUUAUUCUAAAUUGAGUUUUGUUUGCAAUAUGUGAAACAUGUUAUUCUUUUCUUGAAUAAUCGGAUAAUGGCCUAUACUAUGGAACAAGCUAAAUGCCGUUCUGUUUUGUGCAGCUUUCUGGCUUCUAAUGCAUUAAGCGGAGAUAUACCCAUUUGGGUACUGGACAGCAGACAGAACAUGCAUGUUGGUACACAUAUCCUCUUUUCUCCAAAAGUUGAAUGGACGCAAAUGUUGCAAACAAGUUUGCAUAAAUAUCAUACACAUGCAUGCACGCGCACAAACCGGACAUUUAUUGCAUUUGAACUAUUUGAAUAUGCUGGCACUGUGUAAGCGUUUCUUUGCUUUCUUCCUGGGUGGAAUAUUUUAGGGUUUAUAUCAGAAAUCUUGUACUUCAACAGGAACUUAUCCUCCAGCUAUUUGACUUCAACGAGCAACUCGUCAGUCCUGAAAUACUAAGUCUCUUUGUUACAUUCAUUUUGGUUUGUUCAUGAUCAUGUGGAUGACCUUGGCUGUAUGUGUCACGGAAUUGCUUGGUGGAUCUAAAGGACCUUGCAUACUUGGAAAAUCCAAUUUAUGUGUUGCCAACCUAUACGGCAUCUUGUAUUAUUGAGAGCCACCUAUGAUCUGUAUGAUUUCAUGUGAUCUUUCCUCAACCAUGCAGAUCAUUAUGGCUGUUAUGGGUGUAGCGUUGGUGAGGCCUUAUGGCUGUUGCAUAGAUUUGUAGCUACUAUAUGAAUACCUGGCAAAAUGGCUGUCUUUCUGGAGCAAUAUUUGGUAAGCAUUUUGGUAUCAUCUUUAUGAGAAAGCAUAGCUUGCAAUAUGAUAUUUCACUUUCACAUUCUUUUCCCUGUUGCCUUACAUUAUUAGGUCGAAUGGAACAGUGCCUAUAUCUAAACUGGCCGACAAAGAAGAAGAUAUGCUUAGGAUAGCAAGAGGCUUGGCAUAUCUUAAUGAAUAAUCUCAGGUUGAAAAUUGCCCACAGAGACAUAAUGGCUACAAAUGUACUUCUUGACAAGGAUCUCAAUGCUAAAAUAUCUGAUUUUGGAUUGGCCAAGCUGAUGAAGUGGAGAACACAUAUAUUAGCACUUGAAUUGGCGGAACAAUGUCAGCUUUUGAGCCUAUUUCCUUCUUUUAUUCGUAAUUUUUUCUUCAUCUGAUCUUUCGUUGAUAACAACAAAAAUUGACUGAAAUUUUUGUAUUUCAUUGCAGGAGGUGGGUAAUAGUACAUAGUUAGGCAAAACACAUGAUGACAUUUAUCCAUGGAAAAGAUCUUAUGAUUUGUAUUAUAAAUUAUUCCAGCAGAGGUUAAUGGCUCAUGAAUAUGCUAUGAAGGGUUACUUAACGGAUAAAGCAGAUGUUUACAGGUUUGGAGUAGUUGCCCAGGAGAUCUUCAUUGGGAAAAGAACACAAACACUUGAUUGGGUAAGCUCGUAUAUCAGCUCUAUCCAUCAGGCAAAAAUUACCUUCUGUAGCUUAAAUUAGCAAAUUGGAGUUGAUUACUUGAAACCUAUGGAAUGAAUGAACAUGUCUCUUCCUAAAAGUGGGUUGGCUGAAAUAGCAUCUUACUUGAGCUUCCUAAAAAUUGAUCAAGUAUGAAGAGUAGCGCGAGUGUCUGUCAACAUUGGUGGGUAAUAUUUAGGAGAGGAUGGAAGCAGGAGGGACAGCAAGUAUAAACUAAUGAAUUUUAUCAAAAAUUUUUGUAGUCAAUACCAUCAAAAUUACAAAAUGGGAAAUUAGAGUUUUGGCUGAAGAUUGUGUUUACAGGACCUAAGAACUCAAUGAUUGGGAUCAUAGAUACCAUUCAUCAAUCCCUCCAUGAAUUCGUUCUCCUCUCUUGGAAAGAAAUCUCGUAGACUGAUUUAGCAGGAAAUAUAGCUUAGCUUAGUCACUCUUAUCAUAGCAGGAAAUGUUCUACCUAUCAUAGAGUUGUUCUUGGCUUGUGCAUUCUUAUCAUAGCUGCAAAUAUUCUACCAAAUAUAGAGUUGAGUGUCUAUUCUUAACAUUCUACUAGCGAAUUUCUUUGUUACUCAAUCCGUUGGUGGUAAUGGAUGAGUUACUAAGUUUCCGUUGUUCCAUGUGGCAACGUGACGUCCUGCAAGAACGAGGAAAUCUUUUAGAGCUUGUGGAUCCAAGUCUUGGUUCAAACUACAGUACAGAUGAAGCACUGAGGAUGUUAAAUUUGGCGUUAUGAUGUACUAAUCCAUCUCCUACUUUACAGCCAUCCAUGUCUUCUGCAGUGAGUAUGCUCGAAGGCAGAAUUGCAGUUCAGGCACCACUAAUCAAAUGCACCUCAUUGAAUGAGGACAUUAGGGUCAAGCCCUUGAGAAAUUAUCACAAGACAGUCAAAUCCAUGUUUCUAAACUCUCCAUUGACAGUCAGUUCGCUCGGACUACUUCAACAGAUGACGGACCAUGGACUGACAGACCAGUGUCUCUUCCUAGUGAGAAUGAAAUGCGCAAUUUUUCUUCAUCUAACAAGCUUCUUUCGUGGUGUUGAUGAUGUCGAACUUUGAGUAACUUAUGAGGAUGAGAUUUAGGAUUGCAGGAUCGCAAACUUUUAUUAUUUAGUGCCAUACAGAUUCUGUCAUUGACAUUUUUUUAGGUACCUUUGGAGUUCCUGUGCUCUUUGUAACAAAAUUCAUAUUCUUUCUUUCAGUCUGAGUAUGUAUGUGUUCAUCAAUUUUCUCCUUGCAAUGUAUCUGAAUCACCGCACGUCCUGAAACCUAUGGCACUAAAACCCACUUCCAUUUUGUUAAGCACAAAAUGACUGGCCUAUAUCCAAAAUAAUCCCACCCAAAAUCAAGGUUCUUAAUUGCUACUCCAAUCCUGGUUUCAUAGCAGAGUACCUCCAUCCGCAGGACUCCUAGAGCCGGAAAAAAAAAAGAAGGCUGCUCAGAAACUCAAGGAACAACUGGACUUGGAAUUCGGGCAGUUCCAAAUCAAUCGUAAUUAGAUACGUGUGCCAAUCCCAGGUUAUGGCCUGACACCCAAUUGCGGUAUUGCAAAAAUAUUUAUUUUAGAACUGUAAUAUGCUUUAGAUUCCUAUGAGACCUGCCAGGCUCGUCGUGUGGUAUGGAGCAUGGGGGCUGGACAGUCCAAAACUUAUCAGCUAGUGUUGAGAUGUGUGUCACUCUGCAACGUAAUUUAUCCUGAAUUUCUGAAUUGAAGUCGAUCAGAGAAUCCCAACCAUCAGAUAAGAAACCAAUCUUGGUUAAUGAGCCAACCAAUCUGGACUGUCCAAUGACCAUCUAAUUAUCACCCGAAGAAGAUUGAGGUCCUUCCACCUAAGCAAAUUCUGUUGACUAUAAAAGUGGCCUCAUGCAGCAUACCCGUUGAUUCAUUUCUAACAGGAUUUUCCCUCGUCACUUUUAUUUCAUUUUCAUUAUUUAGAUCAAAUACAAAGACUCUUUCAUUUCAUUACUUCUUUGGAGAAACAAUCAAUGGAUGACUCGAACAUUCAAGAAAAUAUUGAUGACAUUGAUGGUAAUCAUGGGACGUUCAAAGGUCCUAGUGAUUCAUUUGGAUAUGUCAAUGAACGUGGUCGAGAAUCAGACAACUUUUUCAUCAACUUGAUGAGGCAUUCUUUGCUGCUUGGAGCUGAAAAAUUGUUGAUGGCCCGAAAGUCACCAGGACCAUUUCUAUCCUCUCAACUGGAGUCGUGCAGUAUUAACGAGGACAAGAAUGACUUAGUCAGGAAAUGGAAAGGAAAAGGUGCCAUGCAAUUGGAUGAAAAGGUACGUUGGAAGUCCGAGUGCUCUCCGCUUCAAUCAAGUUCAAGUUCAAGUUCAUCAAAUCCGGGAAUUGAAAGCAGUAACAUGUAUGUUCAAUUUCCAAAGAUGAUUGAAUGUCCUUCGAGUUUCUAUAACAACUUUCCACUGGAUUUUGUAGCUUUUCUAAGAAUCCUGACAGUACUGAUACUUGAACUCGGUGGUGCUCAACUUAGUUUGUUCACAAGCGUCUUCACAUUACCUAUUCAGAUAUUCAACUUUUGGCUCACAAUGCUAACGUUGCCAUUUCGUGCUCUAGCUCUAACUAGAGAGCAUUUAAUGAAAAAGCUGUUGACAUUGCGGAGUUACUUUUGGUUUAGUUUGAUGUACUUUAUAUGUGAUCGGUUGAAGUUGCAACAGUCAAUGCUGAAAGUGGCUGUAAGAUUUUGUUGGGCAUUUUUCUGGUCAGUUUACGUGUAUCUGAUCCUGGUUGGAUUGCUAAUCAUGGGAUUCGUGAUUGGCGGCAUAACCAUGAGACAUUUGGUCGUAGAAUCCAUACAGACAACUGAAAAUCUGAACUUUGACUACACCACAAGUAGUCCGGUUGCUUUUGUUCCCGUUACAUCCUCUCCUGUCACUGGCGCGUCCCCUGGCUUGAUUUCUGAAGACAGGAUGCUGUUUUCCAAGAGUGCUGGAGGGCGCACCAUCCCUUACAAUCACAAGCUACAGCUUACUGUGUUGCUGACAAUGCCCGAGUCAGAGUACAACAGAAACCUUGGGAUAUUCCAGGUAUGACGACUUAUGUAAUAUAGGCAAUUGAUUCUAUUGACAAUGCAUGAAUAGUUUUGGAUAUUGUUGCCUUCUAAGACAAAAAAUUAUUUGUCUAAGUACGGAACAAAAAUGAUGAUUUCCCUUAUGGAUUUGACUGCUUUACCUGUUAAUACAAACAUUCAUUGCAUUGACACAAAAAUAGAAUUAUCUCUUCAGUUAAGUACGAUCUGCUGCUCAUACAUCUGCCAUAUUGUAACGACAAAGCUAGGUGACUCUCAAAGUUCUGAAGAAGUUGAACCAGAAAAUUGUGCAAACUUCUCCGCCCAGAAUGUCCCUUUCAUGGGGGUUAUAUAAAUACUUAUGGUUCUCAGCUUUGUUAAUGUAGGUGAGGGUACAGUGCUUGUCUUCAGAUGGUAAGGUGACUGCACGUUCAAGCUAUCCCACCAUGCUACAAUUCAAAAGUCAACCAAUAAGAUUUGUUGGGACCAUAUUUAAAAGUCCCCUUCUUCUUGCUGGUUUUCAAUCAGAAAUCCAACACUUGAAAAUAGGCGUCAUGUACUUUACAGAGGGAUAUGAGCCAACUGCUUGCUUUAAGGUGAUAAUUGAACAGAGAGCAGAAUAUGAAGCAGGCUUUGGUAUCCCAGAAAUAUAUGCUGCAUCACUGCACAUCGAAUCUGAGCUUCCCCAGAUCAAAAGGAUGAUACGGUAUUGGAGGAGAUCUGUAUUUGUAUGGAUCAGCAUUAUAACAUUCCUGACCGAGUUAAUUAUUGCUCUGAUCUUUUGUCGGCCAGUUAUUUUUCCGGGAAGAUCAACAAUAAAGGUGGUCGGUGCUAGAAGUAAAGUCUCUCAUGGUAUAAAAGCAUUUGAGCCAUUGGCUGUCUCAGAAAGAAGUACCACCACCACCACCACUUCUUGUUGAACCUGCUACUUUGCUUCUGAUAGUUACAUCAUAGUUUUUCUGAUAUAUUGACUGCUUUGUACCACUGAAAUCUUCCCAGAAAUAUUUAAAUGCAUCAUGAGAAUUAUAGUAUCACUUUUUGCAGGCCACAGGGCAAAUCAUGUCUUACGUACAUUCUUUUUCUUUCAAGAAGGAUUGUAAUACUCGUCCUUACUGUGCCUACUUAACCGUUGUCUCCUACAUUCGAAUAUACAGUCUUCAGUCUGUUCUUCUGCUCCCUCAAAUUAAAUGCAGCCUCAGUUGAACCCUUUACUGAUAUCUUGUUGGAAAAGGAAAGGAAGUUCAUGUCCUUGCAAAGCCAUUUCUGCCAUUUCUGUCAUAGAUUUAUUGUCAAAUGAAGAAAGCAAGUCAUGAUAUAUAUAUAUUUCUCCUCCCGGUCCUGGUGAAUGUUCAACUGAACAUUGCUAUAAGAAUAGUUAAGAAGGUUUUCCUAUGCCCACUGGACAAGAUUUUUUUCAGUCAGAACAUGAGAGCAGGAGGACUGCAGCAGCCAGCUACUGCUUUUGUCAUUGUACUUUUGUCCAUGGAUUGAUGGAAAAUAUGAAUGAUACAAAUUUCUCUUUUCUUCGUCAUUAAGAUCAAUUAUAGGAAAGGGUUGCAUUUCUUAUAAGCAUACCCCGAUAGCAAGGAGAAACGGAAAAAAAAAGUUUUUUUAAUUUUUCCAAACACAAGGAAAACUAACCUUCCAAGCAGACCCCAGACCCCAGACCCCAAAGCAUACAACUUUACCUACAAUAAUUGAAAACAAGAAAUCUGAAAGUUCUCGAGCCAUCAUCUCCAUAUAAACAAGGAGAAACAUACAAAGUAAUAAACACAUUAGGAUGAAGGUCAAUCUUGGCAUUCCAAAGGACAAUCAUUCACAAUGAGAUAUAUACAAUUUUCUACACAAGUAUUUAUUCCUGUAUUUCCUCCUCCCUCCUAAUUCCUUUUUUUUUCCUUUUUCUUCUUUGGCUUUUUUAAAGAGGGUUCAAGGAGGGAGAGGGGGGGGGGGGUUAGGGCAUUGUGAUGAGGCUGUGCUUCUAGAAGAAAGGACAAUCUGGAGUCUUUACAAACUUCGGUAAACCUAUCAGAAACUUUACAACUCGAUUCCACUAUUCAACUGAACAGAGAAGGUCGGCCUGCAAACAUCACCCAAAGGAGUUUCAACUUUGACAACUAUCCCUGAGCUGCCAACGUUUCCAUUCCACUUGGACCUGCCAAGCUACAUAGAGGAUGAAAAGAAUUUCAAGUCAGAGGAGUAAUUAUGGAAUACAAGGAGAAAACGGAAAGCAGAAUCUAGUGACGGUAAAACAAUCUGCUUCAUUAGCAAACACCAUAUCUAGUGACGUUCUUAAAGCAAACAGCAAAAACAAGCAUCUUUUAAAAGAUAACAACACUGCUGCAGCAUGUCUUAUUAUUCAGCAUAGUAAGCCUGCGCUGUUCACAGGGAUCUCACGGCAGAAAUUAUAGAGUACAAGAGUUCAAAUUUUGGUUUGGAUGCAAGAAAAUUCAAAUCCAAAAAGAAGAACAGAUAGAUUCCUUAAAACUAAAUGAUAUAUUUGGUCAUGAGCUCCGAAAAUUUGAGGUAAAAACUUUAAAUUCUAUCCUCAAUAGACUCCAAAACUAGAUGUGUGCUCUCUAAUAUGAUUGCGCUUAGCUAAGCACACAUCAGUCAAUUUCCUCAGUCACACUCUAAUUCACAGGUCCCCUCUUCCUAACACAAGCCUCAGCCCAUUACCAAUUACUCUUAAGCUAUAGAAAACCUAUCAAGCGUCAACAAUGUAAUACAAGAAAGCCAAAGUUUAUCUGUAAAAUAGGGACAACUUACAGAAACUGAUGCAAAUGCAGAAGGACGAUCAACAAGUGCGCAGCCACAGAUGAGGCUUAGUUCCUCCUUCAGACUGUGUGUAAAUUCCGCUCGCAAUCCAGGAUUGCUUCCACCAAAUGUAGGGCACAAACUGUACAUUUGGCAUUUUAUGAAUAGGCAAAAAAAAAAUUUCACAAACCAUUCUUGCAUGUUAAAUAUUGAAUGAACCAAAAAUAAAUAGGAACCAGAAAAGAACAUAUCCAUAAGUUAAAUAACAAGAAUGUAAUUUUGUCAAUAUCCCAAUGACAGUGAAAAUUUUCACUCAAAACAUACAUAGAGCUAGGCACAAGAAGUGUAGUAGAUAAAAAUUUACCUGAACUGGAUAGUUGGUCUGACCAUGAGCCCAGAUCUCUUCCAAGCUAAAGACUGCGCCAGGCCCAGGGAGAAUGACUUAUCAGGCCACUGCACCAUAGGUGUAAUGCAUGUCCCCCGCUUAUUCUGGAUAAAUCCAACCAUUUAUUAGCUUCCUAAACCAAGCUGUAACUUGGCUAAGUUCCAAAAGAGAGGAUUAUAAUCAAACAGAAAAAGCUUGUCCAGGCAUUUUCUACUCUCACCAACUCACCAACUCACCUUACAAGAGAAACUGAACCUCAUCUCUCCUGGAUAUUGACCCUGAGCUUGAAGAAGACCUCCACAAAGAGGCAGAAAAGCACUGGUAGAUAUGCCCUCGCCAGAUAUAUAGGUUAUUUGGCCAUUCGGAAACUGUAGGUCCAUGAAUGACUAUAGAGAGAGAGAGAGAGAGAGAGAGAGUCAAUAAGCUACUCUGCAGAAAGAAAACCCAUUUCUUGAAAUACUGGAAGUGCAUCAUGCAGAAAUAUUUGCACCAGAGGUGCAGUUAAUACCCAUCAAUCAAGCUGCAUGGAAAAUGAAGCAAGAUAAUUGCAUUUUGAGAACAAGCAAUAAUACUUAGUCCUUACUUCUCCUUCUAGAGCUCAGAUUUCAGUUUCCCGAGUUAAAAGCAAAAAUGAGAGAAUGAAAUUAACAGACUGAAAAAGACAACGAAAGCACAUUCAUGAACUUUUGGUACGAGCACUCUCUUAAAUUUUUCAUAAUAUUCAGCUUUCUCCCUUCUUCAUAUCUUCCGUGGGAUGCAUUUGACAGUACCAAUUAAUUAUACCAGCCAAAGCGAGCCAGAUACAGAAUAGUUAAAGAGUACGACACAAAUUACAGAAUCAUACUUACACAGGCCAAAGGAUUGAGACAUAUCAUUGACAUCAAGAGCCACCUCCUAUGCUUAGACCACAUCGCUGGACAUAGUGAAUGCAUUCCAUUCUGCCCAUAGCCCAUAAGAAACCAACUUAAUUUAGAUAAAACCAGAAAAAAAAAAAAGGCAAAGCUUAAAGAGCAUAUGAAGCAGAUAAAGUCCAACUGAAGUGCAAAAAACAAUUUCAUUAAAACACAUGGAUAAUUAGAAGGCAAAAUUUAAAGUCUUAUUAAAGAUGAUUCACGUGAAAGUUAAUAUGAGGAACGUCUAAUAGUAAAACAACUGUGAAGACAAGUUGGUUAGAUAACAAGCAAAUCAAGAUGCCCUAUACAAGUUAAAUAUCAGCUUCAAAUUUCCAUUAAAGAAAGUUGGCCACUACUGAGAAUGCACAAUGAGCUGAAGCAAUAUGCACACUCCCAUCCUUCCCUGCCCGACCAAUCCUCUCUCUUGCACACAAAAAUAGACAUACACAGCAAAUAAGGAGCAUCACAUCAAGAGAUGAACAGCAUCUCCAAACAAAGUUUAAGUUUACCUUCCAUACACGUUCUACAUAACUCCAUGAAGUUAUCAAUAGGUCAAACAUUCUAUAACUGCAUAAAGUAAUCAUCUUUACACUUUACAUAUAAUCUACAAGUCAUAAAUGGGAAGCAAGCUUUAGAACAUUUGCCAAAAUUCCCCAUUAAACAGCUCUUAAGUAGACAGAAUAGACAACAAUGCAACCACGUUAAAAAGCUUAUCAACUGCAAACAUGUGGUGGAAAUAAAUUUUAGAAGUUGAUCCAACAUUUAUGACAUCAUGGUGGCAACUGAUUUUAGAUGUUGAUCACAACAUCUAAAACUUCCUGUUCAGGUCCUGCAACAUUAAUUUUGCUCUCGCAAGGAAACCAGACUUUAAUCCAUACACAACAGAAUGUACAAAGAUAUUAAACUUACCUUCCUGUCAUAGCCAUACCAAAGCAAGUGUUGCUUUGACAAGUGAACUGGCAAAAGAAGUGUUGAAUCACGAACAAAAAGAACUGGACCGAGCUGGACGAGGAACAGCGAAUUAUCGUUUCGAGAUGUAGAACUACUUUGUGAUGCCUCAACUCUCCACAAGUCCCCCCUCGCCACCAAAGAGCUUUCUACACUUCGUGUCCUACUUUCAUAUGUCGACGUAACAUUAAUGGUACCCUACAUAAAAUAAUUUGCCCAUCAAACAGAGUAAAUGGAGUGGAAUCAUACAUAUCAGCUCAGUUUUUUUUUACAAUUUUGGUCUCAUUGUGACAAGAAACAAGGUUCCAAACCUAUUAUAACCUACCUAAGAAAAAUCAGAGUCUAGAAUCUGGCUUGUAGGAAUAUAGAGAAAAAGCUAAAAUAAAACUGAAUGUCUUUUGACCUGAAUCAAUAUCACAGAUUCAGGCUUUUCUUUUUCCCAUUUUUGUCUUUCAACAACUGCAAUCACCGUAUCGUUGAUGUAUGUUAGAAUGUAAAUAUGAAAGCAGCCACAUCACAAGCAAUUGCUUUCAAGCAUCACAUUUUGUCAGAUUACCAUUAAAGAUUGGCAUUAAUUAGCCAUUUAGAAUCUACUAAAUGACUGAAUAAUGAGCUAACCACAAACUGCCAGAUAACAAAGCUGAAAAAUUCAAGGACAGCCUCGCAAGAGAGAGAGUUAUUUAUCAAUAAAUUUGUAUCCUUUUUUAUAAUAAAGAGAGCUAUGCCAGAAGCAAGUUACAUAAUUAGAUUUCUCUAAGCUAGAGCACCGAAAUAAACAUCAUCUUACUUAUAUUAAGAGUCAAAAACUUAUGCUCCAUUAGAUUUAUCUCAAUCAAAUGUUACAUACUUGUCAACUACAAGAACAAAGACUUAGGUUUUGUUCAAUGUGCUGAUAGGCACAGCAAAGACAAUAUGCCCUAAAGUACAAUAUGAAGCACUUGUGUCUAUUUUUAACGAUAAAGUCAUCCCACUGAACACAACACAAUUACCCAAAACUCCCGUUUACAUGCUACAGUUGAGCUCAAUCUGUUCAGAAAUUAAAUUGGAUUCAUUAAUUACAGGCUUGGCAUGCACUAUAGUAUUCUAUAAACACUUGUAACUCUUUUAUCUGUUCAAGUUGUACCUGUGAUCUACCAAAGAGUUUUGAUGCCUUCACAUUAAGACCAGCAUUUUCUUCAUCUGUACACCCCUCAGCAACCAGUUUAGUUUCCGUGAACCCAUAGUCCCUAAACCGUUUGGCCACUGAUGCCAAAUCUUCUUGUAAACUAAUACCCAUAUCAUUCCUCUGGCUAUUAGCCUCUGUCUGCAAUGACACCACCACAUUCUCUUCAUGCCGAAAUGGGACUGGCAACCUCCUGAAAAACUGUUGAACCAUGCCGUUAACACAAGCACCAAAAUCCACCCCAGCCUGACCUAUCCUAUUCCCAAUAUCGAAAAUCGCAGAAACCCCAUUAAUGGCUGAAUUGUCCACAGCAAGUCCAAAAUCCCUUUUCACAAAAUUCUGAGCUGCAAACUCCAUAUCAAAAAGCUUAGGCGGCUGCGAAUUUGGCCAUGGAAAUGACGGCGGAGUGAUAUGAGACUGUAUCAAGCCAGUAAAACCCUGAGCUAACCUAUCAGCUAAAUCCUGACCAUGCCUUUGAACCUCUUCCCAUGCAUCGAAUGAUCUCUCCACGGACAUCAUUUCCGCAGUUCAAAUAUCCAGUUACUUAUAACCUAAUAAUUCACCAAACAGAUUAUAUAGCUAAAAACCAAGCCUCCGCCAAUACUUCAGCAACCCAAAAUUAUUUAACCGAAACGAACAAAUCAUAAUUCUCACACUCAGAUCAGUAUCCCAAAACCAACUAAAUAAGCCAAAAUCCUAAAUUUCGAAUACCAGCCGCAGAGCUGAGCCAAGGAUAUCCGAUUCACAGCUUAGAACUGGAACAAAUGCAAAAGAACCCAGAAUUCUUUUAGCUCGCUGGGUAUUAAUUCCUACUCUCGGAUUGGAAAAUUAGGGUUUCUGACUGAAACUAGGGUAUAGAUUUCUUCACUUUUCGGGUAGCUUGCCGAGCUGGAAAAAAUUGUGUGCAGUAAAAAUAAUUUUGCGAAUUGGAUAAUUUUUUUAAGAGGAACGAGAAUCGAGGACGAGAGAGGUUUCCAAAUCGAUCCAAAUGCUGAAGAUUUGAAGAUAAGAGCUGUGACGACUGACGAGUUCAAGACUGUUAACUGAUUUUUUUUUUUUUUCUUUUCUGAGGAACGCUUUAUUUUGGGAUUUUGUUUAUCAGUAUUUAUUUUUAUUAUUUUGGAUAUGCUCCUCUUUCAUGCCACGUUGGUGGUGAUCCUUGCUUGCACUUCUAGAGUCUCGAGAAGAGAGAUUUGUGAGAUAUCAUUAUUAUUAUUUUUUUUUUUUCUCGGCUGUAUCAAAGAAUAAAGAUUUCGUCUUCUAUUGAGAGCGAAAGUUUGGCGUUUGGGCCCAGAAGGUCAAAGGACCUAAUGACCAAUUUCCCACUUUUUUAUUAUUUUUUUCUUUCCCCUUUUUUUUUGGGAUAUUUUGUCCUGUUUUUGUCGAGGAGACGUGGAGGACGGUGCCCAAAGGUUUAUACAUAAUUUUUUAAAAACAAUUUUUUCAUAUAUAUUGAUACAGUGAUGAUAUACAAACGAAUAUAAUUCUAAAAAAUCACAUCUACACAAUAUAUUAAAAACAACUUCAAAUAUAUAAAAAAAAUUUAAAAAUAAAAUCUACACCCUCUUCUUCUUCCAAUAUACAAGAAAGGGGAGGGGAAGGCAGGAGGAAGCAGAGAGAGGAUGGUAGCCAACGGUGGUAUUAAUUUUUAAAAAAUAUUUUAAGAAUUCUUAAACUUUAAAAAUAUCACAAAAUAUAUUCUAAAAACACCACUAAAAAUAUUUAGAGUAACAUUUUUUUAUAUACAUUAUUAUAAUAAAAUAUUUUAAAAACAUCCCAAAAAACAACUCUUCCAAACAAAGCAAAUUUGUCUUUAUAAUUAGAUAAUAUUGCACUCACCAUCUUUGUAGUUUUUUUAUUUGUGUCUUUAUCCCACUAAGUCAACAUAAUUAAAAACAAAAAAAAAAAAAACCAAUACCACCCGUCACACUUGAUCAAAACCAGCCUAUAAAAACUCAACUUUUCACACUUGAUCAUUUUCCUGUCUUUUUUUUUUUUAUUUCAUGGAAACCCACUGUUAAAGAAUCCUUUUUAUCAACGGAAAAGUAAUUAAAGAAUAACAAAAUCAUUACUACUAUUAUCUUAGACAGCAACGGCAUGACCUUUCUAUUGAAUUGGAUGUUGGCUUGCCGACUGGAAUUGCAUUCACACUCAAUAAACUGGCAUCCUAACAUUCCUGGUCUUCAUAGCAUUAUUAUUAUUUUUAGGGUUAAUUACAUUUACCUCUCCUGAGGUUUGACCAUAUUACCAAUCAAUUCCUGUAAUUUGUCCAAAUAACGAUCUCACCCUUUGAAUGAUCAAACAUUUAACAAAAACCUCCCUUAAUGCCCAAAAUGCCCUUAUUGAGGCCAUGUUGCAUUAAAAAAAGAAUAUAUUUUUAUUUUAUUAACUCUGAAGCAAUCCAAAAAAAUAGAAAAAAGUUUUUGCUUAUUAUUUUAUAAAAACCAUAUCUUUGCUUCCAUAAAUAGUUUUGAAGCAAUAAUUAUUUUAAAUCUUAAAAAUGAAUAUUAAAAAUUAGAUAAAUUGAAAGAAAAAUAAAAAAAGAAGAAAUUAUUUUAAUUCCAAGAGUAUGGUUCAAAUUAAGAAAAACAUGUCUUGUGCUAUCCGCAACAUGAUUUGAACCACAAAUUAAUCAAAUUUUUGUUUUAAAGAAAAAAAAAAUUGGGUGAAUUUAGCUCGUAUCAUCACCACGGAUCAAAACAUGCCUUCGACAAGCUUUAGUCGGCUUCAGCCAAACUACGGCCCACUUGCUUCAACAAAUAGUCGCAUAGCAUCCCCAAACAUAUCUUCAACAGAGAAUGUCUGUGUUGGAGCUCUUGGGCCCCCGCGGGCUGUAACUUGCAACUCCCUGAUUUAUUGGACCCCUAACAGCUCUAAAUGGACAGUUAGAGAGAGCAAUUAGACACACAUAAAUUACAAAUUUUUAAUUAAAUAACUUCAUUAUCAGUUCUUGAAUUUUCAUAUAUCUGAAAGAACUUUUUUCGAUUCAUAGGGAAAUUUAAAGCCUUACAAGACCUUUUUUUUUGGAGUGACAAGUGUUUUGGAUAGAAGAUCAUUUUAAAUAUUAUUGAAAAAAAUUAUUGUAAUUUUUUUUUAUGGCGUUAUAUAUGUAAAAUAAAAAUAAUAAUAAAAAGUUUAUGAUACAGUCAAAUAAUUUUUGGAGAAAAUAUCAAUUUUUAACCGAACACGACCCGAAUCCGCUUUGCUGAUUGGCUUCCUAAUUUUUUUUUUUUUUUUUUUAAGUUAGUGUUUAGCUUCUAAAGAUAUACUCAACAUCAUCAUCAUCAUCAUCAUCCAGCCUUUGGACACCAAAAUGUCGCAAUCUUGAAAUUGAGUGAAUAAGUCACUGAAGAAACACAGUACAGAAGAAGCCCGACUAGCUUGAACCAUUGGAAUAUAUAAAAAUUCAUAAGAUAAUUUGACAUUCAAAGCUUCCAAUUGCAGACAAGAAAGAAAAAGCCACCAACCCUUUCUCCUUGAGGGCUUGCUUUCAAGCUUACCAGCGAUGCAAAGUCACUUCACAGCUCAACAAUCAUGUUGUAGGCUUUUGACGAGAGAACCCAGGAUGACUGCAAACUAGCUCCCCUAAAAACCUCGACUCCGAUCCUUUUCUGACCUUCAGGAUGCAUUAAAGGACUGCCCUUUUAUUCGCCCUCCUGAUGCAUACAUUCAUCUGCAUAAAUCAAGAAAUGAGCAAAACGAAGACCUGUUUUCAACAUCUGUUUGCUAUACAUUCAUGCCAACAAACCUGGUUUUUGAGCUCCCAAGGGUAAGCUCAAGAUCAUCUGAGCCACAAUCUUCAUGGAUCCUCUCUCCUUCCCAUGGCUUCACCAGACCACCUUUAAUGCUUCUAAAUGCAAACUCAUCGGAAAUUACUUCAGCCAUGGGAACAUCAGAGCCUGCAGGUAUGGCGGGCGAGCAGGUCCCACUUUGCCCUGGAGUGCACAUGUGAGAGCCAGUGUGUCUUAGCGACUCGAAUUUGAAGGCAAAUGGAUUGGCGGAGACAAGGCUGAAUGUAGGUGAAGUUGGUCCGCCUUGUGGAAUUUGCAUUCCAGCAAACCAUUCUGAAUCAGGAGGGGCCUGACGUCCAGGACUGGGAGGUGUAGAUAACGGAAGGAAGGAGCUGUGAGAGCCCCAGCUAGCACGAGCAGAGGAAUCAUCCCAGUCCGUCUUCAAUCGAGGAGUCCGGGCAGUAGGGGAGCUCAGGGGAGGGGUAACAGGUGCACUUAUGGACCCACCAUGGCAAAGGAGUUGGAAUUUGGUGGAGGAUGUCGAGGAGGAGGAAGACGAGAGGUUCUUAAGCCAUGGGAUGAGGGAAUUUCCAUCACCAUUGAUAUUUGCAGCAUAUGGGGAAGAAGCUGGACUUGGGAAGGAAGAAGAAGCAGGGCUUGGGUUGUAUGACGUUCCAGGGCUUGGGUGAUAAGAUGAACACGGGCUUGCUGAUGUUGAUCCACCCAUGAUAUCCAUUCUGUCCACCGGCCUGCAUCCCUGUAAAUUAGAAAAAUGGUCACUGGAAGGCUAUGUGAGUGCAAAAGGAUUUCAAAUAAAGAAUUAAAUUCAAUCACCCAUAUUUUUAUUCAUCUAACCUACAAAACAUAGGAGAAAGCUUUUGGCGUCCUGUUAGUAUCUCUCGACAUUACUGUUUUUCCCUUCAUCAUAUCAUAGUAACAGAACAAAAUGACAUACUACUUAAUCUUGAUCUCUUUGCCACUAUACUGUAGACACAAUGAGCAGCUGACAUUUUAUCCAGCAUUAUAGGAACAUAAUUGAUAUUAUGCCACAUGCAUCGUAUUGAACUCCCCUAGUCUCUCCUGUACGAUAAGCAUUGCACUUCUUUGAUACCCUAUUUUCGAUAUUUUUCUUUUAGAACACAGUUCAAUAUGAAGCGACUGAUGCAUUUUCAAACUCUCUUCAAGACACCGUCUUCCACUUUCUUUGUUCACUCGGCAAGAUUUAUGAUAUCCAAGCAUUAAUAAAACAGGUAUUACCACCCAGCUGAUCCAACUCGUAUGGUCUAUCACAGCACAAUAACUGUCCUUAGCUAAAGUGAAAUAUGUCAAGGAAAGCCUUUACCAAAGGUAUAUAUUUCCUGCAGCUGCAUAUGGAGAGCUGGUAAACAUAUUCUACCCUAUUUUCUGCACCAAGUGUUUACCCUAUUUGCAAGUGUAUCAAGAUCAAGAACAAGCGGUUUUUUGACUUUUUGUCUCAAAUGCAAGUAAACUUCAUUGUGAAAUUGCACCAAUCUUUCUCUUAUUAACUUCAAUCACAACAAAUUUCUUUAACCCUUUUGACUGCCCAUUCAGACUAGAAUGAUCAGUUCAGCUGAAUUAUUAGUAAGAGAUAGCCAAUUGCAAUGCUAGCAGGUCCUCAGAUUUCAAAGCAUACAUACAAAUUUAUUAAACAGUGUCUCACAUUCCAACCAACCUUCCCACCAACCCCCCAAAAAGGCCUUGUGGAGAAACCAAUAGGAAAGGAUUCUAGAACUCGUUCAUUUUUUGUAUUUAUGUGUAACCUAAUAUUACGUACGACUACCAUCUUCACUGUUUCUGAAUCCUAGUUAUUGUACUUGUGCCAUAUUACAAUUGUGAAAAGAAUCAGUACAAUUCCCACAAAAACAGUAAGAACCGAAAAUAAUGCAACUGUCCUCGAAAGCAAGUAUCGUACUAGCAACUUCGAGUCCUUCACGAGAACAGCAAGAGAUCUAAAGCAAGAAGCCCAAUUUAAUACUACUUUUAGCAACUACUGGAAAAGGGCUUCUGUCGCAAGUGAAGAAAGUAAAGACUAGUACACUACCACCAGAAAAAGAUGUUUGAACCAAAUCCGCCAAAGGUUAAAAGAGAAUGAGAUGAGAUGAGAGAGAGCCUCAAAAGCACAUUAUUACCAGACCUCCUUGUGACCCCUGAGAGGCCCACAGCUACAUGGGAAUCCCCAGGCUAAAUUUUAGCAAAACUAAAGGGACAUUUGUUUUCCAAGAUCCCAAUGCUACACUCUAUAAACUAGCACUUGCUAACUGAUAAAACAAAGAUAAGAGAUUUAGUUUAACAAAAGUUACUAAAAUAAAGAGUUAAAGAUUUGGAUUUUUGAGCUCAGAAAGAAUAUGGAUUUUCUAAAAAGAAAAAACCAUGUUGGGAAUCUUUGAAACUUACUGGUCAACAACAAACAAAAGCAACAGAGCUGGUGUAAUGUCUGUCUGCUAAGCAGCUGUGGCGCCCAGUUCUUACAGUGCAGACAGGAUCUAAGGCAACGUAGACUAGGGAGGAGGAAACAGCAGAAAAAAGGACGAAUACGAGAAUCUAAUUCUACCAGACAGUAAAAACAAAGAAACAAAAGUAAAAAGUGAUACUACUAAUCAUCCAACAUUAGCAAACACCUGAUGGGUCAGAACUCAGAUGAUCUCCACACUAAUCUUUAUCAGUAAUACUACUUUUUUUUUUUUUACAGUGGCAGUAAGUAAACCAAUUGCCACCGGCGUGCGUUAGCAUAACAGAACAAUUCUUUGCAGUAACAAAGGAGAGCGUGCGCUUACGCCAUAUGUGCUAAAAAAGGAGUGAUGACGCGGCAGAGAAAGGAAAAGCCGUUCUAACGGCCCAAAAACAAACCCGCUAAAAUGCGCCUGCCGCCAGGGCAGUUGGAGGUGUGGUGGUAGACAGCUGGCCAUUAGCACUCGUAGACCAGGAAAGAAAAAGAGGAAAAAAAGAAAUGGGAGAUCAGGAAGCUCAUCUGCUUGAUACAAUUCUAGAAUUUCUUGUUCCUCAAUUAUCACCGAAAAUAAGAAAAAAAAUGGAAAAAGAAAUUAACAUGAACUGGGAAGUUGAACGUGGAUAAGGGGGGGAGGGUGCGUACUUUCCGGUAAGUGGUGCCGUCGGGCUCGACAGUCCAGCCGGCCUCAUUGCAGAGGGCUUUGAGGACCUCAUUAUUGUCGCAAUGCUUUGGGAGUUUGUAGUUCCCGUACAUUCUCAAGCCGGCGAAUAUAUUGGCCGCGAUAGCUCUCCUCCUCCUCUCCCUCCUCUUGUUGUUCUCCCUCUCCUUCCACGUCGGCAGCCUCGUCCCCGACGUCAUCUUCCCCACCCCAAACCACCACUGCCACUGAAAAAAAAAAAAGAGCCCAAAAAUCCCAAAUAAAAAUGAAAACAAAAAAAAUCACUACUAUCAACAAAGUGAACUUCUCACUUUAUAGAUGAUCGUGAUUGGUGAUCCGAGGUGGGAUGAAAAGGGAUGAGAGGAAGGUCGAAGAGGAUGAAGUAAACUGUGUAGUACAGCGGGAAUGAAGGUGGGAAGGAGGAGGAGCAGGCUGCGAAGGUGGCAGAGCUUUAUGCAUAUGCUAUUAGCCUAGAAGUAGUAGUAGUAAAAUACUACUACUAUUAUGCUAUGCUAUGCUACGCUUAGGAGGUGAUGAUGAGUCUAUUUGGUUGGACUCGUGGACUGAGGAAGAAAUGGCGGAGUGUUUGAUUGAAAGGGGGAUAGAUUGGCGAAAGUGCCCUUUUACUGCCCUCCCAUCAUGGGAAGACGGACGAAAUGUGGAAGCUGAAAAGUGUAAAAGAGACUAAUGAAUGGAAUGAAUCAAUCCAUGUGCUUUGAUUUUUUUUUUUGACUAUUGUCUAUUGAUAAUGCCAAUGGGGUAUGCUUUGAAAUGAAACACACAUUUUCAGUUCGUGUUCUUUUCUCUUUUUCAGCGGCUAAUUCUGACCACAGUGAGUCUUUGAUUCUCAUUGACCACGUUUGGAGCAAAACAAAAAUUUUUUUUUUCUUAGGAACAAAUUGGUUUUACUUUGUAUUUAUUUUAUAUAUAUAGUCUUUCAAUCUAAUCUUGUGAAGCAAAAAAGUUAAAACAAUUGAACAACGGACAUUUAAUUACUUUGAUAGUGUAUUAUUUGAAAUAAUUACUGUAAUAUUUUUUGUGAUGUGAUGUAUGUGAGAUAAAAAGGUGAUUGGGAAUAUAAAAAAGUAAGUUGGGAAAUGUAUUUAUGAUACAAGCGAAAUAUUAUUAUUUGAGAUAAUUUGGGUAUCCAAACACUCUCAAAAGUUAAAACUAUUUGUUUGAAAUCAUCUGGGACUAUACAAUUAGGGGUACUUACUUGUUGGUUAAACAUUAUUAAUUGAUUGUAUAGUAAGAUUGCACGCUAAAGGGUGUUUGGAGAACCUUAUAAAGUUUACAACUUCACGUACCAAAGCUUCACAUGUACACAUGUAGAUGACCUUUAAUUGUUCAACCUCCAGUUACUGCUUUGAAAAGUAUAUAUAGGAGAUUAGCGUGUUUCUAAGCAUAAAAUUACAUGGAAAGUUAUUUAAAUAGGUCUGGUCUUGUAAACUUACAUAAGUUAAAUGUUUGUAUUUUUUUUUUUCUAGACGACACAUAUAACAGUCAUGAAAACAGUGUAUAACAACCUAUAGCAAUUGUGCUGCUGUAAGAUCAAAUCUUGCCAAAUUUUGAGCAGCAACAUAUCAGUGAAGGUUAUUAGUUCCGAGAGUAUUGGGGGUUAGGACACCUUUGGUAGCAAAGGCCCUCCCUGCCCUUUUCACACCAAAUCCCACAUCGAUUCUUUAAGGGGGUUAAGGGUUAGAUUAUUAGUUUCCUGGGUGGGCUCAAGAGUUGCUGGCUUUUGAGGUAAACAUCUGAAAUUCAGAGUUAUUAAUUUAAUUCUGAUUUCUUCGUUGAAAUGAAACAUAUCAGUGAAGGUGUGGUCCAGGUCAAUUUGAAUUCUUCAAUUGACACUAUUGUGUUUACUUGCUCUUUUACCAUCAAGUAUAAUGCAUUAAAGAACUUUACAUCCAUUAUCCACAGUCUAUUCAUAUAAUAAUAAUGUCCCGUAAAUUACAACAAUAGGAUAAGUUAAAAAGAUGAGAGUUACUGUUGGGUUUGGGAAAAUAACCAGCCUGUGAAAUAAAAUUCAAAUUCAAUAAAAUAAACGAUCGAUGAGAUAAAAUCCAACGUAACAGUUACUAGAGUUUGUUUGAAUAAUAGAUUAUUUGUACAAAUUUAUUAUAUGCGUGCGUGAUAAAUAUAUUUUUUAAUUAUUUUUUAUCUCAUAUACAUCACAUAAAAGAAAAAUGCUACAUUAUUUUACUUUUUAAAAUUAUUCCAAAUAAUUUGCUAUCCAAACAUAUUCAAUUUGUUACAAUAUUUUAUUUUUUAAAAUUAUCCUAAAUAAUCUACUAUCCAAGCAUACAUAUUCAAUAUUGAUACUUGUUCUCAUGAUGCAUGCUUGUGUUUGUAGGAUCUUAUCCUCAUUAUGCAUAUGCAAAUUAGUAGUUUGUGUAAAGUAGGGAAAAAAAUGAGAGAGAGAGAAACUUUAAUAGCGCUUGGAUGGUAGAAUGAAGAAUGUGGAGACUAGGCACUAUAUGGAGUAUGAUGAAGUCAAAAAAGGAGCAAUAAUUUAUCUACCAUCAAAAAUGGCAUUUUAGGAGGCAUCCGAUGAACUUCUCCUUUUCUGAGUUUAGAUUUUAUUUUUUGUUGUUGUCCCCAAUCCAAAAUAAACAUGAAAGCAACAAUUAGGCAGACGUCGACAUGGGUAAGUGGAUGAACGGGACCACUUGCGGCCUGCGGGAGGCGUGACUCGCUGACUUCAGGUGACGUAAGAUCCCCACUUGGCACCAUGCUGUGGCUUUUCUCGUAACCGUUCUGUCUCUCUCUCCACGGAGAAAAUAAAUACUCCUACUUGUAGAUUAGUACAUAAAACAAGGAAAAAAAAAAAAAAAAGUGUCACGUGGCAAAGGUCGGCGCACGUGUUUGCAAAGACAAUCAAUUUCUCUGCUCCACUGGAUCUUUAGCAGAGAUGGUGAGAGUGAAGUAGGCAAUAGCCUCCGGCAUAGGGUUUGAUAACUACGCGGCGGAGGUGCAAAAUAAAUGGUACCUCAAGCCUCGAUUAUUAUCUUAUUAGUCUUGUUAAAAAAUCUCCCCCUUUUUUUUUUUACUAUAAAAUUAACAAAAAAUAUAUAUAUUUUUUGCUUCGGUUAUAUUAAAGAUUGCAUCAAUUUUAAUUUUAAUAAACAGUUUCCAGUGUCAUUGAAUUGAAUCAUUCAAAUCAAUAUCUAUAUCUAAAUAAUAUGUUUAUUCCAAAGGUAUAUCCUACUGCUACUGACGUUUUUUCUCGAUGAACAUAUUUAUUCAAAGGAAUAAUUAAACUGAAUUCAAAGAUUACCGGGACUUCAACCUGGACCAUUAGAUUUAAAUCUUAUCCACGUUUAUAUAUCAUUCUAAAAUCUAAAUACCAUUAUUUAACUUUCUGAGUGUAAAAAAGUUCUUUAUUUUGUACACUCAAUUUAUUUUUAGCACCUACUUUUACGUUUUCUUUUGAGGUGAAAAACUAAAAAAAAAACAAAAACAAAAGAGACGGUAUGUGUGCAUUUAAAUUUUGAUUUUGAAAUGAAAAGCAAGCCAAUAAACUUGAAAUUAACACUUAUUAGAAUCUUGUCUUCCUACUAGUUUCAAAUAAUUGGGGUAAUACUCCUGAUAUUAAGGUUAAAUUUGAAUCAUCACUUACAUUUUGCAGUACUUAACCGUGUAGUAAUUGAAAAGAUGAGUGUGUUUAGAUAAUAGAUUAUUUGGGAUCUUUUUUGAAAAAAUACUACUACUAUCUCAUUUUUUUUAUGUAAUAUAUAAGAUAAGAUAAAAAGAUAAUUAAAAAAAUAUAAUUAUAAUACAAAUAAAUAAAUCUAUACAAAUAAUUAACUAUCCAAACAAACUCUAAUUCGAAUAUUCAACAUAUUCAUAUCAUUUCUCUGUCAAAUAAUUAUUUCCAAUUGUCGUUCUACACCAACUCACCAAGAUGUGUGUCAUACAUGGCCUGAAAAGGACACCGGACAGCGGAGGCAAGGGGGUUGCGCCGACCGCUUCCUAGGACGGCAUGCGGUUCUGCAAAUUCACGUGACUCCCGCAUGGGGCAAUGGCCCAUCACUCAUGGCCUCAGUUUUUUUUUUUUUCGUUUGUGGAUAAAAGGCCCAUUACUUUUCUAAAUUGCUGAAAUGAAAUGAGAGAGGAGGACCAAGUGUCGUAAUAAUUCCGGACAAAGCUACCAAUACCAUGUCGAGCUGAUUGAUUUCACCUAUCAUCACCCACCCCAUGUAACAGCUUAACAGUUUCGUAUUAGGCAAUGAUAGUAUAAUGAACUCUGUCUGCGGUUUUAGACUGCUCCAAUUGAACCAUACUAUUCAGUAGAUCAUUGGACAAGAGAAUAUGUGAUUAUUUGCGAGUAUCUGCAAUUUGAUUAUAAUUUGCGCUAAAUUAUCAUACAUACAGCCCAGAUAGGAAAGACAAAAAUAUAAUGCUUUAUGUUGACUUGUUUUAACGGGUGGGAUUGAAUAAUAAGAAGAGGUGAAAUGGUCAAAAGAGGAUUUGAGAAGAAACUCCAAAUACUAUCAAAUUAGUUGCUUUUGUUUUUUUUGAGGUAAAAGCUGAAUUGGGGAAAGGUUCAGGUCGUUCUGACCAGUGAAAAUGAGGAAAUCACAAGUGAAACAUUAGAGAGUAAAAAACCUGGGAACCCCUAAAUUAUUGUCGUUGUUUACUUUUGAUCCCUCAUCUAAAUUUUAUUUUCGAUUGGCUUUUGAACAAAUCCUGUGAAAAAGAAAAAAGUGAAGGGUUACCUCUUUUGAGGGUUUCUGAUGCUGGUCCCGAAGGUUUAAUUUGAAUGAACAAAAAUGCCCUUUAAAUCCGAUCAAAUUUUUGCCUAAAAUUACUAAAAGUUCUUAAAGUGUACAACGGCAAUAGUUUAGAGGCUUCCCAUAUCUUUUACCUAACAUUAGAAGCAGUGUAAAAAUUUUGUGAAAAGCAUGUGAAUUCUAUUAUUAAAAAAAAUUAAUUUUUAUAUACACUAACGCGCGGUAUAUUAUUAGUGUUGGUUGGCUAGACGUUAAGAUUAACUCAUUAUAAAAUAGAAGAAUUACACAACACGACUGUACUGCUUGCUAGGUAGUCUCAUUGAGAGGCCAUUUUCGUACCAGAGCAUCACAGAGUGAGGGACCCGGACCAAAAAGGGCGAACUGGGCUCAGGUUAUAGACUGAUAUGCCCGACACCCACAAGGCACUGCCAAUUGCCUCCAAUCCUAAUCAUAACAACAACAAUAAUCAUGGCAGCAUUUGAUAAUAAUCAUGCAGGUUGCACCUGUUGCUGUUCUUCCACCGAAAUAACCCACUUACGCUUAUCGCACUAACCUUGGAUUUGGAUCAUAAGUUGAACUUGUCACCAACUCAAUAUUCUUUUGGUCUCCAGAGUCGCCCCUUUAAAACUCAAUAAGACCAUUUAGGCUGUUCUUUGUAUAUAAACCCUGGUCAAUCAUAUUACCUGUAAAAAAAUGCUCGAGUUCCCAAUUGCAAGGAAGUGGUCAAGGGGACAGGACAUAAUAAACCAACGUCGUAGGGUCCAUUGCCACUACUGAAGUGCGCUCCUCAAAUCAUUUUUACCCUUUUCUUGAAAAGUUCGGAAAAGAGGUGGCGAAUGGUAACGAGUCAAAAACCUUCUAUAGUCGAGAAAUUUGAUUAGAACAUAAAAUUAGUUCAAGGUUUCAGCAUACACUCUAAUAAAUCCAUGAACUUGGCACUUUAGUUGCUCUGAAGGCAUGCUUGUACAUGACCAGAUAUGCUUCCUGGUGCAACAAGGUCUGUGAGAUUAGUUUAGUAUCCUAUACAAUUAUCAGAGCUGCUUGAAAGGCUUGUGCAGAUAUGGGUUCUGGAAAAAAGGCCUCUAAGACACAACAGUUUGACUAAGGUUUACAGCCUCCUUCAGCAAUCGCCUGACAGUAGCUUUUAUUUCAUCAGGCACCACCAAUUGUGGAGGACCUGACUCCAAAGCAUACGAGGUAAUGAUCCUCAUUACAACCGCCAUAUCUAGAUUGUUGUCAUUGCUUCUCCAAAUACUCUGAUUAACAAACUUGCAUGAUUGUUUUAACACGCAUUUGUCACAAACCUGAGACAAGCACAUGAUACUUGAGAAGCCAAACAGUGAGGUAGAAACAAGAAAGAAGAGGAAUAUGCCUUCAUAAAAUUUAAAUGGUUUACAAAACAAAGUACAAAAGAAGAUCGACUCACAGUGUUUUCCUGAAUUUUGAAGAAUCUGCGCAAUCUUUUAGCGGAAAAGACAAUCUUCUUACCAGGAGAAGGGCAACCGAAAAGGGCCAGCUUUUUCAAGUCGCUGCCUGACAUCCAUCUGAGAAACCAAUUCACAAGAUUAAGAUGGAGAAGAUGCAAGCUAGGAAACUCAAUACGUUGAAAAUGCUUCACUAAUCUCUGUGAGGUAUAAAACUUGUAUCAUAACUCAACUGUGUCGAUAUAAUUCAGAACAAGCUAGAACAAGAACUUAUUAGAAAGACCAAGCAAUGGUAGACUGUUUCACUCCAAAUCUGCUAUUCAGGGGAAUAUGCAACAUACAGAGAAUUGCACCGGUGAUUUAGCAAUCUACUCCACUCUGUAAUACUACAAAUAUUGAGCACAACUUAAAAAGGUUACUUGUUGCUUCACGUCAAGGUCACAAAAAAUUUCUCCCCCUCAGUCACCACGUCGCCUGACUUGAUGAUUUUAUUCUGUUUUUGAAUGCAAUGACUUGUUAAAAUGAAAAUAGUCAAGCAUAACUGCAGACUUGAGCACAAAUGGCCAUUAAAUUGUGUGAUCUUCACAUGUAGCACAUAAUUGAAUUUGCAAUGAAUUUCAAUGCACCCUCAAUGUUCUUGCAACAAUGUCCCUAACCACUCUACUUGAUUUGAAAAUAAAAAGCCUGAUGUCCAUCCCCUUGUUUGCUUGCUAACUCACUUCUAUUUACAUUUUUCUCUUUUUGCUUUCUCAAAGAUUAGUUGCAAACAGGACAGAUAGGAUUAAUGGCAGGGCAGUAGUAGGCAAAAGCCCAAAAAAUGAAGGGACACAAGCUGGUAACCUAGCAACAGAAUUUCAUCAAAACAUUUGUUGUUCACAAAAAAAGAAAAGAAAAAAAGAACAGGGCAGUAUUUCCACGCCCUCAUUACAGUUCAGGCAUAAAAAAUUGGAACCGAGGGAAGAGGAAGAUGUCAAGAAAUGAAAUAGGCAACCUUCUUGUCCACAGGCUUGAAGAAGGCAAGGUUCCAUUGGAUAUCAAUUCUUAAGCGUUGUAUAGCUAAUCCUAAGUGUGAGAUAAAAAGUUAGUAUCUUUUUUCUAUUUCCCUCUUAAUAGUUAAUACAUUCAAAUAAAUAACCUAAAGAAAGCAGAACAUUCAUUAGUCCAUGCGAAAAAUACCACUCCUACAAUUGCAUUAACAUGACUACAAGUAACUCACUGUCGCAAAUUAUAAUCUAAGUAUACUGGACAAAGCAUAUUACUGGAAAACUCAUCCUAUUAUUCUCAUAAUCAGAUCGAAGAAUUCAAAAGAUCACAUCUGAUAUCUAAAAUCAACCACUUAAUCUAUCUCUGUGUGUGUGUAUUAGUGCUUGAGUAUACAAAUGCAAGGAAUUCACAGACAAUCUAGGAUGCCAAGAAACGAUCCAAUUAUCUUUCUGCCUUGUGACAAGAAUAAAAAUCCUUACUUUGCAAUCUCCUGAUUAUCCAUGCCAAACUGCUCAGCUGCAAACUUGAUAAAAUCUCGAGCAUAACUAUUCUCGAAACAACUAAUAUCAAGCCUAUUCCUAGGCAAGAAAUUCGAAUCCUUAAAGUACCCAUUAUUGUAUAAAUGCGUCACAAACAUUUCCAUGUCAGGAGAAAGCUCCUUAUAAACCUCCGGAUCCUCCAUUCUCAAUUCUUUCAAAUCCUUCAUCUUUUUUCCAUCAUCCCUCCCAAACUUAUUAGCGAACAACGAUGAUAAAGAUGAACCCCCAGAUUUUUCCUCGUAGUUUGACAACCCUUCAUUCUUAUGCACCCCCUCUUUCUUCUUGUGCUCCUUAUUCUUCAAAUUCUCCUUCUCAUCCUUCUUUUUCUGCUUCAAGCCCCUCAAUUCCUCCUCCAAUUUCUUCAAUCUCUUCUUGAGCUCUCCAUUUUCACCUUCACUUUCAGUUCCAAUAUCUUCUGGGGUCUUUUUUAAGAGUCCAACAGCUUCUUUGAAGUAAACAUUCAAAGCUUUUCUUGAUUUCUUAUUUUCUCCAACAGCAUUCUCAGAGCUAAUUGGUUCUGCGUCUUCUAGGGGUUUGAAAUAAGACGAAAGUGAAAAGGGUCUGGGGGAGAUCAAAUGCGGUGAUGCAAAAGGGUUCAGCGGAUGGUUUUCGAGUUUAAGGAGCGUUUCGGAAUGAUAGGAACGGAGGAUUUGGCGCAAGAUCAUUCUCUGCUCUGGUUGUCCGAGAACUGAGAAGAAUAGGAAAAGUAGAAGAUUAGAGGGUUUUAGGGAGAUUUAAUCGAAUUUUCACUUUUUCAUCUAUGGAUCGAAAUGGACGACUAUGGGCCUGGGCCUUGAAAUUGGGAAUGUGUGAUGGAUCACAGAGCAGUUCCUCUUGAAAAUGGACUGCAUCAUGCAUAUGCGAUGAUUCAACCAUAGAGUUUUUUUUUUCCUGUCAAUACAGUAUAUUAUCAUACACUGACAGGGAGGGGUGAACCUGAGAAAUCCAAGAGUAAUUCACAGGAGAUUGAACUAUCACUGGAUCAAAGGGAUGCAUUAUGUAUCUGUCUGAAUUUUUUAACUAGAGCCACUUUGAAUGUGGCAAAUUGUUUGCCUCCCACUCCAUCAAACUUUAAUGUAUUGAAGCCUGAUACUAACAAGUUGAGAUAAUGACUUUUAUUGGUUUUCGUCGGGACUAGUAUGAACUAAUCUGCGAAGCUCGCUAAAUGCUUGACGCUUCUAAGUUUCAUCAGAUGUUACUCAUCUUGUUGCUUCUAAUGAUUCAUAGUCUAGCUGCUCGUGAUCGAGUCAAAGCUCGACUCAAGUCCAAUCAAUAUUGAAUUCGUGUCGAAUUCGAACUCAAAAAUACUCAAUUCGUUAACUCUCGAGUCGUCUCGAUUUUAUAUAUAUAAUUUUAAUAGUGAAUUACAUAUAUAUAUAUAUAUAAUAUUUUAUUAUUUCUUAAAAAAUUACUAUUUUAUUUAUUUUUUAAAAAGUAAAAUAAUUAUCUUUUUAAACUUGAGUUCGGGAAUGAUUUUGCUCGAAUUUGAAGUCAAGUUUGAACUUAAGUUUUAAGUUGAAAAUUCAUCGAAUUCAAACUCAAAUUUGAUAAAAUAAGUCGAGAUUUGAUUUGAUUAAGUUAAAACUUGACUUGAUUCAUUUACAACCCUAUUUGCUGCUUCAAAAGAAAAGGAAAAAAAAAAAAAAAAAGAGACUCGUCUUUUAUAUCAAAGUGGUAGAAGAUUUUAUAAUUAAACACUUCCUUAAUCGCACUAACAAUUAAUUAAAUAAUGAAUAAGAUGUCAAAUUUAGCAUUAUAUUCUCCUCCAAAGAUCUCAUAAUAAUCCAAUAAAUCAUGCCCAUGAAUGAUUGCCACCAAGUCCCCCACCAGCACCGCCAAAGUCAGGACAAAUCGUCCAUUCGUACGAUAAAAGUCACGAAACGUGUGCUGUUUUCCUCACUAAUUGCGUUGCCAAUUCCGCUAAACGCCGAAAGUCCCACCUCGUCACCACCCGCCGGCCCAUCCACAGCACAACCCACCGGCCUCCAUAAUUUUCCGUAUACCCAUACACUACAUUUCCCAUCCACUCCAUCGAUCGUUCCACAUUCCCGCACCCGAAAAACAAGUACAAAAGUAACAAAAAACAAAAACGAAACCCUCUCUCUAAAAACUUGGCAGUUUCCCAUGUCAAUACCAAACAAUCCCUUCCUUGACCCCUUCUCAGCAUCAUCAUCAUCAUCGCUCCGGAUUAAACUUAACGACGUCGUUAGCAAACAUGCCUCCACCUCCGCCGUCUUCUCCUGCCUCCGCUACUAAGUCCUCCGCCUCCACCUCCACUCCCGCUCCCACUCUCCCUCCGCUCUCCUCCGCUUCUUCCUCCGCCUCCUCUGCUUCCGACAUGUUCAACUUCAAUUAUCUCUGGAUUCCUCUUUUAAUCGCACUCUCCAAGGACCUCACUGCAGCGGCUUCAGCUAAUGAUAACCUCAUUUCGGAUGACUCGACGACGACGAGUAUUCUUUUACCGAGUGAGAAUCGGACUGUUAUUAACACGCCCCGACUCAGUCCGAGUUGUCCAGCUCCUGACCCUAAGCUGAACUAUCGUCCGGUCAUCGGAAUUCUUAGUCAUCCCGGAGAUGGAGCCUCAGGACGGCUUAAUAAUGCCACAAAUGCUUCUUACAUUGCCGCUUCUUACGUUAAGUUUGUGGAAUCCGCAGGGGCUAGAGUUAUUCCCCUCAUCUAUAACGAACCUCUUGAGGUUCUCGAAAUGGUAAUUUAUACCUAAUUGUUGCCUGCUUUGCCUUAAAGAUGAAUGUGUAAUUCUCUUUAGUCACUAGCAUUUCGUCUGUUUUUCAAUUAAAUUCUUUUGUGCCCCUGGGAAAGUCGUUUUUUUUUUUUUGGGGUAAUGGCAAGAAAGAAGGGAGGUUGAUUUUGAUUCUUGUUAGAUAGUUUUGGCGUUAUUUUUGCUUUUGUACUUCAAACUUCAAAGUUUUAAGAAGUUGGAAUAAUAUUAGUCGACGCAAGCAAGAGUGCUGCUUUUGUAAUCUAUUUCUACUAGUACAAGUUAGUAUUUACAAUACCGGGUUUACUGAUUGAUAAAGAUUAUUAAUAUUCUUUCUUUAAGCUGGGGUUUUUGCUUUGUGGAUAAUUAGAUGUUUGGUGUUGAAACUUGCCAUUUUGAAAUGUGUAGUUCUGAUAUUGAUACUUUAGCUUUCAGUCACUGCACUUCUUUCAGUUGAGCUUUGUUAAUUAUGCAGAGUGUGGGGCUUUUGUCCUCAAAGGCAUUCCUGUGCUUUCUUUGAAAGGUAAAUGGUUCCUUUGAAAUUGAAGCAUGUAGAGCUGAAGUAGCAUGUAAGCAGCAUAAGAUGAUGAUGUUGAAAAUUAGACGUUUAUUAGCUUUUUAUCAGAAAUAACCUAUCCAGAAUCUGAUUCUAAAGCUUUUUUUUUUUUUAAAUUUAAUAUCUUCAGCUGUUUUCCUGAUAUAGAGUUUUGCUGCGUUCUGCAGAAACUCAGUCUAGUUAAUGGAGUGCUUUUCACUGGUGGCUGGGCUAAAAGUGGUCUCUACUUUGAUGUUGUAGGGACUGUGUUUAAGGUGAAUGACUUUCUUUCAUCUAUGAAGACAUGCUACCUUUUCUGUGUGUGAAUUAUUCAUGUACAGUGAAGUGCAAGUGCAGCAGUUUGGUUGUCUUUGUCCUUUUGAAUGAUGCCACGAUAGAGGACACAUAAGCAUACACAUUUCUAUUAUGAAAAUGUACUACAGAUAGUUUCUGUUAAUUAUUUCCCAUCUGCAUUUGAAAAGGUCAUAUUUCACAUUUAUUCAGUGAUUGUAGCUUUCCUAGUGAAGUUACUGAUUUAAAAUUUCAACUUGUAUAGAUUGAGGAAGCGGUAUGAUUGUUGUUGUCAAUAUCUUGGUCUCUGCUAAUCAACUGUUCUUUGGUAUGAUUUUUGCAGAGAGUUUUGGAGAAAAACGAUGCAGGAGACCAUUUUCCAUUGGUUGCUAUCUGCUUAGGUUUUGAACUUUUGACAAUGAUCAUCAGUAAGGUACUCCUUCAUUUCAAUGGCCUUUUGAACAACCUGGUGGAUUAAUUAUUUCUGAAAUGAACAGCUUGAAGGCCCAAACCUCCCUCGGUCACCUCCUUCUUACAAGUCAUUUCCUAUACCUUCUCUAUUUGAGAAAUUUGGAAUCUCUAAAUGCUACUUUCCACAAGAUCCUGCCAUUAGAAGUUUACGUUGUAUAACUAUGCUAUGAUAAGAUCUGCAUGGUUUUAACAUACCAUAUGAAUCUUUCCCUUUCGUAGGUUAUGAUACAUUGACAUUUUCUCUUGUUGAUAAUAGGACAAUGAUAUUCUUGAGCAAUUUAGUGCUGCCGAUCAAGCAUCUACGCUCCAAUUUGUGGGGAGCAUUAAUCUCGAAGGAACUGUAUUUCAGAGGUAAAUAUGGUGGAGAACAUUGAAAUAACAUUUGCUGAGGUUUAUUUUUUGUGCUAGUUGAUGUUCUUUAAAGUUUUGAGUUAUAUUGUUUCAUACAUGAUUUGAUUAUAUAAUUAAAUAACCAUUCAAGAGUCUAUCGCAUUGUUCCAAUCAAUAAAGCUGUGUUAUUGAGAUGUUAUUAAUGAAUUGCUGAAACACUUUUCUUUUAACAUCAGUAAAAUUAACAUAGUGACCUAGGAUGCUUGUGUAAGAGCAUGAUAUCUAUGGUUUAACGUGAGAUGGAGUUAGUGUAGUUGCUACAAGGAUAACGUUUUCAUUUUAUAGGGCUUUUGCGAAUUUUCAAUGGAUGUGUAUCUUUAAACUGUUUCCAACCUAACAAUAUUUUGAAUUUUUAAUUAUGUUAGUUACUGGAGCUAUGAAUUCAAGUUCCUUUUUAUUUUGUCCUGCAGGUUUCCUCCAGAUUUGCUAAAGAAGCUCAGUACAGAUUGCCUUGUGAUGCAAAACCAUCAUGUAUGUGAAUCUUUUGUUUCAUGUUACCUUAACCUGAUUAGGGGCGAUUAAGUGCAUGUGCUGGUUCUACAGAAACGUCUGUAACCCCCACUUAUGUUUUAGUACAUAACAAUUUGAUUUGGGGAUUGAUUGUCUUACUUAUAUUGAAUAUGGAUAUAUUUGGAUUGGGUAUGGCUUUACACAAUGUGUGUGCUAAAUUAAAAUAUUUCAACACCCCAGAAGUUCCUAAAUUCCAGAUCUUCUUGUUCGAAGUGUCCUUAAGGAUUGAUUUUUUAUUUUAAAGUUUAAAUCCAGAUUUAGAAUAGUUCCAUUCCUCAAGUCUUGAAAAUCCACGCCUGGUGCACUGGAUGUUCCAUUCGUAGGAUCUUAAUUUCCUUAAAGAUAAAAUCCACAAGUUUUAUUAGAACUAGCAUGGGCAAAUAUCAUUCCCAUUGCAUAAAUUUUUCUGAAUGCAGUGUUGUUAAAUUGUUUUCAACUAAUUAUGCUCAAUUUUUUGAGGAUGUUAGCUUAGUACCUAAUAACCAAAAUUUCCAGGCCCUAUUGACUUACUGUAUUUGGUAUGGCGAUGUGCAGUUUUAACCCCGAUCCUCAUAAUCUCAUAUUUUAUACUCAAUGCUGCAGAACUACCACUGUAGGGGUGUGUAUUAUGCCAUUCUUAAUAGGCCCAUAUAUUUAAACACCAAGUAGAGCUGGUUAACUGUGUAUUUGCCUGUGUAACAGUAUGGUAUAUCACCUGAGACGUUUAGAAAGACUGCUGCUUUAUGUAACUUCUUCCAGAUUCUGACAACAAGCGCAGAUGAGAACGAUAAGGUAAUUUAUGUAUUCAUCUUUUGUUGGUCGAUUGCCCCUUCUACUUACAAACAAGUUUUCCUUUCCUGAUAAUGUGCCAGGUUUAUGUUUCUACCGUCAAAGCAAAUGACUAUCCAUGACUAUCCAGUCACAGCAUUUCAGUGGCACCCAGAGGUAUAAUCUGUCUAUGUUAGAGGUUUAGCAUUAGCUUACAUUGGCUACUUAUGUUUCAGGUUUUAGAAACUUGAGUAAUGAUUAUAUGCAUUUUGGGUUGUGAAGUUUCUUUUAUCCACACAUAAUUAGAUGUCAUUGUUAUGCAAGGCUGAGGAUCAAUGUCACAUUUUGGGUUGUGAAGUUUCUUUUAUGUACACAUAAUUUGGGUUGUGAAGUCUCUUUUUUUUUUUUUUUUGAAUAAUAAAUUUUAGCUAUCAUAUCUUUUCCAUACAUUUCUGGAUAUCCCACAUACACACACAGCAUGCAGAUAAAUGGGAUGCAGCUGCUGAAUUCUGAACCCAAAUACCUACCUUUGUUGCAGAAAAAUGCAUUUGAAUGGGGGUUAUCAAUGAUUCCACACUCGGAAGAUGCAAUUCAAGUGACUCAAUAUGUGGCCAAUUUUUUUGUUAGGUAGGGACAGUUAACGUUAUCCUGUUAUAUAUGCAAAAUCUUUGAGCUAAUGCCUCAAAAUUCUUUUGGCCUUUUUCAUAGCUUUGAGUUUCUUUAUGUGCAGUGAGGCCAGGAAGUCCUUAAACAGGCCACCAGCUCGUAAAGUUCUUGACAACCUCAUCUACAAUUACACACCAACCUAUUGUGGUAAAGCCGGGUGAGUUGAUUGCAGUUGAGACUGCAGUAGGAUCAAUGUCUGUUUUCUUCUUGUUUUACGCAAAAAAAAGAGAAGAUGGUGAAAGACUUGUACUAACGUGAUGUCAUUUGUUCGUUCUCAUUGCAGGAGAGGAUACGAUGAAGUCUACAUUUUCACUUGACUUUUGUUCAUGGCCUCGUCCAACAAAAGUCUUGAGGAUUUGUGUACCAAGUGUAAAUGAUCAUGAACUAGAUAAUUUAAUGUAUAAAGGACACGCAUUAAAGUUUAUUGAAAUGGUGAACGGGCUUUUAAUUAAAUGGUUUAUUGAAAUGCACUCUUAAAGGUCUUCCUGCUUUUGCUGGUUGUUAGUAUUCUCAUGCUAGUUGAGGUUUGGAGCUUCCAAUCCUCAGAAUUGAGCUCAAUUUCUCACUGUUACAAGGCACAUUUUCCUGUCAAAGAAAAGGGUCCCUUUGCCCUUCACAGGGCCCCUUUGGAAAUUUUUGAUUAUUUCCAAAUAUGUGUGAAAACUCAAUAGAAACGUAAACAAAAACACAUGAAAUUUAAGCUGAUCAAAUCAAAUGUUCAUCAUAUCCUGAUUUGAUCGUCGAGCUUCUUUUUUUUUUUUUCCCUCUCUCUCCCCCCUUGGAAGCUUACUCAAUGCUCUGUGUGAGAGGAUGCAACAUGAAGGUUAAAGAAAAUGCAGAAAAAUCUUACAGCGUAUUGAUGAGCCAAUUUUUUUUUUUUUACCGACAAUAUUCCAAAAAAAUUGUUAUGUAUUAUGUGAAUAUAUUUUUUAAUUAUUUUUUUUUAUCUCAUGCAUACCAUACCAAAUCGAUACAGUAUGUUUUUUACAAAUAGAGCACGUGCGAUGUGGAAAAUCACGUGACAAUAGGCCCCAAAAGCCAGGAAAAGACUCCGCUAACCAGCAAACCCACUAACUUACCCUCCAUCAUACUGGCGGGAAAAUUGGGUGCUUUUUUAUGUUCUCUGCGGAGGGAAAAUUGUUUAUCGGAUUCGGUUCAUCACUUCCCCUUUUCGGGUGCGAGAUCCGACUGCCCCACGCCGACCCGAACAUGGCAGAAAUUGAAACCCUGGGUAUCCUCGACGAGAUACAGUCCCUCGUCUCCGAUAAGCUUCAAGUGGUAUCUCUCGUACUAUCAACUUGUGUAUUUCCUUACUGUAAAGGUUCAAUGGAGGGUUUUUUUCCUUCUGUUUUCUCGAGAAUGAGUUUAGGGGUUAUGCUCAGAUUUUCUUUCCUUGUAUUUCUGGUAAGAUGGUGGAAAUUGAAACGAAGAAUAGCGAAGUUUUUUUUCUAAAUCUUACGUAGUUUAAAUUUAAUUGUUCUUGGCUGUGUUUUAUUUUAGGUGUCAUACAAAUGGCUGAGUCGAAAUUUUUUGGUGUCCUCAAACGACGCAAAAAGGUACCGAGUUUUCAGAUUUUAUAUUUUGAUGAUUUGUCGUUUCGAAAUUUCUCCCUUGUUGUCUAAAGUUAGUUUCUUUGUUGUUUGUCGACUUGUCAUCUGUAGGCUGCUUCAGGAUUUUGUUGAGAAGCGUGGGACCGGAGUAGAGGUAGUUUAUACUUUGUCUGGCUGGUUGAAAACUGAUCCUUCCGUUUAUCAUAUCAGGCUUGUGUCCAAGCCUAAACUUACAGGUUCGUUUACCGAUGAAUCUUGAGUUUCAAUUUGGCAAAUUGUGUUGUAUGCCCGUGUAUUGACUCUGAGAUUUGUUCCCACUUUGCUACAUUGCUUCCUUUCAGCUUUCUAAAUUUGUAUUCCAGAUAUUUUCUUUGCUGGUUAGCCUGAAAACUGCUUGUCCUCUGUAUCUCGUGAGUUCUAAACGUAUAAUGUGCUCUAGUGCUCUAUUUGUGAUUGCAUCAACAUGUGUAUGCCAAGCUAGAAAAUCUUGCACGCUUCCUUGCAUGAUAUCUUGUUAGAGAUUUCUGAUGAGAAAACUUCACCAUUGUUGUAGUUUUUUCCUGUUACCUGAUUGUGAUUUGUUCUUAUGUGUCUGGCUUCAUCAUUUCCUCUAAAUUGUACUGGAUAUGCAGUAGAGUGACAUUCAUGCUGAAUGUUGGCAUAUCUGUGGUUACGGCAAAAUGCUGUUUUGGACCAUUGGUGUUAAGCUCUGCGUAUCUUCUAGGAUGUGGAAGAUAAUGCAUCCUCCAGAUUUUGAAUUUUUACUUUUGUUUGCUUACAUAUUUGGAUGACUGUACUUUGUGGAUGUUGGUUUGUAAUGCGUCCCAAGAAUAAUUAGUUGAGUGAACCAACAAAAACAUUGGGUUGUUGGGACAUUGCAAAUAGCUGUUGAUUUAAAAUUGAGAAGCAACUGUUAUUUAUGUCAUACAUUGCAUUAUGUUUCGGGGGAUCAAGUUUGGCGCAAUCGAUCUGAUAUAAACCCUUCUAUGAGCUAUCUCAAGAAUGACAUAUCAGUAGUUGGUUAUUUUGAACACUUGACCACUACUUAUAAUGCAGUUUAUGGCUUGUUAUAGGCUAUUUCCAACAGAAUGCUUAUACUGCCUGCAUUCUUUAAAAUGCUGUUUAACGAAGCUAGCAUCCAAGAUGUAAUUCAUGUUUUAAGCUAUCCUUCUAUUUUUGGAACUUCCAUGUUGAAAUGAGCAUUGCAUUUUUUUUUAAUCUUUUUCCUGUAAUUUGUAGAAGUAAAGCAAGAAUUUGAUGAGAAUUGCUCAGUUCAAAUCUAUAGCGUGCAAGCUUGCUUACCAAAAGACCCAGCAGUCCUUUGGAAUGCUGAAUUUGUCCAAGCAGAAGAGCUCUUUAAGCAGCCCCAUGAAGUUAAUAAUUGUCUGCGAGAUAACAGGUAAAUUCAGCAUGUCUUAGGCAAUCUAAAUGCAGCUAAUUUGACAGAGUUAAACCUGUCUUGGCUCCUACAUUUCUUUGUGGUUGGUGCUACUACAGAUUUUGUGGAAUACUAAAUUCCUUUGUCAAGAGAAAUGCUGAAGAAGCAAAUGGAACCACAAGUGUGCUACCAGUGAAAACUACCGGGACCUCAGGGUCAUCUGGAUACACCUUGGCCAACCAGAGUCCAACAAUUCCACAACCGCAGCAGAAAAAGAUUCAGGGAACAAGCCCUAAUGUCACAUUGCAAUCCCCCAAUGUGGUCAAAGAUGUUAAAAAUGAGAGUAAGCCUGCUGAGAACAAACUGAAAGUUCCUCAAUUGACUGUUAAUACGAAAAAAGGAGAGACUGAUAAGAACUCUUCUGGAACUGGAGGCGCAUUGGCUAAUAUGUGGGGUCGUGCAUCUGCAAAGUCCAAAGCUGAGUGCGCCUCUGCAAAAACUAAUGGCAUAUCAAAUUCUGCAGGUUUGUUCCUUUGACUUUUAUCCACUUUCACUGCUGGCUGUUUCCUGAAUUUAGGAGUUCAUUAGUUACUGUGAAACUAUUAGCAAUUGCAGAUGCACAAAUAUGUGCUCGUGAAGAAAUAGAGCAUGAAAGCAGUGAUGAUGAAGGUCAAGGUGUCAAUGUCAGGCGGUCGUACAAUGGCGAAGUUGGUCGGAAGAGGAGGGUUGUUUUUGACUUCUCAGACGAAGAAGACGAAUUCAAAGAUGCUGUCAAUCUAGCAUCCCCAGAUCCUCCAAAGAAGAAAUCAAUGCUGGAUUCAAAACGAAGCUCUUAUUCUUCAGACAUUGAGAAGAGCAAGUUGAAUUUUGAGGAAGAGAAGGAAGAUAAACCAAAUUUCAAGCAUAGAAAAGAAACCGACAGAAAAUCAAAGGAAGAGAAUCUAGCGUUCGGCAACCACAACAACAUGAACUCUUCUUCUUCAGAGAAGGUUAUAAACCAAGUGCCUGCUGUUGACACAAUUGCGAAGGAUAAAACAAGGGAUGCUGCUCCAAAUUCACCUAAAAGGAAAAAAGUACUAAAAACAAGGAUUGAUGAGCGUGGAAGAGAAGGUGCAAUUAUGAUAAAUCACACCUCUUACUUCUCGAAACAGAUAAACUACUCCUUUUUCAGAUAUUUUCAUUUGCUUCCUGCCUACUGAAAGAGACUUUAUCAAUGAGGUCAUAAAUGAGACAAGAAGUGUUGAAAGUAGCCUUAGGCUUACGCAUCUUUCCACAUAUGGGCAUACAUAGUUACUUUUAGUGAUGCUUUGUUCUGUUUAUCCAAUGGUUGUCGAAGUGAAUUUAGCUUUUUUGCAUGCUCUGUGGCAUUCUGUUUGUUAUAGUUUGCCGUGUUUAUAUUAUUUGACUCAUUUGAAUUGUGGAUGCAGUAACUGAGGUUGUUUGGGAGGGUGAGGAGGAGACAAAGCCUGAGAGUGACACGACAAAGAAGGCUGACAACAUUCCAGCCAGCAACAAUUCUAACAGGUGAACAUACUGUAACUUGUACUGGAUUCUUUUUAAUUUACCAUGUAAAUCACCUUGCCCCAGACUAGCAUGAAUUUAGAUGUAGUUCUGCCCACAAUAUAUGUGCAAGUAUGAGGCGAUGACUGGUUCUCUAAUUUUGCAUGGGUGCUUUGUGGUCAUUACUGGCUGAUUGGUGUCUCCCCAUUUAUAUGACAUCUCAGUCGGAUAAAUACUUUAGGAUGCCGAUUUUUGCAUAAUUAGAUAUGUAUGCCUCUUCCAUCUCAAAUGCCAAACCUUUCAUCUUUCUUUUGUUAUUUGUUUCUCCUUUUUGUUUCUGAGUACAAUCUAGCGUUCUAUAUUUGCUAUUUCUGAAGAGAAAACUACUGGACAAUGUUAGAAUAGAGCUUGGAGUUUUAUGCUUUUUGUCAACUAUCAAGUUGCUGGCAGUUCUGAGGCAUUAUAUUGUAGCAGACAUCCACACAUGUAUGACUGUGUAUGUUUGGUGUUUUACAGAUAAUCAGCUCAAAAACUGCUUCAUUCUGGCUGUCAUUAAUGUUCCAUUUCUCCUAAUUCAGAUUUAUAAGCUACUUAUACUGUUGGGUUUAUUUCCAGACCAUCUGCUGUUAAGAAGUCACCAGCUGUAACUGCUAAUGCUCCAUUAAACCAAGUUGGCAAAACAGGAAGUAAGAAAGCAGGGAACAAGGAUCCUAAACAAGGGAAUAUUCUGUCUUUUUUCAAGAGGGUUUAAGGAGAUUGCUCUAGAAACUGCUGCAAUUGUCUGGUUCUUUGAGUUAUGCUCCUAUGUUGAUAAAAUCAUGGCGUUUGUCGUGCUCGCGCAUGCUUUCUUGUCAGGAUAAUCCUUUGUUCAUGGUUUUCUCUUCAAAUGUUUGUAUAGUUCUGCUACCUCUUCUUGGCUGUGCUUAGACUUCAUAAGAAUAGUUUCUUGAUUAGUUGAUAGGAACUUUAACCCAUCUUGGUGAACAAUGAGAUUUUCAGUUUUCAAAGCUAAUCAGGAAAGACAGUUAGGGAGUUUGGUGGCUUACCAUUUUGAACAAGAAAUGUUACGAAAUGCUCAUACACGCAUGUUCACCAGCUCAAGCUUUUUUAAGGGCACUUCUCCUGGCUUUUACUUUGCUGUUGGCAUGUUAUGGGGAAGGCAGAGGUAUUUAAAUAUUGUACUUGCGUAGAACGGUGAGUUGAAAAUUGGCAUUCAUGUUAACAUACCCAAGCUAUUAAGACUCGCCCAUCGCAGACCACAACCCCCAAAAAUAAAUAAAGUGUAAAAGAUGAAUCAUACUGCACUUUAAAGCAGGGAAACAUGAUGCUUUGCUUUUCUUCGUGUUUGAAUCUAUAACAAACGAGGAAGAAGCGAGGUGAAAAAGGAGGAUGGUGUGAGUAAACAAACUUGUGUAAUAUCAUGAGGGAGAUUUACACGAUCUACAUUGAAAUCAAUGAAUGUGGAAGUUUGACAUCAGGAAAUCCUUCAUUUUUUUUAACCUUCUUGUAUUAAGUUGGUUGGUUCGCUCAGAACAUACUUCGGGAGUUCAUAUUUUGCACCUGUAAAACAGAUUAGCAAGAAAAAUGAGCCAGUGAAUACAGAAAUCAGAAAAGAGAAAGGAGGAGGAGGAGGAGGGCAGCAAGACAAAUGGAGACGAGCUCAGAAAAUUUGAAGAGCACCAGUCUUAUUUCUACCAAUAAAAGCAAAAGGGACGUAGCAGAAUUUGUUGGGUCGAAAAAAUAGCAGAAUAGGACCUCUCUCAUCAUAGCACACCGUCAUAUCAGGAUUUUGGAUGAUGACUCCAGCACUGUCGAUGAUUGCCUGAGCUAGGUUUAUGUCUGCCUCAGCAGCAGCUCGAAGUGCAUCCCAAAUUUCUAGAAUGAGUACACAAGUAGUUUACGUACAGUAAAUUCCCACAGAAUUGGAUAGGAUAAGAGGAUCAUGAGUGGAGCAGCUAAUAUUGCCUCUGCUAAAUCAACAGAAUCUUCAAAAUUAAGUUGAAAUACAAGUGAUUUUUCAAUUAGGUCUAGUACCUUUUCUUCCACCAUAGUGAGGAGCAGUGUCCCAAAACUCUUCUCUCAACUGCACUAGCUGACUGUUCGUUAUUGGUUGUGGAUGUUUCCAAGGUUUUGGCUUUCGAAUCUUUUUCGCGGAUCCUGUAAAGACCAAAGAGUAAACGAACGUGUUCAGCUUCACAACUACCAUACCUGGGCUUCAGAUAGAUUGGCAAACAUAUGGUAAAAAAUCAGAAUCCCAACUUUCACAUGCUAAUAGACUUGUAGAGAUGUAUGCGUGUGCACAGACAUCUGCAGAUCAGCAUUACACAAGAAUCAACAAGAGUGAAAAGACAAAUUGCGCGACAGCGCCCAGUGAUUUGCACAUACACCAAGUCUUGAAGAUCUGUGUCUACUUGGUUCCUUUGCUCACAGGACACAAAUUCAGUUUUUUCUAGCUUUCUGUUAUUAGAUUACAGCAUAUGCAACUUCGCCAGGAAGGUCUAAAAUCUAAAAGGGGGUAAGCCAAAGUACGCAUAAUUUACAUUUACAUCAUUCAUUGGGGUUUUGGGACUAGAAUGGUCUGUCUUAAUCCUAAUUCUCCUCCAUUUCGGUUGCAUUUGAAAUGUUGAAUACUCCUUAAACUCCUUCAAAGAAGAUGCAUACCACUUGGAAGGAAAGGAGGCUUUAGUACUGAGGAUCAAUUAGUACAGCAUCUAUGGGGACUCUAAGCAACAGUAGAACAACAUAGUACCAAUUGCCAAAGCAACCUAGAGGAAGUUGAUCUUUGGAUGAAUAGAGACUCUUUUCAGCCAAUAGUAGCACCGCCACCACCACCCCACCCCAACCCAAACACACACACAAAAACCCAUUCCCAAUCAGAUACGAAGCCUUCAAAAUUAGAUCAGAAUUCGCCUUACCCUGUUAAAGUCUGGACAAGCUUAUUUUAUACAAUUUGAAAGAAAGAAGCUUCUUUUCCAAAUAAUCAAGCAAACCUACGAAGACAAAUGGAGCAUGAAAGUCCAUAAGCAGAUUUUGUUCUUUCUUUUCUUGAAUUUUGGUUGAUACAGACUGUCAAUCAUAAAUUCAUCCAAACAUUUCUCUCAGUUAAAAUCCCUUGCACCUACAAAAAUACACAUGCAUGCAUGCAAACAGAUUUAUACAUGUCCUAUGUCACAAGUUAAAACAGAUGCCCUGAGUUCUUCUCAACCAGGCACAUUUCAAAGUAGACAGACCAGAAUUUUCCAUCAUAAAAAACAAUAUGAAACAGUAUGCCUGUACCAUGACCUUAAAAAGAUGAAAACUUGCAAAGACUCACCAUCUCCUUUGGCCUGUGAUGAUCCAGCACACCCCAUCCUUGUUCACUAUACAGUCAGAAACAGUCCCCAGAUCCCAGAAAAAAUCACCAACAAGUCAUAGUCAGUUUAGAUGUGUAUCAGAGAAAAUUUGUGGUGAAUGCAUGCCAUGGGGGAGGGGAGUUGUUCACUACUUCUUCUUUUUUAUUUUUGAUACUAAAUUGAGUCAUAUGCGUAUGAAAGAGUCCAAAGUCAAAUUGAACUUUGGUCACUUUUUUGCAGUUUUCUGCUUAGCUUUGUGACUCUUCCUGUCAUGAAAAAUACUACAAAAAUAAUUCAAGUACACUGACUAGUUAACGCCUUCCAUUUUGCACCACCCCUCAUGAAAGAAAUGAUCAUCAAAUUUGGUAAAGGAGGAAAAAAAGAGAAAUAAAGUGUAGUUUACCCAUUGCUUAAUGUCCAAAGUGGUUGGCUGUCAUGUUUCAUUCCCCGUGAGGAGAGUGAGAGAGAGACAGCCAAAAAAAAAAAAAAAAAAAAAGUUUGUGGGAUGAUCGGAUGAGCUCUGUUGUUGUCUCCAUUAUAUUUAUUCGUCCCACUUCGAACUGCGCUUUGCCUCACCGACUGGGAGUUCUUAGUUGCUACAUAAAAAUCUGGAGGGGAUAAGAACACAUUAUUAUUAUUGUUAGUUUUUAAUUCAAUUAUUUUUGGAUUCCAGAUUAAAAUUCACUUUUAUCUUCUUCUCUCUUUUGUACCCUCUAAUGUACCAAUCAAGAGGAAAAGGGAAUGGCAAAAACCAACAAGCAAAAGCUGCUUUUCUUUUCUACACAUUAUACAUUAUUACAACUGGUAUUUAUUAGUAAAAUAUUCGUCUUUUAAUACUCAAAGUCUCCUACUUUUGGACUUCAUGGACAUGACACAUGAGAAUAUUAAUGAUUUUUUUUUUGUCGGCAACGAUAUAUUUGUAUAAUCUACUCUAUUCUAAUUUAAAGGGGAGGGGGAGUCUAACGAAGCUGUAGUAGAGGGUUAGUGGGUAUACAGACCCAACUAAAUCAAUGAAGUGUUCUGAUACAAUUUUUAAAUUUUUUUCGUUACACAUGAGAUUUGAACCCUCACCUACAGUACAAGGAGGGCUCCCUGGUGGUCAGGGAGCCAUUGGCCCAGUGGUUGAGAAUUUUAAUGAUCCCUUAAUUUCCUUUUGAAAAAGUCGUGUAGCUAAUUGUGGGAACAACUUUGAAAUUUUGAAUGGCCAAUGUGAGAGCAAGUCACUCCGCCUGCCUUAGAGCUAGAGGGUCUUCCUCCUCCACUCAUUCUAUAUUAUUUUAUACUCCCCCUCCGCACCAUUAUUAUAAUUAUUUUUGGAAAAUCCAACUUUUUUAUGGAUAUACGUGUGUUUGGUUAGGAGAUUAUUUUAAAUAUAUUUUUUAAAAGAAUAUUGUAAUAUUUUUUGUAAUAUAAUUAAUAUACACGAGAUAAAAAGAUGAUUGAAAAAAAUAAAAAUAUAGUUAAAAAAUAUAUUUAUGAUACAAUCGAAUAAUAUCUGAUAAAUAAAAAGCUAUCCAAAGUAAUCAUUAAUAUUAUGUUUGGAUGAAGUGAAAUUGGUGAAUUUAUAAAUGUAUCCUUUGAAUGUAAAAUUUUCUUUAUUAAAUGUGUAUUGAAAUUUUAAAAAAUUACUUUUUUAAAUAGUAAGAUUGAAAAGUACAUGUGUUAAAUUUAAGAUGGUAACUCUUAUUUUGCAAUAUUAAUAAGGUAAAAACAAGACAACCUAACGAUAGGAUAGGACGGAGGAGUAUUAACUUUUUCAUUCUUUUGUUACCCAAAAAAAAAAAAUUCAUUCUUUAUUUUCUUUAGGGUGCUAAGCCUACCUUGUACCCUCAAUUCAACAGUCGAUAGUAGCAAAAAUACUUCUAAAAUUGAUCCUCCCCCUCUUAGACGGUAGACACUUCAUUUUUCAACAACACUUUUGAGUCCCUUUCCGACGAUUUACAAAACCAAGUCCUUACAUGCAAUUUUCUUUCUAUACUUUGGUGCGGUGAACGUUCUGCCACCAUUCAUCCUUGUCUUUUGUUGGCUCCCAAGAUAGAAUCAUGCUACGCAAGGGACAAAAGCCAAACAGGCUCAAGAAACGCUCAAAAAAACCUUUGUUUUCUUUGUUUCUCUAAGAAGUUGAAGGGCAGGCGGAACUAUAGACAUUCCAACACCAAUACAUAAUUGCUUGACCAAUUAGAGACGGUAGUAGUAGUUCUAAACUACAAGGACUGAGACACUUUAGCAAGCAACCUACCCAAAACGAAAUGUAUCCCCAUAAUUGCUCCUCAUGCUGUAAGGACCGUACUUGGGAUCACCAUAGUUGACUGCCUUGCUUUCAACAGGUUUUGAAUAUUCCACCCCGCUUGAUCCAAAAACCUCUCCACUUUUAUCCCUUUGUCGAUGUUUUGUUCUUUCCUUCUGACCUUUAGACCUCACUUGAACUUGAGGAGGAACCUCGCCUGAUGCAUAAUAUUCAGCAUAUUCUUGUCGUCUAGAGGAUCUGUGCUUGGUUGGCAAUGACGGAUCUUUCAUGCUGCUCGAUCGGAUCUUAGGAGGCUUCACUUCUGAAUAUCUAUCACUAACAUUUGGUGUGUAAGCCUGCCUGGUUUCUGACACAGGGGCAAGAGUUCUCUGCUUUUGAACUAACUGGGGCUGGGGCUCAGCUUCAUCUUCAGGCAUGAUCAAAGAAUCCUUCAAUGGAGUGAGGCCCUUUCUAGCACUGCGGCGCCUAAACCUGAAGGGCAUGAGGUACGUUAAGAUGCCACUAAAUGCCUCGAAUGCAAUCUUUGGUAGAUCUCCAAUGAGCUGUCCAAAAGAUGGCCAAGCAGCUUCCUGGUUCUCUUUCACAAGUUCCACCGCAGGGGCAGAUUUUUCUCUCUUUUGUUGGUCUGCAUGAGUUUCAAACCCCGUAUUUGCUUGCUGCAAUGCAGAUGUUGUUUCAGGUUAGGCUAUACAUUUAGAGUGAAACUAAUGCAUGACCAUAUCCAGCUUUUUGGUACCAAAGGAAAUCAACCUCUAAUCCGGUGGAAAUCUACUUGCAGGAAUGCAAAUCAGAAUGAUAAAGCUGAAACUGACAAAUCAACAAAAAAACUAUACCAUUCUGGAGGAGGAGGAUGAACCAAACCCCUGUUGGAGCAUGCAUGAAAUGUAUCCAAUCAAGACUGCACCAAUAACCAUCAAAAUAUCUGCACAAGAACGAAAUACAUCAGAAAAGGGCUUGCUCAUUCAAGAAUGAUUAGUACUAUAUCAUUUUAGAACUUUUGAGGACUUUAGUGGCCGGUUUCUUAUAUUCCCACAUGCAGGCAACAUUUCAAUAGCCUAAAGUACGACAAAGUAACUUGCUUUCUCUUCUUCAUUCUUCUUUCUCCCCUGCCCCAGCCAACACACAUCAUUCUGAUGUAGCCUGUUAAGGUCAACUAAUAGGUCAACUCAGUGAUCAAAUAUGAAAUUACAGUAAGACUGAUUUCCCUUCAUCAAACCACAUAAGAACCCUGACCUUGUCAGUUGGACACUCACUACAGUACCAAAAAGGCUCAAGAAAGGCAAGUAAUUCAUAGACUAAUUUGAGUGAUUUAUCGGUAGUCAUACAAUUUUUGUGUGUCAUAUUUGUUGGACUUAUUAAGACAAGAUCAAUAGAUAUCUCUAAGUCCAUUGGAGUAGUAAAAGUCAGACAAAGCCAAUUCAAUGAUGAACAUGAAUGAGAAAUUUUGAUGAGAAGUUUACUCAAUUAUCGACUGAUAACAGCAAUUGCAUCUGCCAAAACUAAUAACUUCCUAGAGGCUAAUGCACUAUCAAAAUAUAUACUCAAACUGUGCAUGAUUUGUGUAUUAAUCCUCCACAUAAAUAUUGUUUAGCUAUCAUAAAUAAGAAAUCAAUUUCAAAUUGCUAAAACAGACCUCCGACUAAAGUCAUUGCUAUCCUAGAGGAGCCCCCCAGUGAAACUAACAAUGAAGAUUGGCCUAUUAUCCAUCUGAAUAAUUAAAAACAAAAAAAAGUAAACCAUAAUGCUGUUAACAUGACUCCAUUAAAAUAUCCAUCUAUGACCAUCCCAUAAAAUUCACAUCAAGUUAUUGAUAAAUGAGACAAGAGAAGCGCCAAAAAUAAAAAUCAAUUACAAUCAAGCAGACAGAGAGAAAUCCAACCUGUAGCUGAAACAGAGCUGUACUGAUAAUCACAAUCUUCUCGGUCAAGAGAUAUUUGUCGAAGGGCAGCAUUUCCUCUGUCAACAACCAGUAAUGAACAGGUUGAGUGAACAUAUAUCACAUCAAAAUCAGAUGAGAACUUCGCAUCUUCACUUGGCCCAUCCCUGAAUCCUGCAACAUUUGAUUUUCCUCCAGCGAUUGUCGUUACACCUGAAAUGAAUUUAAAAUUCUAGAGUUGCUGAUUGAGGUUCUCGAGGCUAAAUAACCAUUUCAAUAAGCAAUAGAUCAAUCUCAUGCUGUUAAUUGUACACACCAGAUUCUCCUAUCUUUCUAAUGGCAAGGUUUGCUGUAUCAGCAACAUAUACAUUUCCUUUAUCAUCCAUGGUGAUUCCUCUUGGAUGAUUAAACCGAGCAUCACUUGGUUUUCCAUCCACAUGCCCUGUGUAACCUUGAAAUGACCCUGCAACCAAUCUUGCCCUGCUAUCUGCAUUAUUCACCCAUUCAUAGACAGCAAAUCAGAUACUCAGGCAUCACAAAAACCAGCAAUCUCACCAUUUGGAGAGAGAAAGAAGCAGAAACAAGGUUACAUUGGGAUAAUGGGGGAGUUAUCCGAACAAUGUUGCUCUUAUCUGCAUCCACAGCAAACAGUUCGCCUUCUUGUGACACGCGGAUUUUGUAAGGCAUGACCCCAAGCUCGUUCCCCUGUACAACAGUUUCUACUAAGUAGCCAUCUUCAAACUGAAGCACAUUCCCAUCUGUAACCAUAAAUGAAUGGUUAUACAAGCCAAAUGUAGACACAUAUACCAAACUACCCCCAUAUAAGAAAACUGAAAUUAAUUAUAAGCAAAGCAGUUUGCACUUUUAGUUAAUCAGAAAACCGCAAAAUACAUUACCUCUCACAUCGAAAACAAAAGAAGCAACGUGUACAGCUACGCAUACACAAACAUGUUACAACAUCCUUGUUCAUUCUUUCUUUCCUUUUCCCCUCUCAUGUUUUGUUCAACUCAAAGAUGGUGCAUGAAUAAGAACUUUAACCUCAAACACCAAAAAGAGAAGUAAAAUUAGGAUUGAAAUUAUAACUAGGAGAAAUUACCAGAUUGGGGCAAUUUAGAGGAAGACCUGGUCCAUUUGAGGACGGAUGAAACAUGUUUUAUCAGGGGCCCUGAGCCAAAAAUAAAACAAUAAAGCUGAAUUAUCAAGUGCCAGUACACAACACAUACAUGUUUUUUAAACAGAAGAUCAACAUUAGCGUUUUGGUUCAUAAUAAGUGAAACGUGACAUGGGCAAAAAUAAUAAUACUAAUACUAACAGUAAUAAGAAAACAAUAAUGUUAGGGAAAGGGGGCAGAUGGGGGACUUGAGGAAGUAAGAAAAGUAGUACCAGCAGGGAUAGCAGCAUCAGCUUGAAAUUGAACAUAAGCCACCAACAGAGUUAAGAAAAUCAGAAAGAAAAAUGAACCCUUCAUCCUUUCCUCAGAUAGCAUAAAAUAAAUCUUCCGUUUCUUUUGAGGCUGUAUUAUCUGUGUUAUCCCUUUUUUGUUUUUCUUUGCUUUUCAAAUAGAUCAGAAGAAGAAGCAGAGGAUGGUGUUAUCUCUGGGAGAAACUUCCGUGGAAGUAAAUCAAGAAAGAAAUGGGGGUCUGUCUAGUCCCAGCAAAACAGACAGAUUGGAAGAAAACAUGUUCGUUGUUUUGCAGCAAACCUGAGCAGCUGGAUGGAUUCUUCAGACCCUCCUUCCUCCUCCUGCUGCUGCUGCUCAGUUCAGUACUUUCUUUAAGCAGGCAGCCUUUUGACACUCUACUUUCACACUUCCAUUUUUCACAAGCUUUUCCAAUUACCACAACUUUGUGGAUUUAUUUUCUAAAAUGUUCAUAAAUACUAGUCAGUGUACUAGAAUUUUACUAUUUUCUUUUUCCCGGAGGCCGGGGCCUGGGGGCCCACAUUCACGUAAUUGUAAAAGAAUUUUUACUGGGCGGGGAAUGGAGAUUAGUACUUUAGUUUAGUGGAAACUGGGAAAAGUACUCUGAUUGGGCAGUUCAACUUCAGGGGCAGGAGAGAAGGUAACAGCGGGAACGUGCAGUGUUUUUUGUUGUGCGGGGUCGGUCUUCUUACCACUCUCAAAUUGUUAAGCCAGUGCCAAAUGCCAAGGCCGUACUUGUUUGGAAUUGGGCCAGGCUCCAGUCCACCGGAAUACAAUUUUGAAUGAUUGGCAAUGGGCAUUCACGAGUUCGAAAAUCUCCUAUCUCUGCUACAAUACAAUAGAAGAGUUGUAGAAGAGUUGUAAAAAAAAAAUAAUAAUAAUAAUAAUAGAAGAGUUGUAGUGGUGCAAAUGUAUAAUUUGACCAAAAUAUGUUUGUAUAGUACCUUCUUUUGUGUUAGUAUAGACGUUAACAUUUAUGGUGAAAUUGAAAAAUUGAAAGUGACAAUUGGGUAGAUCUCAAACCUUCCCAAACAAGACCAAGCUUCAUAAAACCGCUCAGUUUUGGUUUAAGUGGCCACCAAAAAAGAACUAAAUCCCUCUUUGAACCGUAGGUCAGGGAUUCCAACCCUACUUACAGUGGAAGAAAAAUUCAAAGGUGGUAUAGAUUAGGUUUGUAUACUUUAAACUUCUCCCCCUCUCUUAAAAUAGAAUAGAUUAUUAGACUUUAGUCUCCCCAAUUUUGUAGAAUAUGAUAAAUUAUGUUACAAGAAUGUUAUCGUUGCAAUGCAAAAAAACUGAACUUCGUAUCUCCAACGCUAGAGGCCCAAUACUUCUCUAACUAUAUGUAAAAUUUGGACUGGGAUCUUGCGCAAGGCCUUGCAAAUAGGAAAUAGGAAGCAUUUAUUUGUUGGGCUUGGGCAAGAUUAACUAUCCAAUAUGAUGAAAUCAUCUGACAAUUAACCUGACUGCCGAAGUACCAGUGUAAAAGGAAUUUGUCAAUUUUGGGACCAAUUCUAAUUAUUGGCUGUUUGGGAAUGAGAAUUACAACAAAAAUCUGAUCAAAUGGUACAACUCUGAAUAUCUCGAAAUACGAGGGACGUGGCGCAUAAUUUCACUCUAAUCCAUGUGAUACGUGUCAUUAAAUGAUUGGACAAGCUCCGUGGAGGCCCUGCCACGUCGGCACCCAUUUUAUAUCGCCAAAGUAGACCUCUAACGCAAGAGAAACGGAGACUGCUUCAGAUGAAACAUCCAUCAUCUCUGCAGCUUCAGUAACAAACGGAUCUCAAAAUCUUCUUCUCAAUUUCUUCCCAAGGUUGGUCUUCAAUCUCAAUCUCUUUUCGCUAAUUAUUGGUUUUCUGUGAUCGUUUUUUCUGUUUUCCGAUCUUGUUCAGUGGUUUAGUUAAUUAUUUUAUUAAACCGUGCAAUUGUUUUGGAAUUGUUCGAUUCGGAUCCGUAUAUUCAACAGCUGAAUUUAGGGAAUUUUUAUGUUUACGUACGAAAUGAUUUUGCAUUAAUUUUUUUUUUCUCUGGAAAAUUUGAUACUUGAUAGAUCUGAUGAAUCUGAUGAAUCGAUACAGUAAUAGUGCUGUUUUUAGGCCGCAUAGCGGGCUUGUAUCGUAAAAUUUGGUUCUGAUUUCGGUCUUGUUUAUGUCGUUUCUUAUGUGUAAAAUUUAUGUAAAAAUCAGCCUUUUGUUCUUGCUAAUACAGGUUAUGCCUGGGUCAAUUUAUUACAGACCUUUAAGAUGUAGGGCGAACUUAGAACAUUUUCGUUCCUUUUUUUUUUCUUUUCUUCUUUUGGAUGUUAAAUUAUUAAUUUCCUAUGUGUUGGGGGGCUUUCACAUUAGUAGCCCGUACGUUUCAUUUGGAGUUUUCACUUGGCAUGCUUUAAGUUACAAGCUGCAAUUUUUUCUUUUUGGCCUGGGGCAUCUUGGAAGCUAGUGAUUUUUUGAGUGUUUUUAUCGUGUUAUUAAGCAAUUUCAGUUGAUUUUGAGUCUGAGAUGGGAUGUUGCCUUUGUUGGUAGUAAGCUGGAGAGAAGUUUUGCUGCUGUUUUCAAUUGACUACAUUUAGCAUAUUAAAAUUUCUAGUUUUUUUUUUCCUUCUAAUGAUUUUGAAAAAUUCAACAUAUGCCUACUUUGGAGUGUUGACUUUUCCUGAUUUUGUUGAUUCCAAAAACUGUCUAUUGGUUUCUGCGUUGAACUACUCGGUUGUUAGGAUUGAGUUCUUGUUCCUGUGGAAUAUGCUUUUGAUUGAAAAUUUCUUUUUUGUAGGCUGAGUUGGUGCAUUUCAUCGUGAUAAGAUGGGGGGAGGAUUCAGGGUGCUUCAUCUUGUUAGACCUUUUCUCUCCUUUCUACCCGAAGUUCAGAGUGCUGAUAGGAAAAUCCCAUUCAGAGAGAAGGUUAUCUAUACGGUGAUCUCCCUUUUCAUAUUUUUGGUAUGCAGCCAGCUUCCGCUGUAUGGCAUACAUUCGACAACUGGGGCAGAUCCAUUCUACUGGAUGCGUGUUAUUCUUGCCUCUAACCGUGGGACUGUGAUGGAGCUUGGGAUCACUCCUAUCGUCACCUCUGGACUGGUUAUGCAACUGUUGGCUGGUUCAAAGAUCAUUGAAGUAGAUAACAAUGUACGCGAGGAUCGAGCACUUUUGUAAGUCUUGUUGGAUUGAGUUUUUGAUGUUAUAAUUGAAUUUCUCAAAAUACAUAGACAGAAUAUGUUGUACACAAACACUUGUUUCCUUUGCUGGAUGAUUAUAGGCUAUUAGGAAAUAUGGAGGAUUUGUUUAUGUCCUUGAUUUCAUAAAUUUGCUCAGUUUAUUUGAUGAUUUUUCUGACAAGUUUUCCUUUUUGGACUUCCAGAAAUGGUGCACAGAAGUUAUUGGGGAUCCUUAUUGCUGUUGGUGAAGCGGUUGCCUAUGUUCUCUCAGGGAUGUAUGGAAGCGUUAGCCAACUUGGAGUUGGAAAUGCAAUUCUUAUAAUUCUCCAACUCUGCUUUGCUGGUAUUAUUGUGAUUUGUCUAGAUGAACUUCUCCAAAAAGGAUAUGGUCUAGGCUCUGGGAUUUCACUUUUCAUUGCCACCAACAUUUGGUAAGUUUCUCUAAACUGUUGUUUGCAUUUAGCUAUCAUGUGCUCCUAAGAUGGAUGAUCGAACUGACCUUUGGUUGCUUUGACAGUGAAAACAUCAUUUGGAAAGCUUUUAGCCCAACCACAAUUAACAGUGGUCGUGGAGCUGAAUUCGAAGGCGCUGUAAUUGCUCUAUUCCAUUUGCUAAUAACUCGAACAGACAAGGUUCGUGCACUUCGUGAAGCAUUCUAUCGGCAGAAUCUUCCGAAUGUGACCAACUUGCUUGCCACAGUCUUGAUCUUUCUUAUUGUGAUCUACUUCCAAGGCUUCCGUGUGGUUUUGCCAGUGAGGUCUAAGAAUGCCCGUGGACAGCAGGGUUCAUAUCCAAUCAAGCUGUUCUAUACUUCCAAUAUGCCCAUUAUUCUACAAUCUGCUCUUGUGUCCAAUCUCUACUUCAUUUCUCAGGUAUGGCCUUUUUUGCAACUAGGCUCUAGUUGACUAAGAUUUGUUAUUUUUUUAACACAUAAUGAGCCUCUUGCUUCUUGUUGUUCCAGUUACUGUACAGGAGGUACAGUGGAAAUUUCCUAGUGAACCUUUUGGGGAAGUGGAAGGAAUCAGAAUAUUCUGGCCAAACAGUCCCUGUUGGAGGCCUUGCUUAUUAUAUUACUGCUCCAUCAAGGUGAAUUACUGUGGCUCAUGAUCAUUGGAUCUCCCUGCCUAGUCUCGUAUUACUAUAAUCUACAUUCUAUCCAUCAACACGCGUUGAUGGUUUUUGCAUUUUUCUUCCUACUUUUACAUGUUUAACUGAAUCUGUUGUCAUUUUUGCAGCUUGGCAGAUAUGGCAGCCAAUCCAUUUCAUGCACUUUUUUACAUUGUUUUUAUGCUGUCAGCAUGUGCAUUGUUCUCAAAAACCUGGAUUGAAGUGUCAGGAUCCUCUGCUAGAGAUGUGGCCAAGCAGCUUAAGGUAUGAUUCACAAGGAAAUUCAUUUUAUCUGCAUAACCAAUGUUAUUUGUUUACUGCUAUUAUUGCCAGAAACUAUUUGGAAAGAAGUGCUUCGCCUGAGAAUUCAUAUGAUGAAUAAGUGCUCAUAAGAAUUGAUACUUUUUUCUUUUGUUUGUCCCAAGUAAUCUGUAAUAUGUGGAGGAUUGCACAGCCAUUCUGGAGUCUUUCAUGUUGCCUGUUGUGCAGUUCAUAAACCAUUUUUAAGCUGGUGGUAACAGACUUGGAAAAUAAAGAAAGCAAAAGGAAGAAAAGGAGGACGAUCUUAAAGAUGUUUCUUUUGGAAAGGAACUGCUUUCAUAAUGCAAUGCCUGAAUAUGAAACAAUUUUAUAUCUGAUUUGUAUUUGAAAAUUUGUUUCAGGAACAACAAAUGGUGAUGCCUGGGCAUCGUGAAUCCAAUCUACAGAAGGAGCUGAACCGUUACAUACCUACAGCAGCAGCUUUUGGUGGCAUAUGUAUUGGUGCACUCACUGUUUUGGCAGAUUUCAUGGGGGCAAUUGGUUCGGGAACAGGGAUUUUGCUUGCUGUUACGAUCAUAUACCAGUAUUUUGAGACAUUUGAGAAGGAAAAGGCUAGUGAACUUGGUUUCUUUGGCUUCUAAGCCUUGAUAGGAUCUUGAAUGGUCCGUGGUGUUGUGAUUGCAUUGCUCCCAAGUCCUUUCUAAUAUGAGCUAAGAGACACGGUGGAUCUUGUCAACACCUCAAGUUUCAGAAAAACGAGAAUCUAGUUAGCUUUUCAAGGAAAGAUAGUUGCAAGUGGGAGGAGCCUGAGAAUUUUUGUUGCACGUCUUAGUGGUAGUGUUAAAAGGACUAGAUUUUAUUUUUAAUCACUUUCAGAAAACUAAUUUUGGAAUUUUCUCGUUUUUGUUGUUGCAAUUGCCGUGCAAUGUCGUAAAGCAGUAACAUUCCUUCUAUUUUUCGGCCCAUACUGAUGCUAUUAACUAGCCACUGACUUGAAAUUCUUUCUUGAAGCAUUCUGCUGCUUCUGUUUUAGAUCGUUUAUUGGUUGGGACUGGAAGCUGACAGUUGAAACUUGAAAGAAUGUGCAGAAGCCAGGCUUCGAGCGUAAAUAAAUUGUAAAUUCCCAAAUACGGACUAAUGCAACUCGAAGUCAGCAGCAUCGGGAUUUAUCGUCGCUGUCUUGCAGUUUAGCUUCAAACUUUUCAUGCUGCCGUCUUAUCAUUCUUCUUCGAUUGAAGUUAGCUUUUAUCGUUCGUUUUUUCUCAUUGAAUGUUUUUCUUUUAUGGUUAUGUUCAAAGGAUUAGAUGGACGUAGUUACCGGCUUGUAAUCUUUGUGGUCGUAGGAUGGGGUAAACAUGCAUCUCGUCAUUCUCGGUUAUUGCACCAACAAUACCCCAUGGUUAUUACAUUACAUGGCUCCAGUGCCGCUUCCCCUUGUUUUCCAGACUAUAGGCGUUCAAUCUCAUAUGCCCUGUGGCAAACAUUUCAAUUGUAAUCGUGAAUAUGAAAUGUGAUAGCAUAACAUUCAUGCUUUUUUUUUUGUUAUUAAAUAAAGAAAAAAAGUGCUUAUAUUUCAGUUCAAAGGCUCACUAUGAACAUAAUAUCCGAACUCAAAAUCGUUGACAUAUAUACUUUUGCUGAAGAAUAUGUUAACGACUGCUGUACUGAAAAAUCCCUCAGGUCACAAAUGGCUAAUGUCGCUGGCCCAGCAAACCAAUAUUUGAUAUAUGGGCUUGGGUCGGAGUGGAGUCGGUGUUUGGUUUAACCAAGGAAAUGGCCAUGUGCAAAAUAGACCCUUUGGUAGGUGGUGGAGUAUAUCAUAUGCUCAUUUAUGGCAUGAUAUUGUAGAUAGGGGUGCACGCGAACCAAGCUACUCGCGAGUAGGCUCGAACUCGGUCAGAGUAGCUUGGUCAACGACUUGGCUCAAACUCGAGUUGACCGAGUUCGAGCCGAGUUUCGAGUAGCUCGAAUGAAAAUCGAGUCGAGUUUCGAGUCAAAAAUCCCCGACUCGAGGCUUGUCGAGCUACUCGUCGAGUCGGGAUUAUUUAAAUAAUAUAUUUAUAAUUUAAAUAAUAUAUAUGUAUUAUAAUUAUAAAAUGAUCAUUAUGUGUAUAAGUUAUAUGGAAUUUACAAAAUACCCUUCGUUAUUGAGCCUUAUCGAGUCGAGUUUCGAGCUACUCGCGAGUACAUCGAGUCGAGUUUCGAGUAUCAAUUUUUUUGACUCGAUCGAGCUCGAGCCUAGGGAUAUAUGAGUCGAGUCGAGCUCGAGUAUAGCACUACUCGAGCUCGACUCGGCUCGAUUACAUCUCUAAUUGUAGAUGAUGGGGUCUCCUCUUUUUUCUUUUUUCUUUUUAAAAAAAAAAAAUUUCUUAGUAUGAUUCAAUUUCUGGCAACCAAUUAAUUCUGGCAAAUUUAUACUGCCAUUAUAAUUCAAUUUUAGCACACGUUUUAUUUUGUUUGCUGGGUCUCUAUUGGUUCUCAAAAACCAGAAAGGAUUUAUUUGUGUCCUUAAUAAUUUCAUAUAUUUGCUUGUUUUAUGUGAUUUUUUUUUAUGGAGUGUUAUUGGCCACAUUUUUUUCUUCUCUUGAAAAGUAUCCUGCCGCAUUUAAUACUCAUUUCACUAUGAAGCAAAGUCAGUUACGAAACUGUUCCUAAUUUCUUCACACGUAGCUAAAUGAAAAUAAAAGAAAGGAAAAAAAAAAAAGAAAUAGUUGUGGACGCCUCAGCGUCCCAUACUGGUAAAGUCGGUGCCCCCGUUUACAAUUGCGGCCGCCCCCUCGUCGAGAUCAUCAACAGGCGACAAUGGAAUCCCCAAAGCUGCAAAGCAUCACACACAACAAGAUCAUAAGUUCGCAUUUAUUUGCAAUGGUUCACUGGACAAACUGACGGUUCUUUUUGCUGGUAUUAUGGUACUCCUCUGUCCCACCACUUUAAUAGUAUCGAUUUUCUUCUCACACAAUUAUAAGAAAUAUAGUUAAUUUUAUAUAAAAAGUAAAUCUAGCCAAGUAUUUUUUUAAAAAUACCUUAUAUUAAUACUAAAAGUAUCACUAAUCAUUAUACUUUUAUAUUGAUUACGAUAGGAAUACGAUGAUACAAUGCACCGUUCAAAACAUAUGUCCAAGCAAUUAUUGAUGAAAAAGAUAUUGAUUGUAUUAAAUAAGGUAAGCUAUAUUCAGUACUCAUAAUGAAAUAUAUUAAAUAAGGGUAUUUUAGACAAGAAGUUAAAAGUUAGAUAUAUUCUUCAAUUGGAAGUCAUAUUAUAAUUUGGGACGAAUGAAAAGAAAAACAAGACAUUCAAAAUAGGACAGAAGGAGUAAUUCGCAAUAAUGUAUCUUGACACUUACUAAUAAUUAUGGAGACCUCCUUUAUAACGUCUAAUAAUACUCAACCUUUCUCACGCGUUAAUAACGCUACUAGUAUUAAGAACUAUUCUGACUACUAAACAGAUUUUUGAAUAAUUUUGCAAAGACUUUUCUAGAGGCUAAUAAAAGAAAGAUAAUUGCAAGUAGAAAAUUUUUACUAAAAGUUCAACCUCACAAGCAACACCAAACAGGAUUUACGUUAACAUUUAUUAUUGCUGAUGGGCAUGUAGAAAGAUUGAUUUUUUCUCACAAACAAGGAAAAAUCGUCCAAAACGUCCCUCAUAUUUUAUAAAAUGACUUUUUUCGUCCCUCACUUUUAAAAGUGUAAUUUUAUGUCCCUUACAUAUUCACAUCGGUCAAAUUUAGUCCCUAACUAGGUUUUCGAUCAUUUUUUGGCCGGAAUCCAUCACGUGCAAGGCACGUGAUCAUUUUUUAAGGGUAAAUUUGUCAAAUUAUAUUUUACAUAAUCUAAUCUAUAGUCCUCCAUAUUUUAUAAAACAAAUUUUUCGUCCCUCACAUUUCAUAAAAUGGUUUUUUCAUCCCUCACAUUACACAAAAUGAAUUUCUCCAUCCCUCAAAUUUCAAAAAAUGAAUAUUUCCAUCCCUUACUAAUUAUGUGUGUAAGGGAAACCCUAAAAAAAAAAAUAUGUGUGUGAAUACAUUUUUAUUUAAACACAUGUAUAUAUCUAUUUGAUUUUGCUUAAUAAUACGAAUAGCAUAAAUAUAUGUAUGUGUCUAUUUGAUUUCACUUAACAAUAUGAAUACCAUAUAUUAUACGUGAUCAUUUGAUUUUAUCCGGUAUUAGCUAGUAACAAAUCUUGCAUUCAUUGUCAAGUUGGCCAAUAAAGCUAUUUUCGGUCAAAAUACAAUAAGAAUAUGCAAAUUAAGGUUCUAUUGGUAAAUAUUAGUCAUAAUCAUACAAAAAGAGAAGAUAGCUCACAAGUUUGGCCCAAUUACAUACAUGUGUUUAUGCUAUUAUUAUUAAGCAAAAUCAAAUAGACAUAUACACGUGUUUAAAAAAAAUGUAUUCACACACAUAAUUAGUGAGAAAUGAAAAAUUCAUUUUUUGAAAUGUGAGGGAUAGAGAAAUUCAUUUUGUGAAAUGUGAGGGAUGAAAAAAAAUUAUUUUAUAAAAUGUGAGGGACGAAAAAAUUUAUUUUAUAAAAUGUGGAGGACUAUAGAUCAAAUUAUGUAAAAUAUAAUUUGACAAAUUCACCCUUAAAAAAUGAUCACGUGCCUUGCACAUGAUGGAUUCCGGCCAAAAAAUAAUCGAAAACCUAGUUAAGGACUAAAUUUGACCGAUGUAAAUAUGUAAGGGACAUAAAAUUACACUUUUAAAAGUGAGAGACGAAAAAAGUUAUUUUACAAAAUGUAAGGGACGUUUUGGACGAUUUUCCCGCGAACAAAUAUGAAAGAAUACGGGAUCAUAACUUCAAUAGAUUCUUUCUUGCAAGUAAACUCAUGGGAAAUGCCGAGAAUGAGGUCAUUAUUGGCAUUCCAGAUUGAAGUUGUUCUUGUCAAAGUUUUUAAGAGCUUUCAAAGUCAUUAGUCAUGUUACCGAAGGGAAAUGUCGUGAUAAUUUCUUUUCCUGAGAUUGCAAGAAACGACCCCAUUAUCUUUUCUUGCGUGUUGUGGUCUGCAAUUAACCAAGUGGUGCAUGUUGCAGAGUGCAGACCUAAGAAUAAGUAGUAGUAUUCCUGCUGUCCUGCGUUGUUUUAAUCGCAUGUUCCAACACACAUGAAGCAGCGUGAUUAUGACUAGUUACCAAAGAAUUUGACAUGGUAAGCCACGCUUGAUACAUACUUAAUUUCAAGAUAUUAUAAGUGUUCGUUCUCUGCCAUGCAUACGAGAUUAUGACUCAAAAACUACGUAUUACAUUAAAAGUCUCUAUGUGGAUAUAUAAUUACAAUAUCUUGGAGUCACCCCUUAUUAUAGAAGUGAAUCAGCUACAAGUAAUUGACAUGAAGACAAAAAAGUGAAAAACAAAAAAUGUGGGCACACUGUAUCUUGCCAAUUUUACGAGUAAUUAAAAGUGACGAGAAAAUAUCCCUCAACCCCUCAUCUUUUCCAACUUCUCUCUACCGCUCAUUUUCUCUGAAUCUCUUCCUCUUCGGGAGGGAGGCCACAAUAGGUUUCAUUUUUAUUAUUUUCCAAAUAAAGUCUCUCCUAAAGUUUUGUAGUGGAAGAUCUCUGUUUCUCCUGAGGAGUUCCUAGUGAGAUUUUGUGUUAUUUUUCCUUGUUUUGCUGUUUCAAUUUGAAUUUUACUUCAGAUCUGAAUUUCAUUUCAGAUUUGAGUCUAUGUCGGUAGAUCUCGUCAUCUUUAUUGGAGUUUAAAACUGUUAAUUAAUAGAUUGGACAAUUGCAACGUGCACAGCGUGGGCUAUAGUGAUUUAUUCUAUGAGGAGAUGAUUUUAGAUCGAUGGUACUUUUUAGAUCUGUUCUUAAUUUUUUUGGUCUUUUGUACGUGCUAAAUUACAGAUCUACAAUUUUAGUGCGUAUUUUAUCUGUCAUUAGGACAGCUAUGUAUAUCAAUUGUGCUGAACGAUUUCCAACAAUCAAUUAAUGAAAUAUAUUUUGUUAUAAAACCAAGUGACAGAGAAAAUUAAAAGGUUUCCAUCUAUGAUACUAACCUGAAGUACACUACUAUGUUCGCAAGAAUCAUCGGUAGGGAUGACAAAAGGCGAAUCCAAUAUUAAAAGCAUGGCAUCCAUCCCUGAUUCCUCCAGCAGAUAUUAUCUGUAAACUUCUAUUUCGGCUGGCUUGGAAUGAUUCCACCAUUUUUUUUUUAUGCGAUUCAAUGUAUUCCCGUGGCAUUAGACAGCAGAAUGAGAGGAGGAUACUUCUGCACAUUGCAUGAACUAGUAGCUAAUUUGGAAUCAAAUUCAAAUUGGUCCAGAAACAACAAAAUUCCUAGAAUUUCCAGAAUAAAAUACCUCGAUCCUUCAUUGCUGCAAUUGUUAAGGAUAACCUACCUUUUUGGCUGCACUUUUUUUUUUGGGGGUACGAAAAAAAUUUAGGUGGAUUGGAUAGGAAAAAUUUUGGCUGCACCAUUGUGCUAAAAUAGUCUUGGUAUACUUUUACUGUACAUUGUAUAUGGUAUUUAUGCUAAACCAUUUCGUACUUAAAAAAACCUACUAGGUUUGGCAUGAAAUAACGAGAAAAUUCUUACCAAAAAGAAAAAAAAAAAACGUAAUAACAAGAACAUAUUGAAACGUAAUCCACUCAUUUCAAAAGAGUUUGGCCAAUUCAUUUUCUAAAUGUACAAAAUACCCUCUUUUUAAUUUUCUUUUGCCAUGAAAAGGCAGCCGCUGCUGUCUUCCUUCAGUACAUAGAUAAUUUCAAGGGACCCCUCUUACAAAAUCCCUACAUCCAAAAACGGGAAAAAAAAAAAGGAAGAAAAACAUGAACUAAUCCAAAAUGAAAUUUUUUUCUUUUUUCUUUCUUUUCUUUUGGAUAACGCUAGUGUGUUUGGAUAGAAUAUUAUUUGAAAUAAUUAUUAUAAUACUUUUUAUAAUAUAAUAUAUAUAAAAUAAAAAAAUAAUUAAAAAUAUAAAAAAUAUAUUUAUAAUACAAACUAUAUAUAUUUAUUAUUUUGUAAAUUUGAGCCAUCCAAAUUUGCACUCUCCACCAACAGUCAUGCAAAGGCACCAAGAUUGCCUCUACUUCAAUAGCUUGAUGCUGGGAUGGCAGAAGAUUCCACAUGUCCACCUUCUAUUCAUAAAUGCAAUAAAAAAUCAAAGAUUGGGCGUUGCAUAAGAGUUAUUGAUGCGAGUGAUAGCACAAUAGGAUACCGCCAGAAAACGCCGGUCUUCGUCCUCGCGAAAGUGACACUGUCCACCCUUCUUUGUGCAAUGCGUCCAUCUGUAUGAACCCGCGUUCUCCAGCCGGUUUUUCAAAUUGACAAAAAUAUCCUCGCAGUGUUAAAGCUUGGAGAUUCUAUGCUUAGUAAAGAAAAAAAAUAGACAAUUUAGGAGUUUUCUUUCUUUCUUUUUUUAAAAAAAGUACUGAUGUAUAUGAACAAAAAAUAAUUAAAAAAUAUAUUUACAAUAAACAUAAAAUUUUUUCUGCAAAAAAUCAUAAUUCAAACAAGAUUAACUUAUUAUGACUGUCAUCGUAUUUUUAUUCUUUUGUAAAUAGAGAACUUGGCCGGUUAAUAAGUCUUCUUCUUCUUUUAUUUUUAAAUUCCUCUUUUGCUCUAUAUUAUUAUUAUUAUAUUUUUUUACGAAGCACAAAUCAUUCUAAUAAUAUUCAAAAGGUAAUUGAUGAUUUUUAUGCUUAUUAAAAACGAUUUACCGUCACCAUAACAUCCAUAAGUUUCUUUUUUUAAGUAAUCUGGCUAUAUAACCUUUUCCUUUUUGUGUUAAAAGAGGGUAGCUUACUUGUGGUACUUCAACUCCUUUAGAGUUUAUUCUAUUCUCUUUUGAUGAGGAUGGGGAAGCAGAAAAGAAAGAAAGAAAGAAGGCCACGAUUGAGAGGAAAAAUAAAUUCACAAUGAGCUUUGACCACUAAUUAAUUAUGGGAAAAAAAAAUUAGACCCUUCAUCUCUAACUUCUUACUAUAUCCUUCUUUGUCUUUUCAUUGCCUCGACUCCUAAAGUAAAGAUCCAAAACCUCCAAACCAAACAUUUAUGUGCUACUACUGGAAACCAGAGCAAAAUCGUCAAAUAAAGCUUAACAAGAAUUGACCAGACGCUGCAGCAAUAGUUUUGGUUCCCAAUGCUUUAAUAGCUAGCUGUUGGAGAAUUCCCCCAGUCCCCGCUUUGUUGUCCAUGUUCGUCUUUUUCUACUUGUCUCUCUUCCCUCCCCCAGAUUCACCUCAUUUUUCUCCUCCUCCUCCGCCUUUCCUUUUCUUCAAACUCUCUCUCGUCGAUUCUCUACGCUCCCCAAAACAGUACAAAAAACCGUUCUCCAAUCUCACUCCCACUCCCACCAACCCAUUCAUUUCUUCCUCUUCAAAGUUCAACCAAUCAGUGAAAUAACUCGAUGUUUUUUUGAUCAAAAUAAUCAAAUCUCAGGUCCAAAAAGUAGCCUUUCUUUGCUUCAAUGCUUGGUCUCUUCUGAUGCUAGCCCACGAGUCUUCCUUGAAGGUACGUUGUUUUUUACACUUAUCAUCCCCCGUAAACUUCCAUUAAAGCCCGUAUCUUUUCGCUCCUUUAUUGCUCUCUCUGCAUUCCUUAGCUGGAUGUAUUAAUUCUGUAACCGCCAUUUAGUCAUUUAAUUCCAGAAAAUGACAAAAAGGUCAGUUUUUCUUUUUGUUUUUUUUUUGGGUCUGUGCAGGUCCCAAAUUUAGCUUCUUUUCUUGAUUGUCUUUCUGUUCAGGCACUACUAGUCUUUCUUUUAUACGUCCUUCUAUGAGUUUCAUUCAAGUAUUAAGCUAAGCUUGUUUAUCGGGUUCGUAUAGGGAGUAAUCAGAAGGCGAUUAUUGUGUUUUCUGGAUUCUUGAGACCUCGGAAGAUGAGAUUUAGCCUGGGAUGAAGAGGAAGUGAAGGUUUCCGGUGCUGACCACUAAAAUAUUCAUCAAGGUGUGUUUUUCUGAAGGCCCAAUAAAAAAAAUAUUUUUUUUUGGGGCUCUGAUUAUUUCUACUCAAAUGUUAAGUUUGUCUGAACGCGUCUGUAGAUAUUCGUAAACUUUGUGCUCAAUGCUCUGCACGAGUCUUUGUCUUAAUUUGUAUAGUUAACUUAACUCUUCCCUGUUAACGACCCCACCGUCACUAAGAGUGGAGUUUAGGGGGUCACGUGUUUUGCACGUGAGCGAGCUUUAUGGUUCUCAAUCCCCCCCCCCUCCCGGGCCUUAUUGUGGGGUCCACAGCGUCCAGGCGAAAUUGUCCUUGCGGGAUUUUUUUUCUUAUAAUGUUUUUCUCCCGUUGAUUAUUAUUACCAGUAACUUUUUUCCGGUUGGCUCAAAUCUUGAGAAAAGGUAAAGGUUGGGGGGAUCUUCAGGGCCGUUGGAUGGUGAAGUGAAUUUAGUGACAAAAGAUUUGCUGCAGUGAAAUGAUAAAUGGGAAGGGCCCACGUGAUCUUCUUGCAGCAGCAGCAGUAGGAGGAGGAGGAGUAGGGUGACGUGUGAGAGAUGAGGGUAACAGGUCAGAUUUCGUUUGUGGAUGGGUGUUGACACCUGUACGUGACUAAUGCUGAGUAGGAUUUCUUCACCUUUUUAUGGGUUAAAUAAAAUAAAAAGUUAUUGGACCCAAUGCCAUCGAAUGGUCAGUAAAGUGUGUUUCUUUGGCUUUGUUUGUACACCCCUUUUCUAGUCUUGCAAACCAUUGCAAAGUGUGUUUGUUACUGUUUAAGUAGCAUGGUGCUGUUAUCGUAUGCAUCGUGGUGGCAGCUUUUUAAUCUGCAAUAAUGAAAUCAAGAAAGUUAUAGUAGUAAGUUGAUGCAUUGGCUUUUCCAUGAAAUCUUUUUUUUUUUUUUGGGGGGGGGGGGGGGGGGGUUGUAAAUUUCUGCUUGCUGCUUUUAUCAGUUAAAUGGGCACUAAGCUUAAUUUAAGUUGAUAAGCCUUAAGUAAUUUACUGCUAAAAAGAUCAAGGCGGAUACUUCAGGCAAGUUGCACUGUUAUGGAUUAUACGUUGUUGUAACUACAUACAGAUUUCUUAGUUGUUAGGCAACUGCAGUCCAAACCUGGUAUUAACUUCCCCUAGUCAUGAUUCUGAGUGGGGGUUGGGGGAGGGGGAUGGGGAGAAGGAAAGUUCAGUCUUCAAAAUGUCUUUAUAUGGCAAGAUUUUAGCUGGCUGAAGCAGGGAAAACUAAUUCUCCCUGGAUGUGUUAGGUAGGUUGAAGACUGAAGAUAUUCUUUAUGCAGAAUAGGAACCUAAAGUACUAUAAGUAUCUCGUCAAAGCUUGCUGUGUUAUAAAAUAUUUGGCAACUGAUUCUCGUUGCUGAGUUUCAACCUUUUGCAGCAAGGUGUCUUUUUGUGGUGUGUUGAUGUGGGGGGGGGGGGAUGGAUGAUCUUUUUUAAUCACGUAAUUAUGUUCAACGGUUAUAUGUAAUACUUUUCUGAUAUUAGCAUUUUUUUUCAGUUUGUUGAAUGUAUUUUGAUUCUCAAUGUUCUCUUCUUUGUAAGGCUCUUUAUUCUUUGGCUGUUUCUGCAGCAAUAUACCUUGAUGGGGCAUCUCACCAGACCCCUGCAGCUUAGGAAUUAUAAAAAAGUUUGAACUCUGAGCCGUUGGAUGCUUCCUUUAAGCGCGUUUCAGAAUAUUAGUUUAUUCACCUUAUUGUGAUUCCUCUGCUGCUACUGUUCGUACUUUUUUUACCCCACCUUUAGAUCCACUUUUUGAUUAUGUCGAAAGAAUGAAAAUCAGAAGCACUCAAAUGCAAAACAAAAAGAAAUUCCUUGUUCUUUAAAGGUCUCGGUUCAAGAGCUAAAGCUCGAUGCUUUUUUCCUUUGUUGAAACAAGCUCAUCAUUGUUACACUAGUUAUCAUCGUGAUCAUAUUCUUAUUCUCCCUUUAUCUGUAUAUAUAAAUCUUGACAUGGUUGCCUGAACUCUUCAUUUACAUAAUAGCAUAUCUUUGUAUCAUUGUCAUUAUAAUUUGCAACUCUUUUCCAGAUGGAUUCGGUGGACAGGUCUGCAGUUACCCCAAAUAAGAGCAAGAGUAGAUUGGCGCGCACGUUUGCUAAGGUUUUGCACAUUCGAGCAGUAACUGGGAUAGCUCCAGAUGAUGGAAUCCAGAAGAUUAAUUCCCCUGAAAAUGUUAAGAGUAAUUUGGUAAAGAACAAAAGCCAUUUGCAGCCAUUUGAUGAUGAGGAUGAGAAGCUAUGCAGUAGAGCGGCUACAGAGGCAUUUGUAGCCAAGCUUUUUGCCAGUGUCUCAUCUGUUAAAGCAGCGUACGCCCAGCUUCAAUAUGCUCAGUCUCCUUACGAUCCUGAUGGAAUUCAGACAGCAGAUGAGAUGGUGGUAUCAGAGUUGAAGAAUGUGUCAGAACUGAAGCAAUGUUACUUGAAGAAGCAAAUCGAUGAAUCUUCCCCUGAAACCACUCAGAUCUUGGCCGAAAUUCAGGAGCAGAAGAGCUUGCUGAAAACAUACGAAAUAAUGGGAAAGAAACUAGAUUCGCAGCUCAAACUGAAGGACUCCGAGCUCACAUUUCUCAGAGAGAAACUGGAGGAAGCCAAUAAAGAGAACAAGUUGCUAGAGAAGAGAUUGAAUUCAAGCGGGCAGUUAUCAUCAGCUCUUGAUAACGUUCACUUGUCAAGCUUAAGCCCCAGUCACUUUAUUACAUUUGUUCGGCAGACAAUUAAGUCUAUUCGGAGCUUUGUUCGGUUGCUCAUCAGUGAGAUGGAAUCUGCAGAGUGGGAUCUAGAUGCUGCUGCCAGUUCAAUUGAGCCUGGCGUUGCCUUUUGGAAAAACAGCCAUAAAUGCUAUGCAUUCGAGUCAUUUGUCUGCCGAGAAAUGUUUGAUGGUUUCAAUCAGCCCGACUACUCAAUUUCAAAGGAAUCUUUGCCUGAGCAGAAGAAACGGCGACGGGUAUUCUUUGAAGGAUUCAGGGAAUUGAAGUCUGUGAAACCAAUGGAUUACCUAGCUUGGAAGCCUAAAUCCGCAUUUGCAAAGUUCUGUCGCGCUAAAUACUUGACACUGAUUCAUCCCAAGAUGGAAACAUCUCUUUUCGGCAAUUUGGACCAGAGAAAUUUAGCGAAUGCAGGGGAAUACCCAGAGACAACGUUUUUUGCUGCGUUUGCAGAGAUGGCGAAGCGCAUUUGGCUACUACAUUGCCUUGCCUUAUCUUUCAAACCGGAAGCCUCAAUCUUUCAAGUGAACAAGAGGAGUAGAUUCUCAGAAGUUUACAUGGAAAGCGUGAGCGAGGAAGCAUUCCUGUCAUCUGAUGGUUCGCCGGAAUCCGAGCCUCGGGUGGCUUUUACCGUAUUUCCAGGGUUUAGGAUAGGCAAAACUGCUGUUCAGUGUCAGGUUUAUCUUUGCUAGUAGAUAUGCAUGGAUGGGGAUCAAGGCAUUUACGCGCCAUCUUGGUCGACCCCAUUAGCGUCAAAAGCCUGAUCUGGAGGCCACCGGCUUCAAUAUUUUUUAUUUUGCACUGUUAGAUUUUGUAGAUUUGACAGGGCCAUGGCUGGUUAUGGGUUCUUUUUGUCCCCCCCUUUAAUCUGGAAAGGAAAGCGCGUUGACUGUUUGGUAUGGGACCAAAGUUGGUGAAUCUUCGCUCUGUUUUGGUAAUAUAAUACUAUGAUAUAUGUUCCUAAGCUUGCUCAUGUCAAGAAUUAGCUGUAUGCUAUUAUAUUAUAGUAUUCCUCUACUUAGGACUCUGUCUGCUUUAUUUGUCGGUACAAUGAAUUGGCCAAAGGACCGGACAAUCAGAGAAACUCCAAUUUACCCGACAAUUGACAAUCAUCCUAUUUGACCAACAAAUUAGUGAUACGCCAAUUAAAUUCCUGAGCGAGCUUGGCUCAAGUUUUCAACGGAUUCUUCUUCUUGCUCCCCAGUCCACGGCCAGCGGUGAAUUACUGGAUUUUUCUUACGGGUUAUGGGGUGCCCAAUCUGUUUAUUCUCAGCCCGUUUCAAGUUGUGAUUCCCACGAGACACCCCCAAUGGGGGAAAAAGGGAAAAGAAAGAAAGGCCCAUCCAACUUUACUCGAUUAACAGAUUACCUUUUAGAUUGGGUUAAAAUUAUGUUAUAAGUGAUAAUCCUAAUUCAAAUAUCUUUGAGGUCAUGCCCUUGAAGGAUUUGACUACCAAAUUGAAGGAUUUCAAAUUCAACCAAAAAAAGACCUCAACGAAAUGGUUUAUAGAAUCAUAUGCAUUGAAUCCGCGAAAGCCUCAAUUUCUUUUCUCAUACACCAGUAUAACAUUGGCCAUGGUUUAAGAAGCAUUUAAGGAGCUAAAGAAAGCAUUUGCCUCGGAAUUCAUGCUUAUAAUGCAAAAUACUGAAAUAGCACUUAUCAGUAAUGCGUCUCUUUUUUGGUUGGUUUUCUCAAAUGAAAACUAGUACGUGUAGCAUUUUUCUGAAGCAUAUUAGAGCAAAGAAGAUCUUUGAUUUGUGGGUUCGGUUUUUUAGAACACAAUCAAGAAUGAGUAAUACGUCUAAAGACGUAGAUAUAAAAUUUUACGUAUAAAAUCUAAUGAGUAAUACGUAUAAAAUUCCUUUUCUACAUAUGUUUCUUCGAAAUUUUUUAGUUCAAGAAUGAAAAAAUUGCAUCUUGUACAAACAUCAUUCAAACUCCUCAUUUUUUUUUGGAGUUGAGUUUGGAGAACUCUAACUCGAACUUGAACUUGGAGAUAAUGGUGGGUUGGUUGUUGAUGUUGAAUCAUCACUAUUUUCUUUUUCAUUUGUUGAAUUUUCUUCUUUUUCAUGAUGCCAAACAAACUGCUUCACAAUCUUUUUCACAUUCCAAUUCCAGACAGCAUUUUCAUCAAAUACAACAUCUCGACUAUUAAUGAUUUUUUCGUCUUCAAAUUAAACAAUCUAUAACCUUUAGACUUGGAACUAUAACCAACAAAAAAAUAUUUUUUUACUUAUUUUAUCAAAUUUGUACCUCUUUUCUUUUGAAAUUUGAGCAUAGCAAAUGUUCCCAAAAACCUUCAAGUGUUUCAUCAAUAGUUUCUUUUCACUCCAUGCUUCAAUUGGAGUUUAAUUCCACAUGGCUUUUGUAGGAUUUCGAUUGAACAAAUAUACAACUGUAUAAAUGGUUUCAACCCAAAAUUUCUUUGGCAAAUCUUUGUCAUGGAACAUAAAUUUUGCCAUCUUGUAUAGUUGAAAAUCUCUUAAAUUUUUUUAAUUUUAGGACAUGAACUAAGUCAGUGAAACUUUAAUUCUGACACCAAUUUUGUAGGAUAUUAGCUUUGAUACCAAUUUUAUUGAUAUGUGGAGGAAUAUUCCUCAAGAUGACUUGUUAUCAGAUUUCCCCACCUAUUCUUUCUUAGGAUAGUUUCCAGCUAUAACAGGAAGUGCCACGGGCUUCCCUUAGCAUAUUUUACAUAUUUUGUUGCAACGAUUGCCUGGAUAUAUAAAUAUAAAAAGAGUUGGAUUAGCUCCUUUAAUUAAUUUAUGCAAAUAUUUUGUUGCAAUAAUUACGUGGAUAUAUAAAUAUAGGAAUAAUUGCAGAAACCUCUCCUGAAAUUUUUGACAAUUGCACUCACCUCUUCUGAGAUUUGAAAAAUAGUACUAACCUCCCCUAAAUUUAAGAUUUUGAUAGCAAGUUCAACCCAUGUUAGAGAAAAUGUUAUAAAAAGUCUUUUUGGAAGUGAGAUAAUACUGUUGUUUCAUUUGUACCCUUUUUGCCUCUUGUGAGGUAGUAUUAGUAAAAUAAUGAAAAAAUAUUAAGAGAUAAAAACAAUUAGUGAAACUCAGAGGAUAUAUGUGCCAAGAGAACAAGGGCAGUAGUAAAAUUUGGAAUAAACAACAAACAUGUGUUCAGAAAUAUGAGGUUCUAAAGCAUAUAAAGAGACUGUUUAUCAAGUAAGAAAAUUUACGUUUGAUCAAUACAAGAAAGUUUCUUAAUAUAUCGAUCUCAUACUAUGUACCAUAAUUCAUACACAGUUAUAUUCUCUCAUGAUCGACACAACAAUUUUAUCAUAUUAUAACUAAUAUCACAACUUUGUAUAUUAAGUUGAGAUGAUAAAGGAUUGCUUAACUAUCAUCUUUUAAUUGUCACAGAUUUUUAAUAAAAAAAUUCUUAGAUUUUGUAUUGAUUUUUGCUUUCUUUCUCCUUUUGUUUCAUGAAUGCAUAAGAUGAAAUAAAUUUAACCAAAACUACCAAAACUUAUUUUUUUAUGGAGCCUUAUCUGGAGAUUUCUUUCUCCUACAUUUUCUUGUUUCUGUUUCUCUUCUAUGUAGAAAAUAUAUGAUUUGCAUUGUCCUCUCAAGUGUUGUCAAUUACAAAAUGGUACCAUGAUGGAGCAUCAAAAUGACACCAUUUUGUAAGUGCACUUACAUUGUCUAAUAAAGUAAAAAAUAAUCAUUAAUCUUGUUUAACUAGUUAUUUUGAACUUGUUUAUUGUCUUAAUUUUUUUUGCCCCAAAUUUAUUUACUAACAACCUUAAACUCUUAAGGUAUAAAUGUAAAUUCAUCCUAUCUUAUGUCAUCUAUAGACCCCAAAUUCAUAUUAGGGGAGGUUAGUGCUUUUUUUCAAAUCUCAAGAGAAGUAAGUGCAACUAUCAAAAAGGUCAAUGGAGGUUUCUGCAAUUAUCCCAUGAUUAUAAAAAGAGUUGGGUUAGAUCAUUUAGUUAAUUUAUAUUUCAUAGCAUCCUAUAUCAUAUAAAGAGAUGGAUCCUGGACACAUCCCACAACCAGAAUAGAACAUUCCAAUCUCACAACCAGAAUAGAACAUUCCAGUUACAGUGAUGACAACUGAGGGGCAAGAGAUAACGUUUCACUUGAACUUGUUCAACUUUGCUGGAGUUGAAUAUUUCUUGUUAUGGCAGAAUGUUUCUUGAACACGAGAGCCUAUUGUACUGUGAAUGCCACUAUGAUGUCUACUUACCAUUUCAUAGCAAAUCGUGUCAAUAUCUCUGGAGAAUGCACUGGUGAGAUGCAUCUAAUAAAUCAAACCAUUGGUAAUGCUCAAGAGUCACAUGUAAUGUACGGAGCCAUCAUUCGUUGGAGGAAUGAGGCUUUUAUUUGGUUAAUGUUCGAGACAGCUAAUUGGUUCAUUAUGCUUGCUCAUGCCAAUUAUGUUUACAUUCAACCUUCUCUUCUAAGUCCUAUGCUGCCAUAUAAUAUGUCAUGUGAAACGAGCAAUAUGGAGACUCUUCAUACUUUUGUUUGAUUGUAUUUAUCUUGCCAAUUGAAGCGUAAAACAUGUAAGUUAGUGAUUGUCACCAGUUUCUAUUUAAUGAUGCACCUACCAACAUGACUCAUUUUCACUUGAAUUUCUGCAACUUCCACAAAAUUAUUUUUUUUAAAAAAGCAACCAAAAAACCGAUACCGUCGCAUUACAAUGAUAAAAAUAUAUUUUUCCGUAAUAUAUCAUGAUGAUAUUAAGAAAUUAAGAUGAAAAUCAAAUAAGAGAAUGCGAAUAUUGAAGCGUGCACUUGUGUACACCGAUGUCUUUUUAUUUCAAAGUCUCCAUACUACUAGCGUUUGUUUUUCUUUUGCCUUUUGACUAGUGUAAGGCCUUCAUUUAUAUUCUAAAAUACUCAUAAGACCUUUAUUUAUAUUCUAAAAUACUCCAUAUGGAGCUAAGUACUAUAUUUUUCAAAAAAAUUAAGAUUCAAUUGAGUACAUAGAAAAAGAAAAGUAGAAUUGAUAAGAAAUUAAGAAUGGACCAGGAAAGAACUAAUAGUGAGUUAAGAAAGUGGGCCAAGAAAGGACGUAGACCGAAAAAAAAACUCCUUUCUUUAUUCAGUAUUAUGCGAGUUUAAUGAGUUUCAUAGAAUAUUUAGAUUUUUUUGAAAACAUUUUAUAGCUUUGCUCUAAACCAAAGGUAGGGAAACCUUAAAGAGUUCCUCAAUUUAUUAGCAAGUUUCAACAAAUCAUUAAGAGGAUCACCUAUUCAUCGUAGCCAAAUUUAUUUUUAAAAAUGAAGGCUCCAAAUGUUUGAGAGUUAAGAGGCAUCCAAAAUGUAUUUAGAAAACUAGGCUCUGAAAAUUUAAUUAGAAAACUCACAAAUCACAAUCUUCAGGAAUUUUAAGACAAGUUUGGGAGACAUCUACAUGGACCACACUCUUAACAAUUUUCCUAUGCCAACUCAAUGCUUAGUAGGCUUUUUCCAAGCUUAACAUGAUCGUUAGGCUUGCCAUCGGUGUCUAUAGUAUAUAUAUAUAUAUAUAUAUCCGUCCCCGUGUGGCUCUAGAACAUUGCGAUUAUCUUCUUGGUCAGUUUGAGGGACAAUUGCAGCAUGGCAGAUUUGACCUUGACGGAUUGGAGAUAUGGGUGCUGGAAGAUUACCGAAGAUCUGCGUGGAUCCUAAAGCAUCGUAUGAGUUUCACAGAAAUUAAUCGAUUGGCUUAGCUUACGCCUAAUGAAUCAAACCAUUAGUGAUGUUCAAGAGUCACAUGUAAUGUACAGAACCAUCAUUAUUUGGAAAAAUGAGGCCUUUAUUUGGUCAAUGUUUGAGAGAGCUGAUUGGUUCAUUAUUCUUGCUCAUACCAAUUAUGUAUACAUUCAACCUGCUCCUCAAACUCCUACGCUUCCUGCUCCUGUUACUCCUCCUCUUAUAAUUCCUAUACCUGACCUCUUGUUAGGAGCAGGAGGGGUGAUGCCAAUCAUGUUUACAUUCAACCUGCUUAUCCAACUCUUGGAGAAUUUUAAACCAUCAUAUCUACAUUUUUAGCAAAUUAUAUCAAUACACUCUCAACAAAUCAUUUCAAUUUUACUGGAGAAUGCACCGGUGAAUCACGCCUAAUGAACCAAAUCAUUGGCGAUGUUGAAGAGUCACAUGUAAUGUACAGAUUCAUCAUUCGUUCAAAAUAUAAGGCCUUUAUUUGGUUAAUGUUUGAGAGAGCUGAUUGGUUCAUUAUGCUUGCUCAUGCCAAUUAUGUCUACAUUAAACCUGUUUCUCCAACUCCUAUGCUUCUUGCUCCUGCUGCUCCUCAUUCUAUGAUUCCUGUACCUGGCCUUCUGCUAGGAGCAGGAGAAGUUGAUGCUAAUCAUGUCUAUAUUCAACUUGUUCUUCCAACUCUUGGAUAAUUUCAAAUCAUCAUGUCUACAUUCUUAGCAAAUCAUGCCAAUUUCACUGAAGACUGCACCGGUGAGUCACACUAAUAAAUCAAAUCAUUGGUGACGUACAAGAGUCACAUGUAAUGUACAGAACCAUCAUUCAUUGGAGAAAUGAUGUCUUUAUUUGGUCAAUAUUUGAUAAAGAUGAUUGGUUCAUAAUGCUUGCUCAUGCCAAUCAUGUUAACAUUCAACCUGCUCCUCCAACUCCUAUGCUUCCUACUCCUGCUGCUACUCCUCCUAUAAUUCCUGUACCUAGCCACUUGUUAGGAGCAGGAGGGGUUGAUGCCAAUCAUGUCUUCAUUCAACCCCCUCCUACAAUUCUUGGAGAAUUUCAAACCAUCAUGUCUACAUUUUUAUCAAAUCAUGUCAAUUUCAUUGAAGAAUGCACCGGUGAGUCGUACAUAAUGAAUAAAAUCAUUAGUGAUAUGCAAGAGUCACAUGUAAUGUACAGAGCCAUCAUUCGUUGGAGAAAUGAGACCUUUAUUCAGUCAAUAUUUGAGAGAGUUGAUUGGUUCAUUAUCCUUGCUCAUGCUAAUUAUGUCUAUAUUCAACUUGCUUCUUCAACUUCAAUGCUUCAUGCUCCUGCUGCUCCUCCUCCUAUGAUUCCUAUAUUUGAUCUCCUGUUAGUAGUAGGAGGGGCUGAUGCCAAUCAUAUAUACAUUGAACCUGCUUCUCCAAAUCUUGGAGAAUUUCAAACCAUCAUUUCUACAUUCUUAGCAAAUCAUGUCAAUUUCACUAAAGAAUGCACCAGUGAGUCACACCUAAUGAAUCAAACCAUUGGUGAUGUUCAAGAUUUACAUGUAAUGUACAGAGCCAUCAUUCGUUGGAGAAAUGAGACCUUUAUUUGGUUAAUGUUUGAGAGAGUUGAUUGGUUCAUUAUGCUUGCUCAUGCCAAUCAUAUCUACAUGCAACCUGCUCUUCCAACUUCUAUGCUUCCUUCUCCUACUGCUCCUCUUCCUAUGAUUCAUGUACCUGGUCUCCUGUUAGGAGUAGGAGAGGCUGAUGCCAAUCAUGUAUAUAUUCAACAUGCUCUUCCAACUGCUAGAGAAUUUCAAACUAUCAUGUCUACAUUUUUUGCAAAUCAUGUCAAUUUUGCUUGAGAAUGUACCGUUGAGUCACACCUAAUGAAUCAAAUCAUUGGUGAUGCUCAAGAGUCACAUGUAAUGUAUAGAACCAUCAUUCGUUGGAGAAAUGAGGUCUUUAUUUGGUCAAUAUUUGAGAAAGAUGAUUGGUUCAUAAUGCUUGCUCAUGCCAAUCAUGUCUACAUUCAAUCUGCUCCUCCAAUUUCUACUCCUGCUGCUACUCCUCAUACGAUUUCUGUACCUAACCUCCUGUUAGGAGCAGGAAGGGUUGAUGCCAAUCAUGUCUACAUUCAAACUGCUCCUUCAAUUCAUGGAGAAUUUCAAACCAUCAUGUUUACAUUCUUAGUAAAUCAUAUCAAUACAUUCUUAGCAAAUCAUUUCAAUUUCACUAGAGAAUGCACUGCUAAGUCUCGCCUAAUGAAUCAAACCAUUGAUGAUGUUCAAGAGUCAUAUGUAAUGUACAGAGCCAUCGUUCGUUGGAAAAAUAAGGCAUUUAUUUGGUCAAUAUUUGAGAUAACUGAUUGGUUCAUUGUGCUCGUUCUUGACACUUAUGUCUACAUUCAACAUGCUCCUCCAACUCCUAUGCUUCCUGCUCCUGCAGCUCAAUCUCCUAUGAUUCCUGUAUCCUAAUAGGGGUGAUGUUAUUCAUGUCUACAUUUAACUUGCUCCUCCAACUCUUGAAAAAUUUUAAACCAUCAUGUUUAAUUUUUAGCAAAUCAUGUCAAUUUCACUGAAGAACUCAUCGGUGAGUCACACUAAUGAAUCAAAUCAGUAGUGACGUACAAGAGUCACAUGUAAUGUACAGAACCAUCAUUCAUUGGAGAAAUGAGCCCUUUAUUUGGUCAAUAUUUGAGAGAGUUGAUUGGUUCAUUAUGCUUGCUCAUGCCAAUCAUAUCUACAUUCAAUCUGCUCCUCCAACUUUAUGCUUUCUACUCUUGUUGCUCCUUUUCCUAUUAGGAGUAGGAAGGGUUGAUGCCAAUCAUGUCUACAUUCAACCUGUUUCUCCAACUCUUAUGCUUCCUACUCCUGCUGCUCUUCCUCCUAUGAUUCCUAUACCGGGCCUCCUGUUAGGAGUAGGAGGGACUGAUGCCAAUCAUUUCUACAUUGAAACUGCUUCUUCAACUUUUGGAGAAUUUCAAACCAUCAAGUCUACAUUCUUAGCAAAUCAUGUCAAUUUCACUGAAUAAUGCAUCGAUGAGUCACACCUAAUGAAUCAAAUCAUUGGUGAUAUUCAAGAGUCACGUGUAAUGUAUAGAGCCAUUAUUCAUUAGAGAAAUGAGACCUUUAUUUGGUCAACAUUUAAGAGAGCUAAUUGGUUCAUUAUACUUGCUCAUGCCAAUCAUGUUUACAUUCAACGUGCUCCUCCAACUCCUAUGUUUCCGGCUCCUGCUGCUCCCCCUCCUAUGAUUCCUGUACCUGGCCUCCUGGUAGAAGCAGUAGGAACUGGUGCCAAUCAUAUCAACAUUCAACCUGCUCCUUUAAUUUCUGAAGAAUUUCAAACCACCAUAUCUAAAUUCUUAGCAAAUCAUGUCAAUUUCACUGGAGAAUGCACCGAUGAGUCAUACCUAAUGAAUCAAACUAUUGGUGAUGUUCAAGAGUCACAUGUAAUGUACAGAACCAUCAUUUGUUGAAAAAAAUGAGGUCUUUAUAGGUCAAUAUUUGAGAGAGGUGAUUGGUUCAUUAUACUUGCACAUACCAAUAACGUCUACAUUCAACAUGCUUCUCUAAAUCCUAUGCAUUCAGCUCCUGCUGCUCCUCCACCUACGAUUCCUAUACCUGACCUCUUAUUAGGAGUAUGAGGGGCUGAUACCAAUCAUGUCUACGUUGAACAUGCUUCUCCAACUCCUGAAAAAUUUCAAAUCAUCAUGUCUACAUUCUUAGCAAAUCAUAUCAAUACAUUCUAAGCAAAUCAUUUCAAUUUCACUGGCGAAUGCACCGGUGAGUUAUGCCUAAUGAAUCAAAACAUUGGUGAUGUUCAAGAGUCACAUGUAAUGUAUAGAGCCAUCAUUCGUCUGAGAAAUGAGACCUUUAUUUGGCCAAUGUUAGAGAGGGUUGAUUGGUUCAUUAUGCUUGCUCAUGCCAAUCAUAUUUACAUUCAACAUGCUCCUUCAACUCUUAUGCUUCCUACUCCUGUUGCUCUUUCUCCUAUGAAUCCUGUACCCACCCUCCUGUUAGGAGCAGGAAGGGUUGAUGCCGAUCAUGUCUACAUUCAACCUGAUUCUCCAACUCUACUGCUUCCUGCUCCUGCUGCACCUUCUCCUAUGAUUCUUGGACCUGACCUCCUGUUAGGAGCAGGAGGAACUGAUGCCAAUCAUGUCUACAUUCAACCCGUUCCUCCAACUCUCAGAGAAUUGCAAACCAUCAUGUCUACAUUUUUAGCAAAUCAUGUCAAUUUUGCUGAAAAAUGCACCGGCGAGUCAUACCUAAUGAAUCAAUUAAUUAGUGAUGUUCAAGAGUCACAUGUAAUGUACAGAACCAUCAUUUAUUGGAGAAAUGAUGCCUUUAUUUGUUCAAUGUUUCAGAGAACCGAUUGGUUCAUUAUGUUUGCUCAUGCCAAUCAUGUCUACAUUCAACGUGCUCCUCCAACUCCUAUAUUUCCUGCUCCUGCUGCUCCCCUUCCCAUGAUUCUUGUACCUGGCCUCUUGUUAGACGCAGUAGGGGUUGAUGCCAAUCAUAUCUACAUUCAACCCACUCCUUCAAUUUCAGGAGAAUUUCAAAUCAUCAUGUCUAUAUUCUUAACAAAUCAGGUCAAUUUCACGGGAGAAUGCACCGGUGAGUCACACCUAAUAAAUCAAACUAUUGGUGAUGUUCAAGAGUCACAUGUAAUGUACAGAGCCAUCAUUCGUUAAAAAAAUGAGACUUUAUUGGUCAAUAUUUGAGAGAGGUGAUUGGUUCAUUAUACUUGUACAUGCCAAUCAUGUCUACAUUCAACCUGCUCCUCCAAAUACUAUGCUUUCAACUCCUGCUGCUUCUCCUCAUAUGAUUCCUAUACCUGGCCUCCUGUUAGGAGCAUGAGGGGCUGAUACCAAUCAAGUCUACAUUGAACAUGCUUCUCCAAUUCCUGAAAAAUUUCAAACCAUCGUGUCUACAUUUUUAGCAAAUCAUAUCAAUACAUUCUAAGCAAUCAUUUCAAUUUCAUUGGAGAAUGCACCGAUGAGUUACGCCUAAUGAAUAAAACCAUUGGUGAUGUUCAAGAGUCACAUGUAAUGUACAGAGCCAUCAAUUAUUGGAGAAAUUAUACCUUUAUUUGGCCAAUGUUUGAGAGAGUUGAUUGGUUGAUUAUGCUUGCUCAUGCCAAUCAUAUCUACAUUUAACCUGCUCCUCCAACUCUUAUGCUUCAUACUCCUGUUGCUCUUCCUCCUAUGAAUCCUGUACCCACCCUCCUGUUAGGAGUAGGAAGGGUUGAUGCCAAUCACGUCUACAUUCAACCUGUUCCUCCAACUCUUAUGCUUCCUGCUCCUGCUGCUCCUCCUCCUAUGAUUCAUAUACCGGGCCUCUUGUUAAGAGCAGGAGGGACUGAUGCCAAUCAUGUCUGCAUUGAAACUGCUUCUUCAACUCUUGGAAAAUUUCAAACCAUCAAGUCUACAUUCUUAGCAAAUCAUGUCAAUUUCACUGAAUAAUGCACCGGUGAGUCACAUCUAAUGAAUCAAAUCAUUGGUAAUAUUCAAGAGUCACGUGUAAUGUAUAGAGCCAUUAUUCGUUGGAGAAAUGAGACCUUUAUUUGGUCAAUAUUUAACAGAGCUAAUUGGUUUAUUAUACUUGCUCGUGCCAAUAAUGUUUACAUUCAACGUGCUCCUCCAACUCCUAUGUUUCCUGCUCCUGCUGCUACCCCUCCUAUGAUUCCUAUACCUGACCUCCAUUUAGGAGCAGGAGGGGCUGAUACCAAUCAUGUCUACAUUAAACAUGCUUCUCCAACUUCUGAAAAAUUUCAAACCAUCAUGUCUAUAUUCUUAGCAAAUCACAUCAAUAAAUUCUAAGCAAAUCAUUUCAAUUUCACUGGAGAAUGCAUCGGUGAGUUAUGCCUAAUGAAUAAAACCAUUGGUGAUGUUCAAGAGUCACUUGUAAUGUACAGAGCCAUCAUUCGUUGGAGAAAUGAGACCUUUAUUUGGCCAAUGUUAGAGAGAAUUGAUUGGUUUAUUAUGCUUGCUCAUGCCAAUAAUAUCUACAUUCAACCUGCUCCUUCAACUCUUAUGCUUCCUACUCCUGUAGUUUUUCCUCCUAUGAUUCAUGUACUCACACUCCUGUUAGAAACAUGAUGGGUUGAUGCCAAUCAUGUCUACAUUCAACCUGAUUCUCCAACUUCAUUGCUUAUUACUCCUGCUGCUCCUCCUCCUAUGAUUCCUGUACCUGACCUCCGGUUAGGAGCAGGAGGAAUUGAUGCCAAUCAUGUCUACAUUCAACCUGCUCCUCCAACACUUGGAGAAUUUCAAACCAUCAUGUCUACAUUUUUAGCAAAUCAUGUCAAUUUUGCUGAAAAAUGCACCGGUGAGUCACACCUAAUGAAUCAAUUAAUUGGUGAUGUUCAAGAGUCACAUGUAAUGUACAGAGCCAUCAAUUAUUGGAUAAAUUAUACCUUUAUUUGGCCAAUGUUUGAGAGAGUUGAUUGGUUGAUUAUGCUUGCUCAUGCCAAUCAUAUCUACAUUUAACCUGCUCCUCCAACUCUUAUGCUUCCUACUCCUGUUGCUCCUCCUCCUAUGAAUCCUGUACCCACCCUUCUAUUAGGAGUAGGAAGAGUUGAUGCCAAUCACGUCUGCAUUCAACCUGUUCCUCCAACUCUUAUGCUUCCUGCUCCUGCUGCUCCUCCUCCUAUGAUUCAUAUACCGGGCCUCUUGUUAUGAGCAGGAGGGACUGAUGCAAAUCAUAUCGGCAUUGAAACUGCUUCUUCAACUCUUGGAGAAUUUCAAACCAUCAAAUCUACAUUCUUAGCAAAUCAUGUCAAUUUCACUGAAUAAUGCACAUGUGAGUCACAUCUAAUGAAUCAAAUCAUUGGUAAUAUUCAAGAGUCACGUGUAAUGUAUAGAGCCAUUAUUCGUGGGAGAAAUGAGACCUUUAUUUGGUCAAUAUUUAAGAGGGCUAAUUGGUUCAUUAUACUUGCUCAUGCCAAUCAUGUUUAUAUUCAACGUGCUCCUCCAACUCCUAGGUUUCCUGCUCCUGCUGCUACCGCUCCUAUGAUUUCUAUACCUGGCCUGCUUUUAGGAGCAGGAGGGGCUGAUACCAAUCAUGUCUACAUUGAACAUGCUUCUCCAACUCCUGAAAAAUUUCAAACCAUCAUGUCUACAUUCUUAGCAAAUCAUAUCAAUACAUUCUAAGCAAAUCAUUUCAAUUUCACUGGAUAAUGCACCGGUGAGUUAUGUCUAAUGAAUCAAACCAUUGGUGAUGUUCAAGAGUCACAUGUAAUGUAAAGAUCCAUCAUUCGUUGGAGAAAUGAGAUCUUUAUUUGGCCAAUGUUAGAGAGAGUUGAUUGGUUCAUUAUGCUUGCUCAUGCCAAUAAUAUCAACAUUCAACCUGCUCCUCCAACUUUUAUGCUUCUUACGCCUGUUGCUCUUCCUCCUAUGAUUCCUGUACCCACCCUCCUGUUAGAAGCAGGAAGGGUUGAUGCCAAUCAUGUCUACAUUCAACCUGAUUCUCCAACUUUAUUGCUUCUUGAUCCGGCUGCUCCUCCUCCUAUAAUUCCUGUACCUGACCUCCUGUUAGGAGCAGGAGGAACUGAUGCCAAUCAUGUCUACAUUCAACCUGCUCCUCCAACUCUUGGAGAAUUUCAAACCAUCAUGUCUACAUUUUUAGCAAAUCAUGUCAAUUUUGCUGAAAAAUACACUGGCGAGUCAUACCUAAAGAAUCAAUUAAUUGGUGAUGUUCAAGAGUCACAUGUAAUGUACAGAGCCAUCAUUUAUUGGAGAAAUGAUGCCUUUAUUUGGAAAAUGUUUCAGAGAACUGAUUGGUUCAUUAUGUUUGCUCAUGCCAAUCAUGUCUACAUUCAACGUGCUUCUUCAACUCCUAUGUUUCCUGCUCCUGCUGCUCCCCCUCCUAUGAUUCCUGUACCUGGUCUCCUGUUAGAAGCAGUAGGGGUUGAUGCCAAUCAUAUCUACAUUCAACCUAUUCUUUCAAUUCCAGGAGAAUUUCAAACAAUCAUGUCUACAUUCUUAGCAAAUCGUGUCAAUUUAACUGGAGAAUGCACCGGUGAGUCACACCUAAUGAAUCAAACUAUUGGUGAUAUUCAAGAGUCACAUGUAAUGUACAGAGCCAUAAUUCGCUAAAAAAAUGAGACCUUUAUUGGUCAAUAUUUGAGAGAGGUGAUUGGUUCAUUAUACUUGCACAUGCCAAUCAUGUCUACAUUCAACCUGCUCCUCCAAAUCCUAUGCUCUCAGCUCCUGCUGCUCCUCCUACUAUGAUUCCUAUACUUGGCCUCCUGUUGGGAGCAGGAGGGGUUGAUACCAAUCUUGUCUACAUUGAACAUGCUUCUCCAAUUCCUGAAAAAUUUCAAACCAUCAUGUCAACAUUUUUAGCAAAUUAUAUCAAUACAUUCUAAGUAAUUAUUUCAAUUUCACUGGAGAAUGCACCGAUGAAUUACGCCUGAUGAAUCAAACCAUUGGUGAUAUUCAAGCGUCACAUGCAAUGUACAGAGCCAUCAUUCGUUGGAGAAAUUAUACCUUUAUUUGGCCAAUGUUUGAGAGAGUUGAUUGAUUUAUUAUACUUGCUCGUGACAAUCAUAUCUACAUUUAACCUGCUUCUCCAACUCUUAUGCUUCCUACUCAUGUUGUUCGUCCUCCUAUGAAUCCUGUACCCACCCUCCUGUUAAGAGUAGGAAGGGUUGAUGCCAAUCACGUCUACAUUCAAUCUGUUCCUCCAACUCUUAUGCUUCCUGCUCCUGCUGCUGCUCCUCCUAUGAUUCAUAUACCGGGUCUCCUGUUAGGAGUAGGAGGGACUGAUGCCAAUCAUGUCUGCAUUGAAACUGCUACUUCAACUCUUGGAGAAUUUCAAACCAUCAAGUCUACAUUCUUAGCAAAUCAUGUCAAUUUCACUGAAUAAUGCACUGGUGAGUCACAUCUAAUGAAUCAAAUCAUUGGUGAUAUUCAAGAGUUACGUGUAAUGUAUAGAACCAUUAUUCGUUGGAGAAAUGAGACCUUUAUUUGGUCAAUAUUUAAGAGAGCUAAUUGGUUCAUUAUAUACUUGAUCAUGCCAAUCAUGUUUACAUUCAACGUGCUCCUCCAACUUCUAUGUUUCCUGCUCCUGCUGCUCCCCCUCCUAUGAUUCCUGUACCUGACCUUCUGGUAGAAGCAGUAGGAGCCGAUGCCAAUCAUAUCUACAUUCAACCUGCUCUUCCAAUUUUUGGAGAAUUUCAAACCAUUAUAUCUACAUUCUUAGCAAAUCAUGUCAAUUUCACUAGAGAAUGCACCGGUGAGUCACACCUAAUGAAUCAAACUGUUGGUGAUAUUCAAGAGUCAUAUGUAAUGUACAGAGCCAUCAUUCGUUGAAAAAAUGAGCCCUUUAUUGGUCAAUAUUUGAGAGAGGUGAUUGAUUCGUUAUACUUGCACAUGCCAAUCAUGUCUGCAUGCAACAUGCUCCUCCAAAUCCUAUGCUUUCAGCUCCUGCUGCUCCUCCUCCUAUGAUUCCUAUACCUGGCCUCCUUUUAGGAGCAUGAGGGACUGAUACCAAUCAUGUCUACAUUGAACAUGCUUCUCCAACUCCUGAAAAAUUUGAAACCAUCAUGUUUACAUUCUUAGCAAAUCAUAUCAAUACAUUCUAAGCAAAUCAUUUCGAUUUCACUGGAGAGUGCACCGGUGAGUUAUGCCUAAUGAAUCAAACCAUUUGUGAUGUUCAAGAGUCACAUGUAAUGUACAGAUCCAUCAUUCAUUGGAGAAAUGACACCUUUAUUUUGCCAAUGUUAGAGAGAGUUGAUUGGUUCAUUAUGCUUGCACAUGCUAAUAAUAUCUACAUUCAACCUGAUUCUCCAAUUCUUAUGUUUCCUACUCCUGUUGCUCUUCCUCCUAUGAUUCCUGUAUCCAUCCUCCUGUUAGAAGUAGAAAGGGUUGAUGCCAAUCAUGUCUACAUUCAACCUGAUUCUCCAACUCAAUUGCUUCCUACUCCUGCUGCUGCUCCUCCUAUGAUUUCUGAACCUGACCUCCUGUCAGGAGCAGGAGGAACUGAUGCCAAUCAUGUCUACAUUCAACCUGCUCCUCUAACUCCUGAAGAAUUUCAAACCAUCAUGUCUACAUUUUUAGCAAAUCAUGUCAAUUUUACUGAAAAAUGCACCGGCGAGUCAUACCUAAUCAAUUAAUUGGUGAUGUUCAAAAGUCACACGUGAUGUACAGAGCCAUCAUUUAUUAGAGAAAUGAUGUCUUUAUUUUAUCAAUGUUUGAGUGAACUGAUUGGUUCAUUAUGCUUGCUCAUGCCAAUCAUGUCUACAUUCAACGUGCUACUCCAACUCCUAUGUUUCCUGCUCCUGCUGCUCCCCCUCCUAUGAUUUCUGUACCUGGCCUCCUGUUAGAAGUAGUAGGGGCUGAUGCUAAUCAUAUCUACAUUCAACCUACUCCUUUAAUUCUUGAAAAAUUUCAAACCAUCAUAUUUACAUUCUUAGCAAAUUAUGUCAAUUUCACUGGAGAAUGCACUGGUGAGUCACACCUAAUGAAUCAAACUACUGGUGAUGUUCAAGAGUCACAUGUAAUGUACAGAGCCAUCAUUCGUUGAAAAAAAAUGAGACCUUUAUUGGUCAAUAUUUGAGAGAGGUGAUUGGUUCAUUAUACUUGCACAUGCCAAUCAUGUCUACAUUCAACCUGCUCCUCCAAAUCCUAUGCUUUCAGCUCCUGAUGCUGCUCCUCCUAUGAUUCCUAAAUCUGGCCUCCUGUUAGGAGCAGUUGGGGCUGAUACCAAUCUUGUCUACAUUGAACAUGCUUCUCCAAUUUCUGAAAAAUUUCAAACCAUCAUGUCUACAUUAUUAGCAAAUUAUAUCAAUACAUUCUAAGCAAUCAUUUCAAUUUCACUGGAGAAUGCAUCGGUGAGUUACGCCUAAUGAAUCAAACCAUUAGUGAUGUUCAAGAGUCACAUGUAAUGUACAGAGCCAUCAUUCGUUGGAGAAAUUAUACCUUUAUUUGGCCAAUGUUUGAGAGAGUUGAUUGGUUCAUUAUGCUUGCUCAUGCCAAUCAUAUUUACAUUUAACCUGCUCCUCCAACUCUUAUGCUUCCUACUCCUGUUGCUCGUCCUCCUAUGAAUCCUGUACCCACCCUCCUGUUAGGAGUAGGAAAGGUUGAUGCCAAUCAUGUCUACAUUCAACCUGUUCCUCCAACUCUUAUGCUUCCUGCUCCUGCUGCUCCUCCUCCUAUGAUUCCUAUACCGGACCUCCUGUUAGGAGCAGGAGGGACUGAUGCCAAUCAUGUCUCCAUUGAAACUGCUUCUUCAACUCUUGGAGAAUUUCAAACCAUCAAGCCUACAUUCUUAGCAAAUCAAGUCAAUUUUACUGAAUAAUGUACCGGUGAGUCACAUCUAAUGAAUCAAAUCAUUGGUGAUAUUCAAGAGUCACGUAUAAUGUAUAGAGCCAUUAUUCUUUGGAGAAAUGAGACCUUUAUUUGGUCUAUAUUUAAGAGAGCUAAUUGGUUCAUUAUACUUGCUCAUGCCAAUCAUGUUUACAUUCAACGUGUUUCUCCAGCUCCUAUGUUUCCUGCUCCUGCUGCUGCUCCUCCUAUGAUUCCUGUACCUGGCCUCCUGGUAGAAGCAGUAGGGCUUGAUGCCAAUCAUAUCUAUAUUCAAUCUGCUCCUCCAAUUUCUGAAGAAUUUUAAACCAUUAUAUCUACAUUCUUAGCAAAUCAUGUCAAUUUCACUGGAGAAUGCACCGGUGAGUUACACCUAAUGAAUCAAAUUAUUGGUGAUGUUCAAGAGUCACAAGUAAUGUACAGAGCCAUCAUUCGUUGAAAAAAUGAGGCCUUUAUUGGUCAAUAUUUGAGAGAGAUGAUUGGUUCAUUAUACUUGCACAUGCCAAUCAUGUCUACAUUCAACCUGCUCCUCCAAAUUCUAUACUUUCAGCUCCUGCUGCUCCUCCUCCUAUGAUUCCUAUACCUGACCUCCUAUUAGGAGCAUGAGGGGUUGAUACCAAUCAUGUCUACAUUGAACAUGUUUCUCCAACUCCUGAAAAAUUUCAAACCAUCAUGUCUAAAUUCUUAGCAAAUCAUAUCAAUACAUUCUAAGCAAAUCAUUUCAAUUUCACUGGAGAAUGCAUCGGUGAGUUACGCCUAAUGAAUCAAAUCGUUGGUGAUGUUCAAGAGUCACAUGUAAUGUACAGAGCCAUCAUUCGUUGGAGAAAUGAAACCUUUAUUUGGCCAAUAUUUGGGAGAGUUGAUUGGUUCAUUAUACUUGUUCAUGCCAAUUAUGUGUACAUUCAAUCUGCUCCUGUUACUCCUUUGUUUCCUAUUCCUACUGUUCCUCCUCCUAUGAUUCCUGUACCUGGUCUCCUGUUAGGAGCAGAAGAGGCUAAUGCCAAUCAUGUCUACAUUCAACCUGCUUCUCUAACUCUUGGAGAAUUUCAAACUAUCAUAUCUACAUUUUUAGCAAACCAACAAACCAUGUCAAUUUCACUAGAGAAUGCACCGGUGAGUCACACCUAAUGAAUCAAACCAUUGGUGAUGUUCAAGAUCACAUGUAAUGUAUAGAGCCAUCAUUCGUUGGAGAAAUGAGGCCUUUAUUUGGUCAAUGUUUGAGAGAGUUGAAUAGUUCAUUAUACUUGCUAAUGCCAAUCAUGUCUACAUUCAACCUGAUCCUCCAACUCUUAUGCUUCCUGCUCCUACUGCUUCUCCUUCUAUGAUUCCUGUACCUGACCUCCUAUUAGGAGCAGGAGGGACUGAUGCCAAUCAUGUCUACAUUCAACUUGUUCCUCCAACUCCUGGAGAAUUUCAAACCAUCAUGUCUACAUUUAUAGCAAAUCAUGUCAAUUUUGCUAGAAAAUGUACCGGCGAGUCAUACCUAAUGAAUCAAUUAAUUGGUGAUGUUCAAGAGUCACAUGUAAUGUACAGAGCCAUCAUUCAUUGGAGAAAUGAUGUCUUUAUUUGGUCAAUGUUUGAGAUAACUGAUUGGUUCAUUAUGCUUGCUCAUGCCAAUCAUGUCUACAUUCAAUUUGCUCCUCCAAAUCCUAUGCUUCCUGCUCCUGCUCCUGCUCCUCUUAUGAUUUUUGUACCUGGCCUCCUGUUAGGAGUUGGAGGGGCUGUUGCUAAUCAUGUCUACAUUCGACCUGCUCCUCCAACUCCUAUGCUUCCUGCUCCUGCUGCUCCUUCUUCAAGUUCAACUCUGAUCAAGGUAUAGUGUUUUUAAGUUUUGCCUCUUUCUUGUCUUGUUUGGUGUUAUCUCCAGUAAGUCAGCACAUGUAAGUACAUAAUGUAAAUGUACUUGUAGUGUAUGAUGCAAAGAAUUGUUAAUCUGCUUAUUCCAUAUGCAAAUGCAAAGAAUUGUCAAUCUGCUUAUUACAUAUGCAAACGUGUGCUUUAUCUUCAUUUUUUUUUCUUUAGUCCACAAUCUGCUUAUUAAAUUUACAAACGUUGCCUUUAUCUUCAAUUUUUUUUCUUUGGUCCGCACAUGUGAGUGUAUAAUCCAAAUGUACUUGAAAGCGUAGAAUUGUGAGUGUGCUUAUUACAUAUGCAAAUGUUACCUUUAUCUCUAUUUUUUCCCUUUGGUUUUUUCAAAAAUUCUUUGACGGUUUCAUCAACUUUACAUUAUGUUCGAGUCUUACUUUUUAGUUGUUGCAUAAUGCGAUGGCAGUUAGAGCUUUGUUUAAUUACUAAUAUAGCUUGUUACUGUUAUACUGUAGAGAUUAAUUAUGUCCUAAUUCUUACCAAAUCUUUGUUAUUUCUGCAUUUAUAUCAUUCUGCAUGUUUGACAAAAGCUCUGUUGCAUCUGUAUAAUGUUAUCAGUUUAUUAUCGUAGGCUAUGUCACCAAAUCAAUUCUAUAUCCAUGUUUAUUGAUAUGUGGAUGAAUGUGACUCAAGUUGACUUGUUACCAGAUUUCUCCAUCUAUUCUUUUUUGGGAUAGUUUCCAGCUGUACUUGGCCUCCUGUUAGGAGCAGGAGGGGCUGAUGCCAAUCAUGUUUACAUUCAACCUGCUCCUCCAACUCCUAUGCUUCCUGCUCCUGCUGCUCCUUCUCUUAUGAUUCCUAUACCUGGUCUCUUGUUAUGAGCAGGAGAGGUUGAUGACAAUGAUGGACAGGAUUUCUUUAACCGGGCAGGUGACGAAAAUUUAGGAUGGGAGAAUCCAGAUAAUGCUAGUGCAUUUGAAUGAGCUGAAUGAGAUGGAAAAUAACCAAGGCUUGUUCAGUGAGGUGGGAGACCCUUACUUAUCACAUGGCUCAAACAGUGCGAUGAGUGGAUCCCAUGGCUGAAGCUCCAAUGUGAUUGCUUGAAUCUGAGAGUGUUGCAUGACAGCUGAAUGAAUUACUGUAAGUGUAUAGUGUUGCGGUCUAUGUAAUUGUUGAGCCACAGAACCGGAUCACUCAUAUCUAGAUAUCUAGUAGUUUACAUUACUUACUAGUGGAUUGUCGUGGAUAUCUACCACUAGUUUGUCAAUAUCCUGUAUAGUGAAUGGUAAUUGGGAUUUCUCUUACAUGUAAAAAGAGGGAGUUUAGUUUACGGACAGUGUUUUUGAUUCCCUAUGGACACCAUGAGUAGGUGAACAAUUUUGUGAAUUCAAUUGUAUAUGCUAUUGGUCAAGGUUAGUUUCAAGUUCAACUCUGAUUGUGUGAGACAGAAUACGGUCCAAAUAAUUUUUGUGACUAUGUUACCCUUAUAAGUCAAUUAUACCCUUUCGUUUCUUCUAUAACGUGUAGUGAUUGCAAUGAUGUUUAGGUCUUUGACAAUUAUAUACUAAAAUGAAACUAGACAUUUUUUCUGGUACGUGUUAUCCAAGUUGGCUGCCCAUGGUCAUACAGUGCUUUUCCACCAUCAUCCUAUUAGUAUUAUUUAAUUCUCCCAAAAAUAACUAUUCUCUUAACUCAAAUCUCUCUAAAUACAUAACCAAUUAAUAAAAGCAUGAAAGCUCCCAUUAGAAAGUUGAUUCAAGAUUCAAGUUAAUUUUCCUCAAUCCUUUGGAUUUGAACCUCCAGUGGUGUGUUUAAAUCUAAUAUUCUUUAUAACUAUUUUAAUAGCUGCAUGAAGUAAUGUAUAUGGCUGAAGAUGUUUUUGUAUUAAAUUAAAAGCCUAGUAUAGAAAAGUCAGUGCUUUGAAUACCUUAGUAAUUAAUUAUCAAAAACUGGACCUUAUUGUUAGUUGCAUGCAUAAAUUGAACUUAUAUUCCAUAGUUUCCCAAAAGGGAAAAAAAAGAGAAACUUAUACUCUUUAGAAUAGCUGCUUAAGCGCAAUCAUCUAGUUACAUAUAAUUGCACUAUCAAGUUUGUGUAGUCAUGUUUGAUUGAUGAAUAGGUUUAGUACUUGCAGUUGCACUACUUUAAUAUUGCUAAAUCGAUGAUCAUUAAUCUUAAUUGUUUUUAGUUCAGGAUUAAAUUACAUUAAUCGAAAUGGGAUAUGCACAAGUUUGGUGUAUGUUUGUAUAUCGCUAAAAAGUUUCAACUUAUUCAAGUCAAUUUGUAUUGUCAAAUUUCUCUUUUCAAUGUUCCAUUGGUUUCUCAACUAUGAAAUUGCAUCUCCGAGAUGGUUGCAACUUGCAAUCUGUAAUGUGUUAGAAGUAAAUAUCUUGCACUCAAAUAAACCCUCUAAUUUAUGGAUGCUUAGGACGUAUUUUAUCUACGAAAAUAAGAAAAUUUCAAAUUAGCCGUCUGCCAAUAGCUUUCUUCCUAUUUGGUUUGCUAAUAAAUCAGUUUUGUUUGGGUGAUAACUGCUACUGAAAUAUGAGAUGCCAUUUUAAUUAUUCUUGGUGACCAGGUUCAAUGCCUUGAUUGUCUAAUUGUUUAGUUUGGGAAUCAUGUUGGUUUUCCAAGUUAUUACUCAAAUAACGAUACUUUUCAAAUAGCUCUCGACCAAUGAAGCAAUUGAAAGAAUGCACUUCAUGAAUGCAGUUUUAACAAACAAUGCAUUAACUAAGUAUGACUUUUAGUUUUUGAAAAGAGAUUUUAACACACUCACUAUUCGGUAAGUCUUUUAAAAAAGCAGCACUCCUUGGAAUUUUAUUUGAAUUUUCAAUCCCAUAUAUGAGUCUUGUGCAUGCAAGUUAAAUUGUUUCAAAAAAUUUGGAACUAUUUUCUGUAAAAUGCAAUAAAUGUAUGGCCUUAUUUGGCAAGCAAGUUUUUUGCCAAGUUUGUGUGCUACAAGUUUUUUAACAAUUUUAACUACAGUAGCUUCAAAUUCAAAAAACUUCUCAAAGUUUUUAAACUAUAUACUUCAAAAUAUCUAAAAAUUUACACACUUCAAAAUUUUUUCCUACAACUUGUACAAUAAGUUACAGUAAAGUUUUAGAUAAACAUCCAAAAAAAUUAUUUGCAAAACUUCCUACUAACUCUCAAAUUUAGUACCUUAGUACACUCUUAUUGCUUUACAAGCUUCACCAAUCUAUGAAUACUCUGCUUCAUUCUUUAUAUGCACAAAUUCUUUUAUAGCUUCCAUCUGAGCAACAUCAUGCAUCGCGUGAUGCCCCAACAAACUAGUACUACAUACAUAUGAAUGCUGUUUUGUACAUUGGAUUUAAAUGUCAAAAUUUUUAACAAUCGAUUUUUUAUUUUGUUUGUGGAUCUUAAACUCAUAAUUAGUACGUUGCAACUUGGAUAUAAAUGUCAAAAUUUUCAACAAUUGAUUUCCGAUUUUGUUUGUAGAUCUUAAACUCAUAAGUGAUUGUAAGUGUAAUUAAGGUCAUUUAGCAAAAUAAUGUAUCAUGUGUAAUUAGCAAAUCAUAUCUUUACAUAAAUAUGCAAUUUUAUUGGUAAAUAUGUAAUUUGAUUUUAUUUUGUAUUAUUCUUUAUAUACUUAUAUACUUGAUUUGAUUAAGUUAAGAUUUGAUUUGCUUAUCUUAACAAGUCAUACAUUUCUUGUAAGACUCUAUUUCCUUCUCGUACUCAUUGCAGUUAUUGCAGUUGGGUCCGUUAUGUGCAACACUUAAAUAUACAAAAAGUUUUCCCAAAUCCUUUUGUAGUAACUGCUUUUUUAACUGUUGAGAAGCAUAUGCUGCCAUAUAAUAUAUCAUGUGAAAAUGAGCAACAUGGAGACCCUUCUUACUCUUGUUUGAUUUUAUUUAGUCCUGCUGACUGAAGUGUAAAUGUAAAGUAUGCAAGUUAGUGAUCGCCACCGGUUUCGGUUUAAUGAAGCACCUACCAACAUGACUCCCUUUCCCUUGAAUUUCUGCAUGAUACCUUCAACUUCCACAAAAAAUUUUUUUUAAAAAAGCAACCGAAAAACCAAUACCAUCACAUUAUGAUUAUAAAAAUAUAUUUUCCGGCAAUAUAUCAUGAAUUGAUGAUAUGAAGAAAUUAAGGCAAAAAUCAAAUAAUAGAAUGCAAAUAUUGAAGCGGCAAGGUCUUUCUUUUAUUUUCAAAGUCUCCAUACUAGUACUACCUUUUGUUUUUCUUUUGCCUUUUGACUAGAGUAAGGCCUUCCUUUAUAUCCUAAAGUACUCCAUAAGCCCUUUAUUUAUAUUCUAAAAUACUCCAUAUGCUGUUGAGGUCUAGUAUAUUUUUCAGAAAAUUAAGAUUCAAUAGAAAAAGAAAGUAGAAUUGAUAAGAAAUUAAGAAUGGACCCGGAAAUAAUUGACAGUGAGUUAAGAAAGUGGGCCGAGAAAGGACGCCAACCCCCUCCCUCCUGAAAAAAAACUGCAUUCGUCAUUAAGUAUUCUGCAAGUUUAAUGAGUUUCAUAGAUUAUUUAGAUAUUUUAGUUAAAACAUUUUAUGGCUUUACUCUAAAACAAAGGUAGGGAAACCUUAAAGGGUUCCUCAAUUUAUUAGCAACGUUCAAAACAUAUCAUUAAAAGGAUCACCUUUGCCAAAUUUUUAAAAUUGAAGGCUCCAAAUCUAUAUCUAUAUAAAUUUGAGAAAGAGUUUUUAGCAACAAGCCUUCAUACACUUUCCCACUCUCAAUCCCAUUUUUCUAGCAUUUCACAUUUAAUUUAUUUCAUAAAAUAUAUCAUAUCCACGUUUGAAACACACGGCUAUGUUUCCAUCAAAUAAGAAGUUGACUCCAACUAACACUUCUCCCUUCACAUACCUUCCCACUCCAAUUAAUACCCCUCUAAUUAACAAAUUUACUCUGAUUAAAACUCCUCCAACCCAAUAAUAAAAGAUAACAACAUAAUUUUACCAAAAAUAGCAAUUUACCAUCUCUUUCAAUUUCCUUUUGUUUUCAAUCUCUUUCAACUUCCUUUUGGUAUCGAUCUUAGCCCUCAACUUAAUUGCAAAGGAGGAAACAUUUGCAGUCACACCAAUGGUAAAAAUUAUCUCAAUCAAUUAAUUAAUGAACAAUUAUCGACAUUUUAUUUUGAAUUAAUAAUUGUAAUCUAUAUGUUUUUUGAAUGGUUUUAGGUUAAAUAUUUUCGGAUACUUGCUUACAUUCAAAGCAUUAACAUAGACAAUAUAUUCCAUGAGUUAUGCAAAAAUUAUGGACAAUCAUGUCAAUCUCAUUUUUCAAAAAUGGCGUGUAUCUAUUGUAACGAUGCAGUUACAUUUUUUCAAAAAUGGUGUACAUCUCAUUUUAAUUAAAUUUUUUUAUUGUAUAUCACAAUUUUUUCUUAACAGAUACAAUUUUAACAUACAAGUUAGAGAUUCCAGUGAUAAGCUAUACCUCACUCUUCAAGAUAGAUAGGCACGAUUCAUAUUUCGUUGUGAUGCUUCUUAUUUUAGAGAUUUAAAAGGAAAAGUAUAAAUUAUUUAUACAUAUGUAUUUUUAUACAAUAUUAUUUACAAACUUUUUAAAACAAAUGAUAAUUCUGAAUUCUGUAUACUCUUAAUUGUUAGAAAAUGGAGGUACAUUAUUCGACCAACACAUUAAUUCAUGCAAAAAUUGUGUAUUCUCAUUUAUAGUACGAAUUCCACAAAAUUCAACAAAAUUAAUUAAACCCCAAAUACUAACAUUCGUACUUAGUGUAAAAAAUGUUUCCACCUUCAUAAAAGAUUAUCAAAUCAAAGGCAAAAUAUUUGUAAGUAUUUCAUUUACUUAUAAAAUUAAAUAUUCAGUUACAUUUAAUUGAACCCUUAUGUCGCUCAAUUUAUGAUAUAGAUUUUUACUUUUUUUUUUCAGGAUCCUACUUCCAUCAAUGUGGUAGUUUAUAAAUAAUGGGGAUAUUUUUAUCAUAUAUUGAACUAUUGCUAUAAAAUCUCAUCUUUUUAACCAUACUUUCAUGUGCCCUAAAUUAUACGAACAAUUACAUAAAUUUCUUACUCUUUUUAAAUUCCUCCAUCGAUUAUAAUUUCUUCGAAAAAUAUGAUCUGUUGUGCAUAGCAUGGGUGUUUAAACUAGUGUUUGAGAGUUUGAGAGGCAUCCAAAAUGUAAACUAGGCUUUGAAAAUUUAAUUAGAAAACUCACAAAUCACAAUCUUCGAGAAUUUACUCCCCGUCUUAAGACAAGUUUGAGAGGCAUUCACAUGGGCCAUCCUCUUAACAAGUUUCCUAUACCAACCCAAUGCUUAGUAGGCUUUUUCCAAGCCCAACAUGAUCGUUAGGCUUCCCAUCGGUGUCUAUAUAUAUAUAUAUAUAUAUAUAUAUCCGUCCUCAAUCAAGCACUGCUAUCUGUGAAACAGUUACGUCUCGGACAAGUUUGUUCUACACGCCAACACGGGAUUCUCAAUGCCAAUUUUCUAGUGACAAUUCAGUACCACUUUUAUAUCUAUGCCAAGUGUCCUGUUUAUUUAAUUUAUUAUGUGUUAUUUAUUUAAAUUUCUUCUACCAUCAUGUGAUAAGUGAGAUUGACACUGAAUUUGACACCGAGUAGUGGUAUAGAGGAUCCCAACUGUUUUCCAAUCAGCUCUUUCUCUUCCCCACGUUACAGUAUAAACAAUAGAUGGUUAUACUGUACCGUGGGAACAGAAAGAGCUGAUUGGAAAACGUGAGUAUGAUACAAUCAAAAAUUUUCUUUAUAAACAAUAGAUGGUCAUCCAAAGAGUAGUUCCCCCCCUCCCCCAACACAAUUCGAAGCAUUAAGGCGACUUUUGGUUUCAAUUUUGCAUACAGGUCCACAGUUGAAGGAGGCACCUAUCCUUCUACUAGUUUUUUGGGUUACUUUCCGAAGAUAUGGUCUCAUAUGUUUCACCGUGACAUUCCUUUUCCAACUCGAAGAAUUCCAAGAUCGCUUGAUGUUGCUCGAUUAUCUCUGACUUAGGUAAGGUGCUGAAGGAGGGAGAAUGGGGCAAUCUUGAUGAAACUUUAAGCUUUCUUGAUAAACAAACGGUUGACAUUGUGGGUUCUUCCAAUGGCCUCCUCCUCUGUUUCGCAUCCAACCACGUUGAUUUUCGCCAAAAGGGGAAUAUGGAUUAUAUCGUACGCAAUCCGGUGACAAGGGAAUUCCGCAGCCUUCCAAGACCUCACAAGGCUUACCGCCAUGUUGCUGUUGCUUUCAUUUGCAAAGGAAGCAAUGCAACCCCUUUGGACGGGAUCGAGUAUGAAGUUAUACGAGCAGGAAUCCUACAACCUUGGAAGUUGACUCGAACACUGGAGAUAGAGACAUUUUCUUCUGUUACAAAUAGAUGGACUGCGGCUUCUUUGGAAUCUUCCUCACCCUUUGCUUUACUUGUGGCUAACAGACCUGCAAUUGUGGUUGGGGAAGUGAUAUUCUGGGGUGGAAUGUCGAGUACUGUUUUGGCUUAUGAUUGUGCAAUGGAAACCGUACAAUUGAUUGAACUUCCCCGUAUGGCUCUAGAACCUUGCGAUUAUCUUCUUGGUCAAUCUGAGGGACAAUUGCAGCAUGGCAGAUUUGACCUUGAUGGAUUGGAGAUAUGGGUGCUGGAAGAUUACCGAAGAUCUGAGUGGAUCCUAAAGCAUCGUGUGAGUUUCACAGAAGUAAAUCAUUUGGCUCGUUCCCCAGGUUGGCUCGCCCCUCUUCGGCUUCAUGGUUUUCACCCCAAUAAAUCUGAGCUGCUCUUUAUUACUUGGUCUGGACACCCAUUUUGGAUUGAUUUUAUGAAUUACACAUUGACAGAAACUGGAGGUGGUUUAAUCAUUGACCAGUAUCCAUUUCAGUUCUUCCCAUAUGAGUGGCCCCUUUCGUGCUCUGAUGGCCAGUGAUUUGAUGUCUCUCAGAUCGUACCAGUGAAUCGGCCUUCUCACCUUACUUCAGUACUUACUACCUGCUUUGGUAAUUUGGAUGGGGUGGAAGUCCCUGGGAUGGCAUUUUUGUUUUUGACGGCCUUGCAUGAUUUCAAUGGCUCGAGUCUUGCCUUGAUGUUUGCCUCUGCCAUUCAUAAAGUUUAGUUUAUUAGUGCAUGGUUUCGGUGGUAAGUUUGCCCUUUGCCAGGUUUUUCAUAACUUACUUGGAUGCACAGAGGAGGAGUAGAUUAGUAUUCUAUCUUACUUGGAAGAAAAAGAAGAAGCAGAGGAAAUUGGUCCAGAAACUGAUCAAAUCACUUUUAUGCUGCCUGCAACAAGAGUAUUUUCUACCAUUUAGACUAGACUGUUUUAUGAUUUCAUUCUGUGAGGGAGGCCUACCUCAUCGAAAAUUUUGUUGAGAACUUCUUAUGUUACCAUGUACUUUUAGGAAUUGGCAUUAGGUUACUGAAAUUUUGUCAUUACUCCCUCAAUCAUUUAAACAUUAAAGGAAAGAAAUUGGAACCGGAGGCUCCACAAUGUUGUCAAAUUUGGUGCCCAAUUGAGACUUUUGAUGUCUUUGGUGGGUCAAAACGAAAAAAAUUUUGCUAUAAGCUUAUAAGUUUUCAUGAAAUCAUCAAAUUGUCAGUCGAUUUCAAGCUGAAUAUGUGAGGUGCUCAAUAUUGCAAAAUGCUUUGGACCCUGAAAGGAGACAAGACAAGUAAUCCAUCCCCCCCCUUCAUUUUGAUCUGUAAACGAGAAAGACAACACAGAAAGGCCACAAAGCUUAAAAAGAAAGAAUUGUUCCAGAGAUUGAUAAGUCACUGCUAUAUAUGUAUAUAUUGACUUCCACUUCCAAGGGAGUAUAGGUGCAAUGGCCCAGACAGAAAUUAAGAAGUUUAUCAAACACAUGGGCGGUUUUUAGGCAUGGAGGAGUAGCCGCCGCCAACGUCGACCAAGAUUCCAAUUCUACAAUUUAAACUUUCAUCAUUCAUCUUCUGACCAUUCACCUGUUAGAGAAUUAUAACUCUUUCAUGAUGAGUUCAUAGUGGGAAUGGAAGUCUGCCUCAUUUAGAACCUGUUGAGCACACGAUCCCAUUAUUAAACUGCAAAACCUACAUUAAACUCACACAUCAAGAAGUUUUUGAGUACAAAAUCAAAGGAGGAACAUCAAGUUGGCAAGAAAAAAAAAUCUUGGCAUAGAUCACGAUUCUUGUGUUAUGGGCAGGAUUUAAUAAUUUCCAAGCGUCAAAGAUUUUUUUUUUUUUAAUCUAAAGAAAGAAAGUUUGAUUCUCAUUUGCUCCAUCCAGCGGUUUCCCUUCGAAAAACUUGAAGCAGAAAAGCACCUUUGAUCAGUUGGUCAGGAAAUUAGUACUUUUAGCCAGCUCCAUGUUUCACUGCUUUUACUUUAUCUGAAUUUGACCCAAAAAAAAUUAAUAAAAGAUUGGUACUUUAGUUGACAAAAAUGCCAUGAAGUCACAUUACUUUAUUAUUGCUAGUGUUUACGUAAUUAAUACGGUCAGCUUUUGUUCAUCUGAGCAGUGGCCACUGGUUAAGUGAGAAAUCAGAAAUUUCCAAUAGCACAAGUACCAAAGGAAAACAACGAAUGUUUGGCAAGCAGAUCCCAAUAAAAUCAUGCAUUUGACUAGUUUAGAAAUGUCAUAUUGUCUCAUUUUCAUUUCUCUGAAUCACCACACCAUGAUCUAUACAUUCAUUCUGUGUCUACAUGUUUAUAACCUAUAUAUCUGUAUAUAUAACUCAAAACUGAGUUAAAAAAAGGGAAAAAAAAAAAACUUACGGAAUUGUUUGGGAAAUGUAUUAACUAAUGACUAUAUCCUCAAACACACAGCAUAGAAAACUUUGCAGGAGUAGAAGAAAGAAAGAAAAACCAAGAAAUGAAUUAUUUCAGUGGCCUAUUCCAGGACUUGGUACAGACUGCAAAUUCCGUUCAAUAUGGGCAGGGGCCGCAGCGAAGUGUUUCUCAUUGAAAGGAUUUGCUGAGUGACCUUUAUUACUUGGAGUAGAAGGUGGAACGCAACCCUCGGGAAGGGGAAGGGCCCUCAAUGCCAAACUUUCCUCCAGAGCAGAUCCCACCUCUUUCUUUUCACUAUUUAGGAGCUUCCUUGAUUCUGUACGCUGCACCAAACAACAUAUACAAAUAAUAACCAAAACUUGCAAUCUUGCAUGGAGCUUAGCCAUGUAGUGCAAGAAAGAGUUGCAAGAAAGCAAAAUUUAGCAAGGCUUUGGCUAAGCUGUGAGCAAGAGAAGUAGGGAGUCGGAGUGAUGAGAUUUCUUGGGAAUGGAAUGGUUAUCCAUGGUUUUAUAUGUGAAGAAACGGGUAGAGGGGUUGAAUGAGGAGUCAGUCAAGAGGAUUUGAGUUUUUGCCUUUUUGGAGGAGGAAUAUUUGCUUUGUGUUCUACUAUUACGGUGUACUUCCAAUUGCCUCGUGGAAGUUGAGUAGGUAUGGAUGAACUAAGCCGCCGGCCCUGGUUUCUUUGGACUUUUCUGUUUGAUUUCGUCCUUUGCCUUCUUUUACGGUUUUACCUUGUGCUAUUUGAUUUGGUAUUGUCCUGUUUUCACUUUUCACUACGGCUGGCCGCUGACCAUAUAUAAAGAAUCGUUCCUUGACUUCCUUCCUGUAAACUACUGUACUUUGUAUAGUCUAUUGUAGCUGGUUCUAAUUUGUUUCCACUUUCUAUGAAAUUUUCAAGUUAAUUACAUCACCUACGGCUACUACUACUAUUUGUCUGCCACCAUAUGAUCUGCUGGCCUGAAGUAAGUUUAUAACCAUCAUAUUUAAGGUUUUGCAUGUAGCCCUUUUGGAUGGACUAACAUGCUUGGUCCAGACUUAAUUAUAUUCUUAAUUGUAGGUUAUCAAGAAUUAUUAACUUAAUUUUAUGAAUUCAUGUACUAUACAUUGACAGUGUAUACACUUUCAUUAUUAGAUGCACGACACAUAUUCCGAAAUUGAAUUUAAAACUCAAAUUUUGCAUGUGUGUCAUAUAUCCAACCGUGAUAGUGUAUAUACAUCGUCAAUGUAUAUAAAAUUUACUCUAAUUUUAUGCCAGAGAAGUACGAGUUUGAACGAUUGCUCCAAGACAAGAAUUUGAAUUCUAAUUAACUUAAUCGUGCUCAAGUUUUUGGCCAUAAAGCCUCAACUCCUAAUGCGAAACAACCACAGAUCACACAACCAAAGAAAAGAACUAAAUGUCACCCUGUUGUCGACAAGGGAUUUAGGUACACGAGACAUUUGAGGAAGACAAAAAUAGGUCCGGAGAAAGAAAAGCAACGCUAAAGUGAGAGAUAAAUGUGGUUGACAUUUCAGUGAUGAUAUCAAACGAAGAGACAAAUACUACAGUCCAUGGUAAACCCUCGUGCUCAGGUUACUUAUAGCUGGAAAUUUAAAAAGAUUGUUCUGGGAAUGAAGACAUGGUGAGGACUGCAGAACUGAGAUUUUACACAACGGAAAAAUGUUACAAACUGGAUUGACUUCAUAUAGAGUUCAAAAGGGAGAAAUUGAUCUUGUAGGAAGAAUCUUUUGUCCUAAGCAAUUUGAGGUGAUUAACCAGCACGUGACAGCUGAUUGUCCUCAUAGACAUCUUAAUCAAGAUUAGUCAAAGAAAAAGAUUUUACUAAUCCCCGUGAAUUAGUGGAGGCAAAAAGUACCUAUAGUCCAAAAUUGCAUUCUACAAGCCCUUAAAACUGCCGUCCAUGAGGCUGAAGCAGUAAUCUGACAUGUCUUUGAAGUUAACAAGUUAACAUAUCAAUUAAAUUAACUCUUCUGCAAUCAUCUCAGAUAAGACAAUUUACAACUUUUCUUGCGAAUGGUUACGCAUUCAGAAAUCAGCUUGAUUAAAUAACUAAAUCCAGAUUAAAAAAAAUGGUUGAAUCAGCAUUAUACAAAAGACACUGGACAAAACAUUUUCAUUCAACUCCGAUAAUUGUCGAAAGGAAUUUGUCAUCCAAAGCUUGUUAUUUUUGUACCAUUUUGUCUCUGGUUGCCUUCAGAUAAAGCCCAAAUGGCAUUUGGGACAUCUGGAGGCUCGAAAGAGCCGGAUUUAUUAUAUGUGGAAAGGUAAAACUAUUCAAACAUCAAAGGAGAUUAAAACCCAAAAGAGUGCAAAAGUUGCAGGCAGAGUACGAAGAACAAAACAACUAUUGGCUAUGUACACUUUCUCUCAUGCAUAGCCAUAUUUAGCAAUGGAAAUUUUCGUAACGGCAAUUCUUUUAUACUUGUGAUAUGAAAAAUAAAAAACUGCUUAUGGAUAAGUUAAUUUGAUGUUUCAAUGUUACAUUUGCUGGAGAAAUCAGAUUUUAGUGCUCUUCUAGCAGGGGAUCUACAGAGAUUAAUACAUCUUUUCAAAACAAUCAUUAGCAAGGAAAGAAUCUCAAACAAUUUACAGAAUAUCGAAAAUCCAAAAACAUACUGAUUAAUUCUAAUUACUGACAAAUAGAACUUUGGAUAUACACUUCUGAAGCGCUGGUGUAUGUUGCUGUUGCCUUACGAUAGACACUCCUGAAACGCCGGUGUAUGUUGGGAGACUUCUGCACCCUUCCAAGGCCUCACAAGGCCUACGGCUAUGUUGCUGUUGCCUUUAUCUGCCAAAAAAACGACUCUGCAUCUCGGGAUGAGGUUCAAUAUGAAGUUAUACAAGCAAAAGUGCUAAACGCUGCUGCCUCUGGAUCGACUACAAUCAUAUCAUGUGAAAUCCUGUCACAAGAGAAUUCCACACCCUUCCAAAGUGUCACAAGGCCUAUGGUUAUGUUGUUGCUGCCUUUAUCUUCAAAGGAAACAACGCAGCAUCUCUGGAUGAGCUUCAGUAUGAAGUUAUACGAGCAGAAGUGCUAAGCCCAGCUGCUUCUGGAUCGACUACAUUGCUGGAGAUAGACACAUUUAAUUCUGUUGCAAACAUUUAAUCUUGCAGACUAAGCUUGAGUUGUAUGCAUAAACUAAUGCAAGUAAGAAGCAGAACUGGGGAGAUAGAUUGCUUGGAAUAUCAGAAAACAUUAGAAAAGGGAGAAACUUGAGAAGUUCCUGUCAAGUGAAGAAUCCAAAUUUGGCAACCUCCAGCAUCCUUCUCCUUUGCUGAAAUAUAAACCAACAUAAUUAUCAUCAUUCUGGGGAUAUCAAGAAUCGGAAAAAUGAUAUAGCGAUUCUCUCAUUUCAUUUAUUGAGCAGAAAAGAAAGUUUCUGGUGUUAGCAUUGGCUCAACAAUCAAAAAGUCACAUGGAAGAAAAAGCAUAUUCCUGAAACAAGCCUUUUGACUGUUGCAACUCCACAGCUUCUAACAUAUUAUGUUUCUGUGUCCCUACUAAUAUCUUGUUAUUUCUUCUUCAUCUUUAUUUUCUACUAGAUGCAGCAUGCAUUCACUUUACAGUAAUUGGCCAUGAAAGUCUUAAAUGCUUUACAGAAAUUGGCCAUGAAAGGCUAGCAUGAUGGCAAGAUUAAGAUCAUGGAAUUUCAAUAGAACAGAAAUGUAUAAUUGCAGACAAAGUGGAACACUCACUACACUCUGUAUUACACCUCAUGCUGUCAGCAAUAAAAAUACAAACACUGCUAAGGUAUGCUGAAAAUUUAUACAAACAUGGAACACUGCAAUCUACUGCUUUACUUAAUUCCAAGAAACAUAACUUUCCUAUUUCUCAUGUUUGGACUACUAACAUCACAAGUAAGAACAAGGGAAAUGAUAUCUUACAAGACAUGGGCUGAAAGUUUGAGCAGUCAAUAAAUCCAUUAGAGCUUGAUGGUCAAUCAGAAAUACUGUACACAACCAACUCUAAAGGACUGAAAGAGCAUCAUCUGUUCCUUUUAACAAAGAAUCAAUAAACUGGCAGGUGUUUGACAGCCCAUCUUUGUUCAACACCACAGAUAUCACCAUGCUCCAUGUGGUCAUAUCAGAAAACUUUCCCUUCACCAAACUACUUAAAACCUUCCACAGCCUAUCUGUAUCCUCUCCUCGAAUUAACCCAUCAACUAAUUUACAUAUACUUGAAGAGCGAGGAAGAUAACCUUUGAAGACCAUCUCAUCCAAAAUAAGUGCUGCUUCCUUCAAUUGCAUUCCAUCACAAAGGCCAUCAAAGAGUUCCCUAUAAGUCACCACAUCCGGAAAGCACUUCCUUCUCGGCAUAUCUUCAAAUAACUCGUUAGCUUCUUUUAGCUUCCCCGCCAUGCAAAGCCCACCAAUAAUCACAUUGUAACUAAUUACAUCUGGCUUACACCCCUUUGCUUCCAUCUCAUUUAAUAUUCCAAAUGCAGAAUCGAAGUCCUUCUCCAUACAGUAUCCAUGUAUCAUUGCAUUGUAUGUUGCUGUGUUCAUUGUGCAGUUAUUUAUUCUCAUUUCAUCUAACAAUCCAAAAACAUCCUCCCGACGACCAACCUUGAAUAGUGCAGAAAUCAAGGUAGCAUACACUGUAGAAUCCAAUUCCACCUUUUUCCUCAUCAUCUCCUUCUUAAGCUUAAUAGCGGAAUCAACCACAUUACUCUUGCAAAGCCCUUUAAGCAACACAACAUACACAAAUGCAUUAGGCUUCAAUUUGAAGUCCCUCUCCAUCAUUCUCUUCAAUCUAAAAGCAUCAUCUAAGUGUGCAUUCGCACAGAACCCAUUAAUCAAAGUCCCAAAUGUCACCACACUCGGCAGAAUACCUCUCUUAAGCAUUCCAUCAAACAAAUUCAACGCAUUACCCAAAUCCCCUUGCCUGCAGCAAGCUUUAAUGAGUAUACCAUACGUACAAGCAUCCGGGCAAGCGCACUUCUCAACACCCACAAAAACUUCCCUCAUUUUCUCAAAUUCCCUGCAAAUUGACAGACUAUUUAACAAAGAAUUCACUGAGUUGAUUGUUCUUUGGCAACGAAAAGAUGGAAUUUCAUCAAACAUCUGGAGGGCUUUUUGGGGCAAACGAGCUCUGCCGUAAAAUGUAAUAAUGUUACAAAAAAUUAUCUCUUUCGGGAUUAUUCUAGUGUCCUGUCUUAAUUUCUGGAUUAUUUGUUCUAAUUCAUCAAACAUUUUGGCUCUACCCAACUUUGAGAUAAUGAGAUCGUAGGACAGAGGAGAGUAGCGGAAGGGCUUGGAGCUUGGGUUAGGAUCAUUUGGGUUGGGGUUGAGGAAGAGUUGGAAGGCAAGUUUAGGGUCUUUUUGCAGGCGAAGGAGAGAAGAAAGUCUGAAAGGAGAGAUUUUAUUGAGUUUUUCCAUUUAAACGCAACGGCUACGGAAGUUGGCAAAUAAAUGGGAGUUUGGUUCCCGCCUGAAGAUGAUGGAUCAAAAGGCAUUUCUAAGGCCACUAUUUGGGCCGGAGCGGAAAAUACUGGCCCAUGGAUUUUGUUUCUUAAAUUUUUUUCGGGGUGGGAUUUGGGCCAUGUUACUCCAUUAAUUUUCUGUAUUAUCAGCUAAAUCGAGAAUAAAGAAAAAUCCAGUGAAAUUGUGUAUCGUCAAAUGACAAUUUGAAACUUUUAUUUGACAUUUUGAUGUAGAGAUCCCAAAAAUUAUGAAUAUCAAGGAGCUAAGCCAAUUGUAUAAGCAAAAUAAACUGUGUAGAUGCUUUCUCUUAACACAAAUUGCUUUUUGUCGUAGAAAAGAUUUCAACACAGAUAAAAGCUAAUGUGGGGGGUUUUUUUUUUUUUUCUUGGAUACGACAAUUAGGUAUAGAUUAUGAUUUUCGUCAUAGGAAACUUUCAAUAUUAAUUACUAAAAUAGCUUUAUCUCAAUUAAGACCUGAUUUUUGUAAUUGGUCCAUCCAAAAUUACUUUCUCGUAAAUCAAAAUUUGUACCCGGCCACUUGAAUAAUACGUGAGAUUCCCUAGAAAAAUAUUUGAGAUGUUAGAGUUGGAAAGGAAUUGGAUCAAUCAAUGAAGCUCAAAGAAUCAAAAAAAAAAAAAAAUAAAGGCCAUGAACAGCUGGUUGAAAAAGAAUGAAGUCACAAAUCAAAAUGAGAUGAUAAAAAUGGUUCAACCAGGAAAAAUUAAUUAUUACCGGUCUAAUUCUCGAAGAGCCCGGAAUAACAAGUACAAGAAUUCAAAGCAAAAUGUUGGCAUUAAAAACUUAAAGGUGACAAGAUCUGCAUGGAAAAGGAAUCGAAGGGCGAAGGGUGUAGUUCAAGGUAAAACCGACAGAGGAAAAGUUAAUUAGGAGUAGCUUUCAAUUUUAAAUGAAGCCUGCGUUUUGCAGUAAUUCUAAAGUCAAGAAAAGCAGAUCUAUUUGACUGCUGCUUUAGCAGCACGACCUUCAGACAGAAAUUCUCUCUGUUAUCUGAGACAGUGGCUGCUGCUGAAUUGUCGUUGUUUUACUAUUCAAAUUUUGCCAAGGUCAGUGAAAGUGCACUAGACUGUCACCCAAAAAAAAAAGAAAAGUGAAUUAGACCAACAAUAGUUAGUCAUUUUUCCUUAAUAAAAAAUAAAGGUAUUAGAGAUAUACCUGUAAUUUCACUAUAUAUUCAAGUCGACUCUCGAACUAAUAAAUUAAAUUUUUCUUUGUUUAAGUUGAUUUGAGUUCGAUAGUUCCACUAGAUUGAUUCGAUUUCGAGUCGAGUUUUGACUGAGUCGGCUCGUGAACAUUCGUGAGUGACUUGAUUCGUUUGCAAUCCUAUUAAUUCUUGUAGCAUGUUCUUGUUAUACCAGUGUACAUUGAUUUCUAGUGAUAACGAGACUGCAAUGCACAUUGUUAUGUACUGAUUAACAUUAAUCUAUAGCUUAUAUAAAAUGUUAAAAAAGACACGAAAAUGUUCUUGGCAUUUGGAUCAGAAAUUUGAGUGUGUUUCAUGCGGUGAGCUCUAGUGAUAACGAGACUGCAGUUCUCGCUUUGGUCUAUUAAAUAUUUCUAGUGCACCCUGUACUUAUCAAUGUACAUCAAUUUCACACGAAAAUCAUAAUUCAUAUGUGACAUGUUCGUCUUUGGUUCAUUCACUUCCCUUGCCACGAAACAAAAAAAAAGAAAUUAAUGUUUAAAAACCCCAAAAGCAGAUGGGAAUUACAACCAUCCAAUCGGUUUAGAAUUGAUGCGAUUCACAAAUAAUGAAACUAAGCAGCAAAGGAAAAGUGUUGCCAGAUGAGAUUUAGACAGCUUAUGUUGUAAUUAACUAGCCCAUAUGAUCAAUGUGGAUGUGAUUAUGGAUAAAGAGAUCAUCGAACGGAGUGCUUCUCAUUCAUGCAUCAUUGCAGUUCACUUGUUCAAUAAGGAGGUGAGCAACACAGCACAUUGUUCAAUGUCGGAAAACUUUUGUUAAUUCUGAAAGAAGGCACAGGUUGUACAAGUUACAGAUCUCAAAAACUCUUUUCCCACCUCCAACUUCUUGAUGAUUGGCUGGAAGUGGAACCAGAUUUCUGCAUUCGCUGAAGGUUCGAUACCAGCAUCAGGUGAAGAAACAUUGAUCAGCUCUCCUAAAAAUAACUCAUCAUGUUGCUAGAUAUCCAGAAUGUAUAUAAUUCAAGAACGCCAAAUAGCCUGCAAAAGCAACAAGAAAUCUACCUCACUGAUUAAUCACGGCUGGACUUCCCUUCAGUAAUAACUAGCAAUGCAAGCGUAUAUAUCUGACUUUCCUAAGCAAUGGAAAAAUCAUAACUGCACGGGAUAUACCUUGAAACAAGCACUAAUGCAGUUUCUGAACCAACGUGCCAUCGGGGCUUUCUUCAGUUUCUUUAACUUUCCCAGCGAUUCAAUCUUGGAGAAGUGAUUGUUGUAGGGUGGAGAAGAUAAAAAGAAGGCCCUUGUGGGAAUCAAUGGAGACCAUAAACCACUCUGCUCAUAAUCAAAGUCGAAUUCUGAAGCAUCAAAGUACUUCCCCAAAAGCCUGUCUGAUAAGCUUUUGGAAACCAUUUGGAUGUAGACUUCUGAGCUACCACCAUCCGGGAAGAAAGUGUGUGCCAAUUCCUGGGGCGAGUCUAAUGAGGAUGAUGAUGAUGGCUCUGCAGAAUUGGCCAUAAAGUUGAUAUAAUCUGAUGUGGAGAAACGAUGGUAGGACGGAAAUGGUCUCUAGGAUUCAGAGAAAGGUUUUUGAAAAGAGAAAAUGCAAAUCAUGGGAAUAAUGAGUGUUACGGGUGGGGCGUUUGUAAUUCAGAACUUUGAGUGGUUGAAAACAUAUUGCUUUUCAAGUUGCUGAUAAACUUUCAUGGACUUCAGGGCAAGAUACCUUUUUUCUUUGGGUUGGGAUGAUAUCCUUGGGGCUAAUGCCUAAUGUUCAUGUGGGUAGAACCUUUUGAUAUAUGCAAAAGAAAUUGGUUUGCAUUUCAAAUAAAAGUUUGCUUAUUAACUUCUGAAGAAUUUUAACCAUAAAUUGCUGGAUACUCUACAAUUAUACCUCUUAAAGCCCAAAUCUCUUUUCUGCCCGCGCAUGAAUAUUGGAAUGUACAACUUUUAUUGGACAUUCACAUUAUUAGUCGUGUAUUUCACGUUUUUUCCAGAGAAAAUUUGAUAAUACUGCUAAAAUGUAUCACAAAUCUAAAAUUAACCGAUAACCUAUACAUAAUUGCAAAAGCAAAACGAGAUUACUGAUAAAUGCAUUUAUACAACAAUAUAUACAUUCGUCAAAUUGAUGGAAAAUGGUGGUUUUAGAAUAUAGAAAUCCGUUAUUUUUUUUCCUUUUUUUGGGAGGCCUAUGCAACAUUUGGGAGUCUCAUUGGCAAAUCUUGAAAAUAGUUAUUAUAACACUUUUUUAUGAAGUGAUGUAUGUGACAUAAAAAGGUGAUUGAAAAUAGGGAUAAUUGCAGAAACCUCCCUUGAGGUUUCUAAUAUUUGCACUGACCUCCCCUGUGAUUUGAAAAAUUUUACUAACCUCCCUUGAGGUUACUAAUCCUUUACAAAUUCAGUCCAAACGAUUAAAAUAUUAUAUUUAGGGAGUGAAAUUAUAAUUUUUUACCAAAUUUGUCCUUUGUACUACAUGUCCAAUGAAUGACAAAGUACUACAAAUCAAUUAACAAUUAAUAAACUUUAAGAAGUAUAGUUUAUAGGCAAAUACACAUUACCUAUUUAAAGUACCAGCUGUUUAUGAGUAUUUUACUUUUAAACAUUUAAUUUAAUACAAAUAUUUACGCUCAAAUACAGAUUUAUAUUUACUUUCAAAUAUUUAAUUUUUGUUAAAUACAAAAACUACCAAUCUCUCUUCCGUAAAAAUAUUAAUAUAACACUUUUUCAAUUUUAGUUACAAACAUUUAUGUAUUUAACAUAAAUUAAAUGAUUCGGAAUAAAAUGCCCAUAAAGAGCCAAUACUUUACUUAUAUAAUAGAUGAAAGCCAUAAAGAAUUAAUACUUUAUGGGCCAUUUCUUUUUUUUUCAUAUUUAAUUUAUAUUAAAUAAAUAACUUACCGAUUUGCUUUUUGCAAGAAUAUUACUAUAAUACUUUUUGAAUUUUACUUACAAAUAUUGAUAUAUUUGUCAUAAAUUAAAUGUUUGAAAGUAAAAUACCCGUAAAAAACCGGUACUUUAAAUGAGUAAUGCGUGUUUGCUCAUAAAGAGUCGGUAACUAUUUAAAGUAUUGGUUCUUUAUAGGUAUUUUACUUUCAAACAUUUAAUAUAAUACAAAUAUUUAGGCUCAAAUACAGAUUUGUAUUUACUUUCAAAUAUUUAAUUUUUGUUAAAUACAAAACCUACCAAUCUCUCUUCCGUAAAAAUAUUAAUAUAACACUUUUUCAAUUUUAGUUACAAACAUUAUGUAUUUAACAUAAAUAAAAUGAAUAAAAUGCACAUAAAGAGCGAAUACUUUACUCAUGUAAUGGAUGAAAGCCAUAAAAAUUAAUACUUUACGAGUCAUUUCUUUUUUUAAAACAAUAUUUAAUUUUUAUUAAAUAAAUAACCUACCGAUUUUAUUUUUGCAAGAAUAUUACUGUAACACUUUUUGAAUUUUACUUACAAAUAUUGAUAUAUUUAUCAGAAAUUAAAUGUUUGAAAGUAAAAUACCUGUAAAGUGCCGGUAUUUUAAAUGAGUAAUGCGUGUUUACCCAUAAAUUAUACUCCUUAAAGUUUAUUAAUUGUUAAUUGAUUUAUAGUACUUUAUCAUUCAUUGGACAUGUAGCACAAAGGGCAAAUAUGGUACAAAAUUCUAAUUUCACUCCCUAAAAUAAUAUUUUAAUCGUUUGGACUAAAUUUGCAAAGGAUUAGAAACCUCAGGGGAGGUCAGUGUAAUUUUUCAAACCACAAAAGAGGUUAGUGCAAAUGUCAGAAAGCUCAGGGGAGGUUUCUGCAAUUAUUCCUUAAAAAUAUAAAAAAGUAAAUUAAAAAAUAUAUUUACGAUGCAAUCAAAAAAUUUGUUGAAAAAAUUUUGCUAUCGAAACAUAUCCAAGAGCUUCACCUUUGAUCCAAAGUUUAGGCCCAAAGUAACCCAAAAGCUAGCCCAUUUUGCGCCGUCAUAUCCAUCCUCAUCAGCAGAAACGACUGUCAAUCAAAACCAACCUCCCGCUCUUUUAACUCUCACCGCUUCAACCCCUAAUCACUUCAUUCAAUUUCAAAACCUCAAAAUCCCAAAUUCAAUUGGUUUCCACAAAUUAUUUAAAAUCUUUGCUGGAUAAAAUGAAGGAAGAAGAAAUUGAGAAGCUGAGGGGAGUAGUUCGGGACUGCGUCAGCAAGCAUUUGUACUCAUCGGCGAUCUUUUUCGCCGAUAAAGUAGCUGCCUUUACCGCCGACCCCGCCGACAUUUAUAUGCAGGCUCAGGCCCUUUACCUCGGUCGCCAUUAUCGACGUGCUUUUCAUCUCCUCAACGCCUCUCAAAUCGUCCUCCGUGACCUCCGCUUCCGAUACCUCGCCGCCAAAUGCCUCGUGAGUUAUUCCUUUCCGUCCUCCCCCGCCAAUAGUAUGAUUCUUUUCUGCUGCUAAAUAGGUUCUUAUGAAUUGGUUUUUGGGAUUUUCUGAUAAUUAGGAUUUUUCUUAAAAAUCAUUUCAGGGUAGCGAAAUUAUCCAUUUUUUAAGCUUUUUGUAAUGGAGAAUUUCAGAUGUAUCGUCUGAUAAGUAGAGAUUUUGAGCUCGCUGUUGAUUCACACAUGCCUUAAUUUACGCUGAGAGCUGAGUGGGGUUGCGAAAUGUUAGAUAGUAUUACUUAGCGAGCAAAUGAUUAUCAUGCUAUAGAAAUGAAAGGAUAAUCUAUUUUUUCUACAGAAUGUGAUUCUUGGUGGAUCUAUGCCAGCUUUUGAUGAGCUUUGAUCUUUCUAUACUAAGGGUUGGGAGUUUUUGGUUUGUAAAUCAAUUGCACCCACGUAUGUAGUGGGUUAUUGCAGCUUCUGUAUGGAUUUAGAAUUUUAGAUAGAUCAAAGCAGCUCAGCUGUAGUAUUUGAAGUUCAAAACAAAAAAAAAUCACCUGAUAGGUAGAAAGAACAGCAUAUCUGAAGUCAUUUUGUCCUGCAGAACAUGAAUAAUUGAAGUUUAAUGAGAUUUAGAAAGUUUUAACAAAUCAGCAAUCUGUGUAGUCGUUUUGUUGAUAGCAACUGAAUUGCUUAGUACAGUAUUGCCUUAGGCCCAGUUGUUAUCAAAGAUCGAAUAUGUAGAACUGGCAAGCAGUUAAAGGCCAACAACUGAUUCAUAUUUCAACAUUGUGUUACAGCCUUUUGUUUGUCCAGGAUUAUUAUAUGCAGGAUCCUCGGGAAUUUAUUUAUUUUUCUAAUUUUAGAUUCUUGUUGGAAUUUCUUUCAAUCAUAUUUGAUCAGGAAGAACUGAAAGAGUGGGACCAGUGCCUCCUGAUGCUUGGCGAUGCCAAAGUUGAUGAGCAUGGAAAUAUUACAGACACAAGAGAUCUCAACAUUAUGUAUUUGGACAAGGAUGGAGAAGAUCGGGAAAUCAAUGUAAGUUGUCCACUCCAAUAAAACAUGUAAAAAAAAAUUCCUACCAAAUCUUCCAGGAGGGAGUGUGAAUCUUUUUAAGUUAUCCCUCACUGUUUCCUGCUACUUUUAAUCCGUAAAUGAAACUUGAUAUAAAAAGAAACCUCUAUUGGUAUGUGCUCAAUAUAUUUACAGAACUUACAUAUGGUGGCAGAUUUUAGCAGCAAUUUGCUUUUUAAGAGGUAAAGCAUAUGAAGCAUUGGAAAAUCGUGCACAGGCUCGCUUGUGGUGAGUUAGUAUUCAUGUCAUAGUUGUUACACUAUUUUUGACUGCUGCAUUUGUAUUGAGAGUGUAGCUUUCAUUAAUGUCUUAUGUUAAUUUAGAUUUUUGGUUUGAGAAUGGUACGAUGUUUUACAUGUAUAACUUCUGCCUUCCCAUUUCCUUUCACGCAUCUUGUUGUUCCCUUUCCUGGUAUUUCCACUCCCACUCUCUUGAGUUUAUUUAACUAUUGGUACUCUGUGGGUCAAUCACAUUGUUGUACUCUGGUGUUGAUGUUUAAAGGUACAAAGCAGCUAUCAAGGCUGAUCCUCUGUGCUACGAGGUAAGACUGAUUUUUUUUUUCGACAUUUGAUCUAGUUAUUCUUGUCAAUAUUAUCUGAAAUUUUUCCUUGAGGAUGUCAAAAAUGAUCUUAAGCUCCUUUAGUGGGCCUUUGGAGUAAUAGGAAGCUGGGAUCCUAAAAUUCGAUCAGUUUUCAUGGUUGUUGAUUGUCUUGGAACCUUGUAGACUGCGAUAUGGCUACAAGUGUCAGAUAAUAAACAACUAAAACUUUGUAGCUCUGAGGUCCUUAAUGCGUGCUUGUCAAAGAUGAAGACACGGGAGGAUACUAAGGAGAGGGUUUGCUAGUAUGUGUUUUACAAUGGGUGAUACAUUUGAUUUUGAACCUUAUCAAGGAUUGAAUUGUAACAUUUCCAAGUGGUAGAUUUACUAUAGAGCAGUUUCCCCAUUAAUCUGACUAGGUCAUGCCUCCUCCUCGUCUUUAUGUAUCUCCUUUUACUCUCAUCCGUCUCUCCUCACUCAGGUUUUUCUGCAUUCAGGCAUUGGAAUGUCUUACAGAAAAUCAUAUGCUCACUUGUGAGGAAGGUGAGAAGUGAUGGAACUUUUCAUGCUUUUCAGGGACCAAAAGAAUUUCAAGCAUUUGUUGUCUAUCUUGUGAUAUUUUUGUUGAAUAUUUGGUUGAUUUACUGUGGAAUCUCUUCUUCUGUGUCUAAAUCCUCUGGAUUUCCUGGUUGCGAUAAAAAUAAACAAUGAUAUUUUUUCAUGUUAAAUUGCAGAGACAAGAUUACUGUCAUCACUGAAUUGUGGUUCUGUAGAUGGCUGGCUUUCUUCAUUCUACACAUGUUUGAUGAAGAAGGUAAUAAUGUCCCAGUGGACAGGAUUAUAUUGAUGCGGUGGUUGCUUCUUCAUAUUCAUUUUUAUCAAGCUACGAACUUUUUUAUGUCUUCUACUUGUUCUAGAUGCAUGUAUCUUCCUAGUGUCCUCUUUUGUGAAUUAAACAUAUUUUCCUUUUCAUGUUAUUGUCCAGUAUGAUAAGAAAAACGUAAUAGAAACCAAAUUUAGAGAACUAGAACAGGAAGACGCUGAUGCAAACUCCUCAGAGAAAACCUUCUUGUGUACACUGAGAAACAAUACCGACCUUUUGGCCUGUAAAGCUGAGUACUACCAUCAGUGUGGUGAAUACCAGAAGUGCUUCCAGCUUACCUCAGUGUAAGCUUGCAUUUUUGUUGAAAACAGAAUUGUUCAAACUCUUUACAACCGAACUGCUGGAUUGAGACUUUGUUUUGUUCCAUAUGAUGUAAACCAGAUUGCUUGAAAAGGACCCUUUCCACAUGAAGUGUACACAAAUACACUUAGCAGCAGCUAUGGAGCUUGGGCAUUCAAAUGAGCUAUAUCUUAUGGCAUGCAAUUUAGUCAAGGACUAUCCUCAGAAGUGAGAAUUCAGAACUUCUUUCAUUUGUUUGAAAACCUUGUUAUCUGAAUUUCCUGUGAAAUGGAAGACUUAAGACUAACGUUUAAUAUAUCUCCUUUGUAAUCUGUGAUUUGAAUUUGGUCUAUUCUGCUAGUGGACAACUGAGAAUAGAACGGAUAAAUGAUUGAUGCAUCAUUGAAUCUUCCGACUUUAGCACAUACUUAGGCAUUUAUGCUUCGAAUAGAAGAGCAUUCAGAGAGUUAUAAAAUGUUUGAAGAUCUCAGUUUUCUUAGGGUCUCAUGCCCACCUCCCUGGAUAAAUAAAAGCACAUAUUCAUGAUUUAUACUUAACGAUGAUAGGUGCUAAAUCAUUCUCAUAUAUUUUGAGGUACCAACUUUUUUGAUUGUGACUGAAUGAAGUGCAUAUUGCUGUUUGUGUGUCAAGGAGAGUAUUUUUGAGAAUUCUUUCCUGUGGUUCAUUUUCUGAAUUUGAUCUAUUCAUCAUAGACGGAAUGGAACAUUUUUCUAAUUUGAAUCUGAUAUAAUUAGGUAGAGGCUAAGUAUAUGAAUAAUGGCAGCAAUCAGCAUUUUGAUGGCUUGUAAUUAUCUUCUCUUCAGAGAAAUUAUUUUUCUCUUUUUUGUAUUUGAGACAACUGGUUGAAAAUCAUUGUAUGAACCUUUUUGUCUUCCUUUGAUGUUCAUUUCCACUUCAUCUUUACAGCUGAUUGACUAAUUUGGAUACCUCUCUGUAGGGCCCUGUCAUGGUUUGCUGUAGGUUGCUACUACUAUUGCAUCAAGAAGUUUGAUCAGUCACGUCGCUAUUUCAGGUACAGACUAGUGGUAGUAGAAGACUCAGGUUGUGGUUCUUAUUAUUAUUAUUUUUUUAAAGUAACUGAUGUAUGCUAUAGAGGGUAGUGUUCAGUGGUUUCAGUGUAUAAUGGAUGAAUACUUGGAAUAGAUUCUACUGCAUAACAUAUCUCCUGGAAUAUUAUACAAGUAACUCUACUAUUGAAUAAGCUUGGUAUGUCACUGUUUAAACCCAUGAGGCGCCUUGGUAUGCCACUGUUUAAACUGAUGUGGCAGGAGUUGCUCAACAUCCUUAACUUGUAAGACUAACAGUCUACUUUGUUCUUCCUCUUCUUUCUUUCUUUAUCUUUUUAUUUUUUAAGUAGAAGAGAAACUAGUUGGCUGCAACUGAAGCUGCCCAAACCAUUUAUUUGCUUAGCUUAUGCAGCAGAUCAAAUUGGCUGCAGUGUAUGAAUUUUUGUUUGAUUCCUAUUUAGUUCUGUCAUUUUUGCAGCAAGGCAACAAGUUUAGAUGGGUCUUUUGCCCCUGCUUGGAUAGGUUAUGGGAAUGCUUAUGCUGCUCAAGAAGAAGGAGAUCAAGCAAUGUCUGCUUAUCGCACUGCUGCACGUUUAUUUCCUGGGUAAAUCUCUCUUUCUUAAGUUCAAUAUGAACUGUCUGCCAAAUUUUUGUGAUCUGUAUGUUAACUGAAUUUUUUUGCCAGAUCAUUUGGAGGAGUUUUUUUCAAUGUGGAGUCUAUAUUAGCUGAACCUGUUUGCAGCACAAUUCAUUUUUAAAAGUUAUUUUGAUGUUGAGUCUUUUCUUAGAGGAGCUAAUCUUCUCUAAUUACUCCCAAGAGUAGCUUCUGUCAGUCAUUUCAAUUUUCACAAGCUUUAUUGGUUGUUCCACAGAGUUGUAUGAAAAUGAUUCAGUAGUUACAAGUGCACUUCACAUUUUUGACACUGAUGAAAAUACUUUGAAGCUGUGCAUUAUGAGGGCCCUCUUAUUACUUAUGGAGUAUUAAUUGUCUUUUACAGGUUGAAUGUUGAUAUUCUCUUAUUCCAGGUGCCAUCUGCCUACUAUGUAUAUUGGGAUGGAAUACAUGCGAACUCACAGUUUCAAACUGGCUGAGCAGGUGAUCACGAGUUCUGCUGAGUUGGAGAGUGUGUAUCACAUCUCUUUGCCGAUUUUGCAAUUUUUUUAAGGGAAAAGACAAACCCAACUUCAAUGUUUUGGCAGGCAAUCUUUAUAUUCGGUAUUCUGAUAGGAUUUUGUUUUCAGUUUUUUAUGCAGGCUAGGGCAAUAUGGCCUUCAGAUCCACUUGUCUACAAUGAACUUGGAGUUGUUGCCUAUAAUAUGAAGGAGUAAGAAGCAAUUCCCUGAAAAAUUGUUUUUCCGCUAAUGAGUAUUUUUGCUGUAGUACCUCUUUCCCUCUUGAUGGUUGUAGUUCGUUGCACUUUUUAUAAAAUUGUUAGCCUGUUUGUUUAUUACUAGUCACAGUAUUAGGAUAUAGAACAUUAGCUACUGAAAAGCAAUAUAGUUUGUCUAGGUUUUUUAAGCAUGGUGAUUUGGUCACUGCUACACAUUUCAGUUGGUUUUAGACUAUCUGGCCUAAAAUUUGAUACUGGAAUCUCCCUGAACAGAUUAAUACAGUUUAAUUUGGUACAAUCAUCUUAGUUUUAGCACAUUUGCUAAUUGCGAAAUUCGAGGAUGAAAGGGAAGAUGAGGAUCCCCAAGCUAGGUGGAGUUUAGAUACAACAGUGUGAUGAUAGUAAAAAUUGAUAAUAUUUUGGGAAAAGAAUAACUAGCAAGAUAUCCAAUUUCAUAUUAAGGGAAUUAUUUAGCUUCUUUACAUCCAUUUAACUUGGACCUAAAAUAUUCGGUACGUCCUGGUUUAUAAAUUUCUUUGACUUGUCAAUUUGUUAAUCAUAUCUUUGAAUCUUACUAAGUCUCUACUUACUUUCUCAUCCCAUUGUCCUUCAGGUACGACAAGGCUGUGUGGUGGUUUGAGAGGACAUUAGGUCUCAUUGCAUCCACUUUAAGUGAGACAUGGGAACCAACCGUUGUCAAUCUUGCUCAUGCACUAAGAAAACUAAAGUAUGUCUAUUUUAUUUUGAGUUUAUAGGUGCAUCUUUGAGUACUCUUAGAAAUAAAAUAUAUUUUAUUGAAGACUGAACGAAAAGCAAAAGCCUUGUUUAAACUAACUAAUGUAACCUAUUCCGUAUCAGGAGGUACAAUGAAGCAGUAACAUACUAUGAAAAAGCUCUUGCGUUGUCAACAAGAAGUUUGAGUACGUAUGCUGGUCUUGCAUACACUUACCACCUGCAGGUAAUUAACUUCGCUGAGGUUUGCUUUGCCUCCUGUUGUAUCUAUGGAACAAGCAUGUUUUAAAUAUUUCGCUGAUAAUGCAAUCUUUCUGCAGAACAACUUUACUGCUGCAAUUGCCUAUUAUCACAAGGUAUACUAUUUUUGCUCUAGCCCUUGCUUGCAAGAACCAUUAGAAUGACAAUCAAAACAUGACUAUAUUUCCCUGAAUUUUACAAACGCAUUGUUCUUUAGUCAUAAUAAAAUCCAUGGAGAGGCCACUGAAAAGAUGGUGUCGACCAUUUUGAUUAUUCUGUUUCCCUGGUUCUCAUUCAGUCUCACCUCCCCACUUUCUCAAACAGGCGUUAAGGCUAAAACCAGACGACCAAUUCUGCACAGAAAUGUUGACCCUGGCCCUUGUUGACGAAAGCCACCUUGGUACAAGCAACAAUUCUGAUUUUCACCGCAGCGAGCUGCUCUUUUAGGAAUAGGGAUAUUUUUUUUCUGCUGUAGUUUGUAUGUAGUUGUCAAUCUCAUUGGUAACACCCUAUUUGAGUAGGUCAACACUCAAGUAAUUCUGUGUUGUUGUACCGAAUUAGAUGUAGUAUACUUUCUUUUUUUUUUUCCCCCAUUUUUCCCUCUCUAAGCGUUCAACUGUACUUCUAUAAUUUCACUUAAAAAUCUUUCGUAGAAUUUGUUUCUUGCCUAAUCUCAACAGUCUGAAUUCUUUUGAUAUCUACGGAGCUGAAGUAAGACGUCUUCAAUCAGCAGUUUCUACAGACCGUAGGGUUAAGCUUUUCUACCUUCACCUCCAGGAACAUGCCACGGGAACUUCAAGGGCCAAAUUUCGAUUCUACAGACGUAGUUUCUGGUGGAGUGAACACUUUCUAUUAUACUGCAGGUGGCUGUCAAAACGACAGAGUUGAUUUGUAUUCGGCUUUUAUAAGCAUCCAUGCUUAUGAUGAGAUAUUUUUAGAGCUUCGAUAUUUUUAGAGCUUCAAUUAGCGUUCGAUUUCGUAUUAAAGCAGCGUAGCAAUAAUGACAAAAGUUGAAUAAAUCACAGCAGUCUUGAUGAACAACACGGAUGGCCCUUCCUUCCAAGUAAAUCAAAAGAUGCACUGACGGUCCUUUUUUUUUUUUCUUGAAAUUUAUGGGAAAAAGGAAAUUGUUGGACUUCUGCCUUUGGUCCAGAAAGGAUGCUAAUUGUGAAAAGGACAGCCAUGGCCUGAAGACGCUGAGAUGUUGGCGGAGUCAGAGACAUCCGAUCGCUUAAGCAACCCGGCGAAUAGCUCCGCAGGAUCAUAGUAAACUUCCACGUCUUCUGCCCUCAAUGAUUCAUCAACCUGCCAUAAAUAUUCAAAGAAAAAUACCAAAUCAAUUGUUGAUAUUACAUCACUACUUUUUUCACUAAUUAAGUUCGUGCAAUAUUAAUUGCAUGGAGACAAUCUAUUUUUGUCCAGUUGUGGCUGUUAUUGGCAAAACAAACGGAAAAAUGAUGUGGGAGGGGGUACCGCGCGAGGCGCUUUGCUUACCUUCAUGACUGCGAGGCCGUAGAACUGGACCAUCUCCCCAGUAGGGGCAUGGCCUUUGAAAGGUCCUUCAAAGUAGCCCCAGUGCCUGAAUUUGAAGGUGACCACUGGGGGUCCGGAAUAAACACUGAUUACUUCCCAUGCAAAUCCACGAGGAAAGGCUGAGCGGAAUGCAUCAUGAGAAGAUUCAAAGCUCUCUUCUUCUGCUUUGUAGUACUUGAAUUCCUCUGGCAUUGAACUCUUUAACAACGCAUUGUAGCUCCCCAGCUUUAGUGUUUCUUCCCCUGAUAAUCCCUCUUUUCCUGCCCUCCCAAACCAAAUUAUUAGCCCAUAUGAUAAUACCACUACUUUUCAUGUUGCAGUAAAAAACUCAGGAUUAUUUAGAUUGUACAGGGAUUUUAAUCCUGAACGCCUAAGGUUAGGUUGUAACUUGUAAGUAAGAUUCUCGACAAUUAGCCUUUAACAAAUGAUAAUAGAAAAUACUAAUUAGUUUGAUCAACUUCAUAUUAGAGAUUGGUGGGAUAUUAGCUGUAACGCUUAUAACCUAUUCUAUUCUACUCUAAAGAAAAGAAGGUUCCUACUCAGAUAUGAGGAGUUGAGUUAAAAAGGAAAGAUCCAUCCAAACCAAAGAGGUGUACUAUAUAUUCUUUGGAUUUUUUUUUUUUGAAUAUCCAAAUAGACAAGAAAGUAGCCUUUGGUGUUUAAGACGUGGUUAAAUCACAUAAUCAACAAUCCCUUGGUUUUUUAAGUCCCCCAUUCAAGAAAAGACUGGAUACAAAAACACGAGAACAUGUGUGCUGCGUGGAAAACAUUAGCUGAUCGACAUCUCGCAUGAUUCAUGAUGGUGAUAAAUGACUACUGAAACAUAUAGCAUCCAGAUGAGGGGAAAAAAGAAAUCAUCGAGGGUUGCCUUAGAGUUGUUUAUGUGAUAAUUUGUCCUACCAUUGACGAUAAGCUUGAAUUUCUCAGGAUUUAUGGUCCUGAAAUCUUGUAUACGAGUCUUGUGAGACAGCUCCAUCUCCCAUGACUUUACAGCAUUUUGAACUACCUCUUCUAGGGACCCUUUUGGCCAUUCCUGCAAACCAUGUUGAUAAACAUGUAAACGUUGGAGCAGGGUUUACUCAUUUUGAUACCAGCAGAUUAAUACAUGAAAGAGAAAAGCGGGGUUUGAAAAAGAUGAGAAAUUCCAAGCACCUUAGUUCGGCCUUCUUCAAAAACCUUGUUGACAGAAUCGUAAAUUGGAGGGCCACCAUGUCUCCACUCAAAGUUUUGUCCUUCUUCGUGUAGGAAAGACCUAUACUUAUCAGCUGCAACUGCUUUGUCGGUGGCCAUGGGAAGAAGUUCUUGCAGCACAGAUUUUACUAUAUGCCUGUAGUUAUAGGACUACUUCACAGAAUUCAUAUAAAAUGGCACGGUGAGGUUUGGUAUAAAUACUAUUAAAUAGGCAAUUAGUUGAGGAGGUUGCUUUGAUGACUUUCCUUCUUAUUCUUGUUCUUACCGCAAUUAGUUAGUCACGUACUAAACUGCAAAUUAAUUAACUGUAAUGCAGGUUUUAAACGAGGGCCGUUUACUUUCUUGGAACUGGCUUACCAAUGGUGUAAAUUAAAAAGGUCGCAAGAACUGAUGUAGUGAUCAUAUAUUGUUAACCUCGAGAGGAAUCAUGAAUUCGAUAUAAUCAGUUAUAGUAAUUGUUUUCCAUGAAUAACGAUAGCAAGAUAGCCAAAAAAAAAAAAAAGUUUACUUCGGGUGCUGAGUUUUAGCAUAUUUUGGGGUAAUUCUACCGCAGGUUGUGUUCACUGUUCAACUAGCCGUACACCGACUUCUUCUGCAAUUGAAUGUACGACACCAGCAAAAACAAGAUAUAGAAAUUACAUUCUGUCUUUGUGUAGAAUACAGUAAAUAACUACACACCAAAAUGCGGCAGUUAUCAAGUCAAUGUCAUGGAAGGCUUUUGAGAAGAUUGAAACAAAUUAAAUUAGCAGACAUGCAUUACAGAUAAAUCAAUGUGUAUAGAACAUUAUUAUGAAUGAAUAUGAGCAGAAGCAGAUACCGUCCAUUCGUUAGUAAUUUCGGAAAAUAUUUGCGGGUUUUCCUACAAAUUCUUUAUUUGUUUAUUCCCAUUCCUAGAAAUGCUGGUUCGAAGGAUAAUAAGAUUGCCAAAAAUUAGGUUGUCUUUGGAUUGGCAGAUUGAACGAAGAAUUUAAAAUCUUUUCUACUUUGUCUAAGUUAUCUGUAUCUAUAUAAAUUACACAGGAGGGAUUCCGAUUAGGAACCAUUCUAGACCUCCAAACUCUUAAUUCUUUUUUUUUUUAAAUAUAAAUUUUCUAUUUAUUUUAUUCGUAAAAUGUAAUGAGUUAGUUUCAAAAUCCUGAUUGUAGACUAUAUUCUCAUCAUUUCAAAACUUAAAUUAUUUCCAAACUCUCAAUUCCUUUUUUGUAGAUUUUUAAAUUUAUUUUAAUUCCUAAAAUGUAAUGAGUUGAUUUCAAAAUCUUGAUUGUAGAUAUAUUCUCAUCAUUUCAAAAAUUUGAAUUAUUUCCAAACUCUCAAUUCCUUUUUUGUAGAUUUUUUAAAUUUAUUUUAAUUCCUAAAGUGUAAUGAGUUGAUUUCAAUAUCUUGAUUGUAGACUAUAUUCUCAUCAUUUCAAAAAUUUGAAUUAUUUCCAAACUUUCAAUUCCUUUUUUGUAGAUUUUCUAUUUAUUUUAAUUCUUAAAAUAUAAUGAAUUUAUUUCAAAAUCUUGAUUGUAGACUAUAUUCUUGUCAUUUCCAAAUUUAAAUUAUUUCUAAACACUCAAUUCCUUUUUUGUAGAUUUUUUAUUUACUUUAAUUCCUAAAAUGUAAUGAGUUGAUUUCAAGACAUUGAUUAUAGACUAUAUUCUUAUCAUUUCUAAAUUUAAAUUAUUUCAUAUCCUAACACCUUGAUGAUACACGCAACUUUUAACAUUUGAGAGGAAUAAGGAACAUUCUGGUCCGCAUACAUUUUUCAUUAUGUCUUAUCUUAAUCUUAAUUUUUUAUUGUGAAUUCUUUUUUCUUUAUCUUCAAAAUCUACUUUGGUUUCUAUAUCUAUUAUUUGCGUUUUCAGAUUAUGAGAUUAUCUAGACAAAUGCUGGAUUUUACAUAUUAUCACCUCUAUUUCUAUACAUUUAUAAAUUCUUCAUCUAGUUUUUAUUAUAGACUCUUUGGAAAAGGUCCUAAAUAGUACUCUCUUUCUCCAGAAAUAUGCUAUCCAAAAAUUAAAAAAAAAAACAAUUUACAAUCUAAAGACCUAGCAAGUACAUGAAAUAAUGGCGAAAAAGGAAUGGGUUAGUGGUAUAGGAGAAUAGGGUUUUAGAUUUGAGACCUCCUACUUAUACUAAAAAAAAGUAUGUGAAAUAAUAAAAAUUAAAAAUAAAACUUCAUUUUAAACCAUUAUGAUUGAAGCAACUUAUACAAUUAUUAGGUUAAAAAUGGCUAUAAAUUUAGUAAAUGAACGACUAAUAUACAAUUUUUUGAUUUUGUUAUGGGAAGUAACAUAUGCAAUUUCCAUUCAAGAUAAAAAUAUAAAAAUAUAGUCAACCAAUGGUCUAAAUUUGGUUGCAUAAGAAAUAGAUUGAACCCUUUACCACUUUUAUCUAAAAAGAUUAUUUGUGAUAGAGUACAAUAAAUUAAAAAAAAAAAGAGUUCUUCGCUAAAAGAAAAAAUUAAUUCUUAUUCUUACGUCAAGUGAAAUACCAAUACAAGAUUAUAUAGUAUUUUUUCUUAAGAAUUUGUGGCAAUCUUCAAGUUUAUAUAUGUAAUUAAUUUUGAUAAAAUUAGCGGAUAGGAAAGGUGUGAGAAGGGGUGGAAGAGUAAAAAAAAGUUGUGAUAAAUUUAAUUUUUAUACAUUAUAGUGAAUUGAUGGCACAUGUUGUUUUCUUUUCAUGAAAAUUAAACUGUAAAAGUACUUUUAUCAAUUUUUUAUAUACUGUGCAUACUUCUAUUUGUCAUACUCUAUGUCUUGAUUUAAAAGUUUGCUCACCUCUAUUCAUCAAUGUUCUACUACUUAAGUUGCAUAUAUUUAAAGCAUUACAUUCUUGGUUUACAAAUAUGAGGCUAGGUUGAAAAUUGUAAAAUGAUGUACCAUUUAACAUUUUUAGGCCAAAUAAACAAACAAGUUUUUUGAAAUUUUAAAAAUUAUAUUAAAUAGAGCCUUCAUAAUUAUUUUUUAUUCUUAAAUAUAUUCGAUAUUAUGAUUGAGAAAUGAGUUUAACAUUUUGGCAAAUACUUUUUGAAAUUUUUUUGAAUGUUGGACAUGAUGGUUGAGAAAUGAAUUGCCAAUUAGCAAAUAUAAUUUGGUUAUAGAUCUAUUACAAUUUAAUAUCAUAUGUUUUAUGUGUUAUACCACUUUUUUUUAAACGAAUGUUUGUACUAGGUAGACGGUAGCUAAUUUUUUUUUAGUAAGGAAAGGAUGGGAUUUAUAAAGCUAGAAAGGGGAAGAAGCAGCUAAAAAUUGUUUGACAUUUCAUAGAUUAAAUUAUAUUGUAUUAAAUUUAUUUUUUCAUAACAUUCUUUAUGAUCAUGUGUAGCACGGAUUUUUAGACUAGUAUGGAUAAUUUUGGAGGUAUUUGGAUUCUUAAUCUACAAAUUGUUCUAACUUUUAAAUAAUUGGUGAAUUAUAAACUCAAACACCUCCUAAGUAAUGAAAACAAUCUAGAGAAAUUUAAAAAUAUUUUAAAUAUUUUAUCAAAUCCCUCAAUAUAUUAUAGAAUUGGAACCUGUCAAAUGAAUUUUAGGGUACGGAUAAUAUAAGAAACCUCCCUUGAGGUUUUUCCUUAUAUCACUUCGCACCCCUAAAGUUUUUACGUUCUCUAAUAAUUGUAAAAAUUCUAUAUUAACCCUCACUUGAUAUAUAAUUCACAUAUCAAAUAAAUGGAGUUAAAAAAUUUUUAAAAAUAAAAGUCACUUUCUUCUCUUUUUCUUUUCUUCAACAUUCUCUUUUACUCAUUUUUUUCGGAUGAUUAUUUGAUAAAAAUUUGUAAAUUAUAAGAAAUUGAAUUUUGUUUAUCUUUUACUUUUUAUUAUCAUGAUAGAGUAGAGUCUGGUUUAUUUGCUUAUUUUGGGUUGAUUUUUAUAAUGAUUAAUACAAUUUAAAGGUUUGGACAAGGAUUGAGAAGAAGUUGAAAAAAAAAAAACAUAAAGUUCAUAAGAAAUCGGCAUUGAGCAUGCACAGUUAAAUUAGUCAAGUAUAUCUCUUUGCAAAUAUCAUUUUUAUAUUUCAAAUGUAUAUUUUUAUGGACUCUAACAUUAUGAUGUGGUAGUACUAUUAGAUAUUGUUUUUUGAGAUGAUAGUUUUCUUGAAAUAAACAAAGCGAUUGAGGAGUAUUUUUAUUUAGUAAGUAGAAGGGUAGUUUAGAAUUUUUUAAAAUUUUGUUACACAAAUAACAAAAAUAAGGAAAGUAAAUGAUAUUUUUAAAACUUUAGCGAUGCUAGGUGAUAUUAAGAGAAAUCCUCAGGGGAGGUUUCUAAUAGUAUUGUCCCUUGGAGGUAUCAUAUGCAUAUGCAUGAUGGAAUAUACUCGUCAUGAUAUACCUUUUUCUUUUUUCAUUAGACUGUUUCUGCAGCACAAAGGAAAGGUACUUAAUUCAUUUUAUAGUGCAUCAUAUCACAAUCAAUGGUGGAAUAGUUUGCCCGAAACCUAAUUAAGAAUCUUUUGACGAACGAUAGCCUCUUGUAUGGCUUCAAUGGGGGCUCGAUGAUAGACUCUGAUAAUUUCAAGAACAGAAGUUGUUGGUACUCAGACCACGAUCUUCGUCAAAUAUAAGGAUGGGAAUGAAGAUCAAGGACCAAUAAAUUUCAGUGCAUGGGACCAGAAAGAAAGAUUGAGACGUGGCUCAAAUCUGAAGAGUGGAAAUGUUGCUUCUCAAAUAAAAAAAAAAAAAAAAGGUGCACGGAUGUCGACUUCUCAAAUAUUAAUUUCUUGACCGGGCAACGUUGAAUAUUUUGCAUAUGUCGGACAAAAAAUAAAUGGAGUAAAAGAUGUGGGGACUCUUAUUGCCUGCAGAAAUUGUUGUUAAUAAUGGAGUUAUUUAUAGUGUUCGGUAGAACAGCUAAUUUUCCUUUCCCAUAGUAAUUACUCCCUCCGUCUCACUUUGAUAGUCCCAUAUUUUUUUUUUUUACACAGUUUAAAAAAAAGUAGUUAACUUUGUUGGAAAAGUAAAUCUAGAUUGCUAUUUUUCUAAAAUACCCUUACAUUAAAUAUGGUACAACUUUAUGGGAACUUGAAUUGAUGAUAAAAAAAGAACCAACUCUCAUUAAAUGGGGUAGGUUUAUAGUAACAACAACUUACAUUGAAUAAGGAUAUUUUAGGAAAAUUAAAAUACAACUACAUUCUUCAAUUGAAAAGUGGACUACAAUUUGAGACAGACGAAAAAGAAAAACAGGACUAUCAAAGUGGGACGGAGGGAGUAUUAACUCUAUGUGUUCAUUGCAUCGGACAUGUCUGAGGUCUCUUAUCUGGCUUUGGGAAUAUGGACUAGCGGUAGCGUUCUGCUUCACUGACUGAAGUGCUGCAAGGAAGGAGCAUCUGCUUCCCGUAUGAUGACCUUCUUGUACCCUGCUUCUCACGCUGAUUCCAUGCCAAUGCAAUGUGCCCAGAGUUCCGCUGCUGUGUUGCUGGCUAUCCAAUGUUGGCUGAGAAUCUUCCAAGCCAAUUCUCCAUUUCAUCUCUCAAAGAGUACCCCCGGCCCCUGCUCUUCUUUCCAAUUCAUGGCCAUUGUAUUUGCAACAAAAUUAGGUCAAAGCCAAAAAAUGGUCCAACUUAUAAAUAAGAAUAGUAAGCAAAACUGGAGAUCCACACCAAUCAUGUAGAAAGUUAACUUCUGGCAUGUAGAUUACAUUUCAUAUCACUGUUUCAACAAAUUUCGAAAUUGUAUGCGCGAAAGAACCAAAAAUUCUUUUUGCUCAUAUGGCCCUGAAAGUUGAAGGCAAAAAAAAAGUGUCAAAAAAGUACAUUCUUGAAAGUUUCAGUUAAAUCAAUUCAUUCUUUCUUUCCCCUUGCUACAUCAACAAGAUACUGAUCCAGAUGGUUGCCAAAUGUUUUUGUGGAGAAUGAUUGAGCAAUGUGAAGUCGAGCUUCUCUACCCAUUCCCUCUGCCAUCUCGGGUUUCUGAAUGAGUUUUGCCAUAGCCAAAGAGAAAUCUCGUGGACUGGGGUCACAAAGGAAGCCUGUCACACCAUUCUUGAUUGUCUCAACAGGACCACCACUGUUGCAAGCAAUAACUGGUUUACAGGAUGCCAUUGCUUCCAGAGGAACAAUGCCAAAAUGCUCAUCCUGCAUCAUUAUGUUAUCUCUGGUCAAGAAGUUUUAUGCAAAUCCAGCCCCUUUUACAAGAGCCUAGAUGUUGCCUUACCUUUGGUGUAUAAAGAACGCACAAACACUCAGACAAAAGUGCAUUUCUUUCUGAUGUGGAGCAAGACGUGAUGAAGUUGACUCGAUCAGAGAUACCUUCCCUUUGAGCUAAGUCUUUAAGUUCCUCCAAAUAAUCAACAUUCUCUCUAAGGCGUUUAUCAUAUCCACCUGCAGAAAGACGUUGCAUAGAAUCCAUAUGAAUGGGUUGUGCACGCAGAAAAUUCAGUAUUUUGUCACUUUUAUAAAUCUUAGACAUGCUUGCGCACAAUAUUUCACAGGGUUGAUGCCAGCAGCUUGCCAUGGUCUUUCAUAGUGAAACCUUUACAGACCUCCCAUUAAUUUGCAUCUUGGACAUUAAAUUGUAUUAUUUCUUAUAGAAAACUUUAAAGUUUGUCCUUUGAAUGCACACCAUGUACCAUAAUUGCCUAUCGAAAUAACAAUCAAUUUAAUAACAAGCUCUCAAAAUAUACCACAGCUUUUUAGGGAACCUGCCACGCAAAUUUUUCUAGCUUCCUUGUGUGUGAGGGUGGAUCACAGGGAAAUAAAAUUGUCUACUUCAGCAAAUAGACAGUGAGAUCUAAUAGGUUAAUCUGCCAAUAAUCAUGACACAAUAUGCUUCCACAAAAGUCGAAGCAUGAUAAAUUUGCUAGCUGUCAAGAGUCAAUAAUUGGUUUUGCAUGACCCAUACAUAAAAAGGAGCUACUAUGAUGCAAAACAAUUCCUGACUGCCUCUCAUUUACCAUCCCUUUGUUUUACACUUUUAAAUGUUAAGGGAUAUUGACCUUCAUCUUUUGCCUUUAGAAUCUUCUGGAGGGCUUGAUUUCAUUACAAAUAAUGCCACCAACUACAUAUUCUUGGCCAAAGGUUUAUAUAUUAGCUUGGCUGAGACAGAGAGGUCAUAAUAGCUUAUCUUCUAUAACAUCAACCAAACAUAUGACAUCAAUACAAAAUAAAAUGCAAGUAUAUGACCAAAAUCAAUGCCGUAUUGCAAUUAUUGGUUCAUCAUUGCCACAAACGCAAAAUUGCUUCAUGAACCCAGGUAUAAAACAUUACCUAUCUGAAUAGCCGAAAAAGCUACAAAAAGCACCACAUUUAAGUUUAGACCAAUAAAGAAGAAAAGAUGACUUGCCUGCAAUAGUCAAUGAAGCACCAUCCAGAAUGGCUCCUUGUAGUUCAUCACAUGCAAGGUUCUGAAGCAUAGCAAAGGCAGAUAUUGCUAAUUCUAUGUUCUUCUUCCUUUCAAACCGAUUGAUCGAGAGAAAAUUCAACCUAGAGAAACAAAAACCUUAGGUUCCCAAAUCCCAGAGAUAUUUUAAUAAGGAAAGCAGAAAUGCAAAUACAACUAUGAGAGAGUAAACGUAGAAAUUAUAAUAUGGCAUUCAUGUUGUAGAACCUAGGAAUAAAAGAUACCAAGAGAGGAAGCAUUGUUGUUACUUAAUAGCAUUAGGCUCCUUAAACUGAUCCAAAUUGACUGCAGGGUAAAGUACAGCUGGUCUAAUUCCGAAUGCAUUAAGCCCCUUGAAUGUCCUUGCAAAUGUAGAUGCAGUAAAUUUGCUGUUAACAAGAAUUAGGUCUGCGAUACCUACAGUUCCACAAGGUAUUCAGUGGAGACUCAAUAUACUUCCACAUUGGGGUAAAGAAAACGAAGCACAGACUAUCAAUGCAAAAGAGGUGACAUAAAUAUAAAUGGUAUGGAUAGAGAGAGCAAGAGAGACAGGGAGGAGGGAUUACCAGUUGUUUUUUCUUCUAGAAGGUCAAUAGGUAUCCGAUAUAUCCUCCUAAGAAGAGUAGUGUGUUGGGCUAGCAAGAGAUCAGGAAAAUGGCAGUAAAAUACAACCUAGAAGGGAAAAAACGAAGGGGAAAUAUAAAAAAAAAAAAAAAACCAACUAACUUUAUUUCCUUCUGAGAUAUCCCAAAAUAAUAUCAGUGAAAACAAAAUUUUACCUUUGUUGAUUUCUUCAACUUCAACAGUGGAAUGACAACAGAUACCUGAUCUACAAGUAUAACAUCGAACGAUCGCCAGAACAGCAUCAUACAAACAGCAACAAAAAUGCAACGGAUAUAUGCACAUACUGCAUGAAGACGAUAGAAAAUAUGCCGGGGGAGAAAAGAACCAUAUACAGUAACUGAGAAGAUCCCUGGAAAGUAAUUACUGCACUCUUAGCCUUUAUAUUUAUCAAAAAUAUUCAUAAAGUCUAUGCCCAGGACCAAGGAAAUAUCAGCAAUACAAAUAUUAGAACAAUUCCCCAUUUUACCAGACAAAGUCUCCUCAAAACAGCGUGUUUUAUCAUGAUGUGACGUAAAAACAUGAACUUUAUGCCCAUGAGAUGCAAGCUCCACAGCUGCAUCAACAAUUAAUCUUUCAGCUCCUCCUAAAAACCAAGAAAAUGGUUAUUAUAAAAAGUUCAAGGGAAAAAAUAUAUUAAGGAAGACAGAAUUAGAAGGCAAAAUUGCAGUCCAGCACCAUAAACACGUACAAAAACCAGACUAGAAAUUUUAUGUAUCUUUUCAAGUCUUUGAAGAUGUAAAUGAAUCCAUAUGAGCACAUUCCAGGAGCACUAUCUCUGCCUAAUUAUGACCCACUGGAGAAAGUUUCACCAUGGAUUAAGUGCAAAACAUUCAAAAUAAGAAGUACAUCAACCCUUUGUUUGUGAACCCAUUCUAUACAGAUGCUACAGAUUUAUUCUCUCACUAAAACCCCCAGUAUUUCUCUAAAGUAUAUCUCACAUAAAGUGUCAACUGUUCAAAUUAAAUGAAAUAGUGGACUUUUUUCUUGGUUUAUCAACAGAUGCAUCCAUUCAGACUUACAUGUCAUCCAAUUUCAGGAGCUAAGACAUUCAUGAAUUCUUACCUAGAUGCCACUGCUAAACAAAGAAAAUUACCAUCCUAGGUCUGCAGACAAGCUAGAGAUGGAAAAAAAAAAUCAUAAUACAACAUGUUAAAACCAAUGAUAAAGGCAAAAAAAGAGGUCAUUGUACUAUUGCCGAUUUUGACAACCAAUAAGCGCUAAACAAACCACUUGAUCAUAAGUUGGAUGAGAAUUACAUACAUAAGCAGAAAGUCAUUUCAAUAUAGUUACCAAUUCCAAGAUCAGGGUGGAUGAUAGCCACAUUCAACUUUGAGCUCCCUGAUUUCUCCAUCUCUAUUUAUCCAGACUACACAAAUGAAACCAAAGAACGGGUCAUAAAAAAAUGGAUGCAUUCAUCAGGACAAGCAAUACAAUCCAAGCUAAGCCCUAUCUCGCAGCAUUUUGGUGUCCUUAAAAUUCCAUUUCUUGCUGCUAUCAAAAGAAUACCCUUCCCAUUCCCAAAAGAGCAUGUCAUAAAGUAACUUCUUUAGAAGAUUAAAUAAAUCGGAUAUAGCAUCGCUAAUUUCCUCAUCUCACCAAAGCAAGACAUCACAGCCAUAAAUACAAUUAUGGAUGGUAUUAGAAGGGGUUAAGAUGCUUUCUACGCAUGUUCAUGACACCUAAAGAUUGAAUUUUGUCCAGUCUGUUUCGUUCCUAGACAAUCUAACAGCAGCUGUGAAAUGAAAUGUGGAUGGAAAACUAGUCAAUUCUAAGCUUUUCGACACUCAAAAAUACCGCACAUUAUACGUGAAUAUUCUCCCAAAUGACCGAAUGAAAGUAAGUUCACAAAAAGGGCUCAGAAGAAUUAAGAUUCUUUUAAUGGGUUAGGUCUCUGAAGCCUAUAACAGCAAACAAACAAUCCCCCGCACUUUUAAUUCGGGAAAGAUUGAGAACAUGUAUAUACAUCGAGCUUUCAGACCACCAUAAAGCAACAAAAAUGAAAAAAGAAAAGCAGAACAAUAAGCAUCAAGGAUAGCUAAAAAUCUACCAAAUUGGAAAGAAAAAUAACAAGAAAAAUUUACACACUUAAGCAUCAUAAGAUGAUAAAAAUCCGACCUGACAAUCAGACAGAAGUCCGGACAAGGAAAAGUCAAACCACAAGAAAAAAGUUAGUGCGAAAUGCAAGUACCUGAAUUGAAUCUGUUUUGCGGGUUCAAACUGCUAUUUGGAGUCAGUCACCACACACAUGUAUAUGCAUACAUGCUGGCAAGACGAGAAGACGACGAAGAACAAGGCAACAGAGCAAGAGGAGGAAGAGAGAGAUGGCACCCACCUAAUUUUGGAGUGAAAAUUUGUUUUCCUUUUUCUUCCUUUUUUUUUCUUCUUUUCUUUUUCUGUUUUUGGGAGAAAAGGCUCACUUAGAAAAUUGGAGGAAUCUGGAGGCGUGAUCUAGAACCAUGAUAGCUGAGCAACAAGCCUGAACGUGGAACAGAGGCGUGGUCUUCUGACCAUCCAUGAGAGGGGUGAGAUAGUCAUUUUGAUCUAACUUCAACAGGCUUGGGCUAAGGGAUUGAAGAGCCUUACAAGCCCAUUUUUAAUGCCUCAUAGGCUUGGGCUAAAUCUUUCUAAUUAGGACCACUGGACAGGAAAAGAUUGAAACUCCUUAGUGGCCCAUUUUGGAUACACCGGUCACUGGUGUAGUCAUCACUCAUGCCUAGACUGUGAGGAGUGAGAACUGAGAACCUGAUGGUAGAUAGAAUCAUAGAAGUAUUGAAAGAAACGAAGAAUUACAGAAGAAGAAGAUGACUAUACCAGUACCAGUGGGAGAAGAAGUGGGGCCCAAGCUGGUUCGAUUUCUUUACUUCAUUGGCGCUGGAUGUAAGUACAUGCACUUCCCUGUGCUUCUAUAAAAUAUUUUGAUUUUGUGUAUUUCGUUUUUUUUUUCUGUUUUUUUUUACUAAAUUCAAGAAAGAAAUUUUUUUGUUUUGGUUCAGUUGUAUGCACUGCAGCUAUUAACAAGUGGAGGGAUUUGGAAAGGAAGGCUAAUAUUCAGAAACAGCAAAAAGAGCUGUUGGAAAAUCCAUCACCAAAUUCACAUGGAGUACAAAGUGCUGUGGAGUAGACUUAGGAAUCAAAUAAUACAUGCUCUUCAAGGUUCUUGAGGACCCUUUUAUCAUAACAAUUGGAUCUUUGUCAUAUGUAUUGAAUUGGAGAAAUCUAGGUGAUUUUGCUUUAUGAAUUGGAUGAUAUAAUUUUUUGGUGAUCGAGUAUUAUUAGACUAUCCCGUAAUAUAAGGGUGUGAUUCUAUGGGGAUAAUUUGUCGAAUUAUAUUCUUGCAGUAGUCACAGAGGUCAUCACAUAAAUAAUAUGGACACUGAACAUCUUUAGUUUCCUUUCCUGUGAGUUGUAUUCUUCAAUCUAAGAUGGUGCUCUGAUGAUUCAGUCGAAAGAAAUGCCCUUGAAUUAUAACUCAGGAAUAUAAUUAAUCAAUAGAAUGUCGUGUUGCUGCGUCAGGUCUCCACUCGUUGUGGUAUAGUUCUAUUUCUUUUCAUCGUAUUUUCCUUUGCUUCCCUGUUAGUCUGUUGCCUUGCAGUUUUGGAGCUUUGCUCACUUCUGUUGGUUUGUGUAAUCCCGUUUAGAAGGAGCAUUCUUAUCUGUAGGACCAAUGAACAUUUGACGGACUGUCAUUUAAGGUUCUUAUCGUAACUAGAAGGAUUAGUGGCUACCAGAGGCUAGGGAAUCAUGAUAGCUUCAAAUAAAAAGUUGGACAAUGAGAGUGCGAAUGUAAAGCUAUACUGCAUCAGGACAGAUAUAGAAUGGGCCAAGAAUUUGAUCUUUUGACUACUCAUUUACGUACUAAAUUAAAGGACGUUUAAUGUUAAGAAUUGAAUUGAAGUUUAAGACUGAUUGACAAUAAUGAUGGACAAGAAAACUUUCAGACUAGUAUAAAAUCCUUUUUAUUCUCUGUGCAGCAGGAGUGUAGCUUUUUUCUUCAUCAUUCUUUUAAAGUGUCAUACUGUAAUUCCUCUGGUUUUACCCUGCAAAGGUGCCGUCUUUGAUCAGGGGCUAGAAUUAUCUUAAGUAGCCACUGUUUGUCCUUCCACUUGUGUCUUGUUGAAAAACUUAUUUCCAUGAUUACCAUGAGUGUUGAUCACAUAUUGUAAGGCAGCUGUGCUCACCCUUUUUUUUUUUUUAAUCCACACGAUUAUCUGUUGUAUAUGCAUUUAUGUUUAGAUGUGGAUGGUCAAUGUUACUCGUCAUCGAUUCUCUGCAUUUCCCUUUGUUGAAACAACCUUGUAAUAAAACUGUUGUCAUGGGAUGGGAGAAUAGUAGACUAGCACAGAGCUUACCUGGUUAACCUAUUUGACAGAAUCACCUCCUUAAGAAGGUUAAGGAAAUAGUUGUAACGUAGAUUGUCAUGUCAAAAUAAGAUUGGAUCAUUUUACUGAAUAUAGCUAUUCAUAGAGUAGGGCACGGCUUUACGUGUAAGAGCAAUGGUAGUUGGAUUUAAAUGGGGUUUCUUUGGACUUGCUAAUUCUUAAUAGGAUUCCCUUUUUCUUGGUCUUCGAUUAUGUACUGAUUUUCCUGUGAGUAUGGAUUCAUUUACUGCAUUAAUGGAUAACAUGACAUGAUACUAGAAUCUACAAGUAUUUUGGGUGUUUAAGUAAACCCAACUCUUUUUUAGGACUCUGGUUAGGCAAUUGGAAUGGGUUAGGAUGCUUAUUGCUGCUGAAGGACUUCGAAGUGCAUCAAAUUGAUGUUCUUUUGGCUGAGCUAGGAUUUUGCAUAGCUGGAAUGAUCUCUUAAGCUCCUUUUAUAUUGAUGACAAUGGGAAGACAGACAUAUAACUUUUGUAGGAUUUGCUAAAGUUGAGCUGGAAUAGCUAGCAAGCGUCAAAUAUUACAGCAAAUCUCAAACCAAACAAGCUUGACUUCAUAAAAAGAUGUUCAAGAUUGCAGAAAAGAUAAAUUUUUAAAGCAAUGCUGAAUGACAUUUAGCAUUCUAUCUACAGUACUCUAAAAGAGGGUAGGCCAUCUAUCGACUGUGUAACAAUAAGUACUGUCUUUGAGCAAGAUUUUUCUUUGAAGAACCUUGGUACUUCAUCAGACUCCUAAUAGAAAGUUAAAGUAUGAGUUCGAAUUGUAGCAACUUGUUCCAACAAAGACAGUAGUGCCUAAAUUGCACUAAAAUUCUCGUGGAGUCCAUCAACAAAUCCCAGCUUCCAAGUGUUGUGCUUUUGUCCUUGGCCUUUCGAAGGUCAUGCGAGACAAUGUAAAAUACUUAUGACGUCUAGUGAUGCAUAUAUUGUGAAUGGACUUAUUAUUCUUCUUUGUUUUGCUCCCCAAGUUGGAAAAGCGACCGCCUUGUUCACAUGAAGUUUGCAGGUUUGUGCUAUUUUGUUGCUUGGACUUGUUUGUGGAUCAAAAAAUAGUGCAGCAGAAGAUUAGGCCUUGCUUCAAGCAUCUUAGCCGAACUUUGGGGAAUCCGGGAUGGCCUUGAAGUUGCCUUUUCUGUCAAUCCAACAUGCUUAGAAGUGGAAGUUGAUUGCUCUGAUCUUAUCUAUCUCAUAAAAAAAAAAUAAAAGUGAUCCUAGUAUUGCUGAUAGCAGGUUCCUCUUUUCAUAGUUCCAGGAACUCAAAACUUCCCUACAUCUUUCAGAAGGCAAAUACAAGUGCUGAUAGACUAGCCAGAAUGCGAGGCAAUCUAGACUCUUAAAGUUCUGUGGUUUUUGAUGUUUGUCCUCGUGAUUUAGUUUCUGAUAUUCAGGAAGAUUUGAGGGAAUUUAUGUUUUAGGAUCCCUGUUUUUACCAAAAAUGGAAAAUGUCAACGUAGGUGUAGGAUUAAGCGAGGGAAUUUCACUUGAGAGGCUGGAGUUUCGUCAUAGUUGGUGGACUGAGCGGCCAGUGAGCACAAAAUCGGGCCACUAGAUGCAAGAGAAUUAAUUAGUCUGAGCCAACUUUAUUGACCUUUUGACUUCAACUUCCCAUAUUCAUUUCAUGUGCCACUAGAGCCCAUCGUUUCACUUCCAUUUGCCCUAAAUAUUCACUGCAACUCCAGAAGAGCCCGUUCGGCUUGAAUUUUUUGGGAGUUUUUUUUUUGGAGAAAAAUUAUUUUAGCACUUUUUUGGACGUGCGUAUAUGAAGUAAAAAAAAAAUGAUUAAAAAUCUCAAGCAUUACAUGAUGAAAGCUUGGCAGGUUGUGAAGCUAGCUGUAUGCUGUAGCUGCCAUGAAGACUGCAGAACCAACCACUCAUAUUCUUCCAGGUAACCCCCAUGCACGCUCCUCCCCUUCAGCAAUGAUCAACCGACCACCGUUUCCACCCCCCAUUACUCCACAAUAAAACCUCCCCUGUAUCUUUUUCCUCCGGGCACCUUAUUUCCAUAGCUAAUACUACAGAAAAGAAAAUAACAAAACCCCGAAUCAAAUGAGCUUCCAACGGUUUUAUGAGACCUGGUUCGAGCAGCUCCACCAGCUUAUGAACCAACUCAACCGAGCACCGCGUCAGCCAACGGCGGAGGAAGAGAACCACGAGCUGGUUCAGAAGGUUAUGUCCCACUACUCCGAGUAUUACCGAGUUAAAUCAAUCGUUGCCAAGCAAGAUAUCCUGUCAGUCUUCGCUGCACCGUGGGCCACAACCCUUGAGCGAUCCCUCCAUUGGAUUGCCGGCUGGCGGCCCACCACCGCCUUCCACCUUAUUUAUACUGAGGCCAGCAUCCGUUUCGAGUCACAAAUCUUUGAUAUCCUACGUGGGCUUCGUAAUGGGGAUCUCGGCGACCUCUCCCCAGCCCAGUUCCGCCGUGUAAGUGAGCUUCAAUGCGAAACUGUCCGGGAAGAAAAUGCUAUCACUGAUGAACUCUCUGAAUGGCAGGCAUGCAACUGAUGAGUUUUCUUUCUUUCUUUCCUUCUUUUUUAAUGGUUCGAUUUCUUUUCUUUCCUGCCCAAAAAAAAAAAUUCUUUUCUUUCCCCACUUUCAUGUACUUUCUUUCGGGUGAAGUAGUUGCAAUUUUUUAAGAUUUUACUCAAAACUAUCUCUAAUUUCAAUUUUUUCAGCAUUGGCUUGUAACAUUUCCCAUGAGAAGAAUUUUGAUGAUUCAUGCAUCAGCUGAGCAACCUUGAGUAAAUAAAGUAAUCCCCUUUAAUCAUGUAUGCUACAAAUAAAUGCAUCCCACAUAUAGCUUCGAUAUUUCACUGUAAAUUUCAAUGCUCGAGAAUACUGAACGGGCAUCAGUUUGUUAAUCAUGAUAUAUCAAAUAAAUUCUCCCCCAAAUGAUUUUACAGUUGAAGGCAGCUUAUCUUGUAUUCAGCUUUAUUUUGUUGUUUAGAUGCUUAUUCCUUACAUUUUCUGCAUUGGAAGAAUUAAAUUCCUUAUCUUGAAGGCAACUUAUAUUGGUUAGUUUUCUAUUUUGAAAGCAUCAUCCUUUAAAAUUGCCUGUUUCAUCUCCCUACUUUCUGUCCCAAAAAAAAAAAAAAUCCUUACCUUCUUCAUAGGUGGAAUUAGUUUUAUUUUCCUUUCCCUUAAACUUCUAGAAAAGGACUUUAUAGACGUAUUAAUGGAUAGAUGUGUGGACUGGUGUUAGGAUGGGGCAAGUGAUUUCGUGGGAAUGCGUAGCCAUGGUGAUGGUGGAAAGAUGGAAGUGCUGGUGAGAGUGGUGGAAAAGGCUGAUCAGCUGCGGCUGAAGACUAUUGAGAAAUUGGUUGAGCUGUUCACCCCACGACAAGCUGCAGAGUUCUUGAUUGCGGCCGCCCACCUCCAGUUUGGUGUCCGAGCAUUGGGUGCCACUUAUGAUCGUCGACUCUAAUGUUAUUGUUGCAGAAGUAUUGCAUCAAUAAAAUUAGUCCUAUCUAUCAAUAAAUUUGAAGCAUCUAUCUAUCUCUUGACAAUAUUUGAGUUCAAAAAAUCCAUCUCUUGACAAUAUUGAAGGAAAUCAAAACCAAACUUUAUUUAGUAAUUGCCAAACCGCAGUAUGGUUUUUUGUUUGUGUCCGAGUCUGUGAGUGUUUAUAUUGGUUUUGAUAGUUACCUUUUAGUUAGUUUAGAUUGGAAGUCCUAGUUUAACCAGCAGUUAUUAUUUGUUUCCUUUCUUUGUGUCUAAUUAAAUUGGCAAUUGAAAUCUUGACUGUACCAGAAUUUAGGAUCUGUUUGGCAGGGGAGUUUUUUGUCAAGUUUGUCUCCUAUAAGUUUUUUAACAACUUUUUAGUUAUAAUAAUCUCAAAAAACUCUCCAAAUUUUUUAAACUACACACUUCAAAAUAACCAAAAUACAUUAAAAAAAAAUUUCCCUUCGGUCUUUUUUCUUCCACCUCAACCCAUCACCGCGAACCGGCGCCGACAAUCUCUUCUGGGGCCAAUCACCUCUCUUUUUUCUUUUUUUUUUUUCCUCUUUCUCUUCUCCCUCUUCCUCUCCUCCCCUCUCCAAAGGGAGAAGAUGGGGAUAAAGGCUGUGGGGGAGAGAAAAAGCAAAAAAAAAAAAAAUAUUUUGUUUCUGCUGCUUGUUCUGGCGUUCGAGGAAGAGGUGGCAGGGAAGGGAGAGAGGGAGAGCGAAGGGAGAAGAAGAAAAGAGGAAAGAAAAAAAAAAGAAAAAGAAAAGACAAAAAAAGUUUUCUAUCUUAAAAAAAUUUUUUACAACUUAUACAGUAAGUUAUAAUAAAAUUUUAAAUAAACAUCUAAAAAACUUAUUUGUCAAACAGGGCCUUAGUUUCCUUUAAGUCCAAUAGUUGAAGUCCGAAUUCGAGAUUUUUGAAGAGUUUAGUUGAAUCUUAAAAAGUGAAUUGAAGAAAGCCUUGAGAACUUGUUGAGUUGAGUUAUGAGAUAGGGGAAAACCUCUCAGAAAUGUUAUUUGUGAGUUCUUGUAAGCGAACUGUUACGAUUUGAUAUUGUUAUUAUUGAGUAUUAGAGUUAAUAAAAUUAUUAUUGAGUAUUUGUUUGUGUGUUUUUUCUCUUCUUCUUUUCUCAUAUUUUUUAUAUAUGUUAAAAUGACUUCCAUUGUUCAUGAUUUUUUGUGCUAAUAAGCAGUAUUAGAACUUUGAGUUUUAAUUAUGGGGCUUAUUUGCAAAAUUAAUGCACAAAAAUAGAAGAUUUAUUGUUGAAAAUUAGGACACAAAAUUGGUCCUAAUUGAGUCAAGUUUAAAAUUUUGAAAUAUGGAUCUGUAUUAUUUACAAUAUUAUGCUAUUUUUACCUUUGAUGACAACAAUGAAUUUGAAAUUUAGAGUAUGACAAUGAAGGUGUUUUUUCCAAACUAUAAGAAUUUGGGAUAUUGUUCAAAAAGGGUUCAUGAAACUUGCAAAAAGCAUAGAAUUAUCCAACAAUACAAUUAAAUAGUUGGAGAAAAUUGACAAUUAGACCACAAGACACUUCAUUAUCUCACUACCAAAGUCUAGUUGCAUGUAUUCAAAAAAAUUCAUGCAUAUAAAAAUGGCAAGGGAGAUUUGAAAAUUUUUGAUGAAUUCUAAUUGAAGUGCACUUGAAGAUAAAGAAACCGUGUUCCAAAAAAAAAAUUGCAAGUGGUUGAAAAAGAAAGUGAAAUUAUUAGUGAAAUUAAUGAUAUGAUUGAAGAUCGUGAUGAAGUAGAAAUUCUUGAUUUUGUGGGAGUUGACGGAAUUAUUUGAAAAAGAAAAUCAACUAAUUGAGUUUGUAGAAAACAAUUAUAGAAUGAACGAUUUAGUUGACGAUUGUGGCAGUGCUAAGAUUGAUAUGGCUGUCAAUGUGAACCAAACAAAACAAAAUUAUGGGGGUGUUGAAAAAUUUAGUGAUGGUAACUAUGAUUUUGUGAUUUUGGAAGAUUUUAUUAGCGAUAAGGAUGAAUUAAGUUUUGAAACAUUCAAUCAGACAUGGGCGAACAUGUUUGAAUUUUUUGAUAAAGGUGAUCAAAUCAAGAAAUUAUUCAAGAAGUACAAGUUUCUCCAUUGCCACGUGUAAAAAUGAAAUUGAAAACCAAAUAUAAUUUGGCAUUUCACGUUGUUUCUAUAACCACAUGAUGAGUUUGGUUUAAGAGAGAUAAUAAAAUUAUGACUUGAUAUUAUUAUUAUUAUUAAGUUUUAAGUUAAUAAAAUUAUUAUUGAAUAUUUGUUUGUCUAAGUCCAUUCUUUUUGAUAUUUUAGUUAGCUUUGUGAGAGCUCCAAUUCAACACUUUUCUUUGAAAUUGCGGUCUUAGGAUUUUUUCUCUCUUUUUUCUAUAGUAGGGGUGACGUGUCACGUAGAGGUUUCGUGCAUGCAUGCAUGGCAACACCUGUGUGCUGAUGAAGUGAUGAGUGCUCAUCAUUCGCCAUUUGCCAACAGAAAAUUCUGCAGAUGACACGAACCACCGACUCAGGGGUCAGCUUAAUUACUCAACUUGCCAGUUCCCACAUGACAGGAUUAACUUGUCUCGCUCGAAUUUUUUGUGGUUGAGAUAGAUGGCUCUGGUAAUCAGGUUCUGCUGCUUCAUCUCAUAUAUAAAAGAAAGCACCAGAAAUAUCAGGGUAGGAUGUCUGGCAUUUUCAACCUUUUUCUUUCCUUCGAACAAAAUAGCCCAGUCUUGAAUUGAAUAUUGUGAAUUCUGGCAGCGUAUAGGAGAUUAGAAAGGUUAAAGGUUCCAACGCAUAUCUGGCUUCCACUUAUGGUUUGUGAAAAGACCAUCUUGAUUCUUGAUACGGUUAGAAAUGGCAGAUGCUUUUUCUAACACGUAGAAAUCUAUUGCUAGAUACAUGAUGCAUCAAUUAGCAGAUUAACACUACAAUCUUCUCCCUAGAAGAUUAUUGUGUCAACUGUAUAUAAGGAAUCUCGAGAAAGACAUUGUUGUGUGGCGUAUCAAUUUGCCCAUACUUGUGCACACAGCCGCUUGGUCCUUCCCAAGACGACGCAGCAGUAUUUUACUUCACAUAGUUAUCAGAUGCAAAGUCCAAACGCGCAUAGCCGCUAUUUUUUUUUUUCUUGGAAGAGUAAGCGGGAGGUCUCGAAUUCUCCGGACUUCUCAUUUAUCCUUCCUUCCUUCCGUCCGUCGUAUCAUCAAAUCUAUUUCUUCUCCGGGCAUACACUUGAAACCCCAUAAAAGCAAACCCGCAUGGCGUUCUUAUAUAUUCCCUGAAGCAGUGCCUAAACCUUUUUGAGAUAUGUUUGAGCUUUAAUCGUGCGUUUCUGAGAUUUCUCUUAAUAUCACUUGGCAUUUCUAAGAUUUUCAAAAUAUCACUUAUCUCCCUUACUUUUGUUAUUUGUGUAACAAAAUUUUUAAAAAUCCUAAACUACUCUUUCACUUGUUAAAUAAAAAUAUUUUUAAACUACUUUGUUCGCUUUAAGAAAACUAUCACCUCAAAAACAAUUUCUUGUAGUACUACCACAUCACAAUGUUAUACCCCAUCAAAAUAUAAAUUUAAAAAAUAAAAAGGUAUUUUGGUUUGUGUAAUAGUUACUAGGGGAGGUAAAUGAUAUUUCUAAAACCUUAAGAGUACUGAGUGAUAUUAAGAGAAAUCUCAAGAAAGGUUUCUGAUAUUAUCCCAAAAAAAAAAAAAGAGAGAAAGAUGUUAAGUGAUGCAAGAAAAGAAAAGAAGGAAAAUAUUUUAAAGCUAUUUGAGAGUUAGUUAGGUAAGAAAUGGUAUGAUUUGAAAUAUAUAUAUAUAUAUACACACGUCAAUAAAAAUUUGUUUGAUACACAUUUGAAGAUAAAAUGGACAUUUUGAAAUUUUUUGUUAGGCUCUCUCAACUGUCCUUCAUUUUCUGACCACAUUUGGGCAGAAAAUUUUAUCAACUAAAGCAGCAAGAGAUCAUCCAUCCAAAUCAUUUGGUUUCCUUUAUUUUCUAUCUCUCAAAGAGUCCCAAACAUCAGAAAGAAGGUCUUUUGUUUCACUUUUCUUUCUUUUCUUAUCAAAUCCGAAUUCCCAAACUAGCUAUUAGUGUUCUGCUAAUGCUAUUACUGAUUGGAUUUGAGUGACACAAAUUUGAAGGGUUAGAGUACAAUUAAAAUUUAAGAUGCAGGGCGAGAAUGGUGUAUAAAUUCAAAAGUGCAAUAUAAGGUUUCUCCAUCUAUAAAUGUGCAGACUUGUAAAUAUAUGAAGACAUAAGUAGCAAUAAUGGAAAUAAAUGUGUACGCAUGAGCGCAAACAUACAGGUCAAUGAAACAGGCAAGUGUACAUAGAUGUCCCUAGAAAAUAAUGCUAACGUAUGUAGAUGUAUUCUCUUUAGCUGUGCUGCGAUUGCAAGAUUUUUGACUUGAUAAUUGCAUCAAUUUCGCCCUUGGACAACUAUAUAUUUACUAAAGCAGUAAAUCUAACCAGAUAUUAAUUGAUUGGCAAUGCUUAUGGCACUAGUUCAUCAUAACAUUGAAAGAAUUUUAACCCCUCAAACGGUAUAUACACAUCUCUGCACAUUCUUGCUUAAAGAAAAUUAAGAGUACUUCAAAUAUUCAACCAUUCAUUCAUGAUCAUAUGACAAUGAAAACCAUAUGACCUAGAUCGUUUUGCGAAUGUGAAAAUUGUUUUUUAUCUGCCGAUGCAAUUAACAAUUCACACCAGAAAUAGGGAACAGAAGCAUGGUCAGAAAGGAGAAUAUCUAUGUUUUCAAAUUUGGACCGGGUAUCGACUCGAUCGAGUUCAGGGGUCAAUGGAUUUGAUCGGGUUCGAUUGGAAGUUGAACCGGAUGAUGUCAUAAAUAAAAAUUAUUUAAAAAUUAAAAUAUUAUAUGUAAAAUACUUAAGAGCAUGUUAAUAUUAACAAAGGUAUAUUCAUAUGUAUUUGAUGUUUCAAAUAUAUUUAACAAGAAAAAUACAAAGAAAUUAGAACAAUCAAGUAGCAAUUUAUAUUAUUUAAUGAACAUUAACAAGUUUAGAAUUAAAAGUAUGGACUUAAUUGAAAAAUAGCACCAAAAUUUAAGACAAAUUUAUAAAGUGUGAAAUAUUUGAGGUAUAUUAAUAAUUUUUAACAAUCUAGGGGUCAAAAAAUAAUAUUAAAAAUGCUUUGACCUUUACAAAAAAAAGGAACUUUGAUAGCCAUCGAUUUUUCCCGGUUCUUCAGUUUUUUCUGGUCAAACCCGAUUUUUUAUCAAGUUUGACAGAGUUUUUAUUUAUCCAGUUUUUAAGAAUAACUCGGACCGGACAGUUGGCUGGUUCCCAUUUGGAUCGACCGGUCUGGUCCAAGUUUAAAAACAAAGGAGAAUAUGCAUUUUCCCAAACCACAAAGCCUGCGUUAUAGUUUCCACCAAAAAGAUACAUAGGAGCAUAACACUAACGAGCCAGUGAAGUCAUUAUUGCUUGCAUGCAAUUCCUUAGUUCUCACUUCUCAGCACAACAUUAGCGCACAAGGGUACACUUUCAUCGCAUUUUUCUCCAAAAAAAUCACAACCUAUAAAUGGACAAAACUCUAUUUCUAUGUUCAUUGCUUUUGGAUUUUGUAGCUUUCUCGUUUCCCAUGUUUUUUUUUUGCCCCGGGAGAACCCCCCGCGCCGGGGAGGGGGGGGGGGUUGGGGUUUAUGUGUGUGUUGAAGAAACGGGGUUAAAUUGAGCAUGCUUAUGGUAGGAUUUUACUACCAGAAAAGAGGAGAGAAUACAGAAAUUUGUUCAUAUGCAGGUUUGAACAAUGAAUCAGUUGGACUAGACUUGUGCCUUGAGAUAUUUUGAGUCCUUGACUUCGUAGUUUCUAUACGCAAAUCUCAGAACCGCCAGUUUUCUGUAUACGACUUUGUAGUUUGAAAAGUAUUCACUCUCGGUAUACAGAGUACACAUGACGGUCAACUUCCAAGUUCCAACUUCCAACUACUUAAAUUCAGAAAUUAUUUCCCUUGGCUCUUUUACCUAUUUUUGUUUCCCUUUAUAGUGUACACAUGCCAUUUGUUCAUUUAACUUUCUUCUCGCAUCCACUCCCGGCUAAUUUUAUUGGAUGACAAAUCAUCACUUAAACUAUCGAGUGCAAACGAAUCUAAUCAAAUCGAGCACUUUAGUAUUUAAACUUGUUCAAUUAUUUUAACGAAUUUUGUAGUUGUCGAAUCGAAUAUAAACAAAUUUUUUAUCGAAUUCAAACUUUUUAAAUUUAACUUAACUACUCAGAGAAUUAAUUUUGAAUAAAUUUUUACCAAGUCAAAUCGACGUCAGUUGGUACAUUUUUUAAUCCAUUUAAACUGAAUCUAUUUACUUCAUCCCACCUAUAAAAGCCAAAAAAAAAAUGAAAGUAAAAGAAGAUAACACAAGACAAGACUAAUUAACAAUUCAUUAUUGCAAAAAAAAAAAGAAUAAAUACAAGAGAAUAAUUUUUUUUUAAAAAAAAAAGACUUUUUAAUCAAGUAAACUGAAUAAAUUCUCGAGUUGCCUUUUCCGCAAAGAAACAUCGAAAUAAAUACAAGUGCCAGUACCAGUAGUUAAAUAACUUACUGCAAUUUUGGAUAUGGACUCAACUUACUAGUAUUUAAAAAUUAAAAUACUCAGUCAAAGUAGAACAGCACGCUUUUUCUUUGUCCCCGCAAUAAAUAAACAAACAAUCCUCAUUCUAACCUCACAUCGAAUUCCACUCACCCAAAUCGCCGUCCAAUGAAAUUCGUGUCCAAUAGGCUAAUAAUUGUCUGGUUACUCGGGCGUCACACUCGAACAGAAUCACCAUCACCGUCACUCUAGACUAGCUUCCCGACCAAUUUCCCCCUUUUUUUUUAUUUCACAAAUAAAUAAAACACGCGCUUUUUCUCCUUUUUCGAUUCGACGAAUCCAUCAAUAGUAAAAGAGAAGAAGAAGAGGAGAGAUGUCACUGCGAAGAAAUUUUCUGUCCCGACGCAUUUCGAAUCGAUCCUUCUCGCUUUCUUCUAAAUCAGUGAAAGAGCUGAAGAAUUUUGAUAGUAUAAAUCGCGAUCGUAUUUAUGACGUCAAUAAUAGUAACAAUGUUAUGAGAAGUGGAGAUGGUGAAGGGGAGGAUCUUCAAAGCGCUGCCGUUUGGGGUAGUGGAGAGAUGGCUCCGACGCCGUCUCGGUGGUCGAGUAUGCUGCCGGAGCUGUUAGGUGAGAUUAUACAGCGGGUGGAGGCUAGUGAAGAUGUGUGGCCGCGCCGCCAAAACGUCGUCGCUUGUGGAUGCGUUUGUAAGGGCUGGAGAGAGAUUACAAAAGAUGUUGUGGCGUCAUCCUCUCGUCAGCCUGACGGCGCUGCCAAAAUUACCUUUCCUUCCUGCCUCAAAAAGGUCCAAACUCUGGUUUUAAUUGCGCAUUUAUUGGGAUUGUGUAGGUGUUGGUUUUCAAUUUGUCUCUUGAUAUGAUUUUGUUGGAAUUUUUUUUUUGUCUUUUAAUGUUGCAAUUUCCUUGCCUUUUAGAUGAGUUUUUAAGGUUCUUAGUGUAGAAUUUAUUGGAACUAGUUCUGGUUUUUUGGGAAUUUCGUUCGUCAGAGCCAAAAUUUGCAUCUUUUAGUAUGUUAUUUGCAAUGGAUGAGGUCAACUCAAAAAGAAUAUGCGGGUUAAUGGUUCGAGCCGAGUUAUUACUUUCUUGCGCUGCCCUCUUUUGUUUAGGGAGUAGGUGCUAAAUAUGAGCUGAAAUUGAGCUUGUACGAACUUCUUUUGUUAAACCAAUCUAGAAGAAGGUUUAGUGUCCGUCAACUUCAAGGUUGGCCCAAUAAGCAUAAAACUUGAUAAUUAAAGAUAGAUUAACUAAGUUGCUUGAGCUCAAUUGGAUUCAAAUCGAUGAAAUAUUGUGUGAGUUUGGCAUGUAUGGUGAUCAAGCCAAGCAUGAUCUCAAAUUUAAGCUUGUUAAAAAAUUCAUUCAAGCUCGAACGAAAUAGUAUUUGGCUCGAUUAAGCUUUUCUUAACAUCUAUGGCUGUGCGUUCUCAGCUUUUGAUGUCUCAAGCCUUUCUCAUGAUGUUGGUUUUUGAUGGAGACUUGGGAGCUAGAAUGCUCUCCAUUCAUUACUGUCGGUUGGAGUCCAUGUUUCUAAAAAAGAGUGUUUUUUUUUUCUUGGUUACCAAUUCUAUGUAGUGUUAUUUCGUGUGCAGCCGGGGCCGCGUGAUGCUCCACUUCAAUGUCUUAUAAAACGCGACAAGAAGAAUGGGACAUUUCGCCUUUACCUUGCUCUUUCACCAUGUAAGCGAUGCGUGUACAAUUAUGCAAAAUAUUUUCUGAUGCUCUUGCUUGUUCUUGAUUGACUCUUUUAUAGCAAGGUUGUUGUCAAACUUGUUUGACUAGUAAAAGCUUGAAUUUUGAGGUUAUAUUCUGUAAUGCAGAAUUAACUCUAUUGCAGUGGAACAUACCUUUGUUAUUAGGCAAGUCAACUUGGCAUUUUUGAUCACCUGUCUGUUUUGCUGGAUGAAGGAGGUUUGAUUUGGGAGGACUUGAUUUUGAUUGAAAAGUUUAGAUUUUGAUUCUGUGGCAACAUUUGUUUAAUGGAAUGGACUUUUGCUUUGUGAUUUUCAUUAGGAAAUGACUUUAUCCUGAUUGUCAACAAUUUGCUUCUGUUGUUUACUGGAGCUGCAUCAUAUUAGAGCUCACAGUUCUUCACUUUGAUUUACCUUUAUCAGGUUUCAUGUCUAGUACACAUUCCUUAAUGGUGCUGCUGUACCAAAUAACUGGUAGAACUUUACUAUGAUUGCGUUCGAGAUUACCUUACUGUCUUCUUGUAAAUGGGAAUUAUUUGCAUUUCAGUUCUUCAUCAGACUACUGGUUCAUGCUUUCUUUUCAAAAUUUUGAGUUACAAGUAGUUAAGAAUGGGUAUUUCCAGUUUUUUCAAAAACAAGUUUUUCAAAUACGAUGCUACAGUAAUACAAAAAAAAAAUGGCUCAAAAAACAUUUCAUUCGUACAAUAUAUCAAAUAUUUCAAUAAAUAUUUAUAGUAAAAGUUUUUGAUAUACACUGUUACAAUAAAAUUUUUCAAAAACACUCCCAAAAACAGCUAAUCCAAACGGAUUUAGAGGUUGUUUGUCGUUUAAUUUGUGUUAGUAGUUCCCAAGUUUUGUGAGUUUUUUGAGCAUUAAGUUGACCAGAUUUCUUUUUGCGGGUUUCCAAAGUCAUAUUAUCAUCUGAUCUUUAUAUUAAUUUGCUAUUUGGCAGCAUUCAUGGAUGAGGGAAAGUUUCUCUUAGCAGCAAGACGAUAUGGAAAGGGUACCCACUCUGAGUACAUAAUAUCUCUUGAUCCUGAUGAUUUUUCUCAAGGAAGUAAUGCCUAUGUUGGAAAACUGAGGUUAGCUUUUUUGUUUGAUCUUCAAAAACUUUUGGGUGAAGUUGAGACAUUUGUUUCCUUUUUGGUGAAGUCUGUAGGUCUUGCAUUUGCAUUUCUUACUCCAUACUGGGUAAUUCUUGUUUGUUUGCAUGUCAGGUAUUCCUAGGACCAGAUCUAUUUUUCCCUUUCAUAUCCUUUUUUAUGAUGCUCUAAUCCAAUUUUCGGGUAUCAUAGAUGAGAAUGAAGUCAGAGACUGUGUGCAUCAAGGAAAUUAUUUAUAUCUAAAACUGACCGGUGAGGCUGAGAGGGUCUUUCUUUGAUCAGAGCAAAAUAUUCACCAAGAUUCUAUGUGCAGGUCAGAUUUCCUAGGCACCAAUUUUACCAUUUAUGAUAGCCAACCUCCACACAAUGGAGCUAAACCAUCAAGCAGCAGGGCUGGCCGUCGUUUUGCCAGCAAGCAGAUAAGCCCCCAAGUACCAGCGGGUAAUUUUGAAAUUGGAGAAGUAUCAUAUAAGUUCAACCUCCUGAAAUCAAGAGGUCCAAGAAGGAUGGUAUGUGCACUGAAGUGCCCUUGGUCAGAGGACAUUUCUGUCGACAAAGUAAAUGGUGAUUCAAAAACAGAGAGUUCUUUGUCUGCUAUUUCGAGCUAUACUGUUUUGAGAAACAAAGCUCCCAGAUGGCACGAGCACUUGCAAUGUUGGUGUUUGAAUUUUCAUGGUAGGGUAACAGUUGCAUCAGUUAAGAAUUUUCAACUCGUUGCAACAGUGGAUCAAAGCCAGCCAGAUGGAAAAGGGGACGAGGAGACAGUUCUUCUCCAGUUUGGCAAGGUGGGAGAUGAUAUUUUCACCAUGGACUAUAGGCAGCCUUUGUCAGCCUUCCAGGCAUUUGCCAUUUGCCUUACCAGUUUUGGCACUAAACUGGCCUGCGAGUAAGAAUGGCGGCCGCCAUGUCCACGAGACUAAUUUCCGUUGCCGUUUAUGAGGAGCUCUCUUUUGAUAUGCUUCGUCUUUAAAGUAUCUUCAGAUAAUUCUGAUUUGCCUUUCCCAAGUCAAUGCACGUCAUAAUAUUGUAUAGAUAAGUUAGUCAAAGGUGGAUUUUUUAGUAUCUGAUGAUCAUCAUGUACUGAUCUUAAUAACUAUUUGAAAUUUCAAAGCUUUAAUGUUUCUUAUAUGCAAAUUGUAGAAUGGCUUUGUUGCGAUGCCAUAUACCUGCUUGCCUUCAUCCUUAAGCUCGCCCUACUUGUAUAUUUGGACUAAAAAUGUCGCCCAACCGCAUGAGGUGGGAAAUAGGUUUUAUAGGGGGUGGGGGAAACGGUGGAGAUGAAAGGUGGAGGGGGAGAGGAGAAGACAGGAAGGGGAAAAGGAGGAUGGUGGUGUGGAAGGAAGGUGGCAGAUGGUGGUAUGGGGAAGAGAUAGCAGAAGGGGUGACGUGUGGGGGCGGGGGGAUGGUCGUGGUUGUUUGUGACUAUGGUGACUGAAGUGGUUGACAUGGAGGUGGGUGACGCGUGAUGGGUGAUGGAGUUCUAUAAAUAUUUCUCACACACGUUAAAUACAUAAAAAAAUUGUACAAUAAAUUAUAUUUUCUCCGUUCCACCUUAAUAGUCUCUGUGUUCAUUGCAUCGGAGGGAGUAUUAUUCAAACUACCUUGCACAUGCACGCGAGCACGCCCGCUCACACACGUAUACAGAGGCUCAAGCGGAGGGAUUGCCUGAGCUCGAAAUUGGAAGAGUUUCCGUUUUUCGGUUUCUUAAUUAUUGCACUUGUUUCUUGAUUCAUUUUGUGGGAUGAGAUGUUGGAUGAUUACAAUAAUGUUAUAUAUGCAAAAAAUAAAAUGACUGCAUGGAGCGGAGAAGAAUGAUUUUCAUCUUACCCUUCCAUUAUUGCUUGAAUAAUACUCCAACUUUACUGAAUUUAAGUAGGUACACAAUUAUUCGCGACUUUUUCAAUUGUUUGUGGCUAAGAAAAGCGUUCUCGUCCUCGAAUUGUAAACUCAUCUUAGUAGUCCCAAGUUUCCUAAAACUGUAUGAAAUUGACCUUUUUUCUUUUAUUUAUUUCAUUUUCAUAUAUAUUAGUAAAGCUACAUUUAUUUCCAAAUUCAAGUUGAGGAGAUCUAAAUUGUGACAACCGUAUUGCUCGAAUACACACACCUAGAAAAAUUCUUUUCGUCGGGCAUGAAGAUUCUGUUAUGGAUUUUACCUAUACCAAUCUUUUUUAUAAAGUGUGAAAUGCUAUCAUUUAGUAGCAACUUCAACCUUUUGUUAAAGCCCCUACAAUUUCGUCUAUCAACAUUCUUCAUGUUUAUUUUUCAUUCAAUCAUCUAUAUUUACAAAUCACGCAUGUAUUUGAAAAAGAAACAUGUAAUGACAUUCAGUUUUAAGUACUACUUCAUUUCUCUUGAGGUAAAAAGGUUGUCUUCAACCAACUUGUCAUACAAAUAGUUACUCUACAUUUCUAUUAAUUUCACUCUUGCAUGGUUCGCGUUUCCAAUACUUUUUAACAUAUUCCACCAGGAAACCAAACUCGGUGCAACUCCCAAUAGAAACCCCAAAAAUGAAGAAAACUUUUUGGCCAGCAUUCAAAAUACUAAAUACUUGGUAAAACCUUUAUCAGUUUUUCAUAGCUAAUUGGUUGUAACACAGUUUUGACCUUUGCAUUUAACAUAUAAGCCCGUGCAUAGCACAGGUAAAAAUGCUAGUAGAAUCAUAUCCGUGACCAAUACUCAUGCAAAGCAUCAUAACUGUGAAAAAUAGGCAAAUAUAGCAAAUACAAGACAAAGAUUCACAUUUGACAAGGAAGAGCCACAUCCAUUAGCCGUAGUUUCAAGAGACACAAGUCACAACAGUAGUUAAAAGGGCUGCCAAAGUAAAAACGGAAAGGGGUGGGGAGGUUUCAUUUACACCACUAUUCUUAGGCCUCAAACGACAAUCACAUUGCAGAACACUGGCUUCUUCCAUUCCCAUUGUUUUAUUUCUUUCCUCGAAGUUUCACACCCAGAGCCCUCUCCAGUUUAGAGAUAAUCUGCUGAUUUGGAAUAGCCUUCCCUGAUUCGUACUCCUGGAUGACUUGUGGCUUCUCAUUUAUCAGCUGUAGACAGGAAACAAUAGAUUAAAAUGAUUGCUUCUCAUUUAUCUCCACAUCACAUAAUUGACUCAGGGUAAUAAAUGUUUACAUCUGGUUGCCAUCUAUCUAAGUGGUGUGAUAAUCUUAAGUCAAUCUGUGUAAACAAAAGAGAUACCUGUGCAAGUUGAGCUUGAUUAAGUUUCUUCUCCUGUCGAGCUUGCAUGAUUGCUUUCUUCAACUCAGUUGGUACCUUCUGAUCUGAAAAAAAAAAUGAAAUCAUAAGAUCACAUCAAGAUGACAAAUGGCUUUCCGAAACAUAUAGUAUCAGCAUAUCAGCAUACAUCAAUUUCUACAAAAAAAAGCUUGUGCAGGACUGCCUACAUUGUGCCUCAAUGCUGUAACAAAUUUCCCCCAAAAGGGGAAAAAAAACAGAUAAGAAAGGAGAAGAGAAAUGAAAACAAUAAUCUCCCAAAGUCCCUUUAACACCAAGCCCAGCAAUUUUACUUCACAGGAUCUCAUGCACAUCCUAAUGAAGGUUCCUGUAUCUUAUGCAAAACUAAUAACACCUUCAUACAGUAAAAUGAAGAGAAAAUUAAAAUCUAGUAGUUCCCAGCAGUAUGUUCAGCUCUGAAGCAUAUAAAAAAAUCUGUAGGGUGCUUAAAAAAGUGAGAUAAGAUCCUACUCACGAGCCAAAUUUUCAGUGUCUUCAUCCAGUUUCCUUGUAUUCAAAGAUGUGCUGCUAGAGGCAGCCUUGUUUGUUCCUGCACUAGCUGCAAUACAAAAUAAAGCAAUUGAGUGCAUGUAUAACAAAUUUGCUACACAAAUACAAAAUUUAACAACUGCCAAAGCUUCAUUAUCUGAUAAAUAAGCACCAAAAUUACGAAAAGUUAGAGAGUAUCCCAGUAACACAUACAUUUACUAUCAAAACUCCUAUUCCGCAUUAUCUGGCCUUAACAUCUAGAAGAGCCCCACCAUUCACUAAAGAAGUUACUUCAUCAACACAUUUAAGUAUUACAUAUUUCAGAAGUCCAAAGCCACAUCACCACAAAACACAACGUCCACGAAUGCUCAACCAUACACAUCCGUGAACUACAUAAUACAAUCAGGAAUCAGAUAUCAACUGAAUGUUGAUUACCAUUUCAGAAACAAAAUUCCACACAAGAUAAAAGCAUAAACACUUACAUGAAUAAACCCUAAUAGAACAAUAAAUGGAAUUAACACAAAAAUAUGGAUUAAACAUCGAUAAAUCAAUGUAUAGAAAUCAAACAUCCAUCUUAACAACAAACUAAUACUCAUACAAAUUCCCGAUUCACCAGUAAUCGAAGCUCAAAGUUAGACAGACAGGAAAAAUGGAAAAACAAUUUGUAGAAUAAAAAAAAAAAAUCAAAACCCUAGAUGAGAUGCCAAACCAUAUCCGCAUGCAGAAAAUACAAAUUAAAAAAGAAGAAUAGGCAGAAUAAAAAACACUAGCGUAUUGGAUAAUACCUUUCUUGAUGGUUUCGACCUCGGCGCCGGAUCGACGGGCGGCGUUGACUGCUUUCUCAUCCUUGCGUGCGGCGGCGGUAGGGGCCUUCUUGCGGAUCACCACCGGCUCCCAGUCUUGUGUGAUUCCGGCCAUCUUCGCUCUCAAAAUUUUAUGUCGGAGACUUCUUCGAGGAUUAUGCGAUUGUUUAGUGCGUGUUUCUAAGCGUCAAUGACUGUGCGAGAGGGGUGACUGUCCUCUUCUUAUUGGUUUAGAUAUUGGAGCGUUUGGUUGAGGAGAUAUUUCAGUAUUUGGGUACCUAUCAGCAGGAAUGGAAUAGUUCGCGUCCAAAUUAGGGGUUGUCUGCUUACGUAAGAUAUUUGGGUAACGCCGAAUCUCAUAUAAUCUUUACCUAUGAGCUAAAAUUUUAAAGACUUCUUGGAAUUGCGAUGGUGCUUUUACAGAUAGUUUACUUUUCAAAAACACUUUUGGAGACAAAAGCAAUGCUAACGUGUUUGGUGAGCUAAAAUUUUAAAGACUACUUUGAAAUUGCGGUGCUUUUACAGAUAAUUUAGGCUUUGUUUGGCAGAUAAGUUUUUUUUAUCAAAGCCUGCUACACGUUUUUUAAAAAUUUUAGUUACAGUGACAUCAAAAAACUUCUCAAAAUUUUUAAACUUAUAUACUUGAAAAUAUUUAAAAAAAACACACUUAAAAUUUUUUUUUUAAAACUUCUGCAUUAAAUUACAGUAAAAUUUUAGACAAAUACAAAAAAAAACUCACUUACCAAACGGAACCUUACUUUUCAAAAACAUUUUUGGAGACAAAAGCAACGCUAACAUGUUUGGUGAGCAUCAUUCUUUGAAUUUAAUAGUAGAACUUUUGGCCACUAAAGUAUUUUUGGUAUAAAAUCAAAAUUGGUUCUUUUAGAGUAAUUUUUAUAUAUCAAAAAAAAUUUUUAAAAAUGACUUUAACAAGUUUAUUACUCUCUCUGUCCCAAUAUUAUGGUCAUUUUUUUAGAAAUUCAACUUUUUUAUGGAGGCAUAGUAAUCAUUAUAUCUAAAUGAGAUGACACUGGUGAAUUUAGAUAUUUAUCCUCUGAAUUAAAAAUAAUCUCUUGGUAGAUGUGUAUUAGUAUUUUAAAAAGUUAAUUUUUCAAAUGGUAAGAUUGAAAAGCAUGUCUUAAAUUUGAAAUUGUGAUUGUUAUUUUGAAACAUCAAUAAAGUAAAAAUAUGGCAAUAACAAUAGGACAGAGAGAGUAUAGAUUUUGAACUAAGGCACCGUUUGGAUUGAAGGACAAGAAAGGAAAGGAUCGAGGCGGAAAGAAAAGGAAAGAACUCUAGUGGAAAAUAAAGGAGAGGAGAGUAAAGAAAAUCUGAAUCCAUCCGCCUCGUUUGGAUUACGAAAGGAAAGGAAAGGAGGGGAGAGUACACGUCUAUUUCUAGGGUAUACGUACAAUUAAGUAUAUAUCUAAGCAAUAUUCCACUUUGUGACUGUUCGAUUUUCUUGAUUAUAACUGAUGUUGCACUUGACAUGAAAAUUAAACCCCAAAAUGUCAUCCAAGACCAUCAAAAUUAAACCUCAAAAUGUCAUCAAUUUUUUCUGGGUUCGUGUUUGAUGAAAAUACAAAUUCUUGGGCUUUGUUGUAGUACCCCGGUUGAAAAUUUUGACGCACCUUUUGAUUGAUUGCUGAGGAAAUGCAAUGCAUACGAGUCUCACACCUGAUGGUGAAAGAAGCAGUUGAAUCCUUUUUGAAGGGAAUGCAUACUGAACUGUAUAUUGGCAGUUCAAUAGCCUGCUGCACUCUCCAUUUUACUGUCAUGAUUAUGAACUCGAGGGUUUCCUUUGCUAACUUAAUUAAGACAGUACCAAUCAAACGAAGAAAAGCCAAGGUCAAAAAUCUAGGAGGGGAAGGAGAUGGUUGUCCUAUAAAUAUUUUUAAACCAUUCCCAUUUCGGAUUACAAUGAAAAACAGGGGAGAUGAAGAGGAACAGGUAAUCAAUAAGAGCUCUGCACUAGAAAUUUGGGAAGUUAAAAAUUGGGGAAAAUGUAGUUUCAUGUCACUACAGAGCAUCUUAUGAUCUCAUAAUUGACCAUAUGCACUCUAUUAAAUAACAGAAACCAAGAUGAAUUGCAAGCAAGAAAGUAGAUGAACUGAAUCUUCAAAAAACUCCAGAAAUUAGCAUGUCAGCUGUAUUAUAAACUGGAAUUGACAAACUUUCUUUUGAUGGCCAAAGAAACUGAUGGUGGCUUGAAUAGAUAGGUAGCAUGUAUUGCAACUUUCAACCUGAAUAAAUUGUCCAGCAAGGGACAAUUUCUCUGGCUUGUUGGUGCUCCAGCUAAAGUACUGCUAAAACUUCUAGACAUCUAAAAAAGUAGCUUCAUUAGUCUCUAGGAAUGAUGCACUCUCUCCCUCUCUCUAUAUCCUGAUUUAUGCUUCUCUAAGUAGCUACGUAAAAGUGGGCUAGCAAUUUAAAAGGAUAAUUUUUGUAUAAAGGAUGACCAUGUCCUUGUCUGAUUGCUUUUCUGCUUCUUUUGAAAAUAAACACUUUAUUUGGCAAAGAAAACAUCGAGAAGUUCCAUUCAUGUGCAACAUGAAACACAAACAUGGAGACGCAUCAACAUUCACAAGGUCAACCUGGAACCAGAUAAUCCAUACUAAAUGCUACAUGCUUCAGAGUGAAACAUAAAGUAGCCAACUUACAGGCUAUCCACUACAACAAUGGUCAGAAUUCUGAAGAACAUGAUUAUUAGUUAAUGUGGUUUGAGAUCUAAGGAAGCCUAACUUUAACCUAUCCAUUAUCAAUUACUGAAAAAUUCUCCCCAGUACAUUCUUCAUCUGCAAAAUAGUUCACAAUGCAAAUAUUUAACAAACUUAAAAGAGCCAGACCGACCUUGGACAAAACAGUGGAUGCCAGCAUGCAGUAGAGAACUCAUCCAUCAUUGACCAGUCCAGCUUCUGUAUGUUCUAGAGUCUCUGGAAUUGUCUGGCAGAAAACUUCAGGACUAUCAGAUGCCUCAGCUCCAGAGGAAGAAAUCUGCGGCAUACAACACCUUAAUUCAAUAAAAAGUUCAUCUGUUGUCUGGACAGCAUCGACAUUGCUAAGAAACCAACAAUGUUUAACAAACCUUAGCAUCUGCUGAUUCACCACCAUUAUUUGGCAAAAUUUCAGUGCAAACACACUCCUUUGGCAGAUAUUCUCCACCUUUGCUAACAUUCACAAGGGCUUCCUUAGUUUCCAGAGAAACUGAAACAUCAUUAGUUCCUUUGCCAACAUUUGCCUGUUAAACAUUCCAAAGAAAUGUAUCAAUAAGCUGAUGUCCACCAGGACUCUUUCACAUGCAAAUUCCAUGACAACACAGCAUAAAGUACACGUCUCGCACUCAACCUGCCCUGAGUUACUAGCAUCCAAUUGACUGUCCUGAUUUUCAUGGACAACAGAACUACCCUCAGUUCCUUUACAAACUUUUUCCUGAAACAUGUUCACAAGGUUACAGAGUUCAACUAAUAUCCAACAGGGCAUCAUUAUGCAUGACAACGAAACAUAAAGUACCUGCGCUUUGCAUUUGUCCUGGCCCUCAACGUCACCCUGGCGUGAAUUCUGCAAACAUAUUUCACGCUUUUCGCUCAAUGCUGAGACAAUGGUGGGAAGCCUAGCAAGGUCCCAUCCAAGAACCUUGCAAAUUACCUGCCCAUAAGCCCUAUGAGCUCUCCUCUUCUUCGUCUUGGCUAUUGAAAUCGAAUGCUGAACAAGAGCAACACAAUCCUUAAACUUCUUUCCGGCUAACUUUUUCCCCAAACCACCGCAAACUAAGCAAUUAAAUUCCCCAUUAUAAUAAUUCUUCUCGUAAUACUCCCUCAACUCCCUAUCCUCUGUAAAUACUUUAAAGAAAAACCUAUACUCUUCCUCCUCCAGCGAAUCAUCAUCAUCAUCAUCCUCACUAUCCUCCUUAUCAUCAUCAUCACCAGACUUAAAAAAUUCUUCAGUUAUCUGCAAAGCCUUAAAUUGAGCCUGACUGGCUGCAAGUUUGGCUUUUUCUGCAGAGGAGGGUAGAAGGGUCUGCGGACUCGACUGCGGCCAGCUUGUUCCCCAGCCGGAGGUGGUGGCCGGAGGUGAAUUAGAAGUGGGAUUGCAAGGCCAUUCUUUUCCGGAAGCUGGAGAAGGCAAUAGAGUUGGGUUAUGGGAUUCUUGCAAUUGUUUUCUAUCGGAGUUCUUUCUGCCUUUUCUGCUUGCAGGUUUAAUUCCUUCUUGCCUCUUGAAUUGUAUGGGAUUGUAGGGGUGAUGGAGAAGGCCAGAUGGUGUGGGCUGUUGGGUUGGUCUAGUAGGCGGCCCCUGGUGCCAUAACGAGUGGAGGUAAAUCACCUCGUCUAUCAAUCUUCUUUCAUAGUCUGGAUCCAUUGCUUGCAGAACAUGAAGGACUGAAAAUUGGAAUUGUUGAUGAAAAAACUAGGAUUUUAAUCGAUUUCCAAAUGGGCGGAAGUGAAGCGAUGUUCGGUGGAACGGCGGUUACAGGAAGCCGAAGCACCACUCUCUGACAGACAUGGCAUACGCCAUAGAGUUUACGGAGUUUAGCAAUUCACGUUUUUCUGGUUUUAUUCCUUAUUCAAUUGUUUUGUUCUUUCUAUCCAUGUCAUUUUUGUUUUAAUCUUUAUCGUUCAAUUUUUUUGCUUGAUUGAUACUUUCUUUUUCUUUUUUUUUAAAAACCAAUAUUUGCUUGAUUGAUGCUUGGAUUGAAAAGAAAAAAAAAAAACUAAUGUUAAAGUGCUACUAACACACAAUUCACCAAUUUUUGGACCUUGUGAGAUACAAUUAAAAUAAAAAAUUACUGUAACACUUUUUAUUUGAACGGGAGAUUAUUUGAAAUAAUUACUAUAAUAUUUUUUAUGAUAUAAUGUAUAUGAGAUAAAAAAAUAAAAAAAUUGUAUUUAUGAUGCAAGAAAUUUUUUUUUUCCCAAAUCAUGGUUAUCUAAACAUACUCAAUGAGUCAAGCACUAAAAAAUUUUUGAGAACAUUUUGGUAAAUUACGAGAUUUUGUCUUAGUGUUUGAGCUUUGAAAUGACAAUAUGUCACAUGAAACAUUCUAGUACAUAAUAUAUUCACACUAGAAAUGGAUAAUUGCAAUUAAAAGUAAAUUAAACAAUGAAGAUCCCAAAAAAAAAAAAAAACAGGCGAGCUUCUGUGAUUCAUUUCACAAAUAAACUCUUCAUAAUUUCAUAUCAAUAUGCAUUAUUCGAAAUUUACAUACUCAAAAAGUAACACUAAUAAUAAGACUAAAAUUACUAAUUAAUUAAUUAAGAAACCAAAUGGGAUGGUUUAAAGAAAAAUUACUUGCUUAUAAGACCAAAAUGAACCGGGACUGUUCGGCCACAGGACCAGCCGGUUUACCGAAAACAUCAUUGGUCUUUCCCGGUUUCCUAAGCAUUUUUCCGGGAAAGUAGUUUCGGGCGUGCCGUCCCAGUCCGCCAAUACAUUGAUGCCCGUCGUCCUCAAUUUCUUUCACUUCCUCACAGUUACUAAAAGCCCUAGCUCCACAACAAUUUCCCCAUCCCCAUUAUUUUCCUCAAAAAUGGCGUCUUCUUCGUCGGCGAAGAUGAUAGCGGAGUACGCCAAGUCUGGACGAUCGUCGUGCAAGAAAUGCUCGAAAACAAUCUCCGCAAGUGCCUUAAGGCUUGGUUUAGUUACCAGAGACGCUCGAGGCUUCGACAUGACCAAAUGGCAUCAUUUGCAUUGUCUGCCUUUGAGUUCCCAUUCCGGUGCAUCGCCGGAGUCCAUCAAAGGAUUUUCAUCGCUCAAGGUAGUACAGCAUUUUAAUUUCUUCCGAAGGAUUUCUCCAUUAUUUUUUUUAUUUAAGAAGAUUUUAGUUUAGUAGCAAAAUAGUAGGCUAUACUGGGAAGUGGAAAUUACUGUUUGAAACUAACAGUUAAACUUUUGAAUAUUAGAAAACCGAGUAUGAGUAGAAUCUUGUUACCGUGAAAUUAGAAAUUUUCUUUUAAAAAAGAUGGCUUUUUUUUUUGGCUGCUGGAUUUGAAGUUGAGAGAAUCUGUGGGGUCGACUUCAUUUUAUUUGGUUAUUUUUGUGGUUGUGGCUAUGCAGAGCAGUGAUCAAGAAGAACUAAAGAAAUUGAUGAAGGAAAGUGUUCAGGCUCUAGACAAGGUAUAUUAUUUGUGAAAUGUUGCACCACAGAUAGUCUUUUACUCUUAUAAGCUCCUCUUUGCACCUUGAUGCUAUGGUUAUCUGUUCAAUAUGCAAUGCGAAAUUCAGCAUAAGAUGAAGAGGAUUAUGCGUGAUCUCCUCUACUAAUGCCUUAAGUGGAGUCUGUCUUCGUUACGACUUGUGGUGGACAAUGACUUCUCUCACAUCUAGUUAGAAUAUUCUGCAACUUGAGAUAAUGCUUCAUGAGCCUGUUAGGACCCUUCUUAGUCAAGCAUUUGUUUUGUGGAUCCUUCAUGGUUUUUUGGUAUUGUUCAUUACAUUCUUCACAGGUCUUUUGAGUUCUUGCUUUGGACAGUGAAACUGCCCUGUGGCAUUGUGAAGUACUCCUGAAAUUCAAACAUUUAGUUUCUAGCAAUGUUACCAAUUCAUGGCUUAUGCAACUAUAUGCUAUAAAACUGUAAGGCAAUAUGCUACUGUGAUAAUGAAGCAACUUGCAUGUUAUAAACUUGUAUUUAGAAACUAUUUAAGCUUAUCGGUGCAGGUAUUCAAUUGUAAUUAACAUGUGGUCCUCAGUAUGAGCUCUCUAUAUAACUCAUAAUAGCUGUUUGACAUUUCAGGUUUUGGAUGGAGAAAAAGAUUCUAUUACUGAAACCAAGGAAUUCAAGGUAAGAUUUCUAAUGUUAAUCGCUUGCCAUAUGUUAAUAAUCUUAAAGGCCUUAAUGCCCUCCACUUUCAAUAGGUUCUCAGACGAGAUGAUGAAGAUGAGAGUUAUGAGAUGGAGAAACAAAAAGUGAAGAAGAAAAAGGUACCUUCUCAGAUGAACUGGAGGCUCUUUAAUUUUGUGGUUGUUGUAGAUAUGGUGACAGUGGUAUUGUUGGUUUCAUUUUAUUGUACUAGCAUAUUUGAUACCUUCCAACCACGGACACCACAUUCAUGACUUAUUCAGCACCACAUUUAAAAUAACAUGGAUAAAUGCUGCUUUCUGGUUCUCCUUAUAUCACGCACGGACCUUCAGUGUUACACCAUGUGAUUCAUUCUGCUACUUGUCCUCGAUAUAUUUACUUCCUUGUGCACCAAAGAUGUACUUCUCAGUAGUAUUUGCCCACAUUUAUUUUUUUGCUUUUUUUAACUACCGCUUGCAUCCAAUUCCCGUUAGCUAUCUGAGUCUGACAAGGGCAGCAAGCUGGAGAUCACAUUUUCUGCUACUGAGAUCAAGGAAAAGUACAAGGUAUGCUCAAAUUUUAGGCAACUGGUUCAGAGCUGCUGAAUUAUUCUAGAUUUAGGGAAUAAUAAGUAGAAUUACCUCUGUUCCAGCAACUGGUCUUCUUUUUUCUAAUCAUGCAUCCUCCCUAUUCAUAUCGUUUUGAAAUUCAGGACGCUGCAUUGCUGCCCCAGUGGAAAGCAUUCCAAACUAUCAUAUUUCUUGAACGGGUGAGUAGGAAUCAUGGAAUAUCACUUGUGAAGAUGACAGAACCCUGUAAGACUUAUUCAUGCUAUAGCUGGCUUAUUUUACAUAGAUAAUUAUUAAGAUUUUAUUCGUGCUACACAUUCAUCUUUAAAGUACAUCUCUGUUGCUCCACUUUGUGAAAUUAAACUUUCUGUUAUAUCGGAAGUCCUUGUUUGUUCUGGAGUUCCUUACUGCAGUGCAUCAUUUGAUAAAUCUCAUAUUAAAUUCUUAGGUUGAUGGUCUUCAUGAUUCAACGAAGAUUGCUGCAUUUGAUUUUGAUGGUUGUCUUGCCAAGACAGCAGUGAACAAGUAUGUCAUAUUUCCCAUCUUUUAUAUGCAUAAAAAAAUUUCAUUAGAACUCUUGUGCAAUAAAGUUAGGAAGUUGAAUUUGGCCUGCUAAAAUAGCAACAAUUCCAUAGUUAAACUUUGUUGGGUGAAGCUAACCUUUCUGAAUGAAAUUCCUUUUUGUUUCUGAUUUAUUGUCUUUUAAAAGUAUCCAAUCCACAAGUAAUAUAUCUAUUUAGAUUCCCAUAUUUUGACUUUUGCAUUUUCUUGAACGAAAGAUGUCACAUGAAAUAAAAGUCUAGAUUAGUAUAAUAGUCAAACUUUGUUGCUGUAUAUUGCGUGAGGAACCAUUGCCUUCUAACAAGGUAUUAUUGUUGUGAUAUUCAUGAAUAAUAGUGUGAAGAUGUUUAAAAUCUAUUGACUUGGUUGUUAGCAUUUUUAGUGCUUACAAUCAGGACUACACGGACAUAUUUAAGUUUUCUAAUCUGCAAGCUAGCCCUUUUUCUUUCAUUAAACUUCUAAAACAUCAAGCUCAAAUUAAAAUAAAGUUUGGAACAUAGAUGCUCUGUAAGUGAAUACGACAUCUAGCUAAGUGGCUGAGCAGUAAGUGGUGCUACUGGAAUGGAAACAACAACUGAGAAAUCUGGAUUGCUCUUAUAUCAGAGGUAGUGAAUAUACUAUAGUAAAGUUAGCAACAUGUUUUGCAGCUUUUGAUUGUUGUUUGGAUUGGAUUUGUCAUAUGUGUCAAACUUACAGGGGAUCUUUAUUUGAAGCGUAAUUGGAAGAACUUGACAUUUACUUUUUCUUUUAGAAUAGGUGCAGAUGCAUGGUCUCUUAUGUAUCCUUCAAUACCAGAGAAGCUGCAGAGAUUAUAUGAUGAAGGCUACAAGCUGGUGUGACUCUUUUUCUUGUUUAAUCUUUAAUCUUUCUUUACUAGUUUGUGAAUUAUGAAAUUCGUGGUGCUGCUGAUCAAGUUGACUAUAGUUUCUGUCUUUGACUAUUUUGUUUUCCUCUCUUACUGAAUUAUCUUCAUUUUUACUAGGUUAUUUUCACUAAUGAAUCUAAUAUUGAGCGCUGGAAGAAGAAGAGACAGGUUGCAGUGGACUCGAAAAUUGGGCGAAUUGAAAGCUUCAUAAAGCUUGUAAAAGUUCCAAUUCAGGUUGGUUUGGCUUGGUGUCAAAUCUAUCAAUGGAGUAACUUAAAUGGAUUGUUACUUUUUUCUUGGUAGACCAUCAUUGUUUGCGAGGAGGCAUGUGGUUAUUUUCUACUUGAAACUUAGCUUCUUUUACAAUCAAGUAGUAAAAUAAAUUCCAAAAUCAACUGUAUGCCUGGAAUGUCAAACAUUUGUAAUAGAAGGAUGCAUGAGGUGUUCAACAUGACUGUAUUCUAAUGAAAAAUGGCUGGAAUUAGAUUUGUGAAGACAUUUACCAACAAAUUUCAUGCUAAUGUUUGUCAUCCAGUAUUUCUUUUUUGUAAUGGUUUAUUGUUUGUUUAGUUUUCUGGAAAAAGAACUAAACAAAAAAGUUGAUAUUGUAGACUACCACCAUGAUAAACUUUUUGAGUCUGCUGUGUCUACUAAAGAGUAAUUCCUUUUCUUGUGGAAACCUACUCAAUUCUUCAUUGCACAAAUCCAUAUGCAGGUUUUUAUUGCUUGUGGACUAAGUAACUGUCAACCAGAGGAUGCCUAUCGCAAACCAAAAACUGGGAUGUGGCAUAUCAUGGAGAAGCACUUCAAUUCCGGUCUUCUAAUUGACAUGGAUCAGUUAUUGUCCUUCCACUCUUUCCUGCCAAUUCUGGAUUUAUUGGCCAUAUGGCUUUUCAUUGAGUGACUUGAUAGUCUAAAUUAUACUUGCUACGAGAACUUGCACAAUUGGUUUGUUGAAUUUUAUUUUUUAUUUUUUAUAGCUCCUUUUAUGUCGGUGAUGCUGCUGGAAGACCAAAUGAUCAUAGUGAUGCUGAUAUCAAAUUUGCAGAGGUAGUGAGCGUAUUUGACUUUUGAACCUCCAAGCAGCUAGAUAGCUCAUAACUGGAUGCUACUUAUUAUUAAGAUGAUCUGUUGCGCUACUUAUGAUUUCUUGCUUGAUUGCUUGAUCAGUCAUUCAACCUUGUGUAUCCAAAGUAUAGUUGAAAUAUCGCACAUUGUUUUGCGGCUGGAUGAUCUUUCAGUUGUCUUUAGUCAUUACUGAUUCCUUGUUUGACAUGCAUAAUUUUAUCAGUCUUUAUUUAACAAACAUAAUAUCCUUAUUUUAAUGCUAGUGUCUUCAUUACUUCACCUGUGGUACUCUUGGGUAAAGUCACUUCCUCUUCACCCUCUUUUGUGAUUUGGUAAAGUUUAUGAAAAUUGGAUUGAUGGGCUGGUUUUAUGUAUAUUGCAGGCCAUUGGAUUAAAAUUCUAUCUACCGGAGCAGUACUUCAACAGUUAAAAUCUGGCAUCUAACAGUGUACUUGUGACUUUAUGCAACUGAAGGACAUAAUUCGAGUAACUCAUUCUGUAGAUAGUGAAGAGCAGAUGGUCCAAUGGGAGAACAUUGUAGUUAUUGACCUCAUUGUGAACAGUUUAUUGUGACCUUUAUGGUGAUUAUGUUGCAUCUAAUUUUCUUCCUUUUGGAGUCGUGUUUCGCCUUCCUUUGGAUAAGUAGCACUGAAAGAUUCAUCCUACCAAUGGUUCUGAGCAUCCCUUUAGGAACACCAGUAAGCAGGAAUAACAGCAUAGUUUCUGAAGGAUUAGCAAGCAAUUUUUAGCUUAUUGUAAUGUUUUGCGUGCUAACAACUCAAUGCAUUUGAAGCCCUGCAAAUCAACAGUUACAUGAUAGGAGAUUGCUUGCUAAACUGAAAUCCACUCGUACAUUAGUGUCCAUAAACUCUAAAAAAGAGAGAGAGAGAGAAGAGGGGGGGGGGGAGGUGAAAGUUUCUGAUCCCUUAUUUUGGUUUCAUAAUAAUGCAGCGUGAAGGUGUCUUAUCGAUACUAUAUCCAAUCAUCCAUAAUGGAAUAAUUGAAAAACAUCAACGGACAAACUAAACGGUAAACAGUGAUACAUUUUUUUUUAUAUGCUUCACUAACCUAGGAUAGAGCAAAUCUCGAGCAGAGGGUUUGAAUUGCCACUGCUCGAUUACAGUAUGGACCAUAUACUCAGACAAUAGUUGAUACAUCCCUAUCCAGAGGCUUCUUCAGAUGUGAUUCAAAGUAAAGAUUAAGAAAGGCAUACUUGGUGUUAAGUUUUGCAAGGACAGCUCAAAGUAUUGAGGCUUCGAGUCAAGCUCUGCAGAGGUAAGAAAUCAUGCAAGCAUGAAGUACUAGCUGCAGACUGAAGCUGCAAAAAUAGCCAUUGAUGUUUUGGCGAUAUUCAUACUCCCAGACCCGUCAAAAUACCUACAUAUCACUUCUUCCUACCAAUCUCUCCUUCUAUGAUGGCAUGUCUUGUCAAAACAAUCUCUUUGACUAGGUUUCUGUAAGUGAAUGGUCUAACAGCAGCUCGUAAGAACAAACCAGGCGGUACUUUACUCUUUUUGAUCCUUUUCCUGAAAGGACCGUAACCGAGAUUCUUCCAUUCUGCUGGACUGACCUUUGCUCUUGUCCGCCUCAUUGCCAAUUCAUCCCCAUCUUCUUCAACUGUCCCAUUCCCCCUCCUUUCCAUUGCUCUAAUCUGCUUUUCAUAGAUUUUGUUAGAUAUCUCUAAGCCUCGUUUUGCAAGCUUUUCCAUUGCUUCGUUACUGCUCAAUGCCUUCUUAAAUUCCGCAUCCCAGUAGUUUGGAUCCUCUUCAGGACCGAAAUCCUCUUCUUCCUCCUUGAUUCCCAACUCAUCAUCUCCAGCAUCCUCUACAUCCAAAAUUGCAUCAUCGUCUUCACCAUCCUCCACUUCACUCCUUCCAUCAUUUUCGUCGCCAUCAUCCUCAAUCCAGUCCAUUAUCUGACCUUCCUCAUCAUUAUCACCAUGAUCGCCAUUCUCAUCAUCUGGGGCGUCACAACCCAACUCCAUUUCCUCCAAUUUCACCUUCCACUCCUUAGUAUAUGGAUGCAACAGAGGCACUGGAUGGUUGUUCAAUAAAAACUCCAAGCACUUCGACUUCUUCUCAUCACUCACCUUCUCAUAAGCAUUCACAACAUCAUCUACAAACGCCUUUGGAUUCGCCUUCACUAUUCUACAUAAUCCACCAAAAUAAGUACAGAAUUCCACCCUCCCAUCAUCAUUCACCAACUGGAACAAAAAAUCCCCCUCAGUCUGUGGAUCAAGCAACGGUGUCAAUUCCUUAAAAAAGUCAUCUUGAGGCUCAAAUCUACACUGAUAAACUGGCCUCUUCACAUAAAUUAUAUCAGGCCUCAUCCACGCUGCACACUGUGUAAUCAUGGACCUUGCCUUAUUUCCGAGCCUUCCCAUCAAAUUCCACUUAUCCAACCUCUGAUCCCCGGCUUCAAGAACCACCUCGCUUACCAAAGUCCACUGUUGCCAAGGCAACUCCGAAACCCUCCACCUAGGAUGCCUGACAAACACCCAAAAAUUCCUGAACUUAACAUUUUUAUCCAUUGCAUCUAAUCUAGUUUGAAAUUCUCGAGCCAUUUCAAACUGCUCGAUCUUCUCCCACUCUUCUUGAUUGCGAACUUCACCAAUCAAAGUUACACACUCAUCGGUAAUCCGUCCAUGAAUUGGCUCACCCAAAACCACCCCACGCCAAGAAUAAGGUCCAAAUUCACCAUACUUGUACCAAUCGUACGGGUGCCUAAGAUUUGGAUCAUCUUUUUCCAUAAACCUAACCAUUCUAUCAUAUCCUAGACCAAUCAUCUCAAGCUGCUCUUCCGAUAAAUUGUCCGGGUAAUUCUUGUUAGGGUUCUUCAGUCUGUAAAACAAGCUCUCUGCCAGUUUCCUGCUUUUCCGGCGAGCGUUUCGCUUAGCCUGUCGACGGACUUCAGCGUUACCCUCGAUGCGCCCAGUGGAGGUACCUCCGGGCUUCCCUUUGCUCCGUCCGGCAAAGGACCGGACGUCCCUCUGGUGGGUGGCAUUUUGGCGGGAAAAUUGUGGGGUGGGGUUUUGGCAAUGGAUUUUAAGGGAUUUUGCGGUUCCAGAAGAGGGAUAAAUUGGAGCAAUCUUUCUGUGAAGAGGGUUUAAGAACUUGGAAAAUGAUGAUGAGGGUUGAAAGUUGAAGGGGGGAGGGUUUAGGGCUUUAGCAAAUGGGAGGUUUUGGGUCUGCAUUUUCAGGAUCUGGUGGAGUGAGGCAAGUUGGAUAAGGCUAACAAUUUUACCGGUUAAAACUCAAAACACUUGACUUCUCAAGUGAUGAAUAAUGUAUUCGACUUUUCUUGUUACAAGUAUGAGAAAGUUGCUUACUAUUUACCGAGAUAAAAUGUUUUGACUAAAAUUUUCAUACGGUGUAUACUGAUGGAUAUAAAUGCAUAUUAUAUAUAUAUGUAAAAUUCGAUAUUAAAAUUCAAAUUGAAUACAUUGAUAGUGUCAGAAAAAAAGAUUAAUUCAAAAUGUUUUAUAUAUUGACUUAUUGAGAGUGAAUGCUUUACCUCUUGAAUAUUUGAUACAAAUAUAUUCAUCAAUCUUAGAUACUUAUGAUCCAAUUAUAUGCUAAAAUUUUUUGAUUAUGAGGUUUUUUAGGAUCUAAUUGCACACUAAGUUGGUCUUGGCCAUAAGGGGAAUUUCGUAAAUCCACAAAACAUCGUAAUUGGAUGCUUCUAUUGCUUCCAUAUCCUAUGAUUUUUAGUCCAAAUUCUACUUUCUUUUAUGAACUUUAUGACAAUUAUCAUAGUACCACUUGGAUAUUUGAACAAUAAAAGUGCACUCCUUCAACCAAAAAAAAAAAAAAAAAAAAAAAGAACAAUAAAAGUGCAUUAAGAACUCAUUGAAACUUGAUCCUAUCUAAUCAAAUUGAACAUGAACAAUAUUUUAUAUUCGAUACAUCUUUUUAACUCAAUUCAAUUUGCAUCAAUUUUGAAAUUUACAUACAAAAAUUUAAAUUACUCUAGCUUGACACUUCUGACUCGAAAAAAUUCGUGGGAGUUUGAUUCAAUAAAUAAACAAACUAAAUUUAAACACAAUUUUAACUUCUUUGAAAUAAUCAAACGACGAUGAAUAUUAGAAUUUAGUUCAUCUAUUUCACUUACUUGAUGAAGAUUAGAGAGCGUUUGAUAUCAAUAAAUGUUGACUCACUUGCUAUGAAAGGAUGACUUCUUCACAAAAUGUAUGUAUGUAUUUUGAUGUUCACAUCCGUAGCUGCCUACUAACUGUACAAGUUUCGGUAUGCAAAGACGUUUCUUCAAUUGCCACGCUUUCUAAUAUUCUUCCUUCUCCCCGGUCGAUUGCCUCACAUCCCAACUGUCAAUUUUCACCAUCGUCCGAUCAAAUUCACCAAUCCGCUCCGCUCCUUUCCAAACCACCGAUGUCGCGACGCUACCACACGACGGAGCUGGGCAGCAUAGCCUGCGAAGACUUAUCGGAGGUUGGGGCAGGUAAAGAAGGCUGGCUGGUGAGCGAUCCCGAUCUUUUAACUGCUCUUGACACCCAUUCUUUAGCCCUUGCCAACCGCUCAAUUGUCCUUGUUCUCCACUGGUCCGACGACGCCGAUCCCUCUUCUUACCGCCUCAAAAUUGUCCCUGAACUCUCCCCGAUCGCGGCCGAGUACAUCUCCGCUAUUGAGUGGCUGGUGUUUGAUGACGUUAGGGUGCUUGCUAUUGGAACUUCUUCAGGUUUUCUUUUAAUCUAUUCUCUCCAAGGCGAUCUCAUUCACAAACAGGUUAAAUUCUUACUCUACUUUUUGGUAUGAAUUCAUUUAUGAACCACUGCAAUUAUGGGUAUGGAGCUGAUUGGCGAGGAAUCGUUGUGGGAUUAUCGAAAUUGAGUGAGGUUUGGAACUAUGUGUAUUAGUUUGUGGAAACAAUGGAGGAAAAUGAGCAAAGUUGGGAGCUUUAUGUAGUAUUAUUUUGUGCAGAAAAGUGGAAGUGAGUAAAGUUUUCAACAUUUUUUUUAUGCGAGUGGCCCCUUUAAAUUUAUUUGGUAGAAUUGAGUCAAGGAAUUGUUGAAUUAGCUUAUUUGACGCAAAAUUGUUGAGGGAUUCUAUUGAAAUGGAGUAAAGUUUGGAACUUUGUAGUGAGUUGAACAAAAUGGAUUGUUGAAUUAACAACUUGGGGGAAAACAUGGGAAGAUAUUGAGUUUAGACAAUAGUGCGAGGUACAUUUAGCUGGGAUGUUCUUCUUUCUUUUUAUUUUAGAGAGCUCAUCGCAGAGAGAUUAUAGUUACAAGAUAGAUGUCUUCCUUUUUCAGUUAUUUCAUUUUUUUUCUAUUGACACUUAAAAGUUUCCUGAUCAGGAGAAUGUACUGAUUUCUUUUGUGUCAGUGGAAUUUAAGUCGGUUUAUUAACGAUCACAUAAUUGUUCUUCAGCUUGUGAACAAUGCCAAGAUUAUCAAGUUAAGAGUUCGUGGAACUAACAAGGACCUGUCGGAAGAUACAUCUUCCGAGGAGGUUUGUGUUGUUAUGCGAGCAACAGUUGCUCGAUUUGAUGGAUCUGACAUUCAGGUAUAUGCAAAUAAGUCAGCAUUUUGCUCAUAUCUAGUUUAUUGGACGUCAUCUGUUGUACAAAAAACCUGUUUUGUAGAAGAAAGGAUAGAUCUGCUAAAAUGCUUUAUACUUUUUAAAUGUUAAAAAUAGUAAAUAUGUAGUUAAUUCUUCCCUUGAGAGCUGAGAGGAAAUUAAAGAAAAUCUCAAAAGAAUUAGGAGGAAUAGCAUUUGCAUGAUGAGAAAGAGUCAUCAAGUCAAAUAGAUAAAAAUAAGUAAACUAGUAAACUUAAUAGCAGUUUCCAGUCUGAUGCUUGGUUUGAACUGGUGGAGUUAUCAUUGAGGUCUUCAAAGUUGCUACAAGUGCUUUUGCCUUGUAUAAAUAUUUAACAAUUUCCGUGCUAACCUUUUUCUUAUCGUUGAGUCCUUAAAUGAAACUUUUAAUGUUUUUGAAUCUAACACGCUGUUUUACACCUUGAUGAUGAAUAUCUGCAGAGUAUGCUGCAUCGGUGGUUUCGAGAAAGACAGUUGAAUUUCUGGGAUCAGAGUUACAUGAGGAGAGAUCAAGAAUAUUCUGGAGCUUCAUUUGGAAGGCUUCCUUAUCAGCUAUGGAAUGUUAGCAAGUAUGGAUUGUGUGCUGAUGCUGCUAUCACUGGCAUCAUGCCUCCUCCUCUAAUGGAACCUCAGGUACUUACACUUGUCAUCUGAAACCUCUUUAGUUCCUCUUUGCAAUUAGCCAUUCUGGUUGAGUAAGACUUUUUGUACAACAAAUCUAGUGCUCUUCUUAGUGAACUGAGGGAUAUCAUCACCUUUGGAGCUUUGCAUGCUCUAUUUGUCAUAGUUUGCUUUCUUUAGUGGAAGUGCCUGUGUAGCUUAGUGCUAUUCUUUUGUAUAGGUUGACUUUUGGCAACUUUCUGAAUGUUAAUCUGGUUUUUGAAUUCAGCUGCUUUUAUUGUUGGACAGUCAAGUCAACGUUAUUAUUGUGCAGUCACAGUUGGAGAUGAUGCGGUGAUUUCAGCAUACAGGUUAGACUGCUUGAAGAUUGGUUAUAAGAUUCUUGUAAUAUUGCUUUUGGUCUUCAAUUUUUUUUUAAUCCUUGGAUUGCUGUGAUGUUUUAUGCCUCUUCAUGUCUUCUCACUGUUGAAUAUACUUUGUCAAGACUUUCGGAGGACAGAAGCAGAUCAAUAGUUGGAGCUAUUCUGUCAAAAGUUGUGCCUGCAACAUUUUCAACUAUAUCUUCUAUCUCAAAAAUGAUUUGGCGAAGUGAUACAACAACAAAGAAACAAGAGGAAAAACCCCAACCGCUUGCUCGAGGUUGUAUAGUGCUUUUAGUUGUUGAACGUUGUCUUAUAUCAUGCUCAUAUUGGAUUUAGGCUAUUGUUUUCAUUACCUUUCAGCUUUUCACUUGGCAUUCUGACAAAAGUUUUUCUGAUUUUUUAGGGCUUCCUUUGCUUUUCCUGCAAAAGUGUUUCUGAAGUUAUAUCAUUUAGUUCAUAUCAUGGGAUGCAAUCUUACAGUUACUGCAUAUUAGUAUAUGUUUUAUUACAAAACCCUCAGUGGAGGGCUUUCUAGACUGAUGUUAUCGAUGUUUUCAGUAAGGUAUUGGUCUGCUUCCAUUUUCUAUCUGAGUUGAACUCUGCAUGACUCGUAUCUUGAAUUCAUUCAAUUUGGCAGCUUCUCCUCUUACUUGUUUGAAGGAUUACCCAAGGAAGGGAGAAAAACUCACAUUAUCACCUAGUGGUACUCUGGCUGCAAUAACUGAUUCCCUUGGUCGUAUAUUGCUUUUGGACACGCAGGCACUUGUUGUUGUGCGACUAUGGAAGGUUUGCUUCUAGCAACGAGCUAUUUUAUCUUUAAUAACACGCCGUUUCCGGUGAUUUACUUUGACAUCUUGCAGGGAUAUCGAGAUGCAAGCUGCUUGUUUGUUGAGAUGCUUGCCAAGAAGAAUUCCGCAACCGUAGGAUCUGCUGGGUAUCAAUAUGAGAAGAGUGAUUAUUGCCUUUGUUUAGCCAUCCAUGCACCACGUAAAGGGAUAGUCGAGGUAAUUUCUGGUGCAUACUCUUCAGAUUAUGUCAAUGAUUCUCUGUACUCAUCAUUCUUUGGAAUCUAAACGUAGUAGGCUUUCUUUCAUUUUACGCAGGAGUUUUCUAGGUCCAUUGCGCUGCACGCUUGUCAUUUUAGUCGGACCUUUCUUUCUAGGAUCAUACGCACUGUUAACAAUUUCCUGAUAUUGUGGUUUAACUAUCUGGACAUUGUCAUGAAUUACCAUGUGGGGCUUACCUUUUGCUAUUUUAAUAGUUGAAGAUUAAUAAAUUAGCCAAGGUUUGUUUGAGUGCUCGUCAUAAUAGGCCAGAACAAAUGUUGUUUUCCCAGUCAGCUAAGUUUGAUGGUUGUCUUUUUUUCUCUCAAAAAUAAUGUGACUUGCAUAGAAAUAGGUAAAUUUUGUGAUUAAGUCAUUUGAACUCUUGCUUGCAGGUUUGGCAGAUGAGAACUGGACCUCGUCUUUUAACCAUUCCAUGCGCCAAAGGUAGCAAGAUUUUGCAACCUACCUAUAGAUUUGUUUCAUCAAUUUCAUCAUCAUCUUACGUGCCAUUGGAAGUUUUCUUUUUGAACGGAGACUCUGGUCAAUUAUCUGUAUUGAACCGAUCCCUUAACUGAGUCUUAAUGCGACCCCCCCCCUGAUUAUUUAUAUCAUAAGCUCAUUGUAUGGAAUUCAUUGCAAUAUGUCUGACAACACCAAAUGUUUUUAAAUUUGGUGCAUACAAACAGGCCCUUUUAUUGGGUACUUCUAAGAUUCAAUGUUACAUCAGUAGAUUACAAUCCGGGUCUAAGCAGACGCUUCUUUGGGUAUCCUUGCUCUCGUCAGAAACCACAACCAAAAUCUUUUGUGGGUGUCUACAAUUUCAGGGGGGGAAGUCUAUCAUGCAUUUAAAAAAUCUUUUUUACUGGCUUUGAUGUAAACGGUUUGUGACUUCCACUAUGGCUUCUUUUUGUUUGGUUUAUCUAGGACAACACUUCUAAAGUAGUAUAGUUUAAUACAUCAUUAUCUGCUUGGGAAUUGUGACCUUGUGAUGAAAACAGGGUGAAUUGCUAGAUGAUUUGGACUUCUAAGCCGCCAACAAAGCAAGAACAGAAAUGCAGGAAGGAAAAAAAGAUAAUAAUAAGACGAAAGGCAGUUGAACAUAAUGGUCCAACCCGAUAGAUCAGUAUUCUUCACCCUACAGAAAAGAAAACAUACAGUACUGGAUCUGAUUAGGGGCCUAAAGAAAAUGAAAAAAAAAAAAAUGCCUCGUCUUAUUCAUUGAAUAGGUGAAGUCUGAGAUGUCAAACUGCUUUAUAUGUACAUGUACUUUUCCUGCUUUUAUUCAGGGCUUUCAAUCCUUCAACGAAACAAUGCCUUGACAAAGUGGCUGUCGUCCAUACAUACAAGGCGACAUGAACAAUAAAGUUGAACUUUAUUCAUUCAAGUUGAUGACCAUUCUUAGAACCGUUUUGGAUAGGUGUGAGGGUUAUUAUUUUACUACUCGAGCAACUUGGUCAUACCUCCCACUAUCUUGGUUCAUCCAGAAGCUUGAUGGAAGCAUUCCAUUUAUUAUUCCCCUUUAAGUUUAAGACGGCGAGCAACCAACUGGCCCCCAGGCCACGCAAAGCUAAUAUCUACACAUUAAACCAUUAUUAUACGAAUCCAUUACUAUAUCCUAUUGAACAGCCAUUACAGUCUUGCCCCUUAAGUAAUUUAUAGUCUGUUUUUCCUCCGACACCAACGCUCGAGUUGUUGUACACUGAACCUUCUAAAGAAACAGGAAAACGAAACUGGCCGUGCAAGUCCCUGCUGAUGACCGCUCAGUUGCGGUUGUUGACUUCUUGUUGUUGGUGUGUUAGUGCGUGUUUCUUUUUUCCCCACUAUUUGUAGAACAAUGGAAUCACAUUGCGACAGAAAAUCCACUACUAUCAUAAUUCCUGCUUCCAAAUCUUCUAUUCUUUGUACAAAUCUAGUUUUUACUCCUCUCUUCUGUCCCUUCUUUGUACGGUUGUCACGUCCUUUUUUAUAAUCCAAACACAAAUAAACUGAUAAUAAUUGGUUGAUAAGUUUAAUCAAAAUCAAUUAAAAGAGAUAAUUCUAAACUUUUUUAUUUUCUUUUUUAACAAAAAAAAGUCUUGUUGGUCGUAAAAAUAAAAAUCAACUAAAACUCUUCUUUAUUUUUUACACCAAAUCAUUUUUUUUCUUCAACCCUAACAAGGACUUUGAUUCACUCAUUAUAUCUUUAAUCUUGCAACAAAAAUAACGAGCCCUCACGAUUUUUGUGAGUAAUUGUGGGUGUAAACGACAUAAUCCAACAUGAUUGACAGAGUUAAAGGCAAUGAUAUCGUAGGGAUUUGGUGAGCAAUUGAAUCAAAAGAAUAAAUAGUUCGAGAAUCAAUUGAUGGAUGUAAUGUUGCAGACUAGCAGUCUUCUUUUUCAUGUAAACUAGUGUUGAAGGAAUUCUGAUUAGGGAACCACCACUUGAUUUAUCCAAAGAAAAAAAAAGUUUUGAGUUAUCGGAAUUGCUUUAUUUAUCCAAAGAAAAAAAGUUUUGAGUUAUUGGAUGAAUUGGUUUUGAAUAAACUUAUCAAUCGAUUAUUAUUGAUUUGUUUGAUUUUGGAUUAUCAAAAAAUUAGAGGCAAUGUGACAGCUAUAUAAAAAAAGGACAGAGGAGACAGAAACUAAUUUGGGAACAGAAGAUUCUAAACGCAUAAUUCCAGCUUAGGAAAGCAUGUUUGACUAGGAAUUAAAUGCCACACAUGUAACAAAAAGACCUCAUAAUCCUAGGCAAAUGCCUCCACACAUCGCUUGGUAGUCCGUUGAUUCGGCUUUCCAGGGUGAACAAGAUAAAAUAGAAAAGAAUCUAUUGGCGUUCGGUGUAUUAAGAAAUUGACUGAUUUGCUAUAAAAGAGCCGUCCGGAGAUGAAUGGAUUUUCGUCAUCUUCUUUAUUCAUGAUUUGAACGAUUGAAUCCUACUCAGGGCUGUUUCCCCAUUGAUUACAAGAUUUAUUUUGGAGCAAAGACCAGAACUUUGUUUCCCAAUUCAAAACAACGUUCGAGGUUUAGUACUAAGGCAAGUAAGAUACUACCAUGUAGCUGCUGCAACAUAGUAAUCAUCUAGCUGUGAUUAACUACCCCUCUAAAUUUACCUUUAAGAGUAGAGCUCCAAUCCCCCAACCACCAUUCCGUCAAUCAUGGCUUUUAAUUUCUCUUUCCUCUUUCACCUUAUCGUCUCUCUUUUCUUCCUUCUCAACCACCCUAUCUUCUCCUUUGCAAACAAUCUCCACAAAACAAAGCCUCUUUUCAAUUCACAACUCUUCUCUGAAGACAAUGGGAAUGCUCCAACCCCUGCUCCAACAACCUAUUUUGAAGUCACAAAGCCUAUACAACUGCCCAAGACUAAGCCUUGCUCCUAUUUGAUUCUUCAACAUGAUUUUGGCUUCACCUAUGGCAAGCCACCAGUUUUUGCAAAUUACACUCCACCCUCCAACUGCCCUUCUCAGAAAUUUUCAAAAAUUGUUUUUGAAUGGAAGGCCUCCAGCAAAGGGAGGCAAUUCGAUAGAAUUUUUGGAGUUUGGCUUGGUGGUGUGGAGAUUUUGAGGAGUUGUACUGCUGAACCAAGAGCUACUGGGAUUGUUUGGACUGUUGAGAAGGACAUCACUAGGUAUUAUUCUUUGCUUAUGACUAAUCAGACCCUUGCUGUUUAUCUGGGCAAUCUUGUUGACAAGACUUAUACUGGUAUUUACCAUGUGAAUAUUAGUGUGCAUUUUUAUCCCGCUGAGGAAAAUUAUGGUUUUAGUGGGCUGAAUAUAGAUGAUUCUGCUAAUUCUGUGGCUGAUCUGAUAUUGCCCAUAUCAAGAAAUUUGCCAUUGAAUGAUGGGUUAUGGUUUGAAAUUCAGAAUUCUACCGAUGUGGAGUCUAAGGAGUUUCGUAUUCCACCAAAUGUGUACAGGGCUGUCUUGGAAGUUUAUGUUUCAUUUCAUGAAAAUGAUGAAUUUUGGUACGGAAAUUUUCCAAAUGAGUACAUUGCUGCCAAUAACCUUACAGGUUACGCAGGAAAUGGUCCUUUUAGAGAGGUUCUUGUGAGUUUAGAUGAUGUUUUGGCUGGUUCUAUCUGGCCAUUUACAGUGGUUUAUACUGGGGGUAUUGAUCCCCUGUUGUGGAGACCUAUUACCGGAAUUGGAUCGUUUGACCUGCCUACCUAUGACAUUGAGAUUACUCCUUUUUUGGGCAAGAUAUUGGAUGGAAAGACUCAUAAACUUGGCUUUAGUGUUGCGAAUGCUUUGAAUGUCUGGUACAUAGAUGCAAAUUUGCAUCUUUGGUUGGACAAAAAGAGUGCGAAGACAGAAGGCGAGCUGUUAAGUCACGAUAGCCCGCCCCUAACCUUUUCCUUCGCAGCGAAUUUCACAGGUUUGGAUGGAUCAUUCUUCAUAAAUGCCAGUAGGACUAUAACAUCAGAAGGAUGGGUGAAGUCAUCAUCAUACGGUACUAUCAUCACCAAGGCAACUCAAGACUUGAAAUACAGGAACUCUAUGGUUCUGGGAAACGAGGCUAAUAGGCAGAUUGUAAAUCAGACAAUUGAGUACAAUGACAUGGUUUCUGCUAGGACUCUGUCUUCAGUAAAGUCGAUCAAAUCCCUGAAACAUUUUCCUUUUUACUUGUAUACAGAUGUUACGGAUCGAGCAAAUGGAACAUAUGUUUCUGUGUCAAAUGUAGCUCUGGGUUUUGACGAGAAAAAGAUUAAGAAAUCUGACCAGGGAUUGUCCGUCAGCUGUCUCGAAAACAUACAGAAGGGAAACAGUAGCAUGCUUGUAAAGGGGAAUUUGGUAAUUAGCGGAUUGGGUACUACAAACCAAGCCUACAGCUACAAGGAUAAUGAAUUCUGCUAUCUCAGGAAUGUAGGCAGCUCAAAUUACACCAUUCUUUACGACAAAGUUAGCAACAUUUGCAGUAAAAGGCAAAAGCAUCAUCUGUUUAAUCGGUUCUUGCCUUCGUAGAUGGUGAUUUUGAAGGCAUUUCUUCUCAAGAGGUAUCUCUCAUUGAAAGUUGGCGAUGAGGGUUGCUAUUUUCAUUGUCUGAUCGGUUCCUUGAUUAGUUUACAUCUCUGAGCAAUUCUAGAUGCUGGUCCCACAUCUCUGAGCAUCUAGGAACAGCAAUUCCCGGAUGCUUUAAACAGCGAAUUCUUGCUCUUCUUAGAUUUGUUCAAUUCAGCUUAAUGCAAAACGAACAAUGUAGGCCGGCCAUUUUGCAUUUUUAGACUUUCAAGCAUGAUCCUUCGUUCUUUUAGCAAUUUAAGCCAGACAAGUCAGUUAACCGUGGCCCCAUUAGCAUCUGAUUAUGAAAAACAACUUUUUAAAAAAAAAAAAAAGAUCACAAAAAAUUAAAAAGGAAAAGGUCUAUACAAGCACACAUGAAACAUAGAAUUUAUAACUAAAAUAUCCACCGAUAAGCAUUUUGAAGCGACUAAAAUCCAGUGACUUGUAUGUGCAAUAUCCUAAACAGCAGAAACCACUAUCCCAGACGCCAAAACAAAUAGAGGGUUCUUCACUUGAUCUGCUAGAAAAAAAGAAAAAUUUACAAAAGAGACCGACAUCCAAUAAUGUCAGCAAUGCAAAUUGUAAUUCUAUUUUCUUGCACAAGACGAAGCCCCAGAAUCAUCACCCAUUUAAGGAAUGGGACCAAAAAUUGAUGAUGUAUUUUCCUUAAUCCGGGUCCCACGUUGUCCACCACGCCCACCAACCAUACCAUUCUUGAAACUGACAAAACCGCAAACUUUACUCUUUCCAGUGGUGACUUCGUCAGAGAUCACAACUUUACCUUCUUCGCUAUCUCCAUUUUUUGAGAAGAAUUUCCGGAGAUUUUCAGAGGUGGUUUUAGGCCGAAGGGAUGGGUUGCAAUCGAGGAUAGAGAGGAUGGUGUGGAGGAUAAAGGGGUGGAGAACAGCAGCCACCUCAAGGACUUGAAGGAGUUGGGAUGGACUCAAGAACUGAAGAGUGUUGUGAAUGCAUUCUCCUUCUUGUUUCUGAAAAGUCAUCAAAGUAUCAACUUCGUUGGUUUUCUUGAGAUUAGGCUUUGGAUUAGCGGUAGAAUUAGAAGAAAUGUUGAUUUUGGGAGAAGAAACAGGAGAAUUAGGAAGGCAGGGAUGGGAGACACUGAGCUUGGAAGAGAAUACAAGUAUUCUACUUUUGUGAGAGUACAACUGCUUUGAGAGUCUGAUUUGGCUCAUGUUUUUGUCUUUAAAUGCUACUGGCGAGAAUUGAAGAGUGGAAGGUAUAAGGAUGGGCAAGCUCAGCCUUGUCAGGGAAGAUUAACCGCGGUGGUUAAGAAAAAGGACAGAGUAGAAAAAGAGUUGCAGGUAGGAUUCAAUUGCCCAACUUCAAAAGGGCAUUGACUGAACAGUACUACACACUGACCAGGUAGGAAGAGCCCACAAGAACAGGGCGUUCUACCUCCCCGCCUCGAGUUCUUGGUUUUUGCGUUGCGUGGAGUGGGGUGUUUAGAAUCGGAAAAAAAUUUUUUUUUUUGGUCCCUUUUUUUAGAAGUAAAAGACAGGAGCUCGGGGGCAGGUUGAAUUGGAUGAUAGGGUUAAAAACAAAAAUAUUUCUUGUAAUAAAUCUAAUAUAUAGAAAAGUCUCCCGUAAUUUUAAAAUAUACAACACGAUACUCCGUACUUUGAACUAAAUUAUAAAUGUGACGAAAUCCGUUAAAUUUAAUGGAAUUAGACGAAAUGACCAAAAUGUUUUGAUAUAAUUAAGCAAAAGAUAGUUCAAAAAAAUCAUUUGUUUUAUUCUUUAGAUAAAGAGAAUUAAGGGUUAAGGGGUACAAUAGGUAUAUUUGUUAAAGAUUAUGUACAAAUUUUUUUUUUAGAUUCCAAUAAGUCAUUUUCGUUAAGUUUAACGGAUUCCGUCACUUUUACAAUUUAGUUCAAAGUACGGGAUGUCAUGUUGUAUAUUUUGAAAUCAUGGGAGCUUUUCUAUAUAUUAAGUUUAUCACAGGGAGUUUUUUUGUAUUUUAUCUUUAGAUGAUAAGAUGGAAGAGAUUGUAAAUACUCACUUACAUAGAAGAAAGAAAGAACUCAUUGUGAUGGAUUAUUUGCAAUUGCACCUAUAAGUGUAAACUUAUAUAAAACAAUUAGCAGUCGGAGAAAAUGCAUUUUUUGUCCUCAAAAGGUUGGGAUUAGACCAAAUUGAUCUUUGAUAAUUCAGCCAAAACAAAACUAAUCUCUAAAGUAUUCAAUAUCAAUUAAGUUAAUUUUAAAUGUUUUGAUCCAAAUAAAUAUAGCUCCAACAGUAUAUUUAUUGACCAAUAUUAUUGGUUUCUAAUGUUUUGUAGAACCUAACCUAUAAGAAUUAUAGAGAAUUUAUAGAAAAAUCACAAAAAUUUUAAAAAUUUCAAGAAAUUAAAAUAAGUGUGAGAUAUUCACUUUUGAUCAAGUGCAAUUGGUAGAUAUGUAAAUUUGUAUUUUAGUGCAUAAAAGUAUACAAAAGUGCAUGUACAAUUUUAAUGCUUAAUUUAUUUUACUAAAAAAAGUACACAGGAAAAACAAAUAUAGAACAUGUAACGCAUGUCUUAUUUGGGUAUUCAAUUGAAUUGCUUAGAUUAGCUUAUACUUAUUUUUUUAAUUUUUUAUGAAUUUUCUACUUUUAAAUGAUUUUUAUAUAUUUUGUUUGUAUUUUUAUAAAUAUAACUAAAUUUUCUUAGAUUUUAUAAACCAUUAGGAACCAAUUUUGUCAACUAAUAUGCUUUAGGGACUACAUUCAUGUAGAUCGAUCAAAACAUCAGAGACUUAUUCAAUCAAAAUUGAAUAUUUCAGGGAUUAAAAGCUAAAUAUUGAUAACCGAUGUGGUACAACGAGGAUGAAAAAUACGUUGUUUCCAAUUAGCGGUUAAAGACACUUCUUUUGAUUUUUUUUUUUUUUUUGGGGAUUUCGAUUCUUCUAUUUAUAAGAGGUGGGUUAGGUUUGAAUUUGAUAGUCUGCACAUGUUUGAAAUUUUAAAGCUAAAGUUAUUUUUCUUUUCUAAAUUCGGUGGAUAGUUGAUAGUAUUAAAAUUUUAUUAUGCAUUCAUCCCAUUUUAUUAUGUGUUUAUCUUGUGUUCUAGAGUUAUCACGAUACCAAAAAAAAUUAUUUCCUUGGGUCACGUUAGGAGACGUCGACUCUGUUUGGAUUAUUCAAUUUUUUAAAAAUAAAAUUUUCAUAUAUAAUGUUACAGUAAUAUAAAAAUAAAAAUAACUCCAAAAACACUAUAUGUAUAAAAUAAAUAAAAAAUAACUCCAAAUAUAUAAAAAAAAAUACACCAUUACCUAUCACUCUCCACCACCACGGCCACCACCUUACCGCCACCACCCCCACACCCACACCCACAAUCCUCUCUCUCUCUCUCUCUCUCUCUCUCUCUAUCAAUCCAUCUUUCCUCCCUCUCUCCUUCUCCUCCUAUUUUUAGAGUGGUGGCUCAAGUCGCACCACUCACGAGCGAGAGAGGGGCUUGCGGUUGGGGGAAAGGAGGGGGGGAGAAGGGAGGAGGGGGGAGAAAUAGAGAGGAGAAGGAGAGGAAGAGAAAGGAAAGGGGGGAGGAAAAGGCAGGGGAUGGUGGUAGGUCGUGUAAAAUUUUAAAAAAAUAUCUCAAAAAAAUUGUAAGUUAUAAAAAUAUUUAAAAAUAUGUUUUAAAAAUACCUUUAAAAACAAUCCAAAAAAUAUCAACAAUAUAAGUUUUUCAUAUACACAAUUACAGUAAAACUAGUAUGAAUACCCGUGCUACACACGGUGCUGACAUUAUUGAAAAAAAUAAAAUGGUGAACAAAUAAAGGUGAAAAAAUUGAACCAAUAAAAUUUAAAUGUAAUAUCUGUUUAACAAUAGCUUGAAAUAUAAUAGAAUGUAUAUAUCAUUCAAGAACUGUCUUUUUUCGAAAGAUGGAUCCUGAAAAAAAAAUUAAAAUUUAUAUUAAAAAAGGGAAUGAUAUAUUUCUACAAAUGAAUGUAAUUGAAUGUUGUUAAAAUGAAAUAUUUACAAAUACUAAGCAUUCGAUUUGAUAAUCUUUCUUGAAGGUGCGAACACUCUUCACACCAAUCCACUUUUAGUACGAAAGUCAAAAUUGAUGAUUUAAUUAACUAUGUUGAAUUUUGUGAAGUAUGUACUACAAAUGAAAUGCACGAUCUUUGAUGAUAUAAAAAAACUGCAUAUUUAUCAUGAUCACGCAAAAGUAUUGGUGAUGCGGAUGGCUGUCGAACUUGAAGAGAGACAAUAUUUUUAUUUCUUUGAUCUAGAAAAAAAAUAUAUUAAAUCAAAAACAAAUAGUUUUUGUAUUUAUUUUAUGUGUAGUAAGUGAUACAUUGUAUGAGAAUUGUUAACAAAAAAAAUACAAUAGUUAAAAUAGAAGUAGCAUCAAUAGAAUUUAAUACAAUUGUAUUGUAAUUAAAUGAAAAUUACGCACUAAUAGAAUUGUUAUUAGCACCCAUAGUUAAUGAAGUAAUCCCUAUAUAAAUAUAUUUUGGUACAUGUAGACCCCCUAAAUCCCGCAAAACCAACCACCACUUAUUAAAAAUAAACCAAUAAAUGCACUAAAAUGCCUCCCAUCUAUAUCUCAAAUUGCACUUUAACCCACGAAUUUUGUGCGAAAUUAUCCCUCUAAUUGCUUUUGUCCUUUUCGAUUUUUUCACAUAUCGCUAAUUGCUUCAUUCCCUCUGCUAUUACUUGUAUAUUUAAAAUCAUUUUUUAAUAUUAAAUAAAAAGGAAUGUAUUAGUUUAUAAUAUGUUUAUAAUGUAGAUAAAUUAUUAAAUUUGGAAGAGGGCGCAUGUUCUUAUAGGCUUCUUUUCUUUUCUUUUUUUUUGGGAAAAUGAGUUUGUUCUUGUAUGUUUUUUUUUUAAAUUUUUUGGAUACAGAAUUGUUUUUCAAAGAUUUUGGUUCGUAGUCCCUACUAUGUUUAAACCAUUUUUUUAUAUCCAAUUCAAUAUUGUCUUUUAAUUUGGCAGCCUUUAUAAUUUUUAAUUUAUUCUUUUGGUUUAAGUUCAGUUAGAAUUCAGAAAUUUUCAAAUACCAAGAGAAAUCAGAUUUUUUUAAAAAAUCACCAUCUUGAGUCAGGUAGAGCGUCGAAAUAUGAGUCAGGAUUAUUUCCUUUAUGCAGUUAGUUUCCUGAUAUCUGGAAUGAUAUACAAUUAUGUCCCUUGGUUUUUUUUUUUUUAUAUAGAUAUCGUUAGGUCUUUGGCAUCACUGCUGAACAAAAUCCAAGCUUAGAAGGACGCGUUUUUUCUAAUUCAGUGGAUGAAAAAAUACAAAAAUACAAAAAAUGAAGAUAAUAUUGUGGUUCAAACUCUAAAAAGUAUGACACCAUCCUUCAAGAAGUUUCAUGUCUUCUUUAGUAUCUCAAAAAGAUGCAACACAUAACAGUUAUUUGAAUGCUAAUAAACUCUCUUUCUACCAAUUUUGAAACCCCACCCAUUAAAAGUGAAGUGAAAAUUAUUGCAGUCAAUGCAAAGAAAAAAUGAUAAAGAAAAGAAAGGCUAGAAUGCAAUUUGCCAAAAGGAUUUCUGACGAAAUUAAAAAUUAAUCCAAUUUUAAUAAUGGGCGUAUAGUGCCUUAGUUAUUAGUAGUAUCUGAAUUAUUUUUUUCUAAUUAUAAACCAUUUUUAAUUAUUUUUUAUUAUCAAAAAAUAUUUUUUUUAUUUCAUGCACGAUCAUUUUUGGAAUAAAAUUAUGAAAAUAACUAUCGUAACACCUUUUUUAUGUGAUAAAUGUGCAAUAAAAAAUAAUUAAAAAAAUUUCAGUAAUACAAACAAAUAAAAUUUUAUAAUAUACAAUUUAUGUUAGAAAUAGUAAAACCCUCAAUCAUGAACCUAUACCAUCCGCAAUUAUAUAAGCAAACAAUACCUUAUGUUAGAAAUGUGAUUGUGAUUUUGUGUUUAUACUUUAUCCCACUAUUGACUAUCUAUGCUUUACAGUGUAACAAUAAGCAAACAACCUUUCAUAGGAUUUUGUAAAAAAUUUUCAAAAAUAAUGGAUGAUCAGAAAAUCAAUGCAAUAUCAUUCAUGACAAAAAGCAAAGCAAAAGCAAAACAUACUUAAAAGGCAGAGGGAACCGACCUGGAAAAUUAAGUUGGCAAAAAUAUACUUCCAAUUCUCCGCAAGAAAGUUGAGUUCUGCUAAAGUCUUUGCACAUAAUAUCUUCCACUACUGCUCAUAAAAGAAAUAAAAUCAAUACAUUUACAAAAUGAAUAGAGAACCAAAAACAAAUAAGAAACUGAGGGAGAGUGGGAGUGAGAUAGUGGAAAUAGAGAAUUUGUAGGAGUGGUUAUAGGAUGAAUUAAGAUAGUGGGAUAGUGGGAAUAUUGAUGGGUAAUAAGGUGAGUUAUAAUCCACUACAUUUUAUGUAUUAAAAUAAAUACAAAAAUCUAGAAAAAAGAAUGAGAAGUUUAGAAGUCAUUGAGAGGGUUUCUACUAAAAACCCCUUCCUAAAUACAUAUAGAUAUAUAUAGACUUUUGACAAACACCACAAAAAACAGUUAAUCCAAACAGAGCAUAUGUUGUUUAUAAAACAUAAAGGGCAUGCUUGUCUUUUCACAUAAGUUGAAAAACAAAUAUGUAAGUGCCAAUCGUAAUUAAUAAAAAAGAUGAAUUAUAAAUUUAUAAUUACUCAAUAGAAGACUAAAAGAAGGGAUGGAAAAAUAGAAGGCUCCAAUUUUCACAACCAUUAUCCAGUACACCGAGGUGCAGCCUAUCUCUAUGCGCCUCAUUUAUCAGUAUUCAGAUUUGAGUCAUUUGACGCAGUGCAACAAAGGUGGAUAAGGAGCAGAGGAAGAGCGAGGGAACGAACAAAAAAGAACAAGUCUUUUUUGCCUUCCUUCCUGAAUGGGAUUCUCUACAUCAACAAGGCCAGUUCUCUCUUUCCCUCUUGGCUUCUCUUUCAUUUACCUCUUUUACAUGUACUAAUUUAUACUACCAAUUGUGACAAUUUGCAGUUUCUCUUUGCUGCAGUUUCUAUUUUAGUCGCUAUUGCAAUCUGGGUCUUGCCUGGAAAUCUUCUAGCUUGUUUGUCCAGUUGGGUUUCAUUCCAAAUGGUUCAAUCAAACCCACAAAAAUUUCUCCCUGUAAAUUCCCUCGGGCAUGCCUUUCUUCCCCUUCUUCAGGUAUACUUUCUUUUUACCUUGCCUACUAGUCUAGAACUGUUUAUGCUAUGUAUUUGUUGUUAGAUGUUGUUGAUGGACUAUCACAUUGCUAAGAUACUGGCAUUCUGUCAUUGCAUUUUGAAUUUAGCUUUGUUAGAAGUUUUCUGGAUAAAAGAUUUUUUUCUUCUCGUUUUUUGGAGGAGGGAUGACAGACUAAUGAGUAUUGGCGAACAAUUUAAGGACUUAAAAUCUUAUGGGGACCUUUUAGCUGAUGGAUGCAGCAUAAUUGGGGUAAAAAAUUAUAACUUUUGGGCAUUUGGGGCUUGGAAGAACGAGUGAGUAAAGAUACAAUAGGGAUGGGGGAUUAUGUUGUUCACUUUCUGGUUGUGAACUAGGAGGAUUUGUGCUAAAAAGUGAACAGUUUUGCAUCUGAAUUUGUCUAUUGUUCUCUUUUUAUGGAAGUUCGAAAAUAUUGGAGUUUCCCUAAGAACUGGCUAUUGCAAUAUUAUAUGGCUGGUAGAAAUCUCAAGAAAUUGAUUAUUGGAUUAUUGAACACAAAAAUGUUACACUUUCUGAUGCUUUAGCCCAAGCUGAAGCUGAGGCUGAUUUCUUCCACAUCCUGCAUCAUAAAUAUUUAUCUGAUCGAUCUUGAAAAUUGGAAAUUUGUGGAAGUUAGUUUGUUAGAUUCAUCAGAUUCGUCGAUACGAAAUGUGUAUGCUGGGUAUAGACCUCAUGAUUAGGUUAUUGUUGGAAGUGUAAAUUAUUAACAAUGUUAUAAGGUAGUUUUGGAUUUUGUGCUGCCUUUUCCUUGUGUUGUGUUGAAAAUGGCCGUUAAUUUGCUUUUAUGCUUCGAAGGUGACUUGAAAUUCUGUUUCUUAGCCUAGGAUUACAAUUGACAGAUACGUAUUGAAUUGUUGGCUUAGUGGUUUUGCUUCGCCUGUCUGUUGAUGUUGAGCCCUUUAUUGAUAUGGUGACCACUAGAUCUUUUUCAUUUCCUUCCUCUUAUUCAUUUGCAUAUGGUUGUUUUCAAUUUCCUGAGAUCAGCAUAUGCGGAGGAUUUCUUCUUUUGGAUGACGAAGGUUUUAUGUCUCGGCAUACUGAGAGAUUUUCACACACCUAUACAUACACAUGAUGUCUCCCAUCUGUCAAUCUAUUCAGCAGACUAUUGCAUCGCUAAAUUAAUAUGAAUAUUGCGAUCCAGAUCCUCUUUUGGUAAAGGCUGCAAGAGGAGACCCUGUAAAUCGUCCUCCUGCAUGGAUGAUGCGGCAAGCUGGAAGGUAUAUGGCUGCUUACAGGAAGCUUGCUGAGAAAUACCCAUCUUUCAGAGAGAGGUCAGAGACAACUGAUCUCAUUGUGGAAAUUUCUUUGCAGCCUUGGGAAGCUUUCCAUCCAGAUGGAGUUAUUAUUUUCUCUGACAUACUUACCCCGCUACCUGCUUUUGGUGUCCCAUUUGACAUAGAAGAGGUGCGCGGUCCAGUUAUUCACUCUCCUCUUCAUCAUGAGGAGGAUUUGAAAGCACUACAUCCAAUUGACUUGGACAAACUACAGUUUGUCGGGGAGUCCUUACAAAUUUUGCGCAGAGAGGUACUCUUGUAUUUCACCAAAUGUAUCAUAAGAAUGCUGUUCUUAGUAGCUUUCAGCUUGCUCCUUUUAGCAUAGCAUGCAAUGCUUUUAUCUUCUAUUUGUUUUCAAGACUUUAUCAAUCUUUUUGAAUUAGGUCGGGGAGCAAGCUGCAGUUUUAGGUUUUGUGGGAGCUCCUUGGACAAUUGCUACAUAUAUUGUGGAGGGGGGCACAACUCGCACUUAUACAAAGAUAAAGAGCAUGUGCCAUACAGCACCACAUGUUUUGAGGGCUCUUCUCUCUCAUUUGACUGUAGCAAUAGCUGAAUACAUUGUUUUCCAGGUUCAGUCUGGAGCUCAUUGUGUUCAGAUAUUUGAUUCCUGGGGUGGACAAUUGCCACCUCAUAUGUGGGAUAGUUGGUCAAAACCUUAUAUUGACAAGGUAACUUUGAUGAUUUUUCUAGUAAAUGUACUUGUUAUCCAAUUAUUCUGUUAUCUAGCCAUAGAGUCUUUCCUGUAGACCACAAAGGUGGUUGUUGAUUCAUGAUCUCAUUGACGUUUUUGAUAAACAUACUGUCUCAUUUUGUGAGACUUAUUUAAUUCAACAUAUUAACGUACAGCCUCCAAUAAAGCUUCAUAUUUUUGCUGUGUAAUAGCCUUGAUAAAGUUAUGCUUGAGAUCUCUUGGACUAAGAAUGUAUCAGUAAGUUUAAAACUGAUAUGCAUUUCCUGGUUUGGUUCAUUUUUAUAUGAUUAACGAUAGUAUGCAAUGCUGGUCAGCUUUAGUGAUAAGUUCAUCGAAUUUCAAAAACACUUUUAUAAUGGCAAAAUUAUGAAUUACUGUCGGCUGAAUUUACCUUUUUACUUUUCUUUGGGAGGGGUUUGGGAGCCAGUUCAGAACAAUUUCUUUCUUUUUUCCCUUUAAAACAUCUUUUAUUCCUGCAUGCAGAUAGUAAGCACAGUGAGAACAAAAUGCCCUCAAACACCGCUAGUGCUCUACAUUAACGGGAAUGGUGGAAUUCUUGAACGAAUGAAACUAACUGGCGUUGAUGUUAUUGGGCUUGACUGGACUGUUGAUAUGGAAGAUGGAAGGAAACGGCUAGGAAAUGAUAUUGGUAUACAGGGAAAUGUAGAUCCUGCAGUAUUGUUUAGUCCUCUUUCUGCUGUGGCUGAUGAAAUUAAAAGGUACGUAAUGUAAGUCCUCCUUCUGCUGUGACUGAUGAAAUUAAAAGGUACAUAAUGUACCUUAAAUUGGAUCUACACAAGUUAAUUUAGCCGCUGAUCAGUUGGGGAAUAAAUUCUCCUCCAACUGCAGUUAAUUAAUUGGUUAGCCCAUUAUAGAACUUUCCGUUGCUGUAUUAAGCAUCUCAAUUACAUAUGGUUGAAGAGGGCUUGACCUAAACUUGCAUCUGGGGCAAAAGGUGAGACUAAAUAAAAUGGUGAAAAAACAGUUAUCUCACAUGAGGCCAAGGCGUUUUAGAAAAUUGAGCAGAUUGGUUUCCUUUUAAAACUGAUUACUAAGCUGGUUCUGUUCCUUCGACAGGGUUGUUAAGUCUGCAGGGCCUAGGCAUCACAUUCUUAAUUUGGGCCAUGGUGUUCUUGUUGGGACACCUGAGGAAGCUGUUGCCCACUUUUUCAAUGUUGCAAGGAGCUUAAAGAUCGAUGAGAAAACUGUGGAGCAUGAAAAUAACGCACCUAAAACUGUAGUAGGAAGAUAGAAAUUCUGUGAAGCAGCGUAGAAGAGCACGAGCCUUUAACUUUUGCCUGCCUUUCCUUGCAGAAGUGGUGCCAUGCGUGCAGGUUUCAGCUAAUAUGUUAUGUUAGAUGAUGUUUAGGAGACAAUUCUUCGGAUUGGUUCUUGUGCUAUCCUGAUAAUACUCUUUUUAGCUUGUAGUAUCAGAAAAUUUUCGCUUCGAAUCUAAACUUUCGGCAUCUCUACUUAUGGUUUUGUCUCACGAUCCAAAUGGGGAUCAUUUUGGGUGGUCAAUGUUGUCGAUACAAUAGGGCGGAAAGAAUCAGCUACCCAAUUUAAUGGAUGGUGGUAGAUUUCCCUGGAACGCCUUUGGCCUUCAACUCUAUUUUCAUUUGAUGAAAAGGUUAUGGGUUCAAUAUUAAGGCUGAUCCUUUUGCAAGCAUAAUGAAUGUCAUCAUAAUGUGGCAGAAAAGAGAUAUUAUUCUAAUCAUCUUCUAAUCCACCUUUACACCCAAUUAGGGGGCCAAAGCCAACUUUAAUAGCUAAGGUACUUUUCAAAAGUUAAAGUCAGAUAGUGAUUUUACCUAUGUUUGAAUACGGGUGGCAUGGAUGAUUGGAAUGUAAGGAAGCUAGUCAAAUAGUUAAAGUCAGAUAGUCACAUUCAACCACAGACAGGAACAUCCAUUCAAGAAUUGCGCAAAAGGCACAGAAUGAAUGGUUGGAAUAUAAGGAAGCUAAGAACCAAGAGAAAAGGGUGAGCAUGCUGGAAAUAUCAGGAGCAGAAAGAACAGCAGCAACAGAGGAAGGAGGGUACUGGUGUCAUUCAUCUAAGAAUUGCAUCAAAACAGAAGACGGGAGGAUGGGAGACGGGUUUUGGUAUAGUAGCAGAGGAUGAUAGCAAACAGAUACUAGCUGAGAAUGGGCCACAAAAGAAACUAAUGAAGGCAACACUCUCAGGAAUCAUGUAGUGGCCAUCAAGCUAGCAUUAUGUAAGGCAAGAGAGCAGCACUGGGAGAAGAUUGCGGUCAAAAUGAAACAGAAGCAAUUGCUGAAGAUGAUAUAGACCAGCAAAUCCAAGGACAUGAUAGUGUACUCUCAUCUGGAGGAUAUAAAAAAAUUUGUGCUCAUUCGUUUUGUCGACUAGUCAAAUUGAGGAAAGAGUUGAUUAUAUAAUGUUUAAGCAUCCUUUAACCAUAUCUUUUGAUGAGGAGUGGCUCCACUCUUAGUACCAAUAUGCUCUUGUAUAGUCUCAAAUUGGCCCUUUGCUCAACAAUUGUAUAGUUUAUCAAAUUUCAAUAAUAUUAUCUACGCUUUCUGAAAAAAAAUAAAAUAAAAUUACGGGUGACAUGGACAGGAGCAUUCUCUAGAACAAGACAAAAAGAAGAUUAGGUUAAAAUAGCCAUGUCAUAUUAUUACCAUCAUCUUAAGAGGAUUGAUUAAAGUGGUGAGAUUUUUACCACUUCAAAAUCAACAUUGCUCUUAAAUUGAAAUUUUCAUUUGCUUUAAUAUCUAUAUUAAACUCAUUUUCUAAAUCUUUUUUUUUUCUUUUGGUGGUCCAUAGCAUAGAAAAAGCUGAAAAAAUUAUCCACACCAACAAGAUUAGUUGACUAAGCACCUGUGUGCAUAAGCAUUUGUCCUCUUAUAUCCAUGGUUUGCCAUCAUGGUCGUUGUUGUGUCGUGAUCAUUAUUAUUGUUUCACACUCAUACGUAUGUUAUAUAGCAUAUAAGAGUUUUCAAAUUUUUUAAAAAAAUUAAUGAAAAUAGAAAAUACAACAAGAAGCACAAUUAUCAAAUUAGAUUUGCUAAAUACCUACAUUAUCAUAUAUGUACUCAAUAAUUAUUUACAUAAAGGGAUACUGUUGUAGUCAUGAAUCAAAAGCAUUAAAAGUACAUGAUUUUAGUACCAAAAGCAUCUUCUAUUUCUAUUUUAUGAGACAUCAAAGCUUAAAUAUAAGAUUAAAAUCAUUAUAUCUUAUAUAGCACAAUAAGAAUCCUACUCUGAUGAUAAUAUAAUAAGAAUUCUAGUACACGAAAGAAGUAAUACCGUAUAAUUCAAUACAACAAAAGAAACAGAUAAUCAUCAAAUAAUAUUAUAGAAUGCAAAGGCAAAAAAAAAAAAAAAAGCAAGAAUUUUCACCAUAUUUGAUCAACUCUAUUGGCCAAAUGAAUGACCUCAACUUCCUUAAAACCAAAAUAAAUAAAUAAAUAAAUAACAAUAAUAAACAUCCGAAACAGGUCUAUCGGUGAAUAAUAACAAUGAAAUAAUAACAACGAUGAAUAUCCGAAACAAUACUAACAACAAAACUUUUUUUGCUUGAUUUUUGAUUCAAAAUCGUGUAUAAUUUGACGGGUUCCAAUUAAUAUAUGAUGAUUUGAGUUAACUCAGUCAGUAUCGACCAAGUUAUAUUGAGUCAUAUCUAAAACAGGUUCACUUGCAAAUCAUGUGUCGGUAUCGUAUUGGAAGGUCCGUUCCGGUGAAUACUGCUUAUAUCCUGCACCUAAACACCACAAACUUAUAAAACCCUUAGCUUACCAACAAACCUUAGCUAAAAUGAAAACAAAUCAUAAAGUUCUAUGGUCUAUAUCACAAAUCAUAAGGUUCUAUGGUCUAUAAAGCCCCUCCCCGCCCACCCCCCCCUACAAACUCACCCCCACUUUGGUCUAUAUCAUAAAACAGGUAAAAGAUUCUCUAAACUUAAAAUCUACUUAGGGCGAAUAGGAUGUUUUAUGGCGAGCUUCCUUACAAUUAUUUCGCUUCAAGAGAACAGUAGCACUUUUUGGAUGUUUUUGGAUUGUAAAUUAUUUAAGAUAUUUUUACUGUAGCACUUUUUAUGAUGUGAUGUAUGUGAGAAAAAAGAUAAUUCAAAAGAAAAAAAGGUACAUUGAAAAUUGUAAUGGUGAUAUAAGCAAAUAUAUUUGGACAAAUAAUCUCCUGUCCAAACACACACACAAUUCAAGAGAACAGUAGACUUGGUUAUCAUGUAAUACUUCAAGAGAAUUGUUUUUACUUAUGUAAUGAGUUCUUUUUUUGAGAUUUGGAAAGUUUGAAUUGAUAACAUCUUAUUAACAGUUUGCUAGUUUUAUAAUGUUAUUGGUGAAGAAAUAUAUUAAAAAGAAUAUUUUUUCAGUUAGUUGAAAUUUAGCUUUAAUUGCUUCUCUCUAAACCAAAUUCUCUCCUUAUUAAGAGUAUCUACUUCUUAUAUAGGAGGGAGAUCUCUUAUGGCUUUCUUUUUCUCUUUUGCAUGUAGUAAAGUCCCUUUUAAGAUAUUUUAGUGAGAGUUUUUUUUUUCUCUAUUUGGAUCUUUUAGUGAUAAUUUUCUUCUCUAUUAGCAUCUUCUUGUGAGUGUUUUUUUUUUAGUAUUUAUUUUUUGGUAUUUUAUUUGUUAGGUUUGAGUUUUUUCCUAAAUGUUUUACCAAAUUUUGAAUUUCUUGGAUUUGUUUUGUCAAAUUUUUAUCUGAUUUCUUUAAAUAUAUAUAUAUAUAUUUGUAGCUUUGAAGUGUAAUCUUGUUAAAUUUUCAGAUUUAUUAUGAUUUUUGUUAAUUCUUCCAAAUCUAUUUGCAUCUGUUGCAUGUUUUGUUAUGUUUGCUGCUAUUAGUACAAAUCUUCUAAAAUAAAAAAGACAUUAUGAUUUUCUCUUAAAAAAGGAAUAAAUUUUUGAAUUAGGUAGCAAGUAAGAAUGAAUGCACAGCUUAUAAUUUGAAUGGAAAUUCAGUGUUUUCUAGGGUCUGUUUGUUUCGGGUGAAAAUGUUUUCCAGGAAAAUAUUUUCCUAAUUUCCCGUGUUUGGUUGCACAAAAGUUACUGAAAACAUUUUCCUAUGUAAAAUAUUUUCACUCAUCUUAUGGAAAACAACUUCCCUUCCAAACUUACUGAAGUUGUUUUCCGAAAUGCAUGCAUCCCGCUUGUAGUAUAUUCCAAACUUACUGAAAACAUCUUGUAGUAUGUUCUUUUUUUUUUUGCUGUAAAUAGGAGGAUUCGAACCCAAAACCUCCUCCUUACACUCCCUCCCCCGUACCACCCAACCUAACCCUCCCCCUAGUAUAUUCAAAAUAAAAAAAAACCUCAUCCUACUCAUCAUAUGCUAGUAAUUAAUUAUGUAUAAUAGGGACAUUCUUUUCUAGAGAAAUUUUCAGCAUUGAAAGUGCAAGAUAUAUGUCACAAUAAGCAUUGCAUGUGAUUGAUAUUUGACACUAAAUGGCCAGCAAUUUGUUUAUUGCUUAAGGAGAUAUUUUUUAUUCAUAUAUACAUUUCUCUAAGAUUUUUUAAAUUUAAACAAUGAGAUAAAUUUUCUUAUUUUGCAUGAGAAGAAGUAUGUAGUUAUAAUGUGUAGAAAGUAAAAAUAGAGAUAAAGUGAAAAUAUUUCAAAAGUUAAACAAACACCAGAAAAAUGAAGUAAGAAAAUAUUUUCAAUAAGCUAACCAAACACCUGAAAAUGAUGAAAGGGAAAUGAUUUUCAUGGAAAAUUACUUCCACGGAAAAUAUUUUCCCAAGGAAAACAUUUUACUUCCAACCAAACAGACCCCUAAUGAUGUAACCUUACAUUUACAAGCCUAUAAACACAGACAAGAAUGGGUUAAGUUUCGAAAACAGCCAUUAUGGGAAAUCCCAAACUUUAUUUACCAAUUAGCAGGAGAGACGACUUUUUACCUGGCUUUCAAGAAACUAUUUUGUUGCACGGUAACAUUUAUCUAAUUCAGUGGACAGUAAUUUUUAAAGAGCUGAUAUAUAGUUUAUGAUUGUAAAAUAGAUUCAGAACAAAAUUAACUACUCCCUACUUUAUGGUUCAAGUAAUGGCUAAUACAAGAUUUUACGAGUCGAAAGAAAAGAAACUCGUGGAGACUCCAAGUCCAUUCCCCCCAACUAUUAGUGGACUUUUUACUCUUGCUGUAAUCUUCAUUUUACUUUUUCUUCUUUUACUAAGGUAAGUAGGAUUUGAAUUCUCUGCAAUCACAACGAAAAAAAAAAAUUCAAGACUACAUUGCUUUCUUCUUUUACUAGCUAAGAUAACUAGGAUUCACAGUGGAAUAAAAUUCAUAACAUCGUUUUUUUUUUCAAUAUUUUGAGAGGUUUAAUAUUUUCUUUCUUGCACUCCAAUUCUGCCUAAUUAAUGCCCCAUUUAGGGUCGCCGUGGAUUUACAAAAAAAAAUGCACUUUUAAAUACUAAAAAUACUUUUAGGAUGCUUAGUAACUAAUUUUUUCGUAACUCAAGGAACUUAAUUUUUGAUAACUUAAAAGCACUUUUGUUAAAAGAACUCGUGUCAAAAGUUCUUUUUUUUUAUAAGUGAGCGCAUUCCAAAACGAGACCUAGUAGCCAUUCUCAAAGUUAAAAAAAAAAUGAAAUGAAGAAAUCGAAACAUAAAUUUUUUGGGGUUACCAAGCCGUACAGAUAAACAUAAUUGGAUAGAAUUUAAACUGUAUGGAGAAUUAAUUAGUGUACCAAUUUAAACAGUUCCCAGUGGACCUGGCUGAUAUAUUUUUGGAUAAUAUUUGCCAUACCAGAGAAACAUGUCAUCAUUUAUGUCCCAUUAGAAAAUAUGAAAGUUCCAAUUAUUAUGACAACCUGAUACCAGAUAUUGAGGACUUGCUAUAAUUACUCAUGACAAAAGUCCAAACACUCUAUCCAAUUGUGUGUGCUUUGAGUGCAAUACAGCUCCAAGCAUGGAACACUGUAGUGAUAUUACAAUUUUUAGUGUAAACAAUUUGAAACAAAACAUUCUUUUCACUGUCAGGUUCGAGAUUUAAAUUUUGUACCUGACAACUGGAGGGAGGGAGGCCAUUCUGUUGUGCAUUUCGGAAACUGGAAAUCUGUUAACUCGAGCAGAACUUCCCGAUUUCCUGCUUGAUUUUAAUGCUCAAGGUGUUAACAAUUUUUUAUGCUGAUUUUGAUGGUAGAUCAAGGGCUUGUGAGUAUGGUCACGAGGAAAAAUUAAAAAUAGCAGGAAUAUGUCGCCUGGUCUGGUACGAAGAAUGCCAAAUGAUCCCAGAUCAUGAUACAACCAACGUACGUGAUAUGACAGGCUAACCAUAACAACCAGGCAAAAGCUUUUCUAAUUAUUGCUGCUGUCUUAUGAUUUUGCUACAAGGAGUCUUAGAAUUUUAUCUGCGAUUGCAUACCAUAAACUAUGAGAAGAGGUUAAUGCGUGGCAUAGGUUUCUUGCCUCAGAAGAGAAAGUUUCAUGUAGCUUAUGGGGUUGUGAUAAUUUUUUUUAACCGUGGAAGACAACAAUUGAACCUGACUAAUUGUUAUGAUCAUGAUUCCAAAGAAAAUAUUAAUUUAGCUUUUCUUUUCCCUCUCUCAAAAGAUUUUCUAGGCUUUUCUUGCUAAUUACAAUUUUGUGGCAACACAAAAAAAAAAAGAAAGAAAAAUUCAUGACACUAGAGGAAUACUAUGUAUAAAAAGAAAAAGCAAUUGAGCCACAAAAACGUUUUAUUGAUUUUUUUUUUCCAAUUUGACAUUGCUUCAUUACUCACCUUGAAAUUCAUAUCUACCACGUCUAGUUAUAAAAAAAAAAAACAGCUUGUGUAUGUGAUAAGCCGAGCGUUCUUCCAUUUUGUUCUACUACAUACGUGAGAAAUGUGAACUAAUCAACUUGUUUGGCACUUGAGUAUUUUGUCAAGUUUGUUUGCUACAAGUAUUUUAAAAACUUUAACUACUACAGUAACCUCAAAAAAUUUCCCAAAGUUUUUAAACUAUACACUUCAAAAUAUUCAAAAAUUUAUACACUUCAAAAAUUUCUUAAAAAACUUCUACAUAAGGUAUAGUAAAGUUUUAGACAAACACCUAAAAAAACUCACGUGCCAAACGGGGUGAACAUUAUGAAGUGAGCCAUUCAAGAAAAGGAAUACGUGCCAGAAAUUACUAGAUGGAAUAAAUAAUGAAAGAGGAGUUGCCGGUUCAAAUGAUUAUACUCUUCUAAACCACCUACUAAAACCCAAAAUUCUAGCCAAGUAAGCUAACAAAUAGGGAUUGUUUGAUUUAACUGGGAAUCGUAAUCGUGAGAGAGAGAAUAAAUAAAUAAAUAAAUAAAUAUAUAUAUAUAUAUAUAUAUAUAUAUAUAUAUAUAUAUAUAGCAAGUAGAAUGGAAGAGGGGUCAGUGCGGUUAGGGUCUGGUACUAUUCGCUCUAAUUGUUCAUUAUUAUAUUAGGAUAGAAGUGAUGUAUAUGAAUAAAAUAUUUGACAUAUUCAAUAUAACAUUAUAAUGUAUUUGUACAUAAAAAAUUUAAAUAUACACACACACACAUAUAUAUAUAUAUAUAUAUAUAACGAUCGGGACGAAUCCGCACAAAACACAAUUGGAGUGAGUUCUUGUCUAGUAGAAUGGAUUCACCACAAGUAACAAAAAAUUCUGCACAACAAUUCCUUUAAGAAUCAAGACCAGUUUUAUUCUCCAUGUGCUAAAACCACAAUGCAUGAGUAUCAUUCCCUCGCCAUUGUUUCAAGAAACUCUCAGAAUUCGCAUAAUCAUUUCUUCAACAGAAACUACUCAGAUUUCGAUCAGUAAAAGAUUUAGAUAAUGAUUAUAUAUUGGUACCUUUAUUCCAUUCUUGACAGUUGCAAACUUCAAAUCCCCAACCCAAAACCCCAAGGUAAAACAGGCCAAAGCAACUCUUCAAGUGGAGUUUAGCUGGAUUUUUUAGGUUACUGCUAACUCAUGAAAACAUACAAACAAGGGAAAAUACUUCAUUCCUUAUGUCAUGCACUUCAAGGACGAGAAAAAGUCCCUCUCAUGCAUUUCAAGGCAACAAUCUCGUGUUUAAGAACGAAAGUCCCCCUCAAAAUAAAAUCAACAAAGAAAACAUGAGAGAGAAAAAGACCGAAAAGGCCUUAUGUCUUGCGUAUAGGGGUACUUAACCCUGAGUUGUUGAACUUGAAUGGAUAUGUCAACACCGGAAGUCUACAUCCUUUGAUGAUCAACUCAAAAUGUUAGCUCUUGCAUGCACAGUGUAUCAUUUAUGGAGGGCAAGAAAUUCUGAAUGGAUAUCUCAAAACUACUCUUUGUCUACUGUACAAAUUAUGUCUAAUAUCAUUACUAAGCUUUGAGGAGUGGCUGGGACUUGGACAAGUGUGGCUAGACCCAAGACUAAGUGGGACUUGGUGAUGGAAUGGAGGAUUACCCAUGAAUGCUUUGACAGUGUUUAGCUCAUGUACUGUAUAAUUGUAGUCUCUUGUAGUUAGCUAUGGAGGUAUACUUUUGCAUCUAUUCAGGCUUCUUUGCCUAAGCUGUACAAACUUAAAUGCUGCUCUAUCAAUAAAAUUCAUCUCUUUUGCUCCCAAAAAAAAAGGACCUAAGAUGUUGAAAAGGAUGCACAAUUGAACAUCGGAUAUGACUUGAAACGUGGGAUUGUAAGAGUAAUAGUACGAGAAUUGCUUGGAGUUUCCACUAUAUUAGAUAUUACAGCUUCGAGCUGAAUAGGCUGCGCAUAGUUCUUAACCACAAAAUUUCAUCAUUUCUUCAGGACUUUUGGCAAUAACUUCAUAGACUCAACAUAGCUAUAGGUGUUGAGUUGUUGAGUAAUAGAAUUUUCGUUCUCUUCUUAAAAAGACAAAAAGGACAAUAUGAUUCAGGUCUAGAUUAUAAUGACGUACAGCAAAAACCAAAGAAAAUGACACUCCUGCUAAUUUGAACUAAGAAUGGAAGAUUGUUAAACAGGGAGACAAGUAGAAGAACUGGAUUUCAUCUUUCAUUCAUUUUUUUUUUUUUUUGCAAACUUCUAAUCUACACCAUCAAACAUGCAUCUAAUAGAAGCACUUGAUAUAUUUGUAAAUGUAUUCUUUUUUUUAAGAAAAACAUAAACCUACGUACAGUGUGCACAUUAAUUAUAUUAAUAGUUAGCCCUAUCAUAAUUAAUGGCAAGCACAGGAUAGUGCAGAAUCAUAGAAGAGACGAGGCUGACAAAAGGAAAAGAUUUAAUUUUAGAAAACCACCAAAAAGAAAAGAGUGUGGGAAAUAAAGGAACAAAAUAAAACAUAGAAGCGUUGCAUGAGUGCCUAUUCGUGUUUGCCUGGGAAAGAGGUAAAACAAGAAGAAGCCUAAAUUCUUGUUAAUUUGAAUGUAAAUGCUGAUAGCCCUUUAAUUUGUUGGUUAUUCUAGUAUACAACCCUGCCUUACUCCCAAGUCCAACGAGCUAGCAUGCAAAUUAGGGUUUUGUAAUGAGGCAAUGAAUCCCAGAUUUUCAAGAAAGAAAUCAGAUUAGCCUAACCAGUUCGAACCUCAUUCAUUUUUGGGCUCUUUCACACAAUAAUCCAGAUAAAUUCUGCUCAAAAUAGUUGCAUUACCAAGCAGUAUAAGACAUAAUACUGGAAUAAAAGUAUAUGUGACACUUAAACACAUUAAUUUUUGUAGAUAAAGAUCUGGGAAUAUAGUACUAGCCCAUCUCUAUAUUAUCACAAGAACAUAGCAUACUCAAUCUCUUAAAGCAGCAAAACUUAUAUGAAUUUACUUUACCACAAAUAGCAAUCAAGAAGACUGCAUCUGAAAAUUGGAGCUUUCAUUGUUUGGCUUCAUGGGAAUACUUUUCCUCUUCUUCUUCUUCUUGUACGGGAUACCACGAGCCUUAGCUUGGGAAUCUCUUACCUCGCGAAGAUAAACACGAAUGGCGCCACUAGCAAAAGGGUUUUUAUCAGGUAAACCACCAUUUUCUUCGUAGGCAGCUCUGAGGCGUCCAAUGAGUGCAUCAAGGCUUCCCCAAGCUUGCCUGAGUGGACAAGUGCACGGCCCUGCUGGCUCAGGAUGGCCGAAAAACACGCAACCUUGCAAGUGCACCUUAGUCUUCCCAAACUGGUCGAGAUAUCUCAGAAAAUCUAACACAUGGUUGAAGUUGCACUGCGACAACGGAACUGGAGGCCUCUGAUUCCUCAAAUACUGCCCAAAAGUGUUCCAAUCGCGACGUUUUUGAGACUCGUACCUGCUCAAUUGGCCUUGAGCUGGUUGCUGCUGUUGAUCAGGAUGAUCAUGAGUUGCUGGUGCUUGUACCGCUGAAGCUGAUGAUCUUGAUGAUGAUGAUGAUGAUCCUUCUCCUAAUUCUAUAAUUCCUGGGUGACCAUGGCUACUAGACAUCAUGUUUGAUGCACAAAAUUUUUUUUUUUUUUGGGGAAUUAAGGAGCUUAAUUUGAGAAGGUUUUGUGUAUGGGAAAGACUAAAGAGAGAAAUGCAAGUGGAGUUAGAUGCAGAUCAAAUCAUGGGACUACUGAGGAGACAUGGUAUGGGACCAAGGAGAGUGCUUUAGCUCUUCUUUUUCUUCCUACAUCGCAUUAUUUUCUUCCUUUAAUGGUACUAUUAGUAUUAAGAAUGAUUUUUUAUAUUUUCCAUUAUUUUUAUAAUUGUACUGGCAUCAUCAGAGCAAUCAUUGUCAGGCAUAUUAGCAAAAUUUGGCACUAUGAUUUGAACCCUUAGUGACUAGGUGGCCACCGCAAGUAACUCAAGUUAGUAGAUUAGAUUUAGAGCUUGCCAUGGUUAAUUCUAGAUGGUUAAUUAUGCUGCAAUACAAGUGGUGAUUGAGAUCGUGUCACAAAAUCAAAAGUACAUAAUUAUUCGUUAGUGCAAAUGUUUAAAGUGGUGAAAAAAGUCGUCAUCUUGUUAAUUAACUAAGAUUUUAAGGUUCAGUCAUCGAGUAAUUCAAUUUCCAACUGGCUUCCUAUUAGUUUUUAAUUGCUGGAGUAGUGAUUAACAUAGUUGUGAUAUAAGAUUUGGUUCGAUUGAAAAUCCAAGACCGACCUCCAUUAAUUAGUAGGUCGAAACGCGAAAAAUGAAAAUUUUUUUUUUUUUGUUUCUGUUUUGGAGGUCAGUAGCUAGUUACAUUAUUAUUAAUUAGAAAGAGAAUUGUAAGAUUGACAUGGGAGUAUUAAUUGCCCGCACGAAAUAGUAUGGAAAAGUAUCUAGAACCUUUAACAAGUUGAGAAAAUGAAAUAAUUAAGUUUUUCUUCUAUUGUUCAAUUUACAAAGUGAAAUUCUCCGUUCUUCUCAAAUGAUGCACCGAAAAUGAAAGAAGGAAAGAGACUAAACAGGCAAUUGUAAUAUAUAUAGCUGUGACUGCUUUUGUUGUAUUUUAGUGAUCAUAGAUAAUAGUUGUUUAGAUGGAACAAACGAUUGAUAAUAUUUAUAGUAAACCUUGUGAUAAUUAGAUGAACGGUAGCUGGAAGGUUUCAUAAUUUCACUGAAGAUUUGUCCUACAAUUGGAAGGUUGGGCUUAAAAAUAAUACCACUAGUAUUCUUUGCAAGUGUCAACUUGGUUAGACUAUCAUAUACUUUUGCAGACACUACUCACGUCUCUCUCUCUCUCUCUCUCUAUAUAUAUAUAUAUAUACACACACACACACACACACAUAAAACUUUCUUUUUGGGUGUGUUUUGGCCAGCAGAGGGGGAAAUUAAAGAAAAGGGGUCUAAAACACUUUCUUGAAUGUCACUCUAGCUUGUUUUUAACCAUUUUAGUUAAAACCCUUUUGGAAUUUGACGCUAUGGGUUAAAUGGUAGGCAUAUUUCUUAAUCUUAGCUGAUUUGGUUGACUCCCAAAGAUUUUGCACUAUAUAAUAAGGAGAUCCCACUCUAUAAAAAUCACUAAGCCAAACGAGCAUCAUUAGCACCCCCUAUCACAGUAUAACACACAAAAGUGACAAGCCAAAUUGCUGCCACUUGUGUAUACAAGGAUCGAUCCCAGUCUUAAAAAGUGACUGGUAGGGCUGUUACCCUAGCAAUUUUUCCUAGGUAUCGAUUGUCAACAUAGUCGUUGCCAUCACCAACGACUGGUGAUAAUGCUAAGAGAUAAUAAUGUAAUCCAAUGGUACGUACCGUUGUUAGUGACGUUUUUGUUGUUGCUUGACGGCUUUCUGCUUUCUGAUUAGUUUGCUUUUUGGAGUUUCUGUCUGGAAAGGAACACAUAAGAUUUGAAAUUUCUUGCGUACCCUUACUAGCUGUCCCCUGAAUUCAAGCUAAUUGCUUGUCAAUUCCAUUUUGGGUGCAUGCAUGCAUUUGUAUAAUGGCCCUUCACACUACCUCGUAGGGUCCAUUUUCUUUUCCCCAUUUUUUUCUUGAAGAAGAAAAAUCCCUCCCUUAUUUUUCUCUUAUUUUUCAAUUGGCAAUUUCUGAAAUAGCAAGAUUAGAACAAAUUAAUCUGAGAUGUGAAUAUGAUAUUGCAGAGUCGAGUUAUAAAAUUGAACUUCUUUAAUUUCCUCAAACAGGAUUAGCCUCCGUUUCACAUGGUAAUAUGUGAAACAAAAGCAUUCUGCAAUUUACUUCAGUAGUUAUGAACGGGUCACUAGCUAGCUCAUGAACCACCUCAGUCAAUUAGUAAACUUUUCUUGAUGCACGUGUACCAGACCGGACUCAAUAGUAUGAUAUUUGAGAAGUUUGAGUUUUGUAUGAAUUCGCCUACCCGCUGCGUACGUACGUACGAGUGAAUAAUUAAUUGGUAAAGCUGAUCUACCCAAAAUUUCAUUAUAAUUACGUCGUCAACAAAUUCAGCACAACUGAAAAAACAAGUCUUAAUGUGAAUCAUAUGUCAAUACAAUAUGAAAAACAAUGGUAUAAAAUAAUACCUCGCACCUCAAAAAUCAACCUAUCAUGUACACAAAACGAAGCCACGCUACGCCUUCAGUCUGGUGGUCAAAGUUUUUGGUCGCGUGGGAGGUCAAAGGUUCAACCCCUUUCUUCGAUUGAAUCUCUACUCACAAAAUGAGAAUAUGCUAGAUCAGGUUAUAAGAAUCCUAUCAUUACGACAGAAAAAACAAAAAUGUACACAAAAUGAGAUUCACAAUUUUUCUGUAGAUUACAAUCUUCGCUCUCUAACAAGUUCAAACUUAUAUGCAUCAGCGCUUCAACUUAGGUCCUUAUUCCAUGUUUUUUCGUAUAUCUUCAAAUUAAAUUUCCGUCUGAUGCUAUACACCACCAUUUGCCAGUUACUACUGUAUCUGCAAACUAAUAGGCAAGAUGUGAAAAGAAAGCUCCCUUGUCUAGCUUUCUUAACAACCACCCAAAAGGCGGAAAAGAUUAAGAGUUAAGGAGCUUCAAUCUGCUUAACCACUGGUGCCUUAAUUAAUUAGAGAAUCAGUGCAUACUGAAAAAGUGUGCUAAUUUGUUGAUGUCCACUUCAAAGAUCCACUGGCUACGGACUGUUUGAGUCUUGUUCAUUUUGCUGAUUUUGGUAAUUACUUCCGCCUUUUGAACCGCAUAAACAUGUUACUACUAUUGUGUAUUUUCUGGACUACUCUUUCACACAUUCUCUCAAUAUAUUUAUAUACGUAGCGAUCACCACUGAAUACUGAUGUUAUAGGAAGGUAUUUUUCGAGGGGUUGAGACAAACGAAAGAGCAAGAAUUUAUUUGUAGGAGAUUCUACCGUCUUUUUUAUGUAUCAUACCCUCGUCUUAAAUUUUCUGUUGAAUUGUAGAAUAAGUGGUUUUAAUUUUAGAUUAUCAUCAUCAUCAUUGAAAGAUAUCAAUUGAUAGAAUAUUUUCCAGAGAGACAAUACAAUUCUCCUUUAUUUUGAUCUAAAAUUAGGGGUUCAAAAUCUCAUCAACUUUACAAAAAUGCUUACCUAUCAUGUCUAACUCUAAAGCACCCUAACUACAGCCAUGGCAAAGUGCAGAUGCCCUAACCCAAAAAAAAAAAAAAAAGGGAGAGAGAGAGAGAGAGAGGUGGUUGAAACUUGAAAGCAAACUGAUGCUUCACAAAUGAGAAAACAAGGAUCUGUCACUGCCAGACACAUUAACAUUUGGAAGCAUUCAUAUUCUCAACUACAUAUCAUCCCAAGUAUCAAUUGUCGAAAAUCAUCCGGUCAUCACACGUAGAUCAACAGUAAAAGAAACUAGUAGAACGGAAAUAUGAAAGAGUAAAUUAUCUGAGGUUCCAGGUUUCACCGUUGAAUGAAUUUUGGUUACUAUAUAUUAGUUCAUCUUUAUCGUGUGUUAGUUUCCUAUUUGAUGAUUACUAGAUCUCAAGAUUUUAACAAAACACUAAUAAACCAAGGAAGUCUUUGGCCAAAUUUGACAAACUUUUAAUUUGCAUUAGAACUGGGAAAAGUAAAGGUUCACUUAAUCGGUCUAAGAGGACAAUUAACAUUCUAAAACUUGGUGGAGAGAAACUAAAGGGUGAAAAACUUAAAGUCUUUUCCUAGUGGUAUUCAAAAUGGGGCUAAAUUUCACUUUGAUCCCUUAAAUUAUAGAUGCAUUCCUAUUUUGGUUCUUAAAUUUGAUUUUUGGAUACUUUAUCCUCAAAAGUAUGAAAUUCAUCCACUUUAAUUCUUAAACUUUCAACUUUUGAUACUUUACUCUCUCUCUCUUUUUUCCAAGGGAUCAAAUUGGUGAAAAAAAAGGGAGUGCUCGGGUUGUUGUAACAGGGCUUUGGGCCGGGCAUCCCUCUCACAUGUUUAAAUACGAGCUUUGACGACUCAUCAAAUCCCUGUAAACUGUUUGAAGGAUCAUAGAUACUUUACUCUCUAAAAUUAGAGGGAGUACCCGUGCAUCACGCAGGCGUUUGGUGAUGUGGUUAAAAAAGAUUUUUCAUUGGACAAAUAAUAGUAUAUUUUGGAAAGAAAUAGUCAUCAAAUAUGACAAAAUUAAUAAUAGUACAUUCUAAUUGUAGCACACACUUGUACACUUCACUUUAUUAAUGCUUUUACAAUUUUAUUAUUUCCAAAAGAUCUCUACAAAUGUCAAUUGAAUUUCGCUCGAGAGAAGACAUAAGUUGUUUCAAAUGAAGGAAUACCCUCCAAUGGCUAGUUAUAGCAAUGUGUUAAUUGUACAACAUGUUAAUAUGUUUUGUGUUUAUUGCACAACAGAAACAACACUUCAAUUAAAUAUGUCUAUAACACCAUUUCACUAAUUACACCAACACAUAAGCUUAUAUGAGUUGUAGUCGAUGUAAAAAUGGUUGCAAAAUAAUUCCAUAUUUCAAAAACACCCAAAUGUUUCCAGAAAUCAAAGCUUUAAAUGUACCAAAAUAAGGGUAUUUUGGUAAAUAUAUCUAAAUACAUGUUGCUCUCAAUUGUACCAAAAGUUUUAAAAAACUACACAACGUUCCACAUUCUCAAAAAGCACCUAUCCAUAUGGUUGAAAUUCAAAUCCUCUUUAACCACAAAUCAUUUUAUAUAGUAUAAGGAUAUGAUAUUCAUCCUAUGGAUUUAUCAUAACUGACGGAAUAGUAAACAAGUGAUGAUCAAAGUUUAAAAACUGAAGUGUGAUAGAUUUUGUACUUUAAAAGAUAAGGUGUCCAAAUUUGAAAUUUAAUAACUAAAGUAGAAGUGCAUCUAUGGUUUAAAGAUCCAAAGUAAAAUUUAGCCUUCAACAUAGUAAUUUUUAAUUCAUUAUUGCCUAUGUUAGUUAUGCAAUUAAAUAAGUAAAAUACAUUGUUAACCCUUUUCUACAUGAGUAAGAGAGAUAGUUAUACAUGUUAGCGUGAGUUUUUGCAGUUUGUUCGAUGUGUAUAAUGAAAAAUGAAGGACGAAAAUCACAUAAUUUAGCAUCUUUAAAAUGGUUUACACAUCUUAUGAACAUGUUUCAUAUAUGAGCUUUACGCACAUAUGCAAAAGUACAUAAACCAUGUGUUGAAUUUUCCCAUAUAUUCUUUUUUCUUUUAUUUUCUUUUUUUUGGCAAGAUAUAAGCCAUAAGGAAUUAAUAGCAUAUGCAACAUUGUGGUCUUCAUUAUGCUUACUUUGAAACAGUUGGGGUUAAGGAACAUGUUUCAAACUUUUCAUCACAUCACACCACGCUAUCACAAAUAGUUUUGGACGAGGUGAAUUCCGAGUAACUUCUAGAUUACCAGCAAAAGCACCUGGGAGGAUCUUUGGUAAAGAACCACAAUCACGAAACGAAUCAUACUUUAUUUUGCUUUAACCUGAGUAGUCAACCUGAUUUGAUCUCAAGUCCACAUCUUUUCUUUCAAGUUUUUGGUUCACUUCACUUAAACAAUAUUUCGCUAUUGAUCAACAGAAACCGCUGAAGAAGACAAACCUUAAACUAAGUAUGAAGUUUUGCCAUCUUUAUUUGUUAAGAUGAAAGACUAUCUCAUGGGAAUUACUAGGAAAAUGGAGGGGAAGACAUCCAACUGUAACAGACAUCGGCUGAACUUUUACAGGAAAACUUGGUACGAUUGCAAGCAAGGGGUUGUAAACCCCUAACUUUGCACCUAAAAGGACCUUAAAUUAUGGCCCUCUUAGCUAGUGGCCAACUCAGCUUAGAGUGUCACUCUGUUUGUGUGUCAAUGACAAUAGUACUUCCUAGUACUUUUUUUCUUUCUUUCUUUCUUUUUUUUUUUUUUUGGGUAAAAACCUCGAAUGGGAUGCCAGUCAUUAUUUCAUUAAUAUUUUAAAACAAAUUAAAUUGGAGGGGGGACUGUAGGCUGAUCUCCCAUACAAAAAGCGAAUGCGGCUUGCUAGUACUUGCCCCAUGUUUUUUUUUUCUUCCAAGCGUGGCAACCUCAAAACCAGGAUUUAUUUUCAUAAUAAUUAAUAAAGAAAAUAUGUCAAAUUUUUUAUGAAAAUUAAAUUAUCGAUUUCAAAACUAAUAUUCAAUAGCACGUGGAUUAGUUAAUUCAAUUAAUUCGAUGCAUAAAUUUUCAUGGGAUUCAGUAAACAUAAUAUAAAUUCCAUCGUUGCAAGAUCAUCUAUAUAAUUCGGCGAAGAAUGAACUAAUAGUGGGAUUUUCUGAUAAGCUUAUAGAAUCCAUUUGUGAAAGACAAUUCAGCUACUAGAAGGGGUUUAAAAUCCCUAUUUGAAUUUUAGGUGUCUGUACAUUCAAUUUACUCUACGGAUAGAGGAAUACAUAGGGCUGAACACAGUAAAAUAAGAAAUUGAAAGGUUUCAUUGAAAUUGAACUCCCAUCGAAAAUUCAUAGGGUAAAAAAUAAAAUAAAAUCUUGGUAAAACCUAUAGGUAGAGAUGUACGCAAGUCGAACUGCUCGCGAGUAGUUUGGUCAAUGGCUUGAUUUGAACUCGGUCAAACCGAGUUCGAACCGAGUCUCGAACUACUCGAGUACACAUUCGAGUCGAGUUCGAGUCAGAAUUUUGCAGCUCGUGGCUCGACGAGUAGCUCGUUAAGCCAUAUAAUUUAAAUAAUAUAUAUGUAUUAUAAUUAUAAAAUGAUCGUUAUGGAUAUAAUUUAUACUGAAUUUACAAGUAAAGUGUAGAGUCAAAAAGCUUGAUUACUUUAGCCAAGCCUUAUCGAGUCGAGUCUCGAGCUUUUAAAGAUUUCCUCGAGUCAAACUUGAGUUUGAGAUUUUUCUACUCGAUCGAGCUCGAAUUCAAAUUAUUUAUAGGUCGAGUCGAGCUCAAGUAUAACAAUACUCUAGCUCGACUCGGCUCGAUUACAUACCUACCUAUAGGUCACCAAUCAAAAAUUCAAUAACGGACGGGACCAAUAACAGUUGUCAAUGAAAGUUUUUGGAUUGAAGGGAAUACAGCACAUUGAGGAUGAAUACACUUGUUUCUUUGCCCGAAUAUGGUCAUGAAAAUUGGCAUGUCGACGAUUUCUAAUCCGCCUAAUACUUUAUGUGAAGCCCAAUUAUGAGAUUGUCAAUUAGUCCCCAAUCACUACAAGUGCUUGCUCACUAAAGGCCCUUGAGGUCCAUGAGGAACGAAACCUUGUUUGAGCCAAGUCCAAGCAAAACUGAGAGAAGUCUGAUUUUUUAAUAUUCAAACGAUUUCGUUCUAAGAUGCAACACAAUAUUAUCUUAUAAUACAGAAUUUGUACCUUGUAACCCAUCACUAUUUAAAAAAGAAAUAUGUCCAGUUUUUUAUAUGAAAAUAGGAAACAAAAGAGCACAACCUCUUUUUUUUUUUUUUUUUAACAAACCAAUAUCUUAAGAACUGAAAACCAGAUUAAUUCCGGAUCAAGCUUCUUCUUCUUUUUUUUUCGAUUUAGCAUAUCAAUGAUCAAUCACUAUUUUAAAGAGGAAACCGGAGAUAAUGAAAUAAUGUAAUGUAUUGUAAUGGGAAACAAAGAAUCGAGCCUUGACAAAUUGCUACGGAAGGUUUGAUUCAACCACAAGAUUUCAAGGCAGAUCAACCCUUGUAUAUCCCUUGCCAAAAACAGAAAUAUCUAGCAUUAGCUGCAACUGCGAGUUGGUUGAAGACAACUACCCUAUUUAUUUCCACUUCAAUCGCUUUUUGAUAAAGCAUUAAUUAGCAAAACAUAUUCCUUUGAUUACUGUACAAAUGCCUCCCAAAAUUAGUAAGUACGGAGCCAUCAAGAAACAAGGUAUUCAUUUCGGUUUAAUCAUCCAAGAAAUCAGACUUGGCAAAUCAAAAAUUUUUCACAACGGACCUUCGAGUCCUACAUAAUACAUGUACUAGUUGAGAAAACCAUUAUUAAUAAUUGCAGAGGGCAAUUAACAUUUUUUUUUCUAUUCUUAUUCCUUUGUUAAUGGGACAUGCAUAACACUAUACUCCUCAAUUGUUCAACAAUGGAAGAGCAUGCAUUAUCCCACUAACCCCAAUUACAAUAUAAAACCACAAAAACCUACAGCAACUCCCCCUGUUGGCUUUUCUUUAAAAAGCAACAAAGUUAAUUUAUUCAGAGUGAAUAUUUAACGUAUGCAGUAGAAGUGUUCACGUCUCUGAUGAAAGUCCCAAGCACUGGCACGAGCAAACACUUCUUCGUAUCUUCCUUGUAAACAAACCCUUUACAUCUGCAAUCCUUGCUGCACUUAUCUCUGCAAGCUUCAACUUUAAUCGGACCUUCUCCAUCACCAGUAGAUUCCCUAUUCAAGAAAUGCUCCGCCGCAGCAAUCUUGUAAUAAUCCACCUUAGCCUUGGCCGCACACGGCUUCAGUUUUGGUGGUUGACAAUCUUCGCUCCACCCCAGAAGACCAUUUGGACUAGGACACGCCACACACAUUCCCAUUUGGCACAAACCGAAGGAACCACAUUUUGAUGGCAACCCGCAUUCUCUAACGUAGUAACUCGAGAAAAAUGCAAAUGUCUCUGACCAUCUCAGAUACGGGACUUUAUCAAAAUAAGUAAACACUUUCACGUUGCCAUCAGAUUGAAGCCUCAAGAAUGAGAGUGUUGCAUUAUAAUUCACCUUUCGGAGAAUUACUGUGUUAGCAGAACCAACAGGGAAUGACUGAAGCAGCCGCCUCCCGCUCGGCGUUGGACUUGGAGUUGGUGGUGAUUUUGAAUCCUCAAAUGUUUGAAGAAGCAGCUCCCAGCCUGCAGAUUUAGGGUCUUCAUCUAUGGGGGUGGUAUUAAAUCUUACAGAACUAUAUGCGCUUCCUUGCCAGCCAUUAUAGUUGACAAGCUGGCCAGAGUUGUUUAAAUACAAGCUGAAGCCUGAAUUAUCAAGCACAAGGCUAUACCUUCCAUCCCUUCCAUCAGCUUCAGACGUACGGCUAACAAGCCGGCCAUUUUUCUUGACAGACAUGCCGACCAGUAAUGUAUCGACUGGAUGAUCAAAGCUUUGCCAAAUGAACUUUCCCUUUUUAUCAUACAGCACAAGGUUGCCAUUGGGCAACAGUUUAAUGCCCGUGACGCCCUUGUUAGCUGUGUUGGUCUGCCAGGCGACAGUGCCAUCAACGUCCGCGAGGACUAAGUUUCCAUCGCGGCCGAAGGAAAGAGUGGCAUUUUCUUUAACGGGGUGGUUGCGGUUGGCAUCCCAAACCCAGCGCAUUAGGUCUUCGUCGCGUGGGAUGCCGGCACGCAUGCCCAAGAUGAAUUCCCCUGGGGUGGUGUUGUAGAAACAUAGACUGAAUGGGAAUGCAAAGAAGUCGUUGGAAAUAACGCGAUACCCUGCAUCGUAUUCGGUUAUGUAAUCUCCGAAUUCACCUUCGUUUAUGAUCUUGAAGGUUGCAUUAGCUGGCACUUGAGCUACAGUGCUAGCAGUGAAGAAGUAGAGAAUGAGAAGACUGCUUAAGCAGACUGAAAAUGAAAAGCUCCAAGAAGACAUUAAUUGGGAUUCUUUUUGUGUAGAAUGCCAAUGGAGAGGAAAAGAAAAGGAUUGAGAUUUGUGGGACAAAAGUGUAGUCUCAUGUUUUGGUAUUUAUAGUUCUUCUCCGGAAAGUUUUACCUUCAUCGGAAGCUAUUGGCGCGUUGAAAAGUCAAAUUGAAGGAUAAGAUUUGAAUAGUCAAUGUUGACAACUGCCAAGCGCAAGCCAGAUCACUACAGUUCUAUUAUACGGCAUCCUCUACAGUUGUUGUCUGUAGACUCUGUACCGCUAAAGUGUGUAGAACGACGAAAUUUCUUCCGCAGCCCUAGUCAACAUAGCUAGAUACGGGGAACUAAGAUGUGAGUAUUUAAUUAGUGUUCAAUCUAACCUUGGUCUCAUUCUAGCUGAAUAGCUUGCCCCUUUGGCAAUUAAAUAGGGUGGGAUUGUACAUUUUGUCAACUAAUUAAAUAUAUAUGGCCUGAAAAAUUAAAGUAAGCAUUUUGUCCUUAUUAGUUCAACAAGUUUCUAGAGAUGUUGUUGAUUAAGAGCAUACAUGUAUAUUUAAUUACGACCUUCUCUCUUCAAAUCUUAUGAUCGCAGGGGUUGCAAUGUAAAUAAAAAUUCAAUCUAAAUAAUGUCGAGUUCUCCUUAGGCCCGUCCCCUUCCCCUUAGUGUAGGAUAGAUUAGAUUUAUUGUCUCCGGCAAAAAAAAAAAAAAAGAGUUCUCUUGACAUCCUACUGUAUCGCAACGGAUCUUCUGUCCCAUAUCCUGUGCCACUCUCUGUCCCACUUUUUAUUAUAUUGCUAUUGCUCCUUCACAAACAUCAUAUUUUAAUUCUUUUUUAUUUUCUUAUGAUCCAAUAACUAUUAAUUGAGUAAAAAAUAAAUAUAACAGUUUCAAAAAACUAAUAUAUAAUAGAAAGUAAAAAAAUACAGCAGAAAAUUCAUAAAAAGUCUCAUUUUUUAUGCAUUUUGAUUUUUUGAGUUUGUUAAAUUUUGUGUAUUAUUCAAUUAAUAGUUAUUGGAUCAUAAGAAAAUAAAAAAGAAUUAAAACAUGAUGUUUGUGAAGGAGAAAUAGCAAUAUAAUAAAAAGUGGGACAGAGAGUGGCACAGGAUAUGGGACAGAAGAUCCGUUGCCUGUAUCGCAUUAAGGUCUUUUUUUUUUUUUUUUUUUUGGUUCUUUUUGGAAGUUUAACAUACAUCAUCCCAUUAUCAUUAUGUUCCCAUUCCUAUAUGCUUUUCAAGCAAACCAACGUACAAAAACUGCAAUGCAUAGUCUAAAUGGACCACCAAUGAGCUGUAAUAUAACAAGGAAAGGAGGAAAUAUUGAUUGAGCUUUGAGCACAACGAUUCAGACGAGGACCCAGUCGGGCAACCGCGAAUGGUCUUUGAGAUCAAUUACGAUGACGAUAACGAAAUGGGAUAAUGCAUGCAUGGACUCUGGCGGUCUGGCCUGUCCCACUUAUCCACACCCUUGUUUCUGCAUACAUGAUUGACGAUGGCUUCUCAACGAUACGCUACUUACUGCUAUCUGAUAUCUGCAUCAAAUGAUACUCAAAUUUUAUUUCAUUUCCACAGCAAAUGAUGACAAAAUUUUCCCUUUUUAAGUACAAGUUGCAUUUCGACUUACUUGAGAAUGACAGAUUUGAUGUCUCAGAGAAAAUUAUUGUAGAAAUAAGAAUUGUGUGUGAAAUAAUGUCGGUGCACAAAAAAAUCAAUUUGUUUUUGAAAUUUUUUUCAACAGCUUAAGAAUUUUUAAAUUUAAGAUUUUGGAUUAAAUAUUUUAUUUUAACCGCAAAUGGACCGUUGGUCAACGGUCAUGAUUUGAAGGUGCAGAAAAAAAUAAAUUUUUUUUAAUUCUAUUGUCGCGCACAAAAUUUGCGGCGAACAAAAAAUUUUUUUUUCUUCUUAAAAGCCGCAUGCUAAAUUUGACGCGAAAUUUGUAGACUGUUGAUCCAUUUGAUCAACGGCUGGAAAAUUGCCGCAGAUUCAUCUGAUUUUUUUAUUUUUUGAAACCGAACGUCUGAUGUAUGGCAAGGAAAUACGUACACAAGGCCACUUGGGAUCCUCGGUGACAUGUUUUCUAUGUCAAUCCAAUGUCACCUAAAAUAUUGUGCCAAGUGUCCUGUUAUUAUUUACACUUAUGUUAAACCAAACCAAGCUGAAGUAUUAGAAAAUUAAAGUAUAAAUAAUAACGGGACACUUUGCGCAAUACUAUAGGUGGCAUUGGAUUGGCAUAGAAAAACAUGUCACCGAGGAUUCCAAGUGAACAAGGCAAGGCUUUCAGGGCAAUGCGGUGUAAGAAAAAUCAACAAAUUCAUGAUUCUGAGAAAAAACCAAACCGUCAAGGUAUAGGAAAGCAACGGCAAGCAAAAUUGUGUGCUGCGAAGGUCAUAGCCCAAGGUAAUUGGUGGAAUUGUGGGGGAAAUGACAUAUGCAAUGUUGGGACUAUUUACUUCUAAUUAUUAACAGAAUGAGUUGGGGUUGAGCCCUUUUCCUCAUUUCUUUUUUGUCAAAGAAAAUGGUCAGCCAUUCCUCAACGAUGGAUGAAUAAAGGAGGAAAAUGUCAGCAUCAUACGGAUAAAUAAAAAGCCUCUGAUUAUUGCAUAUUAAAACAACGCAAUUAAGGAGGAGCCCAGAAUAUAGCGCUGUAACAUUUCCACCAUUAAUUGGCAUCUGCUAAUUAAUUAAUUGAUUUGAGGCAUUGCUGAAUACGUUAAUACUCUAUCUCGGAAGAGAGGAGCGCUUGGAAACUUUUUAAAGUUAAUUACAUCUGAUAAUUAAGCAUGUGGCCACAUUAGACGGGCGUGGUAGGCAGUACAAGUCUCUUUUAUCAUUUGCGGCGACUCUUAAAUUAGAAAUCAAUCCCAACCAACGUCACUUUUGUGAUAUUUUCGAGUUUUCACAAUACACUGAGAAAUUCGCCAAUUAACAGCAUGUCAUAUUUUAUAUAUAAAUAUAUAUAUAUAUAAGUAUGAUAGUAUAUAGGAACCUCGUGAAUUUGUAAAUACUUUUUUUUUCCUUUUUUAUUAAAUUAUAGUAAGAGAUAGUAUAAAUUUCGAUUAUAAAAAUUAGACUUGACCUAAUUACUCCAUCAUUUUUUUUUUUGUAUUAAAGAAGAAGAAGAAGAAGAAGAAGAAGAAGAAGAAGAAGAAGAAGAAGAAGAAGAAGAAGAAGAAGAAGAAGAAGGAGAGAGACCCAUCCCGAGUGCUGCUAUAUAGCAUCAAUCAUGAACGACUUUAAGUGGCGGUGGAGGCCGGAGGAGCCAUAAUUGAUGCAUCAAAGUAUGGCAGGUACGCGCAUUGAAGCUCUCAUAAUGAACCAAACCAACCUCUCUUCUAAGGCUGAAACCCAAAUCCGAAGAAACGUAGGUUUCCAGAAAACUAUUAAUGCGAAGGAAAAAACGUUUUUGACAACUUGAACGGAGAAAAACAGCAAUAUCAUAUCUUGGAAGAGCAUUGCAAUUUUAAUUAGAUUCGUAUAGAAAAGCAUUAUUGAUCCAGAAAAUAGAAUAUAAAUAAGGCAUACAAGUACACAUGCAUGCGUUCCGGUUUAAUCUAUCAGAAGGGCCCUCCCAAAAAAAAAACAAAAUACUGGUCUGGGCAGCAUCAAUUUAUAGUAAAUACACCAUCCAAGUCUUACAAUCAAAACAGAACACAAUACAACAUUAACCAUGGCCACCACCACUGCAUUAAGGUUCGGUGGGGUGGCUAAUUUGCCACAAUUAAAUGUGGUAUUGUUUAAAAAAUUCAGACGGGUGUGUAGUACAGCCGUCUGGUCCGGUGACGGUUCAGUCCCUUCGGAAUUAUCCCAAAAUCUCUUCGGGCCCUUCUUUCUCCCUAGUAUAGGAAAACUCACUAUUUGACGUAUGCACCAGUGGUGUUGACAUCUUUAACGAGAGUCAAAAGCACUGGCACAAGCACACGCUUUGAAGUAUCUUGCUUGUAGACAUAUCCUUUGCAAUUGCGAUCAUUGGUGCACUUGUCUCUGCAUGCUCCAAAUUCCAUCACAACUUCUUGACUAUCCGGAGACCACUGGUAAUUCAAGGAGGAUUGCACCCCAUCGAGCUUGUAAUAUGUUGCCUUAGGUUUCUUCCCACACGAGCUCAACUUUGGUGGUUGACAGUUUUCUGUCCAUGCCAAGAGCCCCUUUGGUGUAGGACAUGCCACACACAUCCCAUUUUGGCACAAGCCAAAAUUACCACAUUUUGAUGGCAAAGCACAUUUUUCUGUUUCAAAAUUAUACUCCGAAAGAAAGUGUAGGUCUCCAGCCAUCUAUCAAAUCUGACAUUGUCAUAGUAGGUAUAACUGUAUAAGCCUUCACAUUGCCAUCAGAUUCAAUCCUCAGAAAAGAGUAUGUUGCAUUGUAAUUUAUUGUACUGAGCUCUUGAGCUGCAUGGGUUUUGACAAAAGUCCAUUCCUAUUAAGUGGCAUGUCAUAUCCCUGGUCAUUGUGACUGUGGAAUCCUAAUUCCUAACCAAAGAACUGCUUAAUAAUUCUAACAAUGUCUGACAGCCCCAACAAAGCUAUGUACCUGGUCCAUCUUCAAAUGGGCUUAGCAGGUUGUAGAUAAAUGGAUCCGCUGCCUCACAAGUUUCAUUUAAAUUCAUUUCACAGGUUUUUUUUUUUUUUUUUGAUAAGUGGGAGGUCUCUGGAUUUCUCAUUUAUAUUUUUUCCCUCCUACCAUCUGCCCAUCUCUUUCCCCUUCCAUGUUAGAGUAAAAUGGUCUUUUCAACUUGAGGUAUCAAACUUUGGUUUGAGGAAAGGAAAAUGAAUGGUUUAUAAACUUGGACUCAUUGGCUAUUCAAUAAAUUGGAUAAACCAUUCUAGAUCAGUGGAUUUGGAUUUCGACUAAAAGUUAGUUGAGACAGUUCUUGAACUCAGGUUGUGACACAACUUUUGUUACGCCAUAUUUUAAUUUAAUCACAUCAUAUAUGCAACUUAAUGCAGGUUUGCAAAAAAUUAUUAUAGGCAAAAACUUUUUUUAUCAACUUUAAUUGAGAAAAAUAAGAAUAUCAUGUGUAGGAAGAGCUACAAUGCUCGAUUGGUAUAGAAAAACAUUAUUGAUCUAGAAAAUAUUAGAUAAGACAUAUAAGUAGACAUGCGUGCAUUCCGGUUUAAUCUAUCAAAAGGGCCUCAUAGAAUAAGAAAAGAAAAGCAAAACACGAAUCUGGGCUGCUUGGAUUUAUUGCAAAUACGAUACAAGUCUUGCGAUCAAACCAGAAGAACCAUAAUUAAUACAAUAUUGCAGAAGCUCAACAAGAAGCUUCUUUAUUCGGCACAUAAAACUCUCAAAGCAUACUUAAUGCUAUGCUAACAAUUAUCCAAACCAAGUUUUAACUUUUAAUAGUUUUUUUUCCUUAAGUUAAGGCUUUCCAUAAAAUCAAUAUUUGACAUAGGCACUAGUGGUGUUGACGUCUUUGACGAGAGUCAAAAGCACCGGCAUAAGCAAGCACUUUGAACUAUCUUGCUUGUAGACAAAUCCUUUGCAAUUGCAAUCAUUGGUGCACUUGUCUCUGCAUGCUCCAAAUUCCAUUUCGACUUCUUGACUAUCAGAAGACCACUGGUGGUUCAAGAAGGAUUGCACCCCAUCAAGCUUGAAAUAUUUUGCCUUAGGUUUCUUCCCACACGAGCCCAACUUUGGUGGUUGACAAUUUUCUGUCCAUGCCAAGAGCCCUUUUGGUGUAGGACAUGCCACACACAUCCCAUUUUGGCACAAUCCAAAAUUACCACAUUUUGUUGGCAAAGCACAUUCUGUUGCCAAAUUACUUGGAAAGAAAGUAUAGGUCUGCAUCCAUCUAUCAAAUCUGACUUUGUCAUUGUAAGUAUAAGCCUUGACAUUGCCAUCAGUUUCAAGCCUCAGAAAAGAGUAUGUUGCGUUGUAAUUUAUUUUACUGAGUUGUUGAAUCCCAUCAACCUGUGGUUUUGGCGCUGGCGAUUCGAAUAUUUCAAAGAUAAGGUUCCAAGCUGUUGGAGUAGGCUCCCACGUCGAAGGUUGGGUGUUAAACCUUACAGUACUUCCAAAAUUCCCCGGCCAACCAUUGUAGCGAACUUGUUGGCCAGCGUUGUUUAGAUACAAGAGGAGGCCAUCAUCUCCAAGCACUAAGCUGUACUUUCGAUCGGAGCCAUCAACAUCAGAAGUUCGACUGACAAGCUUGUUUACGCCACUCCCGCGAAGGGACUGCCCAACUAGUAACGAAUCAACUGGAUAAUCAAAGCUUUGCCAAAUGAACUUUCCCUUUGUAUCAUACAGCACAAGGUUGCCAUUCUGGAGUAAUUUGAUGCCCGUGACACCCUUGUUAGCCGUGUUGGUUUGCCACACAAGGCCGCCGUCAGAGUCGGCUAGGACCAAGUUUCCAUCCCGGCCGAAAGAAAGGGUGGCGUUUUCUUUCACGGGGUGGUUGCGGUUGGCGUCCCAAACCCAUCGCAUUAGGCCCUCGUCAUCUGGGAUGCCAACACGAAUGCCAAGCACGAAAGAAGUUGGGGUGGUGUUGUAGAAACACAGUCUGAAGGGGAAUGUGUAGAAAUCAUAGACAUCAUUGGUUAUGAUGCGAUAAGUUGCCCCAUACUCAGCUGUGGGUACGAAAUUUUGGAAUUCUCCCAGUGGACCUGUGUUGACAAUUUUGAAGGUAUUGUUUGUUGGCACUUGAGCUCUGGUGCUAAUGGCCAAGAAACAGAGGAGGAGGAGAAUGCUAAGACAGGGUGAAAAUGGAAAGGUACGACGAGCCAUUGGAAUUCUUUUUGUGCAAUAAGGAAUAAAGGGCAAGCUAAUCAGUUGGAAAUGGAAUGAGAGAUAUGAAGUGGGUUGUAACCAUUUGGUAUUUAUAGAUUUUUUUUAUUGGUUUUUCUGCAUACAAUUGUUGAAAUUUGAAAACUGAUCAAAAAAAUAUUGAAAAUUGAAAUUUGAAUUUCAACGUCAAAGUUGGUAACCUGCAAACAAGAUUGAGCAUCCAUCUAGUAACAUAGUAUUACAUAAUUUUGUUCUAUGUCGUUUUGGUUGUCAAAUGAUUAUAAUGUACAACACAAUUUUUUAUAAGGGAAAACGAAACAAAUAAUCCCUUACAUAUUACUUAUUUAAUCAUUCACAUACAUAAAAAUGCAAAUUCAUCCUUUAAAUAUAUAAGGGAUAAUUUUAGAAACCUCCCUGAGGUUUCUAAUAAUUUCACAAAGCUCCCCUUAAUAUUUCAAAAUUACACAUACCUCCCCUAUUGCUGUAAAAGUACUCUACUACCCCUAUAUAGGAUACUUAAUGACUUUUUCUUUUUGGAAAUUUCAGAAAUUUCAAGAAAAACUAAAAUUGACUUGUUUUUUCUCUCUCUCUCUCUCUCUACCUUACUCUUUCUUCCAUUUCCUUUUUUGCUAAAUUCCUACCACUCAUUCCUCUCUACCUAAUAUUCUUCCUCCAAUUCACGACCAAAUUCUAUCUAUUAUCCCUUACCCGUAUUUAUCCCCCUCCUUCCCUUUUUCUUCUUCUUCUUUUAUCUCUAUUCUCAUCUCUUUUUUGCAAAUAUGAUCAAGUUCAUCCUUUUUAUCCUUUUAAUUCUAAGUGUAAUGGGUUUGAUUUUUCUGCGUCUAUUUAUUUUAUCCAAUGUUAGUUGAUUAUGGGUGAUAAAACUUAGUGAUGUCAAAAGUCAAGAAUUUGAGGGAUGGAUGUGCUUUAGAAAUGGGUUGUCGAAAAAAAAAAGAAGGCUGCAAAAAGAGAAAGACGAGAGAUCUGUGCUAUUGAUUGUUGAUGAAGUGUUAGUUUUGGGUAAAAGUUUGAGACUGAGUUUUAUCCAAUUUAGCACCAAGUGACGGAUUUAAUUAACUUGUGUAGUAAAUGUAGCCAUGUAGGGGUUGGGUUAUUGGACAUAAAUUAGGCUAUAGUGUUUUAAGUGCUAGAAUUAUUGAAAUUUAUUUUGAUUUAAAUUGGGGUGUUUGCUUGGCUUUUGGGGUGGAGUUGUUUGGAAUAAGGCAAUCAUCAUAGUUGAAUUUUUCUCCAAACUUUUAUUUUUGGUAGAAAGAGUUUGUUGGCUCUGGUGUUAGAAGAAAAGCAAUCAACAGAGCUCUUUUAUUUUUCCUUUUUAUCUUUUUGACAAAAAGGGUAGUUUAGGAUAUUUGAAGGAAUUGGUAGCCUAUUGGACAUAUUUUGAAGCAUAAAUAGUGAAAGCAAGGUAGGUGUGUGUAAUUUUUGAAACCUAAGGGGAGCUUCUUGUAAUUGUUAGAGACCUCAAGGGAGGUUUAUGAAAUUAUCCCAAUAUAUAAAUUGCAUCAUGUUUGUCUGAAAAUUCAUUUUAGGAAAUUCUUUUUUUACCUGAAAACGCCAUGUGGCUACCAAAUGAAAUAUUUCAAAGAUAAAAAAGACAUUACAUACUCAUGAUUUAUCCAUUUUUUUUUGCCUUUUUUCCUCCUCUGUUUUUGCUUCACCAACAUUCAAACAGCAAAUCCUAGAUCCACCACCAUAGUCCGCAAUUUCCAGAUAACAAACACUAUCAAAUAUUGUUUAAUAUCCAGAAAUUGUAAAUUACGGAGAUUUUGCUACAAAAGCCUCAUUGCUGCCGCUAUAACAAGACAAACGCCGCUAUAGUUUGAUAAGCAUACAGAAUAGAGGAUUUGUAUGCUAAUUAAUUUUCUUUUUGUUUUCUGAAAAAGGAAUAAUAUUAAUCAUUCGAUCAUGCAAUUCUAAUAGUGCUUAAAUAAUUAGAUUAGAUUGUGGUGCGAUUGGUAUAUGUCAGGAAUGAAUUUGCAUCAUUUUGAUAAUGAGCGAUUAAAUAACUACAAAUGCGACUACUUGUAUUUUUUUUUUUUACAAUAUCGCAACACAUCAUCUGUCCCGCUUUUUAUUUCACUCCAUAUCUCAGCUUUUAUUAUAGUGUCAUUUUUCUUUCACAAACAUCUUAUUCUACUUCUUUUUUAUUUCCUUAAGUUCCAAUAACUACUAACAUAUUGUAAAACACAAAUUUAAUCAUACAAAAAAAAAACAAAAUAUCACUAAAAAAAUGAGAUUUUUAUGAUUUUUUUUGUUGUACUUUUUGUUUUUCUAUUAAGGAAAAUGAUCGGUUUCAUUCUUCACAUUUCACAAAAAUAUUCUUUUCAUCCCUCACUUAAAAACCGAAGCAAUAUCGCCCUUGACAUUUAAAAACUGAAGUUCUUACAUCCCUGAACCCAAAUUUCAAUGUGAAUCAAACUACCAAUCAACUUGAUUACAAAUUUUGGGGAUGUAAUUGGUAGAUCACUUGGUUAACUCACCUUGAUAUUCAUGUAAAAUUUAACGAACCCAAAAAUAAAAAAUAAAAAAUUAUAACAUAAAAAAGAAAUAUUAAUCUUUCCUACAUUAUCAUUAUAUACACUGACGGUGACGGUUUUAUGUACCGCCAUAUCAUUUCAAUUUAAAUUUAAACACCAAAUUUUAUAUUUAUGAUACGCAUCUAGAUUCGCAAGCGGAUAUACAAACGGUGUAUGAAAAGAUUUAUCCAAAAAAAAAACUCUACUAUUCCAAGACAAAGAAUGGCCUUUUAUGUUAUAAUUUUUAUUUUUUUUUUGGUUUAAUAAAUGUCAUGUGAAUAUGAUGAAAUUGACUGGGUGAUUUAUCAAUUCUAUUUCCAAAAUUUAUUACUAGGUUAUUGAAUGGUUUGAUUCAGAUUCAAAAUUAGGUUCAGGGAUGUAAUAGUUUUAAUUUUUAAAUGUCAGGGACGAAUUUGCUUCAUUUUAAAAGUAAAGGACGAAAAGAAUAUUUUUGCGAAAUGUGAAGGAUGAAAUAGGUCAUUUUUCCUUUCUAUUGUAUUAUACUUUUUAAUAUGUUGAAUUUUGUGUUUUACCCUUUAGUAGUCAUUGAAACUUUAGGAAAUAAAAUAAAAUAUUUGUAAAGGAGGAAUGACAAAAUAAUUAAAGAUGUGACAUACGAUAAAAGAGGUAGGAUACAGUGGGUCAUAAUAUGCAAAAAAUGGCAAGUAUUAAGCUACUAAAAAUAAAUGGUAGAAAGAAAGUCCACUUUUGGAAGUUUGAAGUCAAUAUAGCAGCUGAGUCAAAAAAAAAAAAGUCAAUAUAGCAGCCUGUAGAUGUGCUGCAAUCCCCUUAGAACCGGGCUCCGUGUCGUCUUCACCCUUCACUAAUUAGCAACUUGAGCACAUUGCAGACAAACCUUUCCUCUUUGCCUUUGGGGUUAGAAGAUGGGAAAACGCGUCUGCUUCUUCUAUACUUUUGGGCUGUAACGCAGCAGCAUUUAGCAACUGUAAUGAAGUUAAUAAAGUUUAACAGAAGGAUAACAUCAAGGUUUUAGACAAUUAUCCUAGAUCCAAACCUUCCAAUUGCCUGAACCAUAAAGGACUUUAACAUCUUUGGCUCCCGGUUUGAGUGCGCUAGGCUCAAAGAUUGGCGAAGAACGUUUGGCACGGUUAAAUUGAAAACCAGCAUUAAAUGGUGACAGUCCAUUUUGUAUCCUUCCAUUUUUUUUUGUUUGGAUCCAUUUUGGUUCUCUUUUGCAUGGGCGCAAUCUGUAGCAAUAGAUGCUGAUGCAGAUCAGCAGAUGGAUGCUUCCAGUUCCAUAUGGGAUGAAUUGUGAUCAAAGUAUUAAUCUAUCCUUAUGGCUUUGUUUCAUGUUUACCUGCUUGGCAAUGAGAAAAGCCAUGCACGGCUUUCUUUAUUUGUUGAGAGACUGAUCACAUCAAAACCAAGAGAUUCAUCACCUCAAACCGCGCAUGAUUUUUAAUUUAUCAAGUCAGUCAAGAAUUGUGUGGUAGCUUUGUGGGCUGGGAAAGUGGGAAUGCGCCAGAAUUUGCAGAUUGGUUGUGGUCCUGUGGAGUGGACCUGCGCGCAUUGCUAGCUUUGAGUGAUUGGAAAAGUCGGGCGAAUGGAUAAAUAUUGAAUACAUGCAUGCAUGAUAUAAAGUCAUUAGCAACCAAUGUCAAAUAGUCAUUGCAGAAGACUUGUGGGUUCCUCUUUGAUGUCUUGGACCAUUUCGAUAUGUGUUCUUUGAACAUAAUUGUGUGCUUAUCAUUAAUGGCAUGAUGGUAUAAUCUUUCUUUCCUGUCUCUUUUUGUUAUGCGCGCAAGAAUGAUCAACAUCGACAAGUUUGCUUGCGGUUGGUUGUUAGAUGCACGAUUUUGAUUUACUUAUUUGUUUUUGGUAAAUAAAAGUUUGAUUUUAAAGGAGAGGAACAUAGUUCAGGCUAAGGCUCUGUUUGGUAUGAUAUAAAGUAUUUUCCUUAAGAAAAUAUUUUCCAUGGAAGUUCUUUUCUGGGAAAAUAUUCACAUUUUUCAAUGUUUUCUGAUGUUUGGUUGAAAUUUUUAACUACAUUUUUAUUAUCAAAAUUCAACUCCUUCCGCCACUCGCUUUUCUCUUCCACUGCUGGAAACCGAUCUUCCUAAUUCCUACCACUAAAAAUAGCAGAACCGCUCAAAAUGGAAUAAUCCAAGUCAGGCAUAAGGACAAUUCGUUGACUCAUAACUAUUGGCGCCAUAAAAGACAUUACCAAGCUAGACAUAUCAAGACCAUGAAAUGGCUGGUGAUUAAGGUCAAUCAAUGAAAGUGAAAGAACAGGCAUAAAUAUCUUCUCAAGUUGAAGAAAUAGGCUCUGUUCUUUUUCAUAUGAUUAGUGCUCUUAUUGACUCGUAUAUGAAAUUUGGUUUAAAGAUCAUAUACUAGCGCUCAAACCACAACCUCAAAGGCAUUAAAAUCCAGGCAAAUUUGAGCUAAAGAUACAUAAUUUUGAUUAAGAAAACAGUGUAAAGAAAAUUAAAAUGACUGAAGAAAGACAGUGGGAAUUGAUAAUAAUCCAAAUUGUUAACAAAUUCGUAGUGUUUGCGUCACCAGUAAAUUCAUCAGCAUCAAAAGCACAAUGUCAAAGAGAUCAGAGUGAGUAGGGUGAGGCCUUUUUUUUUUUUUGAAUAUGCUACAAGCUUUGAAAGUUUGACAAAUACCUUUAAUAGGCGGCCACAUGCGUUUAUAAAAACAAUUUCGAUAAGUCCGGAAGGGAAGUUAUUUUUCACAAGAUGAACAAAAAUCUUUUACACAGUAAAAUAUUUUCAUUAACUUUUGUGCAACCAAAUAAGGGAAAUUAGGAAAAUAUUUUCCUGAAAAAGAUUUCACUUGAAACAAAUGGACCCGAAAUGAUACUCAUAUACAAUAUUUGUUUAAGACCUGUCUGAAUGAAUCAAUGGGUAUGAAAAGCCGAAUCUGAGGGUUUCAUCAUUAGCUAUUUUGCUAGUUAUUCAACUUGAUUAUCCCUUUGUCCUAAUUUUUUUUAUGAAACAAAAUCAAAACAGAAGCAAAAAAAAUUAGUAAAUAAAUUAAAGGGACACGUAUCUCUCUCACCACCUUCUGUUCCCCUUCCCUCUGUCCCCUCAAAAUCGCCUCAAAGCUAUGUACCUAGUUCGUAUCUAUAUCGCUUUAAAUGGAUUUGUGGCCACACAAGUUUCAUUUCAUUCCAUUUCAGAAUAAAAUAAUCUUUUUUAACUUUUGUUGUAGUACCAUAUUUUAAUGCAAUCGGAUCAUAUCUAAUCUUUAAUUAUAUUAUCUUUCCAGCUAAAGGAUAAACUUGCGAGAAAUAGAAUUUGUGAGAGGACUCGUCGUUUAAUUAAAUUUGGCAAGACCAACUUGUGCAGUGAUAUUUGGGAGGAUGAUCCAAGAAAGAGAAUAUAUUAUUAAAGAUAUUCCAAUGAAAGAUACGUUAGGAGAGGCAAGUGUUACCUUUACACAAAAUGAAGUCCCAGAUUUUAAAAAAUUGCUCAGCAAAAACGAACUAAAAUAUUCAUAAACAUGCAAAGAUAAUGUAAGUUUGCAGAAAAUUAUUAUAGGAAAAGAUGCUUUUUUGUCAGCUUUAAUUGAGGAAAAUAAGAAUAUCAUAAGUAGGAAGAGCUACAAUGCUCGAUUCUAUUAUACAAGCAUUGUUGAUCUAGAAAAUGUUGGAUAAGACAUAAAAGAAGGCAUGGGUGCAUUCCGGCUCAAUCUAUCAAAAGGGCCCUCACAGAACAAGGAAAGAAAAAGCAAAAUACCAAUCUGGGCAGCUUGGAUUUAUUGCAAACAGGAUACAAGUCUUACGAUCAAACCAGAAGAGCCAUAAUCAAUACAAUAUUGCAGAAGCUCAACACGAAGCUUCUUUAUUCGGUGCAUAAAACUCUCAAAUCAUACUUGAUGCUAUGCUCACAAUUACCCAAACCAAGUUUUAACUUUUAAUAGUUUUAUUUUUUUUUUCUCUCAAGUUAAAGGAUUUCCACAAAAUCAAUAUUUGACAUACGCACUGGUGGUGUUGACAUCUUUGGCGAGAGUCAAAAGCAGUGGCAUAAGCAAGCACUUCGAAGUGUCUUGCUUGUAGACAAAUCCCUUGCAAUUGCAAUCAUUGGUGCACUUGUCUCUGCAUGCUCCAAAUUCCAUUUCCACUUCUUGACUAUCAGAAGACCACUGGUGGUUCAAGAAGGAUUGCACCCCAUCAAGCUUGAAAUAUUUUGCCUUUGGUUUCUUCCCACACGAGCCCAACUUUGGUGGUUGACAAUUUUCUGUCCAUGCCAAGAGCCCUUUUGGUGUAGGACAUGCCACACACAUCCCAUUUUGGCACAAUCCAAAAUUACCACAUUUUGUCGGCAAAGCACAUGCUGUUGCAAGAUCACUUGGAAAGAAAGUAUAGGUCUGCAUCCAUCUAUCAAAUCUGACUUUGUCAUAGUAAGUAUAAGCCUUGACAUUGCCGUCAGUUUCAAGCCUCAGAAAAGAGUACGUUGCAUUGUAAUUUAGUUUACUGAGUUGUUGAAUCCCGUCAACCUGUGGUUUUGGUGCUGGCGAUUCGAAUAUUUCAAAGAUAAGGUUCCAAGCUAUUGGAGUAGGCUCCCACGUCGAAGGUUGGGUGUUAAACCUUACAGUACUUCCAAAAUUCCCCGGCCAACCAUUGUAGCGAACUUGUUGGCCAGCGUUGUUUAGAUACAAGAGGAGGCCAUCAUCUCCAAGCACUAAGCUGUACUUUCGAUCGGAGCCAUCAACAUCAGAAGUUCGACUGACAAGCUUGUUUACGCCACUCUCGCGAAGGGACUGCCCAACUAGUAACGAAUCAACUGGAUAAUCAAAGCUUUGCCAAAUGAACUUUCCCUUUGUAUCAUACAGCACAAGGUUGCCAUUCUGGAGUAAUUUGAUGCCCGUGACACCCUUGUUAGCCGUGUUGGUUUGCCACACUAGGCCGCCGUCAGAGUCGGCUAGGACCAAGUUUCCAUCCCGGCCGAAAGAAAGGGUGGCGUUUUCUUUCACGGGGUGGUUGCGGUUGGCAUCCCAAACCCACCGCAUUAGGCCCUCGUCAUCUGGGAUGCCAACACGAAUGCCUAGUACGAAAGAAGUUGGGGUGGUGUUGUAGAAACACAGUCUGAAGGGGAAUGUGUAGAAAUCAUAGACAUCAUUGGUUAUGAUGCGAUAAGUUGCCCCAUAUUCAGCUGUGGGUACGAAAUUUUGGAAUUCUCCCAGUGGACCUGUGUUGACAAUUUUGAAGGUAUUGUUAGCUGGCACUUGAGCUCUGGUGCCAAUGGCCAAGAAACAGAGGAGGAGAAUGCUAAGACAGGGUGAAAAUGGAAAGGUACAACGAGCCAUUGGAAUUCUUUUUGUGUAAUAAGGAAUAAAUUGGAAAUGGAAUGAGAGAUACCGACAGGGUUGUAACCGUUUGGUAUUUAUAGAUUUCUUUAAGCUCUGCUUUUCACAAGAAGUUUUUUGAUGCAUUGAAUGGUCGACUAAGAGUUGGUUCUUUCUCUAUUUAUUUUGUUGUAUUCAAUUAUUGAAACCUGAAAAUUGAAUUUCAAAGUCAAAGUUGGUAACCUGCAUGCAUAGGAGAAUGUGCAUCCAGUAACAUGGUACUGCAUAUACCCUACGUUCUAUGCCCCAUCAGUUUUUGGCAGUGUACAACUCAGGAAAUACCGGUAGUAAGAAACAAUCUCAAACUCCGAAGUGUAAUCGCAGCAAGUUCUAACUAAUACACGUAGGUUACUGGAAAAUCAGGGCGAAGACAAAUUUAAACUUUAGAUAGGUUUGUAGUUCGUUGAAUUUAAUGUUUAUGUAAGGAUGUUAGAUAUAUUUGGCUCUGCAUAAUUUUCUCACUCGUAAGAUUUAUGUUUACUUUGCUUCAUAUUUGAGAUCGGAUUCCAAACUAUCUGUCAUUUCCUAAAAGUAUAUAGGGUUAAUUCAAGAAAAUCCCCUCGAACUUCUUUCUUUUCUCACUUUGUCCCCUUGAAGGUUGAUCAAUUGAACCAAUAUACCUCCUAUUCUUUCACAAUAUUCUCAAUCAUCUGUAAAUUUUAUCGGAUAACCCAUUUUGUGUUUGAUUGAAUUAUGUGCACUCACGUGUCUAAGUGAAUUAACCAAUACAUAUUCAAAAAAAAAAAAAAAAAGUCUCUACUAUUUUGUAUGCCAAAAAUAUUCCUCGACCAAAUAGAAACACAUGCAAAUACUAGGUGAUUUAGAGCUGUCAUCUUCCCCAAGUAAACUUCCUAAAUAUUUGUAAUGACAAAUUUAAAGACCUUAAAAACCCUAAAAAUCCAAUUACCUGAAACAAGAGUGGCCAAAGGUCUAUAUAUGGUACAUAAUAGGCGGCAUUGGUUCUGAAUGAUUUUAGUUACAAGUAGUUGCAAUGGAUCUUCUGUGCCACUCUAUGUUACACUCUAUAUCCCACUUUUUAUUAUAUUACUGUUUUUCCUUCAAAAACAUCAUAUUUGUAGUUCUUUUUUGUUUCCUUGAAAUUCAAUAACUAUUAAUUGAGUACAAAAUAUAUACAACAAUCUCAAAAAAGUAAUAUAUAAUACAAAUUAAAAAUAUAGUAGAAGAUUCAUAAAAAAAUCUCAUUUUUUAUGCAUUUUGAAUUUUGAGUUUAUUAAAUUUUGUGUGUUACUCAAUUAAUGAUUAUUGAAUUUUAAAGAUAAAAAAAGAAUUAAAAUAUAAUGUCUAUAAAGAAGAAAUAGUAAUAUUAUAAAAAAUGAGAGAGAGUAUGUGACACAAAAAGUGGGACAAAAGAUGCGUUGCGCAAGUAGUUAGAUUUCUAGGUUUUUUAAAUUUGUCAAUAGAGAAAUUUAAGAAGUUUGCCUAAGGAACAUGACAUCUCCAUAUCGUCUACUUUUUGCGUGCGUUUCUAUUCGACCAAGAGGUAUUUUAUGCAUGCAAAAUGGCAUAAACGGCAUAAACUUCUUUGAAAUAAUUCGGUCAAUUGACAUGAUCAUUGAGCUGCACAUGAUUCAAUCAGUUGCAUUUGAUUGGGAAUACUAUGAUAGAAUAAAGGAUGCAUUAAUUCAAUUGAACUUUUAAGGGGGGCGAGGAGAGAAAAGAAGUAAGUUCAAGAGGAUUUAUUGGAAUUAACCCAAGUAUGUUAAACUGAAAGUCCAGUUUUACAAGUUUGAAGUUCCAGAGAGCAGCCAAUCUAACCACUAAACUUGGCGCAGUGGCCAUCAGGAAGGGUUUUAAGUUUUUCCUUAAACUAUAGGUACGGGUUUAAAUCUCGCCUGUAGUAAAAAAAAUUCAAGUGUUGUGUCAAGCAUUCUCUUGAUCUAGUAAGAUCUGUGUACCUGUUAAUUCCAAAUACAGUUUUUUUAAACUCCUCCUUUCCUCUAGUUUAAAAUAUAUAGAUUAUACAAUAGAUAUCAUCAUCUUCUAAAAAAAAGAGCAGCCAAUCACACCAUGUGCUGUCAUCCUCUUUGGUUCGGGAUCCACCUCGUCUUGAGUGAGCGAGGCCCCCUCAGCUUGCAGACAAAUCUUUCCUCUUCUGCCUUGAUGUGAAAACGCGUCUACUUUCUUUGCACUUUUGGGCUGUAGAAUAAUUAGGAACAUUUCUAGCAAUCGUGAUGAAGUAGAUAAAGUUUAACAACUAGAUAAGAUCACGGUUUUAGACCAAUUAUCCUAGCAGGUUGAUAGUUAUGAGUCUUAUGACGGGGAGGCUCCUUGGUUGAGAGUUUACACCCUUCCCCUCUUUACAACAACAACAAUAAAUCUUCCACUUCCCCGUGGUAAAGAGACUGUUAAGCUUAUUUCUCCAGCUUCUAAUUUAAGCAAUUAACAACACAAUAAUUAAAACUUCAGAUUGAUUAGGUUUUCAUGUCCUUUCUAAAAUUUUUAAAUGCACUUGAGUUGAGUAUCUUCCUUACAGAAUGAAAAAAAAUCGUAGCUUUAGUGGCCUAAGUGGAAUCGGGCUGAACGGUUGUUAGGAAAAUUAUUCGAUCUGAUUUUGUAUAUUUUCACAAUAUGUAACUUGCAUUGCAUACGGUGUAAUUCACUUUUAAUAACGUGUAAUUAUAAAACAAAAUUUUAUAAGCUCCAUAUAUAAUGCAAAAAAUUAUGUAUAAAAUGCAAUCUAAACCUUACUCUUUUUUUGACCAAAUUUUGACCAUGAAUCUUUAGAAAUGAUUGCUUUCCUGCAACUGUCGUUGCCCCUCGGACCACAGGUACCUAGCAAUUUUGUACAUUUUACACACGAUAUAACUUUAUUUGUACACGACGUAACUUUGUUUGCACAACGUAUAACUUUGAAACAAAUUUUUGUGAACUCCACACACGACGUUAAAAACGAGGUACAAGAAGUGAUCUGGACCAUAUAAUUUUUUUGAACCAAAUCUUGACCGUGAACAACUCAGAUGGAUCGCUCCUGCCCCUCAUCCUUGCCCCUCCUCCAGCCUAAGUGCCUUACAGUACAUGCAAUGCAGCAGCCCACCCCCUAAGACCGUCGUCUAUGCUUGAAUUGACUGCCCCGAUGGCUUUAGGACGGGCUCCCAGAAUAGAUUCGUUUACUUGCACAAAAAGUAGUGUACAAAACGAAGAUAACAUAUCCAUUCAUGACAAUUGACAUAUACCCUGCGUCAGAAAUGAUAUCAAGGGCCUAAGCAUUAAAUUUUUGGGCAAAUUGGAAGUGAUAAAGGAUAAAGAUUUAUUGUCUGCAGUCCACAUCAUCAAGCAUAGAUGAAGUACGCCAUAACAGAAUAUACUUUAUCUUACUAUGAUAAAAGUGUUACACGGAUCUAACCAGUUCACUUAAUGCAGAUGGUGAGGGAGGAUCUCCCUGUCUGUCACUAUAAGUAGGCUUGGAGUUCGAUUCCAAAGAGUCCACAAAUCGACUGGGAUUUGACUACCUCCCGUUCCCUUGCAAGUGAUUCCAUGGUUGUUAAAAUCGCGAUCCGGAUCGUAGGAUCGAUCCUACGAUCCGAAAAGGUAAAAUUGAUCCGGAUCGCAUUCAGAAUCGCAAAUUUCUUGAAUCUAUAUAGGAUCGAGGUAGGAUCGCAUAGAAUCCUACGAUCCUACUUCGAUCCUACAAAUUUUUGCUAAUUUGUGGAAUACAAGGUUCAUUUUGCAAGUAAAAAUGAACAUUUGGGGUAGGCUUGUAAGUUCACACUCAAUUGCAGGCCUUAGUUGCAAUGUUUUAACAAAUUUUGCCUCAAAGUCAAAAGAUUCCGUCAAAAAGCUUCGGCCCUUCUUCAUCUUCUCCUCAAGUAGAGCUUUGACGUUUCUCUUCUCCUCUCCGCUGCCCAAAUCAAAUCCCUAAUUUUAACCAUCAAACCACCUCAAGCUUCGGCUACAGCUCUUACCAAGAACCCACAAGACAAAUCGCUGCGGCUUCUACCAGGAACCCACAAGCUACAGCCGACAGCUAUUGCAGAAAAGGUUCAUUUUCUGCAUUGGGUGAAAAGCUGAGCAGCAAAAUCAUCAUCUUCCUCUCUCAUACUCAUACUACUUUGUAAGCGUUUAAACAUGAGUGCAAUAGUGACUAAUUAAUGGCGUGUGAAAUUAGGAUGGAAAUGUACAAAUUUUACCUUUUCUCAAGCUUUUUUCGUUUACAUUGUAGGAAAUUAUAUGAUACCAGGAAUUCUAUUCUGUUGGAUGGUGCUCCUAUUUUUUUUUUCUCAAUAAUUGAAAUUUGUAUUUGGCAACUUUAAUUAGUGAAACCACAGGAAGUUUUAAAUACUUGAAUUAAAUGAUGAAAUGAAAUCUAAUGCCAGAACUUUUUCUGCCCAUUUAAUAUUUGAGCUUUAUAUAUAUAUAUAUUAAGUUUUUGUAAUGAAUGUUCAAUAUUUGAUCGUUAACACAUUCAAUUCACACCUAUUAUGUAUAUGCACUUCUAACACGCAUAACCUUUUUUUAUAUUCAUAUAUAUACCUUUUUUGAUUAAUAUUACUUUUCUAAAAAUUUCAUUCUUCAACUACGUACAUAUUUUUCAUUAAUUCGAAAUUGUAAACAUAUUAUUGAUCUUUUGUGAUUGGCAAUUGGCAAUCAAAACAUUCUUGAAAUGCUGUCGGCUGUAACUUCUUCAUCUUUUUAUUACUUGUCAGAUAGUAAGUAAAAAAUGCUAUAUAUUGAUGAGUAACUUAUUUAUUUGAUAUCUUUUAGGAUGUACAAAAUGGUAUAUGAAUUUCAAUUUCAUUAAUUUAGUAAAUUUAGGAGCUUUUGGUGGGAUCUUACGAUACGAUUCGAUCCUACGAUCCGAUUUUGUGAAACUAAAAUCGAUCCUACGUGGAAUCCCGAUUUUACAAACCUUGAGUGAUUCUUGAAUUUAUAAAAAAAAAAAAAAAAAAAAACCAAUGGUAAUCCACGUGAGUUUAUUCAACAAACAUAUCUGCGAGUUCUUUAAAUUUCUAGAGUUAAGAAGUUAGAACCAAAAUAAUUUCAGGGCAUCCGGUAAUAAGCAACCCACUCAUAUUUUGUGUGGAUAAGUAGGUUGUCCCACAUCUAUCAUCCUGGAUUGCUCAAAUGCAUGAACUAAUAUCCAAGAGAGUUCAAGACGCCAAGUUGUGGAUAUAUGGGCACGCAUUUCAGACUCCAAAUUCUCAUCCAUAACAUGGCUCCCAUAGAAGAAGACAGGAGAUAUUAACACUGAUCAUGGCUCUCGCAAGUCUAGUUGCUCAUAAUAUAGCAUCUGAACGUAUAAUUUUGUACUCCAUAAUCAAGACACGAGCAGAACUUAACAAGGUAUCCAUUCACAGGUAGCAUGUAAACAUUUAUUUUCUCAAAGAGUAAAUAAAAGAGCAAACAAACAAAUAAGAAUAAAGUAAAAAUGACUUAAUCCGCAUUGAAAUUAAGAGAAAAUGUUAAGAAAAAGCACAAGCAAAAAGGAUUACGGGCUUGCAUUUUGCUCAACAAGGUAGGGCUCUAGCAUGGCACAAGGUUCUUAGAAUGCAACGAUGCAAGUUUUACCCACACAGAACUUGACCAGAUUUCAAUCCCACUGUAGCAUGCAAUAUCAUCCCCGGUCCCCAUUCCACCAACAAUAUGUAUAACUACCAUAUACAAUGAAAGACAGAAAACUUAAAAGACCAAUAUGAAUGAUUUACAUGGCAACAAAGAAACGACACCGAAGGUCAAUUUCAAGCAAAGCAAGACAGCGCUAGGAUUCAGAAUCAAAAGGCAGCACCAGACCAUGCAUCUUAAUUUAUUGUACAUAUAUAAAGCAAUUAGAAGAAAUAACCAGAAAAGCUAAUCUGGUUACCUCCUCCAUCAGUUGGCUCUUCGAAAAAAACUUCACUGAAUCUGCAGCACUCUGUCUGGGCUUUCAACCAUACGCAAAGAAAUAAAUGGGACAAAAAAAAAUGUACAGAUAUAGACCUAAAUGAGAAACUUCGUGUUCUAGGCAAGUAACAAUAUAGAAUGACGUUCGUCAUCUAGCAAUCAAAGUACAAAUCAGCGGCAUGAGAAGACACAAAGCUCAUUGAUAAUUUCAGUGUUAUGAACUUAUGAUAUCUCUAUUAGACAACUAUGACUCAUUUAUUUUCUGCAGCAAAUUUAUAUAGUUUAGGGAGGCAAUGAGUACAAAUGGAUUGACCCUGUAGAGUCCUUUCUAGACCGAAGUUAAUGAUUCUAGACAUAACCAACUCACACGUUACUUCUUUUUAUCCAAAUUUAACCAUCACUCAAGCUCAAAUAUUAAAAGAACCCAGAAUCCCAUCCAUAAUCAAUGAGAAACAAUAAUCCACCUUCAAAUUGCAAUAAAAAAUAAAGUAUCUGAAACUUGGCACUUCCUAGAAUCCACUGGACGUAAUAAAGCAGAAAAAUUUUUGAAAAAAGUCAACACUGAAAGAAGAUUAAUUAUCUAAGUACCUGUUACUCCCUUGUCUAAGGCAGUGACAUCAGGGUGCGUCUUCUGAUCUUUGCAACAUGAGUAAUUGAUAGAGAGUAGCCAUGCUGUAAGUGACAACCAUUGACCCAAAAACAUUGAUCCUUCCUGAUCUACUACAAGCAACUUCUGCCUCUUAAAAAUUACCCUGGCUCAAUGAAAAUCAGGACAGACUUCAGUCUCAGAUUCUUUCAGCAGCCCAAACCUCCUCAACAUUUUACUCAAAUUUUUCUCUGAUGGAAGGCGAUCUCAUGUUGAAAAGGUGAAUAUAAUUUCGGCUGGUGAUGCUUUAAGCUUUUCCAUGUCAACAUCCUCUGACUGUUCAUCUGAUGAUAUUUCAUAAUUUCCAGUAGAAUAUCUCUUUCUAGGGUGCAACCUCCAGCCAGAUUUAUGGAGAGAGAGAGAGAGAGAGAGAGAGAGAGAGAGAGCACUAAUCAUAGAAGAAUCAUGACUAGACAACUCGAUGAGAUAUUCUGCAUCCAGUAUAAUUAGCUUGUCUAGUCACACCUUCACUGAGAUGAAAUCAAAAGAUGCAGAGAAUUUAAUUGAUUACAAUUUGUAUAUUAUAAAGAGCAGCUAUUUAAAGCAAUAUCCUGCUGAAAACACAAAAUAUACAGAUAGAUGUUAUGGUAAUUCCAGCAACUGAUCCUAGAAGCUAAAAGGCAGAAUGGCAGCAAAAGAAAUUAAAUAAGACAAUCAAGAACUACAAAAUGAUCUUGAAACUUUGCAAUUGGCCAAUUCAACUUUGUUCAGAAAUUUAAUAAAGUGAUACAGUCAUACCAACCUAUUCACACAACAGCAAACAAAAAUCCACUGGUUCCCUGCCUAAACCACAACAAAAUUAUCCUACAAUAGGAAUACUAUUGCUGCUUAGCGCCGCUUUAAACCAGAACGGCUGUGCAACUCCAAGAGCUGCUCCAAAGAUGCCAAAGACCACCCAUCAUCUAUCUGAGCAAAGACUUUCUGAUUGAGGGAGUCAAUGAUAAUGUUAAUGUUACCAAAACCAUAUAUUUGGUGACCAUCUUGCAUUCUUCCUGGUUUUGGCUUGAAGAGCAAACCAUUCUGCUGUGCAUGCACUUCAAUAACUUCUUUCAAACUCAACUCAAGUCCAAUACUUCCUUGCAGCUGAGAAGCUCUUUCUUGAGCCUGAGCAGCAGCUUUCUCAAACUGCCUUUGCUCACGCACCCUAAGAUAGGAUAUAUUCUCUCUCAAACCAGGUUGAACCACUUCCAUGCCUUCAGCAGCUUUGUUCAUCAUGUCAAGGCCAACACUCAGUCUAUGACGAACGUGCUCAUUAGCUAAAAGUUCAGGUGGGAAUAGAUCCUUCCAGCCUAAGUACCAGUUUGUCACUUCCUCAAAAUUUGGACUGGAACAUAACCAGUGAUACAAAACUUCUUGCCACUUGUUGAAAAAAAUAUCCAUUAUGUGAAUCAUGUGAUGGAUGGGGAUAGUCGCUGCCCAGGUCCGAACCCAAUAGAACUGAUCAAGAUUCUGGUUUGCAGGGUUUAUUUGGAACUCAUGCAUGACAGUCAACAAUUUGGGAAUUAUAUGGCGAACCAUCAGUUUUUCCCAACUGGCUGAAUCAAACACUGUCUUCCAAGGUGAAAGAAUGUAGUAUGCUGACAUAUCACUGGGAUGCCAAGCAUGCAAAACACUUUCCAAUCUAUCACGAAUUGUGUGGUAGCAGGCCUCUAACCUGUGUCCCAAUAAAGGAAGCCAUGGAUGAACCCAAGAAUGGAUAGGAAUGGUUUCUCGACGUGGAUCCCAAGAGUCCACAGCAGCUGAUAAUUUUGGCAUGACAAUUUCGUCCAGAAUUUUCUGAACAACAAGAGUUGGCAGCAAUUUUUCCCAAGAAUCCAGAAAUCGAAGCAUUGGCUCGGGAUCUCUUGCCUGCCAAGUAUUGGUGCCAGAUAUUCUAACAGCAGGAAACACAACUUCCAUAAUCAGUUGUGUGUAAGGAGAUGAACUGUUAGCGAAAUUUAAAGAGUCUUCUUGCAAAAGGGACUUCCAUUGGGAUACCAUUUCUCUCCCAUGUGUUGGAUUCUGAAGAGGGUCCCAACCCUGAAAUACUCUGAUAAACAAGGGCUGGGCAUAUGAACAUGCAAUGCAUGAUAAAUUGCAAAGUUUAUAUUCUUCUCCGUGUCGUUUCUGCAUGUCCACAAACAACUUAGCCAAAGAAUCUAGGGUCAGUGUUCCCGAAGAGCUCUGCUCCCCUAUCUGCUCCAAUAUGUUAAGUAUAUCUCCCAUGUUAUCAAGCUCCUGCUUCUCCUUAGAUGCUUGGUUUUGGAGUUUCUCCCUCUCUUUCUGCAAACUUACAACUGUCUCCCGCUCGUUUCUUAAGUCUCGAUCUAUCUUCUGUAUAUCUAAUUCAGCUAAAUCCACAAUCAGUUUAAUAUUGUGCUGAAGCUCAGGCAUUGGUAUGUCAUUCUCUCUUGCUUUCUCUUCAGCAUUUAGAUUUUCCAAGUUGGUCAAGACACGAACCUGAGGCCCCCUCAUGUCGAAAACUUUCUGCACAACUUCAAGGCUCUGCUCUUGCUUCUUCGCCAACAACUCCUCAGCUGUAACAUAAACCUUCUUCUUAAUCCGUGCUUGCUUGGACCAGAGCUUCUCUUUCAACUGAACCACACCAGGCUGAACAGAAGAAGUCACAACCUUCUCUUCUAGUUCCUUCAGCACUGGCAGAUUAGUCUCUUUGUAGUCAUUAAAACCCAUCCCCAUAUUCUUUGGUCGCAAUUUAGCCUGAAUUGGAGACACAAUACCUUGCUCAUUUUUACCCAACCCCCCUCCUUUGUAACCCAUCUUCUCCAACAAUCUCAACCCAAUACCCUUCGUGUGCUUCUCAAAGGAACCCACAUCGCCUGGCUCGAGUUCCUUCCUCCCCGGUCGAGAAGACUUCUUAGCUAACAUCGAUUUCUCCUUUUCCCUCUCGCGUCUCAAUUGAGCUCCUUCUUUGAUCUUUUUCCCAAAAGCACUUGGUAAAAAGUCGUCAUCAUCAUUUUUACUACCAUCCUCCAUCAACAUAGUUGUUUCCUUUGAUGAAGAAGAACUCGCACCAAAACCAAGCCCAGCUGGGACUCGAUCAGCUUCCCCCUCAUCAUCUAGCUUCUCCUCCUCUAAAUUUCGAUCAAUUUCCUGAUUGGGCAUAACAGUACCAGUAGACACAAAAUUGACAGGCUUACUAAAGUCAGGUUUCGAGGAAAGCCCCUUAUCCUUCCUCCUUUUCCUCGAAGACCCUAAACCCCCAUAAUCAUCAGAAUCACUAUCCCCAGAAGCAAAAACACCAUACAAGACAUCAUCUUUCGUCUGCGUGUGCUUUUCUCUACGUUUUCUAUAAUAAAACUCUCCACCAAUCCAUUGCCCAUCCUCGAAAUCAUUCUCCAUGCCAAACUUCUCCAUUUCUUGAUAUUCAUCCAUUUUUUCUUUUUAUUUUUCCUUCAGCUAGCAAAUAAAUAAACGAAAACCUAGAAUUAAAAUCAAACCCAAACACAAAUUUUUUUAAAAAAAAAAAACCUGAAACAAGUUGGACUGGGGACUGGGGGAAAAGGCAAAAGGCCCAGAAUUAAAGAUAAACGAUAAACAAACGUCAGUAGAAAAAUCCCAAAUUCAGCUCUUGAAAACUCAUAAAUCUGCGCAAUUUAAGAACAUAAUCAAGUAAAACAACAAAUAACCAGGAUAUAUCAAUUGUAUUACCUCAACAAAUUGCCUUCUUAAUCUCGAGAGGUCUUUGCGACCGGCGGAAAGCUUUGCAGCGCUGAGCCAGAGAAGCGGGAAUUUGUAAUUCGUGAAUUUUAAGGUUUUUGCUGGUCAAUCCGAAUACCAUCCGCACAGAAAGAAGCCAAUAAGCUCAAUAAAUGCUCAACAAAAUUGUCUUACGAAGACAGUAAAUGGGCUUUGUACUGCCCUUUGCAGCUUCAAUUAGGCUUGCUUCAAUUAGGCUUCUUAGAGCCAAUCUGGAUGAUAUGCGAUGAUUGCUUAUUAGACCAAACAUAAGGUACCAAAAGCCCAAUAACGAAAAUGUUUGUGUGUCUGUCGAUUAAGAGGCUAGUUAGACCGGGCUCAUUUGGACUAGGCAGUCCAGCCCGCUAAGGAGGACUCCGUCUCUUUAAGAAAUCACAUUACGGCACAAGUAAUAAUUUUCUAGUACUUAGUAUACAAUCAAAACCUAACCCUCAAGCUUAUUGCACUUUGACAAUCUCCAUUGUCAUGCUUCAAUCACUCAUUAGCUAGGUUUUUCUUUCGCUUUGCAUCAAUUCCCUGGGAUCUAAUUGGAUGCAAAUUAUAGGGAAAUCCCACAUUUUUUAAGUCAGUCUGACAAAACCAUCUAUUUUUUAUAUUUUGUUUGUCUCAGAGUUGACUGAAAAUAUUUUCUUUUUUUUUUUAACUUGAGGUAGAUAUCAGCUCGCUUGUUUUCCUUGUUUUUCUUCUCCAAAUUUAGAAAUCCAGGUCAAUGCUACUACGAAUAAGACCUCAAUAAGAGGUUUGUUUGGACAGUGAAAUUAUUUCAAAUAAUAUUUCGCUUGCAUUAUAAACACAUUUUUCAGUCCACCUUUUUAUAUUCACAAUCACUUUUUUGUUUCACAUAUAUCGCAUCAUAGAAAGCGCUACAGUAAUUAUUCCAAAUAAUAUUUCAAAUAAUACUAUAUCCAAACAAACCUUCAUCUUGAAGAAAUAAAGAAAAAAAGAAAGAAAGUUGAUAGUAUCAUCGUGGGUCAUCAAAGCAACAAUCGGUAAUUUAUUGGUGCCGACAACCAUGGGCCGACCCAAGCGUGUCAGGUUUCCUAGUUUGCCGCGGAUCCGACACUUUAGCUAGUUUUAUAUAUUUCUCCUGAAUAUCCUUGAAUCAAGAGAAAACUUUGACCAUAGGAAGAUUGUGAUUGGGUAAAACAAUUCUAUGUUUUUUUUUUUUUUUUGGGAAAGAAUUCUAUGUUUUGUUCACCACAAGAAAAAAGAAAGAAGAAUCAAAGAGUGUGUAUUUUUCAUGCUUUCAUACCAUGCCUAUCAACUGUCUUCCCCGGAGGGGCCCAAAAAAAAAGGAGUAAAAAAGUGUGUAAUUUCAUGCUUCAUACUUGCCCAUGCCCAGAAAAACAGAAGACAAAGGAUCUGUUUCAUGCCUAUCAACUGUCUUGGCCGGAGGUUAAAAAACAAAUGUGUUUGGAUAAUAAAUUAUUUGAGAUAAUUUGGUGAAAAAAUACUAUAGCACUUUUUUGAUAUGAUGUAUGUAAAAUAAAAAAAAAUGAUUGAAAAAUAUAUUGAUGAUACAAGCAAGUCAGUGUGUGUAAAUAAGGUGAAAAUAAUGUGUAAUUUAAACACAAAAAAAAAAAGCGUCUUGUGUUCAUGCCAUAAUUGAGAGCACAGUCUAGCUUUCAUAUGAACAUGUGCAUUAGCUUGAUAAGAGCACGUUCGGACUGGACUUUUUUUUUUUUUUUUUUGAAAAAUGUGGGCAGGUUUUACAAGAAAAUAGCAUUAAAAAGCAACUUUUUUGAGUUGCGAUGAAUAUAAAGUUCUUUUUUUUAUCUUGCGCAAAAAAAAAAGAUUGAAAAAUUUAUAAGAAAAAUAUUUUCAAAAAGUCAAACAAAAAAAAGUCUCACAAAGCUAGCAAUUCAAAGACACUCAGCCGACAGCUUGAAAGAGAGAGCUAGUGAUGGGAUUCCCUCCACGCAACACGCAACACAAUCUCACAUUCCUCUCACUCUUUUACGACGGUUUAUUACUUUCAACUCUGGUUUAGUACUCUUGGUCAAAUAAGCUAUAAAGACUUUGAAUUUAAGAAGGGGAAAAAAAAAUAGACUACUGAGUUUGUUUAAAGGGAGAGAAAAAAUGUGCCAAGAAGGGAUGCAAAAAAAAAAAAAAAAAAAAAAAGGUGUUUCGAAUUGAUAAGUCUGGUCAAAACUCAAAUAUCAGUUGCACGACUGAUCAUGAUGUAAAAGAGCAAAAUGCAGUCAAUAACUGCGAGAGCUUAUCAUCUUCCCUCUUCUCCACGCCAUGUGGUAAAUUGACAAGGCUGGAAUUCGUACACGCCACCCACCGUAGAAGUUUCCGAUGUGUCGCCGUCUAUCAUUUUCUCCACUGCUGCCCUGCCCCACCGAGAAAAAGUCAAUUCCAAACAAAGGAAACAUCAAAUGUACCUAGUCACAUUUCUUUUCUUUGUCCCAAUAAUUUGGUUAAUUUAUUAAUUCAUUUCUCCCCAUUAUUGUCUUAUUUUAGUACUUCUUAUAAGUUAUAAUAUACUACUACUUGCUAUGGCAAUUUAUUUAUUAUUUAUUAUUUAUUGGUCAAACUGAAGUGCAUUAAUAAUGGAAUAAAAAUGUUGAUUUAUUGUUGGGUGCCAAAAUAAGGAAUUCAUCAUGGUUUUUGCUGGCUCGUUUUGGACCAUGAGCUCUCUCCUCAGGUCAAUUUUUGCAUGCUAAAUAUCCAAUAGACAGGUUCGAAUAUGCUCAAACACCGCCAUACAUACGGCAAUCUUAGACUUGAAGCUUGAAAAUUAUUCGACUUGUAAAAUACGAUCUUUCUUUAUUUUAUAGUCAUCAUCAUCGUUGUCUUCUUUUUCUUUUUUUUUUUUCAAGUAAAAGAUCAUGGAUGCAAUAUUUUCAAUAUAUUAUUCCUUCCACCUUUCUAUCCAUCCAACCAAAUCCUCUCUCUCGGAUACUUUUAUAGUCAAGCAACACUUUUGGAAUAUGAUUUUUCCUACAACACUUUUUAGAGUUGAAAAUUUGCACCUUUAGAAUAACUACAUGGAACGUUGGAAGUCAACUUCCAUGUUAGGGUUGAUUCCAAGUCUCUAGCUUGAAUUUUUAGUGUUCCUGUUUUUCUUCUUCUUCUUCUUUUUUUAAAAAAAAAUGACAGAUCAUAAACGUAAAAUUUUUUACUCAUCGUCCCUCCUAUCUUAUCAUCCAUUCAAUCGAUCCUCUCCUUCUUUACUACUUCCUCCCUUUUUUUAUAAUUGACGUUUAAGAAAUCUACUCUAGGGUACUUUUAUCUGUCGUUUUAUUUUCUCCAUACAGUAUUAAUUAUUUUUUCACAAUUUUAUCCUUUUAUCUCUCUUUUCUAAUAUAGGGUUCUUAAUUACUACUCUAGUUUGGUGGGAGUUAGUUUGCAUUGCUUUUGGCAUAGUAAAACAGCAUCAUUUAGUACUUUAGUGAGAGAAAAUAUGGGUGAAUUGGACAAUUAAUGAGGGUACAAAAGGAAAGUAGUAUACAGAUUUAAGCAAUGAAAAACUUUUCUUAAUUGAUGUGCAAAACCUUAAACGUCAGUUAUAAAAAAAGGGAGGGAGUAUAUAUAUAAUCAAGCAAGACUUUUAGAAUAUGAUUUUUCCUACAACAUUUUUUUAGGGUUGUAAAAUUGCAGUUUUAGAAUAACCUCAGGGAACGUUGGAAGUCAACUUCCAUGUUGGGGAUUCCAAGUCUUUUGGCUUGAAUUAGUGUUCAUAUAUUUUGUCAUAUGUCAUAACCCACACGUAGUUAGAAAUAAUUUCAUAACCGGCGGUCAGAACAAUUCACUCUACUUAUCAACCACCCUAACUCCUAGUUCAACAUGUUGUUAAAAAAUUGUUAAUUAAAAAUAUCAUAGACUCGUUUAGUCAAUAAAAUGAAGCAACGAGACCUUUAAUUAUUGAAAAUAUAAAUUAAAUAAAAAGCUUUAGCCGGCAUUUUUUUAUCCUUAUUUUUGACAUGGGGGAAAGAGUUAAAAGUUCGCGUUGAAACUUGAACCUUUCGUUAGAUAAGCGCAUAAGCACGUAAAACUGAAUUGCUGUAUUGGGUUCGGGGAUCGAAGAGUCAAGAAUGCCCAAAAUCAAGGUGGUCCAAAUCUAGAAAUCUGAUGAUGGAAGUUUAAGGGUGACUGCAAAGGUGUGGUGUUUUCACCUUACUAGGCCAGCAAGGAAAAUAAUACUCCGGUCGAAACAAAAGGUUGACAGAAUAUUGAUAAAAAAAAAAAUAAAUGUGUUUAUUUAAUGAACAGGCACCCGUUAAGAUAUACUUCAGGUAUAUAAUUAUGUAAUAUAAUAAUAAAUAUUAACGUGUACAUGUAUAUAUAUGUAUGAUAUAUUGGAUAUAAUUUAAACGUAUUAAUGGGUGUCCAGAAAACUCAAAAUAAAUCACUAAUAUGGGUUUACGUGACUAACAAAAUUAUUGCAUGACAUGAUCCAAUCCUACAUGUUGAAUUUAUGUGUGAUAUGAGUAUAUGACAUGACUAAAAUUGGCACUCGCAUGUCUUCCUUUCCUUCUCGAACUUUUGCGCAAAAUUUCAACAGAACCUAUACUAGGAAUAGGAUGUGAUUUUCAAAAUCAAAGCUAAUCUAAGAGCAUCCACAAUGCUAUUACACCUUGUGGAGUGUAAUCCACAUGCCACGUCAGCAUUUCACUUUCUCCUCUUUUAUUACACUUUCACUCAUAAUGGAUUACACUCCAUAAGGUGUAAUAGCAUGGAUCCACAAUUAAAUCAAAUAUUUAUUUUAAUAAUGCAUAACUCAUAUCUCAUAAAUAAAUAAAGUAAUUUUUAAAAAUAAUUUUGUUAUUUUUAAAAAAUAAAGUACUAACUUUAAUUAAAUUUUUUACAUUAAAUUUAAUGGGAUAUGUUUUAAAAAAAGUGUUGUGUGUUUAUAUGGAAGGCUAAAAUCUAACCGUUGGAAAGCUAAAAUGUGUUGUGUGCUGGCAAAUUUACCGUUGAAGCAAAAAUUGGAUGUACCUAUUGGUGGCUAGAAUUAUUUUACAUUUAAUCAUGGGUCUCACCUUUUAAUGGAUUACAUGCAUCGGAGCCGUGUCAUGGAGCGGUGUAAUGGCCCUCCAUUUCACCCGCGCUGCUAUUGCUCUAAGAGGCAACUCGAUGGAUGGAGUGUGUUAGAUUAUUUAAGACAAUUUUUUUUGAAAAAGAUACCGUAACACUUUUUAAUAUAAUAUAUGUAAAAUAAAAAAAUAUUAAAAAUUUAUUGAUAAUGCAAACAAAUAAAAACUUUUAUAUAACAAAAAGCACCAUCCAAAGACUCCAAACAACUAUUUGAGAAAAACAAAUGAACAGAUGUGGGCCAAACAACUAUUUGAGAAAGACUCCAAACAACUAUUUGAGAAAAACAAAUGAACAGAUGUGGGCCAAAAGUCUUUUCAGCUAAGCAUAGCUUUAAACCAUUCCAACGCCAAAUUUAAUUGCCCAACAAACCAUAAACUAUAGGUAAAGGAACCCACUGAACGUUAUAUGAAGUGAAAAAAAUAAGCAAUCGCUUUUGCAAUGACCUUCCCCGGGUGCGAGAAGGAAGCAAAAGCAAUUGAUUGGGGAGCAUAUUGUUAUAACUGGUGCAGGCAGGUAUUCCAGUUUAUGCCAUAAUUUUAGUUAUUUUCUUUGUCCAAAAAAAGGACAAAGUGAACGAUAAAAGAAACCAAUAAGACAAAAAGAAGAUCGGUUGGGGUUUAGUUCUUGUGGCACCAGAUCAUGAUGCAUACUUGUGUUUCAGAUAGAUUCUGCUGGAGAAUGCAAUUGAAUAAUCAAGGCUCUUAAUGAAUUGAUUGAUCCCACUUGGACUAAAGAUUUCAGCGAUAAAUCCUGUCUGCCUGGAGUGGUUACCCAAUAAAUGAUUUGUUGCUUUGAGUGAAGCGUGCGGUCAUGAAUCAAGAUGAUGAUGGUUGCAGUUGUUUUUCAUUGAGGAGCUUUAACUGAGGAAACUCGACUUCUUCGAGCUACUAAUCUCAUGACAAUGACAUGUUUCAGGCUGCCAAAAAGAUUAUUGUAGCGAUUUGAUAUAUGUGAGGGAAAAUGUGAUCACGGAAAAUGAUAAUAUUUUCUGACGGAAACAAACAAUCCAAACAUGGCCUUGAUCUGCUUUCUUUUAGAAGAGCUGAAACUGAAAGAGAUGGUGGCCAGGUAAGAUUCGAAAACUCGUACAACUUGUGCAUUUCGUUUGAAGUUUUGGUACUUUUUUUUUUAAAGGAUACAUUUAUUUUUUAAAAAUACUUUUAGGGUGUUUUCGUAAGUUGAGGGGCUCAAUUUUUGGCAAUCUAAAAAUAUUUUUACUUGUGCCUUCUUUAUAAUCUACUGUAAUCUCAAAUGGUGGGACCAUUAGCGUCGACCAUUAACACUUUUUUCACAAAAUUAUCUUAGAUAAUUUACAAUUCAAACACAAAUAAUAUUUUUAUAAUCUAAUUUAUUUUAAUUUAGGCGGAAGGUGAAUCUAAAGAAAUUAUAUAUACGGGGUUAAUAGAUAUAUAAACCUAUUAAAUCAAAGAAAUGUUCUGAUGCGUCUUUUUAAUUUUUUUCGCCGCGACUAAAAUAUCUCUUUUGUGGCCACUUUCAGCUCAGUGGUUCUUUGCAAUUACAUCUCAGUUUGUAUAUAUUAGCAAAGAACUAGUAGAUGACACGAAAGGGUAUUGAUUUAUUUAUACAUAUUUAUUGAUGAGCAGGGAAAUGGGGUGCUUGAUUGAUUUACGUAUUUGGUAGGUCAUACUAUUCGAAAGCUACAGGUCGUAAUUGUAGACCUUGAAAUGUGUGGACUUUGAACCAAUCACGAAACCAGUGGGAUCUACCAUUCAUCAAAUUUACAGAGAAAAUUGGACAACAAUUACGGUUUUCACUCCCACGAUUUUCUAGUCUAGAGGAUCUCAUUCGUGAUUGAGGAAUGCUGUGACCAAGAAAUGAAAGAUAACUAACUAGUAGUACAAAAUUACUACCACAAAACUCGGAGAUAUGCUGUAAUCAAAUCAAUUGAUGUAUUCUCUAACUCAAAUUGUUACAACGCCUAAGAGUGAAAAUUAAAAGCACAAAACCUUCACAUUGGCCAUUUCUAGCUGCAAAAUUUGAAGCAUCUUAUUCUCCAGUAGCGGAGAUAUCAUCAAUUACUACCAAAAACUAAAGAAUACAAAAUCUGACCAUCUUUGGAGAAAAAAUCAAGAAUCUUUCUUGGCCGAGGAAGGCAUAUUCCUUGUUAGGAGUAUUGGAACGUUGAACGGCAAACUAGACAGUACAAAAAGCUACCAGAUAGAAGAAAAAGAGUGAAGCAAGCAAAUAGACAGACGUGUAUUUGACUUUGCGGGUCUGAUGGAAGUUCUUCUUUUGAGUUCAGGCGGAGAGUGAGCCAAUUUGCUUGCUUGCUGGCUUUGGUGGAGGCUGCACUUGAACUUAAAGAUCCGGCCAACAAGUUGGUAGAAAUUUGAAGGGGACAUUUUAUUUAAAAAAAAAACAAAACAAAAAGUUAGAAAUUUUUUAAGGAAAUAGAAGAUCUAUUUCGCUGCAUUUUCCUGUUUUUAUUCCUUCUCAGUCUAUAAAUAGCUAACAAAUUAAAGGGGACAUUUUAUUAAAAAACAAAAUGUUAGAAAAAUUUCAAGGAAAUGGAAGAACUAUUUCACUGCAUCUUCCUUUUUUAAUUCCUUCUCAGUUCUCAGUCUAUAAAUAGCUAACAUUUGCAUAAGCAGCUUUGUACAUCAACUCUCUUGCCCCCCAUCUCUGAGCUCUUCCCCAAAGUCCUCUUCCAAAUUCUCAGGUCUUCCUUUUUUCAGGUACCUCUUACCUUACUCUGACACUACAUUUCAGUUUCUGGGCUUAACCAAAAAUGAGAUGCUGGAUUCACACACACAUAUACACAUACUCACGCACACGGAGCCAUUGAUAUAUUUUGGCUGCAUUUUGUUUGUUUCCUAAUUGGACGGUGACGAAUAGCCGAAAGUUAGCUGAUUUGCAUUUGUUUUCAUAUGGCCCCUACUAUCUGCGUUCAUGAGUCAUGAUCAGAUUUUUGUGGUCAACUUCAUGCUAUCCAAAUCAAUUUACUUUUCUGCUCACUUCACUGCAGGGACUGCCAUUUGUACUUAUCAAAUUGAGAGUGGUUGAGACCUGGGAGUGAGAUUAUGGCUCCUGAUAGGAAUUUAGAGAAGUUGGCAUCGAUUGAUGCCCAGUUAAGGCUUUUGGUGCCUGCCAAAGUGUCUGAUGAUGACAAGCUUGUUGAAUAUGAUGCUUUGCUUUUAGACCGGUUCCUUGACAUUCUUCAGUACUUACACGGCGAGGACCUUAAAGAAACGGUAUGCAUAUAGAUUUUAUUUUUCCAGCUUGUAUUUAGGUGAUUUUGAUCAAGAUCCAAUUUUGGUUAUGAUGAAAAAAAUCUGAUCUUUAUAUUGACAAUCCAUAUAAUAAGUCAGUUGGAAUUUUUUUUUUCGGUCUUUUUUCAGUUUUUAGAUGGGGCAUUGUUUGUUUUCGAUGAUUCCAAUGUGAGGGAAGUACUAUCAGAAUUUUGAAAAACCCAGGUUAUGUUUAAUGAUCAAGAUUGUGUUUUUAUGGCAAUUUUGGUUGUUUAAUCUGUUCCUCGGAAGAAAAUUGCUAUAGACAUUAAACGAGAAGUUCCGAUUUCAAUCUUAGUAUACCAUUCAGUCAUUCACCAGUGAGUCAUUAUCACUUGAAGUGUCAAGUGUAUGGCCCUUCUGUAAUUUGGCUUCCGUAAUGUUUAGAUCCUUUAAGCCUUUGUGCAUAUUUGUAUCUCGUAGUGAAUUGCUCUGUUCAUUAGCUUAAACAAUCUGCAGAGUCUGCAAGGUCUGCUCAAUGUAGUUUGUUCUGUUCUUUUAAUCUCAUUAUUAUAGGUUCAAGAAUGUUAUGAACUUUCCGCCGAAUAUGAAGGCAGGAAGGAUCCAAAGAAGCUGGAAGAGCUUGGUCAUGUUUUAACCAGCUUGGAUCCUGGGGAUUCCAUUGUCAUCGCAAAAGCUUUUUCUCACAUGCUUAACUUAGCCAAUUUGGCUGAGGAGGUUCAGAUAGCAUAUCGAAGGAGGAACAAGUUGAAGAAAGGUGAUUUUGCUGAUGAAAACUCAGCAAUUACUGAAUCAGACAUAGAGGAAACUCUGAAAAGACUUGUAUUGGAUUUGAAGAAGUCUCCUCAAGAGGUCUUUGAUGCAUUGAAAAAUCAGACUGUGGAUCUUGUCCUUACUGCUCACCCUACUCAAUCUGUUCGGAGGUCAUUGCUUCAAAAGCAUGGAAGGUUUGUCCUAUAACUGCUCUCCUGUUAUUUUCUAUCCACAAGCUUACGAGUAUAAUUCUCUUAGUUUCUUUUCCUUUUCCUACUCUAAUACUCUUAUGUCAGGAUACGCAAUUGUUUGGCUCAGUUAUAUGCCAAAGACAUCACGCCAGAUGAUAAGCAGGAGCUUGAUGAGGCCUUGCAGAGGGAGGUAAUGUUAGCUCUUAUUUUGUGCCUGAUGGAGUUUUGACAUCCAUGCUCUGCACUAGACAUUUUCCAAACUAUCUGACAAUAUUACUGCAUCUUCUCAGUCAAGAACAAAUUCCUCUGGUUUUGCAUCGUCCAGUGUAUCUUUCAUAUCCAUUUUUCUGCCAAAAUUAUGCAACCCAUUAGUUACUAGAUCUGACGUAGCUAAAAGCAUUCAAAUUCCUUGGGCGAUUAGCAAGAAAAGGUCUCUACUGGAUAUAGAUUGAUCUUCAGAAUAGUAACUUUGAUGUUGUCAAAUCGACUUCACAGCUUCUUUCCCUUCUGUUUCUUGUUUCUGAACUGGUUACAGCUACUUAUUUUCUUCUAUUAAUCUGUCACUGAUUUCUCUGCUUGUACUAUUGCAACUUUAUAUCAUUUCUCAUCAACGAUUAGGAUCAGAUGCUCACUCAAUCCCCUAUUAUCCUGUGACAUUCAAUAAUAUCAUGACGCAAGCAUCCUGUAUAUAAAGCCCUUCACAUUUAACUUACUUUUUCUUUGUCUGAUUUCAACAAACCUUCAGAUGGUCACGUAUAUGAGAGCUGUUCCAGUAUAUUUACUCUGAUACUGAAAUAUUCUGGUUUCCAUGUUUUUUCUUUUUGUCAAAGACUCGAACCUCGUUUUCAUACUUGCUCUGAAAAUGAUCUAAGCUUCUUUUCUUUCCAGUCUUAAGGUAGACUCCAUUGUGAUCACUGAAAACUGAUAAUUGAUCGGAGAGAAUGGUUGACCACUCACAUUUGUUUCUGUGCAAUGUUUUCAAACAGAUUCAAGCUGCUUUCCGGACGGAUGAGAUCCGAAGGACUCCUCCAACACCACAAGAUGAGAUGAGAGCCGGAAUGAGCUACUUUCAUGAAACAAUUUGGAAGGGUGUUCCAAAAUUUCUACGACGUGUUGACACAGCUCUUAAAAACAUUGGGAUUAAUGAACGUGUUCCUUACAAUGCCCCUCUCAUUCAAUUCUCUUCUUGGAUGGGUGGUGAUCGUGAUGGUAUAAAGUUUCUCCCAAAAAACCAGCUUAUUCAAAUGGCUAAUGCAUUGUGCUGCACACACAGGAAAAGACACUUAAUUGGACUGCUUAAUGCUUCUUCAUGAGUUCUGUAAUGAAAUGUUAUACAGAUGGGCAUUUGCUAUGUCAGCCUUUAAAAUAAAAUAAAAAAGAUGAUAUUAACCUUUUAAAGUUAUAAAAAUUUCUGAGGUUGUCUAAUUUUCUGAUGCCUUGGCCUAAGAAAUAGAAUACGGAAGAAGAAGGUGUUGGCCACAUUUUUUGUUUAUUCAUGCAUAGCCAUCCCACCAGGUUUGUUGAUUGAGAUUUUAUUGUUUUUAAUGCAGGUAAUCCGAGGGUAACUCCUGAGGUGACAAGGGAUGUUUGCUUAUUAGCUAGAAUGAUGGCUGCUAACUUGUACUACUCCCGGAUAGAGGAUCUCAUGUUUGAGGUUUUUAUUAUCCAGUUCACCUUUUUGAAUCCUUUUGAUUGUUUUUCCAUUGUCUUAUGAAACAUAUGUGCUUGUACUAGUUUUUCGCAUCAUGACUUAUGUGCUUGUACUAGUUUUUUACAUUAUAAUUUUUUUGUCAGUUGUCAAUGUGGCGUUGCAGCGAUGAGCUUCGUGUUCAAGCUGACAUACUUCACCAAUCUUUAAAGAGAGAUGCAAAGCACUACAUAGGUGAGUAGGGAAGUAACUCCUAGAAUUUGCUGUAGACGUUUAUUCAAUAAGGACCAUUCGUUCUGCCAAACAACCUUUUGAAACUGAGUUUGAGGUUCAAGUAUAAUAACCAUCCCUUUUAUUCUCAUAAAACAAAAAUGCAUCAGAACCAUUGUCGCUAUUUCGUAACUGCUCAAACCAUCAUUUGGUCUCUAGUUGUAGGACAAUGAAUAAGAAGGCUAUGUGUCUUAAAAUUAAACUUUCUGCUUCAAGAUUUAUGAACAUUGAAUUUAACAUGGCAGAAUUCUGGAAACACGUUCCACCAAAUGAACCAUAUCGUGUUAUACUUGCUGAUGUGAGGGAUAAGUUGUAUCAGACACGCGAGCGCUCUCGACAUAUGUUAGCUCAUGGAACUUCUGAUAUUCCAGAGGAGGGAACCUAUACCAAUGUUGAGCAGGUAGUACUUCUGAAGUUAACUGCUAAGCACCUAAAGUUUUGAAUCACACUGUUGCCUAUUAUCUAUAUUUUUUCUUCUAGUUUGAUCUCUGAGUCUAUUUGGCACUAUAUGUGAUUGCUGAUCAACAGAAGUUCCCCCCUCACUCGCCCCCCCCCCUCCCCGGCUAACCACCACCACAAAAAGCAAAAUAAAUCCAAAAAAAAGAGAGAAAAUCUCAUACCUGUCGCCUUACUGAUAGAAAGAUUGUGCUAUCGUGUAGUUUUUGGAGCCUCUGGAACUGUGUUAUAGAUCUCUUUGUGCUUGUGGGGACCAACCCAUUGCUGAUGGAAGCCUUCUGGAUUUUCUGAGACAAGUUUCUACAUUUGGGCUAUCACUUGUGAGACUGGACAUAAGACAAGAGUCAGACCGCCACACUGAUGUUUUAGACGCCAUUACAAAUCACUUGGAAAUUGGUUCGUACAAAGAAUGGUCAGAAGAACGCAGGCAGGAGUGGCUUCUGUCUGAAUUAAGUGGCAAACGACCUCUUUUUGGACCUGACCUUCCAAAAACUGAAGAAAUUGCUGAUGUUUUGGAUACUUUCCAUGUCCUGGCAGAACUACCAUCAGAUUGCUUUGGUGCAUAUAUCAUCUCAAUGGCUACAGCACCUUCUGAUGUUCUAGCAGUUGAACUUCUACAGCGUGAAUGCCAUGUGAAGAUUCCUUUAAGAGUUGUUCCACUUUUUGAGAAACUGGACGAUCUGGAGGCUGCUCCUGCUGCUGUUGCACGACUUUUCUCUAUCGAUUGGUACAGAAACCGGAUUAAUGGUAAACAGGAAGUAAUGAUUGGAUACUCAGAUUCUGGCAAAGAUGCUGGACGACUUUCAGCAGCUUGGCAGUUAUACAAGGCUCAAGAGGAACUCAUAAAAGUAGCCAAGGAAUAUGGUGUGAAGCUAACAAUGUUCCAUGGUCGAGGUGGGACUGUUGGACGAGGAGGUGGACCCACCCAUCUUGCUAUAUUAUCUCAACCUCCUGAUACAAUUCAUGGAUCCCUUCGUGUUACGGUUCAGGGAGAAGUUAUUGAGCAAUCAUUUGGUGAGGAGCACCUGUGUUUUAGAACCCUCCAGAGAUUCACUGCUGCCACCCUUGAGCAUGGGAUGCAUCCCCCAGUCUCUCCAAAACCUGAAUGGCGUGCACUAAUGGAUGAAAUUACUGUAAUUGCUACAGAGGAGUACCGUUCUAUUGUUUUCAAAGAACCUCGUUUUGUCGAGUAUUUCCGCCUUGUACGUACUUCAUGCAGAAUUCGUGCACCAUGCACCUCCUCAUUAAUAUCUGCAUUUUAUCUGCUCUUUUUGGUGAAAUUUUUGUUGAAUUUGAUUUUUUUUUCCCUCUACCCAUGAUUAGGCAACACCAGAGCUGGAGUAUGGUCGUAUGAAUAUUGGUAGCCGUCCUUCAAAACGGAAACCAAGUGGAGGCAUUGAAUCACUUAGAGCUAUUCCAUGGAUCUUUGCAUGGACGCAAACCAGAUUUCAUCUGCCAGUUUGGCUUGGCGUUGGAGCAGCUUUCAGAUAUGCAAUCAAGAAGGACAUUAAGAACCUUCAAAUGUUGAAAGAGAUGUACAACGAGUGGCCUUUCUUUAGAGUCACUAUCGAUUUAGUUGAGAUGGUGUUUGCCAAGGGUGAGCCUGGUAUUGCUGCUCUUUAUGAUAAGCUCCUAGUUUCAGAAGACUUGUGGGCAUUUGGAGAGCGCUUGAGGACAAACUAUGAGCAAACAAAAACACUUCUGCUUCAGGUACUACGGGAAAUUUUUACGGCUAAUUUUUGCUUAAAGUCCCGUUGGAGUUGGAGUUAUUUAGGGAAAUUUUGGGAAAUGAAUUCUAAAGAAAAAGUCAGAUCAAAUCAUUGAAUGGUUUUCAUAAGUAAAGACAACAUGCUGUUUUGCUUUUUGCAGAUUGCAGGACACAAGGAUCUUCUUGAAGGAGACCCCUACUUGAAGCAGCAGCUUCGCUUGCGCGAUUCGUACAUCACAACUCUGAAUCUUCUUCAGGCUUAUACUCUUAAACGAAUUCGCGAUCCAAACUACCAUGUGGAGCUCAGACCUCAUAUAUCCAAGGAGUAUAUGGAAUCAAAACUUGCUGCUGAAUAUAUUCAGCUGAAUCCAACAAGUGAAUAUGCCCCUGGCUUGGAGGACACUCUCAUCUUGACAAUGAAGGGAAUUGCUGCUGGACUGCAGAACACCGGUUAAACUUAUUUUGUUUUCCUUUCUAACCAUUGUAAGAGAUGUGCUUUCCCUAAAAAACCAGCAGGUAUAAGCAGAGUAACCUUCAAUUGCCUUCCAUGGUUGCCCGGGCUGUAUGGUUAAUUUGAAUAAUUUGUAUCAUCAGUUUGUUGUGCUUAUACAAUUUUCGAACUUGAACAAUCUUCACGUAUCCUCUACUUAGCUGUUGUGACGCAUAAAGCACAUAAGUUUACCCAAUAGGUUCUCAUUCUUGCUUGGCUUGGCAUGUUCAACCAUCUAUCCUUUCGCGUGGCGUAGCGGCAGGAGACGAACUGUGGAUUGAACUCUAUCGACUUCGUCCAGUUUGGUCCAAUCUUGCAGAAAUAACAAUUAACGAUGUAUAAGUUGUCACAAAUCUAAUUUCAAUAGCUGAAGGGUGUGAUAUCUGGAUUAAUCCAUCUUUUUUUUUUUUCUCUUUUGAGGAAAUUAAUCCAGCUUCUGCAGUAACAAGGACCUGAUCAAGAAUCUGAAUCCUACGGGACUCAGCCCACUUAGGAAACUGCUGCUUUUAUAUUCCCCAGAUGAUUUCCAAGUUUCAACAAACAUAAGUCGGUUCAAAGUUUUAGGUGAAAUAAAUUAAUAUGAUCAAGGGAAAGAACACCAAAAGAAAAAAAAACAUAAGAAAUUUACUCGGAUGAAUAUCUUACAGAAGUGCUUGAGCCACCCAAUAUUAGCAUCUCUAACAACCACGAACUUGUGAAAGCAUCAAGAAACUGGAUAAAGACAAAAUACAAGCAAAAAUAGACGAAAUUUUACACAAGAAACACGUUAAUUUCAGGUAUCAGCCCUCUUAUUAGCAGGAAUCCACUGGCCAUUCUCGUAUUCCUGAUGAAUUCUGAGGCUGCCAAACGGAUACAGAAACUCAUCCCCUGAACUCUCGAAAUACACGUAGUAUUUGUAGCCAGCUCUACCCGAGAUUCUUCCAACCCACCAACCAUCAUUAUCAAAAGCGUCCACUUUUUCAAGAACAUGAAACUCCGAGACAUUUAUCUGAGGAGGUAAAGGCCUGACUGUUGAAGCUUCAACAACCUCCUUGAGCAACUCUUUUUCAUUAUCUUCUUUGAGUAAAGUUUUGUACUCCACCAGGAACUUGUUUUUACCCCGUUUGGCAAUAAUCUUGGCCUCGUAGUAGGAACCCAAGAACCCAUCUUCGUUGCAGCAUAUCUCCACUGAAUCACCUACCCUGAUGGCCAUUCUUCAAGUCCUUUUCCCUUCCCUUGAAUUGAUCAACUAUUCAAGAUUGAAUUUUUGGAAAAAUUCUGGCAAGAAUGACUGAAUUACUCUCGAAUGGAGGGAGUUUUUUUUUUUUUUUUUUUAGUACAGUGAAAACAACGGAGGAAGUCUUGUUUUAUCAUGGCUAAGCAGUUUUCCUGUUCCUAGACGGACAACGCGCAGUAGUCACUGUAUUUGGAUUUAGGAAACCGAGAAAAGGUAGCACUUGAUCACGUGGGAUGCAUUAUUCCUUGAUGUGAUAAAUGAUGGGGCAAAUUAUCCAUUAGUCACUAAACUUUUUAAAUAGUGUAGUUUUGACCAUUUAAUCUUCAAAAUUAAUGUAUUUACCCACUAAAAUAUCAAAAGUUUAAUUAUUGGAGAAUUCCAUCCUUUUUUUACAGUUAAGUCUAUCAAAUUUGGUUAUAUCUCAUGGCUCGUACGAAUUUUAGACAUAAAAAAUUUAAUGUUGAAAACAGACAAAAUGACUUACACUUUUGAUAGUUUAAUGGAUAAACGGAUACUUCAAAAGUCAAAUAGCCAAAAUCUUAUUAUUCAAAAUAUUUAGUGAAUAUCUUGGUAAUUUACUCUAAAUGAAACAGUGGGUUGUCGGGCUCGGCAGUGCCCAUUAUCCUAUAAAAGUUUUCCAUAUUCUAAUUGGAACCAUACAAUUUUUAAAAAGGAAAAUCUCAACUAUGAAUUUGAUCAAUUACACCUAAACAAUUGUUGAUAAUCUUUUCCUAUACCUACUAACGUAGGUGCUAUUUAGCUUGAAGAGGCACUCUAAGUUCUUAUAGGGGAAAAAUUUUUAAUUAAUAAAUAGGCACUCUGAAUUUUAACAAGGAAAAAAAUAUACAAUCAAUGAAGAGGCACUAAGAAUUCUUACAAGGGAAAACAAUUUAUUUAAUCUCGUAAUUACUUAACUAGUGCCCAACAUAUCAUUAACAUAUCUAGUCUACGCGCGAAUGCGAAUUUUCAAUUGAGUUCCAAUUACAGACGUGGCGCGCUGAUAUUGGCUAAUUAAUGAUCGUUCGACUCGUGCGAAUUUCCAAUUGAUGGUCGUCCAUUCCCACGCAUGAAUUCUUUCGUUUGCUCAUACGUUUACCAAUCCUUUUGUUUCUUUGUUUCCACUAAAAUCUACACCCACGUGGCUUUGAUUUUUUUUCCUUUUGCAUUUUUUUUAUUGGAUUGGAAGUGCUUGUUAACAUAUUAUAUGCCCAUGGUUUUCAAUUGAUUUUAAUUGCUGACAUGGCACUCUCCCAUUGAUUGAUUGGUGGUAGUCAUCCAAUUGAUUUCAAAUUGAUGAGGUGUUGCCUUGUGAUUGGUCAAUUGAUGGUCCUCCCAAUUGUGUAUGAAAAUGGUGAUGUGGUGAUUGGAUGAGAGGUGGUAGUCGUUUAAUUACAUGUAGGAUUGUCCUAAAAUUUGGUCUUUUUUUUGCCUCAACAAAUCACAUUAACAAAAAUUUGGGCUUCUAAUUUUUGUUGUCCACCAAAUCACCUCUAAUUACCUAUUCUUAGCAAUUAAUUGUUAAUAAGUAAUUAAUAAUGCAAUGUUUUUUAUCAUCCAACAAAUCAUGUUUAAUUAACAAUUUUUUUCCAAUUAUUAACAAAAAAAUGACUUCUUUUUUGUGGUUGUCCAAAAAACCACAUUUAAUUAUCAAUCUUUUUCAAAUGUUAUAAAAAAAAGUCCUCUUUUAUUUUGGGUUAUCCAACAAAUCAUGUUUAAUUAUAAAUUUUUUGCCAUUAGUUUUUCAUUAAUUAAUUAAUAAUUUCACUUUUUUAGCGCCUAACAAAUCACAUUUUAUUACCAGCUUUUUUGUCAGUUGAUGGUACUCCUCCAGUUGACUUCAAAUUGACGAGAUGUCAUUUUGUGAAUGGUCAAUUGGUGGUAGUCCUCCUAAUUGCAUAUGAAAAUGGUGAUGCAGCAAGUUUUUAUUGCAUAAGAGGUGGCAAUCCUUUAAUUGCAUAUAGGAUGGUACUAAAAUUUGGCCUCUGUUUUUUUUUUUACCCAACAAAUCACAUUAACAAAAAAUUGGACUCCUUUUUUUGUUGUCCACCAAAUCACGUCUAAUUAUCAAUUUUUUGCAAUUAAUUGUUAAUAACUAAUUAAUAAUGUCAUAUGUUUGGUCAUCCAACAAACCGUGCUUAAUUAACAAUUUUUUGCAAUUAUUAAAAAAUUUUUGACUUUUUUUUGUGGUUGCCCAUAAAACCACAAUAAAUUAUUAAAUUUUUUUCAAAUGUUAUAAAAAAAUGUCCUCUUUUAUUUUGGAUUGUUCAACAAAUCAUGUUCAAUUAUAGAAUUUUUUGUAGUUAAUUGUUCAUUAAUUAAAUAAUACUUUCACUUUUUUAUUGCCCAACAAAUCACAUUUAGUUACCAACGUUUUACAAUUAUUAAAAGUUUGUUUAGGUUUCCAAAUAAAUCACAAUUAAUUAUCAAAUUUUUGUAACAACAUAUAUUAUUAAUUAUUAACAUACAUAUAAGGGGGAAGCCAUGCUGUGAGAACCUGUAUUUCCCUAAUGUGUAUUGGGUUCACUUUCUUUUGAUUGGCAAACCGAACAUGUAUAUUCGUAAUGAAUGGUUUUUGAUAUGCCGCUUUGGCUUGAAAAUGUUACAUUUCAAUGUGUGUAUGUUUGAUUGAUAUUUGGUUGAAUUUCGGAUCAACUCGUAUUUCAAACGGCAAAAGAAAAAAAUUUGGCUACUCUCGGCCUAGUAUCUGGAUUCUGACGUGGCCGGUACUGUUCAUCAUCGGUUUCGAUUUUCAUUUUUUUUUGUGAUUUUGACUUGUUUACGCGCGUGAGUAUGUUCCGGAACGUAUUAGAUCGACGUGAACUAAUUCGUAGUUCUGGCGAGAGUUGGGCAGGCAGUCCGCUAACCCCUUUGGUUCGCCUUAGGGGAAAGUGGGGCUGUUACAAGUGGUAUCAGAGCCACUUCGCGUGGUCUCUGCGCGGAGUGAGACUGGGCCAAGUGGUGUUGUGAUCCUAAUUUCAUGAAUAUGUCUAAGUGCUCGUUUGAGCGUAAGUUAUGAACUGGGCAUGUGAUAAGUGUACGAAUCAUUAUCAUGGGACUCGAGGAAGUUAGGUAUGUUUGUCGGGUAGUAAUCUUUAAUAAGGAUGGUUUACUCUUGGGACCGGCCGGCUCGAGAUGUGAAUUAUCUUAGACAAGAUUCUUGCGCCCGGAUACGAAAGAUAUGAGGGCCUAGAUUAGAAAGGAUUUGGUGAACUAGAAAGGCGAUUCUAUGGAACUUCGUGUGAUUUGUUCGGGUGUGGUUAAGCGUGAUCGACCUUGAUUAAGAUAUAAAUAUUUGGACGAAACCCUAGAAGGGGAAAAGCUUUUCGUGAGUUCUUUUGCACUUGUGACCUAGGUGUCUAUAGCACUUUUGGAGGACUCUUUUGUUUCAUGGAAUGACUUCGUAUGUACUUGACUGACUGUUCCGUAUAAUUGCUUAACCUGGUUAUGUGAUCUAUGUAUACGUGUUAUGUGUUUAAAUGCUCUUCGCGGUAAUUGUUUGAGUUACUUAUUCUUGUUUCAUUGUUCCUGUCUGGUGCUACGGAAAGGAGGGUUAGGUGCCCUUUAACAGUAUAUUUAUUUGGUGACCUAGAUUGACUUAGAUUGAUGGAAGGCACUCGGAGUGGUCGAGACCGUGGACGCAGAACUAGACAACCCACACCAGUUACGGGUACGGGAGAAAUCUCUACUGGACCCAAUCCUGAACCACAAGUAGACCCGAAUGUGCAAAUAGCUGCUGCUAUGCAGCAAAUGACAAACCUACUAGCACAAGUAGUGCAACAAUAGGGCCAGAACCCAAACCCUAACCCCCGAGAACCCUGGUAACCACAUCGAGAGCGAAGAUAGAGCUCUCAAACGAUUCCAAAAGUUCGCUUCGCCAAAGUUUGUUGGGGGACCCGACCCAGACGUUGCCGAAAGAUGGCUUGAAAAGAUGGUGGAUAUAUUUGCAGCCCUACACUACCCUGACGAACGGCAGGUGACUUUUACCGUGUUUCAACUUGAGGGGGCAACCCGUUCCUGGUGGAACGUAAUUCGGCAGAAGUGGGAACGAGAACAGACACGUAGGACUUGGGUGAAGUUCAUCAGAGAAUUCAAUGCGAAGUUUUUCCCUCCUCUAGUUCAGGAGAGGAAGGAAGACGAGUUCAUUCGACUCCGCCAAGGAGCUCAAAUUGUGGCGGAAUAUGAGAGCCAAUUCACCCGCCUAUCCAAAUUUGCGUCCGAACUUAUCAUGACCGAGCAACGAAGAAUACGGCGAUUUGUCCAGGGCCUGAACCUAGAAAUCCAGAAGGACCUCGCGGCAACCCAAAUUAACGCCUUCAGCGAAGCAGUGGAGAAGGCACAACGAGUAGAGAAUGCUAGGCUACAGGUGAAAAACUUCCAGGCGAAAAAGAGGGAAUUUCCUGGAAGUAGUUCGGGGCAGGGGGAUGAAAGUACCCCUCCCAAGUUUGGGCGGGGAACGGGAGGAGUAAGGAUGCCGGGAAUGUCACAAGAGAGCCCGUCAAGAGGAGGCUCGGCUUCUACCACACGCGAACCCUGCGGGUAUUGCGGAAAAUUAAACCACUCGGAGGACAACUGCUGGAAGAAAGGAGGAAAAUGCUUGCGCUGUGGAAGUGCCGAACAUCAAAUUGCUAACUGUCCAACUCGCCUGCUUGAGCGGAGAGGGACUCUGCCACCAACCACGACCCACCCUGACCAGUCAAAGGGAGACAAGAAUGGAUCGAAAGUGUCCUCUCGGAUGUACUCUUUAGAACAACAUCAAGUUUUUGACCCAUUAGAGGACGUGGAAAAUAAGAAUUUACUGAACCUGGCCAGUGAAGGGGGUACAGAUUUGUUAGCCAAGUAUAAUGCUCAAUUUAAUCCCGGAAUAGUCAAUGAUAAGGAAUUUCGAGGACGAAAUUCUUUUAAGGGGGAGAGAGUGUGAGAACCCGUAUUUCCCUAAUGUGUAUUGGGUUCACUUUCUUUUGAUUGGCAAACCGAACAUGUAUAUUCGUAAUGAAUGGUUUUUGAUAUGUCGCUUUGGCUUGAAAAUGUUACAUUUUAAUGUGUGUAUGUUUGGUUGAUAUUUGGUUGAAUUUCGGAUCAACUCGUAUUUUAAACGGCAAAAGAAAAAAAUUUGGCUACUCUCGGCCUAGUAUCUGGAUUCUGACGUGGCCGGUACUGUUCAUCAUCGGCUUCGAUUUUCUUUUUUUUUUUGUGAUUUUGACUUGUUUACGCGCCUGAGUAUAUUCCGGAACGUAUUAGAUCGACGUGAACUAAUCCGUAGUCCUGGCGAGAGUUGGGCAGGCAGUCCGCUAACUCCUUUGGUUCCUUUUAGGGGAAAGUGGGGCUGUUACAAGUGGUAUCAGAGCAAUACGGGUUCUCACACUCUCUCCCCCUUAAAAGAAUUUCAUCCUCGAAAUUACUUAUCAUUGACUACUCCGGGAUUAAAUUGAGUAUUAUACUUGGCUAACAAAUCUGUACCCCUUUCACUGGUCAGGUUCAAUAAAUUCUUACCUUCCACGUCCUCUAAUGGGUCAAAGACUUGAUGUUGUUCUAAGGAGUACACCCGAGAGGACAUUUUCGAUCCAUCCUUGUCUCCCUUUGACUGGUCAGGGUGGGUCGUGGUUGGUGGCAGAGUCCCUCUCCGCUCAAGCAGGCGAGUUGGACAGUUAGCAAUCUGAUGUUCGUCACUUUCACAGCGCAAGCAUUUUCCUCCUUUCUUCCAGCAGUUGUCCUCCGAGUGGUUUAAUUUUCCGCAAUACCCGCAGGGUCCGCGUGUGGUAGAAGCCGAGCCUCCUCUUGACGGGCUCUCUUGUGACACUCCCGGCAUCCUUACUCCUCCCGUUCCCCGCCCAAACUUGGGAGGGGUACUUUCAUCCCCCUGCCCCGAACUACUUCCAGGAAAUCCCCUCUUUUUCGCCUGAAAGUUUUUCACCUGGAGCCUAGCAUUCUUUACUCGUUGUGCCUUCUCCACUGCUUCGUUGAAGGCGUUAAUUUGGGCUGCCGCGAGGUCCUUCUGGAUUUCUACGUUCAGGCCCUGGACAAAUCGCUGUAUUUUUCGUUGCUCGGUCAUGAUAAGUUCGGACGCAAAUUUGGAUAGGCGGGUGAAUUGGCUCUCAUAUUCCGCCACAAUUUGAGCUCCUUGGCGGAGUCGAAUGAACUCGUCUUCCUUCAUCUCCUGAACUAGAGGAGGGAAAAACUUCGCAUUGAAUUCUCUGAUGAACUUCACCCAAGUCCUAGGUGUCUGUUCUCGUUCCCACUUCUGCCGAAUUACGUUCCACCAGGAACGGGCUGCCCCCUCAAGUUGAAACACGGCAAAAGUCACCUGCCGUUCGUCAGGGUAGUGUAGUGCUGCAAAUAUAUCCACUAUCUUUUCAAGCCAUCUUUCGGGAACGUCUGGGUCGGGUCCCCCAACAAACUUUGGCGUAGCGAACUUUUGGAAUCGUUUGAGAGCUCUAUCUUCGCUCUCGAUGUGGUUAUCAGGGUUCUCGGGGUUAGAGUUUGGGUUCUGGCCCUAUUGUUGCACUACUUGUGCUAGUAGGUUUGUCAUUUGCUGCAUAGCAGCAGUUAUUUGCACAUUCGGGUCUACUUGUGGUUCAGGAUUGGGUCCAGUAGAGAUUUCCCCCGUACCCGUAACCGGUGUGGGUUGUCUAGUUCUGCGUCCACGACCUCGACCACUCCGAGUGCCUUCCAUCAAUCUAAGUCAAUUUAGGUCACCAAAUAAAUAUACUGUUAAAGGGCACUUAACCCUCCUUUCCGUAGCACCAGACAGGAACAAUGAAACAAGAAUAAGUAACUCAAACAAUUACCGCGAAGAGCAUUUAAACACAUAACACGUAUACAUAGAUCACAUAACCAGGUUAAACAAUUAUACGGAACAGUCAGUCAAGUACAUACGAAGUCAUUCCAUGAAACAAAAGAGUCCUUCAAAAGUGCUAUAGACACCUAGGUCACAAGUGCAAAAGAACUCACGAAAAGCUUUUCCCCUUCUAGGGUUUCGUCCAAAUAUUUAUAUCUUAAUCAAGGUCGAUGACGCUUAACCACACCCGAACAAACCACACGAAGUUCCAUAGAAUCACCUUUCUAGUUCACCAAAUCCUUUCUAACCUAGGCCCUCAUAUCUUUCGUAUCCGGGCGCAAGAAUCUUGUCUAAGAUAAUUCACAUCUCGAGCCGGCCGGUCCCAAGAGUAAACCAUCCUUAUUAAAGAUUCCUACCCGACAUACAUACCUAGUUUCCUCAAGUCCCAUGAUAAUGAUUCGUACACUUAUCACAUGCUCGGUUCAUAACUUACGCUCAAACGAGCACUUAGACAUAUUCAUGAAAUUAGGACCACAACACCACUUGACUCAGUCUCACUCUGCGCAGAGACCACGCGAAGUGGCUCUGAUACCACUUGUAACAGCCCCACUUUCCCCUAAGACGAACCAAAGGGGUUAGCGGACUGCCUGCCCAACUCUCGUCAGGACUACGGAUUAGUUCACGUCGAUCUAAUACGUUCCGGAACAUACUCACGAGCGUAAACAAGUCAAAAUCACAAAAAAAAUGAAAAUCGAAGCCGAUGAUGAACAGUACCGGCCACGUCAGAAUCCAGAUACUAGGCCGAGAGUAGUCAAAUUUUUUUCUUUUGCCGUUUGAAAUACGAGUUGAUCCGAAAUUCAACCAAAUAUCAACCAAACAUACACACAUUGAAAUGUAAUAUUUUCAAGCCAAAGCGGCAUAUCAAAAAUCAUUCAUUACGAAUAUACAUGUUCGGUUUGCCAAUCAAAAGAAAAUGAACCCAAUACACAUUAGGGAAAUACGGGUUCUCACACAUGCCAUGCCAUGUCUCGUCUCAAAGGGGUGCCUGUGUUACUGACAUGAUGAAAUGCGGUUGGCUAGAGACUAGAGAGUGUUCAUCCAACUUGGUUUUAGUGGUAGCUUGUCUUUCUUAUAUUCCCAUUUCGUUUUCUUUUCAUUCGUUCUUUCCUUCUAACUUUCUAAGUUCUAACUAGUUUUGUACCCGUUCGUUGAACGGAAAUCGUCGAAAAAUAAUAAAUUUUAGUCAAUUUAUAAAAAUGUCGAUAUAAAAUACAUAUUUAAUGUAUAAUCUAUUAUAACUUGUCUUAAGUAUAUUACUAUAUACGCAUUGUAAUGUAAAGUAUUCUUAUAAUAUAAAUUUGAACAUCUAAUUCAGUGAAUAAUAAUUCAAAAGUAGAAAAAAUAACAUUCAACAAUAUCAUAACAUUCAAAAAUUUGAAAAUAAAUAAAAGUGCAAUAAAUAGUAUCAAAUAAUAUUCUACUAUUCAGAAACUUGUUUUUGUUUUUUUCUGUUUGAACAUUCUCUUCGAUUUGUCUGUGCAAAUCAGCAUUUAUUGAUUUUCUAUUAUCACUGUAUGAUAGCAAAGUAGGAUAACUAAGUAUAAAAAAAAUAAAUGAUUUAUCGCAUUCAAGUUUGUGUAUAACAAUACGUAAAGAUUAUAAUUAAGUAAAUGACCAAAAUCUUUUAAUUAACUAAUGAAUUUGCAGAUAUAUCUAAUAGAGAUAUUUAUGUCUCUUGUAUUUAUAUCGUAUUACUUUCCAGUGUCUUUUGUUUUUUGUUGUUUUUCCUGAAGACAAAUUAACAAACAUCGUAGUAUAUGAUCACAAAAAUCAAUUAACAAACAUGUUAGAAAAGAUCCUACAAAAAUAACAAUGAAAGUACUUGUUUAAAUCCUAUGUCUUCAUACAAAACAAAUAGAAAAUAAAAAAAAAAACAAAAUUCAAGAUAUGUUACUAAGCUCUUACAAUUGAAGAUCAACAUGCCUUUUAAAAAAUAUAUAUAUAUAUAUAUUGAAAAAAGAUGUACCUGAUAAUCAAGAGGGGUGGAAACCCAAAAUCGACACUUUAAUAUGCCAAUCGCUUGCACUGGAAAUACCUAACCAUGAAUUUGAUACUUGAAAUCAAUAUAUUAGAGGCUAUAUGUAGUGUAGACAUGGGAAAUAAGAAUUGAUAAGAAUACAAAGAGAUAUUGAUAAGAACAUUAAAAGUAUGUUUAUCUUAAUUUAAAUUGCUUAAAGUACGUAACUUUUGGUAGAAAAUAAGAAUCCUAUAAUAUUAAGAAUUCUUAUAAGAAAUAAAAUCAUAAUCGUCCAAAUAACUUUGGGUAGAAAAUAAGACCUUAUGUGACCCGUACUAUGCACGUAUAUAAACAUGUACGUAAUAAAUUUACAAAUGUGUUAUCAAGAUAGAUUUUACCGAUCUUAAAAGACCACCUCUACUAUAUCGAGUCCUUUAAGUGCAUAGACUCCUAUGAUGUAGGUCCACACAUGAAAUACUCCUUACCAUCUAGGUAGAGAUGUAUUGUGAUUAAGGAAUUAUUAACAAAAAUAUAUUAAAAAAAAGACGGGCGAAGAACACUACGGACGGAGGCAUUUCUUUUGGAUUGGAGGACACUACGGACGGAGGGUCGGGUAGGGGCCUUCAGGGUGCAAAACCUCAACAAAUAUCUAAUGUUUUAUCUCAUCUUUCUUUAGCUAUGAUAAUAGGAUUUUAUUUCUUUGGUUGAUGACACUCCAUUUUCUUUAUGGACUUUUCCAGAAUUUUUCAAUCAGAUGAAGUAUCAUUUUUCUUUGUACACAAAUUAUGCAUGGGGACUGUGAGUCUUGUAAAAACUUUUUCAGGCUAACUUUCUUUAAUUUUCAUGUCUAAAUUGUUUGUAUGUUGUUCUAUAUAUGGGUAGAUUAUCUUAAAAUAAAAAGGAUCUAUGAUGAAACUGUUUAAAAAAAAAUAAUAGGACACUAUAAAAAAAUAUAUUAUCAUUUAUUCCUAUAUAUCUAAUAGAGGAGAUUUAUGUCGCUUUUAUUUAUAUCGCAUUACUUUUCAGUUCCUUUUUUGGGUAGGAAAUAAGAAUCAUAUAAUAUUAAGAAUUUUUAUAGGAAAUAAAAAUUGAUAUAUAUCCAAACAAAAAAGGAGCAAGUCACGUAGGAAACUAUUUGACGUCUCAUUAAGCCACGUAGGAAAGAGAAAAUAUGAAAGAAUAAAUACGAAAAUAUGACUUUAUUAUAUAUAUAUGACUAGAAGACAGACUAUAAAUUGCAAGCCAAAUAGGAGAAGAGAGAGGAGAGUGGCUAAGACACGCUGUACCAAGUGUGGUUGGUCAGGUUGAAUGACAAGGCGUGGGUGUUGGGCUCAAUGUUAGGCCAUUGAAAUUAUAAUUUUACCCUUAUUGCUCCUCAAAUUUUACAAAUUCUAUUAUAAAAGAUCUUUUUUUUGAAUGCCUGCGAGUGUAAAAUAGAUUCCACCGUACCUGUACAAGCUUGACAAAGAACAACGUUCUGCUCCGAUUUUGAUUGAGAAGCCUGUUGAAAAUUUGUUCGUACAAUAAGCGGACGAACGUCCAUGUAUUGCCCGUCGGAUUUUGGAGAUAUCUACAUUAUGAUACUGGUAUUUGAGCUACUGUUGCUUUUCGCUUUUUGCUCUUUCGUUAUUGGUUUGUUGUUUUUAGGGUUGCAAACGAAUCAAACCGCUCGCGGACGGUUCGAGUCAAGCUCAAGUCGAGUUCGAUAUUAAUCGAGCUCGAGUCGAACUCGAGUUCAAAAUGUUAAACUCAUUAACUCGCGAGCCGACUCGCGAGUUUGAGUAUAUAUAUAUAUUUUUUUAUUUUUAUUUAAUAAUAAAAUUAUGUAUAUUAUAUAUUUUUUAAUUUUUAUUUUUAUAGUAAAAUUACGUAUAUAUCUUUAAUAUUUUAUUAUUUAUUAAGAAAAAAAUAUUAUUUUAUUUAUUUUUUUAAAAAUAAAAUAAUUAUUUUUUUAUUUUUUUCAAACUCGAACUCGGCUCGACUUGAUUCGAGUCGAGCUCGAGCUCGAAUAUUGCUGGCUCGUCGAGUUCGAGAUCGAGCUCAAGCUUGGUAAAUUUUAGUCGAGAUUCGGCUUGAUUAGCUCAAAACUCGACUCGACUCGGCUCGUUGGCAGCCCUAGUUGUUUUUCCAUCAGUUAUCCAGUCAGACUGCAGAAGAACAGAGCAAGUAUCUCCAAGAAAAACUUCACCCCCAUCUUCUUCUUCAUAGGCUUUUCUUCCUCUUGAUCAGCCGCAUCUUCGUUCCCCGCCUUUUUUCCUUUUUUUUUGUAAAUGUUGAUUAAACAAACAAGAUUGCUUCCACCUAUUAUUCUAUGGAUCUUAAUCUUUUUGGAAACUUUCAUAUUAAGGUAUGCUUGAACUAUUCUACACUUUGCACGGAUGAAACCAAUAAAAAACAAAUGAAGUUCAAAGGAGUUAUCUGAGGUGAAAAUUUCCUCUUUUUUUUUCCUAUGUUGUGCCUAAUUUCCCUUUUUUCCUUUCUCAGCUAUACAUGAAAUUUAUUUUUUUGCACUAACAGCUGCCGCCGAGAUGAAAAGGGGAAAUAAUUGCUAAGAGAGCCUUUAGGUAGAUUUUGCUUUUGUUUAUAUGUUAAUUUCUUUUUAGAUCAGUUUUUAUUCUUCUGAUUCUAUCUGGUAGUUAUUGAAUAUUUUCUUUAUUUUUUUUUCAGGUUUUUUGGUUGUACAAGUGCUUGCUUCAUGGUGACUGGUUAGUAUACAGGGGAAUUAGUGUCUCCUAUUUAUUUUCCUCCUUUCCGUUUCUUUCUUGACUACUCACACCGUUGUUUAGAGUGGUUUUUUGAAAUGUCAUUUUCUCAUAUCUUGCCUAAUGGAGUUUUUCUUUGAUGUCUAAGGUUUUGUGUGGUUAGAAAUUUAGGAUCUGAUACUUACAUAAUUGUUUAUCUCAUAGUGCUCAAAGUUCCAUGUGUUUUAGUGAUUACUAAGGUUCCAAGAAUUUGAUAUUUUUCUCCCUUUUUUGCUUUUGGAGUUUAGUUGUUUAAGUACUUGUCUCGUUUACAUUGCUAAUUCGCUAUUGUCCUCUGAAACAAAAAAACUUCACGGUAGCCAAGAGGUAUCCCCUCAAAUUCUGGUUUUGGGUUUUGCUGUGAAUUGUAGAGUGUUACCCGUUAUCUAAUGCUGAAUCUGUUGCAUGCAUGGUCUUAGCUUCUUUAUUUAGUGAUGUGCCUGCUGAAUUUGUAGUUUCCAAAGCUGUGUCCUGUAAGUUAUAAGCUUGUUUAAAUUGAUUUAAUAGCUCUAUUCUUCUCACAAGUCACUGGAAUUAUAAGCAUUAAGAAUAACUUUAGCAUAAGGCAAUUGAUGCAUGCAUGGAUGAUUUCCUAUUUUAGUUUUGUCUUUGUGUUCCCAUACUAAUGGUGCUGUUAUAUUCAUCAUCAUCGGCUAUUUAUUUUUUUUUUUUGCUCUGCAGGUUCUGCUCUUGGUUCGGUGAAUUUCUAGGUACUUUUCCUGUAGCUCUUAUAGUUAGUUUUUUUUUUCAACCCUUUCCUUUUUUUGGUGUUUUUGUACUAAUGAUACAGCUUAGUUGAUACACAUAGUUUUCACAGUAAAUGCUAUAAGUAUUGAAAUAUCUAUCUCAUUCCACUAAAACUACACAAUAGUACUUGAGUUCUUUAAAGGGAAAGCAUGACUUUUAAAGGGAAAGCAUUAGCAUUAGCUCACUUUGCAAUAGUACUUGAGUUCUUUAGUCUUGAUUGUUCCCUUCUAAUAGACUCUAGGAAUCACCAAAAGCUGAAUUCACUCAAGGUCAUUGUUUCAUCCUUUUUUUUAAGGUCUUUCAUCUUUCCAUCUAUAGAGUCCUUUGAGUUCUUUAAAGUAACAAUGGUCAAAGUUAAAAUGAACUACAAAUGAUGGAGACUAGAAUAUUUAAGCACUUAGAGGCACUACCUAUUUCUUUAUAUCUGACUUUUUCCUCUUGUUCUUAUGCUUCUUUGACACAGAGAUCUUAACCUUCUCUUCAGCAGACUCCUACCCAUGUGUACAAGAAGUUAGGAAGCUGAUUCUAGCAGUGAUAAAAGUAAAAUUCAAUUUUCCUGGCAUGUUCUUUAUGGGAAAUCGCUUAUGUGAAUGCAACUAUAGAUUACCUCAGAAUCAUCAAACGAAUCAGCUCUUCAAAGCACAAAGCCAUCUGCUGCAGGUUGGCCUAAACUUUCUUAUGUUGACAUAUCACAAAAUACAUUUUUAAUAGAACAAACAGGUUGUCCUUGCAUUUUCCAUGUAUUCGUUCAUUCCUUUUCAAUGUACUCUUUGAGGCAUGCUAAAUAACUCGAUCUCACAUGUUUAGUAUACUAUCUAACUCCCUCUGAAGCAGACUUCAAGAUUAACUGGAUAACCAAAUGGAUAGAGAGCAUCCCUGGUUCAUUAUACUGCAAUCGCUUCUUCCUUGAAUGAGCUGUGUAUUUCCUAGCACUUACUAACAAAGACUUCUAAAUGAACUCCAUAAGUAAAUGGAUGAAGCAUAUCUUUGCCUCACGUAGAGAACUACAAGAAAGGUAAUGAGCUGCUAGAGAGUGGUUGUACUCUUAGGUGUUGCUCACAUGACUUCUUAAGUUCUUAUGUUCCAAUUUGACAUUAUAUUUUCUUUUGCAAGAAAAUAGUUGUCCUUUGCUUUAUGAAGUGUGAUGCAUGUCUUUAUCUCUAUCUUUAAUAGUACACUUAGAAUCUUUUAUCAUUAGACCGUGGUCUACUAUGAGAGAUAGGUAACCAACUAUUUCACACUUUUGGAUUGCAUUUUAUAGCUCAAGUAAGUGAAAUUAAAUUCUUGACUUUGUUUUCUUAGUUUUGUAUCAAUAAGUUUGAUUAUGCCUACAAUGUGCUGCUUACUUUAGUAAGAUGUUUGGCGUGCUAUGUAAAUAAGUUUCUUAAUCAUUGACUUUAAAAAUUUGGCUGCUGGAAAGCACAAAAAUCAGGAUGAGAAAAUUCCUAUGACAGAUUUAAUAGAAAUUAGGGAACUUAAGUGGUGUGCCACUUUUGCUGUUUCAUUAGAGCAUAAGGACUUGACAAUUUAGAAGGUGGCUUAACUAAUUAAAUGGCUGAAAUGGUUUAAAAAAUGUCUUUUUCAAAAGGGUGAAACAUAUUUAAAUUGUAACACUAAACAAGUUGUCAUUUUCUUUUUUAUUGAUUUUUUUAUACAGUAUAUAUUAUACAAAAAAAUUUAUUUGUCUCUCUUCUUUUAUCGAAUUCAAGUAAGAACUCAUAAGUAAUGACAAAAGGGUGCAGAAUAUUGACUGAUUAAUAUCUUGUCCUUUCUUGGGAGUACAAGUGGGAAUGCAAACUUUGGUUUAAAUCCAUUUGACAAGUGUGUAGUUUCAAAGCUUUAAACAUGAGAAUUUUUAUACUUAGACUAACUCAGCCAAUUACAUAGUUGUGCAUCUGCUUGGCGACUUUAAGUGUAGAGAUGUUUUAUUACACUUGAUGAAGCAAGAGUAUGAAGCCUCCUUGCUCAGUUCUUACUUUAUGUUAUUUAAAUAGUCAAAAUUAGUUCAAAAAAUAAUGGGAGUGUUUGGAUACCAAAAUUAUUCCAAAUAAUAUUUCGCUUGCAUCACAAAUACAUUUUCCAACCAACCCUUUUAUAUUUCCAAUCACCUUUUUAUCUCACAUACAUCAUAUCACAAAAAGUGCUACAGUAAUUAUUCCAAAUAAUAUUUCAAAUAAUACACUAUCCAAAAUAUUGCAAGUCUUCUAUUCUACAAGUUCUUAUUUUCUUUUCUUGAUGUCUCUACCUUUUAUGAAGUCCAAAGAAAUUGAAGGCCUUUAGUCUUUUGGUGACUUCAAAAACAAUUUUGAGUUAGUUUCAACUGUUGUAGGAAAACAAAGAUUAAAGUGAUAAAAUUUGUUGGGUCGGUGGAUGAAUAUUUUGGCCUCAAAUACCAUUUUGAAAGGUGUUAAUACCUUUCUUUGCUGUUAUCAUGGGCCCAAAAUAUUUCCAUUGUAUAUCUAUUUCAUUUGCUUUAUCAGAUCUCAUUUGCUACGUCAAUAAGGUUCUAAACUUGAGAUAAUGACUUGUUUAUCUUAUCUCAGACUGGAAGCAUAUGCAGCUCUCCACUUCCGAUUGUGUCGAGUCUUGUGUUGAGCAUUGUGUCAAGUCUUCAUGGGUGCUAGUACUUGAGAGAAAAAGGGCAUUUCAUAGCCUUUUUGUAUUUUUGUAAUUUAUACCUUUUGAAACAUUAUGAAUAUUGUGCUGAUACUGCUUUCUGUUGGUAAAAUCUGGGGGAGAAAGAAAUCCAGCAAGUCCUGUAACUUACAAUUAUACUUUUUUGUUUUAUUCCUAGAUGAGAGUCCCAUUUUCUCAAGUCUGCGAACAUGGAUGCACUUCACAGUUACAAUAUCAUCGAAAAUUACUUUUGCAAAUUGCUCUAUCAACUUUUGAAUGGAUAGAUAUAAUACAGCUUUAUAUAAUUUUGAAUGGAUGAAUAUAAUAUUUAUGAUUUAGCGUAGUAUAAUUUGCAACAAUUAUGUACUAUAUAUAAAUGGAAAAACUUAAAUAAUUGGGAAAGUUCAAUUAUGUACCAUACAUGACUGAGCAAACACGAAAAUUUUCACGGUGUUCUCCUCCUAGUUUUUGAAAAACACGUGCAGGGUGGGUUAGAAGUGUGAUGCAUCACUUUUAACGAAUUUUGACUAACUUGUGUCACAUUCUACACUACUAGCAUAAUUUUAUAAUUUUUUAUAAAAUAAUUUUUAAGUAAAUUGAAUUUUAGGAAUCGAAAGAUGAGUUUAAAUAAUAAAAAAAUGUUUGAAUGGCGAUGCAAAAUAAUACUGGGCUCAACUGUAGAUUUGAUUUUUCUUUUUUCAAAUUAGAAAAAAUUGAAGUGUGUUUGGAUAGAAUAUUAUUUGAAAUAAUUAUUAUAAAACUUUUCGUGAUGUGAUGUAAUUAUUAUUCAAAGCUUGGGAUUCUCCCAUCGCGAUUUCAGCCCAGAAUGUAAUCGCCGCAGCCCAAAUAGUUCCUUCAACCCGAAGAAAGGAACAUCCCGAAACCUGGUCAAACUGAAAAAAUGAUUCUCGCCCAUGUUCAAACCACCACGGCACCACCAGCUGACGGCAAAAAGGCAAAAGCAGAGUCGUAAAUUCUCAUUAGAAACCACAGAAGUUUCCAGAACAAUGGCUUUAGCGACGAGGCAAAGGCGGACGCCACCGACAGAUCUCUUGACGACGUCGUCAAGUUCGUCGUCCUCUUCGUAUACGAAGCUCGAUAAGCCGAAGAAAUCCGACGCCGGACAAGAUGAGGUCGACCGCGGGUUAGGAUGGUUGUUGCCGUUGAUUUCUCUCGGAAUGCUGAGAUACAUGAGCUCUACGACGAAUAUAAUUCACGAUUGCGAUGAGGUCUUCAAUUAUUGGGAGCCUCUUCACUAUCUCCUUUACAAGUCUGGCUUCCAAACUUGGGAAUAUAGGUCCAUUUCUCUCUUCUCAAUGCUCAAUUUAAACAUAGUUGUGUAAAACUUUUCUUUUAUAUUUUAGUAGCUUAAUUUGGAUUUGUUUUUUGGUCUUAAUGUUUUAAUCGAGAAUUGAUCUAUGUUUCUUCAUGUGUUGCAUCCGUAAAAUAGUGAAAUUGUAGGAGCUAAAUUUCUCUUUUUCGGAUAUUCAUUUACAGAGCAGAGCUAUUACGUGCUCAAACUUGAUUGAGUUUUCUAAACAAUUUUUUUUUUUUUUUUUUAUUUUUGCUGAAGUGGAAGUUUGCAGUUGAUAUUAAGCAUACGGUAGGACAUUAUCUGUUUCUGCACAAAGGAAUAGUAACACUUGUUAUGGAGUAAAAGAAAAACAGGCUUGGGGUAUAAGUUGAGUUUCACUACAUCUUCGCCUGCUUCAUGCGGCAUUGUCGUUAAAUUGAUAUUUUGCAUCCUGCAGCUCCCAAUUUGCACUGCGCUCGUAUCUUUACAUUAUUUUCCACAAGUUAAUCGCAUCCCCUGCUUCCUGGUGGUUUGGUGAGGAAAAAGUAAGAACACCUCAAGCUUCUUUUUGUUUUUCUUUCCCUGACUUCUUUUUGUUGUUUUCCCUGAAUCUGUCUUAACUGGUACACGUGUAUAACUUUCAGGUCAGGGUAUUUUAUGCUGUGAGAAUUUUUCUUGGACUCAUCUCCACCGCAACAGAUGCUGCUCUUGUGGUUGCCCUGUCCAGAAAGUAUGGAAAACGUCUUGCAUCUUAUGCGCUUGCCAUGCUAUGCCUAACCAGUGGCUGUUUCUUUGCUAGUACUAGUAGGUAGCUUUUCCCAGUGAUCUCUAUCCAAGCUUCCAGCGUGUUUAUAAAUGGUUGAACAAAUUAGCAUCUUUCUGGACCUUGCUUUGAUUUUGUUAUUGUUUUCACGUUCAAUUUGUUUGGGCUUUUCACAGCAUAAGUUUAUAUUGGGCUAAAUUUGCAGGUUUUCUGCCUAGUUCGUUCUCCAUGUAUGCUAUGUCUCUUUCGUCAGCACUUUUUCUUUUUGAGAAGCCUGCCAUGGCAGUUGCUAUUGCAGCAACUGGAGUUAUUCUUGGCUGGCCAUUCUCGAUCUUGGCAUUUCUUCCAAUAACUAUCUACUCCCUCGUUAAAAGGUUUAAAGAAGCAUUCCUUUCAGGGCUAAUCAGUUCCCUUGCACUGUUGGUGAGUGGAUUUGGUUAUAACUUUAGUAUUGCUCCUCAACUCUUUAAUAUCCUGAUUUUUUGUAUAAAUUGCCAAGUUUGAUCAUUUAAGUUGUUGUUGAAUUACAUUAUAAGGAAUUUGAUCUCUUCCAGGUGCUCUCCCUCGUGUUUGACUACUACUACUAUGGAAAGUGGACAUCAUCGGUUCUGAAUCUCUUGGUUUAUAAUGUCUUAGGUGGUGGGGAGAGUCAUUUGUAUGGUACUGAAGGGCCGCUGUAUUACCUGAAGAAUGGCUUUAAUAACUUUAACUUCUGCUUCCUUCUUGCCCUGCUGUUCCUUGUGGUUCUUCCUGUUGCAAGAAAGAAGUAUCAACCAGAUUUAUUGGUCGUCAUCUCUCCUAUCUAUAUAUGGAUAGGUUUCAUGUCUCUGCAGUCUCACAAAGAAGAAAGGUUUGCUUGAUUUGUUGUCCUAGUAUUUUGAAAAUUAACAAUGGGCUUUAUUUUGUCCUUUUUUGCAUCUAUAUUUUUCAUAUUCAGUUCCUUUGAAGUGUUUAUUGGUUGCAACAUGCAGAAUCUGAUUUUUUUUUUUUUUGGUCUACUAUCAAGGCUUAGUAUGCUUUAUUGUUUUAUAACCUGGAUGCCAUUUGUUUAGUGUUCUCUAACCUAGAUGUAUUACAUUCCUCCACUUGGCUUAGAUUAUCUUCAAACAUGUUGUUUUUACUGGACUAAUGGGUUGUACAAUCAUCAAGGAUUUGAAACUAUGGAAGGUUUGUUAGGUUGCUUACUUAGAGAGUAAGAGUUGUUCUUUGAAGAUUUUUCGGGCUCUUUAGGUCUGUGAAAUGUAUUCUCUGUUGGCUGCAUACUGAAGGAAAAUUCAGAACAUCAAAGCUUGAUAGAAUGAUGUAGAAGUGAAGAACUUGUGAAAGGACUGAUAGAAAGGAUUACUAUAUUCAUCCUACCGCUAAAAGUGAAGAAUUUGUUUAACAGUUUAUGAUUUUCUAUUCAACUGAAAGAACACAACCACAUAAUGCAUUUGCAAGUUGUUUGUUUUUCCCCUUUUCCCUUUAACCACCUGCUACAAGUUUUCCAUGGAAAAAUGCUUUAUUUUUGGAUGACCUGGUGGUGUGCAUCAGUGCAACCCUGUAGAUUCCAAAAGAUUGUGUUGCAUGGAUAUUAAUGGUUGUGGCAUUGUUUAACAAGCUAAGCUCAAAGUUUUAAAGUAUACUCAGCUUAUUACCUCUGAUGGACUUUCUGCUAGGUUUCUCUAUCCAAUUUAUCCCCUUAUCUGUGUUGCUGCUUCAGCUGUCAUUGAGAGCUUUCCUGAUUUUUUCCGGGAUAAGCAUGAUCCACGCAACCCAUCCGUGCUUGUCAAGGUAAUAUGACUCCUAACUGCUGCUUUAUAUUGGCUCAGUGCCUGUUGCUGGUGAAAAAUUACCUUUGAUUUGUUAAUGCAGGUUGCUAAAUUUCUGAGACCUGUGAUUCUUGGCUUAAUUUUGUGUGUUUCCCAUUCUCGGACAUUUUCCCUGAUUCAUGGCUAUUCCGCACCUUUAGAGAUUUACAAGCAUUUUGAGCAUCAUGAUGAUGUAGGAACUGGUGAGAAUCCAUUUAUCUGAUUAUGGGAUCUGACGCUUUUCGUCAAAUUCUGGCUAUGUUACUUUAGUAUCAUGGCUAGUUCUUAAUCAUCUGUCCUCAAGGCCUACAGAAUAUAAGAAGACUAUGGAACUGGUUAGACAAAACUUGUAUGCCUGCUUACUGUCAAAUUAAAAUUUUUCCUCAUUGUUCCAGCAAAUUGCCUUCUUCCCCCAUCCCUUUUCCCUCCGUUUUAAUUUCCUUCUAAGAUGAUAUAUGAAUUUUCUUUUCCCUUUUCAUGGUAAACAAGUAUCUUGGCAAAUUAUUCUAACAAGGCUUCCUGUUUAAUUGAAGUACGGGAUUUCCUGAAUUGGUCUAUUUUUCUUGCUAUUGACAAAAUUGUCAGUGCUUUUGGGGUUAAUUUAAUUGUUCACAUUUAGAAACAAUCGUAGCCAAGUUUAUUCUGGGUGUUUGCUUCCCAAAAAAAAAAAUCUGGAUGUUUAUUUCCUCCUAAUUUCAUGUGUGCCUUACUUAUUUGUUUCAUGUAUUUACAGGUUCUGUUGUUUGUGUUGGGAGUGAGUGGCACCGCUUUCCUUCAUCUUUUUUCAUUCCUGAUUAUGUGGCCCAAGUUCAGUGGAUAGAUGAUGGGUUCAGGGGUCUUCUUCCAUUCCCUUUUAACUCUACCUUGGGUGGAACUUCAGCAGCACCGCCUUAUUUCAACAAUAAGAACAAGGCAUCAGAUGGCCAAUAUGUAAUCAAAAUUUGACUUUCUAGUGAAUAAGCAUCUCUCUUUCCCUUCCUUUCUCACAUGUUUCACUAGCUUCACUUGUUAUUUUGUUAUAAAGAAAAAGAUUAUUAUCUUUGUUUUUGUGUGAAUUGUUCAAUGGGUUACUAUAAUUGGUUACUUUGUUUCCUUCUAUAUUACAGCUCCAGGAUCUUGAGAAGUGCACUUUCCUUGUAGAGCUUCAGCUUCAACGGCCAGUCCUUUCCCGUGGAAGUGACUUGUCGAAGUGGGAGGUACAGCCACUCUCUCUCUCUCUCACACACACACACAUAUUCACACUUUUGUGCACACAACUGGGUGCACCAUGGCAGAUACAUAAAAUACCAAAAAGGGGUUGUUUUUCUGACUGGGAGUUUCUCUUAUGUAGGUUGUUGCAGCAUUACCAUAUCUCGACAGGGAAAUGUCACCUCCCCUUCACCGCUCUUUCUUUAUCCCCCAUCUUUGGCUGCAGAAGAAUGUCUUUGGCCUAUACAAGCUGCUGAAGAGAAUACCAAAAUAGCUAGCAGAUUAUGAGAAACCUUUCAUUAGUUGAGUAGUGCUAACUUUUUCUACGCUGAGUUCAGCUUUUACUAAUAGAAGUUUUCUGAAGACCCAGUUUGCUAAUUGAGGUUAGGAACACUCUAGCUGAAAGACCCAGUUUACUAAAGAAUGUCUUUGUUUUCAAGAAUGUCACCCUCCCUCUGUUUACCGCUACAUGCAAAUACUUUCAGUGAGAUCGUGGCAUUUAGUGUAAUGUGUCUAGUUGUAGCUGAUCUUUCUUCUGAUCCCCUCAUGCCACCAUUGUGGAGUCUCAUGGCAUCGGUCAUAAACUAGCUAUUUGUUGGUUACUCGCUGGCAAGCCAUUGUUUUUAUUUGAAGGGAGGUAAAAGGGGGAUGGUAAAUUGGGUUUUUUGCAACCUCUCAUAGAUUAAUUCGCACAAAUUUGAGUUGGAAAAUCAUGCCCCGGACUCAGCUGAGUUUCAGAGAUCAUAUUUGUGGUACUUGCAGGAAAAAUUUUCUCCACUCUUGUUGUGGCCAGUGGAAAUCUUCACGGUGACUGAAUGCUAGGAGGUGAUGAUGCGUGAUUAUAUUGCUUUAUCAAGGGAUGCCUCUCUAAUUUCGGACCACGGGUCCUGAAUGUUUUACAAUAUUCAAAUGAACACCUUCAGGCAAAUUUGGAAUCUGGAGAUAUCUCAUGGUUUUGAUGUUCGAUAGAAUUAAUGCUUAUAUCGUCAUCUCCUUGACCGGGAAACUCUUUUGACGCUGAAAAUGUUACUACAAGUAAGAUUCAUGUAUCGAUUAUAACUGUUUUCGUCCAAGGGGAAGAGAGGGGAUUAGAGGAGGAGACUCAAAAGAGAAAAAAAUGAAGUAAACGCAAGAGUCUUGAGCAAUGUGGUUUUAUGGCAGAGUGGCGGUACUGAGGUACAAUUGCUUCCACGGUUGGAGGUUUCCCAAAGGGUACUGAAAUGCAUUUUCUUAGAGAAACUAUCUGUGAUCAAGGAGAGGGAGCGUAUGUUCUUCUGGAGUAGCAUACAUGAUCCAACUUGUAGAAGCGUAAGGUGUUCUGAAAUUCGAAAAUAAACCAAAGACAUUUUGCAAAACUACUACGAAAGUUGGCGAAAUCAAAUGAGAAGGUGAUGAAAUCCUUAACAAAUGACCUCACAAUUUUGGCUGACAUUGAUGGCAAUACAGCCAAGUGCACGGAAUAACUCAACAAAUAGCGGUUCAGGUAGAUUGAAAUUACACUCUUUCCAUUUACUUUUUGAUAUGGUUACAUGUAGCCCGCACUUGUGAGAUCAAUACAGCAAACCCCACAGGAAUAGGGAUAAACAGUAACCCCUUAAAGCUACAUCAACCAUUUAAUCAUUCAUUCAUACUAGCCCAAAUAGUUACAUCUGAUAAACUGAAUUUGCAAAUUUAAACUUAUCAACCGUACUGACGUUUACUGUGUUGGGUUUGAGUUUUAUCUCACAACUGUUUAUUUUGUUGGAUUUGGAUUUUAUUCCACCAAACCCAACAAACUGAACGGUUGGUUGGUGAGAUAAAACUCAAGUCCAACAGACCGCAGAACUCAAACUUUUACCAACUGAUCGGCAUUCUGAUCCAGCCAGUAUGGGAACAAGUAGAGAUUAAGCGCUCAAUGCAGUUGGAGAAUUGGUGAUAGGUUAGUAAGAUAGUCAGAUAUGAAUAGUUAGCAAUGCCACAACCUGGAUGAUUUACGGGCUUCCAGAUGAACAUUCCCAACUAAUCAUUCCAACUAGGCAAUGCCGUACGAAGUUCUUGCACAAGCUUUGGUCGAGGACUCAUAACGCUUGACAUUAGCUCCUACAUUCUGAAGCUUCAUCUCCAUAUUCUCAUAUCCACGAUCACUGUGAGAUAUUCCGCUUACUUCAGUUAUUCCUUCAGCAGCCAACCCCGCCAAAACCAGAGACAUUCCACUACGUAAAUCAGCUGCCAUGACUUGAGAACCUUUGAAACUACUGAUGGAACAGUAAUUUAGAGUUGUCAAUCUUCAUAAACCAUAGUCAUACUCCAAAUUUAGAUAUAUUCAGCUACAUCAUAAAAGAGUAGAAGCUAACCUUCCUGUCUCCUUUCCAAAAAUCAAAGCGGUGCUUCCACAACCAUGAAUUCUGGGCCCAAAUUUCCUCAAUUCCUUUACUACAAGAACCAAAAGCCAGAACUAGAUGUAAAUAGCUGACAGUUUGAAAAGAAGAAUAUGGCUUGGUGCCUAGGGAAGGAUAUGUCAUAUAAAAAUUACCCUAGAUUAGAACAGGAAUACGUGUGUAGCUACAAGUUAAAAUAUGUAUUUGCUGAUGCAGUUGAGCAAGAAUGUGAACAAGAGUGGACAUGAAUUCCAGUGCAAUGAUUGAUCGCUCCAUUAUCCAUACUACAUGCCAUGACCCAAGCGGUUUUCAAACACAGAUUCCUCCACCAUACUUGGACCGUUACAUGUUGCAAGGAAUGCCAUAGUCUGGGGUUGGAGAUCUGUAGGAAAACCAGGAAAUGGGCCUGUUUUAAUGUCAAAGCGUUGCAAAUCAUCUCCACAUUUUUCAGGGAUAGCUGAAACCUGGUCAUCAAUCAUAUAUUUCUCGGAACUGUGUAUAACAGAUUUGGGUCUGGAAGAAAAUUAAAAGCUAAAAUAUGUAAGAACGUUCUUAUACCUCCAAGGUGUCAUCAGUGUACGAUACAAUUUUGCAGCCUGCACUAGAAAGCCUUUCAAUCAAACAGGAUAUAGUUGAAGGAAUGAUGGGUGACAACGAGAUACAAGAGCGGGUAAUCGCAGCUGCAAGCAUGAAGCUGCCUGCUUCUAUCCGAUCAGGCAUAAUGCUGUAACAGGAACCAUACAACUGACCCCUUCCGGAAAUAUAAAGUUCAUGGGUGCCAGCUCCUCUGAUGGAAGCUCCACAUCUUGUGAGGAAAUGAGCCAGAUCUAUCACUUCCAGUUCCUGCAGAGGGAAUAUCCAAUUAAAGAAUAAGCAAGAUUUUGAGUCAUUCACUGAGGUCCAAAAUCUUUGAAGCAGCAGAAACUUAGCACAACAAACCACUAUUCAAAUCAGAAUAGAAUAUCUAAGAGAUUCUUCUACUGCCAUACUUGAGCUACAUUUGAAAGCACUGUAUUUCCCUUGGCCAAAGAUGCUGCCAUCAUAAGAGUUUCCGUCGCCCCAACACUAGGGUAAUCAAGUUGGAACCUCGCACCAACCAAUCCCUUUCCAUUUGAAGCGUAGGCUUGUACUUUUUCAUCUCUGUGGAUGAUAACCAAAGCUUACUUCAUUCAUGUACAUUAUCCAGCAUCUGUCAAUUCUUGCAAAUAUGAACCACCACUGGGCUUCCUGUCAUACAUACAUGACCUGGCACCAGUCUGCUUUUUAUUUUGUGAAUGACUAGCAACUAUGCUUGUUGUGAAGCAACGGCUACGAUGAUUGCAAAUACAACACGACACAAAUAUACAGAUAUAUCAAAAGCUUGCCUAGCUUUCAGUUGUUUAACACAGGAUGAAGUAUUAACAAAAGCAGGGGCAAUUCUUUGUCUUUUGAGUGACAGAGAGGGAGAGAGAAAUUUCUUUUCAGCGAAUUAUGAGAUACUGCUGAUAAAUAAAUUCAUGCAGAAAACACCCCAAGCAGUCAAACACUACUAUCAAUCUCUUUGCGUGAACCACCAUUACUUCAAAACUUGAGUCUCAACGUCAGGGUUGGCAAUUGAGCAAAACUAUAGUUGUAGACCUUAAAAGGCUAGUACACAAAUUAACCACAUGUCGUUAGGAAUGAUAAUUGGGUCGGGUCGUAGCCUCGUAGGUUGGCAGGUCAGCUUGAAACUCACGUUUUCUGAAUAACACGUCAACUCGAACACCAUCCGAAAAUUUAAAUGAGUCAAUUUUCUUGACCCAAAUAAGAUUUGUUAAUUUCACGAGUUAUCGGAAUCCUAUUUAAAUAACUUGUUCGCUUAAUUUUCUUUUUAUUUUUUAACCUUCUCACUUUGGUAGUACGGUGGAUUUUUUUUAAUAAUGAAGUUUCCAUCAGAACAUAGAAAUUGUAGUCCAAUCUCGUAGUAUUUUUUUUUUUUGUAAAAAAAAUGAAAAAAAAAAACUACGACACUUGCACACAUAAAAUACCUUAUUUUCGCAUAAUAUUCAUGCUUUCGUUCUCGUAAUACUUAAUUAUAGCCUUAGUUAGUUUUCUUUUUUAUUUAUUUUAUGCCUCUAUUUUAUUUAUUAAAUUAUAAAAAUACAUAUUAAACUAGUCAAACGGGUCAACCCAUGUUGAUCUAAAUUGGACUUGUUUGAUUAGUGGAUCGUUCGGAUCUGACCUGAAUUUAAUCCAAAUCCGUGAAAAGUAAAAUCAUAUCUACUAAUUUUAUGUUAGGUUCGAUUCGAAUUUUUAAAUCGUGUUGAGAAUUGUUACACCUGCAUGUCUUGGCUAGAGAACAUUUUGACACUGGUUAAUUCUAGACAUAUCUACCGCAAAUGCAACUAGGGCUGCAAACGAAUCGAGCCGCUCGCGAGCGACACGAGUCAAGCUCGAGUCGAACUCGAGCUCGAAAUCGAGUUCAAAAUAUUAAGCUCGUUAGCUCGCGAGCUUGAGUAUAUAUAUAUAUAUAUUUAUUUAAUAAUAAAAUUAUGUAUAUUAUAUAUAUAUAUUUUUAUUUUUUUAUUUUCAUAGUAAAAUUACGUAUAUAUUCUUAAUAUUUUAUUAUUUAUUAAGAAAAAAAUAUUAUUUAUUUUUUUAAAAAUAAAAUAAUUAUUUUUUUAUUUUUUUCGAGCUCGAGCUCGGCUCGACUUGAUUCGAGUCGAGUUCGAGCUCGAAAAUUGCCGGCUUAUCGAGUUCGAAUUUGGUAAAAUUUAGUCGAGAUUCGGAUCGAUUAGUUCAAAACUCGACUCGACUCGGCUCGUUUGCAGCCAUAAUGGUGGUGACAAAUGCUAACUUCCCAACCGGGGCCGGAUUACGAGUGAGAACUGGAAAGUCAUCAUCCCAAGCGACGUCGCUUAACCGGUGCGUUGAAAUAAAUGUGCCUGGGAAGUUGUUGGAAAAAAUAACGAAGAAGAGAAAGAUGAAGGGGAAGCUGCGAAGCCCUAAGCCUAAGGAGCAUCAGCUCAACCCCAACUGGGAGCUGCUCCGUCAAGUAAUCUACAACUCUAUAGUUCCUCCACUUUCACAUUAACUUAUUCAAAUACUAAUUCUUUUCUUCUACCUUUUUUUUUUGCUUGUAUUUCUUUAUUAAUUCACUCGUAUAUGCAGAAGCUGAUAAAGAGCAAUGGCCCAAAGAAACAGUCCACCAGAAGCCAACAACAGAAAUCAGAACCAGAAUCCCAGAAUUCCAUUUUAGGUCAAUCCCAUUUUUUUUUUUGCUGGUACUUUAAGUGGUUGAUUCUGCUGUAUACUAGUAUUUAAAGUAUGAUUCUACACAAUUUUUUGAUUCACUGGUUUUUUAGGUAUUGCAGUGUCCAUUCACAGUAAUGUUCGAUAAAAGUUUGCAUUUUUCUAUGUUCUCGUGUUGGUUAUAAUCUCAGGGAAGCGUAAAGAGAGGCCAGUGACUGAGACUGAUGGUUCUAAGCCUAACCCAUUGAUCCCAAGCUCCUCUGAUUCCAGGUGCAGGAAAAGCGUUUUACUUUAAGUUGUAGUAUCCGUUUGUGGCGUUUAUUUAUUUAGUUAUUCAUUUAUAAAUUUUUAUUCUUAAAUUUAUGUUUAAAUGAAUUUUUCAGUCGAGGAAGGGAAUUCAGGUCGAGUAUUGACUAAUUUGAGCUUUUAGGCUAAAGUUUCCGUAUUUCAUAAAGAGAAGGAUAAACUUGAAAAAUCCUCCUAAACAGUGCAUGGACUUUUUUGGGCUUGAUAUGUGGUUUUUUUUUUUGUGGGGGGGGGGGUGGCGGCUAGGGGAUGUGGGGAAGAUGGCUGACUAUAAUCUUUAUGAUGUGGUAAUGUGGGAAAUAGCAGGAUGCUUAACAAGUGACGUGCGGAUGUUUUCUUAAUAUUUAUGCUUAUAGAAGAUGUGAGUGAGCUUAUGUGUUUGAAUUAACGAGUUAUAGCUGUUAUGAUAGUGAAUGAAUUCUCAAUCUUAAAUAAUCCAGAAUAAACAAUAAGGAAAUGUUAGCCCUUUAUGUAGUGGUUCCAAUUUUGGCAUUUGUUCGUGGGUAACAUUUUGUUUUCGCUUCAUUCUUCUUCUUCUUCUUCUUUAUAGUAAUAGGGGAGGGGUGGGAUCUAAGAAGCAUACUGCAUUCAAUGGUAUGCUUAUACUUUAUUUGUCUUGUUCAAAGUUAUUUUUUUUGACAAUUAUCAACCACAUUGCAGCGUCACAGAUGUUUUAGCCAUGGAUUGCGAAAUGGUCGGCGUCAGUUCUAUGGGAAACAAAAGUGCUCUUGGACGAAUUACACUGGUAUCCCUGGUUACAACUUUUGCGCAUGUCACUGGAUUUUUUUAAAAUUUUUAUUAAGUUUUUCCUUUUGAUCUUUUAUAUGAUUUUCUUUUUUAAAUUUUCUCUCUUGAGGUUGAUGUAAGAAAUAUUCAUUUUAGCUGUCUGUAAUAGAAAACUACUAUUAAGUUUAUUUUAUAUACUUGAACAAGUUGAAUUAUAGUAAAUACAUAAAUUUUCAGUGAAGCGUGAAAAGGAAAGAAGCUUUGGUAUCAGAAUUGAAAAUUAGCGACUUGAUGUGUUGUUAUCUUCUUACAUCGUCCAUAUUUCUAAAGGAAAGGUCUGCAUAUGGUACUAGUUAUUUUGUUAAAGUAUCAACGGAGCUUAUGUGUAAGCUUCCAAACCACAUGGUAGUCUUGUGUACUUUCUCUUCUGGCCUUUUUUUCCCCAUCGAGGAGCUCACAUUCUUGAGAUAAAAUCGCUUGUAUCCGUAUUUCUUUUCCCCCAACUAACAGAAAAUUGGUACUCAAAAAAGCAAGAUAAGGAGGGGCCUGCAAGCAAUUUGGCCAUUAUGUCACCAAAGUACAAGAAGAAUAAGUCCGAGGGCGCAUGCAUUUGGUGAACUUUGGCAGCCCAGAAUAUGUUUGGUGAAACUGUAGAAUGCUCUGCCCCGAGAGUUGCAACUACAAAAUGCUGAUUCUGAUCUAAGUCAGUUAGGUGCAUCAUCUCAUUUCUGCCAUAAAACAUUAAAAAGAAAGGAGAUAUUCGCCCAAUCCCUUCAAAUUCUCCAUCUUCUCCUAUACAGACAAGAAUAUACAUAUCCAUCCCUUUUUUUUUUUUUUUUAACAAGUGGGCUCAAACUUAAAUUACGAAGCCAAUUUGGUCAAAGUGUCACUGCUGCCAAAAUACUUAAAUGGUCUAAAUGCAGUAAUUUAAUCUAUCUCUGGAGUUUUGCAGGUCAUUAGACUAUUUAUAUUGUGGUUAGGUUUCAUUAGGCAGGACAAACUCCCGUACCAAAGCACAACAGGCAGUAUUUGCCAACGUUGAAAAUAUAUAGGAGGGGAAGCAACUCACAAAUAAGGAAAAGUUCAAAGAGUACCCUGAUUACUUCGUUAGUUCAACUUAGAGACAUAGGCAACAGCAACUGCAAUGCAUUUGGGCCAAAAAAAAAAAGGGAAAAAAUGAAUGGGAGCAUUAGAGCAUAGAAUAUAGACAUAGGCUAUGUAUAUCCAAGUUUUUGCAUGUUAGUUUUGUUGCCCUUUUUGGCUUGUCAAUUGCUAAUACAUAUGGUACUUUUUUGAACCCGAAAAGGGACAUUCAAUAUCCAAUAUCGUAGAUUGAGUUGAGUUUAUUAAACACAUUGUACAAGUAGAGGACAAUUGGUCUCGUAAUCCUCUUAACAAAUUGGGUGAACUAAACACCACAAGGCUGAGAAAAGAUGUAGUUGGUACCGCAUGAUCAUUAAUUAAUCACAUGAUAGGAACUAAACGUAUAUUUAACCAUCUUGAUAGACAUUCCUAGUUUCUAAAGCAAAGACAGGAGUCACAAGAGAUCUUGAUUUUGGUCAACCAAUUUAGUGUCUGAUACAAUGUGGUCCAAGUUAUAAUAAUUGGAGACAAAAAGUGACCAUUUCACGGGCCAUAGCUGCUCGCCUUUUAGACAAAAGUCAUGCCAUUGUUUGAAAGGGUCGAUGCCAUGCCCAAAGCACAUUGAUGAGUUUGGGUAGUACGGCCACCAAAAUGGCCUCACAAAAAUGUUAUGUUUUGAUAGUAAAUUAUUUGCGAUAAUUUUGUAAAAUAAAAUACUAUAUUACUUUUUUGAUAUCAUAUAUGUGAGUCACAAAAGUGAUUGAAAAAUGAGUUUUGGAUAGUACGGCCAUCAAAAUGGAAGGUUUAACGAAAUGGCCUCACAAAAAUCUGUGCGGUCAAGCAAUCAAAUGAAGCUUAUGGACUCUUACCUCUUUUAAGUUCGACCCUAGCAUACUGAUAUUUUAGGGGAAAAAGACGGGAAUAAAAACAUUACCUCGCAACAAAUUUUUCUAUUCUUUUACCAUUCCAGUCGUGGAUCCAAAUCUUCCUUCCUACUUUUAUUCUUCUCUACAUAUGUAGUUAUUCAUUCCUCCUAUUAUCCUCAAAACUUCAAAAACAAGGAAGCAUGGAUUCAAUUCUGAUUAAAACUGAGAAAUGUUCAAUAAACCUUGAUUAGUUUGCAUGAUGUGCUGAUGAAAAUCAAUCACGUUACUUGCCAAAUUAAAAUAAUCAUGUACAUGCCAAACGUCGCGUUGGAAUAUGGGAUCUCCAAAAUACAAGUUAUUACACUAAAAUUUUAUUCUGCCACGUAUUUAUUUAUUUGAAUGAAAUGAAGUUGGAGAAGAUACUUGUUAAAGUGCUGUACAAAAUUAAAGUUGUUGCACCCUCUUUAUCAUCAUUUUCUUGAACAUAAUGUAAGUUGUAUGAACGAUUGGAUUUUCCUCCUAUGCAAACAGUAGAAAGGUUAUAAAAUCGAAAAAAACAAAACAACAUGACAAAAUGCUUAUAAUACUUGGUCUAAUAUUUUGAUUGCAUUUCAAAACUCAAUAGCAUCAUCAUGGCACUAAAGCUUAAAGUUAGAUUUCGCUCAUUGACUUUAGAAAGGUAAAGUUUGGACAGUAAUUUAUUUGAAAUAAUUUUAAAAAUAUAUAUAUUGUAAUAUUUUUUGAUAUAAUGUAUGUGAGAUAAAAAGAUAAUUAAAAAUAUAUUUAUAAUAUAAAUAAAUAAAUUUAUGUAAAUAAUUCAUUGUACAAACAAACGCUUGUGAUUUCAUCCUACGGUUUCUUAUACCCAGAAAUUUUUUUUAAAAAAAAUCAUCACCCAAAUUGAAUGUGUAGUCCAAUCAAUGAAUCAACCAAAGCAAAAACUCCCAAGAGGGAAAGCAAAGGACCACAAACAAACAAGGAGAAUAGGAGAAAAGCAUCAUGCCUGCACCUGCUCAUAUCAGCGCAUGCAUUACACUCGCCAUAGUCAGCGCGUGUUCUUAAUAUCCUGUCUCACACACAAAGCCACAAUACUUGCCUUUGCCCACCUCUCCCGCUCUCCAUGGAUUCUUUACGGGUCUGCUACUCCACCCAUUCGUGCUUUGCUUUGCUUCUGUCGAGUAUACUCCACAUUUUCGUAUUUCGAAUUUUAUUAUUGUUGCAAAAAAUCAUUUUCAAAACCCUCCUUUUUGACAUAACCAUCUCCCUCUUUACAUACCAUUUCACGCCGAAAGUGACCAAACCAAACAAACAACAGACCAAAAUGGAUGGCAAAAUUGUUCCCAUUUGGCAACCCCACCAAGCCCAACCCACUCUAUACACAUUGUAUAAUUAAUUGAAGUAUUUAUAAUUUUGGUUUAUACUCAUUGUUGCAAUUUAAGAUUUAUCAAGUUUUGAAAUUCCCUAAUACUUCUAAGCACUUUUUUAUAUGGUAGGGACCCUUUGGCAUGAGCCACAUUUUAUGAGGAUUUUUAUGUCGAAAACAAUCACUACUACCAUGUUGCUUUAUUUGAAGAAACAGGACGAGAGAGGGAUUAUAAGUAAAAAAUCAUGAAUUCAAGAUUUUUUAUUUAUAAAAAGGAUUAACCUUUUCUACACCGAUAGUGUAUAGACUGUCAGUAUUGGAUGAAUAACAAUUAUGAAAAUUUUGAAUUUGAAAUUCAAUUUUUACACAUAUAUCAUGAAUCCAACGAUGAUAGUGUAUACACUGUCAGUGUAUAGAAGAUUCACUCUUAUAAAAAAGCAAAAAAGAAAUAGGCCAAUGCUAAUAUAGUAAUGUGUUAUUAAUUACUAAGAAUGCUUUAACUGACAUAUUAAAGGAUUUGAUUAAGAUAUUAUUACAAGAGGAGCUCUUGUUAAGCCAAUAACUACAAACAAGCACCAAUAAGCUCAAAUUACCAACUUAUUUGUUUGAUGGGCUAACAAUUAUCAUCUUAUCGAAAUGAGAAAAAAAUAGUGAACAUGGUUAUUGGGAAAGAUGAGUAAAUUUUUAUUAGUCUAAUAGUGAACGAUGAUAAAAGAACCUCUAAAAUCCAACCAACUAUAGAAACUGAAUCAUUAAAAUGUCAUUAAUUCAUUUCAUGCAGAAAGGCAACAAAUUUUUAUCUUGUUUAUCAGAAUACAAUUAUAAUCCAUCAAAUCUUUAUACAUGUGAUGCUAGUUGCAUGCCAAACUCCAACCAUUUUAUAGAGGGAAGUGUUAUUUGCAUGCACUUUUAUCAUUUAUUUUAUUAUAUAAUCUAAUAAAUGAAAAUUAUAUAAUAAAAGUAAUAGUGAGAGCACGAUUAAAGUGCCAAUAACAUUUUUCUUUGAUAAAUCCCUACACUUCAACCAAAAAAGAACAAGGGAAAUGACAAAAAAACCUUCUUUUAUCAAAAAAGGGGAAUAUUUACUAUUUAUUCUCCUAUUUCAUUUUUAGAGAAACAAGGUGAUAAAUACUAGUAGAACAAAACAAAAGUACCAUUGAAAACAUAAUUAAUUAAAUAAAUUUACCGUAUUAUUAGUGUGCUAUGCAGAUAAACUGCAUAUAAACUAGAUACAGACGCAAGACAGUUCUGAUCUUGUUCCCCUUCUUCCCUUCUCCUCCUCUCUCUCUACGCACCCUAAUACAUAUUCAGAUACAGAUAGCAUGUGCUAAUAUACACAACUCUGUACAUGUCUACCAUGCUCUACUGUUGAUAUUUUGGGCCAAGAUUUCCCGGGUUAGUUCUCUCAAAUUCUUUCAAUUCUUUCAUUUUGCAGUUAAUAUGAUUGCUUUUUUCACAUUUUUGUUGUCUUCUAAUAUAUAAUAAGAGCUUAAUUUUGGAAAAUAUUUGUUAUUUGCAGGAUUUCAGUGUGUUUCUUGGGGCGAAUUGAAUUGUUCUUGCCUUCAGGUGGGGUGGUGGUGUUUUGAUAGUUUAGUGAUGUGAGAAAAAUGGGUUCUUAAUUAUUUCCUAAAUGUUAAUCGAAAGAUUUAAGCUUUUCGCAAUUUUGGGUUUUGGAUUUUUUUGUUGUUAAAAUGGGGAAUAAGCUGGGGAGGAGGAGGCAAGUGGUGGAUGAGAAGUACACGAAGCCUCAAGGGUUGUACCAACACAAGGAUGUGGAUCACAAGAAGCUCAGGAAGCUCAUACUUGAUUCCAAACUCGCACCUUGCUACCCUGGUGAUGAUGAAUGCGGCGCCUGUGAUCUGGAGGAGUGCCCCAUUUGCUUCUUGGUCUGUAGUCACAAGCAUUCUUUUUCUUGUUUUAGGUGCUUUUAUCUUAUGAUCAUGAAUUGAAUUUUUUCUUGGUUCUUUCUUGAUAUAGAAUUUGUUUGAACGCGCGACAGAAUUAUUGUACUUUAGACAAUAGUGUAUUUUUUUAAUAUGGCUGGGUGAGUUAACUUACUGUGUUUGAUGAACCUUUGAUUGUUCUGGAAUGUGAAUAAGCAGAAAAUCACAAUUUUUUGGCUAUAAAUUUUGAGGAUUCUCCUAGUUUGAUUCUUGGGAUGUUUGUGCUUUUACUUUUACUGUACCAUGAUUGGCAAUUUGAAUUGUUGUAUUGGCCCAUUGGGGGAGUGCAGAAUAUAGGUGAGGCUUGCUCUAUCAUGUCAUGCACAGUAACCGUUGCUAUAUGUUUAUUGGCGGCUCAUAGUAUUGAUUGCAUAACUUGAUACAGACUAAAUCAGAAAUAGAUGAAAGAAACUUGAGGGAGAGAAUCAACACAGCUACUGAAUGUAAAUGGAAUUAAAACUAUGUGAGAUUCUGCUGGAGGUCAUAUAAAGAUUGAUUUUGAGUUUCUGAGAAUCAACUUAUAUAACGCUUCUUUGAUUAAGUUAGUUGUUACCUUCUUCCUCAGCAUCUAAUAGGCUAAAAAUGGGAGACCAAUAAGAAAAGAAGUGCUGUUAUGUGAAACCUUUGUAACAUUGCAUUUGCUAUCAUCUUCUUCUCUUUCUUUUCCCUUUUUAUUGAAAUUUUUGAGCUGUCAAAGUAAUAGUUGUAUGUUGGAGUUUCUUUUGAAUUACUUUCCUUCCACCAACACUACGCUCUUCAUCCAAAUCUGGAAAAUGAUGUGGGCAGCACAGUGGUCCAACCGUCUUGUUUGCAGAAUAGUUAUAAUAAUAUGCAGUGUAUGUUGAUCUACUAGAAUUAUGUGGAUAGACUACUGUAAUACAUCAAUGCUGUCACUCUGAUUUGAAUUCUCUUUAAAAUUGCAGUACUAUCCUAGUCUCAAUCGUUCAAGAUGUUGCAUGAAAGGCAUCUGCACAGGUAUUUAUAGCAUCCUUUGGAAUCUAUGAAUGUUUAAUGAAGAGAGUUCUUGACUACUGCAGUAUUAAUAAGUGUAUUUUCCAACCUGUUUCUUUGCACCAGAAUGUUUCUUACAAAUGAAGACUCCUAAUUCGACUCGCCCAACACAGUAUCCUUGAUUUCUUGGGGUAUUGUUGUUGUUGUUUUUUUUUUUUUGGUUAAAAUGAAUUGGCAUAAGUGCUUUUGUACUUUCUCUGCUAUUUUCUUCUAUCUGCUGUUUCCAACUGGGGCCUUAAGGGAUUCAGUCAUACCAGAUCCCUAUCUCUCUACCAUCAAUAAAUCUUAUCUCUUCUCAUUUAGUUUUGGGAAGAUUGCCUCUUUGCAAGUGCCUGGAAGGGGUAUGGGCUGGGAAAGAGGAACUUUGGAUUUUGGGAAGGGGUAAGCUUGCUUGUCUUCCUUAAAUUUUAUCAGGUGUCCUUUUUGUAAAACUUCAAAUUACGCUGUGGAGUAUCGAGGUGUCAAAACAAAGGAGGAAAAAGGAUUAGAGCAAAUUGUAAGAUUUCCUGCCCCUUGUUAUUUAGUUGAUAUUCUUUUGAGUUCAGCGUGCAUUACAAAAGUGAAUUUCUCAUUGUGACUAUUUUUACCUCUUUAGGAAGAGCAGCGAGUUAUAGAGGCCAAAAUAAGGAUGAGGCAGCAGGAACUCCAAGAUGAAGAGGAUAGGAAACUGAAACGUAGAGAGUUUAAUUCUUCAAACAGUAUAGCUGGGCCAACUGAAUCGGAGCUUUGCUCCACAGCAGGUAAUUAAUUCAACUAGCAAAUUGGUGUUGUUGGUUGGGCAGUUUCUGUUGCAUUCAAUUGAUGUUCAUUUUGUACACAGCCCCAUCUUUUUCUUCUGGUGUAGAAGAAGGUGACGAAAUUGUCACUUCUCAGGAGCCUUGUGCUGCCCCAGUUGUCAGACAACCUCUACGCUCAAGGCAGAAUAGGUAUAGAAAAUUACUUACUGUUGACCCCGUUCAUUUUGUUUCAUUCUAAAGGUUGGAGUGUUUUGUCCUUCCACUGAUUGAGCAACAUAGAAAAACCACAUCCUUGUUAAGCUUUGUGGCAUAAUGAUGUGUGGUUUAGUCUCACUUCCAGCCAAAAGCAGUUUUUUUCAGAAUCAGACGUCUUAGAAUCAUUAAGACACUUGACAAUGCUAAAUUGUGUUUCUGUAUGUUUUCAGUCAGUUUUAGGAGAAAUUGCAAUCUAGGGAUUUGUUAUGUUUUCCUACUGGCCUUUUCAUCAUCUUCUAUUUUUAGUCGUGGUUUCUUUCUUUUCUUUGCUUUUUUUUUUUUUUAACCUUUCUCUGUAAAUGCUAGGCAUUUUUUAAAAGGCAUCUAAAUGUCUAUCUGAUCAGUUUCUUGAUUCCCUGAACCUGAAGGCAUGCCUUUCCUGGUGAUGUUUUCUGCUAGAAAUACAUGAAAACUAUUUUGCCUUUCAUGGAUUAGUCAUUUUUAAGUAAUUUUCCUAUUUUGUUUGCCUCCUUUCUUAUCCCCCUCCUCCAAGAUACGGUUGAUUUUAGGUGAUGUAAAAUCUAUUUAGCAUUAGUUGCUUGAGGUCAUUUAUCUGUUGUGAGAAUUUUAGACAAAUUCCUGAUGUUCAAUACCCCUCUCUAUGGCGGAAAUGGAAGUUUAAUCAUCCUUAUUUGAUAUGCAUUUGCAAUUCUUAAUUUGUAAAGUUUUCAGGUUUCUCUUCAGAUGGUUGACAUAUGGCUUGUCCUUAUUACUUUGCCUUAUUUCUGAGUCUCAGGGAGGAUGAAUUUGACCUUGAUCUUGAGGACAUCAUGGUCAUGGAAGCCAUAUGGCUCUCCAUUCAGGUACUUCUGUGAGCAGUUGAGCAAUUACUGCAUUAGGAUGUUUUCAGUUACCAUUUAUUCCUUUAUUAAGCUUCUAUACUUACCAAAAAGAUCACACGUAUUAAUAAGGAUAAGAUGGUUAAAACCUUGAAUCUGUCACGUCAAACUCAUAUAUUGUUAUUAGUUGUUUUUUAUUAGCUUAUCAUGAUCCUAGAAAUUUCAGUCUAGUUCUCCUAUUCAAAGGUUUGUCUCUCUUUCCAGGUUUGCAUUUAAUUUAUUUCGAACCAUUUUUAGCUGAGCUCUGCUUGCUACUUUGUUAAUAUUGUAAUAGCUGUACCAUCGUCUGAUUGUUCGCAUCGGAUGGUCGCUGUCAUGUACUUACUCUUUGCCUUUUGAGUUGAGAUGUGAUUCCAUAAACUGUUAUCGUGAUAGGAUAAUGGCAGGCGGCGAAAUCCAGUCUACGUUGAGACUGUUCCAUCAGAGCAAUACACGGCCGAAGAACAGUGCAAUACGGCUAUCAUGGGUCCAAUUGCGGGAUCUUCCUCCUCUCCUUCGGGUGGUCUUGCAUGCGCAAUUGCAGCCCUUGCUGAACGCCAGCAAAUGGGUGGGGAGACCUCCAAUAGCUAUGGAACAAACAUGUCUGCGUACAACAUGCAUCCUGGAUGUGACAGGUAUCAGAACACACAGCAUGAAUCAGAGAACUUUGCUGCUGCAGGGAACUCGGUCGAGGUGUCACCUGAUAUUCAAAUGGCAAUGACUAGAGGUGAUCGAGAGUGGGUAGAUAAUAGAUCAGAGAUUGCAGAUGUCGGAACCAGCUAUGCCGGUUCUGAUGAUGUAGAAGAUGAUGCAGCUCAUGCAGCAUUGCCAUCACAAGAUGAAUCUGAUGGCACAUUUCAUCCUGUUGGAGGUGCAAUCGUUCCUGAAACUUUUGAGGAGCAGAUGAUGCUGGCUAUGGCUGUUUCACUGGCUGAGGCUCGAAAUAGAUCAAGUCCACCAGGUGUUGCAUGGCAAUAGCCUUAAAAGAGUCCUAAGGAUUGGUUCUCGGUUCCUAUGUCUCUUGUGACCCUCCUGCCUGCUUCUCACGUGAAGCAUUUCUCCUGUCUCUUCUUUUUUUUUUUUUCUCGAUAUACAGUGUAAGCAGGAAAAAAGGAAAAAUGAUUCUAGAAUGAAUGAAUGAUCCUAGUAUCAGUCUUUUUAGAUUGAGAUCCUUAAUCUUCAUAAGAAGUGAUGUCCAAGAGAUCGAGUAAACGGGGGCAUGUAAAGCUGGUUCCCAGAGUUGAUUAGCUUCAUUGUUGUAUAUUCGCCACAAAGUCUUGGUACAUGUGAUCUGAUUUGUUGCUCUUGAUAUAUAUAUAUAUAUAUAGACAAUUUAAAUUACGAGGUCUGGAAGUUGGUUUGGAAAAUCAGUUUUAAAUCCAGUUUGAUAGACACUUCGAAUAACCAUGCAUCUCGCAACUCGUGAACAUCUAUAAAACCCAAGAAACAAGUUAGAACGUUGGCUUCCAAUACGUUCAUAUUACCAAACAUGUCAUUCUCCAUCAUGCAUGGGAUCCUGUCUCAGCAAUGUAAUAUUCAUUGGUGAAAUAAAUCUUGAAGACCUGAGAUUCCAAUCUCAAACGAUAGGAGUAUGUUUUUGUAAUGGUGUGUUGGACCUGGACUUGGGAGUAUGAUUUGCACGAUCAACAUGUAAAUGAAAGCAUGGUGCAGCAGAGAAGUCGACUUGAGUUUAAUGCAUUAGGUCAUAUUUUGCUUGAAAUAUUAUCAGUUGAAAAAGUUGAAACAGAGUGAGUAGGGAUGUUGCAGACUCCAGAGGAGUGGCAAGCAGAUUCGGUAAGCCAGAGGAUGUUUUAGAAGGAAAAAUAAAGAGGAAGAAUGAAUACGGGACUCUGACAAUUUCGAUCUAUUAUAGGCUUAGCCCUUCUGUAUGUCAUAUAGAUGCGUAUGGUAAUGUACGCGAUAGUUCAAGAGAAAAAAAAUGUUAAGUAACUUUAUUUGGACUGUCAUUUUAUUUUCAAAAAGUUUUUAUAUUUUUUUUCGACAACAAUAACAAUUGUAUAAUUUAUUUUAUCCUAAUCUACAGGGGAGAGGGGGGCCUAAAGAGGCUUUGUAUUCGGGGCUGGCAGACCUGACUGACUAGACCAAAGGGGUGUUUUGGCACCACCCUUGAAUUUUUUUUGCCGCAAGUAAGAUUUGAAUCCCUACCUACAGUUUAAGGAGGGGCUUAAGUUCCUCUCCGGUGGCCAAAAGAAAAGUUUUUAUAGAAAAAAGUUUUUAUGUUUGCUCUAAACAAAUUUUCUAAUCACAUUUUACCUUACACCUAUUACAUUAUUACGGUACAUUUGUCUAUAAAAACUUUAAAAAAUAGGGAUCAAAAUGGGCUAAGUUCUAUUGCAUGUAUCACAUACAUCACAUGGUAUAUUCUUAAUAUAAGAAAAGUGACGUUGAGUACACAAUUUCUCAUUGUUUGCGAAUAAUAUGUGGUUAUUGCCUUAUUGGGUCUAAUGGACCAUCAGAAAUUUCCAAAACACGGGCUUCGUCGCAUAUGUAUUAAGGGUUGAUUUUGAGCCGUUCUAGAUGCAAUGUUUCGUUGGGCUUGGACAACCCAACAAUAGCCGAAUCUUAAAGUCCAACAAUGACCGUAACUAUGGCCCACUGGUAACAGUAGAAUGGUCUUCCCGCAGAAACGUGCGGGAAAGUGUUACAUGCUCCACUCUUCUUGCCAUUAGGCUUCUGUGCUUCGUCUUUGGAAUCCCUUUCGAAAUUAUCUUGAUGAUCAACUACUUUUUUGUCCCAGAACCAAUCGGUGGGCCUUUGAUGCUAACAUCUUUUAUAUCGGCAGCCAUCAUACCUUACAAAAACAUCUUUCGUACAACGUAAAAUUAAUGGAAAUGUUGGAUUUGCAGCAAUAAUGUGAAAAUCAAGACUCGGGAGAAUAGAUAUUAUCUUCAGUUGGUUCAUUGAAUUGGGGCAAGCAAAGAUUAGGAUUUUAAUUUAGGUUCAAAAGAACAAAAAUAAUGAAAGAGCAGGAUAAAGAGAGUCAUUAUCGAGAUUACGAUCAUCUUUUUUAUCCAUUUGUAGCAUUCAAUUGUGUGUAAUCCUACAUAGAAGAAUGUAGUUUCGGUACAUCAAAAUGCUCGGGAAAGAGUGACACUUUUAGUCAAAACUCAUCUUGGUGAAAAAUAAUUAAAAAAAAUAAGAUAGAGAGAGGGAGAAAAAGGUGAUUGCUCUCGAGCACUUAAUAUCAGACUAAGAUAAUUUAAUUCAGUUCAAAUGUUCUAUUAAUUACUAUAGAUUUGAUAGAGUAUCAUACUUCACUUUUUAGACAAAAGAGGAUAUUAAUAACCAGAAGUAGUAAUAGUUAUCUUACGGAACUCCUAAUAACAGUCCCUAGCAGGCUUUAAAAGAAUCCCAUGCCAGGUUUAAAAAAAAAAAAAAAAAAAAAAGAAUCCAAUGUCAUAUUUGCAGAAAAUAAAAAUAAAAUAGGAGUGUAGCCAGGAAGAUUGAUGUUCUAGUACCAAUCAAGUUGCACAUUGAAAUGUCAAACGGUAAAGCUGAAAACCAUUGCGCUUGAAAGAUGCAUAUUUUUUUAACCCCCACCGCCCCUAGAAGAUUUAAACUUUAGCAGAGUCUUGGAAUCAAUAAAUACUAUGGUUAAUAAGAGAAGAGAGGAAACAAAAAGAUUUCAUGCAUAUAAUUCGGUCACCGACCUGAUUAACUGAGCUUCUACCAUGGGUGCAUUUUUUCUUUGUACUUUUAGGUCUUUCCGGUAACUGAACAACGUUGGUUCAAAACAAAAGCUAAUAUUCUGUUCUUGACAGUCAUCUUCCACAUGCAUUUGAAGCGGUCAUAGGCUACAAAUAUAGAAUCAUCCAAUGCUACUGCUACAAAUCUUUAUGCUAAUAGUAUUCAAGGUCUGACUGAUGAAGUUUCCUCAACCUUAGCCAACUGUAAUUCUCAAACUGGGAGGUGGUAGCUUCUACGCACGAAAGGAAAAAGCUCAGAUUCUUUGAUAAAGAAAGUGAAAUGGGCAGAUAAUUAAGAGAAAUACAAGAAGACAUGGGGCCUUAAAUGCUACACUACAGAUCGAGUACAAAGGAGCAAUCUAGUUAAGAAUAAUUCGCUGGAAUUUUUGUAGCAAAAUUAGAAAUUGUUCACGUAUAAGAUCUGGUCCGAUUUUAGACACCUUUCUCAUGAAAAAGUGGGUACAUAAGAAUUUACAUGAAUUUCAGAUAAACGGCAAAAGUAGGAUAGAUAGAUAGAGAAUAUGAAUGUCUGAUUUCAUUUAAUUUAUGAUUUAUGUUGCUAAUUAUUCAAGAUUUUGAAAUAUAUAUGUGUGUGUGUGUGUGUCUAUACAUAUGUAUACAUACAUAUAUGUGUGUAUUUAUGUAUGUAUGGCGGAAUUCAACAAAUAUUAAGAUUGAAAUAUUUGAAAUGAAGUCAAUUUUGUGCAAAUUUUAUUCUAAUCUAACAUCUAAAUAUUUCUGAUAAAUAUUUCAUUAUGACAUGUAUAACAGAUAGUGACAUCAUAAUUUUUUCCCUAACUAUUUUGAGUGGAAGGGUAUUCUGAUAAAUUUAAGAAAAAAGUACUUUUAUUCAUGGUGUACCUGUAUCAUUAACAUUGAUGAAAGUUUAUACAAAAGUUGCCCUACAAAAAAUAAAAACCUGUUAGACUAAAAGUCAAAUUACAAGCUAAAGUCCUAUCAAACUAAAAAAUCAAAUCACAAAUCAAAUAACAUGGCACGACAACUUGUAGAUUAUAUGUUGUUGUUAAGAUUUAAAUCUAAAAAUUUAACUAAUUUCCAAUAUAUUCCGAGUAGAAAUCACUUUCAUUUUGGACAUUGUUUGGAUACUCUAGGUAGGGGGUAUUGCCAGGACGCCAGCCAAAUACAGUACUAGGCUACUACUAGUACUAGGUUUCUGCCUCAAUGUCAACAACCGACCCAAUUGAUGCCUCCCCAAUAGUAUGGAUCCCACCAGUCCAUGUCCCCUAUGUAAACAGCCAUUAUGAAAAUGCAACAAGACAUAGGGCCCUGGAUGCGACACAAAAACCAGCGUACAAAAGAGCAAAUUAACUACGUUUGGAUUGGUGUUUUUGAGCCUGUUUUUGAAAAAUUGUUUUUCACAUUCCAAAUGCUACAGUAAAUGUGUAUUUCAAAAACAACUUCAAAUACACCAAUCCAAACAAUAUAUCAAAAACAACUCCAAAUAUAUUUCAAUUAUGCAUAUUUAAUUUGUAUAUUUUAAUAAGUAUAUUUCAAUUUGUAUAUUUUAAUUAUGUAUUUUAUAUGUAUAUUUCAAUUAUAUUUUAAUAUAUUUUAAUUAUAUAUUUUAAUAUGUAUAUUUCAAUUAUGUAUUUUAAUAUGUAUAUUCAAUUAUGUAUAUUAUAUAUAUAUUAUAUUAAUAUAAAUAUAUUUAUUUCAAUUAUGUAUAAUAUUAUAUAUAUUAUGUCAAUUGAAAUAAAUAUUAUAUAUUUAUAUAAAUACAUUUAUUUAUAUAUAAAUUUAUAAAUAUAUUUAUGCAAUUUUGUUUUAUAAUAUAUAUUAAUAUGUAUAUUUCAAUUAUGUAUAUUAUAUAUAAAUUAUAUUAAUAUUAAUGUAUAUUAUAUAUAUUAUACAUUUCUAAUAUUAUAUAUUUACAUAUACAUAUCAUAAAUAUUUUAUUUUAUUUAAAAUAUAUUUUUAUAUAUUUAUAAUAUAUUUACAUAAAUAUUAUAUGUUAUAUAAAUUAUAUAUAAUAUAAUAUAUAAUAUAUUAUACAUUUAUAUAAAUGUACAUUUAUACAUUUAUAUUAAUAUACAUAAUAUUAAUUUUACAUUUAUACAUAAUAUUAAUACAUGUAUACAUUUAUAUUAAUUAUAUUAAUACAUUUCAACAUAAUAUUAAAACAUAUUUAUAAUAUAUUAAUUUAUACAUUUAUAUAAUAUUCAUUUAUAAUUUAUACAUUUUUAAUAACAUACACUUAUACAUUUAAAUAUACAUUUAUAUUAUGUAUUAUAUAUAAUAUAAUACAUUUAUACAUUUAUAUUAAUAUACAUAAUAUUAAUUUUACAUUUAUACAUAAUAUUAAUGCAUAUAUACAUUUAUAUUAAUUAUAUAAAUACAUUUCUACAUAAUAUUAAUAUAUAUUUAUAAUAUAUUAAUUUAUACAUUUAUAAUAAUAUACACUUAUAAUUUAUAAUAUUCAUUUAUAAUUUAUACAUUUAUAAUAAUAUACACUUAUACAUUUAUAAAUAUAUUUAUAUUAUGUAUUAUAUAGAAUAUAAUACAUUUAUAUAUUUUUAUAUGAAUAUAUAAAUAUAUUUAUUUAUAAAUGUAUUAUAAAUGCAUAAAUGUAUAUUUAUAUAAAAAUUAUAAUUUAUACAUUUAUACAUUUAUAAUUUAUAAUUUAUAAUAAUAUACAUUUAUACAUUUGUAAAUAUAAAUGUAUUAUAAAUGCAUAAAUGUAUAUUUAUAUAAAAAUAUAAAAAUUAUAAUCUUCUAAAAAUACUCAAAAAUAUGUUUCAAAAAUACCUCUAAAAUAAUCCAAAAAAAUCUACAGUAAAAGUUUUUCAUAUAGUUUUUGAAAAACAACCCCAAAAACCACUAAUCCAAACGGACUUGUUUUUCAGAUUCGAAAUGCUACAAUGGUGUUUUUGAAAAACAACCCCAAAAACAGCUAAUCCAAACGGAGCCAUGGUACUAUAUAUUCACGCUUAAGAUGAAUUCGAUUUUUAAUUGCCAACCUUCUCGUGAAUACAAAAUCGUAUAACCCUAAAAACCCAACAAUUUAUAAACCUUAAAGCUUGUUUUCGUCAAUCAACCAGUUAGAUAUGAUAGGUUUUUACCUUAAUCUGAUCAAGCUACCAAGCUCAAGUCCGCUAUAUAAAGCAUAGGUUGAGGCAGCACAGCAUGCACAAUACACACGGCAUAACUUUCUCAAUAUCUAGGUCAUGGCUUCUCUUACCAUGCCAACUCUCUCCUCCAACCUUGCCUAUUCCUCCUCUAUAGCACAUUUCAUCUCACUUGCAAAACCCGCUCACCCAAAUCGCAAAACAGGCCCAAAAUUUACAUGCAAUUCCACAAAAGGUGACCAAAACUCCAGUGAUCAUGACACUGCAGGCUCCAAAAAUGGAGAAACUUCUUUACUGAAGCUUGAUAGAAGAAAUGUGCUACUUGGCAUUGGAGGAGGGCUCUAUGGUGCCCUCCAAAAAUGGUACUAUAUAUUCACGCUUAAGAUGAAUUCGAUUUUUAAUUGCCAACCUUCUCGUGAAUACAAAAUCGUAUAACCCUAAAAACCCAACAAUUUAUAAACCUUAAAGCUUGUUUUCGUCAAUCAACCAGUUAGAUAUGAUAGGUUUUUACCUUAAUCUGAUCAAGCUACCAAGCUCAAGUCCGCUAUAUAAAGCAUAGGUUGAGGCAGCACAGCAUGCACAAUACACACGGCAUAACUUUCUCAAUAUCUAGGUCAUGGCUUCUCUUACCAUGCCAACUCUCUCCUCCAACCUUGCCUAUUCCUCCUCUAUAGCACAUUUCAUCUCACUUGCAAAACCCGCUCACCCAAAUCGCAAAACAGGCCCAAAAUUUACAUGCAAUUCCACAAAAGGUGACCAAAACUCCAGUGAUCAUGACACUGCAGGCUCCAAAAAUGGAGAAACUUCUUUACUGAAGCUUGAUAGAAGAAAUGUGCUACUUGGCAUUGGAGGAGGGCUCUAUGGUGCCUCCACUUUUGGUGGCAAUCCAUCAGCCUUUGCAGCACCACUAUCUCCAACAUUCACAGCCUGUCACGAUGCCACUGACCCCGACAGCAAAGAAAUCGACUGUUGUCCACCCUCGGCCACGGCCGCGGAUAUCACUGAUUUUGUUCCUACUGCUCCUUCUGUCAUCGCCACUAGACCUGCGGCGCAACUAGUCGACUCGACUUAUUUGAAAAAGUACAAGACGGCCAUAGAGAAAAUGAGGAAUCUAAGUUCGGAUGAUCCACGUAGUUUCACUGCACAAGCAAAUGUGCAUUGUGCAUAUUGUAACGGUGGAUACUAUCAAGAUGGCUAUGCAGAUUCUCAACUUCUAUUGGAUGUUCACAACUCAUGGCUCUUCUUUCCCUUUCACAGAUGGUACUUGUAUUUCUUCGAGAAGAUAUGCCAAAACAUGGUCGAUGACGAUACUUUUGCACUUCCCUUUUGGAACUGGGAUAAUCCACCUGGGAUGUUUCUGCCAACCAUUUUCAAUGACUCCUCAUCCCCACUCUAUGAUAGCUUACGCAAUCCCUCUCACCUAAGUACAGUUCUUGAUCUGUCCUAUGAAGGCACUGAUUCAACGGAUAGUACCAUAACAGUGAUAAAAAACAAUCUCUACCUCAUGUACAAGCAAAUGGUUACUCAGUCCACAACUCCAUUGAGUUUCUUCGGAAAAACGUUUCGUGCUGGUGAAACAUCUGAUCCAGGAGCCGGUUCAAUUGAAACUAGUCCUCAUUCGAAUGUGCACCGUUGGACUGGCGACCCUAAUGAAUCUCAUGGCGAGGACAUGGGCUCCUUCUACUCAGCGGGAAGAGACCCAGUCUUUUAUUGUCAUCAUGCCAACGUUGAUAGAAUGUGGUCUCUUUGGAACUCUUUAGGAGGCCAGAACUUCACUGAUUCAGACUGGUUAAACUCCAGUUUCUAUUUCUACAACGAACAGGCAAAGCCUGUAAAGGUUUACGUGAAAGACUGUUUGGACACCUCAGUUCUUGGAUACACUUAUCAAACUGUGGAUAUCCCCUGGCUGAAUAGUAAGCCAAGCCCGCGUAGGACGGCUAUCGAAUUACCAACAGCUCCUACUCCAAGUCAAGUGUUUCCAACGACCCUGGAGAAAACUAUAACUGUUCUGGUGAAAAGGCCAAAGAAGAAGAGGACCAAGAAGGAGAAGCAGAGGGCAGAGGAAGUUCUGGAGAUAUCUGGGAUCCAGUACAAUAUUGGAGAGUUUGUCAAGUUUGAUGUGUACAUCAAUGAAGAUACUCCGGACGAGAGCGGGCCGGAGAAGACUGAGCUUGUGGGGAGCUUCAUCAACGUGCCUCAUGGACAUUCCAUGAUUUCUACUACUACUAAGACUUUUGCUAUAUCUGAAGUUUUGCAGGAAUUGGGAGCUGAUGAGUUUGAGAGCGUCUUGGUUACUUUGGUCCCCAAGAGUAGCACUGUUACCAUCUCUGGAGUCAAGAUCAAGUAUGAUAGCACCAAGGUGUCUGCAUGAGAUUUAAAAAAAAAAAAAAUUAAUGGUGUGCUUCAUAUAUGUGCGUCUUGCAUGCUGUUUUUUGUUUCAGAUGUUGUGAUUUCUGUGUCCUCCCUCAACGAAUUAGGGCCUUGAAUGUACCUUUAUUUCCUUUUGAUAUGGUUCGGAAAGCUAUCUCAUCUUACCGGAUCAGCAUGAGGAGUACUGUGAUGUGUCUACCUAAAUAAACCUGCAUGGGGAUUGUGAAUUGUGAUAUACCUGUCUAAAUAAACCCCGAAAGGCAGUGAGGGAAAGAAAAGAAGAAUGCAGUAUUUGCACCCUUCUUUUUUCUGUUGUUAAAUGCUAUGUGAACCUGUUUCAUGAUGUGAGAUUACAUUGGGUUAGUAGAGGCUUUGAUUUGAUUUAACACGGUUUUCUUCGAGAAUCUAUUGCGUAUUUACGAUGUUAAUUAGGGUUUACACGUCUUGAACAUUCUUUUUGUCUGCCCAAUCAAUUAUUUAAUUACAAAUGCGGCUGUUUUUAAGUUCAUGUUAGGAUUUGUGGAAUGACAAAUUGAUAAUCCCAGGCGAAAAGGCUACUUCUAAUCUUGGAGGUCAUGUUGCUAUUCCAAAGAUUGAGGUUACGAGAAAAUAAAUUAAGGAGGUUGGGAGGUGUAAUAGAUUAAAUGCUUGCACAACCAACACAAGUACCUCGGCAGCAUUUAUUAGCUAAUGAUUGACCAUACAUUUUCACAACUCUGCAAUAUCAUAUCGGCUUUCCUACAUUCACCAAUUGCAGCUCAACUAAGAAUCAAGCCAAAAAAGAAGCGUGUUUUGGAUCAUAAAAUAUCAUUUCUCAUCAUUGUAGAAUUUAAUUUCUUUAGAUUCCUUCAACCAAAAAAACAAAAGAAGAAGAAGAAAGCUAUGAUUACUUUCCCAGAAAGGCGUUCAAGAUGACUUGUUUUGCUCUUUCAGCAAGAAACAAUCACGACUUGUUGUACUAACCAUCAGGGUUAUUCUUAAAUUCUUAAAAGGAGUACUUUUUAAUGAAUUGUUGCGUUGUAUCAUUAGUUUUAAUGAUUUGUACCAUUACUACUAGAAUCUAUAGAAGAUCUAAAUUUGGAAUGGAAAGCCCGGAUACCGAUUGGGUUGAGCCCCGCAUUGGGUGUGUUUGGAUAGGUUUUAUUUGUAAAAAAAUUUAUUUGUUUGCAUCACAAAUAUGUUUUUUAACACUUUUUUUUUUUUUUACUUUUUCGAUCACCUUCUAAUGUUACAUACAUCAUUUCAAGGAAAAAAAAUGCUACAAUAAUUAUUUUAAAUAAUAUUUCAAAUAAUCUUUUAUUCAAAUUCGCACAGCUCCGUAUGGAUUAUGUAUUUUUGGGAGUAUUUUUCAAAAAGUUUUCUGUAGUGGUGGAUAUGCAAAAUUUUACUAUAGAUGGUUAGGUAUUUUUGGAAGUGUUUUUGGGAGUGUUUCUGAGAAUGUAUUUUCAGGUAUUUUUAGAAUUUAAAUUUUUUUGACGUAUGUUUCAAAAAUUAAACACCAUCACCCACCACCACAACCUACCUUUGCCACCACCCCUUACCCACCACCACUACCUACCAUUGCCACCACCCCUCACCCCCUCCUUCCUCCUUCUCUCUCCUCCCUUUCCUCCCCUCACCUCAUUCCUCCUCUGAUCGCGAUCAACUGGGGGAAGGGAGGGCAUAGGAGAGGCUGGGCAAGAGAAGAGAGGGACGAGGAGGAGGAGGAGGAGGAGGAGGAGGGGAGGGGAGGGAAGGAACGAGAGGAGGAGAAAAGAAGUGAGGAGAGAGGAAGAGGAAUGGAGGCGAGGGGUAGUUGGUGAUGUUGGUAGGUGGGAAAAGAAAAUGUGGUUAGGUUUAUUUUUUAUUUUUUUGUAAGUUAUAUUUUAGAUUGUGUGUGUUUUUGGAGUUAUUUUUAGAAUUGCUAUUGCAUACUCCAAAUACAAAAAUAGUUUUUGAAAAACUUUCCAAAUCCAUGUAAAACUUGCACCGGCUACUAAGAAUGCCCAGAUACUAAUUGAACCUACGAAAGCCCGGAUUAUUCUAAAUAGCGAGUCCAUCUGUAUUAGUUACACCAGGUAAAGGUCUUAGCCAGUUUUUCAUUUUUUUUUUUAGUAACAGGUCUUAGCCUGCAGGUUAAAUGAGUAGUCUUGACACAACAUUGAAGAAAUAGCUAGAUAUGAAGUAUAUCUUCCUUCUCUUUUUUAAAGAAUAAAUGAGAUCAAGUGUAUGAUGUAGUCAAUCAAAUUCAAAAAUGAACUUGCCAAGAAAAUGAAAUAACAAAAGACCAAAGUACUAAGAGGAGCUUUUCAUUUUUAAAAUAUCAUAUUUAAAAUGUUUCGAAAGCUACAAAUCAUUCCCAAAUCCAAUGCCAAAAAUGGGUUCAAAUAAUAAAUCUUAGAUUUAGAGUUUUUAGACUAAAUCAUAUUUCUCCCCUGAAGUCUUCCGUCCAUUCACGUCAAGCUGUUCAUUUAACUUAUUUCUCUGUUUUCUGCUUCCAAAUGACAGUUCCAAGCAAGUAAACAAAUAUUCGUGCAACAAAUUAACACAUGGCAGUUUGGAAAUUUUACCUGCUUGUGCUGGACACAGAGAAAACAUCCUCCAACUUUAGAAUGGAUGAGGAAUUGAGAGAAUUUGAGGAGGGCAGACGAUCACGAAAAUGUGUUGGUGACUUUGGUCCAAAGAGAGGUGCUGUGACCAUAAUACACAGUCUCAUACUGAAAUAGAAAACCAUCUGCUGUUACAUUUUACAGCAUAUUGGAAAUGGAAAGAAUGUUGCAAGAAAUUUUGACCCUUGACAGAAAAUUCGAAAGAAAAAAAAAAGAACCAAAAAUCCGAAUUUAAGAGCCAGGUUACAGCACCACUCUCUAGUUUCUGCACCAAAGACACCAACACACUUUGAUAAUCUUCAAAUGAAUCAUUCUCAUCCUUUCUCCUUGCGAAAAGAUAAUUGGCAUUCGAAUUAGCACUAGUCGGUACAAACUUGGCAUGUCCGUAUAAGUAGGCUCGUUGAUCCUUGGGGCCUUUUAUCUUUCAAUUGUUUGUACUACUUGGUUGUACUACGCUACUACACAGACGGAAAACUUAGAAGAAAAUAGACAAUUGGUACUACACAUGUCUCAUGCAGUUUGUACUUCGUACUAGAAUGCUUGUUGGUACUACACAUAUGAUUCUUAGACAGCCAUAGGUUAGACAUUUCAUACAUCUUUUUAAUUGUUCAUAAAAAAUUUUAACCUUUUUAAUCUAUUUUUUAAGUGUAUCUAGGUAGCUUGCAUGUGUAAGCAGAGAAGAUAUCCUCUCCUCAGCCUGAAGGACUUUACCUAUGCCUUUUCUUAUCAAUCUCCUUUUUUUUUUUUUUUCACAAAAUUCCUUAAAUUUACAGCACACCAUUCUAUAGAACAAAACCUCAGCUCUAAUCUCCAACUACAAGAUUAAUACUAUUUAUACUCAAACACAAGAUUAUUACUUAUUAAAAGAACAACAUCAAACGUUAGUUUGAAACUUUGUAAAAAAAAAAAUUUAAAUCAAGCCUUUUUACGUUUUUAUGCUUUAGUACUAGUAUAUGUUAAGUUAGUAGAGGGCCACGUGUCACCAACACACCUUUUAAAGUGACUGCCCAGGAACUUGUCAGUUGUCGCGACCUGAGAUAAGAAGGGAGCCACUGGGCCAAUGGCUCGGUGACCAUCACCGGGGAGGGGUUUAAAUCCCUCCUUGAGUUGUAGGUGAGGGUUCAAAUCUUAUCUGUAGCGAAAAAAAAUUUAAGGGUUGUACCAGAGCAUUUUCUUGAUCUAAUUGGAUCUGUGUACCCACUAAUCCCUUACCACAGCCUCCUUAGGCUUCCCCUCUCCCCUAGAUUAGAAUAGAGUAGAUUAUACAAAUGUAUCGUUGCUAUGUUAAGUUAGUAGAAGGCCACGUGUCACCAACACACCUUUUAAAGUGACUGCCCAGGAACUUGUCAGUUGUCGCGACCUGAGAUAAGAAGGGAGCCACUGGGCCAAUGGCUCGGUAACCAUCACCGGGGAGGGGUUUAAAUCCCUCCUUGAGUUGUAGGUGAGGGUUCAAAUCUUAUCUGUAGCGAAAAAAAAUUUAAGGGUUGUACCAGAGCACUUUCUUGAUCUAAUUGGAUCUGUGUACCCACUAAUCCCUUACCACAGCCUCCUUAGACUUCCCCUCUCCCCUAGAUUAGAAUAGAGUAGAUUAUACAAAUGUAUCGUUGCUGAUAAAAAAAAAAAAAAAAGAGAGAGAUAAGAAGAGCAAAAUUCAAGCGGAUUAUUUGAGUCACAGUUUUUUUUUUUUUUUUCAUUGUGCAAUAGUCGUUGCAAUGUGAAUUAUUUCAGCAGCAGGAGGUCAAAAUCACAGCAUACAGUCCAGGUUCCAUGGACUGAAUUGAGGCCAUAUCAGGUUUACGUCUCUUUAGUAAGACACCCAUUUCUCUCAUAUUUCUUGACAGCGCACUCAAAUACCUGAGCAAAAUUGCAGCCUUCGCGAAGGCUUGAAAUCAAUUGAUCGCUUAGACGCUGAGGAAAUAUGAACUUCGCCAACUUGGGAAUCCACAAAGUGAAAUCAAUGGCUUUAAAAGUUAAUGAAAGGCUAAACUAUCUGUAUUGAAGGGCAAAGAGAAUUAUUGUGAUGGUAACAAUUAUGAAUUUUCAAUUAUUUGGGGGUCAAUAUAUAUAGAAAAAAGAAUUUGUUAAAAUUUAGUGAGUUCAAAUAAGAGGUAACUUUAAAAUUUCUCUAAACCUAGAUUUUUCCAAAAUUAAGUUGGAUCGAUUGACUCCACUUGUUGUCACAUGGCUCCGCCACUGGUUUCACAUGCACUAUCCUUUUCUACAAAGACUUCACCAUGAGGAAGAUUGAAGGAGACUUGGGAUGGAAAUUGUCCCAUAGGAUUAUAGAAAAAACAAAUAAUUAGCUGCAAUCCCUAUAUCUAGAAUGCCGACUACCAAGGUUAACCAUGAUUCGGUCCUCAAAAAACUUGAGUGUGUUUGGAUUGAGAUGAUUUGAGAUAAAAUAAUUUUUUUCAUAAAUUUUAAUCAUAUUUUUAAUUUAUAUAUAUCACAUCAUAAAAAGUAUUACAGCAAUUAUAGCAAUAGCCAAAAUAACUAAGAAAAAAAAAAGAUUGUGGCAACAGCCUUGUGGUCUUCUUCUUAAUGUUGGGACGUACGGCAGUUCAUCUUAAUUAAAUAGUCCAAUAUUCUAGCAAUGACUUUUUGUGUUGUUUUAUUCAAUAUCACUGUACUAUCAUUUAUGUGUGUUCAAUCAAUUACAGUACCUUUUUCACACCCCCUUUCUGGGAACCUUGUACAGAUUAUGGAGGAAAAGAAGGUAAAUUUUCGGAUAAAUAACUGUUGAUAAUGAACCAUGAAGCCUCGUUCUUGGACUGACUCUUUCAUGUGUGUUAAAGUAGGGUUGUAAUCGAACCGAGCAGCUCGCGAGCAACUUGAUCAAAAGCUUGACUCGAACUCGAUCAAAUUGAGUUCGAGUCGAGCUCGAGCAGCUCGAUAAGGCUAUCGAGUCGAGCUCGAGCAUCCAGAAGAGAUGCUCGGAGGCUCGACGAGCCUUAUCGAGCAUAUUAAUUUUAAUUAUUUAAUAUAUUAUUAUUAAAAUUAUAUAUUAUUUAAUAUAUAAAAUUACCAUUAUGCCCAAAAAAAUUGUCGAAUUUACGAAAUGUUUCAAAUUAUAUAAAAAUUUUAAAAGAGCAAUAAUGACUUUUCACUCAAAAUUUAUCAAGAAAAUGAAAUUUAAUAACUCGAGCUUGAUAGAGCUCAAUAAGGCUCGAAUGCUCGAAUGGACUCGAGCCCAUGCGAGUCGAGCUCGAGUACUGAGAGCAAGUUUCGAGCUCGAGCUCGAGCUGCAAUAAUACUACUCGCUCGAGCUCGAGCUCGAGUUCGAGCACCCCUAUCUCUAUGUCGAGUCGAGCUCGAGUAUGGCGAUACUCGGGCUCGACUUGACUCGAUUACAACCCUAUGUUGAAGGCUAUCAUCGAUAUCAGGGUCAUUUACCCCACAAGGAUGUACGCGGAAGAAUGGCAUUUACAGCAAAAUGGGAGAAAAUUCUCCCAGCAGCCCUUGAAAGCUUUCAAUCCGUUCGAGCUGAAACAAAUGAACAGUAAGUAUUAAGGCUGAAAUCUGAGCGAUUUGAUUUGUUUGAAGAAUCAUAAACUCAAAGGAAAGAAUUGAAAAUGAUCCUAUUCCAAUGUGCACAAGGAUCCUCUUAUUUGAGCUUGACAUGCCCCAAAAUUGUAAAAAAAUUUUAAAUCAAUGAUAGUUUAUCUAGAACACCUAAAACAAAACUUCUAAUACUGGAUUAAAUGUCAGAGGUGACAUAAAAGAAAUGAAUUCGUCCUACAGUAAAGGAUCUGUUUGAUCAAAUGACAAAGAUAUCAUCAUCUAAUUAAUAGCAAUGAAGUAUAGAAUUUGAAGUCCAAACAAGGUCGGUUUGACUUCCUGAAUUCGGAUUUUCAGUACUUUUGUGGUAACUAUAGAGAUAAAUAAAAAUGAGAUAAAACGAGGUUAGGAGAAAACCAUAAUACGCAAGUCGUUCUUGUGGGGGAAAAAUAGUGGUCAGAUAUUAGGGAGGUAAGUUUAGGCGCCAACUUUUGUUAGUUCCAAUCGGAUUUUACUCAAUACAAUAACAUACGACUCGGUAGUUAAUUUUGGGAAAUGAGGAAAAAUGGGGCGACUUUGAAAAUGAGGGCCCUUUCUUUCUUUUCCUGGUUCAGGGCCGUCUUACUUCGUUGGGCCGACGGAAAAGAUUUCAGACAUUACCUACCACCGAGGAAAUACUGCCCAUCAAAUCUUCCUUCUAUUGUUCUUUAGUGCAACGGCGAUCGAAUGAUGCCGUAUGGGUUACGGUCUUAGCAGUUGCUAAGAUUGAUAAGAAAACAAUUGAACUCAAGAAGCAAGUAUGAUACCAUACAAUGUGAAUGCAAAAGGCAACAUUAACUCCCCAUUUUUGAGUUCCACUUUUGCAACUCGAAUGUCAAUGCAAAACUACGUAUUCCAGUCCAAAUUUACCAUAAACACACACCAUUGGAAAUGAAAAUUUCAGUUUAAAAUAAAAAGAUAUUUGAUAGGCCAAAAACUUGUUCAAUAAUUGAAAGAAACGAGGUGAACUUAGGAUAUUUUCGAGCCGGAUAUGGGUACAGCAAUUUCUAGUCCCUACCUUGAUCAUGGGGUCUGUUUGUAUGGUGUAUUUUUUUGGUGUUUAUAUAAAAUUUUACUAUAAUCUAUUAUAAAAAUUGUAGAAAAUUUUUUGUAUAUAUAAGAUUUGAGAAAAUUGAAAAAUUUCUCCUUUUUUUCCCUUUCUUUCCUCUUUUUUCUUCUUCUCCACUCUUAUUUUGACCUUCCUCCUCUCUCUCCACUAUCACCACGCCGGUCGCCAUCUCUCCCUCUCUCUCCUCCACCCUCUUUCCCAUCCUCUCCUCUCCCUCCUAUUUCCUUCUUCUCAUCUCCUUUCAUCCUGCCCCCAUCCAUAUUUAUUUUAGGGUGUGUAUUUUAAAAUUUUGGGAUAUUUAUAAGGGGCUCCUAUAGACAAAAUCAUUAAAAAAAAAAAAAACUUGCAUGUUAAAAACUCUUUAAAAAACACCCUUCUCAAGCACACAUAAGAGUUGAGAUUAUUCUUCUUCUGCUUCCUUUUUUUUUUUUUGAUGAUAUACUUCUUGUUUAUCUUAUCAAAAUGGGUGGGAUAGCUAUUCUAAUGCCAAAUAUAUUCACGAUAUUUUAUACCUUUUCCAUGGCAUCCUUUGCGUUACUAGGUAUUUUCCAUGGCAUCUUUUGUAUUACGAGGUACAAGUGAUUUCUUGGGCAAAUUGAUAGUAUGCUUUAGAAUAAUUAUUAGCCAAAAAUAUUAAUUGCUUUUGAAAUGAAUGAUAUUAAUUUCUACUUAUUCAUUAUCUAUGUCAGUAAGAUGUUCAAUGCAUACAAUACAAGUUAUUUCUUGGAAAAAGAGUCUCAAUGGCCCUCCAACUCUUUCCCAGGUAAAGUUUUAGUCAUCCAAUAAUUAACAGUAACGUUUUGACCCUUGAUAUAAUAAAAUAGCAUAUUUGUGGUCCUUAUGUCAAAUUCAGCAGUUAAAAUUGACAGGAAGCAUUAUCUUGUGCGACGUGCGACCAAAUAUCAAGGGCAUUAUGGUCUCUUUUCCAAAGAACAAGUUCAGGAUGUCGUUGGGUCUUCUGGCGGCGGUAACGGUGAACUGAGCCGAAAACAAUAGGGCAAAGAACCUCUACAUCAUUUCGGUGAUGGGGAUCAAGGGUAGGCUCAACAAGCUCCCUUCUGCUAUCUGUCGUGGUCUUCGAGAGCAUGAGUGCCAAAACCGUCGUUGUCUGCAGCCUUGGGUCCUCCCCAAUUCCUCAAAAGAAGUAUUCAUUUUUCAAUUGGUUUUUCUUUGCCAUCAACAUGGGUGCACUCUUAGGUAUUACUCUUCUAGUUUAUGUGCAAGUGAAGAAGGGCUGGAGCUGGGGAUGUGCGGUUCCAACUGUGGCAAUGUUUUGCUCUAUCGUCAUCUUAGUCGCGGACUUCUCAAAAUAUCGUUACCAAAAGCCAAUAGGAAGUGCCUUUACUAGAUUUAUUCAAGUCAUUGUGGCUUCUGUGAGGAACCACUUUAAAGGGGUCAAAUUUGAACAAGGAGUUCGGCUUUAUGAGGUCCCGACUGAAAAUUCUGAUAUAUUUGGUGCUCGGAAGCUUCUUCACACUGAACAAUACAGGUUAGGUUUCAAUUAAGUUUUUUCUCCGGAUUACUCACCCGAGGGAUCAUCAAUUUCCUCAAAUCACAUAUCUCUUACUCAUAUGUCCUCCCCAAUUCCAACCCCAAGAGAGGAGCAAACCUUCCCGCCGCGUAGCCCACCUGGGAAAUUACCUCCUAAGCCUCCGCUGCCAGCCCCGGCGAUCAAUCGUUAUGUCGUAAGCGAGCCCUUCUUAGUGUCCAAGAUGGCAGAUUCAGGUAGGCAAGGAGGAAGGGGAUCAAGGGUAGGCUCUCCAACGCAGUAAAGGAGAUCAAGGAUAUGUUAUCACUAGGCCAAUUGGGAAGGAGGGUGUUGAUCUCUGGCCUUGGAUUGCUAGUGCUGCCACCACUAAAUACACUAAAUACUUCUUACAGGUAAUUAGCCUUUUUAUUUUUAUUUUUUUAAAUUGAGGUCUUUGGCAAAGAGCAGAGGGAGGUCUUCCCUUAGAGUCCUCACAGCCAAACUCAGGCUCACAAGGAAAUCAUCCCUGUAGUCAUGCUGCUUAUUAUCGUGAGGAGAAGCAAGAGCAACGGCAGCCGUGGCGGUGGCACAGGUGGUGGGGUGGUGGAGGGGUCGGUGGGGAAGAGGUGCUUGGUAAACCAUUAAGACUAUAAUACCCUUGAUAUUUGGUCGCGUGUCUUAUGAAAAGAUGUUUCCUAUUAAUUUUAAUUGUUAGAUUUGACAGAAGGACCACGAAUAUACUAUUUUAUUAGAUCGAGGGCCAAACCUUUAUUGUUAAUUAUUGAAGGGUUAAAACUUUAUCCGGAAAAGAGUUGGAGGAUCAUUGGACUCUUUUCCCUUAUUUCUUUCCGUUUCUCUCUUUUUAUCCGUACGGCCGGGUGGCAAGCAAAUAGACAGCUUAAUCUCCACGAGGCAAAAAAAAUUAAUCCUGGCAAAUCCUUCGUACGAUGGUAUAAUUACCUAUUGAAACUUUUGAACCAUGCCAUGUGAUACGUCGUACUAGUGCCCUUCUGCAGUAAAACGCAAUUGGAUUAUUAGACUACUUGUGCAGAACAACUAGCUCCUACAUUUCCUUUUAUUCAUUUUUUCAGAAAGCUACAACUAUCUACUCGUCCACUGUUGACAAUACCACAAUAGUAAUUUGAUUGUCGCGACUCACAAGUCACAAUCCAAUCCCACUAAACUUCUGAAUUUUGCCACACAUGCAACUCUUCUGAUUGAUUAUAAAGUAUAAAUUCAAUAUUUCAUUUGAAAAUGUGGUGUGGCAAUCAAAUUACUACAAUGGGACCAUCAGCUGCCAUAAUUAUCUUCGUUGAAAUGUAAUUCAAGUGUUAAUAUUUUAAAAUAUAAAAUUAAAUAAAAUAAAUUUAUAAAUGCAAUAUAAGAUAAUUAUUUUAUUUCUGUAUGCAUGCAUAUAAUAUGUUAGGUAUAAUUUAAGCGCCAGCUAGAAAAGUCCUUAAAAAUCACUCUUUUAUGACAUUUUUCAUUAAUUAACCGGAAGACUUUCAAACAUUAUUCCUAGACCGAGAUGAAUGGCAUGCAUGUGAAAGGUGCCUACCUGCAAAAAGAGCACAAGAAACAUCGCUAAUGAAUCCUAAUUGGCUAAUUCCUACGUCGUCUUCAAUUUUAAUCACGAUUUAAGCCAUAGCUCUUACCUAAUCACUGUUUAAUACGCACGUGCUAAACUUUGGCUCCACAAGUUGUCGUGAUUCCCGCUCAAUUAUUGCAAAAGAUAAUUUCCACAUCUUUUACCAUUUUUCACCCGACCUUUAGGGAUGGGUGCACAAAGUCAAGUCGUGCACGAUUGCAAGUUUCCACGUGAAAAAUGUCAGUGUCCUUGGAUCAAUCAGUGUGGGGCAUUGACCUCCAUCAGCUUCAAAAAUUAUAUAUUGGGUUAGCAAAAUUUUUUAAUUUUAUUAAGGGACAAUCUCAGAAACCUCCCUUGAGGUUUUCUGACAAUUUCACUGUCCUCUUCUAAAGGUUUAAAAUUUUCACUAAUAACCCUUAUCAGUCAUUUAGGAUCCAAUGCUUACAAUCACUAAUGACUAAAGGACUCAACUAUCCUUAUAAUUUAGAAUAAUUAGACAUACAUGUGAAGGAAAAGAGUUAAACAUUUGCUAGCUACAUUAACCAUAAUUUGGAUUGUAAAAGGUUAAUUAAUUUGCUAUCUAAAAAUAAAGCCAAUAUUAGGUGUUUCUUUUUUAAUUCUUAUAUGCUUGACAAAUAAAAGAAAUCGAAUGUAAUGCAUUUGAUAAUUUUGAAGGAUUUAGACAUAAGAAACAAUUAAGACAUUUACAAACUAAAUUAACCAUAAUUUGAAAUGUUAAAAAGAAAAUCUAAUUUGGCAUCUAAAAAAAGAAUCCAAUACUAGGCAUCCUUUUUCCAAUUUAUGUAAUAAAUAAAAGAAAUCAAAUAUAAAGAGAUUUCAGUUGGGUGAAUUUUUCUUAUAAUUGUAGUGAAAGCAAGAAUCUUAAGGUAUGGAAAAAAUUGUUUUGUUAAAUUUUGAAAGUUAUUAUUUUUUAUUAUGGAAAAAUUUUUUUAUUGACCAUGUGUAGUAAUGGUCCCAUAAGUAAAUUAACACGUUAGAUCAAAUAUUUAAUCUAACUAAUAUAAUAGUUGAGAGGACUUUUGGUAUAAAUAAAUCUUUUCACACCUAAAAUCAUAUUUUUAUUGUUGUUUUUUUUUUAAUUGGACUAGAUUGUUACAAGAAAAUUGGUUUCAAGGAAUGUCAGUGAUAUUUUAGAACCUUAAGGAAAGACAGUGAAAUUGUCAAAAACCUUAGGAGAGGUUUCUAAAAUUAUCCCUUUAGUAAUUUUUCCUACAUUUGUGCCCUUUUAAAUUUUUUUAAUAAUCCCUUUACCUUUUUAAAUUUAUUCCUUCUAAAUCUUCUCAAAUUCUUUCAUUCUUUACAUUAUCCUAUCAGAAAUUUGGAAAAUUUAAAGACAAUAGAGUGAGUCUAAUUUUUUUCUACAAAAAGGAAGAGAAAAAAAAUUCUAACUUAACUUUCGUAACAAUUCAAAAUUUUGUGGUUUGCAUUUGUGAGUUACAUGCACUUAUCUAAGUCGUUAUCUCCAGUUCAAAUUCUAGUAUCCCCUUAUCAAUAAAAGAAAACCUUGAAAUUUUUUUUUUCUGUCCUACUGAUAUAACUUGUCUACUUAUUAUUCAUGCGAAGAAUGGUGCUACUUAUUAAUGCUUAAUUGUCUGAUCAACAAAAAACUUGAAAUCUUUUUUUUUUUCUUAUACUACUGAUAUAAUUUGUUCAAUUAGUCCCAUGAAUUUCUUUUUUUUUUUAAAUCUAUUGAUAUAAGUUGUAGAGUUAUUUCCCAUCGAGGGAAGGUGUAACUUAUUAAUGCUUAUUUGAUUUCAAGCACUAGUUGGUGUUUUUUGAAGUAAUAUCAUAAAUUCUUGAAUCUAGUAUAGGAUUCAAGGAACUAAUUUAAGGGUGGAGAGAUUAUCAGUAGAGUUUGAUCAGAACUCUUUUUUUUUUUUUUUUUUUACUCUGCUGCACCAUUGGUUGAUAGAUUAUUAAUAAUUAUUGUUGACGAAUUAACCUCUGGCUCCUGCCCUUUAACUAGCGUGUUAUUGCUACCGAUCUAGCAUGCGUAGCUCAACCAUCCUCAUCUAAAUAGAUAUAGGAAACCACAUUUUGGCCACCAAAAUUCGUAAUCUCUAUGGAUGAGAUAUAAGAUGUCUGUGGGAUGCUAAUUUAGGAUGGCAUUGAAUACCCUCAUCGGGUUUUACUACCUAAUUCUUUUUUUUCUCGUUUACAAAUAAGUAUUUAAUAAAUUCACCGAACUAGAUGGUAUCAUCAUGCUACAAAUAAUAAGGGGGAAUUAUUGAUGCGUCGUCCGGACAACAAUUAUGAGACUUUUGCACAGCUUUGUCGACCAAUUGUUUGUCAUUUUCUGUCACGGCAUCACGGGUCUGUGAAUGUGGUUGUUCCACUAUUCUGCAGCUCAACUUGCAUAAUUGUACGGAGUAGCAUUAAUUUUGAUUCAGCGACAAUUGGGGAAAAAAAAAUAGUUUCGGGACAGUCUCAAAAGAAAACAAAAAUAACAAUUAGAUUUCUUAAUAAUGAUAACUAGCCAAUUGGAAAGAAAAAGUACUUUUUACUUGACAGCUUGUCAGACUGAAAAAGUAACGCAUACCGUACGAAGUAAUCAUCUUUUCAAGAAAAAUUGCAAAUGUUUUUUGAUUGCCUAACUUUUUUCUUUCGUUAGCGUUGAGAGCAAAUGACAGCUCAUUUGAGCUACAUACAAAUUCACCUACUCGCGAAUAGUUCCGGUCAAAUUUCAAUUUGAACUUGUUUAACACUAAUUUCAAUUUAAAUUCAAACUGAUCAAAUCGAGUUUGAACUCAAAUUUUGCUAACUCACGAGUUGAUUCGAUUAUAUAUAUAUAUAGUGAAAUUACAUAUAUCUUAUAAUAUGUUCAAAAAAAUUACUAUUUUAUUUAUUUUUUAAAAAUAAAAUAUAUAUAUUUUUUAAAUUCUAGUUCGAGCUUGACUUGGCUCGAAUUUGAGUUUAAACUUUAAAUUGAGAGUUCGUCAAGCUCGAAAUCAAGUUUAAAUUUGGUACAAUUACGUCGAGACUCAAUUUAAUUAGAUCAAAAUUUGAUUCAAUUCAACUCAUUUGCAGUCCCAAAACUCGUGUUAUGGAAUUUUCCUCGGAAUUUUCCUCUUGAGGCCCUUAAGGUAUGUACAAUAAAUAGUAAGCUAAAUGAAGAGAUGACCUUUUGCCCUCUCCCCUUCCCAACCCAAAAAAAGAAAAAGAAAAAAACUAAUUACAUUCAUGAUAUUCAUCCAGUGAUAAGAACUUUCAUCAUAGAAUUGACAAAAUCAAUAAAAUAUUUCUUUUUCCUAGAACUUUUACAGUUUCUGGAAGCGAACAAUAAUAAUUGCCUAAUUUUGGUUGACUUAGGAGGAAGAUAUAUAUGAUCUCUCUAAUAAUUCUCAACCAAAUAUAUCCUCGGACUCCAACCUACUUGAAAGGUGAACGUGACAGCUAUUCUUUCUUGCUGAAUAACUACGUGGAAGAGAAGAAUAAAAUUCAACUGUAGUUGUGGUGCCUGAGAAAAAGAAGACGCACAAGCAAAAUAUACUUUAUUCAAGAGAGCCCCUAUGGACCAAAAACGAAAAUGACAAAAAUCUGUAGUAGCCCGUAACUGGAAUACCACUAUAAGAAAAGAUGGAAUUAGUGGCACUAUACAAGAUUUUAGUGGCAUUUUGUUAGAAAAAAGGUGUCAUGGCUCUACUUGAGAAAUGUGUUGGCUCAGCGGUACUUUUUCUCACAGUGCCAUCAAAUAUAUAUUUAGGUCACAAUUUAGUUUACAUUUUAUUGAAAAAUGUCAUUGGAACACAAGUUUUACUAGAAUUUAAGGAAUCAACUCAUAAAAACUAAAAUGAAAUAGAAUAUAAACAAAAAUUAUCUUUCUAAUGAAUAAGAUAUGAUGGUUCCUUAAAUUACUCCAUUAUUUCGAUCGUAAGUAUUAAAGGAGGUCUUAAUUAUUAAAACUCGUUGAAAUCUCUCCUCCUUUCAACAUUCUUCAAAAACCCUACCAUCCCAUCCUCUCUUGUGUCAAAGUAAGUUUGUAAAGAAUUAAUUUCAAUUUUCUUGUGAUCUGGAUUUACUCUCGUGAUGGAUAGUGUUGCGGCCCUUAAUUUAUAGGACAGAGAAUUUUCUGGGAAGGAUAGGAGAGUUGUUUGCCACGCGAAAACAUUGGCACAGUUCUCAAGGAGCCUUUAAAAGUUAACCAAUGAGGUACAACUCUUUAUCCACUUUUCAUGUCACUUUUAGCUGGUUUAAAAGAUCAGCUGUGGUCAAAUUUUCAUCUUGCGAUGAGAAAAACUCAUCUUUAAUUAAGAACCUGUUGAGAUUACUCUAAGUUGCCCAAGUGGAUGGUUUUGCCAUUUGUGAAAAUAACAAGACUCUAUGGUUUCAUUUAAUUUACUCUGCGCAUGUAUUCUAUGUAGUUUUUGACUUGCUCCUUUGCCAUGUCCAAUUCUAAAGUAAGAGGUAAUAUGUCUACUUUAUAUAUAUUUUUUAAGAUACGUACAGGCCACAAUGCAACUGAAGGAUUAACAAAGGAUGACGCCACUGGGAAAAAAACUACUUAAAAUAACAAAGAGAUAAACUUAUUUAGUCAUUAGCUUAAAAGAUUUGUUUUUAGACAUGGUUCGUUCACCAAAAUGUAUUAAAUUUGUAAGAAAUAUCGAUGUGUUUGUUAUUUCAUUUCUGACUUUAUUUAAUAGUCAUUUGUGAAUUCUUUUUAUUUGUAGCAUUUUUGCAAUAUUAUAAUUAAUUGCAUAGAUGAACAUGAUCAAUUGGUUUGUUAAUAUUCAAAUUACUUUUUUAAUGCGAUUAAUUUUUUUAGUGGCAUUUGAAAGUGUUAGAAUAGCUUUAUAUAGUGGCAUUUGAAGUGCGAUGGCAACUCAACGCAUGCCGCUUGCAAUUGCCAUUAAAAUUUCAUAAAGUGGCAUCUUCCCAUACCAUGUAGUAUUAUUUUGGAACCAAUGGCCCUUUGGAUUGUUAGUCAACACUAAAGACGCUAAAUCUUGGUAAGGUAAGAGAUCAUGGGUUCAAAUUUUGUCUCCCAUCAAUAUGUUAUUAUAUGUGAUUUUUUUAAAUUCAUACGAUCUGAUGAUGGAUCAGUUUCCAUUGGUUUCUCUAGAUUCCGUUGGAUCUCUCCCCCUAGUAUAGAUUAAAAUAGGAAUAAACUAGACUAAUUAUUGUCGUCUGAUAAAAAAAAAAAAUGUAGUAUUAUUUUGUGCCACUUUUCAAGUGCCACUGGACAGUAGUCGCCAACAAGAAAAUGUCACUAAAUAAAAAUAUAUAUAUCACUAACGUAUGCAUAAAUUGCCAUUUUUUAAUGUCAUUAGAAAAGAAUUUUCUUCUAGUGUACAAAUAGUAGUGAAAUAAGAAUCUUAGGGAAAUUAUUUGAAUUAUUUUCAUUUUAUUCCCAAAGUUACUUUCCCCAAGUUUCUGAAAAUUUUGGAUUGUGAUCUUUUGGACAUAUAUUUUUACAUUUUUUAUGAAUGUUCUUUCUAUAUAAUUUAUAAUUUUUUUUGUAACCUUACAUACAUCACAUCCUUAAAAAAUGUUAUUAUAAUUUUUUUCCAAAAAUUCUCCAAAAAUUGCAAUCCAAAUGGGGUCUAAUGAUUUCAAUGAAUCAUACAAUAUCAGGGUACAUCCAGACAUUGUCAAAUUGUGGGAUGAAUUUUACAAGCAUUAUUGAAAUGACACUAAUGAUCACUUUACUUGUGGUCCUUGAAUCUUAACCCAAUUAUUCAAAAUCUACAAUAGACAAUUGAAAAGGUGUCUGUGGGCCAUCAUAUCGCGCCAACUGAUCCACGUAUGUGCAUGCAUUUGUCCAAUCAAUGGAUAUCUUUAGAUAACUUUUUUUCCAUUAAACCCUCGGCUAGCCCCACGUGGUUUAGGUAACUUGUUUUAGAAAUUUUUUUUUUAAAAUAUCAAUUACGAAAACACUUUAAAACAAUCACACAAUUUGAAAAAUAUACAAGAAAACAUGAAAUAGGCACUGAUGGUGGGAGUAGGUACUGGUGGUAGGUGGAGUUUGCCGUGGUCUGUGAUGGGUGGUGGCCUGGUGGGGGAGGGGAAAAUAUUAAUUUUGAAUUAAUAUUAAUAUUUUUUAAAAAUAAACAUAGUAAAAUUUUAAAUAAACACUUUCAUUUGGAUUGGUCUACUUUUUAAAAACUAAUUUUUCAAAUACAAUGUUACAGUAAUACAAAAACAAAAACAAUUCAAAAAAAUUUCAUUCAUACAAUAAAUCAAAAACAACUCACAAAUAUACACAAAAAAUUUUAAAAAAUUUUACAAUAUUUUCCACUAUUCACUACCACUCGCCACCGCCACCACUGCCACCACUACCACCCUCUUCCUCCUCUCCUCGACCAGAUCCAGGGGAGGAGGGGAAGAUUGAAGGGUGGGGGGGGGAAAGGGAGGGGAGGAGGAAAAGGAAAGAGAAAGAGUGGUGACGGUUGUGGUUGUAGGUGAUAGUAUUAAUUUUUAAAAAAUAUUUUAAAAAUAUUUUAAAUUUAAAAAGUACUUCAAAUUAUAUUUCAAAAACUCCUCCAAAAAAUCACAAAAAAAAUUUUAUAGUAAAAAUUUUUCAGACACACUACUAUAGUAAAAUAUUUCAAAAAAAUUCCAAAAAAUAACUUAUCCAAACGAACCUAUAAUAUCCAAGCAGACCGUCAUUGAACAAGUUCUGCUUUUUUAUUCGCUGCAUUUAUGCUCAAUUAAAAGAUUGCACUGAAAUAUCAAAACUAUAUUAUCUAUUUUCCUUUUCUUCUCAAAGGUAUUGAAAAAAGUUUUUUAACUUAAUACUUUGAACGAAAUAUCAUAUUAUAUCAGAAUAAUCCAAACAAUACAAAAUUGGCUAAUUGAAUUUUUUUAUUAUUACUCAAACAACUAUAAUUACUUUGCUUGUGGUCCUUUAUUCUCCAACAACAUAUUAAAAAACAUACGCUCCAUUUGGAUUAAUUAUUUUUGAGAGUGUUUUUGAAAUAUUUUAUUAUAGCAUUGUAUAUGAAAAACUUUUAUUAUAAAUAUUUUUUGAAAUAUUUAAUAUAUUGUAUGAAUGAAAUAUUUUUUGAGUUAUUUUUGUUUGUAUAUUACUAUAAUAUUGUAUUUAAAAUAUUUUGUUUUUGUAAACACCACACGAACUUAUCCAUGCAUUUGUAGAGUUCUGCUGUCCAGUCUCAGCAUUUAUCCAUUUAUACAUUAUCGAAAGAUUUCUUUCUGCUCUCCACUAUCCACAUUAAUUAGACUAUCAUUCUCGAAUGGGUUUGGACAGGUGCGUUUUAGGUUUCUAUGCAAAUUUUUUUUUUUUGUCUCUCCUAGAAUUUAAUCUAAUCUAAUCGAGGGGAGGAGGGGGAGGGGGACUCGAUGUGACUCUAUCGAACAUGACCAAUUAAGAUCGUCAUAAAUUGUAACAACUUUUUGGGUGAGAGACAAGGAUCGAACCCUUAAUCUCCCGCACCACCAAUACUUUUAAAGGCUUCUAUGCAAUUAUUUGAUUGUGUAUAUUUUACACAAUCUGGCAUACACUAAUAUUAUUAAUUUAAUAUAUGAAUAAAACUACAUUGAUAAACAUACACCAACAUCUAAAAAAAAACAGAAAAAUGAUAUUAACACUUCCAAAAAAGUUUCUAACACUCCAUCCUCCCUUUAAAACAUAUAGAGACGAUGUAUUGCAGGAAGAGCACAAAAAAGGGACGGGAUGGAGGAUAGAAUGCUCGGGACUCUCUUUUUUUUUUUUUUUUUUUUUUUUUUUAAAGUGCCAAUAAAAUCUCCCAAAAAGUAUCAAACCUCAAUUGUACAUUUGUACUUGCUCCAAUUCCCUUCAAAUUGUGUAGAAUGUUAUUGAUCCUAUCCUAUUGAAUUAAUGCAGCAGUCAUCGUAGACUUUGCGACUGACCUUGCAUCCUUCUUCAAUUACACCCACCAAAGAACACCAAUAACCAACCUAGAAAAAAAAAAAAAGAAGAAAAACACCACUAGCCACAAGCACGUGUUUAACGCUGUACUUCUAUUUAGCAAGAAGAAAAAUAAAAACGUCAGUGACACGGGGUCGCCAAUUGCUUCAGUAUAAGAGUAGGAGCUUCCCUCAGCUUCUUCGCUACAACAAUCCCCCUAAAGAAAACUAGCCAAUGGCAUCUCUUUCAACUCCCCUUCAAAGCUCCACUGCCUACUCCUCCUCCUCUACUCUGUCCUCCUGCCCUUUCUCUACGAAGCCAUCACAGUUUUACCUCAGUGCCAAACGUAACUAUCACCAGUUCACGGUUUCAUGCAAAAACAAUGAAAGCCAUGAACAAGUUAACAAUCUUGAUAGGAGGGAUGUGCUUUUGGGCUUGGGUGGCCUUUAUGGCGCCUCAAACCUCAUCAUCAACCCUUUUGCCAUGGCAGCUCCUAUAGCUGCCCCAGAAAUCGCCAAAUGCGGUCCACCGGCGGACUUACCUUCAGGAGCAGUUGUCACUGACAAUUGCUGUCCGCCGGUGCCCGGCAAAGUCAUUGACUACAAACUCCCUCCACCACCUAAGGUGAACCGUUUUAGGCCAGCUGCUCAUUUGGUCAAGAAAGA
rnacentral:lncRNA from 1 species